rnacentral:lncRNA from 1 species
UAGCCAUCAAACCAUGUAUCAAAAGAAGGCUCUGCUACCAUAAAAUACUUUUGGACUUGGUUCACUACUUUUUGAUGCAUUUGCCUUCUCACUAGAGCCAGAGGUCCCCGAAGUACUAUCCACAUUAUCAGCGCCUGAACUAUCACCAAUGUCCAUGGGAAGCUUCAUCUUUGCAAGAGCCUCUGUAAACUGCUGCAUGCUUUUCAUGUAUAUCUCAACUAUCUCUUGUUGAACCACCUUUUGUUCAGGUUCUAUAGUCACAUUCACAACAGACUGGGUUAUUGUGCUAUCUGGCACUUCAGUUGCAAUGUUAUUAACUGGAGAUGGACCUUUGUCCUUCAACUUGGAAACCUCAUCCUGGUUCGAGGUUCAGGAAUGCUUAAUUCAUGAGAAACAGAUGAAGGGUUGAUUGGAACCAAAACUGAAGGAGGCUCUGCAGUUUUCAAUAUAGUUGGAGGAGUUUCACCCACCGGAACAUCAUUGGCACCUUGACCAUCAAGAGCCACAGCUUCUUGAACACAACCAUUAUUUCUAAUUGUAAGCUGACCAUCACUUGAAGCAGAGGCACACUGCUCUGUGCUUUUGCACUCCAAAUCCGGACAUGGAAUUGCAAAAUACUCUGAAGCCAUCCUCUCAUUUUCAUUCACAAUCUCUGGAUCAGGAAACUCAAUUUUAUCUAGUUCACAGGGUACUGAAUCAUCAACCUCGGAAUCUUUAUUAGCAACAUCUACAACGGUACAAGAGUGUGAAGCAGGGAUUUCAAGAACAUCAGGUGAUGCACCAGUGUAGGUGAGAGUAGUUGUACAAAACCAGCAGGAGAAUGGUAUAAAUCACUUGAAGAGAGUGAAAAUUCUUGUUCCGGUUUACCAUUCUCAAUGAGAACUUCACAAAGAGGCACCGAUGUGAAUCCCAACAACUGGUCUUCUAAAUAAUUCCGCACCCUACUAAGCAUCCAAACCUCACAUCUAACCGAUGAAUCGAUAUUCGGACAUUUAACCGAACAUUUUCAUCAAAAACUGGAUUCCUUCCCCACCAUUAAUAAUUUGAGUUGAAACUACUUGUUCUGGAUCACUAGUCAAGGAAAGUCUGGCAUACACAUCUUGAUUUUGAUAUAUGCAUAUGUUAUGAAUAUCCAUUGCUUGAUGUAUAUAAACAUCAAGAACCCAAUGAAACCCUCUGACUUUCCUUCUGGACAUUUCCCCUUUUCACUAUUUUCAACUAAAUCCCCAGUAUCUGGAGCUAAGAAAUCAGACUGCACUUUGAUGGACUCCAUGUUAACAACACUGGAAAUCGAUAAAACGGCUAAAAUAGUUCUUGAUUCACAAUUUGAUAGAAACAACGAUGCCCCCUGAAGUACAAAUAUCGUAACUGAUAGAAAACAAAGCCUGAAAAACUGAAGUUUGAAGUACACAAAACUUACCAAACAGGAAUGGUACAGUGUUUCCUGCAAAUUCCCAAAAAAAAAAAGAACAAAAUAAAAUCAAAACCACUGCAAAUGAAAGGUGAAACCAAACCGAAUUCAAGAAUUGAACUGAAAUAACUGAACUGAAACUAUUUAGUAAUACUCGAUGCUUUAUGAAUGAAUCUGAGAAAUGAAAGCCAAUGAUUGACCUGAUACUCAAGUAAUUAUUGGGGUUUCGAGUUUCCUUUCUCGAGCCCCAAAAAAGGCAUCAUUCCAAAGCCCACUUACAAAUGCAAAGAGCAAGAAAACCCAUGAAGGACAUAAUCAUAUGCUAAAACUUCAAUAAAAUGAGCCCUUUUCAAGAAUCCAAGGCAGAGAGCUGCACAAGAAACUAGGAGGAAAGCAGAAAAUAGAGAAACAAAAAAUAGUUUUGGAGAAGGAAGAAAACAAGCAACAGACAAAGAUAAGGUGGCUAUGAGCGAUAUAUUUUUAUGUUUCUAGCUUCUGCUAGUGGUUUCUUUUGUGGCCCUUUUGGCCAUUUGCAAAAGAAGUCAAUGUUGAGGUUCUUUUUGUCCUCUGUAGAUUGAAUUGAACAUCUAGAAUCACUUCUCACUCUAGGCUAGUGUUUGAAUGGUCAGAGAAUCAAGAAAUGAAUAGGGGAAUUCCUCCUCAUUGGUGAGAGUUUUCUUUGUUACAGAGGGAGAAAACUAUAUGGCAAUUUACCAAUUACAAUUGUCUAUAUAUAGCUCAAAUUGUAACUGAUGUUCCAAUUUGGAAAAAUGAGAUUAUGAUUAUAAUUUGAGCUAAGUGUUGGAAAUCUCAUUAAUUGCUGCAUCUUUUUUUUCAAGAGGUGUUUGUAUGGAAUUUUUUUUCAACAGAGUUGACGGUCAACUUACGUCAUGUUGACGCAUUGAUCUUUGUUAUUUUAAAGAUCUCAUUCCUUUUUUUUAUUGUUGUAUUAAGUUUUGCAAGAUUAUCGUAAAACUAUCCUAAUCUUUUUUAAAAAAUUAAUAAGCUAUUUUAAAUGAAUUAGAAGGUCAAUUCUAAUUGUUUGGAUAGAAAUUGUAAUCUGAGUAGGAAAUUCAUUAUAGGAUAAUCUCCAUUGUCGUAUAAUCUUAUUUGAAUAUUUCUUAGCUAUAUUUUAAGCGUUGGAGUGUGUUCGAUUAUCUUAAAAUCAUCAUAAAGGAAAUAUUGAGUACCAUCUUUUUCACUUAAUAAAUUCAAAAGAGUCAAAUAAAAAUUUUUAUACUAACUAAAUGGACAUUGUUAUGGAUUUUUUAAAACAUACUUAAUAUUACUGCAGCACUCUUUUUGAUUAAACUUAUGGGCUUAAAAUGGUGUUGUAGAACAUAUUUAGUGUUUUUAUAAAAAAAAAAAUUAAAGUAAAACUCCAUCCAAAGAAUGCCUGUUCUUAUUAUGUUACGCACUCUUAACUUAUUGUUUUUUUUUUUUUCAACAAACGAACUUAUUGUCAUAUACUGGCGAUAUUAUACCUCACAAUUGUUUGGCCAUAUUAGGCACCUCCACUACUUUUAUCAUAUUGACAACAUAUAAGAUGAAAAAAUGACUUGCAUCCUUCAUUUCAACCAACAAAUCCCUAAGAAUUGAGUAAUUAAACGCUUUCUAGUAGAGGCAGUCUGCGUAAUUCUACAUCAGAAAACGUAUUCGUAAAAAAUAAAAGUUUAGGGAAAAUCAGGCUCCAACGGAUGGAAAGUUUAAGUACCAGUCCCUUACUCUGACUAGCUUCUAACUAACUUACCUGGUUCCGCCAGCCCAAUACAGACAAGGAGUCUAAGUAAGGGGCCAGCCCUUUAAGCAAACGAUUGUGGGUUUGGCUCUGAUAAUUGAAGGCUUUAAUCCUCUUGUGACAAACUUGAUUUUAAGUUCUCACUAAUGCAGCUUUUCUUUUGUUCUCAAGCACUUUUUUUCUUGUACAUACAUUUAUCUUCAGAAAACUACGAAGACAGAAUAACAUUAAAACUAAAAAAAAUGCGUUUAGGGUGUUAAUACAUCUACAUGUCUCCUUGGUCAAGCAUUUGAAAUUUAGACCUUCAAAGAUAAUUUUUUUCUAUACUUAAUUUACAUUGAUAAUUGAGGUGUAACAAAUUGUUUCAAGCUAAACUUCUUGAGCUCGAGCUCUUGAAACUUCAGCUUCAGCUCAACCUGGUAAUAGAUUUAGCUUACUUAAGCUCAAGUUUGAACUCAAUCAAGCCCAACAAAUUUGAGCUCAAUCAAGCUUAAGAAACAUAAAUCAAUACAGUAUGGUAAAAUACGAAAAAUGAAAAGUAUAUAUACGUGAGGUCAGUUGAGCACAAUAAGAUCUGCUUUCUUCUUUCAUUCCAAUAGCUCCUCGAAAGCUACUAGCUACUUCGAGUUGUUAGAAGUUGAAUUUUAAUCGAGCAAUCUCAUGAAUAACUCGAUGGAGUUCAAUUUAUUUGCAUCCCUAAUUAAAAGGUUAUGCUUCUCAAAUUUAAUUCUUUCAAUUGUAAGGAAAUAUAGAAUAUCCACUGUAGACAACAAAAUUUUAUUUAAGUUAUUUAAUUAAGAUAAAAAUAAAUCUAACCCGGAAGGGGGGACGGGGGAUGAAUUAGAUUGAUAAAAAUUAAAGUAAGAAAGACCAAAUUUUCACCCAAAAUAGUUUAAGUAAACAAUCGCUCAAGCAAACACAAUAACAAGAGAUAUAAGCAAAUUAAACCACACAAAUAAGUAGAAAAAAGAUGACAAUAAGGAAAAAGGAUUGCAAACCAAAUAAACUCCCAAACUUCUAUAAUGUAUUUGAUGUAAUGAAUCUACUCGUGUGAAAGGCUGUAGGUCUGCCAAAGAAAUCUAGAGCAAACUCAAUGAGAUACAUGAAGGCUAUUUGGUUGAUAGAUAUUAUUUGAAAUAUUAUUUAGAAUAAUUAUUGUAGCACUUUUUGUGAUGUGAUGUAUGUGAGAUAAAAAAGUGGUUGGAAAUAUAAAAAUAGGUUGGAAAAUGUAUUUAUGUGCAAGCGAAAUAUUAUUUGAGAAAUCUGCUAUCCAAACACUCUGUUAAAGAACAUAAGAAGUCACUAUUGGUAACCAACUAUGAAUCAUUUAAGAUGGAAUCUCAUGAAACAAUUGACAAAAUGUAUUGCAAGUUCAAUGAUCUCAUCAAGGACUUGGAAACUCUUGGAAAAGAAUACACUCUUGGAGAAAAGAAUAGAAAAAUACUGAAUAUUCUGUCUAAAGAAUGAGAGACCAAAACUACUGCCAUUGAGGAGGUAAGGAUUUGAUCUUGUCCCUAUUGAAUCUUUAGUAAAUUCUCUUACUUUAUAUGAACUUAAAUUAAAGUCCAAGAUGUAGGAUGAAGAGGAAGCAAGGACAAAACUGAAUAUUGCUCUCAAAAGUACUCAAGAUGAUGAUGAUUUAAUAUCACUUAGAGUAGAAGAUGAAAAAAUGGAUGCUGAAAACAUAGCCCUCAUAACCAAAAGCAUCAAAAGACUAAUAUCCAAUCGAAAAAAUAUGAGAAGAGGUGCUGUUGCAAAUAACAACAAUUCUACCUCAACCUCAUUCAAGAGAAAAGAAAAACAAGGAACUUCAGGAAAGCAGAAUGACAAAUGCUUUGAAUGUGGAAAGAAGGGCAUUACGUAAAUGAACGUCCAAAUAAAAGAAAGAAGGAUAACAAAGGAGGUAGAAGACAACAUUUUACAAAUUAUCAAUUAACUUGGAAUGAAUGCAAUUCUGAUGGAGAGUGAAAGAAGAAACUGAGACAGCUCAAAUGGCUUUUAUGGCUAUAGGUGAUAAUCAAGUAACUUCUAGUUACAAUCUUGUGAUGAAAAUGAUGAUGUUGAUGAUGUUGAAUCUGGUAUGCUCAGAAUGCAUGAAAGCUUGAAAGAAUCAUAUGCCAAGAAUAAGGAGUUUAAAGAAAAAAUUAUGAAUUUGAUAGAUGAAAAUGCUGAUAUGUUUCAGGAAAAUAAAAAAACUAAAAUAAGAAAAUGAUUAUUGAAAAGGCAAAUACUUGAUUUAAACAAAAAGUUUGAUAAUAAAAUUGACUUUUACAAAAAUUUGGCAAAUGAACAAAAAGGUUUGAAAGUCAGAAUGAACAAACUUAGUCUGUUACUUAAACUUAUGAUGUUUGCAAAAGAAAAAUUAUGAUGUGUCACAAAUUAUUAGAAAUUUUUGUUACCCUCAGAAAAAUGGUUUAUACUUUUCAAAUCACAUGUAAAGGAUAAUAGUAAAAUUUGUGAUUUUUGUUGCCAGUUUGGACAUGAGAUAGACAAAUGCUUCGUCAAGAGGAACUUAAAAUUUGGAAUGACCAUUGUAUAGGUUUUGAGAAUAUUACCUAGCCAACAUAGACCCAAAUGACCUUGGGUACCAAAAAUUAUUCUAUAAUUUCUGUGCAAGCAUGUAUGAAAAGCAGCAAUAAAUGUUCAAAAUGGUUCAUAGACAGUGGAUGCUCAAAACUUAUGGUCGAAGAUGCUUCGUUAUUUAUUAAACUAAAGACCAAAGGCAGUGGUAAGGUUACAUUUGGUGAUGACAUAAAAGCAAAAUCAUUUGUAUUUGAGAUAUUGGUAAGGAUGGUGAGACCUUUGUACAAAAUGUUUUAUUAUUUGAUGGUUGAAAUUAUAAUCUACUAAGUGUUAAUCAAUUAUGAGACAAAUCUGUUUGUGUUAUUCAAAAUAUGAAUAUUUGAUUUAAGAUGACAACUUCAAUGUAGUUUUCAAAAGAAUUAGUUUAAUAAUAUCUAUGUUGUGUAUCUUGAAAAUCUUAAUUACAACAAAUUUAAAUGUCUGACUGGUACUUGAACUGAUUCCUGAAUUUGACACAAAAGAUUUUGUCAUUUUAAUAUGGAUGCUAUCAGUGAUGAUACGAAACUCGCCACCUUGUGACGAAACCCAUAGCAAAAAAAGCCCAUCUAGAAUAGAUAUAAAAGUUUUAACACGAACAAUGGAAAUACAAUGGAAGACCUCAACCCGUUAUUCACAUGGACAACAAAUCUUGGUAUAAGUAGGAGACGCCACAAUCAAACGUGGUCCUUGAUUGAUAAGUCAAGUUGAAUACUUAGAUCUACACUCUAAAAUAUUCAAGAAAAUCUCAAAGAAGCCAAAGAGAAUUCUCUCAAUUUGUAUUGAUGAAUAAUUUGUCUUACAAAAGAAAACGUCAAGCCUUUAUAUAGGCAAUGACUAAUUAAGAAGCCUAACCCAACUGGAAAUUAGCUUCUAAUGGCUCGAAUAGUUUAAUUAGCUUGCCAUUUAGUACUAAUAAACUAACAAAUAACUAAACAAUUUUACAACAAAUUGAACGAAAAAAAUAAGAAAAUAAGAAACUUCUAAAAAUGGAUCUGACAGAAAACCGCGGCCAAUUUCUAUGCAGAUUCUUCUACGUUUAUUGCAGAGAGCUGGACAGGCGAGAUGAAACGAAUUCGACAGGUAGCCGCGGGCGUUUACUUCCGCGGUUUAGCGACAGUGAGGUUUUUUGCUCUGUUCAUCACAACAAUCACAUUAACAAUGCUCCCUUCACUGUCCAACCCUUCAAUGGCUUUAGGAACACCAACAUUUGCUUGAACUGCCUUAACCAAUUGCAAGGAAUCAUUAAUUCUCUUAGCUUGUGCAAGCAUCAUUGGAUCCAAUGGAACUUUAACUUGCUCUACUUGCAACGUUGGACCUCCAUCAACCUCAUCAUUCCUCUUCUCUUGCAAGCAAUUUGACCCCAAAUCAACCUCAUCUACAAAAUAAGGGCUCAAGUUAACAACAUUAAAUGUAGCACUUACACCAUACUCACCUAGAAACUCUAGCUUGUAUGCAUUAUCACUAAUACACUCAAAAACUUUAAAAGGUCCAUCUCCACGUGGAUCUAGUUUAUUCGACGUUGCAGAAAACCUUUCUUUAUGCAAAUGGAACUACACCCAAUCGCCUGAUUCAAACACCAUGCGACGUCUUCCUUUAUUAGCAUGACGCAAAUAUUGAGCUGUUCGAGUUUCAAUGGUAGCUCAUACUUUCUCAUGUAUAGCUUUCACAAAAUCGGCUUUCUUGGCACCAUCUAGGUUAGUACGCUCAGGUAAAAGUAAAGGGGUUAAAUCUUAAAACCGUAAAUAACUUCAAAUGGUAAAAACUUAACACGCUAUGAACAGUACAGUUAUAAGCAAAUUCAAUAUGUGGUAAAUAUUCUUCCCAUAACUUUAAAUUCUUUUUAAUUAUGACCCUUAAAAGAGUAGAUAAAGUUCGGUAAGCAACUUUAGUUUAGUCAUCUGUUUGAGGGUGAUUUGAUGUAGAAAAUAACAAUUUAGUACCCAACUUUUCCCACAAUGUCUUCCAAAAUAACUAAGAAAUUUUACAUCUCUAUCUGACACAAUGGUUCUAGGAAUACCAUGUAAAUGGACUACUUCACGAAAGAAUAAAUCAGCAACAUGCAUAGCAUCAUCCGUUUUAUGGCAAGGAAUAAAAUGAGCCAUUUUAGAAAAACGAUCAACAAUAACAAACACACAAUCAUGACCCCUUUUAGACCUAGGUAAACCCAGAACAAAAUCUAUAGAAAUAUCAACCCAAAGCACUAAAGGAAUAGGCAAAAGUGUAUACAAACCAAAUGGUUGAAAUUUGGAUUUAGCUCGACGACACGUAGUGCAUCGUGAUACAAUUCUCUCAACGUCCCUUCUUAAUCUUGGCCAAAAGAAAUGCUCCUGCAAAACAGCCAAUAUUUUAGUGACACCAAAAUGUCCAUCAAACCCCUUCCAUGUGCCUCUGGGGUUAGCAAUUCUUGAAUAGAACAACUUGAAACACACAACUUAUCAAGGCAGAAUAGAAAUCUAUCAUGAAUGAAAAACUUACCAUGACCUAAAGACAUGCACGACUUGUAUAUGCUAGAAAAGUCAUGAUCAGUUUCAUAAACCUCUUUAAGUAGGUCGAAACCAAGCAAUUUGGUGUCAAGUAAAGUAAGUAAAUAAUACCGUCUAGAUAAGGCAUCAACGACGAUAUUAGCCUUACCCGUCUUGUACUUAAUCACAUAAGGAAACGUCUUCACAAAAGUAACCUACCUUGCAUGCCGCUUACUCAAUUUGUGUUGAGUUUUCAGAUGCUUGAGCGACUCAUGAUCCGUGUGUGUGAUGUGUUUCUUAGGCCAAAAAUAGUGUUGCCAAGUCUUUAAUGCUCACACCAAUUUAAAUAACUCUUUGUCGUACAUUGAGUAGUUCAAGGCAUCAUCAUUUAAUUUUUCACUAAAGUAAGCAGUUGGCUUUCUCUCUUGAGUUAGCACAGCUACAAUUCUUAUAUCCAAAGCAUCACACUCAAUUUCAAAAACUUUAUCAAAGUUUGAUAAAGAAAGUAAAGGUGCAUGUGUGAACUUCUAUUUAAGGAGUUGGAACACCUUAUCUUGGGUUUCGCCCUAUUGGAACUUCUCACCCUUCUGGAUGAUGGCUGUUAAAGGUAUAGUAAUAGUGCUAAAAUCCUUAACAAACUUUCGAUAGAAACUUACAAGGUCAUAGAAGCUCCUUGUCUCUCCAACAUUCUUAGGAGGCGGCCGCUCAUUAAUGGCCUUGAUUUUGCUGCUCUCAUCAACUCGAAUUCUUUGUUCACUAACAACAUAUUCAAGGAAUGUGAGUUUUCUAGUGCAAAAGACACUUUUUAAGAUUAGUAUAUAAACGCUCUUUAUUAAGAACAUUAAGUACAACUCGCAAAUGUCCAAGAUGUUCAUUUAAACUCUUGCUGUAGAUUAAAAUAUCAUCGAAAUAAACAACCACAAAUUUUUCUAAAAUUGGUCUAAGCACAUGAUUCAUUAAACGCAUGAAAGUACUAGGAGCAUUAGUUAACCCGAAUAGUAUAACUAACCACUCAUAUAGACCAUACUUAAUUUUAAAAGAAAUUUUCCGUUCAUCACCCUCUUUCAUUCGAAUUUGAUGGUAGACACUUUUAAGAUUAAUCUUUGUAAAAAUUACAGCACCAUGUAGCUCAUUUAACUUGUCAUCUAAACGAGAUAUAGAGUGAUGAUACUUUACCGUUAUGGCAUUUACAGCUUUCCAAUCAACGCAUAUAUGCCACGUUCCUUGUUUCUUUAGGACGAGAAUAACUGGAACUGCACAAGGACUCAUAUUUCUCAAGCCCAUCUCUUGUCCAACAACUCAUCAACUUGCCUUUAUGUCUCCUUUGUUUCUUCAGGCCCCAUGCGAUUAGCUGAUUUGUUAGACAAGGAGUCACCAGGGAUCAAAUUGAUUUGGUGCUCAAUCCUCUGAAUAGGUGGUAACCCGCCAGGUAUCUUCUCGGGGAAAACAUCUUUAAAUUCCUGUAACAAGAAACUAACACUAGAAGGCAAAUGAUCAAGGAGUUUAUUAGUGACUAAGAGUACUUCUUUACAAUAAAGUACAUAGAUAGGUUGUUUAGAAAGUAAGACUCUCCUCACAUCCCUAUUUUUAGCUAACAAAUUCCUCUCUUUUCUUCCUUCAUUGGCCGAAUUUUGUACAACAACCUGUUUAUGUUCUCGGCCUUGUGUGUUAGUUUCUUGCUGUUGACCUUGGUCGAUCAAUCCUUGGUUUUGAUGAUUAACAAACUAAAAUGUAGAUUUGGGCUAAUGUUUUUAUGUGAGCAAUUUGUUAGAACAGAUUCUUGUGGCACAAAAGAAGAAGCAAAAACAGGGCACUCAUGUGGGACGUCCGAAAGGAAGCUAUCGGACGUCCGAAAGGAUGAAGAACAUCAAGAAGGAAACUCUGUCGGACGCUCGUGAGGAAGCAUCGGACGUCCGGAAGGAUCGGACGCACGCAUCGGACGCACAUCGAUCGCAUCGGACGUCCGAGAAAUUUCGCAAAGAUUUGAUGACUCUCUGACGACGUUCGGACGCAUGGUUCGGACGUCCGACAGGUGGUUUGGACGCAGGGUUCGGACGUUCGACAGGUGGUUCGGACGUCCGACAGGCCAACGGCUAGUUUUGACAGCAUUUAAUAUUUGACCGUUGGAGAGCCUUUUGGAGCCAUUUCUCACCUUCUAUAAACACCCCAAAGCACAAGAAGACACAGACUUUUGCCAACACAAAAUACAAGCUUACAAGUGAGAUUUUUGAGUAGAAAGAUUCUUUGUUGGUUGUAUAAGGGGUUGGGGAAGUUGGGUUGUGAGGUUGCUCAAGUGAAGGUUAUUCUCUAGGAGGAGUAAAACCUUGGUGAAGGUGAACCUAUCACUUGAAGUGGUAAAACCUUGGUGAAGGUUGCCUCAUUUGUAUAAAAUAGUUCUUAAUUGGGUGAGUGAUCUUUCAAGUGUAGGUUGUUGAGGGUUAACUAGAAUAGUUGUAAAACUCCUUGGCUCAACCAAAGUGUGUUUGGGGUGAGGAAGGAGUGAGCCUUCACUUGUACAUCUUGGUUAGCAUCGCCAUCUAUUGAAGAGGCUAUUGGAUUGAUAUUUGGUUUGCAUUUCUUAUCUUUUCUCUUUAAUUAAGUUUUCUUUAUUGUGCUUAAAUUUGAUAUAUCUUUGUGCAUCAUUGUGAAAUUGUUUGUACUCAUUGGGUUGCACCAGGCCUUACAAUUGGUAUCAGAGCUUGGUCUCUUUUGAUCAAGCUUAACCGCUUAGAGUAAAGAUCAUGGCAACCAUAAAAGUUUCUUUUUUAGAAGGGCAAUCUAUUGAUAGACCACCUAUGUUUAAUGGUUCUCAUUUUAGCAUGUGGAAACAAAGAAUGAUGAUUUUCUUACAAUCCGUUUAUAUUGAAUUAUGGUAUGUGGUAGAAGAUGGUCCUUAUGAAGCUAGAAUAGUUGACUCUACCAAAUUUGAGUAGAUUAAAGACUAGACAAGAAUUGAAUGAAAAAGACAAGAGAUACCUUUCUUUGAAUGCCAAGGCCAUGUGUAUAUUGUACAAUGCAUUAGAUGUAAAUGAAUCUAGUAGGAUUAAAGGUUGUAAAUCAGCUAAAGAUAUUUGGGAUAAAUUGUGUGUAUUUCAUGAAGGUAACCAAGAUAUUAAAGAACAAAAGAAAUCUUUGCUUGUUUCUCAAUAUGAAUUUUUCAAAAUGCAUCCUCUUGAAAAUGUUGAUGAGAUGUGUAGUAGAUUUUGUGACAUUAUUGAAGAUCUUAAAUUGCUUGGAAAAGAAUAUUCUUUGGGUGAGAAAAAUAGAAAGAUUUUGAAUGCCUUGCCAAAAGAAUGGGAAAACAAAAUAAAUGCUAUAGAAGAGGCAAAGGAUUUAAAUUCUAUGUCCAUUGAAUCUCUUGUGGAUACCCUAACCUCUUAUGAAUUAAAGCUGAAAUUCAAAGUGCAAGAGGAAGAAAAUGCAAGAAUGUAUAAGAGAGGCAUAGCUUUUAAAGCAUCUCAAGUGGGGGAUAACCCAUCCUUCAUGGGUAAUGAAAUCAUGGAAGUGGACAAUGAUAUAACUCCUCACAUCAAAAGUUUCAAGAAGAUCUUCAACAAGAGAUGUUCAAGAGGAGAUUGCAAAAUUACAUGGGAUGAAUGCAAUUCAAAAAGAGAAAAAGAAGAGUUGGCCCAAAUGGCACUAAUGGCCGUUGGAGAAGAUGAGGUAAGUUCUUAUCACUCUUCUUGUGAUGAAGAUAAUGAAGAUGAUGAUGUGAAAAUUCUUAUGAUUAAAAUGCAUAAAAGUUUGAGAAAAUCUUAUGCUAAAAAUAAAGAUUUGAAAACAAAAAUAAAUGAUUUGUUGGAAGAAAACUCCAAACUUUUUCAAGAAAACAAAUGUUUGAGAAUGGAAAAUGAUGAUUUAAAAAAUCAAAAAAGUGUUUUUGAUUGCAAAAAUAAUUUGAAAAGGAAGUUGGAAGAGAAAACAAAGUUUUAUGAAAAAAUGUUGGAGGAACAAAAUGUGUUAAAGAAAAGAAUUAAUGACUUGAACGAGUUUCUCCAAAAUGAAAAACAAACGUUUUCUCAAACAAAAGAAAGCAAAUCUUUUCAAGGUACAAAUAAGUUUGCUAUGAUAAGAAGUAAGAAAAUUAGUUGCAUUAAAUCCACCUAUGUGCAAAAUACUUCUAUCAUGUGUCACUUUUGUUGCCAAUUUGGACAUAUGCAAAAUGAUUGCUAUGUAAAGAAAAAUAUGAGAAAAGGUAUGAAAUCCAUGUGGAUUGCUAGAUCAUGUUACUAACUCCCAAGAACCCUAUAAAAAAUUACAAUUGGUAUCAUGAAAGUUUUGUCAUUCUAUAUGGUCUUGAUUUGGAAAAUAAAGGGGAGUUUGCUUUUUGAUUGAUGUCAAAAGGGGGAGUAGGAUUUAUUGAAAUUUCUUUGUAUGUUGGCAUUUUCUAAGGGGGAGUUUUAUUUGAACUUAUUUGAUCAAAGAAAUCUUCAUUUUGUUUGUCAUCAUCAAAAAGGGGGAGAUUGUUGACCUUGGUCGAUCAAUCCUUGGUUUUGAUGAUUAACAAACUAAAAUGUAGAUUUGGGCUAAUGUUUUUAUGUGAGCAAUUUGUUAGAACAGAUUCUUGUGGCACAAAAGAAGAAGCAAAAACAGGGCACUCAUGUGGGACGUCCGAAAGGAAGCUAUCGGACGUCCGAAAGGAUGAAGAACAUCAAGAAGGAAACUCUGUCGGACGCUCGUGAGGAAGCAUCGGACGUCCGGAAGGAUCGGACGCACGCAUCGGACGCACAUCGAUCGCAUCGGACGUCCGAGAAAUUUCGCAAAGAUUUGAUGACUCUCUGACGACGUUCGGACGCAGGUUCGGACGUCCGACAGGUGGUUUGGACGCAGGGUUCGGACGUUCGACAGGUGGUUCGGACGUCCGACAGGCCAACGGCUAGUUUUGACAGCAUUUAAUAUUUGACCGUUGGAGAGCCUUUUGGAGCCAUUUCUCACCUUCUAUAAACACCCCAAAGCACAAGAAGACAAAGACUUUUGCCAACACAAAAUACAAGCUUACAAGUGAGAUUUUUGAGUAGAAAGAUUCUUUGUUGGUUGUAUAAGGGGUUGGGAAGUUGGGUUGUGAGGUUGCUCAAGUGAAGGUUAUCUCUAGGAGGAGUAAAACGCACGAAAAAGGCGAUACUCGUCGAGUAUGCCGAACGAGAUCUCAAGAGAUCAAGUUUUAAUCUUUAGAACACGCACGAAAAGGGCGAUACUCCAUGAGCAUGCCGAACAAGAUCUCAAAAGAUCAAGUUGUGUUUUGUUAUUCUCUUGGUUUAUCAAGCUUCUCGACCAAACCCAUGCCGGCUCGAGUUGCAAGAUUGGCUAAGAGAAUUGGGCGUCCCCAUAAGUUGAGGAGAUUCACUCCACCCGACAACACGACACGCAUGACAUACACGACAUGUACGACACACACGAUAACAUGCUAUGCACACGAAAGCGAGUAUAUUUUAGUCGACGAGAUUCACUCAAAUCGACUUUGAAAACCAAGUUAAUGCCAGUAAAGUUCAAGUAAAGGAGAGCGAGUGCGAUAAAGUACAUACUCGUCUCAUCAAGUGAUAUUCAUGUAUAUAAGCAGGUAAAUCAAGUAAACACGACAAGUCAUGCACUUGACACUCACCAAUUCAAAAGUAAUUGAGCGAGUAAAAUCUUUAGCUGUCCCCUCCGGGAUUCUUUUCAAGACUCGCUUGAGUACCAAAAGCAAUUAAUAAGCAUUUUUGACUCAUAAUCAUGCAUUAAUCAAGAAAGGAGUUACACUCAUGUAGACUAGUUAAUACCUCAAAUCGAGAACCUUAGCCGCUCAAAAUAAAGGUUCAAAAGUGAGGUUUUAUUAACAUAAGAAAAACUGAUUUCCUUUAUGAAAUUGAGUUUAAAGCGACCAAUUAUCAUCAAGAAAGAAUAACGAGUUUUCAAAAUUUCAUUUUCUAAGAAAUAGGCAAAUUUCAGCUUUGUGCGUCAAAUUUAGAAAAGUCAGAUCUUGCCCUCAGUAGGUCCAAAAUUGGAAAACUUGGUACUGUUGGAAAUUCUUCCGAAGUACUAAAAGUUCCUAGAAGACAUUUUUCCAUGAUUCAAAUAGGAAGACAUUCGAAUUUUGGCUUCAAGUUGCUAUUUUGGAAUACCAAGACAGAUUAGGGUUGAUUUUCGACAAAGUUUGGGAAUUCGGCAUAAUUCACACAAUACGAACUAGCCUCUAAAAUUCAGAACUCGAUUAGAGUUACAUUCAAAGUUUACAACACAACAAGCGGAACAAGAAUUGGAGUUCUGAGCACCAAGAUAUGGCGGCUCAAAGUUGCUGAAAAAUGAGACCAUUGGGCCAAUUUUCCAGAUUUAAAUCGCUAACUUUGGAACGUUGGUUGAACAUUGAAAUGGACUCGGAAUGGCACCAAGUUUGGUAGUAUUAUCCUACCAUAUAAGGAUUAUUCCUCUACCAAAUUUCAUAGGAAAAUUCAUUCGGGAAGUUGGUUAAUAAAACCACCAAAGUUUCCCAAGAAGUUCCAAGGCAAAUCUGCUUCGGACUUCCGUUUUUCCGUUUUCAAGCAUUUAGCCAAGGAAAUUUCCUCAAACAUGGUUCAUUUGUGUAGACAAUGUCUAAUAACAUUCCAAUAUAGGUUUGGUAGGUGAUUAACAUCAAGAAUCUCGAAUUAACAAGUCCCAAUCAAGUUUAGUAACAAUUCUGCCCAAAAGGAGGGUUUUCCUUCAAGAAGUCAGUUUCUAAAUACGGCCACAAAUCACUCAAUUCAACUCAAAAUUGGGCGUGGUUGGCGGAGUUGGAAAUAAAAUUCAUAAAACUAUAAUUUCUCAAAAGAAACCAUUUUCAAAAUCUGUCCACAACUAGUCCACAUUGGAGCCUCAAUUUGUAGUUCAUGUUCUGCCUUCCAGGGAACUAACGAAACAGGGUAGCCAAGUUCAAACGGUUGGUAUGGAUUACUUAUAUGGAAUCAGGAUAUGCAUUUUAUACCUUUGGAAAGCUGGGAAUGUCUAGUUUCCAUUGCCAUAAACGGCACUCAAUUUCGACAUCGGAGUAAAAAGUUAUGGCCGAAAGAAAAGGACUGCCUGGGCAAUCUGGGAAAAUUUUCCAGUUUUGCUAAACCUUUGAAAUCACUACAAUUGACCAACCAACUCAUGUUAUUUUUCAAUGAAACUUUCCACACCAUUCAUAUAACAUGUAUACAUCCCAAACAAGUCAUUAGAACCUCAAAAUUUUGCACCAAAGUGCAUGAACAUGGCAGGGGUAAAAUGGUCACUUUUGUUCAUUGCACCUUCCUUGAAUUUCUACCAACAACCCAACAUUAUUCCACUAAUUUAAGCACUAAACCAACAUUAAUAGCAUCAUCAUUCAUCAAAUCAGUCCAUCCAAUCCAAGUGGGAGUUCAUAGAGCCCAUACAACAAUUUUUCCAACAUAAACAAGCUACCCACAUGAUUAGAUGAACUUAUAGUGUAAUAGAACUUCCAUAAACCAAGAUUUGAAGGCUUGAUCGUUGCUUACUUGUUUAGAUGAACCAAACAGAAAUUUCGGUCCAAAGAUGCUCAAGAAAAACCGUGGAAAACAGCCCCUUUUUGCUAGCUUGAUGCACUCUCCAAGUGAUUAACUAAGUGUAGGUGAAAUUUGAGGUGAAUUGGAGGAAGUUUAAUGAAGAUUUGAUAAAGGAAUUUGAAGAGUUUGAAGUUGUUUUUCUUGUCUUGAUGCACGACUGGAACAAGGAAGAAGAAGAGUGGUGUUGCUGAUGAAGAAGCUUCCUUGUGAAACUUAUAAAUUUGUGGACAAGAAUUGCUCCAAAAGUCAACUCUCCUUUCGCGCACGCGCGCGCACCUUUCGUGCUCGAUUCCUCUCGAGUUUAUUUCACUUGUGCACUAAACCUCUAAUGCACUUGUAUUCAUACUAUUAUUAUUCACUCUUAAUGGUCUAAAAAUAAAGGUUUAAAGUCCCUUAAUUAAUCGCGCGCGUGAAAACGCAUACUUCCGAUUUGUGCGCGAUAAAAUGGAUUUUUCAAGAAAUUCUUAUAACGAUAGUAUAAUUAACUAUCACUUGAGCACUUAAACAUAAAAAUACCUAUUUCAAGGCUAAUGUACUAGUCUCCAAUUUUUCAAGCUCAUUGUACUCUCAAAUCGGCUAUAGUCUCCAAACACGUAUUCACUAUUCUCACUUAACGAGUUUUUAAAAUAAUAACUUUUGGAACCAAGUCAUUUUUAAAUUACAUAUGAGCCAUAAUUCCAUGUAUUUGAGCAAUAAAAGGUUGAAAUAAAAUAUUCGGAGAAAAUGUGUGAGUAAAUAAUUAAUUAAACCAAUAAAAUAAAAUAAAAUAAGAAAAUUUUGGAUCCUCACAACCUCCCCUCCAUAAAAGAAUUUUGUCCUCGAAAUUCACACUUACGAUAAUAUCUUACCCCUUAUUUGCCAGAUCCACUAGCUAUACCAAAAUUCACAGGUUCUAUAAUUUGCUCUAACAAUUAAGCACUGAUUUCUUCAUGGGACCCCUACUCUCCAAACUAUAGGGCAGCAAUCACACUUUAAUUGUAUCACUCACGAAAAUAGGGGUUUCACAAGAAUAGUCAACUCCAGGGUCAAUUAAAGGUCUAGUUAAAUGAUCCCAUCUGGUGGUUCGAAACUCGAACAUGAAGAUAUAUUUUCGACAGAAAACUAACUUUACCAAAAUUUUCGACUCAAUUUGUCCAAAAAUCAUUUACUGGCAUUCGAUCUCCAAAAUUGACAAUUUUAGAAAUAACCGAAUUUCUUUGGUCCCAAAUGACCACUCAAAUUUUUGUUCAAAUCAAGUCAAUCAUAAUAUGCGAGACAAAAACGAGGGUUUUUUUUAUGUAUUUCGGAUAUGUAAUGUGGCAAAAUACGAUUCAUAAUUUCAAAAUUAGAGCUAAAAGAUACAAACCUUUCUUCAUGGUCCGAAACUAAAUUUUCUUAGUAAGAAAUUUCAGGUAAUGUUUUUGCCACCGUCAUUAAUACAUAUUUCAAAUUUCUCAAAUAUAUUUAAGAAGAUUAAUCAUGCGACUCAAUGCAUGGGUAUUAAAGAGCGUAUAUAAUGAAAUAACAUAUAACUGAAGGAUGUUUCAAAAAUUUCAUCAAAGUUUCGAGUUAAGAAUUACGUUUGAAUAAACAUAUAUUCUAGAAAACACUUUUAAGAGAAAGUGUUGUUUUUUUUUUUUUUUUAUGUACAGCAGAUAAGUAAUGAGUUCAAUUCACUUCACAAAUAACCAACGAAAUACUUCGAAAGUUCAAACAUUCAUAAAAGGUUGAAACAUGUCCACAAGGCCAACCAUAAGAUUCAGUAGAACAAUUAUUAAAAUUGCACAGGGGAGAACCUCUCUAGAUACCCAACUAGGUCAAUCUUUUAUAUCACUGGUAGGUCUAAUCUUCUCGUUCAUUUCCGAUUCAUAUCUAUCACUAAGAUCCCAUUGGAUUACAUAAGAUCGGCUAUCAUUCUUUCUCAAGAGUGCGGGUUGCCUAAACCCACACCACAACCCAUUCAUUGUUCUUGCCGAGCCAUACUUAAUAUAAGUCUAUAGGCGUAAGAAAUGGAAUAAUUAGGCAUAGAAGAACUUAAAGCAUAUACAAGUUACAAAUACAUUUAGAAUUAGAAGCUUGAUUCUUUACAUAUAUCAAAAGUCAUAAUAUGAAUCAAGAGGUCACAAACAAGCCAAGUAAAGUACAUACCAAGUCAAAGUCAAUAAACAAAAAUGAACAAGUGAUUAUCAAAAGUGCAUCCGUUUCUAAGGCACAAACUCUUAAGUUCUACUUCCAUCAUUCCACUACGAAAGAUCACAAGUAGUGCUUCACUAGAUUAAUUGGAACUAAAUGAUCCCCAUUCCUUAACAUGUUCAACUUUAACCCCAACACAAGGAUCUUCUAGGCCAUGGUCUUCUUCACCACUCGCUCUUUAUUAUUGUGCCAUCUUAGCCAAACGAUUAUCGGUUUCUUGUAACUAUUCACGUGAAAUAUCGAUUCAUUCUUAUUCCCUGCAAAUGGAGAUCUCAAGUCCUUAGUAUUAUCCUCAACGCUUGAGCACUCGGAUACAAGAAUCCGAAAUAAGAUAAUUCACAUCUCAAGCUGGCCAGUUCCCAAGAGUAAAUCAUCACAUUUGAGAUUCCUACCCAACAUACAUACUAAAUAUUUUUCCCAAAUAUCAAGACAAAGGGGUUUAUACCUAUUACAUUCAUGAUUCACAGCUUAUACUCUAGAAGAGUACUUAAGUUUUUACUCAUUCACAUAAUAAGGACCAUAACACCACUUGGUCCAAGCUCACUCCGCGCACAGACUACGCGAAACGGCUCUGAUUUUCAUCCCUACAAGCGGUCAGUUAACUUUCAAACCAGUCCCACAGUCUGGCAUCCUAAACUUUUAAGCCUAGGAUACACUACAAAGAUCUGAAACCUAAGCUCUGAUACCAACUGUGACGCCCCCACUUCUCCCAAGGGCGAACCCAAGGGUAUCCGCGGAACGCCUGCCCAACUCUCGCCAGGACUCGAGACAAAUCAAUUCUGUCGCGCCCCACUUUUUGAGUUUGUGAAUGUAGUGUGUAUGUGAACGUGUGUAAAAAUGAAAAUAAAGGCCGGGGGAUUGUGAAAUGCGACGGUUUGGCCAAAUAAAGUUCAAAAAGGGUUUUUGAAUGGAAAAUGGAGUCGCCACUUGGUAUAGAGUUAGGGUGUACCAAGUCACCCAAAAAUGAAUUUUUUGAAAAGCAAAGUAAACAAACCCCUUUUUAAGAACUUUUAGGUCUACGUAACCAAAGAAAGGGAUCGGGGGUCACAUUUGAUAAGGGAGAAGGCAAAGGCAAAGCCUAAGGCACUCCCUUACCCUAGCCAAAGCUAGUUGCGCGAUUUAGCCCCACGUUUCCUAAUUCUUUUACCCAAAAUAUGCGUUGCAUGUUGGAUAUGACUAAUGGAUAUGAAAAAGAAAUGCAAUCCUAAAUCUAAAAUGUCUCUUACGAGGCUUUUUGGUCCCAACCACAUGAGUUGUGGUGGCCAAUAAGGAAAGUCCUCAUAGAGGUCGCGAAUGAUGCAAAUGAAGACUCAAAUAUGAGUGCAAGUAUGAAAAUGUAAGAAAACGUGCAUGUGUGCGAAUGUAAGACAAGUGCAUGUGUGCAAAUUGGGAAAAUAAAGGUGUUUGUGUGCAAAUGGAUGAAAAUAUGAUAGUAGAUACAUAUAAGUGCAAUUGGGUGCAAUUUGUGAGGUAGAAAAACAAGUGACAAGAAGAAAAAUGUGUGAACAUGGCAUUUGUAUUGAGAAGGAUAUAAGUAGUGAGAAAAUGUGGAUAAGAGGGUGAGGGAGUGACAUGAUGAGAAUGAAAGUGCAUGAACCUAGGGGUAUGCAUCAAGUCGGGUACGGGAAUGACUCCUAAUUUCACGACUUUAAUUUUUCCUUUGAUUAGAAGGAAGAACUAGCGUGUUAAGGCUAUUUUGUAUCCACACUCGCUCGUUUACCUUACCAAAAGGGGACUCUCAAGCAAAUGUACCCUAUAACUAGCAUGAGGAUGCAAAAACCUAAAAUGAAGGGGAAAGGAUUGGAGGAUCAUGCCAAAUGCUAGAAAACUAAGAAAAAUGUGUGGAAUGUAGUGAAACAUGAAAGUAUGCACUAACGAGAGGGGACGGCCUAUUGGGGUCUAGCAUUGGACUAGCCCUUUUCUAAAAUUCUCUCGCAAGCAUUGGACUUGCGAGAGCUCGAGGGGAAAGACCAUGGCCAGCGUUGGACUAGCCACGGUGACGCAUUCAUCCAUCACCUUCAUCUAUGACUACAGAAAGCAAGUAGACAUGCCAAUCACCUAUAAACACAUAGCACAUAACACUUAGUAUGCUCGACUAAAUGCAAGAGCCUAAUAAAGCAAAUUAACACGUAGCAACAAAAGCAAGCAACCAAGCUAAUGAACCUAUUACAUUUGCUAACUAAAACAAAUGGGGAGGAGGAAAAGUGAAUAAAAAUGCUCUCCAAGCCCUAUCUAUUACAAGCCAAGAGGUGUACACAUACCCCAUAAAAGAAUAACUUAAUAAAAGCAAAAGUAAAUGAAAUGAAUGAAAGGAAUUAAGGAAAAAACCAGGAAAUCAAAGUAUACAUGCAAUUUCUCACUUAGCACGUUGGAUCACAUAGGAGAGAGACAAAAAAGAUAAAAGAAGUUAUACCUCCCUUGAGUUGAUGCCUUAAAUGGAGUGAAAUCACUUAUUUAUCCUCCAAAAUAAAAGAAAUGGUCAAGGUACCAAUUUAUUUGGGAAAAUUAAAGAAAAUAGGCAAACACAAGCUCACUUGGUCAUAAAGCCCAUAAAGUCAUGACUUAAGUGCAAUUGAAACAAAGCAUAGUAAUUAAUUGAAACGAACAAGCAAUGAAGUUGUAGAAUUAAAACUGCCAAGGACCAAAUUGAAGAAAUUAUUCAAUUGGUUGGGUCAUAGUAGAACAAGGGAAGACUUGGGGGGCCAAACUGCAAUUUUGGAAAUUCUUUUCAUGCAAAUUCCAUGCAAUCACGUAGAAGGCUUUCUGCAAUAAAGAAACAAACAAGACUGCUGCAUUUUUUUUGUUUCAUUGGCAAACACCAACUACAGAUUCAAUCACACGCCAUAACCAAAGUUUCCUUGAUCUAGCAUCCCAAAACCUUAAACUAGACAACAAGACAUAAAUUUGACAUCCAAACAAGCAAAAACAUAGGAGGAAAUCAUGCUUAAGCUCAGACCCUGAAAUAAACAAGAUGCCAAACAUGCUAUGAAUCAAACACUCAUCAGAGAAAAACACAUGCCAAGCUGACGUUUUCCUUCCCACAACACUUUGUCUUCGACUUCAGCAUACAGGAAGACAGCCAUGAAUAGCUGGCUGAAGCCUCCAACUUCAACUCUUAAAGACAUCAAAUUCCAAAUCAGAAAAUGAAAACCAAAUGCGUGGGUAACAUUCGAGUCCCUCCCAAUUCAAAAUGUAUUCGCAAGGAAAUAAUCUUCUGCACUGAUUUGCUUUUUUUUAGCUUUGCAGGUGACCUGAUAGCAUGCGAUAAUCUUAGCCAGGAGAAAAAUGAUCCCAAACAUUUAACCAGCUUCCUAAACUCAUCGCAGAACUACAACAUUGAAUGCACAAACAAAGGGAAAAAUCUGAGCAAAGGAGGAAUUCAUCAGACACCAGAUUCAUUCAUUGGUUUCAAAGCAAAUGACUUUCCAAACACAGCUUUAACACAAGAUGUUAUUCACGGUAUUUCACUCCAGUAUAGACAACAAAAAACAAGCAAGAUAAUCGAGUCAUAGCUUCAGCAAAACAAAUACGUGAAAAUGACAACCACUACAACCCAAAGUAAAACGCAUGGAUUGGUCAAACGUUGCUGCAAAUAAGUUGUAGCAGACGCAUACAAUGACAUCUCCAUCCCAACAACAAACAGACCCAAAAGCAUAAUCAAGCCAAACCAGAACCCCAGCUACCCGAAAACCAAUCUAGUGACAUAGCCGAAAACCAGUCAUGUACAUUAUCUCAACCCAACACAAUCUUAAACCAAAAAACCUCAUGCGAUCUACCCCCGGGCCGAAUGGACAAAGCUGCAGCACAGACAUCAUGCACAGGCAAUCAUGGAACAACAAGAACCCCGACAAGAGAGCAGAGCCCACAGAUUGAAUGACCAAGUUCAAUCAAGACUUCGUUUUUCUACCACUCUGACUGGACAAUUCUUAAACUAAGCAACCAAAGCCAUGGCUGUUCAAACAACAACGGAAAAGAAAAGAAAAACAGCAAACAAAAGGGAAAAAUGCAGUCUAGUCGAAUGGGCAAGAUUGUAGCAGAGUUUCUUCCGUGAAUUUCUGCAACCCAAACCAAUCCCAUUAUUCUGUCUCAUACAAUCUUCAAAUCCUAGCAUAGCAACCGAAGAGAGACUCGACCAAGCUACCAAAUUUAAUAGAAGAAGGAACAGCUCUUUGGCCCAAAAAUGAACGGAAGGAAAAGUGUGGGAAACAACAGGGAACAGGCAACCAUAAACAUUCAGUCACGACCAAAUCUUGAAGCGAGCAGGAAGGAAAAAAACGAAGAUUACCUCUUUACUGCCCUCGGACUUGAAACUGCAGCCGGCAUGCUCUCGCUCCCUUGAUUUUUCCCUAUCUCUCAAAACCCCAGCCGUCAACUACAGCUUCUUUGCCCGUCACCUUCCUUUCUGAUUUCUUUCCUUGGCUCUCCAAGCCAGUCCACAGCUUCCUUGGCUUUCUUUCCUUUGUCUCAGCUCUCUCUCUAUCCCCACUCUCACCGAGCUCCCUCUCUCUCUCUCUCCCUCCUGGUUUUUCUUUUGUUUCCGCCGUCACCCCUUCUCUUUCUGUUUUUGCUCUCCCUUUUGUUGCAUCGGCCGUCCCUUUCAGAAUUUUUCCAGCCGUAAGCCGCUCUCUCUUUUUCAUCUGUUUGCUCUCCUGGUUAUGGUUUUCGCCGCCAACCUUCCCCCCUAGAUAUUUCAACCGUCACCGAACCCUCUGCUUUCCUUGCUAUCUCUCUUGGCUUUUAUAUCAAACAAAGGCACUAAACCCUCCUCUAAAGGGUUCUGAUGAAAGCCAAGUCAUUAGUUUUGUGGAUCAUCCGAUGGUGAGUAAAAAAAGAACAAGGAUGCGGUGCCUUCCUGUUAAUUUUCCGUUUUCCCCUUUCUGCUUGCAAUGUGAUAUGAAGAAAAUGGGCACGGAUCCUGUGUAGCCCGGGUGCAUGAGCUUUUUUUUUUUUUUCUUCAGAACCUCUUAAAUGGCCCAAAACCCGCUAUCGGGUUUUCCUUCGUUUUCCUUUUUUUUUUUGUUUGUUGUUUUUUGUUGUUUUUGUUUUUUGUUUUUUUUGUUUUUUUCAAAAAUUCUAUGCUAAAAUGACUUAAAACAAAAAUAAAAGACUAAAAGUAAAUAAAAACUAACAUGAAAAAUAAAAAUAAUAGUAAAUAAAAAUACACUAAAAAUUUGGUGUCUACAGAUUCAAGCUUAACAAUAUAUAAAAAUUAAUACUAGUCUAAUAAGGAAAAAUCGCUUCCAUAAUCGAAUAUCCAAGUCUUACACCACGAGUUCAAAAUACAUCAGUUACCCAAUUCUUACAUCAGGAUCCAAAAAAUACAUCAAUUUCCAAAAUAUACAAUAGCCAAAAUGUCUAGUCGGUUACAUUUGAAACCCUAAUACAAAAGUAUAUCCAAAGGAUUCCACCGAGUUUCACUCCAUCCAUUCCUGUUAAGGAAAACAAAUCUACGGGGUGAGCAAUUGCUCGUGAGGCCAAGAAAACACACAUGCGAGCACGUUGUCCAAGUAACAAUCCCAAUAUUCAAGUAGAACAAUAAUAUUCUAGUAAAUUACAAUUCGAACGAGAAAAGUAAACAGAAACAAUUCAAGGAUAUAGGAGCUCUCAGGAGCUAUUUUCCACUUGCUUCGCCACGGCUCGGUCCAAUACCCCCUCGUGAUGACACUCCGUCAUCCGGAUGGAUAUUAUAUCCGUAGAAACUUCACUUAUUACUUCCUCCGGCCAACAUUCCACCCUCUCGGAUCCGUAACCAAACACGCACGAAAAAGGUGAUACUCGUCGAAUAUGCCAAACGAGAUCUCAAGAGAUCAAGUUUUUGAUGUGAAACCCCGAUCUAGACAACCAAAACACCAUGGCUUAGGCAGCGGAAAUUUGACUCAACUAAUCCCUAGAAGUCACGAACAAUUUUGAUAUUAUCUCAACCCGUAACUACUCGAAUUAACGAACCAAAUUGGAGGUAGUAGAACGCCACAAUCAAGGAGAUACUCGAUUGAUAAGUUCGGGUGAAUAAUUUGAGAAGAUUCUCAAGUAUUCAAAGGAAACUCUCUUGCCAAAGAGAAAGUGAAAACUCACUAAUUGUAUUAAAUAGCCAAAACUGAUCCCAAACAAAGAGGAAGUGGGGCUAUUUAUAGCCCUUACAAGCAUUAACCCUAAUCCAAAAGUUGACCAAACUACCCUACAUACUUAAGAAAGAUUUUGGGCCUUACUUACUAACAAAUGGGCCGUAAUUAAACUAUCUUAAUUACCUAGACUUUUUAAAACGAGAAAUAACCAAAAUCAACGAGGAAAAUCAAAUAAUCCUACUAAACUCAAGCAUUCGUGCAAUCAACUAGUCUUCACUUGAAUCUUCCAAUUCCCCAUGUGCUUGAAUGGGCCUUGGUCUUUAUAUUCUCAUCAUUCCCCUCCUCUUAAAAGCAAUUUGCCCACAAAUUGAAGGACGAAUGGUGACAAGACGAGUUACAUGCCUUCGACUCAAUCUUGUUAUGAUGGCUACAGAUGGCAUCCAAUGCAAAGCCCAUGUGCUAAGUUGGAAAAUAACCCUCGUCGAACCUUGAAUCUCACAAACCAUCUUCAAUGUAUGCUCAACUUUAUUGUUUGUGGUCAUGAGGUAAGGGUCCUCAAAGUGGUAUGAAGUUUAUCCCGUGAAAUCGAACUCCGGCUCGAACACACUUGCAAGGCACCAAGGCGGAUUUGGUGAUGUUGGAGCUGCAUGUGGACUAAGAGCAAGACGAAAAUCAUAAUGGUCAUUGAGGUACUUGUUCUUUAAACGAACCCUUGGUACACAACCAUCCCUAAAAUAUGGAGUGUUCCCUUGAAGAUGAGCUCGAAUCAACUCCCCUUUGGUGUGGACUGAUUUGAGUUGACAUUGUUCCAUGAAUGGAUACCAAGGGGGUUUAACUCUUGGAGUACCAACUCCAUGGAGGCUUGCAACGUCUACAAUUGAUUUUGGAAUGGAACACACCAAGAUCAGCUCAACUUGCCUUUGCUUGAUCUGUAUAAAAGAAGAAACACUAAACAAAGCAAAGGUAAGUUUGUUAAGAAAAUAAUAGGCCUUCACCGGGUUGCUCAAGAUCAGCCCACUUUCUCUUCUUUCUUCCUUUUUACCACCCAUCUCAUUAGAUUUUUCCAUCUCUUUUUCUAGUUCAACAGCUGACCCUUUUAUCUCAUUACUUUCAACUUCCUCGGGUUUUACCUCUGCAGGCACAAUUCCCUCAUCUAGCUUUUUCUCCAUUCUAUAACGCUCAAGCUCACUUUUCAUGCAUGCUAGAUCAAUACAAAGUUGGUCAUAAGUAAGUGAUACAAGUGCAAGACGACGACUAUUAAAUAAGAAGGAAUACUUAUUAGUAUGUCCAUCAAUUUUAACUUCUCGCCUCGACAUCCAUGCUUUGCCCAACAACACAUGUGUCACUUGAAUUGGGACUACAUCACACAACACCUCAUCCACAUAUUUGCGAUUUGAAUAGGUACAAGUGUGUGCUUAGUAACCCAAACAUCCCCAUGAGUGCUCGUCAACUUGUACGGUUGAAGAUGAUCAAUGGUUGGAAGAUUUAAUUUCUCAACCAUGAUAGCACUUGCAAGAUUGACUUCACAACUACCAUCAAUGGCCAAGCUACAAAUUUUAUCUUUGACACCGCAACGAGUAUAAAACCAACCAAGCAACUGAGAUUUGACGAGGUCCAAUUGCUCAUCUACACCACGUAAUGCCACUUCUUUGACUCCCUUAGGAUCAGGAAGACAAUGUUGUGGGCUAGCUUUUAUGCGUCUUAUACUUGCCAUGACGUAUGAGGGAACCUGCAAAAAGUUAGCAACGAAACCGAAGAUAUUGCCUUUCACGCUCCCUUACGUGUAUCCACUCGCACUCGUGUAUAUGGAUGUCACUCUAAUGGACUUACCAAAUACCUUUACCUGUUGGGUUAGGUAGUUGAGAAAUGCUGCUCAAGUCCAACAACCGUUACCAACCUUUCCACAAGUGUAAUCACAAGAAUGUAGGAGAAAAUGUAGGAAAGUGUUUCUAGAAUCUAGGAAGAGAAUAUAGGAGAGUUUCCUAAAGUGGAUGAGAGAAUAUAGGAAAGGUCCUAAAAAUGGAUGAGAGAAUUUUAGGAGAGUUUCCUAAAAAUUGGAUGAGAGAGUUUAGGAAAAUUUCCUAAAAAUGGAUGAGAGAAUAUAGGAAAGUUUCCAAAAAAUGGAUGAGAGAGUUUAGGAAAGUUUCCUAAAAAGGUAGGAGAGAGAGUGUCCAAGUGAGUACAAAGAGUUAUCCAAGUGCUUUACUUAGUUUCCUAAUUGAUUUUGGAAACAAGUUAGUUUUUGGAAACCUUAUGAAAAUCCUCUUCCUCUUGAACAACUUUUGGUAACCUUCUUGAAACAACUUUUGGUAACCUUCUUGAAACAACCUUUGGUAAUCUUCCUGAAACAACUUUUGGUAACUUCCAAAUUCUACUCCAAGAAAGAUUGCACAAAUCAGAUUUGGUUUUCUAUUCAAAACAAUUCGGUUGCCCCUUUCUUUUCUAUCCUUUCCUUUUUUUUUUCUCUUGCCAACCAAUUCCUCUUUUCUUUCUUCUUUUUUUUUUUGUUUUUUUUUUGACUACAACUAUCAACCACGACACAAAACAAGGAAGUCCACAAAUAAUAACAACCAAGAACUCCAAGAUCUUUCAAGAACGUUCAAGGAAGUUGUCAGGAACUUCAGAAAUUUCAAGAUUGUGGUCAAGAAUUCAAGAAGCUCAAGAUUAUUGUAAGUUCUCUUCAAGAUUCACAAAAUUCCAACAAGUUUUGCCAAAAUUCAGAUUUAAAAACCAAGUAAACAAGUUGGAUAACACAAACAACAAGGCUGGAUAGAUUUGUAUUCGGAUAAACAGUAAUUAUGAACAGUGUCGGUGAACAGCGUCGGUGAACAGUACGAUGAACAGUAAUAUAUAUAUAUUUUUUUGGUUCUAAACAAACGAACAGAUUGGGAUAAACAUAUAUGACUCGAAAUAAAUGAAAAAAAAAAGAUAUAACCUGGUGGUUGUCGACUAGCUCUGGUACCAACUGAUGUGAAACCCCGAUCUAGACAACCAAAACACCAUGGCUUAGGCAGCGGAAAUUUGACCCAACUAAUCCCUAGAAGUCACGAACAAUUUUGAUAUUAUCUCAACCCGUAACUACUCGAAUUAAUGAACCAAAUUGGAGGUAGUAGAACGCCACAAUCAAGGAGAUACUCGAUUGAUAAGUUCGGGUGAAUAACUUGAGAAGAUUCUCAAGUAUUCAAAGGAAACUCUCUUGCCAAAGAGAAAGUGAAAACUCACUAAUUGUAUUUAAUAGCCAAAACUGAUCCCAAACAAAGAGGAAGUGGGGCUAUUUAUAGCCCUUACAAGCAUUAACCCUAAUCCAAAAGUUGACCAAACUACCCUACAUACUUAAGAAAGAUUUUGGGCCUUACUUACUAACAAAUGGGCCGCAAUUAAACUAUCUUAAUUACCUAGACUUUUUAAAGCGAGAAAUAACCAAAAUCAACGAGGAAAAUCAAAUAAUCCUACUAAACUCAAGCAUUCGUGCAAUCAACUAGUCUUCACUUGAAUCUUUCAAUUCCCCAUGUGCUUGAAUGGGCCUUGGUCUUUAUAUUCUCAUCAGUUUUGAUCUUUAGAAUGCGCACGAAAAGGGCGAUACUCCACGAGUAUGCCGAACAAGAUCUUAUAAGAUCAAGUUGUGUUUUGUUAUUUUCUUCGUUUAUCAAGCUUCUCGACCAAGCCCAUGCCGGCUCGAGUUGCAAGAUAGGCUAAGAGAAUUGGGCGUCCCCAUAAGUCGAGGAGAUUCUCUCCACCCGACAACACGACACGCACGACACACACGAUAACAUGUUAUGCACACGAAAACAAGUAUAUUUUAGUCGACGAGAUUCCCUCAAAUCGACUUUGAAAAUCAAGUUAAUGCAAGUAAAGUUCAAUUAAAGGAGAGCGAGUGCGAUAAAGUACACACUCGUCUCAUCAAGUGAUAUUCACGUAUGUAAGCAAGUAAAUCAAGUAAACGCGACAAGUCAUGCACUUGACACUCACCAAUUCAAAAGUAAUUGAGCGAGUAAAAUCUUUAGUUGUCCCCUCCGAGAUUCUCUUCAAGAUUUGCUUGAGUACCUGAAACAAUUAAUAAGCAUUUUUCACUCAUAAUCAUGCAUUAAUCAAGAAAGGAGUUACACUCAUCUAGACUAGUUAAUACCUCAAAUCGAGAACCUUAGCCGCUCAAAAUAAAGGUUCAAAAGUGAGAAUUUAUUAACACAAGAAAAACUGAUUUCCUUCAUGAAAUCGAGUUUAAAGCGACCAAUUAUCAUCAAGAAAGAAUAACGAGUUUUCAAAAUUUCAUUUUCUAAGAAAUCGGCAAAUUUCGGCUUUGCGCGUCAAACUUAGAAAAAUCAGAUCUUGCCCUCAAUAGGUCCAAAAUUGGAAAACAUGGUACCGUUGGAAAUUACUUCCGAAGUACUAAAAGUUCCUAGAAGACACUUUUCCAUGUUUCAAAUUGGAAGACAUUCGAAUUUUGGCUUCAAGUUGCUGUUUUGGAAUACCAAGACAGAUUUGGAUUGAUUUUCGGCAAAGUUUGGAAAUUUGGUAUAAUUCAUACAAUACGAACUAGCCUCUGAAAUUCGGAACUCGAUCAGAGUUACAUUCAAAGUUUACAACACAAUAAGAGGAAAAAGAAUUGGAGUUCUGAGCACCAAGAUAUGGUGGCUCAAAGUUGCUGAAAAAUGAGACCAUUGGGCCAAUUUUCCAGAAUUAAAUCGCUAACUUUGGAACGUUGGUUGAACAUUGAAAUGGACUCAGAAUGGCACCAAAUUUGGUAGUAUUAUCCUACCAUAUAAGGGAUAUUCCUCUACCAAAUUUUAUAGGAAAAUUCAUUCGGGAAGUUGGUUAACAAAACCACCACAGUUUCCCAAGAAGUUCCAUGGCAAAUCUGCCUCGGACUUCCGUUUUUCCGUUUUCAAGCAUUUGGCCAAGGAAAUUUCCUCUAACAUGGUUCAUUUGUGUAGACAAGGUCUAAUAACAUUCCAAGAUAGGUUUGGUAGGUGAUUAACACCAAGAAUCUCGAAUUAACAAGUCCCAAUCAAGUUUAGUAACAAUUCUGCCCAAAAGGAGGGUUUUCCUUCAAGAAGUCAGUUUCGAAAUAUGGUCACAAAUCACUCAAUUCAACUCGGAAUUGGGCAUGGUUGGUGGCAUUGGAAAACAAAUUCAUAAAGUUACAAUUUCUCAGAAGAAAUCAUUUUUUCAAAUCUGUCCACAACUAGUCCACAUUGGAGCCUCAAGUUGUAAUUCAUGUUCUGCCUUCCAGGGAACUAAUGAAACAGGGCAGCCAAGUUCAAACGGUUGGUACGGAUUACUCAUGUGGAAUCAGGAUGUGCAUUUUAUACCGUUGGAAAGGUGGGAAUGUUUAGUUUCCAGUGCCACAAACGACGCUCAAUUUUGACAUCGGAGUAAAAAGUUAUGGCAGAAAGAAAAGGACUGCGUGGGCAAUCCGGGAAAAUUUUCCAGUUUUGCUAAACCUUUGAAAUCACUACGAUUGACCAACAAACUCAUGUUAUUUUUUAAUGAAACUUUCUACACCAUUCAUAUAACAUGUAUACAUCCCAAACAAGUAAUUAGAACCUCAAAAUUUUGCCCCAAAGUGCACGAACAUGGCAGGGAUAAAAUGGUCACUUUUGUUCAUUGCACCUUCCUUGAAUUUCUACCAACAACCCAACAUUAUUCCACUAAUUUAAGCACUAAACCAACAUUAAUAGCAUCAUCAUUCAUCAAAUCAGUCCAUCAACAAUUUUUUCAACAUAAACAAGCUACCCACAUGAUUAAAUGAACUUAUAAGUGUAAUAGAACUUCCAUAAACCAAGAUUUGAAGGCUUGAUCGUUGCUUACUUGUUUAGAUGAACCAAACAGAAAUUUCAGUCCAAAGAUGCUCAAGAAAAACCGUGGAAAGCAGCCCAUUUUUCCUAGCUUGAUGCACUCUCCAAGUGAUUAACUAAGUGUAGGUGAAAUUUGAGGUGAAUUGGAGGAAGUUUGAUGAAGAUUUGAUGAAGGAAUUUGAAGAGCUUGGAGUUAUUUUUCUUGUCUUGAUGCACGGCUGGAACAAGGAAGAAGAAGAGAGGCGUUGCUGAUGAAGAAGCUUCCUUGUGAAGCUUAUAAAUUUGUGGACAAGAAUUGCUCCAAAAGUCAACUAAACGCGCGCGAUUCCUCUCGAGUUUGUUUCACUUGUGCACUAAACCUCUAAUGCACUUGUAUUCAUACUAUUAUUAUUCACUCUUAAUGCUCUAAAAAUAAAAGUCUAAAGUCCCUUAAUUAAUCGCGCGCGUGAAAACGCGUACUUCCGAUUUGUGCGCGAUAAAAUGAAUUUUCCAAGAAAUUCUUAUAACGAUAGUAUAACUAACUAUCACUUGAGCACUUAAACAUAAAAAUACCUAUUUCAAGGCUAACGUACAAGUCUCCAAUUUUUCAAAUUCAUUGUACUCUCAAAUCGGCUAUAGUCUCCAGACACGUAUUUACUAUUCUCACUUAACGAGUUUUCAAAAUAAUAACUUUUGGAAUCAAGUCAUUUUUAAAAUACAUGUGAGCCAUAAUUCCAUGUAUUUGAGCAAUAAAAUGUUGAAAUAAAAUAUUCGGAGAAAACGUGUGAGUAAAUAAUUAAUUAAGCCAGUAAAAUAAAAUAAAAUAAGAAAAUUUCGGAUCCUCACAACCUCCCCCCCUUAAAAGAAUUUCGUCCUCGAAAUUCACACUUACGAUAAUAUCGUACCCCUUAUUUGCCAGGUCCACUAGAUCUACCAAAAUUCACAGUUUCUAUAAUUUGCACUAACAAUUAAGCACUGAUUUCUUCAUGGGAAUCCUACCCUCCAAACUAUAGGGCAGCAAUCACACUUUACUUGUAUCACUCACGAAAAUAGGGUUUUCAUAAGAAUAGUCAACUCCAAGGUCAAUUAAAGGUCUAGUUAAAUAAUUCCAUCUGGUGGUUCGAAACUCGAAUAGGAAGAUAUAUUUUCGAUAGAAAACUAACUUUACCAAAAUCUUCGAUUCAAUUUGUCCAAAAAUCAUUUACUGGCAUUCGAUCUCCAAAAUUAACAAUUUUAGAAAUAACCGAAUUUCUUUGGUCCCAAAUGACCACUCAAAUUUUUGUUCAAAUCAAGUCAUUCAUAAUAUGCGAGACAAAAACGAGGGUUUUUUUAUGUAUUUCGGAUAUGUAUGUGGCAAAAUACGAUUCACAAAUUCAAAAUUAAAGCUAAAAGAUACAAACCUUUCUUCAUGGUCUGAAACUAAGUUUUCUUAGUAAGAAACUUCAGGUAAUGUUUUUGCCACCGUCAUUAAUACAUAUUUCAAAUUCCUCAAAUACAUUUAAGAAGAUUAAUCAUACGACUCAAAGCAUGGGUAUUAAAGAGCGUAUAUAAUGAAAUAACAUAUAACUGAAGGAUGUUUCAAAAAUUUCAUCAAAGUUUCGAGUUAAGAAUUACGUUUGAAUAAACAUAUAUUCUAGAAAAUGCUUUUAAGAGAGAAAGUGUUGUUUUUUUUUGAAGUACAGUAGAUAAGUAAUGAGUUCAAAUCAUUCACAAAUAACCAACGAAAUACUUCGAAAGUUCAAACAUUCAUAAAAGGUUGAAACAUGUCCGUAGGACCAACCACAAGAUUCAGUAGAACAAUUAUUAAAAUAGCACAGGGGAGAACCUCUCUGGGUACCCAACUAGGUCAAUCUUUUAUAUCACUGGUAGGUCUAAUCUUCUCCUUCAUUUCUGAUUCAUAUCUAUCACUAAGAUCCCAUUAGAUUACAUAAGACCGGCCAUCAUUCUUUCUCAAGAGUGCGGGUUGCCUAAACCCACACCACAACCCAUUCAUUGUCCUUGCCGAGCCAUACUUAAUAUAAGUCUAUAGACGUAAGAAAAGGAGUAAUUAGGCAUAGAAGAACUUAAAGCAUAUACAAGUUACAAAUACAUUUAGAAUUAGAAGCAUGAUUCUUUACAUAUAUCAAAAGUCAUAAUAUGAAUCAAGAGGUCACAAACAAGCCAAGUAAAGUAUAUACCAAGUCAAAGUCAAUAAACAAAAAUGAACAAAUAAUUAUCAAAAGUGCAUCCAUCUCUAAGGCACAAACUCUUAAGUUCUACUCCUAUCAUCCCACUACGAAAGAUCACAAGUAGUGCUUCACUAGAUUAAUUGGAACUAAAUUAUCCCCAUUCCUUAACAUGUUCAAUUUUAACACCAACACAAGGAUCUUCUAGGCCACGAUCUUUUUCACCUCUCGCUCUUUAUUAUUGUGCCAUCUUAGCCAAACGAUUAUCGGUUUCUUGUAACUAUUCACGUGAAAUAUCGAUUCAAUCUUAUUCCCCGCAAAUGGAGAUUUCAAGUCCUUAGUAUUGUCCUCAAUGCUUGAGUACUCGGAUACAAGAAUCCGAAAUAAGAUAAUUCACAUCUCGAGUUGGCCAGUUCCCAAGAGUAAAUCAUCACAUUUGAGAUUCCUACCCAACAUACAUACCAAAUAUUUUUCCCAAAUAUCAAGACAAAGGGGUUUAUACCUAUCACAUUCAUGAUUCACAGCUUAUACUGGGAGGUACCUCUCGAAUCGUCUCAGACCUAUAAACUGAGCGAUAGUAAGUACCACACCGAUUUGGGUGGGAGGUGCCUCUCGAGUCGUCUCAGGAACAUAAAUGAAAUACGUAAAGUGCUAUGAAUUUAAUUAUCUACCCGGGUGACGGGGUGUCAUCACGAGAAGGUAUUGAAUUGAACUUGGGCAAAGUAAGCAAAGAUUUAGCUCUUGAGAGCUCCUCCAUCCUACUCAUAAAUUGUGAAUUUAUUGAAUGUUAUAGUUUUCACUAUUAUGUAAGUGUUAUUGCUAUUGAAUUACUUAUCUUGCAUGUUUUCGUGGCCUCACGGGUAUCCGCUCACCCCGUUAGAUUUAUUUUCCUUAACAGGAGAUGAAAUGGGAGGAAUUCUAGAGAAGCUUACUUGAUGCUUCAUUUGAUUAGAAUUGUGAAUGUAUUUAUUUAGAAUUUGAUUUUGGAAGCUGUAUAUUUUGGAAAUGUAAAGUAAUUAGGUAGAUUAUGAUGUAAGACUUGAACGUUUAUAAAGGAAUUGACCUUUCUUUAUCUCUUCGAUAUGUAGUAUCGAUUGGUUAUUAUUGAGUUUAAAUUGAAUUAGUACCGAGUCCUGGCGAGAGUUGGGCAGGCGUUCCGCCGAUACCCUUGGAUUCGCUCUUGGGAGAAGUGGGGGCGUCACAAAAUGGCUGUUGAUGUCUUCAUAAGAAAUGUAGCUCUCUAUCUUAGUUUCGAAACACCAUAAAAUGUAACCCAAUCCGAUAAACGUAACUUCAACUGUGACCAAAACGCCGAAAGAUUUCAAACCUGUUACAUAGUUAUUCUUCUUUAAUACUAGUUCCAACUUUGAUUUUGAUAGUUACAUUGCUAGAAUUGUCUUGUAUUGGGAUGACAUUGAGCCUAUUGAAGGGCUAUUGGGUUAAGAUUGUUUAUAUGUGAAUUUGGGCUGAGUUGAGGAAAAUAAUGAAGCCAUAAAUGUCUGGAAAGUAGCUAAAUGCAAAGGGCAUGCCGCCCAAAUUUCACUCGAGGGUUAAGCGUGUGUACUCGCGACUUGAGCGAAGAUUUGAGGUCGAAUUGAACUUGGAUUGUCUAUGGUAUUCGAAUCUUCUUUCGUAGAGGUAUAUAAGCUAAAAUUUGGGUGAAACUUGUACCCUUGAAAAAAUAAAAGUAGUGACCACUCGAAAUAUGCUUUUCUCGUCUUUUAGACUCAAAUGUAAGUUCCAAAGUUUUAGUUGCUUAUUUAGCAACACUAAACGAGCGAGUAUGAAUUUUCUAGAGUUUGAUACGUAACAUGAACUCUAUCUAAAUGAGUUUCAUUCACUUGAUCUUCUUGGAGCGAAAUUCUUAAGUUCGAACCCUAACUGAUUUCAAGCUUUUAAAUGAUAUUGUAUCGCAGAUUUAGAUUCCGACCAAGGAGUUACACCUGAACGUGAUUUUUGACAAGCACUAAAUCUUUGGUGAGUGCUUCCAAAUAUCUGAUUGAACUUGACACUUAUUUUCAAUACUUGACCAAUAUGAUCUAAUGAUAUUUGAUUGGUAUGGUCGGGCAAGGGUGUACUUUAUCGACACUUGCCCUAAUGUGAUAUGUACUUGUUUAUUGUUGCAAUCGACUUGAUAUACUUGUACUUGACUUGUAAGUGCUGAGCGGCAGUAUGUACCACACUCGAUCCGAGUGGGAGGUGCCUCUCAUUCCCGUCUCCGUACUUUUCUCUUGACUAAGUCGAUUGGUCAUCGACUAUAGUGACUAUUUGGGAACCCAAACCCCACUGGCUAGUUAAUCGAGUCGAGCCGGUAAGGGCUUGGUCGAUUAGAUAAUGAACCAUGGGUAUUUAGUGUUGUCGAGUGGAGUGUUAUCUCCUCGACUAACCGAUAUACUCGAGUAUUACCACAAGUGUUUAGUUAGUGUUCGGGCCCAGUAAGGGGGUUGAAUAUUGGACGAAUUGGUGUGAAGCGAAGCACUACUGGAUUGCUUACUUUACUUGAAGGUUGACGGAGUGUCAACUAAUACUUGAUCAAGCCCUAGUGAAGCAAUGCAAAAUUGACUCCUGAGAGCCAUCUGUAUCCUUAUACUUUGACAUGAGUAUUACUUAUCGAGUUAUUGCUUCUUUUGAAAAAUUUUACACUCGCUCAUUUUGAGAUUUGUUACUUGAAGUGUUAUUGCUCACUUUUAUGGACUGGUUAUACUCGCUACUUUGCUACUUUGAUACGUGAGCUUUUCAAUGAUGGUCAACUUGCUAUUUGGAACCUCACUGGACUUUUAGAUCAUUCCAUGCCAUUUUUUUUCCUUACAGGGGAUAUGAGCGAGGCGUGAGACUUGUACAGGCUGGCGUAGUCUAGUUUUUGGAUUUUGCAAUUGUACUCACACUAACACCCGACAAGGGUUGAUUGUACUUGGGUUGUAAAUAGUUUAACGUAUUUGGGUGUGUAUAAGCCUUGUAGUUGGAUUUUGUGACGCCCCUACUUCUUCCAAGGGCGUAUCCAAGGGUAUCGGCGGGGCGCCUGCCUAACUCUCGCCGGACUCAGGUCCAUUCAUACCUAAACUAACGAGCAAUUAAUGGCUAAAUGAGGCAAAUUAAAUAAAAUUCGUUUCCUUCAAUAUAUUCAAACUUACAACACAAGAAUCCGACAUAUACAUUCAGAUUUCCAAAAUACAAGUCCAUAACCAGCCCUUAAAUUUCAUUUCCAAAGUUCUAAAAUAUCACAAAACAAGUCGAUCUCUUCAAAACAUCUCUGAUCCAAAUUACUGUUAAGGAAAACAACUAAUGGGGUGACCAAUCGCUCAGUAAGGCCAAGAAAAAAAAUAAAAUAAAAUAAAACAUACGCAUGUAGUUCAAAUAACAUGAUCAAAUGAUCAAAAGUAAUUGUCAUGUAGUUUCAAGUAUCGGCAAGUACUCAUAAACACAAAUAAUUCAAGGAUACUAGAGCUCUCCGGAGCUCAUUUCCAGAUUAUUUGCCAUAGUCCCGAUCCACGAACCAGGGGUUGACACUCCAUCAACCGAAUAAAUAUCCAAUCUGUAGAUCUCCACUUACUUCCUUCCAUCCAUCAUUUCACCCUCUCGGAUCCGUAACCAACAGGCAUAUAAAGGCGAUACCAUACAAGUAUGCCAAGCAAGAUCUCGACACAUCAAGCUUUCGGUCCCAAGGUUUACCAAGUUUUCCCGACCAAGACCUCACGAUUGGCUGCGAGAUUAUGUGAUGUGAAACCCCGAUCUAGACAACCAAAACACCAUGGCUUAGGCAACGGAAAUUUGACCCAACUAAUCCCUAGAAGUCACGAACAAUUUUGAUAUUAUCUCAACCCGUAACUACUCGAAUUAACGAACCAAAUUGGAGGUAGUAGAACGCCACAAUCAAGGAGAUACUCGAUUGAUAAGUUCGGGUGAAUAACUUGAGAAGAUUCUCAAGUAUUCAAAGGAAACUCUCUUGCCAAAGAGAAAGUGAAAACUCACUAAUUGUAUUUAAUAGCCAAAAACUGAUCCCAAAACAAAGAGGAAGUGGGGCUAUUUAUAGCCCUUACAAGCAUUAACCCUAAUCCAAGAAUUGACCAAACUACCCUACAUACUUAAGGAAGAUUUUGGGUCUCACUUACUAAUAAAUGGGCCGCAAUUAAACUAGCUUAAUUACCUAGACUUUCUAAAGCGAGAAAUAACCAAAAUCAACGAGGAAAAUCAAAUAAUCCUACUAAACUCAAGUAUUCGUGCAAUCAACUGGUCUUUACUUGAAUCUUCCAAUUCUCCAUGUGCUUGAAUGGGCCUUGGUCUUUAUAUUCUCCUCAUUCCCCUCCUCUUAAAGGCGAUUUGUCCCCAAAUCAUGACUCUCUUACAAAACAAAAGUGAUGAGAGCAUGUGUAUAGUCACCAAGCAGCCUGCAUGUCGCCUUCUUAAGCGAAGAAUGAUCAUGACAUCCUUGUGUGGAACAAGGACAACUCGUGGUGGUGGUAGAUACAUGUUGCGGACAGCAAGAUUUCCAUGACAAUGGUCACACAAGCGACGUCUCAACCCUAUGGGUGGAUCUUGAGCGGACGCCCGGUGAACCAAGGUUUGGUUGGGCUGCGAGUUGUACGCAUCAAGACGUGCAAACACUGCAUCAAAGGCCAAUGUAACUCGACUAGUGUUGGUUGGAAUUACUUGACCAGCACUCUCUUCGCAGAUCUCUAUGGUUGCGGGUAUUGCACACUGCAAGAUGAAGGAUAUCUGACCACGAACAACCUGCACAAAUGAAAACACGUUAAACACCACCAAGGUGGAACGAUCCAGCUCCCAGUGCCCGAUGUUGUCCUCAGGCUUAGCGAGCAGGAUCAAUGUUCGCCCUUUCUUUUCCUUGCCUUCUAAUCGAUCCAACUCCCAUUCCCUCUGUAAAACAUUUUGGUCCUCUCGAACUUGUGUAGGUGAGAGUGGAACAAGUAUGAUCCUUAUCCCUUUAAAAUUAUGGGUCCUCACAUCCUCUCCCUCUUAAGAGAAUUUCAUCCUCGAAAUCCAUACCUUAACUCGAAAACUCCAGAUGUCUCUUUUGCAUCCCGCUCUUAUGAAUUGUAAAACUUAUUCCGCCUUAAAUAUCACGUGAGUCUUGUAUUCUUAAUCUGUUUACGACGAGCGAGAUAACAAUUCUUUCAUGCGGUUCACAGAUUCAAUUGCCUCAAGAAAUUUGUCAAUUCAAGAACAAAUGAUGUAAUAGCCUCUUUAAAUUUGUAUACGCAAUGAACUUUAAAUAUCUCGUAGAUCAAAUUCGAUAAGAUCUUAAUAGCACACAAGUUUUGUCCUACUAGACCUUUACCCUAGUAAUCUUUCAAAAUAGGUAGUAAAAGCCCUCAAGAAUCAAUAACUUCAAAAAUCAUAUCCGGUUCCGUAUACAUGUAUGCAAAUAUCGAGGUACUAAAUGAAACCUUAAAUUCAAUAAUAUCUUAUUGUAGUCCCCAAGUCAUUUAUGAGUAUUACCGCCAAUUUUUAACCCAAAUACGACUUAAAGACCCAAAUCCAUUAAUGCUACUGGUGUGUUCAUUACUCCCAAUGGCAUAAUUGAAUUUCAAAGUACUUACUGUUCUGAUGAACUAGCCUUAAUCAUAGCUUCCUCUAAAAUCCUCAAUUAGUUGUAGUCCUGUAUUAAAUCUAACUUGGAAAGUACUACGGUCUCUUGUAGAUACUCAAAUGAUUCAUUUAUGCAAGGUAAAAGAUAUUUAUUCCUAAUACCCACUUGAUUCCAGCCUCGAUAUUAUAGACAUGGCCUUCUCACAAGGCUAUAAGAGUAACAAAAUUUAAAUAUACGAAUAAGUCAUGAAAUUGAUUAAAUGCAAAGUAAACUUUCAUUUGCUAUAAAAGACCAUAAUAGUUUCAUCAAGUUAGGAUAAGUUUAUCAAAUCAUUUCAAAAGAAAAAGGAAAUAAACAAGAUUGUAGCAAAACAUGCUAAGUCAUCCCUUACACAAAAGAUUACAACCUUAAAAUGUCUCAGUCCAGGCUAGGUUAUAAUCAUAAUCCCUGUCUUUAAGCAAAGUCAGAUCCAUCUUCACUUGUAGAGCUUCUAAUACUUUGGUUCUUCUCAUAGCCAUUAGUAUUAACCACUCCCUCUAACACUCGACUGUCUUGCAGUAGACUUAACGAGCUGCUGAGGAGUUCCUCGGGCAGCUUAAAACUUUAUGCUCAGGACUCCCGCAUGGCAAGCAUUUUCCUUGUUUCCUCCAGCACAUAGUCUCAGUGUGAUUAAACUUGCUACAGUAUCUACAAGUUACUCUAGAAGUUAUGGCCCGACUAGCUUGAGAAUUCUCCUUUUUCUUUUCUUCUUUUCUCUCUGCUCCACAACAAAUUCAUGUUCACAUGUCUCUUUACAUUUCCCUCUUUCAUUAUGGAGUUUCCUUCACUACCCUUAACUUGGUUGCUAGAAAUAUACUGAGGUGAAACUUGAAUAGUGGAUUGCAUCCCCUCGGGCUUUUUCUGAAGUUCCUCCAAUACUCCUUCGUAUUUCUUUUUUGUUUCCAAGUUCUUGUUCCAUAAUUCCAUCUUCUCUACAAACUCUUGUUUGCAUUGUUCUUCCCAGAAUUCAACCAAUUUAGUUUGGAAUUCCAACUCCUUGCGAAGAACUUCUAUUUCUAUAUGCAUAUCUUCCAAACUUUUCAUUCAUCCAUUUGCUUAAUCCUGACUGUCAGCCUAUCAACAACUCAAAGCAUCUAAAUGAGUAGCAAAUCAAAAUUUGAAACUUAACUAUCACAACCUAUAAAUUUUCAUGCAUCUAAGUCAUCCAGGUAUAUUUACUCUUACCUCUCCACGAAUUUGAUACUUAAGAAAAUCCACACACACGAAUAAAGUAAUACCCUUUGAUAUAAUGAUAUGUACUUCCAUUCUAAGGUCUUAUUCACGUAUGUAGUGAAACCAUAAAUUACACGCCAUAUGAAACAAGUUUCAAACCCUAACUUAAAACUGUUAUGCACUAGUAGGACCAAAAUCCUUUUCCUCAAAAUUUUGUCUAAAUCAAACCAAUCAUGACUUACAAGAUAAAGUCAAGACUUUUGAUGUAUUUUGAAUGUAUCUGUGCCAAAAUGCGAUUCAAAAUUUUCAAAAUUAGAGUUAAACAUACAAAUUUUCUUCAUGACCCAAAACUAAAUUUUCUUAGUAAGAAAUUUCAAAUAAUGUUUAACCACAAUCAUCAAUACAUAUUUCAAAUCUCUCAAAUAGAUUUAAGAAGAUUAAUCAUGCAACUUAAUGCAUGAAUUUUAAAACAUAUACAUAAUAAUCAUAACAUAUGCAUGGAGGGUGUUCCAACACUUUUCCUCAAAGUUUCGAGUUAAAUCUAUGUUCGGGUAAAGCGUAUGUCUUAGAAAAUACCUUUAAGAAAGAUAGGUAAACAUGUAGGUUCAUAUUCGCAUAACUUGUGAUCCAACACCUUUACCAACCUUUUAUAUCCAAACCAAGAGCUAACUCUACUAGUACAUAAAGCCCGAUCAUUUCUAAUCUCUGAUUCAUAACAAAUAGGCAUUCAUGUUCCUAAGAAAAGAUUCGAACUUGAGCUCUAUCUGAUUUCGAUUCUCAAACGAGUUCAAAAUGUGUAUACAUAUAUAUAUAUAUAUAUAUAUAAAUUUUGUGAAAAAGUAAAACAAGUGAAUCUGGGUAUAGUAAUAGUCAAGUAAAAUUGAAAGCGCUUUUGUUCAAGUAGAACAAAUAGGUAAUGAGUUUAAGUCAUCUCACCAAACCAACGAAAUACUUUUGGAGUUCAAACUUUCACAAAAGUUGAAAUAUGGCCACAGAACCAAUCAUAAUAUACGUAUAAAGCAACUAUUAAAAUUUUGCAUAGGAAAAUCUCACUAAGUUCCCAACUAGGUUAAUCCAUUAUACACUGGUAUAUCUAAUCUUCUGGUUUAUUCUCGAUUCAUAUUCAGUACUAGGGUCUCAUUAAAUUAUAUAAGACUGUCCAUCAAUUUUUCUCACGAGUACGGGGUUGUCUAAGCCCUCGGCCACGACCCCUUUUUCCCAUUCCUGCUGCCAUACUUAAUAGAAGUCUAUAAGCGCAAGAAAAGGAAUAAUUAAGCAUAAAAGAACUUAAUGCAUAUACAAGUUGCAAAAAUAUUUAGAAUCAAGACAUGAUUCUUUACAUGUAUCAAAAGUUAUAGCACGAGUUAAGAAGUCACAAAACAAGCCCAAUAUGUCAAAUACUGUAUAUAGGCAAUGAAGUGCCGCAAAAUGUAGAAGUAUAUGCAAGCAGGAUACAAAAGGCCUCACGGCGUGCAUCACCCUCCCUAAGUCCUUAGUUAAACCAAAGGGUCAAAAUAUCACUAAUUUCAAUCAGAUCACAUGCCUUUACGAAAUUAGAUCCAAUCAAACCAUAACACAAGCUGAAACCAAAGGUUAUCCAUUCGAAGUUCAAAAUCUUUAAUAAGCAAGCCACCAGCCAGAGCACCAUCAUCUCCAAGAAUAACCAGUCUUAGGGUUUUAUAGUUAAAGCUUCAAGCUCCAAGUUCAAACCCAAGAAAUAAGUACAACUUGCUAACUUACGUGUCAAAUGGAAACCAAGUCAAUUCACACUAACUUCGUGCUCUUGAAUGCAGUUACUCUAUAUCUCAAAGUUCCCUCAGUCCGUACACCUAAAGAUAGACUCACUCUUCUUGAAAACCAAGAAUUUUAAAACAUAAGAAGAGUAUUUAAAGUAACAAAAAUCUUAUCAAGUUCAAGAUUUACAUUAUAAAAACAUAAGUUCGCCAUUCUUUCGAAAACUCAAGAUUUUUUUUUUGUGUAAAGUAUAGACAAAUUCAAGUGUGAGAAUACACCAAUAUACAAUCAAGGGGGAAAAACCUAGUUUAGAAAAUUUUAACCUUGUAUCAGCCCAUCAUAUACAAAAUUCAACAAACUCAUCAGUUAUUCACAAAAUUUCAAAUUGAAAUUCAAGUAAAAUUCACAUAUUUACCAAAAUCGAAAAUUUAUACAUACUUAAAGCAUAUAUAUAUUAUUUCCAAUCAUCGUUUGAAAAUAAAACUAGUACAUCCUCAUUUUUCUUUAGAAUUUCAAAGCAGAAAUUCUCUAGGAGGUAAAUGGGCGGGAAAAUGCAUUUUAUUCCUUUGAAACUCUUUUAUCUUGGUUCAGAAUCACCAUACAUGGAGUUUGACCAUCAAAUCUCGUCUCUUAUCCUCUUUAACCAGUACUAAUAAUUGCCUCACUUCUUUCCACACUUACAAGUAUAAUAAUAAUUCAAAUUCGUCCAAUCUUUCAUUACUAAUCUCUCAUCCCAUAUUUUUCAUCAAUAUAACAUCACCUAAUUCCUCAAUUUUUAUUUCUACAAGUCCCAAGUAAGAAACUCUCAAAUAACCAAUUUCUUUAACCCCUAGGAUACAACAGAUUCUCCAGUUCACAUAAUAUUCAAAUUAAUCCCACAGUCAGGCAUUCUAAAUUUUAAGCCUAGGAUACACUACAAGAUCUAGAGCCUAUGCCCUGAUACCAACUGUGAUGCCCCUAUUUCUCCCAAGGGCGUACCCAAGGGUAUCGGCGAGGCGCCUGCCUAACUCUCGCCAGGACUCAGGUCCAUUCAUACCUAAACUAACGAGCAAUUAAUGGCUAAAUGAGGCAAAUUAAAUAAAAUUCGUUUCCUUCAAUAUAUUCAAACUUACAACACAAGAAUCCGACAUAUACAUUCAGAUUUCCAAAAUACAAGUCCAUAAGCAGCCCUUAAAUUUCAUUUUCAAAGUUCUAAAAUAUCAAAAAACAAGUCGAUCUCUUCAAAACAUCUCCGAUCCAGAUUCCUGUUAAGGAAAACAACUAAUGGGGUGAGCAAUAGCUUAGUGAGGCCAAAAAAUAAAAUAAAAUAAAAUAAAACAUACGCACGUAGUUCAAGUAACUGUUGAGUUUUAGGGACACUACGCAGCGGAAAAAUAAAAUUUUUCCCUAAAACCAUCCAGGAAUCACCCUAGAUUUUACUUAUGAUAUACUAAAAGUAGAGUUUUAGGAUUACCUUAAUCCAAGCGGCGUCUCCCUGCAGCGUUGUUUGAGGAUGGUCAACCCUUGAGCAGUCCAGUCGUCCUGCCUCUACUGAUGAUAUCCACGCUGGAGCAACCCUGGGUCGUCUCACGAACUAUGUAUUGAAGAGCCAGAAAAAGUUGCUAGCCCUUCUUGCUCUUAUUCGAAAAUAUGUGACGCUCACAGAUUUUCCCUUUUGCCUUUUUUUUGUUACCUUCACCCUCUCAACCCCCUCCUCUAUCUCCCCCUUAGGAGUUAAAAGGAGAAAGAGAGAUAAUAAGAUAGAAUGAUGAGUCUUUCUGUUUGAUUCAAAAUCAAACGAUAAGACUUCUCAUCACACAAGACUCUAUCAAUCAGUUAUCUGACAUAUAAGAGAUAAUCGUUCAUUCUUAUUUACUCAAAUAGGCCUGGGAUUUAUUUUCUUUUAAAAUUAAACCCCGAUAAUUUACAUAGUUUUAAUCCAGGAUUAAAUCUCUAUUGCGUGUGACCCAAUAGGUCCCGAAUAAAUUGGUAAUAAUUAUGGCUUAAUAAUUAGAUAAAAUAAAUGACUUUAUUUUAUCAUAACUUAUAAUAAAUAAUUAAUCCAUAAUUAUAGAUCACGAGCGGUGUCUAGCAACACAUCGCAACCGCCCAAUUACUCGGAAUUAGUCAAGGGAAUUUGACCUAACCUUUCCGUGAAAAAUUACCGUGUAAUUAUUAUCCUUUCACCAAAGAUAUCCAAUUAGUCAGGAAUAAGGAAUAAGUGCCAAUUCCCUGAUGACUAAUUAAGUUUUCUAGUUCCCGAAAUUUACCCUGAAUUAGGUUAAAUUGAAGACAUUCUUCAAUUUACCUAAUAGUCGACUUUAGGGCCAAUUUCCCACUAGUGGCCAUUCGGAUAUCAACUCCUUCUAUCAGAGUGGUAAAUCCUAUCUCGAUCACCCAUUCUCUUUACAUGUUUCACACUACAUCCAACUUCUAUACUUUAAGGCACUCACGAAGAGUAACAAGUAAUUAGAGUCAAAAUGUAGCGAUUCACACUCAAGAUACUAUGGUGAUCUCAAGUCGUAGGAUCACUUACACAAUUAUUCACUAGAGAUACACCAUUGGCACUAGAUAGAUAUCCUAACGGGAUCUCUAAAUGGAUCAUUCCAAUGCACUUGUACUUUCCAAAUCAUCUACACAUUAGCCUAGGUAUCAUUAUACCAUAGUUGAUGAGAACAACCACUAAUUACAUUAAUUAGAGGCUAACUGUGUACUAGUUUUACCGUACUAAAGAUGUCCUAUUUCAGUAGUACUAUAACUAGGGAAUUUAAAGAAUAUUACUAUAAAUGCGAUUGAUAUCUCAUAGUCAUCAACUCUUGUGACUACCAUCACAUUAGUAAACAUUCUAAGGAUUUUAUCAGUUAUAUCUAAUAUUUAACAGAUAAAUAAGAAAUUAUUAAAAUACAAAACAUAUAAUUUAGGAAUGUAUAAAAUAAAAACAAAUACAUUGUUUUAGGGCAUACAUUCCAACAGUAACAUGAUCAAGUGAUAAAAAAUAAUUGUCAUGUAGUUUCAAGUAUUGGCAAGUACUCAUAAACACAAACAAUUCAAGGAUACGGGAGCUCUCCGGAGCUCAUUUCCAGAUUAUUUGCCAUAGUCCCGAUCCACGAACCAGCGGUUGACACUCCGUCAACCGAAUAAAUAUCCAAUCUAUAGACCUCCACUUACUUCCCUCCAUCCAUCAUUUCACCCUCUCGGAUCCGUAACCAAUAGGAAUGUAAAGGCGAUACCAUACAAGUAUGCCAAGCAAGAUCUCAAAACAUCAAACUUCCGGUCCCAAGGUUUGCCAAGUUUUCCCGACCAAGACCUCACGAUUGGCUGCAAGAUUACGAGGUUUAACCAUUGGGUUUGGGCAUCCCCACAGGUCAGGUUUUCAAAACAAAUCAAGUUUUAGUCGAUGAGAUUUUCUCUGCAUUCGACUUCAGGUCAUGUACAUGUAAAAUCCAGUAAUUUCAUGUAAUUCAUGUAGCAAGUCAUGUAUUGAUCCAAGUAAAGGAGAUGAAGUGCGGUAAAGUACACUCUUCUCUCAACAAGUAUAGUUCAUGCAACAACAAGUUCAAAUAGAGUUCAUGUAGGCAACAAAUCUCAAGUGAAGUGCAAGUAAACAUGCACUUGACACUCACCAAGUAUCAAAAGUCAAAGAUUGAGAAAUUAGCUCUAAGACGCUUCGCCGGGAGUUCCCUCGAAGUCCUCUUGAGAUUGAAAAUGGUUGGUGGUGUUAGAAACUUGGUUCACAAGGAUAUAUUUAUGUAGAAGAAAUCAUUUCCAAAAUCCAGACAUAAGCGAUUCAAAAUCAAGCAACAAAAUGGAUUUUCUGGACAGUCUCGGAUGAACAGUAAUAAACAGGCAGCCAACUUUCAAAACUCGCCACGAAUCGCUCGGGACGAACUAGAAAAUGAGCUUAGUACCAUUUUAAAGCUCUAAGAGUCUACUUUCAAAUGCCACAAAUGGCACUCAAUUUCGAUCAUUGAGAAAAACGUUAUGAUCUCCACAAGAUCACUGGUCAGAAAAUUUCUGGACCUAGUCCAGUUUUGCCUCUUUGCUCAUAACUCAAAAUUUAUCCAAUCAAAUUGGCUAAUUUAAAUUUUUUUUUUUAGACAACCACCACACACAUAACACAACAUAUAUCACUCACAUUUGUAGCCAAAUUAUACAUGAAAAUAUCAAAGCAAAACAGGGCAGCAAGUCCUUGAAAUUUCGGACAGCACCUUCUCCAAAUUUCUAACUUUCUUCCAACUUCAUUCCAUCAAUUAUUCUAUAUACAUGUAACAUAGCACAAUAUCAGCAACCACAACAUGUUAAUUCAUCAAAUCAGCCACCAAUAAGCAUCCUCAAGCCGUCCAGCAUGUCAUGAAAUUGCAAUAAAAUAAUUACUCAACCAAUCAACCAAAAUUCUGCCAUAGGUUGCAAACCCAUGCUACCUUUGCUCCAUUUGAGCUAUAAUUUUGCAAGAUUGAAGUGUGGGUGAGUGAGUUAUCUCAAGAACUUAGUUGAACAGCUUUAGGACAGAAAUUUUGACCUAAAUUCCUCCAAGAAAACCGAUGAACAGCCCCCUCUUCCAAGCUAGGAUCAAAGACCUCUAAUGGAUGAUGAAAUUUGGAAGUGGAUUGAAGUAAUUUUGUAAGGAUUUUGGCUAGAUUUUUCUUCCCUUUUUUUCUUCCUAUUUUUUGCCAAACAGAGAGAGUGAAGAGAGGAGAGAGAGUGCAAUCAGAUUUUGUAAUGAAAGUGGAGAGAAUUGGUGACUCAAUGGUUAAGUCUAAGUGUCAACUCAUGCUAGGUCCGUUUAGGGUCUUCGCGUGUCCAAUUUUCGCGCUCGUUUGCAACUUUUGUGCACUAAACCUCUGAGGUAAUUUCCCUAGUACAUUAAUAGUACAUUACUAGUAGUCUAAAAUUUGAGCAUUAAAAUAAUAUGCGCUUAAAGAACCAAUCGAUAAAAUUUAUUUUCGAGAAAUUCAUGUGCUUUAGUAAUUUUUUGGGUAACUCAAAUACGAAAUAUUUUUAAAAUGACCAAUUUAAUAAUAUUUUGAAAUAAUAAAAUUAUGGGUCCUCACAGAUUUGAGCAUCAAUGUAUAUGUUAAGUUUGAAAUUAUUGUUUCAUUUCUUUUCUAUGGUCGUGAUAUCUUUUCUCGAGUUAAGCGUGAGUGAGUCCUGGCGAGAGUUGGGCAGGUGGUCAGCUAAACCCUGGGGUAAGCCCUAGGGGGAGGUGGUGUCGUCACAGCUAGGUUUAGAGAUCUAUUUGGGAGAUGUUUUAGAGGCCUUACUCUUGAGAAUAGGAAUGAGAUAAUUUAGUCAUGCCGUAAGUUGACGUUUGAGCGAGUUAGUGACUUUAAGUGUCUAAUAUUGAGUUUUGUGGUUAUUUUGUAGGAAUGAAGAACGGUAAUGGAGGUCAUGCAGUUAACGGUAAUGAAGAGGCUAACGGUCAUGUGGAGACUCUUAGGCCUGUUUACUAUCGAGUACUUGGUGGAAGAUCUCGCAUUCGAUUCUCGCCUUCCUCUAGGUUUUCCCGUUGUCCUUGUAGUGAGACACAUGCCUACUCUAAUGAUCUUGUGCUGUCCAUUGAUGAUGAGCACCGAUAGUUGGUGGCUACUAAUGGAGCAUUACUUCAGGUGAUUAAGGACCUGAACGGUAUGGUGGAUGCCCAAGGUACUAGAAUCAUAGAGCUCGAGAGGACAGUGAUAGAUGAGCGGACUAGAGCCAAUGCCGCUAGUGACGAGUUCCAGAGGACUAGGGCUUACUGGCUAGGUAGUCGAGAAGAUCCGGGAUCGACCCGUUGGGAUCUUAGCUGACACCACCAUGUUGAUAGAGGAGGUGAUGGUCACCAUCGAGAGCCCGGUUCAAGAGGGCGCCCUUGAGGAGGAGCCUUUUGAGGAGGAUCCAGAGGAAGAGGUCCAGCCUGACGGUCCUGCUGAGAACUAGGUUAGGAUUGAUUAAUCUUUUGACUUUUGUAAUUGGGAUUAGUCAGGGUGGUACUAGUUCAAAAGCCAUUGUAUUUUUCUUAACUGUGUGGCCUAUCUUUUGAAACACUUGAAUCUUUAUUUGACGUGCUUGACUAAUUGUACUUUUGUGGCACAUGUGUACCAUGUUUUUGUAAAUGCCCCAUGAUUUGCUAAUUGUACGAACCUUGAAAUGUUAAUAUAUGCUAUUUAUUGUUAUUUCAAAUGCUUUUCUUAUUAACUUCUGUCUUUAAAUAUUUCCUCGCAUAAUUGUUUCUGUUCUUGCAUUUAGACAUAAUUAAGAUCAUGAACGGCUGAAGAAGUGGCAGGGGCCGAGAGCGUGGGGUCGGGCAACCCCAAGCUCAAGGGGAUGAUCAAAAGUCGGCUACUGGACCGAGCCAAGGACAAGUAAAUGAAGGAGAUAACCAAGUAGCUACGGCCAUCAAUCGUAUGACGGAUAUUUUAGAACGGUUAGCAGAGCGACAGGGUCCAGGACUUGUUAACCAAUCCGAGACUCAGGAUAGAAGGGAGGAUAGAGCCUUGGAAAGAUUUUUGAAAUUUGCUCCGCCUACGUUUAUUGGAGGACCUGAUCCCGAGUUAGUGGAGAAUUGGCUGGAACGAAUGACCAAUAUAUUCACUACCUUAGAUUAUACCGAUAAGAGGCGAGUGAACUUUGCUGUUUUUCAAUUUAAGGGGGCAACAUGUGCUUGGUGGGAUGUGAUAAGGGGAAAAUGGGAAAGAGCGCAGACCCCUUGGACCUGUGAAAACUUUAUAAGGGAGUUUGAAGAAAAAUUUCUCCCGCAUUUGAUUCAAGAGAAACGGGAGGACGAAUUCAUAAAGUUGAGAUAUAGGGCUUCUAGCGUGGCUGAUUAUGAGGAGCGAUUUACUAAUUUUUCUAAAUACGCUCUAGAAUUGGUGACUAAUGAACGGAGAAGGAUAAGGCACUUUGUACAAAGAUUUAAUGUAGAGAUUCAAGAAGGGUUAGUAGCAGCCCAAAUCACUACAUUCACUAAAGCCCUAGAGAAAGCGCAGAGAGUCGAAAGUGCAAGGCUGCAAGUUUAAGAUUUUCAUGCCAAGAAAAGAGGCGCUCCUAGUCAUCCUCCUGGACAAGUGGAUAAAGGUGCCUCACCUUCUAAAAAGGAAAAAAGAAGGGGAGGAGUGGAGAUAUGUAGUAAACCAAAAGGAACUCAAUCAAGAGGAGGCCACAAUGGACAAGGUCAAUUGAGAGGGACACCUCCAAGUGGUCAGGCUGUAGCUCCUCAAGUUGUUAGUGGUUAUUGUAGUAAGUCCAACCAUACAGAGAAUGAGUAUUGGAGGAAAUCGGAAAACUUUUUGUACUGUGGCAGUACCGAGCAUCAGCUCUCGAGAUGCCCAAGUGUGCUGAAGGGAGGAGGUAGUACUCAAAGGUCAGAGAAGUCAGCAUCUAAGCAGUCUAGUGCUAGAAAGAGUCGACCUAAGGUGCCGGCUAGAAUUUAUGCAUUAGAUUAUUGGUAGGUUUCCGAUUCCACUAAGGUCAUUGAAGGUAUGAUUCUUGUUUUCCAUCGCUUAGUUAAGGUUCAAGUGACACUGGUAUGACACACUCUUUUGCAAACCCUAGAUUAAUGAGUGGGGUAGACGUGAGAUCGAUUAAGUUACCCUAUGAUUCGGAAGUUAAAACGCUCUGGAGAUCAAAGUUUGAUUACUAAUUGGGUAAAUAGAAAUUGUGAGAUAUGGGUUGGAGAGUGUAAGUUGUUGAUCAAUUUGAUAAGCCUAACUAUUAAGAGGUAUGAUGUUAUCCUAGGUGUGAAUUUCAAGAACGAAAUUCUUUUAGCUAGGGAAGGAUGUGAGAACCCAAAUUUUACUUACUUUAAUUCUAUUUUAUUGGCUUAUUUAAUUAUUUAUUCACCUGUUUUCUCCGAAUAAUUUAUUUCAAUCAUUUUGAAUCCGUUUGCAUAGAACAAUGUCUCACUUAUAUUUUUAAAACGUUCCGCUAGCAAAAAUAAUUUUCUGCGAUUCGUUUAAUAAGGAAUAGCGAAUACACAUUUUUCAAGGCAAUAUUCGAUCCGAAGGUGCAAUAAUCUUGGAGAAUUAAGAAUGAUCAAUAGUAGACUAAGAAAAGUUAAUUGAGGGAUUAGAUGUGAGUGAGUUAAAUUAAGCUUUUAUCGCGUUCGCGUCGAAAGUUUCUCGUAAGUCAUGCCGGUACAACUAAGAGGUGAUUUGAGGAUUUGAUACUAGACUAGUAAGUAUGAAUAAUUACAGUGUUAGGGGAAUUACCUUGGAGAAUUAGUGUGUAAUUGUACCAAACAAUAGAGAAAGUGGAAGUACAAAACCCUAUUCCGCAUUAUUAAGAGUUGACUUUCUUACACACUUUAAUUUAGCUUCCUCAACACAUUUCUUCCACAAGAUUUAAAAAAAACCAAGAAACCCUCUCUCUCUCAUGAUUUUCGGCCGAAAUGUGACAGCCCCACCUCCCCCUAAGGCGAACCAGAGGGUUCGGCGGGCCGCCUGUCCAGCUCUCGCCGGGACUCAGUCGUUCACUACAAUUCUCAAAUGAAUUACAAUAUAAAUCUCAAAUAUUACAUCAAAUUCUCCACUAAUUACAUAACAUAAGCGAAGCGGAAACAAUUCCCAACUAUACAUAAAAUGAUUUCCAAAUCCAAACUGUACAAAACAUAGGCCAUCCAGUCACGUGCACAAGUACUACAAGUCCUUCCUUCGCCUUGAGCCCUGUGGAGGGGAAUAAAAUAUUUUUGGGGUGAGCUAGAAGCUCAGCGAGUAACCAGAAAAAUCAGUAAUCAAAUCGGUUUCACAAUAGUUCAUUUCAAUGAUGUCAUAAAUCAAAUGAUAAGUCCAAAAACAAUUUCAACAUUUACAAGACAUUAAAUAUGGAGUAUCAAUAAUUCAAGAAACAUGUACAAUGGAAAGCGAUAGUAACAUUCAUUAAAAGGAUACGGUCCACAUGGAGCUAUUCGUUUGUUCGUUCGUUCCCCUGACUUUUCCCUUUAUUCCUCCAAUUGUUUAAAAAUACAUUUUUGUAAGUAGAAUCCCUCAUUCAUCCUUUUGUUCGUUCAUCCCUUUUCCGGACGUUGACCGGAAUCCACCCAUCCGGACGUUGUCCGGACUCCACCCAUCCGGACGUAGCCGGACUACAAGGUAAUGCUCGAGUAUACCAAAUUCACCCAGGGUCACCAUAUCGCCCGACCGAGUCCGCUUCUGGCUCGAGUCGAUCGGUAACAAAGGGCAAUGGCCAGUUCAGCCAAAAGGCUUACAUUCAUGCACAAGUAACAUUUAAUCCUUAAUCAUUGAAAAUUUCACAUUUAUUUUAGGUCGAGUGCGAUAAAGUACACACUCGCCCAGAAAACUCGUUUUAACCAUCAUUGAAAGCACUUAACACAUUAUCAAUCCAUAAUAACAAGCCAAUAAGUCAAGGAAAUAUAUCAAACAAGGAACACUCUCAUAUAAGCACGCAUGAUAUGCAAGAAAACAGCUCAAAAGUAACUUUGGAAACAGUUCAAAAGUAAAUAUUGCAAGAAACGUUUCACAAGUACUUUGGAAAUAGUUUAGGGUCACUCACCUCCAUGGCUCAGAAACCAUCCAUCAUAUAGCAUUGCCUUGCUUAAAUCCAAGUCUUAAAUCACAAACUCAAUGCAAACAAAUCCCUUCAAAGUUCGGACAGCACUUCCCCUGAAUUUGCUAACUUUUCCAGCCAUCAUGGCUUCAUUAUUUUCUCAGCCAGUCCCAAAGGUACACACACAACAACAAGUUCAUCCAAUAGCCAUUCAGCAAGCUCCAAGUAGUACAAGUACAAGUCAAGCUAGGGAAAAGUCCGGAAAUGAAAGUUAAGCUCAAAACCAGAAAAACAGGUUUUGACGUCAUUUUGCGGUAAUGGCACCAAAGGUACUACGAUGGUCGGAUGAAGGUGAAAGAUACACCGUUUCGAAGCUAAGAGAUAGGGCUACAAUAUUGCAGGAGGUCACUCAACCCGGUAUCGAGUGUAACCAGGUCAAAAAUGCAAGAUGCUAUACCAGAAUCACAAAAACAGAUUCACAGAACGCAUUCUAGCGGAAACAUCAUAAAUCAGGCUAUCCAAGUCCGAAUCCAGAAAUUCCAAAACCAGCUAAAAGCUAAGAAACAUGGAUACAUUUCAUCAGAAGGCCUCAACAACCAAUUCGGAAGCAUUCCUAACCAAAACAAUCAAUUACAGGCGCAAUUCUUACAUUCGGGUAAAACCAGAACAGCAAUAGUAAUUUCGACUUUUCUCAUUCUACACUACUCCGAUUGACCUGAAAUUUUGUAGGCACCUCUAAAAUGUCAUUACCUACAACUUUCAUGUUUUAAUCUAAGGCCAAUUCGGCCUCUAUAUAUGAGCUAAAAAUUCGGACAGAAUGAAGAACAUUGAAACCUAGUUUUCCACUUUUCCUUCCAAAACAGAAAUUGAUUGUAAUUAAUCACUUUUUCCACCUCCUAGAGUCAUUAAACAUCAUUUCCAAUCAUCAUACAUGACCCCAUAAUCAAAAUCCCCAAAAAUUAUAAAACUUCACCAAUUCAACCAAAAUCAAGAUAUAAUCCAUAAAAGUGCAUCUUAUACCACCACCAAUCAUGAAUUGAACAUCAAUUAAGGGAGGAGAGUGGUUCUUCACAACUCACCUUAGCCAUACAAGAGAUAGAGCAACAAAUCACCUUAGCUUUCCAAACAACUCCACAAAACACCUCAAGACCACUUAGCAAAGAGAUUUUAUGGAAUGAUUUGGAGUUUUAUUGGUUGGAUUUGAAGAUUGAGCAAGAAAUAGAAGGAAGAAAUUGAGAGCUUUUCUUUCUUUCUUGAGCAAGAACAUUCGGCCAAGAAGCUUACAAAAUGAAGCUUAUUUUGAUCAAUUUUUUGUAUUUAUUUGGUAAAGGUAAAGGUAAAGUCAAAUGGUCAAAGUCCAAGAUUAAAUCACAAGGUGACACUUGUCACCUUUUGGUUCAGAACUUAUCUUUUUGUCUCUCCAAUACAAAUAUCUUAACACUUUGUAAAAUAAUAUCACUUAAUACAAAAUCCAACAAGUUGUCAAAAAUAUAUUGCGUUUACCGCACUUGCGGGUCCCACGUUCAAAAUACGCUCUUAAUUUCUCAAAAACUAACCGAUACUAGAAAAAUCAUUUUAAAACUAUUUUUGCUCAUAAACUUUAUUUGGAGAAUUUUUCUAAUAAAGAAAAUGUAGAAAAGGCGGGCGAUUAAAUAAAAUAAACCCUAGAAAAUUAGAAAAUUUUCGGGUUCUCACACUUAUAUUUUUCGGGGCGUCACACGAAACCCCAAGGAAGAAAAGGGAAGAAAGAAACUCCAUUCUUUGACUCCAAGUUUGCUCACUUUUCUUCAUCCAACUCACAAACCACUUGGAUUUCACUCUAUCUUGGAGAAAGAAGCCAUCUUGUGGAGAGUAUAUUGGUGAUAUUUUGGUGGAAAAAUCUUGUCUUCAUCUAGGGUUUAAAGGGUCAUCACUUUAUCUCUUUCAUCUUUUCAUUUAUACAAAGAUUGAUGGUUAGUUUUCAUGGGUUUGAAACCCUAAUGAUGUUUAUUGGCUAGCAGACUUGAGGAGACAUUUAUCUUGCCUUAAAUCCUAAGCUAGAUGUCUUGAGGAGGCCUUUAUGUAGUUUACUUGAGGCUAUAUUGCUUGAUUGUCGUUGUUUAUGUGAUGAAUGAGAUGAUUUUGGCUUGAAAAGAUGAGAGAAAGUUGGAAGAUACCGUGGGAGUGAGUUGGCCAAAUUUCUGUUCUAGUUGUCCUGCUUUUAAUUCAAAAUUUUGUUGCUUAUUUGGCUGUUAAAUUGAUUGAUAUAUGUUGUAUGAUGUGUGUAGAAUGUGCCUUUCGAAAAUCUUUUCAAAUGGUUACCUAAAACUUGAGUUUUGGAAAAGUUUGAAAUCUGGAAAUCCGCUAGCAGGGUAGCCAACCGGUGGUUCUUUAUCUAAACAUAACUCUUUGUACAAAAGUCAAAAUUGAGUGCCAUUUGUGGCAUUUGAAACUACAAAUUCAGAGCUUUCAAACGGUAUAAGAAUCCCCUGCUAGUUUCUUUUGAGUAAACUUUAGCGAAUCGGCAAAGAGGACUGACCUGUUUGGUCUGUCUAUCCGAGAGAAACUGGAAAGCUGCAUAUUGUGGCUUGAUUUUGCCCCACUUGUGAAAAGAUUUUGCAAAUAUUCCUUCUGAUGAAAUGUAUAAUUUUGAAUCUAGUUUCUAACGCCAUAAACCAUUCUCAAUUUGGACUUGUGUAGAGUCAGAUUUGGUCUAAUUUCCAAACUAUUUCAAAGCUGAUAACUGAAAAAUUUUCUCUUCCCUGCUGACCGAAUGGUCAAUUCUAUUUUGGGGUAUUUUAUUUCAAAAAUUUUAGUGUCAUUUACUCAUCAAUUGCUCAUUAAAUGUUCUGGAACAUUGGUUUCAAAAAUGGAGAGAAUUGGGGCUGAUUUCGUUGGACAAAACUUUUGGAAAAGAAAGAAAGAUAGGGUUGGUAGAUUAGCUUUGAAGAAUUUCACAAACUUUGGUCAUUUCGUUAACUACUUUCCCGUGGGUGUUUUUCCCUAAAUUUUGAUAGAAAGGUAGUUCACAUAUGGAAGUUUAAGUGUACCAAAUUUGGCAUAAUUUCAAUAUCAUUUCGAGGUGCAAAUAAUGCCCCAAAGAUUGCUCUUCAAAUCUAGAAAUCCACUGAUCAGGUUGCAAAAAUCAGCCGACUUCAAACUGUUAUAUCUUGUUGAUCAAAACUCCGAAUUUAGUUUCGCUUAUUGUGUUUGAAACUUGAUUUAGAAUCUUGUUGUGUAAUAAAUUUUGGAGGCUGAUUCACUUCCUGUGAAUUUUGCCAAAUUUCCAAACAUCGCUGAAAACCAAGACUGGUUCUGUCCUGUCUUCACGAGACUGUAACUUUGAACUGAAAUUUGAGUGCUUUCUGGUUGGAAUCUUGGAAAAGAAUCUUUUGGGAAGUUUUAGUGCUUUGAGUUAAUUUCCAACGGUAUAAAGUUUUCCAUUCUUGGACGUACCGAACUCAAGAUCUAAUUUUCCAAGUUUUAUCGCGCAAAGCUGAAAAUUUCCGAUUUCGUAGGAAACGAGUUUUUAAGAACUUUUCACUUUCUUUCGAUAUUGAUAGACCAUUUUAAACUUGAUUUCAUGGAUGAUACAAGUUUUCCCUUGUGACUUUAAAUCCUUACUUUUGAAUCUCGAUUUACGAGGGAUUAAAGCUCUUCUAAGACAUUGUCUUAAAUUUUAAGCGUGUGUACUUUCGUCGUUGAAUGCUAAGUGGUUGUGAGUAUAUGUGAGUGAUGGUUGAUCACUAUUUCUUCAGGCGCCCGAGAGGAUUUUGAAGAGAAUCUUGGAGCAGACAACUAAAGACUUCAUUUACUCACUUGUUUUGAAUUGGUGAGUGUCAAGUGCAUGAAUUGUUACUAAAUACUUGAAUCGUCCCUUCUUAAUUGAGUAUUUUGGAUUUGUUGAGUCGAGUGUAUACUUUAUCACACUCGUUCUCUUUUACUUGACUAAAUAAUCGAUUUGCUCAUACUUGAAAAUUAUACUUGUGUUUGACUCAAUGUCGAUUGAAGUGAAUCUCAUCGAUUAUUACACUUGUAAUCGUGGGGGAGACCCAAAAACUCAUUGCCUAACUUUGCGACUCGAGUCGGUACGGGCUUGGUCGAGAAGCUUAGUGUACCAUGAGAAAAUCGUAAAGUUUGAUCUUUUGAGAUCUUUCUUGCCAUACUCGAGUAGUAUUGUCUUUUCUAAUCGACGUUCGGGUCUGGUAGGGGGUGUAACGGUGGACGGAAACUUGACGUUAAGUGGAGUUCUACGGACUUGAUACCUAUCCGGUUGAAAGAGUGUCAUCACGUGGAGGUAUUAGAUCGAGUCUAGGCAAAGCAAGUGGAAUCUAGCUCCUGAGAGCUCCAGUAUCCUUAAUUGUUUCUGUUUAUUUUUCCUAUUUGAAAUAUUAAUUACUUGAAACUUCUAGCUUUACUAUUGUCUCGAUUUCUCUUUCAUGCUCUCUUAUACUUGCUCUAUUAUGUGUUUGCAUGCUUUUCUUGGCCUCACUGAGCGUUAGCUCACCCCAUUAGUUUGUUUUCCUUAAUAGGAGUUCGGAAUGGAAAGAUUUUGGAGAAACCGACUUGAUUACCUUUUGAGUAGAAUUUUGGAUGUAAUCGAUUAGUCGACUUAUGGUAGUUGUAUUUUUGGGGAAAGUUGAUGUACAUUUGGUAACUUGUGAUGUAAGAUUUGAAUGUUUAUUUAAGAAAGCGGACUUCUUUUGUAUCUAUUUUUAUUAUGUUUAAUUAUCCUUAAAUUUGAAUUGGAUUCGUAUCGAGUCUUGACGAGAGCUAGACAGGCGUUCCGCUGAUCUAUUUGGGAGAUGUUUUAGAGACCUUACUCUUGAUAAUAGGAAUGAGAUAACUUAGUCAUGCUGUAAGUUGAUAUUUGAGCGAGUUAGUGACAUUAAGUGUCUAACCUUGAGUUUUAUGGUUAUUUUGUAGGAAUGGAGAACGGUAAUGGAGGUCAUGCAGUUAACGGUAACGGAGAGUCUAACGGUCACGUGGAGCCUCUUAGGCCUAUCUGCUACCGAGUACUUGGUGGAGAACCUCGCGUUCGAUUCACGCUUUCCUAUAGGUUUUCCCGUUGUCCUUGUAGUGAGACACAUGCCUACCCUAAUGAUCUUGUGAUGUCCAUUGAUGAUGAGCACCGACAGUUGGUGGCUACUAAUGGGGGCAUUACUUCAGGCGAUUGAGGAACUGAACGCUAUGGUGGAUGCCCAAGGUGCUAGGAUCAUAGAGCUCGAGAGGACAGCGAUAGAUGAGCGGACUAGAGCCGAUGUCGCUAGUGACGAGUUUCAGAGGACUAGGGCUCGACUGGUUAGGGUAGUCGAGAAGGUCCGGGAUCGGCCCGCUGGGAUCUUAGAUGACACCACCAUAUUGACAGAGGAGGUGAUGGUCGCUGUCAAGAGCCCAGUUCAAGAGGGCACCCUUAAAGAGGAGCCUUUUGAGGAGGACCCAGAGGAGGAGAUCCCGCCUGACGGUCCUGCUGAGAACUAGGUUAGGAUUGAUUAAUCUUUUGACUUUUGUAAUUGGGAUUAGUUGGGGUGGUGCCAGUUCAAAAGUCAUUGUAUUUUGCUUAAUUGUGUGGCCUAUCUUUUGAAACACUUGAAUCAACUUUUGACGUGCUUGACUAAUUGUACUUUUGUGACACGUGUGUGCUAUGUUUUUGUAAAUGUCCCAAGACUAACUGAUUGUACGAAUCUUGAAAUGUUAAUAUAUGCUAGUUAUUGAUAUUUCAAAUGCUUUUCUUAUUAACUACUGUCUUUAAGUAUUUCCUCGUAUAAUUGUUUAUGUUCUUGCAUUUAAACAUAAUUAAGAUCAUGGACGGUCGAAAAAGCGGCAGGGGCCGAGAGCGUGGGGUCAGACAACCCCAAGCUCAAGGGGAUGAUCAAGGGUCGGCUACUGAACCGAGCCAAGGACAAGUAAACGAAGGAAAUAACCAAGUAGCUACGGCUAUCAAUCGUAUGACGGAUAUUUUAGAACGGUUAGCAGAGCGACAGGGUCCAGGACUUGUUAACCAACUCGGGACUCAGAAUAGAGGGGAGGAUAGAGCCUUGGAAAGAUUUUUGAAAUUUGCUCCACCUACGUUUAUUGGAGGACUUGAUCCCGAGUUAGCGGAGAAUUGGCUGGAACGAAUGACCAAUAUAUUCACUACCUUUGAUUAUACCGAUAAGAGGCGAGUGAACUUUGCUAUUUUUCAAUUUAAGGAGCAGCAUGUGCUUGGUGGGAUGUGAUAAGGGGAAAAUGGGAAAGAGCGCAGACCUCUUGGACCUGCGAAAACUUUAUAAGGGAGUUUAAUGAAAAGUUUCUCCUGCCUUUGAUUCAAGAGAAAUGGGAGGACGAAUUCAUAUAGUUGAGACUUGGGGCUUCUAGCGUGGCUGAUUAUGAGGAGCGAUUUACUAAGUUUUGAAAAUACGCUCCGGAAUUGGUGACUAAUGAACAGAGAAGGAUAAGGCACUUUGUACAAGGAUUUAAGAUGGAGAUUCAAGAGGGGUUAGCAGCAGCCCAAAUCUCUACGUUCACUAAAGUCCUAGAGAAAGUGCAGAGAGUCGAAAGUGCAAGACUGCAAGUUUAAGAUUUUCAUGCCAAGAAAAGGGGCACUCCUAGUCACCCUCCUAGACAAGGGGAUAAGGGUGCCCCACCUUCUAAAAUGGAAAAAGGAAUGGGACAAGUGGAGAUAUCUAGUACACCAAAAGGAACUCAAUCAAGAGGAGGCCACAAUGGACAAGGUCAAUCGAGAGGGACACCUCCAAGUGGUCAGGCUGUAGCUCCUUAAGUUGUUUGUGGUUAUUGUAGUAAGUCCAACUAUACAGAGAAUGAGUGCUGGAGGAAAUCGGAAAAGUGUUUAUACUGUGGCAGUACCGAGCAUCAGCUCUCAAGAUGCCCAAGUAUGCCGAAGGGAGGAGGUCGUACUCAAAGGUCAGAGAAGUCAACAUCUAAGCAGUCUAGUGCUGGAAGGAGUCGACCUAAGGUGCCGGCUAGGAUUUAUGCAUUAGAUUAUCAGCAGGUUUUCGAUUCCACUAAGGUCGUUGAAGGUAUGAUUCUUGUUUUCUAUCACUUAGUUAAGGUUCAAAUGACCCUGGUACGACACACUCUUUUGCAAACCCUAGAUUCAUGAGUGGGGUAGACGUGAGGCCGAUUAAAUUACCCUUUGACUCGGAAGUUAGAACGCUCUGGAGAUCAAAGUUUGAUUGCUAAUUGGGUGAAUAGAAAUUGUGAGAUAUGGAUUGGAGAGUAUAAGUUGUUGAUCGAUUUUAUAAGCCUAACUAUUAAGAGGUAUGAUGUUAUCCUAAGUGUGAAUUUUGAGGACGAAAGUCUUUUAAGUAGGGAAGGAUGUGAGGACCCGAAUUUUACUUACUUUAAUUCUAUUUUAUUGGCUUAUUUAAUUAUUUAUUCAUCCGUUUUCUCUGAAUAAUUUAUUUCAACCAUUUUGAAUCCGUUUGCAUGGAACAAUGUCUCACUUAUAUUUUUAAAAUGUCCCGCUAGCAAAAAUAAUUUUCUGCGAUUCGUUAAAUAAGGAAUAGCAAAUACACGUUUUUCAAGGCAAUAUUCGAUCCGAGAGUGAAAUAAUCUUAGAGAAUUAAGAAUGAUCAAUAGUAGACUAAGAAAAGUUAAUUGAGGGAUUAGAUGUGAGUGAGUUAAAUUAAGCUUUUAUCGCGUUCGUGUCGAAAGUUUCGCGUAAGUCAUGCCGGUACAACUAAGAGCUGAUUUGAGGAUUUGAUACUAAACUAGUAAGUAUGAAUAAUUACAGUGUUAGGGGAAUUACCUUGGAGAAUUAGUGUGUAAUUGUACCAAACAAGAGAGAAAGUGGUGGUACAAAACCCUAUUUCGCACUAUUAAGAGUUGACUUUCUUACACACUUUAAUUUAGCUUUCUCAACACAUUUCUUCCACAAGAUUUUAAAAAAACCAAGAAACCCUCUCUCUCUCAUGAUUUUCGGCCGAAACCCCAAGGAAGAAAAGGGAAGAAAGAAACUCCAUUCUUUGACUCCAAGUUUGCUCACUUUUCUUCAUCCAACUCACAAACCACUUGGAUUUCACUCUAUCUUGGAGAAAGAAGCCAUCUUGUGGAGAGUAUCUUGGUGAUAUUUUGGUGGAAAAAUCUUGUCUUCAUCUAGGGUUUAAAGGGUAAUCACUUUAUCUCUUUCAUCUUUUCAUUUAUACAAAGAUUGAUGGUUAGUUUUCAUGGGUUUGAAACCCUAAUGAUGUUUAUAGGCUAGAGGACUUGAGGAAACAUUUAUCUUGCUUUAAAUCCUAAGUUAGAUGUCUUGAGGAGGCCUUUAGGCAGUUGACUUGAGGCUAUAUUGCUUGAUUCUCGUUGUUUAUGUGAUGAAUGAGAUGAUUUUCGCUUGAAAAGAUGAGAGAAAGUUGGAAGAUACCAUGAGAGUGAGUUGGCCAAAUUUCUGUUCUAGUUGUCCUACUUUUAAUUUGAAAUUUUGGUACUUAUUUGGCUGUUAAAUUGAUUGAUAUAUAUUGUAUGAUGUGUGUAGAAUGUGCCUUUCAAAAAUCAUUUCAAAUGGUUACCUAAAACUUGAGUUUUGGAAAAGUUCGAUAUCUAGAAAUCCGCUAGCAGGGUAGCCAACCGGUGGUUCUUUGUUUGAACAUAACUCUUUGUACAAAAGUCGAAGUUGAGUGCCGUUUGCGACAUUCGAACUACACAUUCAUAGCUUUCAAAUGGUAUAAGAAUCCCCUGCCAGUUUCUUUUGAGUAAACCUUAGCGAAUUGGCAAAAAGGACUGACCUGUUUGGUCUGUCUGUCCGAGAGAAACUGGGAAGCUGUAUCUUGUGGUUUGAUUUUAUCCCACUUGUGAAAAUAUUUUGUGAAUGAUUCCUUCUGGUGAAAUGUAUAAUUUUGAAUCUAGUUUCUAACCCAUAAACCAUUCUCAAUUUGGACUUUUGUAGAGUCAGAUUUGGUUUGAUUUCCAAACUAUGUCAAAGCUGAUAACUUGAAAAUUUUCUCUUCCCUGCUGACCGAAUGGUCAAUUCUGUUUUGGGGUAUUUUAUUUCAAAAAUUUUAGUGUCAUUUACUCAUUAAUUGGUCAUUAAAUGUUCCAGAACCUUGGUUUCAAAAAUGGAGUGAAUUGGGGCUGAUUUCAUUGGACAAAACUUUUAGAAAGAAAGAUAGGGUUGGUAGAUUAGCUUUGAAGAAUUUCACAAACUUUGAUCGUUUUGCUAACUGCUUUCCCGUGGGUAUUUUUGCCUAAAUUUUGAUAGAGAGGUAGUCUGGAUAUGAAAGUUUAUGUGUACCAAAUUUGGCGUAAUUUCAAUAUCAUUUCAAGGCCCAAAUAGUGCCCCAAAGAUUGCUCUUCAAAUCUGAAAAUCCACUGAUCAGGUUGCAAAAAUAAGCCGACUUCAAACUGUUAUAUCUUGUUGCUCAAAAUUCCGAAUUUAGUUCGGCUUGUUGUGUUUGAAACUUGAUUUGGAACUCUUGUUGUGUUCUAAAUUUUAGAUGCUGAUUCACUUCCUGUGAAUUUUGCCAAAUUUUCAAACAUCGCUGAAAACCAAGACUGGUUCUGUCCUGUCUUCAUGAGACUGUAACUUUGAACUGAAAUUUGAAUGCUUUCUGGUUGGAAUCUUGGAAAAGAGUCUUCUGGGAAGUUUUAGUGCUUUGAGUCUAAUUUUCAAAGGUAUAAAUUUUUCCAUUCUUGGACGUACCGAACUCAAGAUCUAAUUUUCCAAGUUUUAUCGCGCAAAGCUGAAAAUUUCCAAUUUCAUAGGAAAAGAGUUUUUAAGAACUUUUCACUUUCUUUCGAUAUUGAUAGACCGUUUUAAACUUGAUUUCAUGGAUGAUACAAGUUUUUCCUUGUGACUUUAAAUUCUUACUUUUGAAUAUCGAUUUACGAGAGAUUAAAACUCUUCUAAGACAUUGUCUUAAAUUUUAAGCGAGUGUACUUUCGUCAUUGAAUGCUAAGUGGUUGUGAGUAUAUGUGAGUGAUGGUUGAUCACUAUUUCUUCAGGCGCUCGAGAGGAUUUUGAAGGGAAUCUCGGAGCGGACAACUAAAGACUUUAUUCACUCACUUGUUUUGAAUUGGUGAGUAUCAAGUGCAUGAAUUGUUGCUAAAUACUUGAAUCGUCCCUUCUUAAUUGAGUAUUUUGGAUUUGCUGAGUCGAGUGUGUAAUUUACCACACUCGUUCUCUUUUACUUGACUAAAUAAUCAAUUUGUUCAUACUUGAAAAUUAUACUUGUGUUUGACUCAAUGUCGAUUGGGGUGAACCUCAUCGACUAUUAUACUUGUAAUCGUGGGGGACACCCAAAAAUUCAUUGGCUAACUUUACGACUCGAGCCGACAUGUGCUUGGUCGAGAAGCUUAGUGAAACGUGCGAAAAUCGUAAAGGUUGAUCUUUUGAUAUCUUGUUUGGCAUACUGGAGUGGUAUUGCCUUUUCUAAUCGACCUUCGGACUUGGUAGGGGGUGUAACGAUGGACGAAAACUUGACCUUAAGUGGAGUUCUAUGGACUUGAUACCUACCCGGUUGACGGAGUGUCAUCACGUGGAGGUAUUGGAUCGAGUCUCGGCAAAACAAGUGGAAUCUAGCUCCUGAGAGCUCCGGUAUCCUUAAUUGUUCCUGUUUACUUUUUCUACUUUAAAUAUUAAUUACUUGAAACUUCUAGCUUUACUAUUAUCUCGAUUUCUCUUUUAUUCUCUCUUAUACUUGCUCUAUUAUGUGUUUGCAUGUUUUUCUUGGCAUCACCGAGCGUUAGCUCACCCCAUUAGUUUGUUUUCCUUAACUGGAGUUCGGAAUAGAAAGGUUUUGGAGAAGCUGACUUGAUUACCUUUUGAGUAGAAUUUUGGAUGUAAUCGAUUAGUCGACUUAUAGUGGUUGUAUUUUUGGAAAAAGUUGAUGUACAUUUGGUAACUUGUGAUGUAGGAUUUGAAUGUUUAUUUAAGGAAGCGAACUUCCUUUGUAUCUACUUUUAUUUUGGUUAAUUAUCUUUAAGUUUGAAUUGGAUUCGUAUCGAGUCCUGACGAGAGCUAGGCAAGCGUUCCGCGGAUACCCUUGGGUUCACCCUAGGGAGAAGUGGGGGCGUCACACUAAUGAAAUAUUUGAGAGGCACCAUGAAUUAUGAUUUCUUAUAUUGUGGGUUUUCCACCGUAUCAGAAGGGUACAAUGAUGCUAAUUGGAUCUCUAAUUCAAAUGAGACAAAAUUCACUAGCGGUUAUGUGUUUACCCUUGGGAGUGGUGUAGUAGCAUUGAAGUCAGCUAGGCAGACAAUCAUUGUUAGGUCAACUAUGAAAUCAGAGUUUAUAACUCUGGAAUUGACUAGUUCUGAAUCUGGUUGGUUAAGAAAUUUCUUAGUCAAUAUUACUCUAAUUAAGGUUUUGUUGCCUCCUAUGUCCAUACAUUGUGAUUGUCAAGUUGCAAUUGCUAUUGCUACAAGUAAAUCAUAUAAUUGUAAAAGUUGACACAUGAAAUUAAGGGCAGCUAUUUAGAGGUGGAAUAAUUUUCAUAAAUUUUGUGAAGUCAGAAUUGAAUUUGACCAAUCCUCUGACUAAACCUGUAGGAAGAAACUUAAUUCAUCAAACUACAAAGGAAAUGGGAUUGAAGCCAACAAGUUGUCAAUAGAAAAUGUAACCCAGCCUAUGUGAUUCGUAAUCCCAUGAAAUAGGUUCAUAUGGAUAAUAACAAGUCAAUAUUAACUGUAAAGCACUUCAAAUUUAAGUCCCUUCUGACAUAAAUGCUUUGACUGCUAGUAAUUGUGAAGUUGAGUUUAGAAACUCUUAAUGAAUUCAUAUCCCAUUAGGAAGGUGUAUUUAAAGCAGUAUACACUUGAUGAAUUCAUCUAUAUAAGAGUGGAGUGGGGCCGCUCCUAUAAGAUUAUGAAUAAUCAAGGAGGAACACGGCCUAAAAGCGUAAAAUUGUAUUGAACAACAAAUUGCGGGUUACAAUGUGAUUGAUAAAAUCUUUGUCAUACAUCAAGAGUUAUCAGUUCAUAAAAAUUCAUAUUUCACCAAUAAUUCUGUAAGUCAUGUUUUGUCAAUAUAAGUUAGUUCAUAGUUCAAAAGAUACCAAACUAAUUACAUUACACCCAAAUAAAUCCAACAAAUUUUUUUACCUCUGUCCAAAUUUUUUUGAAAUAGGAAGGAGAUUGUUGUAAAUAAUGAAGUAUUUCAAAAGAUUUUAUCUCUUUUCUUGAACUAAAAUUUAUUUUUUCAUUUAUUAGGAUUAAGUUUUAUCUCUUCACAACAAGAUAAUAUUUUACCUCUUAUUUCUUAACAGUCUCCUAAUAGAAUCGUUGCAUAAAAUUAGACACUUCAAUGUUCACAAUCACAAAAUCAGCGCAUGUUUUAUUUUAUUAUAGAAUUAUAUCUUAUCUUUUUCUCCAACGUAACUCUUUUCUAACACCUAUAAAUAUCAGGUGCACUUAUUUGGAAAGUACACUCUCACUGACAGCACCAGUUGAAUUUUCCUGGUAGCUCUCUUCUCCUCCUUCUCUCCAUUUUCUUUUCUCCUCUCUGCUGAUACAAUAUUUGGUGGUUCUAUUCCUUCUUAAAAAGAAGAAGGUUUGUUUAAUCCUGAGAAAAUAUUUUAAAUUUUUGAAAUAAUUUCUUAGGACAAUGCUAUUUACCACAACUCAAUUUUUAUUUUUAUUAGUUUUAGUUAACAUUGUUUUGGCUAUUUUUUCAACAGUUUGCCAAACACAAAAGUUGUGUUUGUAUAGUUUUUAGCUAAUGAGAUCAUGAAAUAAGAAAUGCCAAAGGCAAUUGAUCUGAGAAUAUGAAAUUGUGGAGAUAUAUAGGGGGUGGACAUCAUAGGCAUAGCAAGUAACAAGUGAGUAGCUUCCACAUCUCCUAAGAUGAAGAUGGAUGGAGGGGAAUAGGAUUUGAAUGGCGAUGGAUGGCUAGACAGAUUCCUGUAGUUGACAGUUUCACAUGGCCAUAUAGACUAGACUUUGAUGGAUUAUUAUUCUCCUUCACGAAUUACAUACAAGGCCAUGCAGGCAAGGCCGGAAAUUCCUUUUGAAAUUGACAUUGUCUAACAUAUUGAGACCCCACUUCGUUAGUGUAUUUCCUUGAUAUUUAGGUGACUUAUAUAAUCUUUCCGAUUGAUUUGACCCAAAAAUGAAAAAAACAAAAUAAUACCUCGAUAUUGCUAAAAUUUAGAAAUAGCAUUAAGAAUUUGUGUGAAAUAGUAAAAUGUCUAAAAAUCAUCUGGGAGUAAAGGAUCUAACUACUUCAUUUAAUUAUACAAAAGUUGGCUUCAGAACUUGAAUUUCAUUUUUCUGUGACAAAAUCUAUGAUGUCCAAUUAUUUUUAGUUGGCUUUGUUUAAUUACAUCUUGCUUCCGGGUGAUAAAUAUUCCAAUUAAUAGCAUGUAAAUGGACCAGUUCAUUUCGUGUUUCUUGUCUGUGUUAUAGUGGUUGUUUAUAUUUAACUUUUGGUGAAAACCAUCAUCUAUUAAACUCAAAAUUUAUAUGGCGAUUAUUAAGAAAUAAAUUAACAAUAAAAUUACAGAAAUGUACUUGGAUUUAUAUUGAUAAACUGGUAUUUGAAUCCUUAGAGAUUUUGGGGUAAUCUUCCAAGUCAACACGUAUUUACCAAUCCUUGAGAGAGCCCUUUCAUUUCUCUCUGGUAUCUUUUCUAAUGAUGGGAUAUUAGGAAAGAGUUAUUUUGUGGUACUAGAGAAUACGACAAUAAGAAUACAUGUGAUUUAGGAACCAUAACCUAUUUAUAGAUAACAUUUAUGUUACCUUUUAUAUUCCUAUUUCAACCUAUCAUAGAAAUGGAAAAUACCUUUAUAUCUCUACACAUUAAAGGCCCACACCCUAUUAGAUACAUUAAAUCCAAACCAUAUUUGAUCACUUUAAUUGAAUUUAAUCUUAUUUGACAGUUUGCAAUACAUAAUUAUUUACAUAUAAGUCCAACAUUAGAUUAAGGAUCCAACAAUUUUUCACUUGGACUAUAUGUGUAAUUUUAUAAUUAUGUUUUGCAAUUAAUCAUAUGAGCUCAACUUUAAUGUAUCUGUAAUCAAUUGGGUCCAUCAACCAUACCAACAUAGGAUCAAAGCAACCUUUGUUAUAAUUUCGUAACUCGAUCCAUCAAUGGUCAUAUAUAUUGAUAUAAUUGAAUGACAUGAAUCAUGAUGUAGAUGUGUAGCAUGGAAAUUUCAUGUAAUAUGAUCAUAACAUACCUAUUUCUAACUAGUCCACCUUAAACUUUCAUGAAAUCAAGCCAUACCAAAGUCAGAAUGUAAAUAAAUCCAAACUUUAUUAAUGCAUAAAAUAUCCUCAAAACAUUAAUAACCGAAAAAUAUCGUAAGAACAUUUAAAAUAAUAAACUCCCACUAAAAUUGUACAUCAUUUAAUAACAUGACACCCAUAUGAGCAAUAUGCUCAUGAAAUAUUUUGGGUAGCAAUCUCUUAGUAAACGAAUCCGCAACCAUGGACUUUGUCUCGAUAUGCUCUAUCGAUAACAGUCUACUUUGUACUCUUUGUUUAACAGUUAGGAUCUUGAUAUCUAUAUGUUUAGAUUUUGUUGAGCUCAUGUUGUUAUUGGAAUAUAAAACUGCUGACUUAUUGUUACAAAAUAAUUUAAGUGGUCUUUUAAUACUAUGCACUACAUGUAAUCAUGUGACAAAAUUUCGUAAUCAAAUUCUAUGGUUGGAUGCCUCAUAACAAAUUAUAAAUUUUGCAGUCAGAGUAAAAGAUGUUAUAAGAGACUGUUUAACACUCUUUCAAGAUAUGACACCUCCGACUAGUAAGUAGAUAUAGCCUGAUAUUGAUUUCAUACUAUUUUGGCAUCCAGCAUAAUCGAAAUUAGUAUACCCAAUGAUCUCGAUCUUAUCUGACUUCCGAUACGUGAGUAUGUAAUUUUUUAUUUUCUGUAAAUGCCGCAAGAUUAGAAAACAGAAAAAGGAAAUCGUUGGGUUAAACAAUCAUAUUGGAAUAGAAAUAAUUAGUAGGCCCAAUAGUCCUUAAUUAAAUAAACCCAUAAAUAAAAUCUAGACUAAUAAUGUGGGGUAUACAUGUUAUUAAAGAAUAAACCCAACAUAAAUUAGUUUUGGACCACUAAGGUUGGUCCAAUAAUAAUAAAAUAAAAAACACUUAAUAUAGAUCCAAGUCUUAUCAAUUAAACGGUAUUUAGUAAAUAAAGGAACAAAAAAUAUAAGUUUAAGUGAUCAUAACAAAGACGUAAUCAAUUAACAUAAUAAGAAUAAUAAAUUAAUUAAUUAAAAUAGAAGAAAUAAAUUAAUUCAAUGAUCAGCUAAUCAUUGGAAUAAAUAGAAAACAUUGAUUAAUUGAUUUAAUAAAUAAUUAAUUAAUACUAUAACUCAAAAAUAAUAAUUAACUAAUUAAACUAAGAAGUUAAUUAUUAAAGUAGUACUAAUGAUGAGAAAUAAUUAAUUUAAUUAAUUAAUCAUUAGGAUAAAAAAUAAAUAAAUAAAUAAAUAAAUAAUUUAAUUAAUUAAUUAUGGGAACAAAAUAGAAUAAAUGACUAAUUAAUUAAGCAUCAAAAUAGUGACGAUUGACAAAAAUUAAGAUAACGGUAAUUAGUGGUAAGUAAAGACAAGGUCAUGAAUAAUCACUUUAGAGAAGCUCGCAUACACUAAAAAUUCUCUAAAUUAGGAAACCUACUCAAAGAAAAAGGAACUUUCCAAAUCAAGAAACUUCCAAUUUAGGAAAGUUUUCAAAAUUUUACGUAGAAGAUCCAGACAUGAAUCCCAACAGAUUAAAAUGUCCAUACACUUGUUGUAGGUACAAAACAAGUCUAAGAAGCCUAAGUCUGUUUCAUUGAGUAGUCAGUUAAUGAUAGGUGGUACUUACCCUUCUGUGAUUUCAAAAGUUCAAAAUAAAAUAUUUAUUGCUAAUUCUAUUCUAAUGUGUCAAUUUGGAAUUUGCUUGAUUAAAUGAUUUACGUGGGGAGUUAUGCAAGUUCUAUUUUUGCUAUAUAAAGAUAGGCCAUGUAAUUAUUUGAAAUAUUUUGAUAUGUUAUUAUGUACAAAAGAAGUGGUAUCUUUUCUGAAAUCAAAGAACUAUGUAUAUGACGUGUGAAAUGAAUUUAUAUCAAAUAAAUCUCAAAACAGUCAUGGAAUUAAUGGUAGGGGUUAUAAUCCUGUCUAAUGGUCAUGAUAGUCUAGUAUACAGUCCGGUUGAUUGACAAGGUCAUAGUAAUUCAAUAUAGAGUCCGACCGAUUAACUUAUAUAUGUAAUAAGACCAAUCGAUAGUCGUGAAACCUAUUGGUCGCCUAGCUAGAAGGAAUUUGAUCUCUAAACUGAGUAUUUAAAAACCGGUCAUUGCAUGUACUUAUUAUGAACUAAUAUGAAAUGAUUUAUGACUAUAUGGCUUUCAUGUACGGUUAUGUACAUGAUAUUUACAAGUUGUUGUGCCACUCAUUAUUAUUGACUGUCUUACUAACAAUGUAUUUUCUAUAAUUAUGUAUGUGAGUUGUGUGCAAAUAAUUUGAUUAAUUAUAUAUGUAUAUGUAUGUGUAUGUAAGCUAUGGUUGUAUGGUUCAAUAGAAGGGUAGACACUACCUAUUGAGCGAUUUAUCACUCAACCCAUUUUUACCACUUUUGCAGAUUCUGAAGAGUAUGAGUUGAUUUACAUUGAAAAUCCUGAGGAUGAUUUUUAUUAGCUCUAAGUGGAAAGAAAUUAGCUAUCUAGCUGCUUUUGGCUAUUAGCUUUAUUUAAUACUUUUCACGUUGUUUCAUAUAGAAAAUAAAUACACCAACUUAUUGGAUAUUCGUAGAUUACCUUUCAUUUGAGAUUUGUACCGCACUAUAUUUAGUUAUUCUAUUCAGUACUUUCUAGAUUUUAUUCUAAUUCAAUGUUGUCUUUUAUUCUUGAGUGGGACUUGAGAAUAUGGCGGAUGUCGCGUGAUUGGCACGUGCAAAUUAGGGGCGUGACAUUUUUAAAUGUUAUCAAAGCCCAAGUUAUAUGAUCUAGAAGUAUGUGGAAUGAUGUUUAAGAUGUUAGUGAUUUGGGGAAUUAAAAUGAGAUGGAAAAAAAUCAGUGGAAGUAAGAGAUUUCAUUAAUAUUUAGUGGUAUCACAGUUUGGGUUGUGAGAGUUGGAAGUAGGUAUAAAUAUAUUGGACAUAUUAGUGAUUAAUGUGGUAGAAAAGAAAUGAUUAAGGAAAAUAAGACUCCCAUGACAUUUUUAAGUGGUAUCAGAGCCUAGGUUAGGAUUAAUGCUAUAAGGUAGCACAUGUUGAGAAAAUAAUCAGUAGCAGUUAGAAGAUUAGACUUGAAAAGGUCUGUGUACAUUAAGGAGGAUGAAAUCAUUACUAAUGCUGUUUCUUUUAAUCUUAUAGGAACUGACCGAACCAGUACAGUACACAGGGAGAAUCAGGAUUGCGACUAUCCAGUUCAUGGGACAGGAUGUGAUGUGACCUGCCUUAGGAAGAGGCUAAGGUUUUAUAGUAACUUGUAUCUCAAGGAGUUAGAGUGAGCCACAGAUAGCGCUAAGAUGGCUUAUGCGUUGGCUGAUCAAGUAGCCAAACGUGCGAGAUCUCCACAUUGAUAGUAUCGAGGGAGCACAUGAGGCAGAGUAAGGAAGUCCUGCGUCAGGAAGUUCUCCAUCUAUAGGGAGCAAGUCAAUAAGUUGAAAGCAGAAAAGGAGGAACCGAAGGGACUUGCCGAUAUGUAUUAUAAGGAAUUUGAAGAAGUGACUUCCUUACUUCAGAAUGGGGAUGCGGAGUACCAUACCUUAGUGGUGAAAUAUGAAGAGAGAAGGCAGCAUGUGAUAAAUUGGAUAGAUGAUCACCUACCACUCGCACACCCAGAUGCCUGGGUAGGACCACCUGUGGCCUGAUAGUGACGCCAAACUAAAUGGUGACUCGGAGAAGGAUUCUGAAGAAGAACCCUUAGAGAACAUGUCCAUAGAUGAUCACCGAAUAGACAAUGGAGUUGGGGGUCAAGAUGGCGCGGGGGUGUUGUAGGAGGCGGAGCAGUCGAUGAUGCAGACCCCCCAAUGGAUGAGCAUUAGAGUCGGUCUAGCAGAGACUUUUUAUGUUAUUGAGUAUUAUUCUAAGAAUAUUAGUACGUAGGUUUUGGCGAUUGUUUAUGUUGAUUAUUUCAUCUAUGAAUCGUAGGACAUGAUUAGAAAUUUCGAACACUAGAUUCGUUAGAAAUUUUUAGAAUAAGUUAGGAAGUUGAUUUCUUAUGUGUAAGUAGUUGGUUGUUUCUUUUAUCUUGAAUUGGUGAAUAAAAUUCCUUUACUUUAAAUUUUGUCUUAUGUGAUAGUGUGUGUAAAACAUACAAGCAAAUUACUUUAGUUGUCUCAUUUUAAAAAAAUAUAUAUUUAUAGAUAUAUAUAUAUACACAAUAAUAAAAUACUCACUUUAAUGUGGAACUUAUCUACUUGAUUUAGGAAAUGAUACCAAACACUAGGCAUAGCCGAAAUCAGAAUGGUAGUCCUCAUGGUGAGAACAACUAUGGUAUCUAUAACCAUAGUGUAAGACUUGUGAAGGAUGCAUCGAAGAGAAUGCCAACUUGGGACAGGAGCGUGUUUUGAAUAUGGACAAUAGGGGCAUAGAGCUAUGAAGGUAGGAGGAGAUAGGAGUGGUAACUCAAUUGAUAAUAAGUCAAAGGUUAAAACAAGGGUGAAUGCCAUGAUUGAUGUUAAGGCGGAGACGUCGGGCAACGUAGUCACAGGUACCCUUCUAAUCCAUUAUGUGCCUGCAUAUAUAUUAUUUGAUUGUGAAUCUAGUAACUCUUUUCUUGCUAAGAAAUUUGCAAAGUACUUGUAUAUUUCUCCUGAAUGGACGAACCACCCCUACCGAAUUGCUACUCCAAGAAAUAGAGUACUAGUAUCCAAUACUAAGUUUUCAAACUGUAAUAUGGAAUUGGAAGAUAAAAAAUUAGAAGUGGAUCUUGUGCAAAUAAAUAUGAGUGCUUUUGACGUCGUCCUACGAAUAGAUUAGUUAGUUAGACACUUUGCGCAGAUUGAUUGUAGGGGAAAGAGGGUGUUAUUCAUGAACCCAUACGAGGAGAGUUACUCUUAGCAAGGAAAUACUGAUGUUAGAAAAUUUUGUAAGUUACCACUUCUAUCUGCUAUAUAGGCUUAUACGGCAAUAUGAAAGGAUCUGAGGUAUAUUUGGCUUAUGUAGUAGAUACGAAAUAGGAGGAAACGCCUUUAGAAAAGAUCACGGUGGUGAAGAAUUUUUCUGACGUAUUUUCGGACGACCUUCCUAGUCUAUCUUCGGAUAGAAAAAUAGAGUUUGAGAUUAAUGUUGUUUUAGAAGCAACUCCUAUAUCUAAGGCACUCGAUAGAAUGGCGCCUGUAGAAUUAAAAGAAGUCAAGGAACAAUUACAGGAAUUAUUAGAUAAGAAGUUCAUUAGACCUAGUGUUUCUUCUUAGAGUGCACUAGUACUCUUUGUUAAGAAGAAAGAUGGUAGUCUGAGAUUGUGUAUUGAUUAUAGGAAAUUGAAUCGAAUCACAAUAAAGAACAAAUACUCCCUUCCUAAGAUAGAUGAUCUUUUUGUUCAAGUGAAAGGAGUUAAGGUAUUCUCUACGAUAGAUUUGAGCUCUAGAUACCAUCAAUUGAAGAUUAAAACCAAAGAUAUCCAGAAAAAUGCAUUUUGUACGAGGUACGGACACUUUGAGUUUUUAGUAAUACCUUUCGGAUUAACCAAUGCCCCAAUAGCCUUUAUGGAUUUGGUAAACAGGAUGUUCAAACUACAACUGGACCAUUUUGUUGUGUAUUCAUUAACGAUAUUCUAAUAUAUUCCCUACAUGAAGAAACUCAUGCUGCCCAUCUAAGGAAGUUCUAGAGAUACUCAGAAGAGAAAAAUCGUAUGCUAAAUUUAAUAAAUGUGAAUUUUGGUUGAAGAGCGUGGCAUUCUUAGGACAUGUGAUAUCAACUCUAGUGGUGUCGAUUGAUCCAAAGAAAGUUGAAACAAUCAUAGGUUGGCCACAGCCCACUAAUGUGACUAAAGUAAGAUGUUUCUUAGGAUUAGUUAGCUAUUAUUAGAAAUUUGCACAAGGAUUCUUCACCAUUGCCAUGCCUCUUACUAGUCGACGUAAAAGAGGGCAAAAUUUGAAUGAAUAGAUAAAUGUGAGAUGAGCUUUUAGAAGUUAAAGGAGAAACUAGUAUCAACCCCAGUACUUACCCUACCAUUUGGAACGAAAUGAUUUGUAAUGUAUAGUGAUGCCUUUAAAAAUGGUUUAGGAUGUUUUGAUACAAAAUGGGAGAGUAAUCACAUAUGCUUCUCGCCAAUUGAAACCUUAUGAGUAGAAUUAUCCAACGCAUGAUUUGGACUUGACGGCCAUACUUUUUGCCCUGAAAAUAUGGAUGCUUUACUUCUAUAGAAUGCAAUGUGAAAUUUUUACCGAUCAUAAAAGUCUCAAAUAUCUGUUUACUCAAAAGGAGUUGAAUAUAAGGCAGAGAAGGUGGUUAGAAUUAAUUAAGGAUUAUAAUUUGACAAUCACCUAUCACCUGUGCAAAGCAAAUAAGGUAGCAGAUGCCCUAAGUAGGAAGUCAAGGGCAUUAAAGAACUCACAGUGAAGGAACAAAUGGAGAAUUUUGAAUUAGAAAUGGUGGACUCCACUGUCAAGAUACUAGUUGUGCUAGUGGUGGCACCUACCUUGAUAGUUAGGAUUAAGGAAGCAUAAAAUUUGGAUGACGAGUUUGCUAAGGUCAAGGAAAAGGUUAGAGUUGAACCUUUUGAUGGGUUUGAAUUGAAGGAUGAUGGGAGUUUGUGAAAAAAAUGGUAGAUUAUGUGUGUUGAGAGAUGAAGGAUUGAAAUAGGAAUUACUAAAUGAGGCACACAAUUCGAGAUUCUUAAUUCACCUCGGUGGGACUAAAAUGUACCUAGACUUGAAAAGAAAUUAUUGGUGGAAUGGAAUGAAACGAGAAAUAACGAAAUAUGUCGCUAAGUGUUUGUUGUACCAACAAGUAAAGGUCGAGCACCAGAGACUUGCUGGUUUAUUACAACCCCUAGAAAUCCCACAAUAGAAGUGGGAACAUAUGACAAUGAAUUUUAUGGUAGGUUUGCCUCAAACAAUAAGAAAUAAUGAUAACAUUUGGGUUAUAAUCGAUCGGCUAACCAAGUUUGCCCACUUCCUACCAAUAUCAAAUGGAUUAACAAUGGAAAGGUUAGUAGAGAUGUGUAUGGAGAAAAUUGUGUGUGUUCACGGUGUCCUAGUGAAUAUAGUGUCAGAUCGGGCCCCUAAAUUCGCGUCUUUGGUCAACCUACCAAGAGGUUAUGGAAAAUGCACGUGCAAAAAUGAUUAAUAAAAUGUACUAGGAAAAUGCACGUGCUCCACACAUGUAUAGAAAAUGAUUAAUGAAAUGUACUAUGUUGAUCUUUUACAAUGAAAAUACAAUGAUAGUCAAUUUAAUUAUAAGCAAAAAAGGGGAAAAUUCAAGGAAUGAUUGAAUGCACAUGCUCCACAUGUCGUAUGACUUUGAGGGAACUAUUUAUGUUUGUUAUCCUGAUAUGAUAACAUCAAUUAGUUAUGUUGUAUGUACUUGCUGUCAUUAGGUUUUGUAUUUUUCUUGCAUUUCACUUUUAGCAUUUCCAUGAAUUCAAGCUUUCCUUUGUAGUUGUAGAAUAGUUGAUUUCUACUUAUAAAUUAUUUUUGUUUUUUCUAAUCUUGUAUGAAGGUUCACUCUUAUUUCCAAUAUGUGUUGUCAACUGCUACAAAUCUGAUCAAUUUAGAGCAUAAAGCUAGCUUUUGUGGAGAAGCUAACUCCAUCUAUUUGUGGAAGACCAUAGAAUGAUUACCUGAAAGUUCGCCUAAUCUUGAAGUGCUUGCUUUUGGUAAAAUGAGUUACUGUAACUCUUCUUAUUUUUAAUUCUUUUUUUAUAUAUUUCCCUAUGUAUAAUAGUGUUGAAAAGGGUAGGUAUUUUGGUAUGAAGACAGCAAAAGAUACGAGGAAUAGUGUCCUUUCACUGAGGCUGUUCCAAUAUCCUUCAUUCAAUGUCUUGGGAAACUAGAAAUCCAAAAUCUCUAUGACAACCGAGACUGUGAAUUCAAGUUUGUAGAAUGUCUUUUACAGAAUGGAAAAGAGAAGAUAACUCUUGGCAUGCUAUCGGAAGGUAUACAAAGGGAGAAAUGACAACCUUUCUUUGGUGAAUGUAAUUUACUAGAGGAGUGCCUGAAGUUAUAGUUAAUACUCUUAAUUGUGAAAUUAUGGCAAUAUUGCCUGUUCAAUUUCCCAGGUUAUAGUUGUUGGAAAUCAUGUAUUUUGACAGUAUGUAUAAGAAAAAAGGGAUUGUAUCUGGGGAAAUGUGCCUUCUUUUUGAACUCAAAUGUAGACGGAUAGUUUCCUGGUUUUGAUAGUUUGGAACAUAUCCAUGUCUGUGGAACCAAAAUCUAUUUUUAUACUAGGAAAAUGCAUACUACAAACUUGUCAAGCUAUAUUUGGUUGUAAAGAUUGUUUCACGCAUGCAUGAAACAGACAUGUAGAUACAUCCAUACAAAUACGCCAACACAUAACUCUCCAAAAAUAUUUAGAAGAAAGAAUGGAUUGUUUCCUGCUCUGGAAAUCAUCUUGUAAAUAAAUCUUAUCAAUCAUUCAAGAAGAAAGAUAAUUUGGGGUGGAGGAAAGAGAAAGGCAUGCAAGUUUGAAUACAGCGAAUCUCUAGUGUCCUCUUCAACUAAUUGACCAUGUUCUGUUCUUGAAAUGAAAACCUAAUUGAACUCUACAUUUAAAUUAACAGGACCAUUCAUGGGCAAGAAAAAGAUGGUAAAUUGAUGCAUAUUAUACAAUCAUCAUCAACCAAUCAAAUCAUAGGCCAAAAACAAAUCAACCAUGGUUUGAUGUCGCAAAUCAAUAACAGUCGCAUAACCACCACAUAACGUACCAUUCUACACCAGAAGUAUCAUGAAAUCGAUAACCACCACAUAACAUACCAUUCCAUAUCGCACACAUCAUACACACGCAGAGAAUUCAAGAACAAGUAAAAUAAGUUAACUAUCUUUAUCGACCUAAUUUCAUAUGUCUAAGUUUUAUUUGUCCCUAUUUGGAAUUAUUAAUUAGACAGUAACUUUUAAUAGCAUAUUAAUGAAAAACAAAUAUCUAUUUAGUGAAAAUGGUUUCUUUGAAAAAAAAAGAAGUAGUUGUGUGGUAAACAUUAAUCGUUGACACAACAUUAUAAAGAGUAUUGUUAGUAGUUUCAUAAAUAGUGUGAAAUCUUAGUUAAAUUUUUAAACCCCAAAAGUUUGACUAUUGAGUGCUGAUUUUAUUUCGAUAUUUCCACGCCCUCUCUCCCACUCUUUUUUGUUCCCCUUCCUCCUAUCUUUCCUCCUUCUUCCCCUUUAAUUCCCUCCUUCCCUCCUCCUCCUUUCUCCAUUCCCCCACCAUCCCCUCUCCCCCUUGUCCCUUCACCCCACACCCCUAUCCUUCCCCCUUCCAUGUUGGUUGCACAACCUAUUCAACCAGUAAACCUGUGAGAACCUUGAUUUCCAAGAUAUAAAUAUUAAUUCCAAGAACAUAGCUUUUCGUUGUGUUUACAAAAUCUACAUAUCUAGAUAUCUCUACUAAAUUUGGAACCUCCAGUUCUUUUAUCUUUAGAGUGAACAUGCCUUUUGAACUUACUAUGUACCAGUCAAUUUCACAUAUUAUGGAGAACAGUUGUCCUUUUCAUUUUUUUCACAAUAGCAGUUAUUACAUCCAAUCUAAUCUAGCAAUUUAAUAGGUUAACCUAAUGAGCCUAUCACCUAAUAAAAUCGGUUUAAUAGUUGGAACAAAUUAGGAAGGAAUCUGUUGAUUAACUAAUGCCUGUUAGGUCAAACAAAUCAUAUUAUUUUUAGUAAUUUAACUAUACUGCCUUUUUUAUUACAUAGCCUCUAGUUUUCUUGAUACCACAAGCUCAGUUACAAUCGGGUUACUAACCAAAAGAUCCUUUUGUGUGCUCUCUUUGAGCCACAUGAGAAAGUUUUUUUCCCAGUCUACUUCUCUAACAAGUUUGACAGCAAACUUUGUUAGAUUGUGUGCACAUCCAUUACCUAGUCUAUUAACAAAAGAAAAAGUACAUUUGUCAAACAAACUUUUCAUGUUUUCUAUGUCCUCUAGUAAAACAGCAACUCUAGAAUCAUUGAUGCUUUCUUGUGUUAUCAUUUCCACUACUGCUUUGCAAUCCGAUUGGAACUUCCACUAAGCCUUUAUCAUUCCCAUUCUGAUUGCUGCAACUUUCUCCACUAGUGGUUCACUGGUUUUCCUUGCUGAUUUUGCACAUGCUUUUAGUACCCCUCCUUUCCAGUCCCUUGCUACCCCUCCUAAUCUACAUUUGUCCAUUCCUGUUGAGAAUGCAGCAUCUGUGUUAAUCCUUAUCAAUCUUUUACCCGAUGGUUUCCAAAUUGCUGACCUUGAGCAUCCUGUUUGUUCAAUGUACUCCCCUCCUCCACUAUUCUAGGCAUCCAAGAAUUCUGCCCACUCUCUAUGUGCUUUUUGUAGAAUAAGUCUAGCAUCUAACUCCUUAUUUGAGAAUAUCUUCCUUUCUUGCUUUCUAAAUCUGCCACAUAAUAUUUACAGUUAAAGCAAUGUGUUCCUAUCCCAUGUCCCUCUGUUUUGCAUCUAAUAUCCCUUCCCACCAUUUGACAAAAUUAUUUCUCAUAUCAUUUAAUCCAUCCCAACUUAUUGGGGCAAUUCUCCACGUGAGCUCAGCUUUCUUACAAAGGAAUAGCAUAUGCUCCACUGUUUCCACUUCUUCUUUGCAACAAUCACAAAAUUCAUUUCGUUUCCCCGAUCUUUUUGUAUCUGUUCAUUCACUGGUAAGCUGUUUAACAAGCAUCUCCAUACAAAAUGCUUGAGUUUGUGCUUCAUAUGCAAUGACCACAGGCUUUUCCACCCUCUAGAUCUCUGCUAAAAGUAGACCCUUCAUGUUAUCCAAUUCACCUUGCUGUCAGGUUCCUUCCCUUUCUGCUACAUAUGCAGAUUUGACUGUAAACUAUCCAAAAGUUGUAUACUUCCGAUACACUCUAUCCCUUCCCCCUAUCAAGCUCAGAGGGAUGGCCAGAAUCCUCUGCACAUCUUCUUCUUCAAACAAUUUUUUUAGCAGCUCCUGAUUCCAUUCCCUCUCCUAUAUUAGUUCCUCCACCUUCUUAAUUUUGCACUCUUUCUAUCUUACUAUUUUGAUUUUCCCUUCCACAUCACUUAGGAUCCACUUCUCUAUCCAUACCUGCACAGUUUUUCCAUCCCCCACUCUAUGUCUCGUCCCCUUGUUGAGCAAUUGCUUUCCUCCCAUUAAGCUUUUCCAUACCCAAGAGGCUGCUUUUAGAGGCUCACUAUUCCAGCUUUGCCCCUCUAAGGUAUUUGGACUUCAAAACUUUACUGACUAGUAGGUUUGGAUAAGUGAUAAUUCUCCAAAGCUGCUUUGCUAGUAGAGAUUUAUUGAAACAUUCCAUGUCUCUGAAUCCCAGUCCCCUUUUGCCCUUAACUUGGGUCAUUUUAGUCCAACUGACCUAGUGUAUUUUCUUUGCAUUUUCCUCCUUUCCCUACCAAAAGCUUGCUACCAUCCUACAUAUGUCUUUGCAUAAAUGCUUUAGGAGCUUGAAGCAUGACAUGGUGUAUGUAGGGAGUGCCAUGACCACCCAUUUAAUUAUCACCUCUUUUCCAGCAUGACUGAGCAGGUUCCUCUUCCAGUUCUGCAUUUUGUUUUGUAGGCUAUCCUUAAUGUAUCCAAAGACUUGCUAUUUGGAUCUUCCUAUCAUCAUUAGGAGGUCUAGGUAUUUUCCACUCAAUGCUUCUAUCAUAUUUCCUAGUACUGAGCAGAUUUCUUUCCUUAGGUUCUUGCAGAUGUUAGCACUAAAAAAUACAGUAGAUUUUUCAUCAUUUAUAAGCUGUCCAGAUGCCUUUUCAUAAGUGGCCAGCAUGUCUUUCAUUUGUCUUGCUUCCCCUACACUAGCUAUACAACAGAAUAAAGAAUCAUCACCAAAAAGAAGGUGAGACACCACAGGGCAUCCCCUCCCAACUCUGACUCCUAUAAUUAAUCUAUUGUUCAGAUUCUAUUUCAUCAGGUUUGAUAUUCCUUCAGCACAAAUAAGGAAAAGAUAAGGAGAGAGAGGGUCCCAUUGUCUUAAACCUCUGGUAGGCUUGAUAUAGCCUGUUCUUUGCCCAUCAUUUAUAUUAAAGGAAUAAGAGGCAGUAGGCACACAGCUCAUGAUCCAUCUAACCCAAGUAGGACAAAAGCCUAUUUUCAUCAUCAUUCUCCCUAAGAACUGCCAUUCCACCCUAUCAUAAGCUUUUAACAUGUCAAGCUUAAGGGCUAUUAUACCAUUCUUGCCUUUUCUCUUAUUUUUCAUCAAGUGAAUGAUUUCUUGGACUAAGAUGACAUUAUCAAGAAUUUGUCUACCUGGGACAAAGGCUGAUUGGGCAUGAAUGAUACACCUGGGAAUGACUUUCUUUAACCUAUUAGCCAGAGCAUUAACAAUUAUCCUAUAUAGAACAUUACAAAGAGAGAUAGGUCUAUACUAGGACAUGUUAAGGGGAACUUCUCCUUUUGGAAUAAGGGUUACUAUAGCUUCAUUGAUAGUCUUAAGCAAGUGACUACUGUGUAGGAAAUUUUUGAUAGCAAUCACAAUAUCAUUUUUGAUAACAUGCCAAAAUUUUGAAAAAAAAAAGGGGGGUCAUACUAUCUGGUCCAGGAGCUUUAUCGGGGUGCAUUGAAAAUAAAGCAUUUUCUACCUCCAUCUCUUCAACUGGUUUGAUUAGUGCUGCAUUCAUUUCAUUUGUGAUUGUGCAGGGAACACCUUCAGUGGCAGCUUCAAAUUCUAUUGGUUGAGAUGAUGUAAAAAGCUUUUUGUAGAGUCCACAGAUUUCAUUCUCUACCUUCUGCUCUAAUUCACACCAUUUCCCUUCCUCGUUCUGUAAGGAUGUUAUCCUAGUCCUUCUCCUCCUUCUCAUCACACUUGAAUUAACAGGACCAUUCAUAGGCAAGAAAAAAUGGUAAAUUGAUGCAUAUACUAUCAUCAUCAACCAUUCAAACCGUAGGCAACAAAAAUCAACCGUGGUUUGAUGUCACAAAUCAAUAACAGUCGCGUAACGUACCAUUCUACAUCAGACGAAUCAUGAAAUCGAUAACCACCACAUAACAUACCAUUCCACAUCGCACACACCAUACGUAUGCAGAGAAUUCAAGAACAAGUAAAAUAAGUUAACUAUCUUUAUCGACCUAAUUUCAUAUGUCUAAGUUUUAUUUUUCCCUAUUUGGAAUUAUUAAUUGGACAAUAACUUUUAAUAGCAUAUUAAUGAAAAACAAAUAUCUAUUUAGUGAAAAUGGUUUCAUUGAAAAAAAAAAGUAGUUGUGUGGUAAACAGUAAUUGUUAACGCAACAUUACAAAGAGUAUUGUUGGUAGUUUCAUAAAUAGCGUGAAAUCUUAGUUAAAUUUUUAAACCCCAAAAGUUUGACUAUUGAGUAUUGAUUUUAAUUCGAUUUUUCCACGCCCUCUCUCCCACUCUAUUUGGUUCCCCUUCCUCCUCUCGUUCCUCCUUCUUCCCCUUUUCUUCCCACCUUCCCUCCUCCUUCUCUACUCUCCCCCCUCCUCCUCCCUUCUCCAUUCCCCCACCACUUCCUCUCCCCUUUCUCCCUUCACCCUACACCCUUCUCCUUCCCCGUUCCAUGUUGGUCGCACGACCUGUUCAACUAGUAAACUUGUGAGAACCCUGAUUUCCAAGAUAUAAAUAUUAAUUCCAAGAACAUAGCUUUCUGUUGUGUUUACAAAAUCUACAUAUCUAGGUAUCUCUACUAAAUUUGGAACCUUCUGUUCUUUUAUCUUUAUAGUGAACAUGCUUUCUAAACUUACUAUGUACUAGUCAAUUUCACAUAUUAUGGAGAAAGUUGCCUUUUUUGUUUUUUCACAAUAGCAAUUAUUACAUCCAAUCUAAUCUGGCAAUUUAAUAGGUUAACCCAAUGAGUUUGUCACCUAACAAAAUCGGUUGAAUAGUUGGAACAGAUUAGGAAGAAAUCUGUUGACUAACUAACCCCUAUUAGGUCAAACAAAUCAUAUUAUUUUUAGUAAUUUAACUAUACUAUCUUUUUUAUUACAUACCCUCUAGUUCAUGUGAAUGGAUUAGGUGUUUUUAAGGGGUGUUUUUCAAAAAUUUUACUAUAGCGGUGUAUGUGAAAAAACUUUUAAUGUAGAUGAUUAGGUGCUUUUGGGAGGGUUUUUUAAGGUGUUUUGAAGGUACUUUUGAGGAUAUAUUUUGAGGCAUUUUUAGAAUUUAAAAUUUUUUUGAGAUAUUCUUUAACAAUUAAAAAUACCACCACCUAUCACUGCCACCCACCAUUGCUAUCAUCCCCUCCCUUCCUCCUCUCCACUAUGACCCCCACUAUUGCCUUUACCUUCACACUUGUUCUCCUCUUUCUAGUUGCAAUUUCCCAAGCCUGAGUACUAUCAAAUUUCCCAGAGGAUGAUGUAGUCGAUCAUGAACUUACACACUCCCACAAUGGCUCUAACGUCGGCUCCAUCCUUUAUCUCCCCAACAACAACGUCAACGAUGAUGUAUCUUGCUCUAAUCUGCUCGCCAUUGACAUUCCUGAAUCUGAAUCCAUCUCUACCAGAUCUAUUCUAUUAAAAUAGCCUACAAAAAUUUUAGAAAUUUUAGUAUUGUCCUCCUUUUGUCUCCCUAAAUUUUGAUAGUAUUCUCUUUAAACCCACUAUUGCCCUCCAAAAGUGUUGAAAUUUUUGCAACUGUCCUUGCUAUUUCCACAAUGGUGAAUCUUGAACUAAAAUAUAUUACAUCAUGCUAAUUUUUCCUCUUACCAUUAAACGUAAUUUACCUUAUCUUGCAAGAAAAUAUUAUUUAUUUAAUAUUUAACUUUUCUUACAUAUCUUUUUUUAUAUGAAUUACAAACCAACUAAACAUUCAUUCAGCAAUUUAAUUGUGAGCAAAUUAUAUUGUUAUUAUUUUUUGACCUUCCCAUCCUUCCUCAUACCUUUUCUAUCAUGCACAAGAUUCAAUCUUGAACCUGAUAAUGGGGAAGACCUUAAGGACCCUCCCCUGAAUUGUGUACAAAUCAUUUACCUACUAUAUAUGUGAAUUAGAAUAUACAUCUUAUAUUCUUAUGCAUAAUUUUAUAUCAUUGGAUGACCUAAAAAAUAAUAAAUCUCAAACUAUAGCCUUGGUUUUACUAUAGAAAAUAUUUAAUUGUUCUAGAAAUCUAUAAACGAACACCUUAUAAAUCUAAAUUAAUAUUAUUGCAAUCUUGAAUUGCCACUACUAUCAGUUCAAGUUUUCAAUUCCGCAACUACUGCCAUCGCCACCACCAUGACCACUCUUUUUUCAGACCCAUCAGACAACAACAACAAGAGCACGUGCAAGUUCCGUAUGGAAAUGAUAUGAUAUUGUCCAUUGGUAAAAGGGGAGAAAAAGGGAGAAGGAGGAAAGAGGAGAAGAGAGGUGAUAUGUGGUAGUGGUGAAGGGUGAUAGUGGUGUAUGGUAGGUGAAAGAAGAAAGAGAUAUAAAUAUUUUUAUGUUAUGAAACAACUAAAAGUGUGGAUGUCCAUUUGUAUUCUCAAAAUGAUUAAUUCAUAAUUCAUUGAUCCCAAGAGAAUUAAUUCAUAAUUCAUUACUACAUUAUGUAAAAGAAUUACAUUGGAUGAACGGUUUCAAUCCAUAGACCCAUUCAUGUUUUGGAUGAACCGUUUCAUAAACUAUUCAUAUUCUUGCAGUAAUGAGUGUUUAAUAGAAUUGAUGUACCUUUAAUUUUGUAAUACCUAUAUAUAGAGGUAUCUUGGUACCUCUUGAGAUGACCUUUGAUUAGUUGAAAACAAUAAGAAAAUUAUUCUCUAUUUCUCUACUUCUUUAUCUAAUAUUUCAAUCCUUAUAAUAGUAGUUUAUUUUAUUAGUUUUACAACACGUUAUCAGCACAAGUCUCUACUUUUGAGCAAAAGGUGAAAACGGAGUCUCUACCUUGAGUAAAAGUGAAACACGAGAUUCUGCCAAAAUUCUAUCUGUGUUUUCUCAGCAACUUCUGUUUACUUAUUGAGGUAAAUUUCUAACCCACAAACUUAUUUUAAUUUCUUAUGGCCAACCUUACAAAACAAGAGUCCAUACCUCUUGAUAUUUCUGAAAGAAUUAUUUAUCAUGGGUAGUGGAUGUUAAAAUUCAUCUUGAGACAAUGGGUCUUGGUAAUACUAUUAUUGAAAAGAAUGAAUCUUCAAACCAAGACCAUGCCAAGGCUAUGAUUUUCCUUCAUCAUCAUUUAGAUGAAGGAUUACAAAUAUAGUAUCUUACAGUUAAAGAUCCUCUUGUCCUUUAGAGAGAUUUGAAAGAAAGAUUUGACCACCUGAAAUUGGUCGCUCUUCUAAAAGUCCGCUAUAAUUGGCUUCACUUAUGACUACAAGAUUUUAUAUCUGUUAACAAAAAUAAUUCAGCCAUAUUCAGAAUUACUUCUCAAUCAUCAUUAUGUGGUGAAAAAGUCACUAAUGAAAAUAUGUUAGAGAAAAUAUUUUCUACUUUUCAUGUCUCUAACAUGUUCCUACAGCAACAAUAUCGAGAGAAGAGAUUUAAAAAAUAUUUUAAACUUAUUGCAUGUCUUCUCUUGACUGAAUAAAAUAAUGAAUUAUUGCUGAAAAAUCAUGAGUCCCGACCAAUUGGUGCAAGUCCAUUUCCUGAAGCGAAUAUGACUCAAUUUCAAAAUUCUGGUCAAGGUCAUGGACGUGGCCAUAGAGAUGGCCGUGGAGGAGGCCGUGGACGUGAUCGUAGUAGAUUUAUACCCCGUAAAAAUUAUAACCAUGGGAAACAACAAAAUAUUCCCAAAAAGAGGGAUAAUAACUGCGAUCAAAAAAAUGGAGAAAAGAAAGUUUAUGAAAAAAAAUACAAUCGGUGUGGUAUGGAAAGUCAUUGGUCCCGUACCUGUCGUACGAUUGAUCAUCUUGUUGACCUUUAUCAAGUAUCAUUGAAAAAGAAAGACAAAGGUGUUGAGACAAAUUUCAUUGAUCAAAAGAAUGAUUAUCAUGAUGGUGAUGAUGCUUAUAUGACACACCUCGAUGUAGCUGAUUUCUUUGAGCAUCCUGAAAAUGUCAACAAAUAUCCUAUAAUUGUUUAGAUAUUAUAUGAUGUUUUAUAUCUUUCAUGUAAUUUUCUUUCUAUUCAAUAUUUAUUUUUGUAUCUUUAUUAAUAUUUAUUUUGGUUUGAAAUUUUCUUCCUGAAGAAGAAAUGGAUGCCAAAUGUUUGGGAUUAAAUAAUGGUGAUGAUCACAUUUGUCUCAUUGAUAAUACUACUACACCCAUCAUAUUAAAAAAUAAAAAAUAUUUUUCUUAUUUGAAAAUGGGAAAGACAAAUGUUAAUACUAUCAGUAGUAAUGCAAAAUUGAUUGAAAAUUUCGGAAGAGCCACUCUAUUUCUCCCUGAAGGGACUAAAAUUGUCGUAAAUAAUGCACUACUCUCUCCCAAGUUUUGGAGAAAUUUAUUGAGUUUUAAAGAUAUCCGCGAAAAUGGAUAUCAUAUCGAGACAAUGACUGAGACAAAUGAAGAAUUUUUAUUAAUCACAAGUAUCAUUUCUGGACAGAAAUGCGUAGUAGAAAAAUUACCUUUGUUUCUUCUAGCUUAUGUUAUGUACAAAUUAAUGUAGUUGAAAUUUAUCACCUAAUAGACCAGAAGUCUAUUCAUCCCAAUAAUUUUAUGAUUUAACAUAAUCGUCUCGGACAUCCUGAAACUAUAAUGAUGAGACGAAUAAUCGAGAAUUUACAUGGUCAUUCAUUGAAAAAUCAAAAGAUAUUAAAAUUAAAUGAAUUCUCCUAUGUUGCUUGCUCCCAAGGAAAAUUAAUUAUUAGACCAUCACUAGUUAAAAUUGGAAUUGAAUCCCCUACAUUUCUAGAACGAAUUCAUGGUGAUAUAUGUGGACCUGUAGAUCCACCAUGUGGACUAUUUCGAUAUUUUAUGGUGCUAAUUGAUGUAUCAACUAGAUGGUCAUAUGUAUGUUUAUUAUCUACUCACAACAUGGCGUUUGCGAGAUUGCAUGCUUAAAUAAUUAAGUUGCGAACACAAUUUCCAAAUUAUCCAAUAAAGAAAAUUCGUCUAAAUAAUGCUGGUGAAUAUUCGUUACUUUCUUUUGACGAUUAUUGUAUGUAUUGGAAUAACUGUUGAACAUCCUGUAGCUUAUGUUCACACACAAAAUAGUCUCGCCAAAUCAUUUAUUAAACGGCUACAAUUAAUUGCUAGACCAUUAUUAGUGAGCUCUAAACUUCCUUCAUCUGCUUGAGGACAUGCUAUAUUACAUGCAGCAACACUUGUGAGAAUUAGGCCAACAAAUUAUCCUACUUAUUCUCCCAUACAAUUAACUUUUGGUUAUAAGUCCAAUAUUUUUCAUUUAUGAAUAUUUGAUUGUACGAUUUAUAUUUCAAUUGCGCCAUCCCAACGUCGUAAAUUGGGCCCCCAAAAAAGAUUGGGGAUAUAUGUCGGGUAUGAAUCACCUUCAAUUAUUAAGUAUAUGGAACCAUUGACAAGUGAUUUAUUUACUGCGAGAUUUGCAGAUUGCCAUUUUGAUGAAUCAUAUUUUUCGACAUUAUAGGGAGAUAAAAAUCAACCAAAAAAGGAAAUCACUUGAAAAAAUCAUUAGAUUUCCUUGAUUCUCGUACUGAAGAAUGUGAACUAGAAAUUCAAAAGAUUAUACAUUUGUAAAAAUUUACAAAUCAAUUACCGGAUGCAUUUAAUGACUCGAGAAGAGUUACUGCUGAAAAUGCUUCGAUUAAAAUUAAUAUCCCUGAAUGAAAAAUUACAAAUGCUAAUGAGUCUAAAGCACGCCUGAAGCGUGGGAGAUCUCUUGGUUCCAAAGAUAAAAAUUCUCGAAAGAAAAGAGGAGUAGAUGAAUCAACAAUUAAUGACAAAAUUCAACCUCCUGAACAGGUCGCUCCUAAAGAGCCAAUUCUUUAGGAGAAUGAAAUUAUAGAAAAUUCAAUAAAUUUUGUCACUUCAGGAAAAAGUUGGAACCAAAAAGAAAUAAUUAUUGAUAGUAUUUUUGCAUAUAAUGUAGCACUUGAUAUUAUGGUAGAGGACAAGGAUCAUGAGUCGAGAUCGGUUGAUGAAUGUCGACGUAGAAAUAAUUGGUCAAAGUGGAAAGAUGCGAACCACUCUGAAUUAAAUUCACUGGCUAAAAGAAAAGUUGUUGGACCUGUAGUCCAAACGCUUGAAGGUGUAAAGUCAGUAGGAUAUAAAUGGGUAUUUGUGAGAAAAAAAUGAGAAAAAUAAAAUUGUGAGGUAUAAAGCAAGACUUGUAGCCCAAGGAUUUUCACAAAGGUCUGGAUUUGACUAUGAUGAAACGUAUUCACCUGUAGUGGAUGCUAUCACAUUUAAAUAUCUUGUGAGUUUUGUAGUACAUGAAAAACUAGAUAUGCGUUUAAUGGACGUUGUUACUGUAUAUUUAUAUGAAAAUCUUAAAAAUAAUAUUUAUAUGAGAAUCCCCGAAUGAUUCAACAUGCCUGAAGCAUGGAAAUCAAAUCCUAAAAAUAUUUAUUAUAUUAAAUUACAAAGAUCUUUGUAUGGGCUCAAAUAAUCUGGACGUAUGUGGUAUAAUUGCCUCAAUGAAUGUUUAACUAAAGAAGGUUAUACUAAUGAUUCAAUAUGUCCAUGUUUUUUUAUCAAAAAAAAUGGAUCAAAUUUUGUGAUAAUUGUUGUAUAUGUUAAUGAUCUAAAUCUUAUUGAAACUCCUGAAAAUUCAAAAUAGUGUUAAAUAUUUGAAGAAGGAAUUUGAGAUCAAAAAUUUUGGAAAGACAAAAUUCUGCUUUGGUUUACAAAUUGAGCAUUUGAAAUAUGAAAUUUUUGUCCACCAAAUUCUUUAUAUCCGGAAGGUAUUAAGCGAUUUUAUAUGGAUAAAACAUAUACAUUAAAUACCCCAAUGGUCGUCAGAUCACUAGAUCUUAAUAAGAAUCCUUUUAGAUCAUGAGAGAAAGAUGAAGAGACACUUGGUCCUGAAGUACCAUAUCUCAGUGUAAUUGGUACACUGAUGUAUCUUGCUAAUUGUACAAGACCUGAUAUAACAUGUGCAGUGAAUUUAUUAGCAAGAUUUAGUUCCUCAUCCACACGACGACAUUGGAAUGAUAUUAAACAUAUUUUUUGUUAUCUUCAAGGAACGAUUGAUCUUGGUUUAUUUUAUUUAAAUAAAUCUAAACCUGAUUUGCUUGGUUAUGUUAAUGUUGGAUACUUAUCUAACCCACAUAAAACAAGAUUUCAGAUUGAUUAUCUAUUUACAUAUGGAGGUACAGCCAUUUCUUGGCAUUCUACAAAGCAAUUAUUAGCCGCCACAUCAUCGAAUCAUGCAGAAAUAAUAGCAAUUCAUGAGGCCAGUCAAUAAUGUGUUUGGUUAAAAUCAAUGACCCACUACAUCCGAAAGAGUUGUGGGUUAUCCUCCAAAAAAGAAAAUCCUCCAACUAUAUUAUAUGAAGAUAAUGCAACUUGUAUAGUUCAAUUGAAUGGAGGAUAUAUUAAAGGAAAUAGGACGAAACAUAUUUCACCAAAAUUCUUUUUUACUCAUGAUUUGCAAAAGAAUGGUGAAAUUGAUGUGCAACAAAUCCGAUUAGAUAAUAAUUUGGCAGAUUUAUUUACCAAAGCGUUGCCGACUGCAACAUUUGAGAAAUUGGUAAAGAAUAUUGGAAUGCGACGAUUAAAAGAUCUCAAAUGAUGUUUGCAUCAAGGGUAGAAAUUAAUACACUGGAAUAGUGUACUCUUUUUUCUCACUAGGGUUUUUGUUCCGUUGGAUUUUUCCCUAAUAAGAUUUUAACGAGGCAUAUUCUUUGUGUAAUGGACAUCCAAAGGGGAGUGUUAUAAAACAACUAAAAGUGUAGAUGUUCAUUUGUAUUCUCAAGAGAAUUAAUUCAUAAUUCAUUGAUCCCAAGAGAAUUAAUUCAUAAUUCAUUGCUACAUUAUGUAAAGAAAUUACAUUGGAUGAACGGUUUAAAUCCAUAGACCCAUUCAUGUAUUGGAUGAAUCGUUUCAUAGACUAUUCAUGUUCUUGUAGUAAUGAGUGUUUAAUAGAAUUGAUGUACCUUUAAUUUUGUAAUACCUAUAUAUAGAGAUAUCUUGGUACCUUUUGAAACAGCCUUUGAUUAGUUGAAAACAAUAAGAAAAUUAUUUUCUGUUUCUCUACUUCUUUCUCUAAUAUUUUAAUCCUUAUAAUAGUACUUUAUUUUAUUAGUUUUACAACAUUUUAUUUAUUUAUUUUUGGGUGUAUUUAUUUAUAUUUGAGAUGUGUAUUUUUGGAGUUAUUUUUAGAAUAACUUACUAUAGAUCUCACAAAUAAAAUUAGUUUUUGACAAAAAGUCUCAAUCCAUAUGAAGCCUAUGCAAACAAAGCAUUCUCCAUUUAGUGGCCACAUAAUAUCAUGUUGGUGCCUUACUAGUGUGAAAUUAUGUGGAUUUGAUUUUCAUGUGGAGUACCUCAUUGUAUAUUUGGAUUGUAAUUCGAAUAUAAUAAGAAUUAUAUGCUGAAAAUGGUUUUAUUUAUUCUACUAUCAGUGAUUUCUUGAGAUAUUAAAUUUGCUGUAAACUAUCCAUCCUUUUUGUAUUCUCUUGAAAUAAAAAUGAAACCACGUCACCUCACAACAUUUACGGUUAACAAAGCAUCGGGUGAUGGCCAAACACAUAAUGACCAAAUAAUGUGUUUUUUUUUUGUGAUAAUUGCGACUCUGUUUGGAUCGGUAGUUUUUGUAAAAACUGUUUUUGUAGUCAAACUACAAAAAGUGGUCAACAGCUUUUCACCAAAAAACUACAGUGCCUACUGUAGCAAGACUACACCGUUUUAGGUCCUGAAGAGUAAAAACAGUUUUUCGGUCAUGUGAUGCCACAGUGUAAAGUUUCUUAUCCUUUCUCUGUUGAGCUGAGCUAAGAACGAAGAAGCCUUUGGACAUCAGCUCCUCCUUUUGAAUUUCGAAGAGCGACCAACCGACAAUUUCUGCAAGCGGGGCAGCCCAUCGAUUCCAUACCUCCAGCCCGGCAGCUAAAGGAGUUAAUUGGAACGAAGCUUGAGCUACACAAACAACUGUGCGCUUCACCUGAGCUUGCUGCGGUCAGAUCUGCAAUUGGAGUCACAUGCUGUAGAUUCUUUUCGUUGAGGUGCCCUUACGCGAUUAUCACUCGCUCGGCCCUGCUACAGUAGUUAAUUCGUGAAGAUAUUGGCGGUACGCUGCUGCAUCCCACAAGAAGUUCGGUGAAGCCUCCUCUUUUUCAAGGAACUUGCAGGUGAGUUCGUUGAGUUUUGGGUUUAUUCGUACAGAGUAGGGCUACAGUUGAAAUUUUUUAUUUGGGCAACCAUCUAAAUUGAUGUCUCUUUCUUCGCCUUCAAUCUGUUUCCGACGAUUGGAAAAAAAAUAGUGACUGAACAUCAAGUAUUUAAACUUGUUCAGCGUCUUUAAUUUCAUCCAGCAACUGGUCAGCCGAUGUCAUUUUUUCAUAUUGGUUCUUAAUUGUAAAUUAUUGAAAACAUUUCUUCACAACUUCUUUUGAUUUGGGAUUGCUCAUUGCCGACGAUCAUCUUUGUUAUGCACAUUCAGUGUUAUUGGAAUAGGCGCUUGACUUGUUUGCCGCAUAUUUUUUCAUAUAAUUGACCCUCUUCAGAGCUAUAAAUGUACUCCAACAUUAUUGCCUAAAUUGCACCAAUGUAUAAUUUGUUCCGAACCAAACGGUGGGUAUAGUAGAUUUAAAGUGCUGGCUGUAGUAUAUUUGUGUGUUUUCACAGUCUUGCUGAGUAAUUUGCAUGAGUUUGGGGACCUAAUUUCUUCCAUUUUAUGUAAGUACUGCGGCUGCAGCUACUUCAUUGUCCUUUUAUUGUCUCCUCCUUGGAGCUACAUGCCUCCUGUGACGCGGCGUGCUUGGAAGGGUAAGUUAGACUUGUCAGUUGGUCUAAUUCUGUUGAAGUUUAGUCAAUUAAAUGACCUCUAGGAUUGUAUUUUCUAUAUAUACUUCACAGUCUUGUGAAGGAGUAGGGGAUUUAGCAAUUGUUGUUCGCUGUCAGCUCAGGGAGAAAACGAUUUGCAACUUUGCACAACUAAUUACUUCAAGGUUAGCCAAUUGCAUUUAGCCUUCUACUUACAACCUCAUGUGCGACUGCCUUCUCCAUUGUUAUAUGACAACGAGGACACAUUUGUCUGUUUUUUGACCCUUUUCAUCCAAUUUUCUUGUUUAUGUAUCCUAAAGAGAAAUAAGAUGAAACUGUCAAAAGGGAAGUACUCAAAACGUAACAGUUUCACAUCUGAACAUGAAUUUGCAUUUGCCGAACAUCUGCUGCAUAUGCAUAGGAAUGGAGAGAUAUCGUCUCAAAACAUCGGGAGCCAUGUCAUCCCCGAGGUUACUAACAUGCUUCUUCAGAGGUUCGGAAUUCCAUUUCCCAGCAAUAGUAUUCGGUCUAAGUACUAUGCCCUUCAGAGCCUCACUAAGCUUUACAUUUCAUUCAAGAAACGGGGCACUGGUAUGGGGUGGGACUCAACGAACUACACCUUCAUGAUGGAUGAUGAACGGUGGAGCCAACUGGUUCAGGUAUAGCUUGCUGGUUUCUUACUUUUAAGCCAUUUGGAAUUAUUAAAAACUGCCCCCUCUUUGGAUUUUCUCUUCCCCCUUGGAUAUAACUAUUUCCCUGCUGGAUUUACUUGCUGGUUUCUGUAUUUUAAGCCAAUCUGAACUAUUGAAAACUGUCCCCCCCUUGGAUUUUCUUUUCCCCCUUUCACUAACUGUCCCCCCGUACUAUGCCCUUUACUUGCUGGUUUCUCGUUAGGCCAAUUGAAAUUAUGCAAAUCUGUCUCCCCUUUGGAUUUUAUCUUCACCCCCGCAGUUUAACUGUCCCCCUCCUUGGAUUGACUUGUUGGUUUCUUACUUUUAAGCCAUUCGGAAUCGAUAAAAACAGUCUCCCUGUUGGAUUUUAUCUUCCCCCUUGGAUUUAAUUGCUGGUUUCCUAACUCUAAUGCAAUCAUAUGUUUUUCAGAGUUGCAUUCAUUGUGCUUUUGCUGUCUUCUGCUUUGUUGUAGGUGAACCAAGCAUACGCUAGAUUCUACAACUGCUCAUGCCUACUUUAUCACGUGCUCGAAGAAGUUUUCAUGAAUCGAGGGACGACUGGGGAUUUCAGCGCUGGAUAUGGAGAUUCACCGCCCAACUCGGCCGACAAGCAGCAAAUGGAGAGAGCUGCUAGACGCUGUUCAGGAAAGGGGGUUGUGGACGUGGAUUUCUCCGAGGAAAACAUUCCCUCACAGCCUGUGAGUCGGAAAGGGAAACAAAAAGUUAAGAACAACAAAGGGAAGCGCAGAUCGGGUGACAUGUCUUGCGAUUCCUUCUUCUCACCAUCGUCCCCCCAAUUCCAGCAGUACGUCCGCGUCCUAGACAGCAUUGACACACAUUUGAGCUGUAAAAAGAGCAAGAGCAGGAGUGCAGAGGUCUCUUCACCUUCAAAGAGUCAAAAGGCUGUUGUAGAUGACGAUGCGCAGUUAGAAGCUGCAAUGGUGCCUCUCUGCGCGCUUGGGCUAGACAUAAAUGUUCACCUUAAGAUGGCCGAUCUCCUCCGGUCCAAAGCGGAGCGUAUCAUUUGGUUCUCCUGCACCACAGAUGAUGCCCGGCUUGCGUUUAUGAGACAUCGAGGGCUCCUCCCACCCGCAUAGAUGCUCAUACCAUCCGAGUUUUAGUCGUGGCAGCCCACUUGGAUUGUCUUUGUGUCCCCGAACAUGCAAUUCCACUGUUUCACUUUUUAUUUUCGUUUGAUGUAGUUUGGCCUUGGAAACUUUGACGCUGGAUUUUUCUAUUUGUGUACCCCGAAUGAGUCUAUUUUUUUCUGAAUUUUAAUAAUUCGAUUUAGUGACCUUUUAAUUGCUGUGUGUGCUCGUUCGAAUAGAUUGCUGUAACUUUUGGUUGUGUGUGAUAAUAGGCUUUGUUACAGUGUCAUAAGCAAGGAUAAGAUGAUUUAAUCAUUUGGUAACGUUUGAAAUUGGCAUAGUUAUACUUGAUUUCAAAUGUUCAUUAAACAGCUGGCCAAUUCUUUGCCUUCGGUCGAACCUAGUGAGAAUUUUAGAUUGCACCAGUUGUUCUAUAUCAUGUUGCCUAGGUAUUCACCAUACCUAGGGAUUGUAUAGGAUUUGUGGUACAUUUGUAGCCAAGCUUCGGAACUUGUUAACUUGGAAACUUUUGCUAAGCUUCUUGGCCAGGUAUAAAUUAUACCAGACGAUUAGAAUGUUUUGCGGAUUUAUUGUUCCAUAGGUGUGCAACUUGUUAACUUGGAAACCAGCAAGUAUGCUUCUGUUGGAAACUUGUAUUUGUGAAACUGCAAACUUCUUAUUUUGCUAGGCUUUACAUUUAUAAAAGUAGGUUCAAAUAGCCGGAGCAUUGUUAUCAUAAUAGGAACAAGAUGUGAACUUCAUAAGUUGUUAUCAUGAUUGUUCUAUAUCAAAUAUUUGUGCAUAUAGCCAGAACAUUGUUGGGUUCUAUUUUUAAUCCUUUUGAUUCCUUUCUUUGCAGGGUAUCCCGAAUUUUUAUUGCAUACUUGAUACUGAUAGCAGUGCGAUGGAUAAUCAGGGACAUAUUCAGGGCGGAUACUUGGAUGACGAGACAGACGAUGUUGAUUUCGAUAACAUCCUUUUGGGAGUUGUGCUCCUAGGCUUCAUGUUCUUCGACCCACGCUUUAACCGAGUUCCCAGAAGAAGAAGAGUUAGAGAUAGUGUGCUCUCGGGGAGGGACUAUGUGCUUGAGCUGAUAAACGGACAUGAGGACAGAAUUAUUGAAAACAUGCGCUUGGAUGUUCCUCAAUUCCUGAUGUUGUGUGAUUUGUUGGUUCAGCGUGGUUAUUGGCAUGCAUAUCCUUCACAUCAGGUGGGGGUUCAUGAAUCCGUUGCAUUAACUCUAAUGUGCCUGAGCCAUGAUGAGCGGCACCGUGUUCUAGCCGAGCGGUUCCAGCAUUCCACGGAGACGAUAGAUUGACAUGUUCGUCGUGUGUUACGAGCAUUAGUUCGCCUCGGUCGUGAUCUCGUUAGGCCAACAGACUUCGAUGGGACUCACCCAAGAAUUUUGAACAAUGCAUCACUCAUGCCGUGGUUCCGGGUUUGUGUUUUUUAGCAUUUUAUUUCAACUUUUUCGCAACUCAAAUUUCAAUUUACAAUUUAUUGAAAUAUUUUAUGGGGCUUUGUAUAGGAUUGUGUAGGAGCACUAGACGGGACACACGUCUCCGCUUGGUGCAGCUCAGAGAUACGAGAGAGGUUCAUAAAUCGGCAUGGUGACUUAUCCCAGAAUGUGCUUGCUGCCUGCGAUCAUGAUAUGCGCUUUGUAUAUGUUCGAGUCGGUUGGGAGGGUAGUGCUCAUGAUGCCCGAAUUCUCCAAGAUACCUUGCUAGAUCCGAAUUCGGGUUUUCCUAUGCCACCGCCGGGUAUGUGAUAAACUUUUUAUCCUUCAAGAUAGGCAUUGGCAGAUUGUGCAUAAUUAUGUGGUAGAUAUUUUCAAGACCUUACAUAAACAAAAUCAAGAAGAACCUAUUUCUGUAUUAGUAAUCAAAGCCUUUUAACCAUCAACUUGACAUCAUUGACAGGAAAAAAUUAUGUGGUAGAUGCUGCUUAUAGAAAUAUGCCAGGUUUUGUGGCACCGUUUAGGGGAGCACAGGGCACACAGCAUGAGCGGGCAGCUAAACGUUUGUUCAACAGGCGGCAUGCAUCGGUUAGAAAUAUUAUUGAGCGCACAUUUGGGGUUCUUAAGAAGCGUUUUCCAAUACUCAAGGGUCCAAUGCAGAAUUAUCUAAUAGCAACACAAAAUAAUAUUGUGCUUGCAUGUUGUAUUUUGCACAAUUUUAUGCGUGCAUACUCCCCAGCAGAUGAGUACUUCAACGAAGAAGCAACCCUCGGAGCCAUAGCUGAUGCACAGAUAGCAGGAGAGCAACAGCAGGCGGGCCAACCCAUCGAUAUGUCGGAGCAGGGCAUCUUUAAUUGGAACGAAGAUCGGCGGGCAAUGGCGGCGCAUAUGUAUUGGAAUGCGCAUAACUAGGGGACACUACGAGGCUUUGGACCGAUAGGCCUAGAAAUAAAAAAGUUUAAUACGCUUUGAUUGAAAAACAUGUGAUUUCCGCUUGAUUUCGAAUUUGUGUCAGUGUUAUCGUGUUAUGUCUUUCAGGACUCGAUUGUUUAUCUUAUAUAUGCUAACUCGUGGUUUGCACUACCUCCGUAUGUGCACCUCAAUGCUAAUUGCACCAUGUGUUUGUGGAUGAUAUUGUACAAAAAUCCCAAAAACAAGCUGGCUCCGUUUGAAGUAGCAGUUUUUGGGGGUCAACAUUGAAAAAUUUUGCUGCAGCAGAAUUUUUAGAAUAUAUUUUGAAAUAUUUUUAACGAAUAUUUUGAGAUAUUAAGAGUAGAAGAGUUUUUAAAAUAUAUUUUGAGAUAUUUUUUAAAAUUUUAAAAAAAAAACAAGUUAAGUUCCUCUUGUUACUCCAAAAUUUGUUAAUUGGCCGUAGUGUGCUACUUCUCAUACUACUUGUAUUGGAAAUUUUAACUCCUUUAUAAAAGGUCACUUUUACUUUGUUGCUGAAGUUAUUGGGCAAUUAUCCAAUUCUUUUAUAUUCACUUUUAAUAAGAAGGUGUUUUUGAAAUACUGUUCAAUCCAAACGCAGGCAUUUUUCAAAAACACAGAGUUUUUCAAAAACAAGAAUCCAAACGUUACAUGAAGUUUUUCAAAAAAUGCUACAGUUAAGUUUUUUAAAAACACCUCCAAAAACAGGUGAUCCAAACGGAGCCUGCAUCUUUAGCAAAUACACAUGACUACAAGAUUGCAAAAUCAGCACAUUAAUUAUUUGCACUGUACGUCAAUUAGUAAAACAAAAAUUCAAGUAUGAAACUAUUAAGCAUAUCUUGUUUAACAAUAAGAUAUUGUAAACAAUCACGGUAAUUGCACACUGUUUACCUAGGUGUUAUAUUUAGAUUUUUGACCACUAGUGUGGCAAAAAUGUUUCACAAAAUUUUAAAUACCACAUACAAAUGCAUUACAAAUUAUUUCAACUAUUUAUUACACAUAAAUGGCUUUUCAUUUUGUUAUGUUUAUUUGUUCCCUUCUCGUUAAUUAAGACUACAAAUCUUUGGAGCAACGCUUAGAAAGAGUUAACUUUUUUUUUAGGUGAAGAUUAAGAGUAGAGUAAUCAUAUUUAUCUUUAACACUUCAGUGGCCAUUAGAACUUCACCUAGGAGAGUUAUUACAAGUACUAGACACUUUAAUGAGCAUGUUAUUUCUCAAAAAUCUUGCUUAAACCCAUUAUAAUUUCGUGACCUUAAAUCGUGCAAGUUGUGUGGAAGUGACCCAUCCUUAUUAAUUAAGCCAACUUGUAUUGGCAUAUCUGCCCAUUGAUUAAAGAAAGCCCAAAUCAACUCAUGCUCAGGAUGUGAAGUAAUCAAUUGGAUGUCUUAAUUUAUUAAUAUAUGCAAUUAUUCCGUUUACAAUUAAGUCUUCUUCAUUGAUUAUUGUUAUUCAAUAAUUAUAAUUUCGUUAGUUUUUCCACAUAAUAUUUCAAAUUUUUUAUUUUUUGCUAUUUGUGCUUGUCUUUAUAUUCAUUAACACGUAUUGAUGAAUCCUUUAGUUUCAAUGAAUUCGUUUUUAUCUUAUAUGGCAAAACUAAUUGGUAAGUGGCACACCCAACUAAGUAGCAAACAAGUGUUAUACUUAAUUAAUCAAUUGAAUUUUGUUUGUUUCAACUAACUUGUCUAGUCAAUUUUCUUUAUUUUCUUUACUCUCUUCUAACUACUUCAGGUCAAUCAGUUUUUCAAUUGUAUGAAAUAACUAGGCAUAGUUCAUAAGGUUAUUUUUUUUUUAGUUCAUAAGGUUAUUUGGUUAACUCAUUUUUGUAAUAAAAGUACACCAUUUCUCAAGACAAUAAUGUCUCUUCAGAUACAACACACUGUAUAAAUUUCUCAAGGUAAUUUACAAUUUUAACUUAAAUAAUUUUGUCCAAUUUGUUGUCCAAUAAUUUUUACUGUAGGGCAUUAAAUAUACUCUCUGCAUUAAAGGAACUUUUGGUGCAUGGUUUUAUAUCUACCAUGUGUUGAUGACACACACAACAUGCCAACAAAUGAUUCAUUACUAGAUCUCAAAAAGCAUCUCGCUCUCUCUGGUAAAAUAACAAUUUCAUUCACGAAAUUUGUGCUAGCGGUAAAAGAUAUAUUACUAUAGCUUCAAAGCAGAAGCAAUAGCGGAUUUAAGGUGGGGGCACUGGGACACGGGCCCCCAUUGCUCCCCUUAAAUUCCCAUAGUAUCUAUAUAAUUUUGAUAUAAUUUCAAGUGUGUCUCCAGAGUUUUUUUAUGAAGCAAGUGAAAGAAUUACGUGGUCUUUUAAAUUGGUUCAUGAACUAAUAUUCUAAAAGGAUAUGUGGGUCACAAAAUUUCAUUUGAAAUAAGCUAAAAAAAGCUUUUCAUUUUAACUUAUUGAUGAAUAUUUUUUUGCUUAAAAAACUAGAAAAAAGAGUGAGUAAAAAAUUUUAGUGUUGCUUUUACUCCCACUGAAAAUUUUUUCUAGCUCUGCCAUUGCGCAAAAGGGGCGUUUUUUUUCCUCUGUAGAAACAAAUUAGUGUUCCUAUCCUUAACAGAAGCCAGGAUAGGGCACUGGUCCGAAACAUGAGAGAAUAGGUGCUGCACAGAUGACCACGGGAAUUGGGAACUCCAUGCAUGAUUUGCACGAGCUCUAUCCAGAAAGGCUCUACUUGUGUUAGGAAAAAAAGCAUUGCAAAGCCAGGUAUAUUUGUAACCCUCAAAGCCGAGAUCAUCAAUUUCACAGUGGCUGAGUGCUUCUCGAAAUGAAUCAAUUUGCCAUUGUGGUCGAUUAGUCCGCCUUGAAAUUCGUCAUGAUACAGGACUUCAUUGAAAUCACCGAAACAAAGCCAAGGAAGAUGUAACUGUGUGUAGUUCUGCCCAAAAAACAAAACAAAAAACUGUGAAUAGUUCUUUAAAGCUUUGAAAGUGGUCCAUGCUUCCCGCCGAAGAGAAGUAUUGGACUCACCAUAACUUCCUGUGAUCCUCCAAGGUUGCAUUUCAGUAUCAUUUCUAACAACUGCAUCAAUAUGACGUUGAGAAAAACUCAAGAUAGAAACAUCAAAAAAGAGCUGAACCACCAGAAUUACCAUUAGCAUCAACCGAAAAACUAAAGCAAUUAAACUUAGACUUUAACUGAUCAACUACCCUACCAUUACAUUUAGUUUCGCAAAGAAAGAAAAAUUUUGGGAGCUUUUUGACUGGUUAAAUCAUAGAUUGCACAAACCCUCCGAGGGUUCCCAAGCAAUGACGGAGUCAAGGAGGACUGAUGGGGCCAUGGCCCCUCUCAAUUUUGAAAAUUUUAAUUUAUAGUGUGUAAAUAUAUGUACAAAGAAAGUUGCCCUUCUUAAUUUUUUACAAUUUUAGUUUUUAUUAUGAGAGUUUAUAUAUAUUUAUAAUUAAAGUUAAUAUUUAAUUUUUUUAGAUAUCAUAUAUUUAAAUGAAUGAAAAUUAUUUUGAAAAUAACAUAUUCUCUCUAAAAAAAAAAAUCUUGGCUCCGUCACUGUUCCCAAGUCCUCGACAGUUCCAGCUUAUGAGAUACAUUGGGUUCGGAGGGACUUGCUUUGAGAACCAGUUGUAAGCACAAAUUUCGUUGCCUAAAAUAAAAGACAAGAAAACUUGCACAAAUAUCAAAUUUAUUAUAUUAAAUAAUAAGUAGGUUACAAUCUCUGAAAAUUCUUGAAUCAAAGAAAUUAAUCCCCUGAUUCUUCUCUUCGAAUAGCUUCAAUUGAAGGGCCGAAAAACUUGUUCUCCAAUCGAAAGGGUGUUUCCUACAAUUUCGGCGUAGAAAACGAUUGACUUGAGGAUGACGUCGAACACUUGGAACUCUUAAGUCUUCAACACCAAUGGCAAGAGGAUUUGUUUGACUUGAUUUGGACUUAGAUAGAAGGAAAAGCUCUUGAGAGAAUUUGACAGAGUUUCUCCGAAUGUUAGGAAUUUUUCUAUAUCUUUGCCUUGAGAGAAGACCUUUAUUUAUAGCCAAAAUAUGUAGGCUAAGUCUUCAAGAAAACCCUCCAGAUAUCUUCCUGCAUUUUGGGUAACUUAUAACUCAAGAAACCCAUUUAAUUUGGGCUUAACUAGUGGGCCAACCCAAAUGGUCCAUGGUGAAUUAAUAAAGCAAUCAAUUCACUCUAACUUAAAUGGAUACUAUGAAUUUAAUUUGAUUUAAUAGCCCAUAUAAUAUUGGCCCAAUUUGUCAGUCCAAAGCAUAAUGGACUUCUAUAAUUUAAUUUAAUUUAAUCAAGAUCGAUUUAAUUUAAAUAAAUCUUGACUAAAUAAAUUAAAUAAAUUUUCUUUGUCUAUAAAUGCCCCCACUUCAAGACUCAAUUGGGACUUGCUUGUCAAGGAUGUAAUUGAAACUUGAAGUACUUAAUUUUUUUUUUUUCAAGAGAAGCCAAUUCCUUUGCCGAUUUGGUGGGCAAGCAACAAGAGCCUGGGUUAAUACAUGUGAUCGAAGAUCAUAAAAAAGUCUACACCAUUCACGGAUUACAUGUGGUCUACGGCAAAGUGUGAUGCAUAGGAUUAUUCCCCAUGUCAUUACAAUGCAAUUGUUGCAAUUAGUCUUGAAACUCAAUGGCUUGGCAAUUGCCAAAGCCAAUUGUAUUGCCCGAAUUGCUGCUCUGUUGGUCUUUGGAAUUCCAUUGGACACUAGUCCAAGUGACUACCAUUAACUUAAAGUUGCAAUACAUUAAAGACACCAAACAUUAAAGCUCAAACGUUCCAAUCGAUUUUAUUCCGACAAGAAUGGUCCCAUGUCCCUUGAAGACUUUGCUCCAUAGACAUUCUUCACCUAGAAGUUCCAGUAGGCGCCGUUAAUUUAAUUUCACUUUCAGCAACUUCAAUGUAGCCUUAUUUGCAUUAGGAAUCCUUCUAUGACCAUUGCACCGCCUAAACAUUUAAUAAUCAAAGCAUGGCUACCAAUUUGUUUGGUGGAAACUUCCCAUUCAAUACUUAUCAUGAAACUUCCACUUUAGAGAGCCGAAACGUGGUGCAAAGAUUAGGAAAUGUCUUCACACUUCGACACUCAAAAUUACAUGCGGCAGACUUGCUAAAUCGUAUUGAUAAUUUCCAAUUUGCAUCUCAAGCUGCUGACUACCAAAUCUUGUCCGUGGCACUUGGCAAUAUGGAAUUUGCUAAGUUUCAACACUUCCUAAAUCGCAAAUGUAUUCCCAAAACCAAUGUUGGUAACUUCUGAACGCCGAAUUUCGAGAGCUUCCCAAAUUGACUUCCAGCUUUUGAAAUUAUUCUUGGGAACCAAAUUCAUGUGAUUCCAAAAGUUAAAUGAUAAUCACUGAAUUUAGUAGCUGCCCAAAACUUAAAACUUCCUAAACUGAUUCAGUUGAGCGCCUUGUAGAGCUCCACAAGACAUUCUUUUUCUUUUCUUUUUUUCGUCUUGAAGCUGAGCAAUUUGGAAUUCCUUUGGCAUUGCUUCUUUUGGAAAUUGGAUCCAAGUUGCUAAAAUUCUCGUGGUGUGGCUUUGUACUCAAGUUGAUUUGGGCAUAGAAUAAUGAUUCCCGUGGCUUCAACUUUUAAGGAAUCAUAAGACCACUUCCCUUUUGACUUGCAAUUGAUUCCAAGAGAAUUAGAAAGAUACCACUUUCAAUCAUUUCCAUAUUCCAUGAUGCGGCAAACCAUUAGAUAUCCAAACUUAAUGUUGCUAAGAAAAAGUAAUUGCUAAAAACAAUGCUAGGCAAUUGCCAUUGCCACGCAAUCAGUGUUCAUCAAUUUGGGAAUUGUCCAAACCAAUUAGACAAUGUAGGUUCACAAAUUUCAAUAGCCUUCCAACUCCAAUAUAAAUCCUUUGAAGUGAAUAUGUAACUUCUAAAUUAGCUAUUGGACCCAUAUUUCCAAGUUGCAUGAUUUCUAAAAUAAUCAGAACUUGCCAAAUCUUGAAUGAAGCAUCAGUAGGAAGCUUGCUUAACACUCCAAUUGCUAUAAGCAAUCACAUGCAACUUCCUCAUAUUUUAAGCGUAACCCAUUUUUGGAAAUUAAACCCAAGCUAUUGGAGUUGUAUCAUUGCAGCGCCUUGUUAGGUGCCAAAAACAAAUUUAUUGCCCGGAUGGUAGCCUCAUUGACCUUUCGGAAUUCCACUGGACAAUUUCGGAAAAGGAGAAAAAGAAGUAAUGCUCCACUUUCUCAAUUCACUCAAAUGUUUAAAGUAACCAGCCAUAUUUUGAAAUAAGGAAUGGAAACAUCCAAUUGGGUGUCACUGCAGCAGGUUGGCAAUUGCUAAAGUCAACUUAUAUAUAAUUGGAAAUGACCAAUUAACAACUUCCGAAACCGAAUCCUACUGCCUACCAUCGCUUACAAAAUUAUCAUUUCUUUUUUUCGAAAGUGGAAUCAAUUUCCCUGUUCCUUAGCUCCCAAAACCUUUAUAUACAGAACCUCUGCUUGCCCAAGCUUUUCAAAACUAAUAGUAAUCUCCGGCUUGUCCUCAGAGAGAACGAUCGGCCAGUUCAGGUAAUAAUCAAUCUUGCCUUCACUUUAAUUUGUCCUCAACCUUGCUGAAAUUUGCAUGUUGCCAUGCUACCUUUAGUUGCUUGUCGACUAAAGUCAGUGAAGCCAAGCACAGAGGAUUGCAUGUGUUACGACUAUUCGGCCAGUGGUUUCUUCAUGUUGCAAUUUAUUAAUAAUUGAUCCAAUCCCAAGGCCAUUCAAGCUUUUGUUUGUUGUUUUAUAUGCAAUACAUGUUUCUUUUGUUUCAAGCCACGGCACUUAGAAGCGGGCCAAGUCCAUAGUGUUUUUUUUUCCUCAUGCCAAUUUAAUUGAUAGUUGACACGAAGUGCUCAUCAACCCAUGCCAUGCAUCACGACUUUCUUGAAAAUGCUUCCUUCUUAUGAAAAUUUUUUGUUUUUAGUUGCAGCAUGUAUUGACACCCUUUGAAGCGAGUUGAUGCUCCAAUUGUGUUCGCCAUUUUAGGACCAUAGCUCUUAGCAUUCAAAACGCUAAGGUAACUUUCAUAUUUCAUGGUUUUUACCUCUUGUCAAGAUUUUUUUUUUUUUUUUUUUGUGUGACAUGAAAGGAAGAUCUUUUGACACAUUAUCUGUAUGGUGGACACUCAAUUUGAAGAAGGUGCAACCGCAAACUCCCACGAGAGCCAUAUUAUGGCUCGAGGAGUACAUGAAAAAGGUGCAACCAAGAAAUUUGAAGAAGGCGCAACCGCAAACUUCCACGAGAGCCAUAUUAUGGCUUGAGGAGUACAUGAAGGAGAUGACACAACCAAAAUUUGAAGAAGGUGCAACUGCAAACUCCCACAAGAGCCUAUCAUGGCUUGAGAAGUACAAAGGAGAUGGCGCAGCCAAAAUUUGAAAAAGGUACAACCGCAAACUCCCAUGAGAGCCUAUCAUGGCUUGAGGAGUACAAAGAGGGAGACGCGAUUUCCCACUUUAACAAAAAAAACUCACCCAAAAUUCAAGAAGCCUUUUACUAUCUUCGAUCAUGCCAUUUUAACCAAACUUUCUUUUUCCUUGCUUUUGUUACAGGUUGGUCUUGAUGCAAUGGUGGUGUUCAAGGAAGUCACAUCUUCAAACGAAAAGUAUCUCCUUAUCGCUGACAGCGAUGGUGACUCUGGUGACAAAGCAACGAAAUUAUUGAUGCAUUUUCCUAUACAAGGAACUUACUCUGGUAAGUGGCUUUCUCACCAGUACCCAGAAUUGAAGGACUGGUCACUUGAACUUCCUCAAGAUGAUGGCGCGAAGGUUCACUCCUUGAAAUCCCUUAUUCAUGAUAAGGAGCCAAGGACAACUCCUUUUCAAACCCUUGGCAGGCGGAUCAUAGACGGAGAUGCACACUGGGAUCCUUCCUUGAGACUCAGUGGUGCAUUCACUUACAUCGAGAAUUAUUGGGAGUGGUUGGAGGAUAUCCUCGGUAGGAGCAAACAAGUGCUCCGUGAGAAUUGCUUGUUUGACGCCUUAUAUGCUUCGCUUUUCACAUAUGAUAGGAAUCCCCAUAUACUUAGGGCAUUCUGCGAAGCGUAGUGUCCGGACACUAAUACCUUGCAUACAUCUGUCGGGGAAUUGUCUCUCUCACUUUGGAAUUUGCACAAGUUAGGAGGACUUCCAAUCAUUGUGGGUAUCUAUGAAGAGGUAAUCCCAUGCGCGGAGGAGCUAACUGGAGUUAAUGAAAAGAAAUUAAGGCAUAUCCCACAAAGUUGUUAGUAUUUGUUUGCAGCCUUACAUCAUCUUCAACAUGGGGAAUCCAACAAAGCUGGAGUUUCUGCUGCCCAAUGGAUUAAUUUCUGGUUUAAAGGCACAACCAGGUACUCAAAGCCAAAGCAAAGAAGGAUAAAGAGGGCAUCUCAUGCUCAAGCGAUCCAAAAUCCGGAUGGCGAAAUUGGACAACCACGCAAAUUUUCAAGUCAAGACAAUGGGGUAUUUGAUACCAUCGGAGUUAAACUUCACUUGCGGGAAGAGACCUAUCUUACAGCAUUUAUAUCUUGCUGGCUCUGUGUCUUUGCUUUACCAGAUGAGGACCUCCAUUAUAUUAGACCAUCUACUUUCAAAAUGGCUAGUAUGGUGGCUGCCGGUCGUAAGACUUGCCUUGCUGUUCCUGUCCUGCUAAACAUAUACCAUGGGCUCGAUAAGAUUUCAAACUCAGCUACCCCAGGGUGUGCACGUGCGGCUUUUCUGGUGCACUACGUAUAUGCUUGGUUAGCGACUUAUUUCUCUACCUAUUAUUUUACUCCAAACACCAUGCCUGGACCCACCAUGACCAACUAUUCUGGAGAGGGUGGCGCACGAUACUUUGAUGAAAAUAGUGCUCGCGACCUCAUUCAUCAGGGAGAUAAAACAACUUGGGGAAUCACUUCUCUUGUGAAGAACCGCAAUAAACUUUUUAUUGACAAUGAAAAAUUAGCGAAUCUCGAACUAAGUUAUUUUGUAAGCGUCUGCUCAAAUUACUUAGUUUUGCAUGCUGAAAGGGAUUUUCUUGUUGAGCCAUAUAGUCCAUAUAGAUUCGGGCGGCAAUUCGGAUUUUAUCAAGUUCUUUCACAAGAACUCGGGGCAGAUAUUCGUUCUACAAAUUAUGACUUGAGUCGAAUACUCUGGCGCACUGCCAUUCGCAGUAAAACAGAGUCAAAGGUACUUUUUCUUAGCUAUCCCUUGAAUGCUAGCAAGCACACAUCUUUAGGUUUUCAAACAUGGUGGUCUGUGGUGCAUGAUAAUCAUCUCCUCAAAGGGCGUGAUGCUUUGAUUAAGAGUAUCCAAUCAAAUGGGGAGCAGAAGAAGUCAAAAGGGAAGGAACUUGCAAACCUGAACAAUCCCUCCAAGGUUGUCAAUAGUCUUGAGAUGAAGCAAAUGACUGUGAGAAGUGAGAAGAAAAUUUUGAAGAGUUCAAGCAACAAGAUUGCUACCCCUGAGAACCUUACUCCUAAUGAACAAUUUUCGAAGGGUAUUUCAUUUCAUCUUCCUUCAAAAAUUGUGAAGGCUAUUGAUCAUGAUUCUUGCAAUUCACAUGAGAAGAAGAGGAGCGAGCCUUUUGAUGAGGAGGAUGAGUAAUCCACUGGCACGGACCAGCAUUGGAAGCGCAAGAAGUCCAAGGUAAUGACUCUCCCUUUAGAUGAUAUUGGUUUAGAUCCUAAAGAACUCUUUAAAGACAUUCCGGAUAUAUCUGUGCCUGGUAUAAGUCGUGCCAAUAUUGUAAGGACCCUCCUUGCCUUCUUUAAUUUAGCAUUUGAAAUUUGCUCGUUAAUAACGUUUUCCCUACAGUUGGAUGAUCAAGACUUGAUCUUAAUUGAUGAUGGAGAACCAAGCCAAGCAUCAGUUGAAGGACCUACUGCAUUUGAACUUUUGGCCAAACAAGUGGUCAGUUCUACCCAACAAAAGGGUGCUAGUGAGAAUUCCAAAAAGACAGUAGAUGAUGGAAAUGUGAUUCAGCAAAUCACGUCACAGAAGGCGGAACAUAUGACUCCAUCGGCCAAAAAGAAACUCAAAGUUUUCGAUCCACCAUCGUGGCCAAGGGCACCUCAAAUGUCUGAAUUUUGCCCCCAAAGUGUGAUCUCAACAUGCCAUCGAGACUAUAUCCAAAUGUUGUGGAAUAACUUGAGGGUGAUGAUAUCUCAAACAGUCUUGGAGCGCAUGCCUGCUCUUGAAAUGAAAGCAAGCAAAAUCAUGGAGGAAAUGCAAAGCUUCAAUGCCACGGAUAUCUCAAAUUUGCAAGGCCUUUUAAAGGCUUUCUUUGCAAAUGCAGCUCGUUACGUUGCAGUGAAAUCUUCUCUCUCAAAUAAAAUUUCAGUUGAAUCAGAUAAUGAGUUGCUUUCUACGGCCACCCAACAUCUUAGAGAUGCUCAGAGUAAGGAGAAACAACAAGCGGAAAAGAUCACAAUGCACAUGUUGAAACUUAAGGAGAUUGAUCGCGAGGAAGUAGAGUUGAGGAAGCGACUUGAGUUCUUGGAUACUCACAGGAAGGAGACGCUUUCACUGCUACGAGAAGAGCAAGAUGAACUUACCCGAGUGCAAGACGUGAUGGUCGACUUACGAUAUGAAGUUCGAAAGAUUGAGGAUUCCCCGCCCCUACUUGCUGAGGAGAGUCAAACUUUGGACAAGAUACAAGCAUUACUUGAAAACAACCGAAAGGAGCUGUCGUCGUUUGAAUUCUAGAAAUAGUUGCAAUCUUUUACUUUGUUUCAAAUUUCAUCUUUCGUUAAUUGCUCAAAUCGUGUAGCUCUGAGUACAAGCACUUCAUAAUGAAACUUGAUUUUUUUUUUCCUUUUCAUCAUAUUCUUGCAGACGUCCUCGUCUUUAUUUACUCUUUCAAUAGCAACCAUUUUAGGCUAUCAACCGUAAUACAAACAAUUCCAUCUUUGCAUAAUUUCGAUCACACUUGAAAAGGUAAUUAUCCAAAUAAUUUGGUAAUCUAAAUAAUAUACUUUCAAGUAUAUGUCACAAAAUAAUUCGAACUGUCUUAAAGAGAACCGCUCUUUAUUUUUUUGCAACAAAAGAAUCAUCCGGACAAAGGCUUUAGUUUUAUAGGAUUGUAACUGAACUUAGAAACUAUCCUCUAAGCUGCCUACGUAUCCCCAGGAGGGAAUCAAGUCACACAUAGUUCCUACCGUUCACAGUUUAAACUCUUGUGGGUCAGGAGUAUCCUUUUGUUUACCAAAUCACCUAAAAAUGAAUUUUUCAAAGGAAAAAGUAGAAAAACCCCUUUUAAACGACUCCUAAUCUACGUAAAUCAAAGAAAAAGGUUCGGGAGUCACAUUUGAAGAAAGGGAAGGCAAGAAAAAAAUUUUGAGGCACCCUUUCGACCUAACCAAGGCUAGUUUCGUGAUUUAGUCAAAGAUUUUCUUAUUUUAACCUAAAGAUUUAUCACAUUUGGAUGUACUAUAUGAAUGCAAACCCUAGACCUAGGAGGGUAUCGGGGGGUCAAAAUUUCUCUUCAAAACUCGAAUGGUGCCCAUCACAUUAAUCGUGACACCCAAUAGUGACUCUUUGGAGAAGUUACGAAUAAUGCAAAAAUAUGAGACUCUAAGAAAAGAAAAGGGAUAAAAUAAUUAUAUAAAUAUACAUGUCUUAAAGGAGUGCAUCAUGUCGGGUACGGGGGACUAAUAUUCGUGACCCGAUUUUCCCUUUAAUAGAGGGAAUACGAGCGUGCUAAGGCUAGAAAACCAAACUCGUCCAUAUCCCAUAUUCAAGGGGUAUUCCCUAAUCUAAUCAAGCAAAUUCACUACCCUAAUCCUAAUUUUAAAAUGAAAUGCAAUUCUAAUGUUAUGUAUCAUACAUAGGGGUAUAUAUAUAGGGAAAUUAGGGAUAAGGGCUAUACGUAUAAGGGGAAUAUCAUACAAAAUGAUAAAAGACCCUAGAAAGUGAAAAAUAUGCAUGAGAUGAAAUGAUUUUAUCAUACAAUCAUGAUCAAACGCGCGAAGGGGUCCUAAGGGUCUAGCGUUGGACUAACCCAUAUUCCUACUUUCUCACUAGCGUUGGACUAGUGAGAAAUCGAAUAAGGAAACCACAACUAGCGUUGGAAUAGUGUGGUAUCGAGAAAUGGAUCACAACUAGCGUUGGACUAGUGUGAUAACGUCACACAUUAAUUAUAAUCUCAUAAAAACAUAAUAACGCGAGUAAACAGAUAACAUCACAUAAACACAUAACACAUAGUCAUGAUAUCUAGAUGCAAGACCCUAAGAAAGCGGUAACACAUAGCACGUAAGCAUGCAAAUUACACAAGCGAAAAGAAAACGAAUAAAACCCUAGCUAUUACAUUUGAGGGGGGCCUAUUACAAUCUAACGGGGAAAAAAUGAAAAUAAAUAAAAUAAACCUAACUAUUACAACUUGGCAUUUAAUGCCUUUUAAAUAAUCAAAAUGAACUAAAAUAAAUAUACGAAGUUAAGACGACUAAAGCGAAUAAAUAAAUAAAUAAAAUGAAAACAUCCAAAAGGCAUGCGAUUAAACACAUAAAUCACAUAAGUACACAUAGGGUCAAAUAAAGUAAAAAUAAGAGAUAGAGUGUACCUCCCUUGAGUUGGUGUCCUAAUGAAAUGAAUUUACUUAUUUACCCCCCAAAAACAAAGAAAAUGUCAAGGCAUCACUUUGAUUAAAAAAAUAAUCACACGAAAUGAAAAUAAACAUGAAAUUGAAUCACCCAAACCAUUCAAAUAAACUAAAUAACUCAUAUUCAUCAAGUUGAAACCAACAAGGAGCCAAUUGAAACAAUUAAAGAAGUUAAAGGGGCCAAUUUGAUUGAUUUUUCCAAUUUUCUGGCCAAUAGUAGAAUUAAACACAAAUUAAGGGGUUAAAAUGCAAUUUUUCCUUUUGGUUUUCAUGCAUGCACACAUAGAAAAAGCUCUGUUUCUUCAGCGCUAUUUUCCUUCUGCAAUUUCCUGUUGUAAGCUUAUUAUUCGUGCCUUCUUGCACAACCAAGGAAAAGGAAACUAUAGCAUGGAAUUCCAACAAGAAAAUGAUUCCGAUCCUCCAAUAUAAUGACCAAGAACAUCAGCGAAAUUACUCAAUUCUGUCCAUUGAAGCUUCUAAAACAGAAAGGAAUCGUGCAAUGACAGCAAAGACACCACCGAUAAGAAAAGGAAGGAAAGAAGAAAUAAAACAAACAAUCAACACGUAUGGCCCAAGAUAACUAACGGGAAACUUCCUAUAACCUGAGUUGAUAGGAUCCGGAAACAUAACAAACCCAAAAUAAGAACUAUGAAACAUCAAAAUCUUAAACCCCUUCAAAAAUCUGGAUUUUUCUGGUUAAAAAGAACUUUGGGGAGGAGAAACCAUUUCAACACUCAUCCCUGCCAAACACCGAACCCCAAAAUAACAGAAAGCAGAGAGGCUACACCCUGCUAUGACCAGAACAACUGAUUGUGAGCUUCAACCUCAAUUAGCACAACUGAUGCUUCAAAAAAAAAAAUGCAAGGGACUCUACGGCUGCAACGAAUGGGCUUGCCAUGUUGCAGCCUGCUGUGACACCGCACCUUGCUGCUUUAAAUUGCAGCAAGCAUAUACACAGCAUCACUAACACACAGCAAACAGACCCAAAUGAAAACUCAGGCCAAACCAGAACCUCAAUCACCAAAAAAGAAAUUCAGUUUUGUCUAAUCGCUGCAACAAACCAGAAGCUUCAAGCUUGUUGCUUGUUGCAGCAGAUUUUCGUGCACGAAUCCCAGCCGAAUCAUGCAGCCGAUGCUUUUUAUUUCAAAACUCAUGCCCAAGAUACACAGGACAGAAGAAAAAAGAAAAACAAUGGCAAGAGAGACAUCAAAGAGUAAACAUGAUAAAGCUAUGGAACAAGCUCAAUAAACCAGCGGCAAGAAGGUUUGACAGUUCAUGCAUCUUCUUAGCAGAAACCUAAUUUCCUACACUGCAAUUUCUGGGUUUCAUGCCAAAAAUCCAAACAAGUACCAAACUUCCAACCCAAGCCAACAAUCAAAAUUGAAUCUUGUAGUUUGUACUCCUAAGAAUUCUCAGACCCAACUUGUACACACAAACAAGGACCCAAGGUGCGACCUUUAGUUCAUCGGAUUACAUAUAUGGGAAACAUGAUCGGUUCAUGGAUUCUCGAUUGGCAUUUCUCUAGUUCAGAUUCACUUUAAACGAACCAAGGGGGCGCUACCAGGUUUAUCAAAAUCACAACAACAUCAACAAGUAAAUCCACAAUCAUCGCUAUCAAGCAUUGACAAUCAUAGAAACUUGAAAAAAAAUGAACAUCUUCAUGCAUAGGGGACCCAAAACUCUAUAAAAACCGUAUUAAACCAAGAGUUUACAAUCACCUGAUGAUGAUUCUUUGACGAGGCUGAGGCCAAAGAAGAUGAGCCGGAGUUGACUUCUAUGGAAUUUCUGGAAAAGAAGCCUCCUGGUUUCUUCCUUGCUUCGGUUCUCCUCCUGCAACUUCUUUUCUUCCUUUUGCUUCCACGAAACCCCCUCUCUCUGUUUCACUCUCGGUUCUCUCUAGUUCUUUUCUGUCUCUUCUCUCAUUCUAUCUCCCAACCCUAAAGCUUCCUCAGCCGUCCGUGUUCCUUUUUCAUCUGCCCCCCCUUUCCUUUCUUGCCGUCUCUUUUCUUUUCAUAGAGAAUCACCAGGUCCCUAAAACCCUCAAAGUUCAUCUUGAUAGCUCACAAAAUGAUUUCAACACCCCAGCCCCCCUCCUAGCCAUUGAUCAUGGCUUUGAAUUGGAGCUCCUAGAUGGAGUCAGAUGGCCGGUACUUGUCUAAUCUAACGGAGCCAGAAAACACAGCAAGAAACCGCAGAAGCUAUCUUUUCUUCAUUUUUUUUCUUUUUCAUCAUUCAUUUCAUUUUUCAUUUUUUUUAACAAAUAAAGCAGUAAAAGUCAAAUAAAAAUAAGAUUAAAACAAAUGAAAUGCCCUAAAAAAUUUAAUUUUGAUUGAUGGUUUUUUUUCUUUUUCUUUUUUUUUUCAUGAAUCAUUUAAUUAAACAACAAUAACUAAAAAUAAAAAUUUAAAUAAAAACUUGAAUAAAAUGAACAAAACUAGGAACAAAAGAUAAAACAAAAGGCUAAGAUUUUUUCUGUGUUUGAUUAAUGAUUUUUUUCUCUUUUUUUUCAAUUAAUAAACAGUAAAAAAGAAAUAAAACAUAUUUUAUUUUUAUUUUUUUUGUGAAUAAUUUCUCUUUUAACAAAUUUUAUGCUAAAAGUCUUAAAAAUAAAGAUAAACAGCCAAAAAGGCAAAAACGAAUACAAAAUAAAAACUAAAAACUAAAAUAAAAUAAUAGAUAAUAAUAGUAAUCUAAAAUGCUAUACAAAUGCUAAAAGAAGUCUAAAACCAAAAACAUGAAAUUAACAAAUAAAAAUAGAUAAGAAUUAUCACUAAAAACAAAAAUAAAAUAGAAUAAAAAUUAUUCAAAAAUUUGGUGUCUACAGUUUGCCCCUCUUUGUCUGAGUUUUGGAAAAACUUGAGACAAAGAAAUAGACAUCAAAUACUUACCUGUGGUUAUCCGGCUGCAAACUAGUCAAACGACUGACGCUUUUGGAAUGAGGACUGACCUGAAACAGGAAUUUACAAUCGGGACUGACCUGAGACAGGAAUUUAAAAUCGAGACUGACCCAAGACAGGAAUUUGAAAUCGGGACUGACCCGAGACAGGAAUUUAAAAUCGGGAACUGACCCGAGACAGGAAUUUAAAAUCGGGACUGACCCGAGACAGAAAUUUAAAAUCGGAGAAAUUCCAGUAUACUUACCUGAAAAAAACCCAAAAUUUUUUUUUUUUUUAUUUUCAAGGUUAAGUUUUUGCUUCUGAGCCAAAGGUUGAUUCUACAUUACCGUUUUGUUGUGCCUUUGAUCAAACCUGCUUGCAACUUUUCCGAUCCGCCUUUGUUUGCUGGAAAACUUUCCGAUACCGACUCCAGUGCGAGAUGUGAUUAUUUUCAUCCAUGCAUGAAAUUUUUCUGCAAAAGAGAAAGAAUAAGGAAAUUGCCACCAUCAUUUGAUCCGGUUCCCUUUGAGAAUCGUGUAAACAUGAGUCUUUUGAUGCCUUUGUCAAUCUUUUGCUGUGGUAUCUGAUUUAGUUGGAUUUGUCACUUCCAAACGUUUCUGCUUUUCUCAGACUGACCGGGUAUGCAUUUUGUCAUAUUGUGAAAUCUGCGUAGCCAGCUUUGCUGGAUCUCAACCAUUUUCAAGAGAUGACUGUAUCCAAGUAUGCUUCGAAUAAACCACGGGGAUUGUUAUUCACCCAAAUUCAAUGACCAAAAACGACGUGUGCAAGGUAACUUCACAUGUCAUGCAGGAAUGAAUAUGCAAAAGAAUGAAAACACAACCAACUGUGCCUAAUCCUACAAAAUGCCAUGAAUACAAGCAAUUGAGGAAAAAAUGAGUUUCAUAAGAAUGUAUUUGCAAAAGAAUAUUUUUUUACAAAGUGACACAGUUUUUGGCCAACGGAUGUCAUAUUUGAAACUCUGGAUAUCUUUGUUCCGGAAUUCAAUAUUGACAGAAGUAUUAUAAAACGAAGAGAAAUCCGAAUGAACCAAGUCACCAACUAUUUUUCCUCGUGCUUGCUUGUUGCAACCCUACCUCGGCGCCCUUUCAGGUUUUCACCAAGGUUGCCCCCACCCUUUUUGCUCUUGUUUUGUUUUUCUUUUUUUUUCUUCUUUUUCUCUUUUUCCUUCUUCUUCUUCUUCUUUUUUUUUUCUUUCUUUCUUUCUUUUUCGAGGUGCCCUUUCGGAUUUUCACCUAUAGAACAAAGGAAAAUCUCGACCAUAAUCGACUCAGGAAUAUAAGUUGAAGAUCGCUGGCAUCAGUAAAAUGCGCUUCCCUUAUAAGCUUAGGCGAAGGCAUUAUGGACAUCACUUGCCAGUUGAUUAGCAAUUUCUUAAUAGAAAUACAGCAAAUGACGAAAGCCAGGACUUUGGGCUUUUAUAAUGAGGCCAGGUGGGGUGUUUUCAAAAAAAGUUGAGCCUUGAAAGUAGAUUUGAUGAGGUGUGAAAUAACCUGAGAUUGCAAUCAUUUUGAAAUGAUUUCCACUUUUGAACAAAGCUAAGGAAAAUUUGCCCCAGUUUGAUUGGAUUUUCUCUCUUUGCAUUUUUCAUUGCAUUUUCCUUACUUUUGCAUUUUUCUUUAGAGAACUAAAUUUGCCCCAGUGUGGGGGUUUUCUUUUUUCCUGAUCAUCUCUCUUUCACAAUAAAUUUGCUCCAGUGUGGGGUUUGCAAUCCUCAUGGGUUGCCAAACGAAAAUUAUUAGUCUGAUAGCUCAAAAGGGACGACUAGAGAUUGAAUGUUUCAAGUGAAAAAGAAGAUGGCCUGACUUGCAUUUCAUCAUUUGCACGAAUUUCUAAAAGAAGUUUUGCAUAAUCAAAUGAAGAAUUUCUUGCACAUGUCUGAGUUGAUAGGUUGAGGAAAUGUUUGUCCAUCCAUUUCUGCCAAAAUGAGUGCUCCGCCAGGUAAUACCUUCUGAACAAUGAAUGGCCCUUGCCAAUUCGGAGCAAAUUUGCCUUUGGCCUCAUCUUGCACUAGCAAAAUCCGUUUCAGCACUUUGUCGCCUUCCUCAAACGUACGCUGAUGGACUUUCUUAUUGUAGGCCCGGGCCAUGCGAUUUUGAUAACAUUGACCGUGACAAAUAACAUUAAGCCGUUUUUCAUCAAUCAAAGAUAGUUGUUCAUGACGCUGCUUUAUCCAAUCAGCUUCUUCCAACUUAGUUUCCAUAAGAAUACGCAGUGAGGGUAUUUCAACUUCGGCUGGUAGUAUGGCCUCCAUCCCAUACAUGAGUGAGUACGGGGUUGCCCCAGUCGAUGUUCGGAUAGAAGUCCGAUAUGCCAUUAGUGCAUAAGGGAGCUUUUCAUGCCAAUCACGGUGCCUUUCAGUCAUUUUGCUAAUGAUCUUCUUCAAAUUCUUGUUUGCGGCCUCCACGGCUCCGUUCAUCUGCGGUCUAUAGAUGGCAGAGUUGCGAUGUUUGAUUUUGAACUGUUCGCAUAGCCCGUCCACCAUAUCAUUGUUGAGAUUCUUGGCAUUGUCUGUAAUCAACGUUUCUGGCACCCCAAAUCGGCAUAUGAUGUGAUCUCUUAAGAAAUUCGCCACCACCUUCUUUGUCACGUGCUUGAACGAUUCCGCUUCGACCCAUUUGGUGAAGUACUCAAUUGCCACCAAUAUAAAUCGAUGCCCAUUUGAAGCAGGAGGGUCAAUUGUGCCAAUCACAUCCAUACCCCACAUCGAGCAGGGCCAUGGGGCAAUCAUACUGUGCAAUUCGGUGGGAGGAGCGCGUAUGAUGUCGCCAUGCACUUGACAUCUAAUACAUCUCCGGACAAAAUCUAUGCAAUCGCGUUCCAUUGUAAGCCAAAAAUACCCAGUUCUCAUGAUUUUCUUUGCCAACAAAUGUCCAUUCAUGUGAGGUCCGCAGACACCGCUAUGCACCUCCUUCAUCAUGUAUUGAGCUUCAUCUUCAUCGAUGCACCUUAAGAGGUUCAAAUCUGAGGUCCUUUUGUAUAAUACCUCUCCAUUUAAGAAAAACUUCGAGGCCAUUCUGCGCAGGAAACCCUUGUCAUUUGCACUAGCUUCUGGAGGGUAAGACCCGGUUUUGAUGAAUUCCUUAAUAUCAUUGUACCAAGGGUUUUUGUCAGAUGUUUUGUCUACGACCCAACAAUGAGCAGGCUUGUCUUGGAGUUGAAUUCGGAUAGGCUCGAUUUCUAAUUCGUCCGGAUAUUGUAUCAUAGAAGAUAAGGUGGCUAAAGCAUCGGCAAAUACAUUUCGGGUUCGUGGGAGAUGUCUGAAUUCCAAACUUUGAAAUUGUCUAGCCAAAUUAAGCAAAUUACAAUGGUAUGACAGGAUCUUUGAAUCUUUAGUUAUCCAUUGUUUCAAUGUUUGGUGUACGAGUAAAUCUGAAUCACUGAAGGCUAUUAACUCUUUAACUUCCAUUUUCAAAGCCAUUUUAAGACCAAAAAUACAUGCUUUAUACUCGGCCAUAUUAUUUGUGCAAGCAAAUUGCAAUUUAGGGGCUCCAGGAUAAUGCUUCCCUUCCGGGGAUACAAGAACUGCUCCGAUUCCAACUCCAAAAGAAUUAGCUGCACCAUCGAAAAACAAUCUCCAUUCAGGGCACCGCUCACUCAUAUCUUCUACGGCACCAACAAAUAAAAUCUCCUCAUCAGGGAAAUAGGUAUGGAGCGGUUGAUAAUCAUCGUCCUUUGGAUUUUCUGCCAAAUGAUCGGCUAUCUUGUCCCUUGACGGCCUUUUGCAAAGUGAAAACAAUAUCAAACUCUGAAAGAAUCAUCUGUCAUUUGGCCAGACGCCCAGUUGGCAUCGGCUUCUCCAAGAGGUAUUUCAGAGGAUCGGAGCGGGAGAUGAGAUAGGUGGUGUGAUUUAGCAGGUAGUGUCAAAAUUUUUGAGCUGCCCAAGCCAAUGCACAGCAGUUUUUCUCAAUAAAUGAAUAAUUAGCCUCAUACUGCGUGAAUUUCUUGCUAAGAUAGUAGAUGGCUUACUCUUUCCUUCUAGAGUCAUCGUGCUGCCCCAGAACACACCCUACUGCUCCGUCGAGCACAGAUAAGUAUAUGAUCAAAGGCCGGCCCGGUUUGGGUAGCACUAGAACCGGAGGCUGCAGCAAAUAAUCUUUAAUCUUGUCAAAAGCUUGUUGGCACUCCUCAUUCCAAUGCAACGGCACAUUCUUUUUUAACAACUUGAACAGCGGUUCACACGUCACGGUUAAUUGGGCAAUGAAUCUCCCAAUGAAAUUAAUCUUCCCCAAAAAACUUUUCACAUUUUUCUGCGUCUUUGGCACUGGCAUGUCUCGAAUUGCCUUGAUCUUUACCGGGUCUAUCUCUAUGUCCUUUUUGCUGACAAUGAAGCUUAACAAUUUACCAGCUGGUGCUCCAAAGGCGCACUUUGCGGGAUUUAACUUCAAAUUGUACUUUCGCAACCUUUCAAACAACUUUCUUAAAUCAAUCAAAUGGUCCUCGGCUUUCUUGGAUUUGAUUAUAAUGUCAUCCACGUAGACCUCCAUCUCCUUGUGGAUCAUAUCGUGAAACAAAGUAGUCAUAGUCCUUUGAUAAGUAGCUCCGGCAUUCUUUAAACCAAACGGCAUUACUCGAUAGCAAAAGGUGCCCCAAGGGGUGAUAAAGCAGUCUUUUCUCUAUCCUCCUCAGCCAUUAAAAUCUGAUGAUAUCCAGCAAAAUAAUCACAAAAAGAUUCAAUUUCAUGUCCGGCAGUGUUGUCUAGAAUGAUAUGGAUAUUUGGCAAAGAAAAGUCAUCUUUAGGGCUGGCCUUAUUAAGGUCCCUAUAAUCAACACAGACUCGCACUUCUCCAUUUUUCUUUGGAACAGGGACUGGAUUCGAGAGCCAAACAGGGUAAUGGGAUACAAUGAUAAUAUUAGUCUUAAGCUGCUUUUCAAUUUGCUCUUUUAUUUUGAGGCUCAUAUCUGGUUUGAAUUUACGGGGUUUUUGCUUCACUGGUGGAAAAGCUGGGUUUGUGGGUAAUCUGUGCACCACUACAUCAGUCGAAAUGCCAGUCAUAUCGUCAUAAGACCAUACAAACACAUCUUGAAACAUAGACAAAAAUUCAAUCAUCUCCUCUUUCUGCUUUUUGUUCAAAUGAAUGCUGAUUUGUAUCUCCUUAACCUCAGUCUCAGUGCCAAUGUUAACAACUUCUGUUUCUUCUAGGUUCGGUUUAGAUUUCUCCUCAUAUUGUUCAAAAUCUUUUGAAAAAGAAUCAAAUACUUCCUCACUAUCACUCUCGCUUUGAAAUUCGGAUUCCAUAACUUCCAAGUCGUGAGUGAUAUAGAGAUUGUCAUCAUCAGAUUCCAGAACAGUGAUAUCCAAAGGGUCAAAUAAUUUUAUUUUUGGCCAUCUGAAAGAAUUAAGAAAUUCGAGACAAUAAGCAAAUAAACACAUAAAUGAACAACAUGAUAAAACAAACUAUGUACUUUUCAUAAAAACUUCAAAUCAAAGCGGAAACAAGCUACGAGUAUAAGUGCAAAAAAUGCCUUCAUUGAACUAUUUACAUAUGCAAGAAAAAGUUUUCAUGAACUUUAGUAAACGACAACCCCCUUUAGAUUUACCGAAACUCCUUUCGUACGGGGAGGUACUCGGCAGUCCAAUUGUGUAUAGCUCCUUCGGGAAUGUUUGGAAAUUCCGCAUCAUUUGAUGGACCAUCUUCGGAUAUUGCUCCCACAAACAAUUGAGUCAGGCUUGUCUCCACUUCGUCAAUUGGACUAAACUCAGAUGUAAUCAUUUCAGCUGGCCUUGGAAAGGUAUAGCGUAAUGGCGGAAUGUCUAAAGCACCUUGCUUGCCUUCUUUUUCUGCCCUUUUGCGUGCUUUCAUCUCUUGUAUAUCGCUGGCAGUCGGACGGAAUCCCAAACCAAAUAGGUCCUUCUUUUCGAUGAGUUCCAUGGGCUUCAGAAUGCCUUGUAGAUUACGUCCCAAUCCCUUAUCAAAUUCAUAUCCUCCGCGAAUCAUCUCCUUGGCCAUCAUAACACUGGCCGCCGGCAAAACCAUUUCGUCUUUUGAAUCCUCACUUGUUAUCCAACUCACGGAGACAAUAUCAACUGUACGGUAAGAAGACACUGAAGCAUUUCGGUUACCAUCCUCCUCAGGCUCAGAAUCGGAAAUUACAAUGCAAUCUUCUUCAGCAAAAAUGGUUAUCAGCUGGUCAUUCACUACAAAUUUCAAUACUUGAUGCAAGGAAGAGGGCACAGCGCCAGAGCUAUGAAUCCACGGCCGCCCGAGUAAAACAUUAUAGACACUAGGAAAGUGCAUAACUUGGCAGGCUAUCUGAAAUUGAGCGGGCCCCAUUUUAACCACCAAAUUUACUUCUCCUAUGGACUCCCUCCGGGCUCCAUCGAAUCCUCGUACUACGGUCUCUGAGGGUUUUAAUUUAACAUCUUGCAGCCCUAACUUCACCAGAGUGCUCCAGGGACAAAUAUUGAGAGUAGACCCAUUAUCAAUCAGUACUUUAGGCAACAUUUUCCCAUUGCACCUCGCGGCUACAUAUAAGGCUUUGUUAUGACCAGUUCCUGCCGCAGGCAGCUCUUCAUCGGAAAAAGUGAUUUGCUUAGCAGUCAAUACAUUUCCAACUAUGUGCGAGAAAUUAUUGACCGAAAUAUCUUUGGGAAUCUGAGCCUUAGUCAAAACUUCCAGUAGUGCAUCCCUAUGCAAGUCGGAGGAGAAAAGCAAGUCUAAGAUGGAAAUUUGGGCAAGCAUUUUGUUCAGCUGUUCAACCACAUUGUACUCGCUUCUCUUAAGCCUUUUAAGAAAAUCCCAUGCUUCUUCUUCGGUAACUGCGGGUUUGGUAGUCGGCUCACGAUUGCUUACUUGAGUUGGGGCGCUAGCAGUGGAUGAACUUGCAAUCCUUCCUGACCUCGUAACAACAGACACUUCUUCAUUCAAAACUCGUUUACCCCCAAUUUGCAAAACGGGUUCAUUAUAAUUCCACGGCACUUGCCGUAAAUUUAAAACCGGCACUUGUUCCGGGAAUUCAAUUACCACAGGCUCUAAAGCCGCACUUUCGGAUGGAGUUAGAUCUAAAAUGAAGGGUUUUUUGUCUUCCUCAUACGAUGCUUCCUCCAUCACAAAAUUUUGAUCCAUUAUCCCAAACACUUCUGUCUCAUUUGACAUGCUUCGGACAAGCUCUUCGAUUUCCUCAUCAUCCAUAAUAAUUCCGACAGUAUCAGUAUGCUCCGGCAAGGGGUUCUUGCUCACAUUUGGUCCUUGCUCUUCUCUUUUCCUAAUCACGAUUUCCCCUGCUUCUAACAUGUCUUGAAUCUUAUGUUUGAGGAGUCGACGGCAGUGGAGUGACCAGGUGCUCCUAAAUAAUAAGCACAAGUAGCCUGUGGAUUAUACCCAACCGGCAUGCCAUAAGGGUAAGCUGGAGGGGGAAUCACACCUAUUUUACCGGCAGCCUUUAAUUGCUCAUAUAACUGAUCCAAAGGCCUGCCUAGGUUGGUGAACGUUCAGGUACGAUUUUGAUUGUAGGUUUCAGUAGGUUGGGGAUAGUUGUAGGUGGGUCUGUUUGGUGGGGGAAAUCUUUGGUGGUAAGGAGGUCGAUGACGAGUUUGUUGAAAGUUAAGUUGAGAUAUUUGGAAAGGGGCCGUAGGCGGGUUGGCGUAGUUUGGGCAAGGUCGGGGGUAAGAGAUAUUGGUAUUGUAGACAGGGUGGGGAUUGGAUAGUAGGGAUAAGGUGGCGACUUUAUUGGUUUAUGUUGAAAUCUGAAUCUUGGUGUAGGGUUUUGAUCCCAGAUAAAGGCAGCUUCCCCCUCUUUCUUUUUAAAUUGUGGCUUUUUCCCACUACUCCCUUGUCCCUGCAGAGCAUCCAACUGCAAUUUGAGGGCAGAGACAUUAACGAUCUUCCCAACUCUUACAAAGUCAUCGUACUCUUCAAGCUUAUUGACAAUAGCGGCGAACGAGCAUCCAGUCAUGCGGAAAAUUUCUUCAAAAUACGGCGAAUCAUGUGCUUUAAUGAAAGUGCGUAUGAUUUCGUCCUCAGUCAUUGGUGGCUCGACUUUUGCAGCUAUUUUCCUCCAUCUCUUGGCAUAAGUCUUGUGGUCCUCAGAGGGUUUUCUCUUUGUUCCUUCCAACAUGGUUCGUGUCGGAGCAAGCUCACAGUUAUACUCGUACUGCCUCACAAAAGCAUUGGACAAGUCAAGCCAGGUCUUUACUUCUUCGGGUUUCAAGUUGGAAUACCAAUCGAGUACAUCUCCCUCCAGACUUUCUGGGAACAGCCUUAGAGGUAGAUUCUCGUCAUCUAUGGGCCUUCCCAACUUGUUAGCAAAUAGACGGAGGUGCGUUUUGGGAUUGCCAGUUCCAUCGUACUUGUUAAACUUUGGGGUCUUGAACCCCACAGGCAAUUGCACAUUUGGGAAGAGACAAAGUUCAUCAUAGUCUAGCACUCCUUGCUUGUUUAACCCUUGACUUUUCCUCAUAAAUUCAUCGAAACGGUCUAGGCGCUUGAGCAGCUUCAUAUCAACGGGAGCAGAAGAUUCUCCUAUCUCUGGUUUAGCUUGGACAGUAUGGUCUGGCAGGAAGGGCUCAGCAGCAGUGUGAUAAAUGGUAUGUGGCUCAGGUGGUAUAUUUGAAGUGACUUGGGGUUGUGGAUCUCGCAUGUGAGUAGGAAAAAAUGAAGGAUUGGGAGGGUAAGUGUAUGGCAAAUUUGUAGUGGCAUAGGUGAAAGUUUCUUCAGGUGAAAUAGGGAAUGACGGAGUAAAGGUUGUUUGAGUCGAAGGUAUGACAAAUGGUUCUUGCUCAGGUUGUCUGACGGGUACGGGCUCGGGUUGAACUCCGCUGCUGAUAAGCUCAUCAAUCAAUUUCCUUUGGGCCGCCAUCUCGGUAGCCAUUUCACCAAACUUAGUAAGCAUCUCGGUUAGCUGAACCCCUAAAUUCGUAGUCUCAGGUUGAGCUGUAGUAGCAGACCUAUCCGAUGGUUCCGGUUGUGAACUCAUGUUUACACGACUCCUCUGGGCUUGACUAUGGGAUCGUGUUAUGAUGGGGCUUCGACGAGAAGCUAUGUUUAAAUAUUACCUGAAAAUUUUGAAAGGAAUCGCCUUUAGAUUUAGCCCUUGCUUAGCUUUUCCAACAAAAAAUACCAAGAAAAGGAAAAAGACAAGAGUUAGUAAAUAUCCAAAAAUUCGGAUGCAUGUCCUAUUGGGGGCCCUUUUUACGCCUAGGGUUGUCCUAAUAUGAUGCAACAUCUUCAAAAUGGGACCUGUGACACAAACCUAUUUUUUACAACAAUCCUGUAUGAAUGCAAAGAAAGAUCAAUUUCAUUGAUAAACUUGCCAACAUGUUUACAUCAUGUCAAGAAGACGAUUCCGUACAAGAUUGCCAAAAUUUCUGAGCCUAUCCAAUACAGAAUCCCUAGUUUCUCUAUCAUAUGGAAUUCUAACAUGUUCAGUUUGAUCAUACAAUUCUCCGCAUUUCCUUUUCAGCUCUUGACGCUUUCCUCGCUCAUUUUCGUACAAUUGCUUGUUUUGCUCCGCUAUUCCCUUGUAUGUUUCGACAGACUUACUUAACUGCAGAAUUUCCUUAUCCCUUACUUCGAUGAUGGCUUUCAACUUUUUUACCUCCUCGGCUGGUUCAUCUUGUUUUCCUUGUGCAGCGGAUCUUCUUACCCAGUCUUCGUAUUGUGGAGUCGUCAAACCCUUCUGCUUGAGUUCCGGGGUGUAUUUAAAAUACUCGUCAUCAGAUAGCGUCACCCAUGCCUCAAUAAUUCGAUCUUUCAUAGGGAAUUGGCUCGGGCACGUUUCUUCAUUAAAAAUGAUGGUAAACUCACUUACAUCAAGUGCAGGCGGCACUUCUUGGGUACGUCCUAACUGUCUGAGAAACCUCUUUGGGGUGUAUGCGGUGAUUCCUUAGGUACCCAGUAAGAGAACAAAUUUGGAUGCUUGGGUGCGAAGAACAGGUUUAAUACAAUUGGUCCAAUCCAAUACCCAUCUAAUAUUUUGAUCGGUCACAUUCUUCAAGAAAACCACAAACUCAGAUGUAUUACAUGGUAGACUUUUUCUAUUAACCCUCUUGUGAUGUGUGACUAUCCAGUUGUACGCAAAUAUUGGUAGACUCUCAGGAAUAGACGACCGUCUCAUGAAGUGCUCCAUACCCCAUACAUGUAAAAUCCAAUUUGAACCACAAAAGAACUUUUUUUCUCUCUUAUAGGUAGUGCAGGCUACGAAGAUAUCGGCCAAAAUAGUCGAGAUAAUAGAACACUGCUUAUCUUUCACUCCUAGGAAUAGGUCAUACAAGAUUUUAGUGAGCUUAAAGACUAUCUUUUUGUCUUUUCUAGGGAAAAGAUAGGUUCCAACCAUAACCAACCCAUACACCCAAACUCUCUUUCGUUUCCACAUUUCCUUGAAAGUGAACGAGAAAUCUCCUAGGUGCCUCUCAAACCCAUCCCUUAACGCGAAUCGAUCAAAUAAGAACUUUGCCUCUAUAUUUUGGUCCGAAUCUCGUAUUGCUGAUUCCUUUAACCCGGUGAAACGAUAAAAUUCGGCCUUAUUAGACACUAAUGGAAAUAUCACGGCAGUUCCCUGAAUCGGCAAAUUGAGAAAUCCAGCGACCUCCUCAAUUGUUAUGGUCAUUUCCCUUUACCCCUAGUCUAAAAGCGGAACAAGUGGGGUCCCAUAGAUGCACCAAAUCUUCUACCAAAUAGCCAUCGGACUUAAUGUCCUUGAAAUCCCCGAUGUGUCCUAAUCGAGCGGCCACUUGGUUAAUCUAGCUGGGUGAAAGCAACGUGGGCCAUUUUUGUACCUCAAAUGGUACUACUAACAUCCGUUGGACUCGGCGAGGACUUUCCAUCUAGAAACAAAAAGCUGUUGUCAAGUACCUUACCUACAGGCCCCACUUUUCCGAUUGGCAAGAAUUUAAACAUGCAAUCCCUUGAAGGGUUACGUACCCACGGAAAAAUCAAGGUGGGUUUAAUCCUAACAACGGGAUUCCCUAAAUGGCAUUCCCUUUCUAGGGUUUAUGCAUGAUGCCAUUUUACCAAAGCACGUAAACAUGUAGUAUACAACUGAAAACGUGACCUAAAAGGACCCCUUUUAUAUGUCGGGGUGAGGCUAAAAUGAAAUGUAUUCAUGUUACAAAUGUGAAAUAUUGAAUUUAAACAUGUCACAUCAAACGGGGUAGGCUCCUAGAGAGUACCAUGCCAGGACUCUUAUUUCCUAGGGUUGAUGAAUGCAAUAGAGACGAAAACCAAGAAAAGUCAGCUCAAUCAGAUAAAUACACAUAACACGUUGCAGCAAAGCAAUACAAAGAGAUAAAGCAAUAAGAAGGUUUGGAUCCCUCCCUUCGUGAAUAGUGUCCGUAAUAGGGUAAGGCAGACUCUACCCUAGGUAAACUAUCAUGGAUGCAUGAGGUAUUGGCUCACUAAUGCAUCUAGACUCGAUAGGUUUGAGGUCCCCGAGCCCUCAGACUUGGAAACCAAAGGUCAUCAAUCCCAAGAUUCUUUGUCGGUGGCUCAAGCGAUUCCCCAGACACUGCUACGCACACGUCGUGUCACGGCUACAUGUCUGAGUGAAUCUAUCAAAAAUCCUCAACCUUCGACUAAAAGCUAAAGGCUAUUAACCCAAAGAUUAAAGCGGAAGAUUGAGUUACCCCUCGGAUCAUGCUCCGUACACGUCGUGUCGCGCUCACACGUUCAAGUGGGUCGCCUAAUCCUAAUAGGGUGGAGUGGCGUGACAAGCCACUAAAAGAAAAAUAAAUGCGGAAUAAAUAAUAAAGCGUAUGCACGUAUGCUAGUGCUCAAUUUGGAGGGGAAGGAUCGAGAACCAACGCGAGACUCUAGGGUAAAGUCCCCCUCAUCCCAAAUGCAAUGCAAAUCGUGGGAUCACAUAGAUAAACCAUUCAUCCAUCAAAUCAAUCGUACGCAAAUGUGUGAGGGAGUGAGUUGAUACGCGCGAAAUGCAAAAUCCUAAAAAAGGAAAAAUGCAACCCUAAACAUCCAAAUGCUAAAUAUGAAAAGGUUAAAAGAAGAAAAAAAUUUGACUAAAUCAAAUUUGCUCGGACUCUCUAAAUCCCCAGUGGAGUCGCCAGCAGUCGCGCCCCAUUUUUUGAAAAAGAAAAAAGUAUGAGUUUAGAAAAAUGGCUUUUGAUUCAAUUUUUGAUUAAAAAAUGGAUUUUUGAUUUAAAAAGAAAAUGGAAAAAUGUGGGUCUAAAUGGGACUUGAAAAUGCGACGAUUUGACCCAAAAUAAUAGUUUAAAAAGGGUUUUUAAAAUAAAGUUGGAGUCGCCACUUGGUAUAGAGUUAAGGUGUACCAAAUCACCUAAAAAUGAAUUUUUCAAAGGAAAAAGUAGAAACACCCCUUUUAAACGACUCCUAAUCUACGUAAAUCAAAGAAAAAGGUUCGGGAGUCACAUUUGAAGAAAGGGAAGGCAAGAAAAAAAAUCCGAGGCACCCUUUCGACCUAGCCAAGGCUAGUUGCGUGAUUUAGUCAAAAAUUUUCUUAUUUUAACCUAAAAAUUUAUCACAUUUGGAUAUACUAUAUGAAUGCAAACCCUAGAUUUAGGAGGGUAUUGGGGGGUCAAAAUUUCUCUUCAAAGCUCGAAUGGUGCCCAUCACAUUAAUCGUGGCGCCCAAUAGUGACUCUUUGGAGAAGUUACGAAUAAUGCAAAAAUAUGAGACUCUAAGAAAAGAAAAGGGAUAAAAUAAUUAUAUAAAUAUACAUGUCUUAAAGGGGUGAAUCAUGUCGGGUACGGGGGACUAAUAUUCGUGACUCGAUUUUUUCUUUAAUAGAGGGAAUACGAGCGUGCUAAGGUUAGAAAACCAAACUCGUCUAUAUCCAAUAUUCAAGGGGUAUUUCCUAAUCUAAUCAAGCAAAUUCACUACCCUAAUCUUAAUUUUAAAAUGAAAUGCAAUUCUAAUGUUAUGUAUCAUACAUAGGGGUAUAUAUAUAGGAAAAUUAGGGAUAAGGGUUAUACGUAUAAGGGGAAUAUCAUACAAAAUGAUAAAAGACCCUAGAAAGUGAAAAAUAUGCAUGAGAUGAAGUGAUUUUAUCAUACAAUCAUGAUCUAACGCGCGAAGGGGUCCUAAGGGUCUAGCGCUGGACUAACCCAUAUUCCUACUUUCUCACUAGCGUUGGACUAGUGAGAAAUCGAAUAAGGAAACCACAACUAGCGUUGGACUAGUGUGGUAUCGAGAAAUGGAUCACAACUAGCGUUGGACUAGUGUGAUAACGUCACACAUUAAUUAUAAUCUCAUAAAAACAUAAUAAAGCGAGUAAACACAUAACAUCAAAUAAACACAUAACACAUAGUCAUGAUAUCUAGAUGCAAGGCCCUAAGAAAGCGGUAACACAUAGCACGUAAGCAUGCAAAUCACACAAGCGAAAAGAAAACGAAUAAAACCCUAGUUAUUACAUUUGAGGGGGGCCUACUACAAUCUAACGGAGGAAAAAUGAAAAUAAAUAAAAUAAACCUAACUAUUACAACUUGGCAUUUAAAUGCCUUUUAAAUAAUCAAAAUGAACUAAAAUAAAUAUACGAAGUUAAGACGACUAAAGCGAAUAAAUAAAUAAAUAAAAUGAAAAUAUCCAAAAGGCAUGCGAUUAAACACAUAAAUCACAUAAGUACACAUAGGGUCAAAUAAAGUAAAAAUAAGGGAUAGAGUGUACCUCCCUUGAGUUGGUGUCCUAAUGAAAUGAAUUUACUUAUUUACCCUCCAAAAACAAAGAAAAUGUCAAGGCAUCACUUUGAUUAACAAAAUAAUCACACGAAAUGAAAAUAAACAUGAAAUUGAAUCACCCAAACCAUUCAAAUAAACUAAACAACUCAUAUUCAUCAAGUUGAAACCAACAAGGACCCAAUUGAAACAAUUAAAGAAGUUAAAGGGGCCAAUUUGAUUGAUUUUUCCAAUUUUCUGGCCUAUAGUAGAAUUAAACACAAAUUAAGGGGUUAAAAUGCAAUUUUUCCUUUUGGUUUUCAUGCAUGUGCACGUAGAAGAAGCUCUGUUUCUUCAGCGCUAUUUUCCUUCUGCAAUUUCCUGUUGUAAGCUUAUUAUUCGUGCCUUCUUGCACAACCAAGGAAAAGGAAACUAUAACAUGGAAUUCCAACAAGAAAAUGAUUCCGACCCUCCAAUAUAAUGACCAAGAACAUCAGCGAAAUUACUCAAUUCUGUCCAUUGAAGCUUCUAAAACAAAAAAGAAUCGUGCAAUGACAGCAAAGACACCACCGAUAAGAAAAUGAAGGAAAGAAGAAAUAAAACAAACAAUCAACACGUAUGGCCCAAGAUAACUAACGGGAAACUACCUAUAACCUGAGUUGAUAGAAUCCGGAAACAUAACAAACCCAAAAUAAGAACUAUGAAACAUCAAAAUCUUAAACCCCUUCAAAAAUCUGGAUUUUUCUGGUUAAAAAAAACUUUGGGAAGGAGAAACCAUUUCAACACUCACCCCUGCCAAACAACGAACCCCAAAAUAACAGAAAGCAGAGAGGCUACACCCUGCUAUGACCAGAACAACUGAUUGUGAGCUUCAACCUCAAUUAGCACAACUGAUGCUUCAAAAAAAAAUGCAAGGGACUCUACGGCUGCAACGAAUGGGCUUGCCAUGUUGCAGCCUGCUGUGACACCGCACCUUGCUGCUUUAAAUUGCAGCAAGCAUAUACACAGCAUCACUAACACACAGCAAACAGACCCAAAUGAAAACUCAGGCCAAACCAGAACCUCAAUCACCAAAAAAGAAAUUCAGUUUUGUCUAAUCGCUGGAACAAACCAGAAGCUUCGAGCUUGUUGCUUGUUGCAGCAGAUUUUCGUGCACGAAUCCCAGCCGAAUCAUGCAGCCGAUGCUUUUUAUUUCAAAAAUCAUGCCCAAGAUACACAGGACAGAAGAAAAAAGGAAAACAAUGGCAAGAGAGACAUCAAAGAGUAAACAUGAUAAAGUUAUGGAACAAGCUCAAUAAACCAGCGGCAAAAAGGUUUGACAGUUCAUGCAUCUUCUUAGCAGAAACUUGGUUUCCUACACUGCAAUUUCUGGGUUUCAUGCCAAAAAUCCAAACAAGUACCAAACUUCCAACCCAAGCCAACAAUCAAAAUUGAAUCUUGUAGUUUGUACUCCUAAGAAUUCUCAGACCCAACUUGUACACACAAACAAGGACCCAAGGUGCGACCUUUAGUUCAUCGGAUUACAUAUAUGGGAAACAUGAUCGGUUCAUGGAUUUUCGAAUGGCAUUUCUCUGGUUCAGAUUCACUUUAAACGAACCAAGGGGGCGCUACCAGGUUUAUCAAUAGCACAACAACAUCAACAAGCAAAUCCACAAUCAUCGCUAUCAAGCAUUGACAAUCACAGAAACUUGAAAAAAAUGAACAUCUUCAUGCAUAGGGGACCCAAAACUCUAUAAAAACAGUAUUAAACCAAGAGUUUACAAUCACCUGAUGAUGAUUCUUUGACGAGGCUGAGGCCAAAGAAGAUGAGCCGGAGUUGACUUCUAUGGAAUUUCUGGAAAAGAAGCCUCCUAGUUUCUUCCUUGCUUCGGUUCUCCUCCUGCAACUUCUUUUCUUCCUUUUGCUUCCACAAAACCCCCUCUCUCUGUUUCACUCUCGGUUCUCUCUAGUUCUUUCCUGUCUCUUCUCUCAUUCUAUCUCCCAACCCUAAAGCUUCCUCAGCCGUCCGUGUUCCUUUUUCAUCCGCCCUCCCUUUCCUUUCUUGCCGUCUCUUUUCUUUUUAUAGGGAAUCACUAGGUCCCUAAAACCCUCAAAGUUCAUCUUGAUGGCUCACAAAAUGAUUUCAACACCCCAACCCCCCUCCUAGCCAUUGAUCAUGGCUUUGAAUUGGAGCUCCUAGAUGGAGCCAGAUGGCCGGUACUUGUCUAAUCUAAUGGAGCCAGAAAACACAGCAAGAAACUGCAGAAGCUAUCUUUUCUUCAUUUUUUUUCAUUUUCAUCAUUCAUUUCAUUUUUCAUUUUUUUUAACAAAUAAAGCAGUAAAAGUCAAAUAAAAAUAAGAUUAAAACAAAUGAAAUGCCCUAAAAAAUUUAAUUUUGAUUGAUGGUUUUUUUUUCUUUUUCUUUUUUUUUCAUGAAUCAUUUAAUUAAACAACAAUAACUAAAAAUAACAAUUUAAAUAAAAACUUGAAUAAAAUGAACAAAACUAGGAACAAAAGAUAAAACAAAAGGCUAAGAUUUUUUCUGUGUUUGAUUAAUGAUUUUUUCCUCUUUUUUUUCAAUUAUUAAACAGUAAAAAAGAAAUAAAACAUAUUUUAUUUAUUAUUAUUAUUAUUAUUAUUUUGUGAAUAAUUUCUCUUUUAACAAAUUUUAUGCUAAAAGUCUUAAAAAUAAAGAUAAACAGCCAAAAGGGCAAAAACGAAUACAAAAUAAUUGUUAGGCCUCUAAUCUCUUUUCAUCUAAAGUUUCCAAUUCUUCAAGGCACAAGUGAACAAAGAAGGAAUUUGUUACUCAAGGGGCAAGACAGCUUCUACACCAUAGACUAAGGCAUAUGAUGUGGCUUGCGUUAGAGUUCGAUAUGUGGUGCGAUAAGCCCAAAGAGUUUCGUCUAUUCUUUCGUGCCAAUCCUUCUUUGAUUUAGCCAUCACUUUCUUCAACAAGUUACAUAAAGUUUUGUUGAAUACCUCUGCAAGGCCAUUGGCGGGGGCAUUAUACAUGGAGGACUUACGUUGCUUGAGAUUAAAUUUUUCACACAACUUAUCCAUCAAGCUAUUGGAGAAGGAUUUUUCGUUAUCAGUAAUAAUGUACCGGGAAACUCCAUAACGGUAAAUAAUAUUCACACGAAUAAAAUUCACCACAUCUUCCUUUCUAACUUGCUUGAGCGGUAUGGUUUCAGCCCAUUUAGAAAAGUAGUCGGUCGCAGCCAAUAUAUAUAAAUAUUGACCGAACGACUUUGGUAAUGGUCCCACAACAUCAAGACCCCAAGCAUCGAAAGGCAAAGAAGCAACGGUCAAGUGUAACGGCUCAGGUGGUUGAUGAAUGUAAUUUGCAUGAAACUGGCAAGUUUGACAUUUUUGAACAUAUUCUAUGCAAUCUUUGACCAUAGUAGGUCAAUAGUAGCCCAUCUUUUAAAUCCAAAAAUGUAACUUGGGACCGGAUUGAUGAGCUCCAUAUAUUCCAGAAUGUGCCUCGUGCAUCGUCCAAUAUGCCUCGUCUUCGCUCAGACAGUGCAACAACACACCUUCAAAUGAUUUUCGGUACAGCGUAUCCUUGUACAAGAUAAAACGAGGGGCAUGACGACGGAUGUUAGUUUUCCUACGUUACUCUUCAGGUAAUUUUUGAUACUUGAGAUAAUCAACGAGGGGUUGUCUCCAAUUUUCUUUGUCAAUUUCAUAGGUUGAAACCACAUGAGCAUCGCUUCCUUCAAUAUUUUCAUCAUCAAUUAGUGAUGGAACUAUUCACUUUUGGCAUACAUGAACUUGUAUAUCAUGAUUCGACAUGGUAAGUGAAGAGGCUAGCGCAGCUAAUGCAUCAACUUACUUAUUGUCCCUUCUAGGAACAUGGUUAAUACUUGCACCUCCAAGCCGCUUCAUAAGUCGCGUUGCAUAUUUGUGAUACGGAAUUAAUUUGGACCUUUUGACUUCGUAACUUCCCAAGAGUUGGUUAACCACCAAUUGAGAAUCACCAUAGAUUUGAAGUUUCAAUUGUUCCAUGUCAACAGCUAUUUCAAGUCCGAGUAUAAGACCUUGGUACUCAACGACAUUGUUUGAACAAUGUUGAUUUAGAAUAAAAGAGUAUAACAAUAUCUCUCCAUCAGGAGUCACGAAUACAAUCCCCGCUCCAACUCUAUGACGAUGAGCCGCACCAUCAAAAUACAUCUUUCAUGGUGGGCGAAUCUCAACACGAAGUACAUCCUCAUCUGAUAGGUCAUCAUUUAACUUCCAUUCAGCAAGUAUCGAGUGAUCAGCAAGAAAAUCUGCCAGAACUUGUUCUUUCACAGCCUUUUGAGGCACAUAAAUAAUUUCAAACUGUUGUAGUUGAAGAUACCAUCUAGUUAGAUGGUCGGAUAGUACUGGUCUGCUCAUCACAUAUUUUAUGGAAUUCGCCCUGAAAAUGAGUCUUACGCUAUAUGCUUGAAAGUAGUGUUUUAACUUCUGUAUUGCAAAAAUAAGAGCUAGACACAAAUUUUCAAUCGGUGAAUAGUUUAGUUCGUUGGGGGUCAUCAUUCUGCUUAAAUAAUAAAUGGCAACUUCUUUUCCUUCAUUAUUUUCUUGUGCAAGCAAUGCCCCCACUGAGCGUUCCUGGGCAGCAAUACAAAGAAGUAAUGGCUUUCCAUGUAUAGGUGCAGCCAAAAAAGGUGCUUUCAUAAGAUAAGACUUAAUGCUAUUGAAUGCAUUACUACAUGCCUCAUUCCAUUGAAAUGGCACACCUUUCUUCAUCAAGCGACUAAAUGGUUGACACCUUCCUGCUAAAUUUGAGAUAAAUCUCCGCAGAUAAGCUAAUCGCCCUUGAAUACUUUUCAAUUCAUGAAUGUCACGAGAUUCAGGUAUCCUCAAUAUAGCAUUAAUUUAGGGCUGAUCAAUUUCAAUACCUCGAUGGGGAACCACGAAACCAAGAAAUUUCCUCGACGUGACUCCAAAUGCACACUUGAGAGGGUUCAUUUUGAAUUGAUACCUUCUCAACCGAUCAAAUACUUGUCUCAAGUCCUCCAAGUUAUUACUUCUUUUCUUUGAUUUAACAACUAAAUCAUCCACAUAACACUCGAUAUUUUUAUGAAGCAUGUCAUCAAAGAUGUUUUGCAUUGCUCUUUGAUAUAUGGCUCCAGCAUUUUUGAGACCAAAGGGCAUUAUUUUAUAAUAAUAAAUACCCUUAGGAGUACGAAAUGCAGUGAGCUCUUCAUCCUCAGGUGCCAAUCGAAUUUGAUUUAUCCAAAAGAGCCAUCUAUAAACGACAGAACUUCAUGCCCAGUAGUUGCAUCAAUCAUGAGCUUAGUGAUCGGUAAAGAAAAGUCAUCUUUAGGACAAGCAUUGUUAAGAUCUCUGAAAUCGACACAGAUACGGAUUUUCCUAUUCUUCUUUCGCAUGGGUACGAUACUCGAAAUCCAUGUGGGAUAUUUAAUUUCACGAAUAAAUCUGAUUUCAAUAAGUUUAUUGACUUCAAUUUUGAUCAACGAAAUCAAAUCGGGUCUAAAUCGCCGUUGUGCUUGUUUCACCGGUCGAACUCCCUUUUUAACAGCAAAAUGGUGGACGGCCAGCUUUGGGUCUAAACCCGGCAUUUCUUUAUAAGUCCAAACAAAAACAUCUCGAUACUCUUGUAAGAGGUCAACAUAUGCCUUCUCUUCGUCAGGACUCAGUGAAGCACUUACAUAUAUUGGACGUGAGUCCUCUGAAAUACCAAAAUUGAUCUCCUUUAAAUCAUCCACAGUGAGCUUAACACUUUCUUCCAAUUCAGGUGGAGCGUCUUCAGCAUCUUCUUCUUCUUCAGGAGAGUUAUCGUCAAUUAUGAUUAUACGAUUGCAUGAAACAACACUCUCUUCAUCAUCCUCUUUUGGUCUUGUGUACACUACGGUAUGCUCCCUGACCCUCAAUUCAGUCCCACACUUUAUUACAAGGCCUGUGCAUCUUCUCAUUAUCGAAGGAAUGAUGCUACCAAAUUUAUGAGAAAAAUCAGAAGGUUCUUCAAGAUUUUGCAAUGACAUUGCCAUUUUUCCUUUACUCUUAUGAAAGUUUUGAGGCUUUUGUCUUCUUUGUGGUUCUAAUUUCUUAAAAACAGAUACCCGUGGAGUUUUAUUCUCCUUUUCAUGAAAAGUUUCAAAUUUACCAACUAUUUGAGAAGACUCAUCCUCCACAAUAAUGUAUUGCCUACUAACUCUAUUGAUCUUGAUGCGGAUUGGUGUAGGGGAGGAAUAGCCAAGACCAAAUUUAGGAUUUUCAAUAGCAUAUUCUUUUUCCUUCAACAUAUUUUGGGUAGGAUUCAACCCAUGAAGCAUGUCACUAGUAGAUUGAGAAGGUGAAACAUUUAACACUGCAGAUUCUUUGAAAUCGUAUCCAGUCUUAGCGAGAAGCUUAUACGCAAUAGGAUCAAAACCUUCUUUGGUUCUUGACUUUGGUAUGGUGUUUUGGUUGCCUUCAGAUUCUUUGCUUAAAAGGUUAGACCUUUUAAAUGGAGGAGAUGAUGUCUUCUUUGUAUCAAGAUGAACUACCGGAAGAGUCAAAUCUUUUAGAACUUCAUGCUGAAUUGCAGGUGACUGUCCAUGUUCCAUUCUUGACUUGAUAGGACAGCGAAAGACAACUGAUUCAUUGUUUAGCAAUGAAACAUCAGCUUCUUCAUGAAUUUCCUCUUUUGACUUCGAAAUUAUCACUUUCUCCCCUUUUACACUUGGAGAUUCGGGGUUCUGGAUUUUAUCCGUAGAUAGAGGUUAGUCAGACUUAUCCUUCACAUUGUGCCUUUUGAUAUAAAAUUUGACAUCAGCGAUAUACGCUUCCGCCUCCAUGAAAGGAUUGUCAUCGGCUUUCACACUUCUUGUCACUCUAUUUCCCCAGUAUUUGAAAUAUUGAUGAAGUGUUGAAGGUACAACUCCAUUUUCAUGAAUUCAGGGCCUUCCCAACAAUACAUUGUAUGUUGUUUUAGCAUCUAUCACAUACAACAGUGCUCUGGACGUCAUGUCAUUAAUGACUAUCUCCAAAUUUAGUGAUCCAAGAGCUCUUUGUCCUCAUUGAUUAAAACCUUGAAUCAUCAGUCGGCUGUUGGAGAGUUCAUCAACCGGGAUGCCGAGCUCCUUCAGAGUCUUUAAAGGAAGAAUAUUGACUGCGGAACCUCCAUCUAUCAAAAUUCUAUUCACUUUUUGCUUAUUUGCAUAACCAGUCACAAACAAAGGACGGUUAUGCGGUGUUGAUCCAAGCAACAAAUCUUCACUAGUAAAAGCGAUACUUGUGACGUUUACCUCUUUAUUGCCGGUAGGCACACGACUCUCUUCAUUGCCGGUAGGCACACGGACUAUCUCACAGAGAGAUUCGCGAGUAUUAUCUUUUUGUUCUUCGAUAUGAUCUAUUCGCGUUGUGUGACUUGCGAUCACAUCUUUUAAAGUGACCAGAGUUCGCGACUUUUGCUUGAAGAUUACGACAGUCGUUAUUUUUCUUUACACCUUUCUUUUUUCCCUUCCAGAUCACCAUACUUCUUGUUAACAUCUUGUUAGCCUUACUAAAUGGACAAGAUUUUCGUCUCUUUUUUCGCGUGACUAGAGUCCAUUCUUCAUCUUCACAUCAGGUCGUAACGCCUUCUCAUCUUUAUAUGCAUGUUCUUGAAGAGUUAAAGGAGCACCUUCUUGUUUGAUUUUUAUGGGAUCAAGUGAUCCAAAUUGAAUUAUUGGCAAUGCAAGUACCCUGACCCUUUUAACCUCUACAGACUACAGAAAAUCAAUGGACGUUUGAUUCACACUCGUUUUGUCUUCUUCAAGGAGAAUUUUUCCUUGUCUAGCCAACUCCAUUCUUUGUCUUUGAAGACAAAGCAUUUUUGAAUGGGAUGCCCAACCAAUCGGUGAUACUUACAGUAGUUUGGAUCGUCAGUGUUCCUGGCCUCAUCAGAUCGCUUCAUCUCAGAAAAUGUGAUCAAAUUUAUACUUAACAAAUCGUCAAACAUAUCAGGGACAUCAGAAUCAAGGAAAGGGUACUCUUUGUCUUGCAUCUCCUUGAGAGUCGGUUUCCUCUUUCCUUGCUCUUGAUACGCAUUGAUCUUCCUGUCUUCUCUCCUGACAGUUUUGAAAAUGACCUUAAAAGGUGUUAUACUUGUAGCCAUAACCUCCUUCUUUUCACUUUUGAUCGGUGGCUUGCCCCCUUCCUCAUGUCUUGUCUCUCUUUGGCCUUGUGAGGGUCAGGAACUGGCGGUUCUUGUCCAUCAAGAUUAAUCUCUAACUUAUGAGCUUUUGUGGAUAAUUCAUCAAAUGUUUCUGGUUGCACACCUUGCAAGAUGUAUCUGAAUCCCCAGUGCAUGCCUUGAAUACACAUCUCGAUCGCGAAAGAUUCAGAAAUUUGAUCUUUGCAAUUUAAACUUAGAUUCCUCCAGCGGUCGAUGAAAUCAAUGACAGGUUCAUUCUUUCAUUGACAUGUAUUAGAGAGUUCAGUCAUGCUGACAGUUCUCUUUGUGUUAUAGAAGCGACUGAGAAAUUCAUGCUUUAACUGCUCCCAACUGUCAAUAGUUCCAGACUCUAGAUUUGUAUACCGAUCAAAGGCAUUUCCCUUCAACGAGCGAACAAACUGCUUAACGAGCAAGUCACCAUCAGUGCCCGCAUUGUUACAGGUUUUCACGAAGUGUGCAAUAUGUUGCUUAGGGUUGCCCUUACCAUCAAAUUGUUAAAAUUUUGAAGGUUGAUACCCUACAGGCAUUUUCAAACUUUCCACUCUAGCGGUGUAAGGUUUGGUGUAACCAAUAUAUGACUUGGCAUUUCCACCAAUCUUGUCCUUUAUUGUGCCCUCGAUAAAUUCCUUCAAAUUAUCAACAUGAAUGGUGUCAUCAGGGGAGAUUGAAAAUUCCUUCGCGGCUUGUGACUUCGCAUCCUCUUUCUCCUUCUCCUUUGAUGAUGAGUCCCCUUCAUCUUGCACUUUGAAUUUCUGUUUGGAUAUACUAAGGCUAUUUUCGCCUAUAUUUUUCACCAUAUCCAUUAAUUUAACUAUCUUGACAUCUUGACUUUGCGCAUGCACUACUAGCCCUUCGACAAUUUUGGCUAGAUUCGAGAUCUGGUAUUCCACAGUUGUGGUAUUGGUCAUCAUGACGGGCAUCACCACAGAGGCAGCAGAAUCACUUGGACUAUCAAUGGAUUCAUCAUGGGUUCCUUCCUUGUUGGGAAGCAUCUUGAGGUUUGUUCUUUCAGUCAAAACGUCCGCCUUAACCCUUUCUGCUAACUUCUUGGCCUUGCUCCUUGUCAGCGGUGCGAUAUACUGCGUCUCUUAAAUUGUUGAGACAUCGGCAACUAAGCCUUCAAGAGAAAAGUUCACCUUCUUAAACUCCAUUGAAUUUUGAGACUGGUAAGUUGUUGGAAGAAAAGAGAUGAGAGACAGAGAUUGUCCCACCGGGCGUACCAAAAAUUCGUAAGCACAAAUUUCGUUACCUAAAAUAAAAGACAAGAAAACUUGCACAAAUAUCAAAUUUAUUAUAUUAAAUAAUAAGUAGGUUACAAUCUCUGAAAAUUCUUGAAUCAAAGAAAUUAAUCCCCUGAUUCUUCUCUUCAAAUAACUUCAAUUGAAGGGCCGAAAAGCUUGUUCUCCAAUCGAAAGGGUGUUUCCUACAAUUUCGGCGUAGAAAACGAUUGACUUGAGGAUGACAUCGAACACUUGGAACUCUUAAGUUUUCAACACCAAUGGCAAGAGGAUUUGUUUGACUUGAUUUGGACUUGGAUAGAAGGAAAAGCUUUUGAGAGAAUUUGACAGAAUUUCUCCGAAUGUUAGAGAUUUUUCUAUAUCUUUGCCUUGAGAGAAGACCUCUAUUUAUAGCCAAAAUAUGUAGGCUAAAUCUUCAAGAAAACCCUCCAGAAAUUUUCCUGCAUUUUGGGUAACUUGUAACUCAAGAAACCCAUUUAAUUUGGGCUUAACUAGUGGGCCAACCCAAAUGGUCCAUGGUGAAUUAAUAAAGCAAUCAAUUCACUCUAAUUUAAAUGGACACUAUGAAUUUAAUUUGAUUUAAUAGCCCAUAUAAUAUUGGCCCAAUUUGCCAGUCCAAAACAUAAUGGACUUCUAUAAUUUAAUUUAAUUUAAUCAAGAUCGAUUUAAUUUAAAUAAAUCUUGACUAAAUAAAUUAAAUAAAUUUUCUUUAUCUACACCAGUCUCCGCCGCUUCACGAGUGUUACCAAGAACCAUCUCGUCAGUAGCAAGAGUAGAAGCAGAAGCUGCAUGCAUGCCAUCAAUAGGAUCAUCUUUUCAUCAACCAAUCUAUGCUCUUUGGACUCUAAGCAGUGCUCCUUUGUUUCUGCUGGUUUUCCCUUUUUUCUUGAUCUUUGUGGGCUUAGAGUUAGUGGGACAAACUCGAUUCACAGAGUUUUGUUUUGUGUAGAAGUGCCGUUUUUAGGCCUUCAAUCUGCAAAGGAUGUUGGACUACAACUGGCUUAUUAGGAUGGGCUUAGUCUUGGGCUCGGGCAUGGGCAUCAUUGGGGUCUGCAUUGGUGUCAAUAUCCAAUUGCAUAUCAUUAAAAUCUGUUACUGGAGCCCUUCCUGUGCUGCUGCUUGAGCCAUGAUUUGAGUUAUGAUCAGUUUCCUUUUCAGAAACGAUAUUUCCAAAAAUUUUAGCAUUUCUCUAUCACAUUUCAAUCAUCAUGACAAGUGGAUUAACCUUUUCUCAAAUGUUAACAUGUUUUAUUAGUUUUUUUUUUGUGUCGAAUCGUUAGCUUUUAUGUUUGAUUAGUUAAUGGUUAAUGCUAUCUUCUUCUUCUUUUUUACCUCUAGUCCUCCUGGGAGUCGACACAUGGAUAUCCUAGAAAGCUGAUGAAAUGCAUGUAUCAAACCCAUAAUGAAUACCCGAAAUGGAUAUAUGCAUAUAUUUGUCUAUUUUCUUGAGCACAUAUGUGAUUUAAUAAUCAUUGAUACAUUUCCUCUAUUUUUUUUUUCAUUACUAAAUGAUUACUUUUCUGUUUGAGUCUUAAAUUUAUUCUGCUUGUAAGCUUGAUUAUGAGUGGUUGAGAAACUUGAGUCCUUGUCCAUCGUGUCGUCUGCCUAGACAAAUCAAAUGUCAAGAUCUUCCCAUAUCAUCUCUUAAUUCUAUCCUAGGUCAGUUGUCUUUCCCUAUUAUUCCUAAAAGAUUAAAUAUAGGAGAUUGAACCGGGAAUAGUCUAAUGCUAUGCAUUACAAGUGUGGGAAAAGGGCUUUAAUGGGGUGACAUGCAAAAAUAGUUCGGACUUUAGUUGCUUCAACUCUAGUAUUUGAUUAUCUUUGUUGACCUUGGUCGAUCAAUCCUUGGUUUUGAUGAUUAACAAACCAAAAUGUAGAUUUGGGCUAAUAUUUUUAUGUGAGCAAUUUGUUAGAACAGAUUCUUGUGGCACAAAAAAAGAAGCAAAAACAGGGCACUCAUGUGGGACGUCCGAAAGGCAGCUAUCGGACGUCCGAAAGGAUGAAGAACAUCAGGAAGGAUAUUCUGUCGGACGCUCGUGAGGAAGCAUCGGACGUCCGGAAGGAUCGGACGCACCCCUCGGACGUACAUCAAUCGCAUCGGACGUCCGAGAAAUUUCGCAAAGAUUUGAUGACUCUCUGAUGACGUUUGGACGCAGGGUUCGGACGUCCGACAGGUGGUUUGGACGCAGGGUUCGGACGUCCGACAGGUGGUUCGAACGUCCGACAGGCCAACGGCUAGUUUUGACAGCAUUUAAUAUUUGACCGUUGGAGAGCCUUUUGGAGCCAUUUCUCACCUUCUAUAAACACCCCAAAGCACAAGAAGACAUGGGACUUUUGCCAACACAAUAUACAAGCUUACAAGUGAGAUUUUUGAGUAGAAAGAUUCUUUGUUGGUUGUAUAAGGGGUUGGGGAAGUUGGGUUGUGAGGUUGCUCAAGUGAAGGUUAUUCUCUAGGAGAAGUAAAACCUUGGUGAAGGUGAACCUAUCACUUGAAGUGGUAAAACCUUGGUGAAGGUUGCCUCAUUUGUAUAAAAUAGUUCUUAAUUGGGUGAGUGAUCUUUCAAGUGUAGGUUGUUGAGUGUUAACUAGAAUUGUUGUAAAACUCCUUGGCUCAACCAAAGUGUGUUUGGGGUGAGGAAGGAGUGAGCCUUCACUUGUACAUCUUGGUUAGCAUCGCCAUCAAUUGAAGAGGCUAUUGGUUUGAUAUUUGGUUUGCAUUUCUUAUCCUUUCUCUUUAAUUAAGUUUUCUUUAUUGUGCUUAAAUUUGAUAUAUCUUUGUGCAUCAUUGUGAAUUUGUUUGUACUCAUUGGGUUGCACCGGGCACUUACAAUUGGUAUCAGAGUUUGGUCUCCUUGAGACUAAGCUCAAUCGGCUUGGAGUAAAGAUCAUGGCAACCAUAAAAGUUUCCUUUUUAGAAGGGCAAUCUAUUGAUAGACCACCUAUAUUUAAUGGUUCUCAUUUUAAUAUGUGGAAACAAAGAAUGAUGAUUUUCUUACAAUCCGUUUAUAUUGAAUUAUGGUAUGUGGUAGAAGAUGGUCCUUAUGAAGCUAGAAUAGUUGACUCUACCACCAAUUUGAGUAGAUUAAAGACUAGACAAGAAUUGAAUGAAAAAGACAAGAGAUACCUUUCUUUGAAUGCCAAGGCCAUGUGUAUAUUGUACAAUGCAUUAUAUGUAAAUGAAUCUAGUAGGAUUAAAGGUUGUAAAUCAGCUAAAGAUAUUUGGGAUAAAUUGUGUGUAUUUCAUGAAGGUAACCAAGAUAUUAAAGAACAAAAGAAAUCUUUGCUUGUUUCUCAAUAUGAAUUUUUCAAAAUGCAUCCUCUUGAAAAUGUUGAUAAGAUGUGUAGUAGAUUUUGUGACAUUAUUCAAGAUCUUAAAUUGCUUGGAAGAGAAUAUUCUUUGGGUGAGAAAAAUAGAAAGAUUUUGAAUGUCUUGCCAAAAGAAUGGGAAAACAAAAUAAAUGCUAUAGAAGAGGCAAAGGAUUUAAAUUCUAUGUCCAUUGAAUCUCUUGUGAAUUCCCUAACUUCUUAUGAAUUAAAGCUGCAAUUCAAAGUGCAAGAGGAAGAAAAUGCAAGAAUGUAUAAGAGAGGCAUAUCUUUUAAAGCAUCUCAAGUGGGGGAUAACCCAUCCUUCAUGGGUAAUGAAAACAUGGAAGUGGACAAUGAUAUAACUCCUCACAUCAAAAGUUUCAAGAAGAUCUUCAACAAGAGAAGUUCAAGAGCAGAUUGCAAAAUUACAUGGGAUGAAUACAAUUCAAAAAGAGAAAAAGAAGAGUUGGCACAAAUGGCACUAAUGGCCUUUGGAGAAGAUGAGGUAAAUUCUUAUCAGUCUUCUUGUGAUGAAGAUAAUGAAGAUGAUGAUGUGAAAAUUCUUAUGAUUAAAAUGCAUAAAAGUUUGAGAAAAUCUUAUGCUAAAAAUAAAGAUUUGAAAACAAAAAUAAAUGAUUUGUUGGAAGAAAACUCCAAACUUUUUCAGGAAAACAAAUGUUUGAGAAUGGAAAAUGAUGAUUUAAAAAAUCAAAAAAGUGUUUUUGAUUGCAAAAAUAAUUUGAAAAGGAAGUUGGAAGAGAAAACAAAGUUUUAUGAAAAAAUGUUGGAGGAACAAAAUUUGUUAAAGAAAAGAAUUAAUGACUUGAACGAGUUUCUCCAAAAUGAAAAACAAAAGUUUUCUCAAACAAAAGAAAGUAAAUCUUUUCAAGGCACAAAUAAGUUUGCUAUGAUAAGAAGUAAGAAAAUUAGUUGCAUUAAAUCCACUUAUGUGCAAAAUACUUCUAUCAUGUGUCACUUUUGUUGUCAAUUUGGACAUAUGCAAAAUGAUUGCUAUGUAAAGAAAAAUAUGAGAAAAGGUAUGAAAUCCAUGUGGAUUGCUAGAUCAUGUUGUACUAACUCCCAAGAACCCUAUAAAAACUUACAAUUGGUAUCAUGACAGUUUUGUCAUUCUAUAUGGUCUUGAUUUGGAAAAUAAAGGGGGAGUUUGCUUUUUGAUUGAUGUCAAAAGGGGGAGUAGGAUUUAUUGAAAUUUCUUUGUAUGUUGGCAUUUUCUAAGGGGGAGUUUUAUUUGAACUUAUUUGAUCAAAGAAAUCUUCAUUUUGUUUGUCAUCAUCAAAAAGGGGGAGAUUGUUGACCUUGGUCGAUCAAUCCUUGGUUUUGAUGAUUAACAAACUAAAAUGUAGAUUUGGGCUAAUGUUUUUAUGUGAGCAAUUUGUUAGAACAGAUUCUUGUGGCACAAAAGAAGAAGCAAAAACAGGGCACUCAUGUGGGACGUCCGAAAGGAAGCUAUCGGACGUCCGAAAGGAUGAAGAACAUCAGGAAGGAUAUUCUGUCGGACGCUCGUGAGGAAGCAUCGGACGUCCGGAAGGAUCGGACGCACCCCUCGGAUGUACAUCAAUCGCAUCGGACGUCCGAGAAAUUUCGCAAAGAUUUGAUGACUCUCUGACGACGUUCGGAUGCAGGGUUCGGACGUCCGACAGGUGGUUUGGACGCAGGGUUCGGACGUCCGACAGGUGGUUCGAACGUCCGACAGGCCAACGGCUAGUUUUGACAGCAUUUAAUAUUUGACCGUUGGAGAGCCUUUUGGAGCCAUUUCUCACCUUCUAUAAACACCCCAAAGCACAAGAAGACAUGGGACUUUUGCCAACACAAUAUACAAGCUUACAAGUGAGAUUUUUGAGUAGAAAGAUUCUUUGUUGGUUGUAUAAGGGGUUGGGGAAGUUGGGUUGUGAGGUUGCUCAAGUGAAGGUUAUUCUCUAGGAGAAGUAAAACCUUGGUGAAGGUGAACCUAUCACUUGAAGUGGUAAAACCUUGGUGAAGGUUGCCUCAUUUGUAUAAAAUAGUUCUUAAUUGGGUGAGUGAUCUUUCAAGUGUAGGUUGUUGAGGGUUAACUAGAAUUGUUGUAAAACUCCUUGGCUCAACCAAAGUGUGUUUGGGGUGAGGAAGGAGUGAGCCUUCACUUGUACAUCUUGGUUAGCAUCGCCAUCAAUUGAAGAGGCUAUUGGUUUGAUAUUUGGUUUGCAUUUCUUAUCCUUUCUCUUUAAUUAAGUUUUCUUUAUUGUGCUUAAAUUUGAUAUAUCUGUGUGCAUCAUUGUGAAUUUGUUUGUACUCAUUGGGUUGCACCGGGCACUUACAAUCUUUAUUUUUCGCUUGUCUACCUUUUUUAACUCUACAUUUAAAUCUCUUAAAUUGUUGUUUGUUGGACUGGUAUUUUCGUCUUCGAUUGCUUCAUCGGAUUAGUAUCUAAUAAUUCUAUAUCAGCGUUUUUUGGCAACAGAUAUGCCUAAUGGGUUUGAAUAAAGAGCACUUCUAAUUGAAUGAUUGUGUUAUGUUGUCUAAGAACUGAAUAGAUGUAGGUAUUUAGGUUUUCAAUGACUUGAUAACAAGUCAAUUGCAGAGUUGACACAAGCCUGAGCUGUAAUUCUGAUACUAUUGCAGUGGUAAUUUCCAUUAAAUUAGACUGAUUUUUAAGCAAAAAUCUCGUUAAAGUAUUAGCCGGAAGAAGAUUUGGAUUUCGUAAUCUAUUAUAUUAUUGGGCUCUAAAAGUGAUGAAGCUUCCCUAGUUUAGUUAAUGGUACAGGGACUGGUGAACCUCAUAACAGAGUAAGUGACCAAUAAUUCAGAAUUGCUUAUCAGAAGAUUGACAUUAUUUAUACUUGACAUGGUUUCUUGUAAUUACAUUGUACUUUUCUUGAGAUCGGCAUUACAAAAUAUGACUAAUAAUCCAUACAAGACAAACCUAGCAACACCUUAUUUUAUGCUAAAAUUAUAAAAAAGAUAAAGGGGUAAUUUUAGAAAAACUCUGCCCUGGAUUUCUAAUAAUUUCAUCUAAUACUCUAAAGGAGGUUUCGAUAUUACACUCACCUUCCUUGGCCGAAUAAACUGCCAUAAUAAACUUAACAUAUUUCAUGAAAUUAGACAAUUCGUUUCUUGUGCAUGUGAAUGCUUUUCACACAAUUAGAUGUUUAAUGAAUAACAAAACAAGUUUCACUCUUGAAAUAAUCAAUUAUAUCCUAAACAUAAUUCAAAAAUAUUUACAAAUUAAUUUUGGCUUUCCUUGGAGUAAAGAUGAAUAGAAGAAGGUGCAGGCUAAAGGUUUAAGAAGGAUGAGCCCUGUGUUGUUACUUCAACAUUUGGAGGAUAGGGAGUCUUAAUUGAUUAGUGCAGUCCGUGAAGCUUUUUGGGUUUAAUACUACUUUUUUUUAAGUAGUUUGAGGUUUUAGAAUUUAGGGGCUGAUAGUGGAGAUAAUUUGAGAAAUGGGAAUAUGAACUUUUAGAACGGUAGAGAGGAAGGAUGAAAGUGGAUUUCUGGUUUUGUGAAUGUUCUAAAUUUUUUUUAAUAAUUUUAUAGAAAAGUAAAAUUAACUUCACAAUGAGCCAUUUUGAAAUAUUCAUUCAAACUUUUGACUGUUGAGUAGCUUUUGCUACUAAAAUUAUAACAUUAGAGGAGUUACAUAUAAUUUUGAAAGUCUCAAGAGUUCAAGAUAAGACUGUUGAAAACCACAAGGGAGGUUCAUGAAAUUAUUCCAAAGAAAGAACCGUGUAAAAGUUUGUCUUUUGCUCGGGUUCAAGAAGUUGAUAGAAGAAGAAGACUUUAGAGCUUAAAAGAAGCUCCACGUAGCUCCUCAUCGUGACCCACCGAAUACUACUUAUAUAAUUCUUGAUUCCUCGGCAUUAUAGAUCCUUCUCGUCCUUCAGCUUGUUCAUUGAGUAAAGGUAGAAACAAAACUGGCAAAUCAGAAGCAAUAGUAGCCAUGGGUAGAAGUAAGUGUUCUUCUCUUCCCAAAUUCGCAUGCUUUUUUUUAAGUCUGAACCUUGAAGUUUAAUAUUUUUUGCUCUUUUAUUUAUUUUAUCUGCUCAUUUUUAGCUUUCCUUGUGUUUCCGGUUAUGCAACUUUUUAAUUCAUUUCAGGCAGAAGUUUUUUAACUUCUAAUUUCUGUAAAAUUGAAAAUUUAAAGCUUCAGAAUUUUUAAAUACUUGCGCUGUUUGAAGUAGGAUUCUGAAAAGAGCACAUACGUUGAUUUUUCUGUACGUAAUAUGGGUCCUAUUUGUUUUUUUUUUUUUUUUUUUUGGUUUCAACAAUGAUUAACGGUAUAGAGACAAAAUAUGGUACUCUGAUUGUGGUUUUCUAGUAAUUUCUCAUGUGUUCAGCCUUUGGGAUUAUUUAAGUUUUGAAUACUUUAUUGCAAGAUGCUACCGUUCUGUUUGGUGGAAUCAGAUAAAUGGUAUGAUAUUGGAUAUUGGUAAUGUUAGAUUAUCUUGGAUGUGCUUGUAUUGUUUAACAUAAACAUAAUUACAUUCUCAAGUGACUAAUUCACUUUAUUCUUCGCAUCCAGUUUUAUCUCUUGAAUCAUACUCUUGCCAUUAUGAUAAAUUAGUAACUUUUUAAACAAGGCGAUUGUGAAAAUUAAGAGAUUCUUUUACAUAAUGUUAGGAUGUGGAGUUUACCCUAUCAAAGAUUAUGAGGAAACUGUUAAAAAGUCGAAAUUUCAAUACGGAGUAAUAAAAUAUCAGCAACUAGAAAAAGUUGAAGAAAAUUUGGACAACCAUGCUUCCAUCCAAUGAAUUCAGUUUGUUAACAUUUUGAUCAAACUGAAACUAUGUUUUGGUUCUGGUUUUAUAUUUGGAAUAUGCAGGACCAGCAAGAUGUUAUCGCCAGAUAAAGGGCAAGCCUUAUCCAAAAUCUCGAUUUAAUCGUGGAGUACCGGAUCCAAAAAUCAGGAUUUAUGAUGUUGGAAUGAAGAAAAGAGGGGUUGAUGAGUUUCCCUGUUGUGUGCAUUUGGUCAGCUGGGAAAAGGAGAAUGUUUCUAGCGAGGCACUGGAAGCUGCGCGCAUCGCGUGUAACAAGUACAUGGCAAAAUAUGCUGGAAAGGAUUCUUUCCAUCUCAGGGUCCGAGUGCACCCUUACCAUGUACUCCGCAUCAAUAAAAUGCUGUCCUGUGCUGGAGCUGAUAGGCUUCAAACAGGCAUGAGGGGAGCUUUUGGUAAGCCUUUAGGCACUGCUGCUCGUGUAGCAAUUGGUCAAAUUUUGCUUUCAGUCCGAUGCAAAGAUGCCAAUUGUAAUCAUGCUCAGGAGGCCUUGCGCCGUGCAAAGUUCAAGUUUCCCGGUCGUCAGAAGAUAAUAGUCAGUGGGAAAUGGUAUUUUUCCAAUCCAUCUUUCAAAUCUUGGCACCCCAAUUAGAUUUUCUGUCUUUCUUCCUCCGUAUUCAUUUUUAAAGUUAAUUUGGAAUUACUUUUCGUUAUUGAGUAGUAGUUUCGUUUUGUAAUUUGUUGUAUCGCUGUCUACAUUUGUGGUAAUGGUACACCCGCAAUCUUGGGCAAUUGUCUCUAUUUGGUGUCAAGGCCCGUGAUCCUCAAUUAAAGUUCACUAUAUUGAUGCUUGAUAAAAUCACAGUUUGCUCUCUUCAAUUAAAGUUCAAACGAGGGCUCCUACGCAUAUUUUCAAGUUAAAUAUUUACCAUUUCAUUGUACGCAGGAGUUUUGUUUUGUUUUGUUAGUUACUAUAUAUGCUGUGCUUUUAAGUUCUGUGGAUUGCAAAUUAACUUUUCUUUUUCAAAGAACCAUAGAAAAUGUAUCCUUAGUCAUUUUGCAAUACCGAAUUGCAGGGGUUUCACUAAAUUCAAGCGUGCUGACUACAUUAGAUUCAAGCGGGAGAACCGCAUUCUACCUGAUGGUGUCAAUGCCAAGGUUUGCACCACCACUAUUAGCCGCUUCACUUCACGUUCCCUUCUAUGAAAGUUUCAGUUUUGAUUCCACAUUCUUUGAACAAUAUAAACUCAAAUCUCUUGCAUUUCAAUUUUACCAAUUAUGGCAAUUAUAUUUUUAGUUAAUUAACAGUACAGUCCUCAAUUACUUUCGAGUUUUAACACAUUUUUUUUUAUAAAAUAUUUGUGUUAUUUUAAUAAGGGAUGUGUGAGAUUUACAAAGCGAAUAGCGACAGAGAUUUGGAUAUUAAUUUUAACCACUAAAGUAAAGUAUCCUCAGCUGCACUUGUCAUUAAAAUUUGUAGCAUGCCUGACAUGAAUUUGGAAGCACAUACAAAACACUAAAUAUGUCAAGAUUAAAAUAUGAAUUGAUCAAACUUCAAUAGUUGACCAUAUGAACUUAAGUUGCAUUGUUCAAUUCCUUUUUAUUUGGGCAUGAUGAAAAGUAAUGUGAUUAAUUUCUUGAUGCAGUUGUAAUAAAGUUUGGAUUCCUUCAUGUAAAUUUAUGCAAGGCUUUGCUGUAAAUUAGCUUUUCAUUUCAGUCUGGUUUACCUUGUUCAAUUUAUGAGAGGAUUAAUACAUUGGCCUUUUACAGUUCCUUACUUGCCAUGGACCUCUGUCUGAAAGGGAGCCUGGACGAGCAUUUUUGCCUGCGACUGCUUAAGAAUUCAAUAGAAUAAACGACACGGUAUCACGAGGUUGCAAACUUGAUUAUGUUUGAUUAUAUUUGGGUAGUUGAAGCUUUUGAAAUGGCAUGUAAUCUAAGCUUUUUGCUGGUGUUUUUAGAAAUAUAUAUUUGUGUUUAACUUUUACUGAGUGGGGUGUUAGUGUUAAUUAUUGCAGAAAGCCAAAUAAUGCAAAACUCAACAGUUUGGAUAGCCAAAUGGUUUGGGUUAAUUCUACUUUGUCCCCUCAAACUACAGCUGAAAUUUCACUUCAGUUCCUAAAUUUCAAAAUAGGAGACUUAAAUGCUUAAACUACAAAAUCCAUUUCGGUUAAGUAAAAUCAAUGAUAGAAUCCAAAAAACUAGCGGUGUAUUAGAAGACCUCCUUUAGUGUGACUGAGUAAAUUUUAUAAACCAAAUAGUAGGGGACAUAAAGGUAACUUUGCCAUUUUUCUCCUCAUUCAUCCUUUUUUUCCUUUUUUCUAUUCUUCUUCUUCUGUCAAACACUUUUUCAAGUGAAGUUAUCUUUACACAAAAAUUGCAUCUAAUCACAAAUUGUGGCUAGUACAGCCUAGAGGACCCAAAAUGACAUCCUCCGGUUAGCUAUUCUUCAUUUCUGGAAACGUAUCAUCUUUUUUUCCUUUUUGGCAAGCCAAAAACCUUAGUUGAUUGCCAUAAAAUUGAAUCCCUACAAUUACCAAUAAGAAUAAUAGAUACCAAUGAUUCAGCAAGUUCCCAAAUACUCUGAACCACAAAAUCUUUUAGACCCAACUCUAUGAUGAAAUUUUAAGAGUUCAAUAUAGAGGGAUAUGUUUUAGUUAAAUCCAAAUUAAUAUCAUGGCAGAUCCCUAUGUUUUGUUCUGUCCAUUUAGGUAUUUGUACGGAUCACCAAACCUUAGAAAGGAGAAGACGAGAGAAGGACACUAGGAAUCAUCUUUUAGUUCUGCUCCUCAUUCUCCGGAUAAUCUCUUUACUCUGUUUCACCUACCAUCAAUUCAUCAAACGUAUGCGCCUUGCCCCGCACAAUCUCGAUCUUUGCUUUAGGGAAUGGUUGUGCUACGAACUCAUCCCUCAUAUCCACAAUCAAGGUUCUUAUCUUCUUUUCAGCAGCAAAUCCAUUGUUCUUUAACCACAGUGGCAAUUUCUGGGUGGUUUCAUUCAGACCUUCUUCACUCCUUCCAUUAUCCUUUCCAUCCCUUCUGAUUCUUUUUCCAACAAAGUAUCAAUCUCAAAAACCUUCAAAUGUAAACUUCAAAUUUGAUGGUGUUUUAAUUAAAUUGAAAUUUGAUGAGUUGCAACAAAUUAGAUCUAUGGAUCUCAUGGGGUAUCAGUUUAGAAAGGGGAAUGGCUUUCAUGGGAGAUUGAGCAUACAUGAAAGAAUGGUGAUAUUUGGCCCAAGCUUACUGCCUUUUUCUUUCAACAUCUAGCAGUUUAAUAGAGGGUUUGUUGAGGUGUGUGUGGCUGGAAAAGUUGAGAAACCGGUUGAAAGGAGGAGAAGAAUAGGAAAAAGGGUAGGAACGAAAAAGGACGAGAUGAAGCUGAAGGGGAAAAGGAUCUUUUGGGAAAAAAAUAAAGGGGCCAAAAUUACCUUUAUAUCCCUAUUUUUUGUGGUUCAUAACACUUGCAUAACCGCACAAGCGGGGCGUGUGCUAAUUAAUAUACGUUAAUUUUCUAGAUUUCGUCAUCGAUUGUACGUAAUUGAAAUGGAUUUUGUAGUUUAGGAAUUUAAUUGUCUCAUUUUAAAGUUUAAGAAUUGAAGUGAAUUUUUGAAUAUUGUGUUGAGGGGACAAAGUGGAAUUAACCAAAAUGGUUUUAAAUAGUUCUUGAAAAAUUUUUUAGUUCUCUCCUUUUACAACCAACUUGAAGGAGGAAUUAACAACACAAAAGCCAUGAUAAUGGAACUGAAACUAGAAUAAAAAUUGAUUAUCAUUAUAAGUAGGCUAAAUAUUUCUAUGUAAGCUUAGCGUCAUUGGCGGUUUGGAUGGUUAUAGUUUUUCUUGCACUAACUUCACUUUGCACCCUUCAAUUUGUACCACUUUUUCACUUUGCAUCUUAAACUUUAAUUUUGAUCACUUUGUACUUUAAACUCUUAAUUUUGAACAUUCUGGAUUCUAAACUUUCAAGUUUUUAUCAUUUAAGUCCAAUCAAUAAAUAUAUUUGCAAAAUUAAUGAGAUAAAGGAUGUUAAAAAUUAAUUACAAUGUACUAUUUUGUUCUAAUUGUGAUACCUUUGUUUUUUUUUUUUUUACAACUUUCAGCAUAUUUUUAUUAAUUUGUAUGGUUUCAAUCACUAAUAUUGUCAACAAAAUUAAUGAAAUAAAAGAUUAUGCAAAUUAAUGAAAAAUUAUUAUUUUAUUUUUUCUAUAAUAUCUUGUUACUUUUUGACCACUUUGGGUAUAUUAUCAUUGAUUUAUUGGAUCCUCUAUUUUGUUAAUUUUGUUGAAAUUGUCAUUCAUUGGAUUUAAAUUCAUGAACUUAAUUAGGGUGCAAAGUAUCCAAAAUUGAGCAUUUAGGGUGCAAUGUGUUUAAAAUUGAAAUUUGUAGUGCAAAUUGAGAAAGUAAUACAAGUUUAGAAGUACAAGUGAAGUUAGUCCGCUUUCUUAUAUUCGAUUUUAUAAUGUAAGGGUGCAAUACUUCUUUUUUAGUGUUUUUUUUUCUCAUGUGACGGAGGCUAGGCCUAUGGAUUCCUCUUUUAUGUCAUUUUAUUUUCUUUAUUAAUAAAACUUGGUUUGACAUCCCACUCUUAGAUAAACAAUCUAAAAUUUUGUAAAAGCUUUACAACCUUACAACUCGAUGAAGGUAAUUCGAUAUGUAUUGAAGUAUGGGCAAAUUUUGACAAAGAGCAAAAAAAAAAAAAAAAGGAUGAUUAAAGAAUUGUCAAAUUAAAUUUUUCUUUAAGUUUUAUUUCGGCUGUGAUUUACAAUGGUAAUAAUUUUUACAAUUUCUUUCAUCUGUUUAUCCGGAUAAAUAUGUCUUUUCACCAGAGACAGUUAAGCAAAUAUUGUGCAACUUCUGGGACAUUUGUCUUCUUGUAACCAAAUCAUGCAUUCCUCACAGUAACUUCUUUCCAUUUAGCUGGCACUUGAUGAUUUAUCUAGUUGGUACUAAUGAAUCACUUCUGAUAUUUAUCCCCUAUUGAUGUUAGCUCAUGAUAUUUGUGGAUAAUCUGUAAAGAUGCUGCAAAUGACAUGUGGUUGUAACUAGAGAAAGGUGGGCGGCAAAGAUUCAAAGAGGCAGGUCGGCACGGGCCCCGCCCUUCCCAAGUUCUAGAAAUCUAUAUUCUUCUUUCAAAAAGUUAAAAAUUUUCAAUACUAUCCUUUAUAAAUUAAAAAUUUUGCCACCGCAAAAAUUUGUAGAUAUUCUUAUGUGAUGUGCUGAAUUUUAGACACGUCAAAAUUCAUCCUCUCAAGAUAAAGUUUGUGGUCCACCUAUGCGGUGAAUUGCCCCGUAACAAAGAAACAAACGAGAAAAAUAUUCCUUCGCAUUAAUACCUGCACUACUAAAAUAAGAGUGAACAAGACAAAGGACUAUUAUCAUACUCUGCUUUUCUUUUUCCUUUUUUCUUAUUUUUUUUUCCUCUAAAAGGGCAAUAGACCAAUAGCUUUUUUUUUUUUUAAUAGGAAAAGGGAUAGACAAUAAAUAAAGUUUAAGUGUUUACAAGCCGGACAAGAAUAGAUCCUACAAUCAGCAUUCAAAAGACUAUUUAAGGGCACGGGGGUACAAAACAAAUUCUUCGCAAGCUUCGUGCUCAAUUUUACCAAAUGGUCCGCGCAGUUGUUAGCUUUACGAAAAACAUGGCUAACGAUACAAAGUUUGGAAGCUCUCCAUAAUGAUCCUGAAAUCAGAAAGAAGAGGGGAGGCAUAGAAGAGGGGAACCUCUCCAUGGGCCAAUAGCUGUAACUUUAGUUUUGCACUCAUUCCCCUGGUCAAUAACCAGCAAGUCCAAUCAUUGUUCCCCCACUGCCCCAGGAUCAGGAUGAGACUGCCCAUUUGCUUUUGGGCUUGGACCUGUCUCAAAUCAUCUUGGUACAGGUACAGAGCAGCGUCAACAACAAUGUCCUAAACAGGAAAAAAGAAAAAAAAAAAAGAAAUGAAGGAAAAAAGAUAUUUGCAUACAGACACGCAUAUAUUAUAUAAUAUAUAUGAGCGCGUGGGGUGUGUGUUGUCUCUCUCUAAUGCCGCACUAUUAGGAGCCAUGGUCUCUGGGCAAACGUGGAUGUUCGUUUUCAGUGGGUAAUUUUGCAAAACUACUUGGUUGCAUAGAUUCUUUCCAAUCAUCUCGUAGAAUUUUGCUUAGGCUGGAGUGGCAAAAUUAAACUUACCGCUUCCUUAAUUUUCAAUCAAGCUCCAGCAAAUCAAUGACGAAUUUGACAUACAAAGCAAAAAAGGUAAAAUAUCCGAUAAUUGCACAAAAAGUGUGCAAGGGAAGUUGAAAUAUUUACCAUGGAUGUGAUGACAAAAUAAUUACAACAUCAAAACAAAUGCCUCACAUUUCAAUCUUUAAUUUAGUACAUAGCUCAUAUUAGCUAUUCAUACUAAGUAGUUUUAUGGUACUACUUCUAGAAUGUUACUUUUUUUUAAUAUAUAUCUUUACCACUAUUUAACAUUCUAAACUCCUCGUUUAUUCAUUCUUAUCUCUUAUAUACUAAAUCUAGAGUUAUUUAUUUCUGUGGAGCCUUGUUAAUGAUGUAGUCUUGAAGUUAUCAGUUACAAGACCAAAUGAUUCAUCUUUAUCUAGUUUGCUAAAUGUGUACUUAUUCCAACAAUUCAUCUCAAUUUUAUUGCCUAAUUUAUUGCUUUGCUAUUGACUUUACUUAGUGGAAAUCAAUUACAAAAUGGACUAUUACUUUUCAUCUACUCACGUGAAAAUCACCACCCACUACUAAUUAAUUUAAUUUGCAGUCUUGAAAGGGAAUUUACAACUAGCAAAGUAAAAUUAGCCUCCAAAUUUCAACAAAUUUUAAAUUUAUAUGCUAAGAAUUUAAAAUAAAAAAAAUGUGAGGUGUCACAGCAUAUGUUAAUUUAUUUAUUCUUUUUGUGUGAGACAAAGAUUACAAUGUAGAAUUAUGAUGUUUAGCCAUCUCACCAAAUGUACAUAUUAUUAAUGAGUUUUAUCUUUGGUGUAAGAAAGCUUCAAGGUGGAUUACUAACUUCUUUGGUUUCUAAGAAUAUAUAUUUCUUAGGAAACAGUCAGUCUAUCUUUUUGCAAGAUAUCACUUUGAUGCUAUAAUGAAGCUGUCUCUAAGUCUGUAAACUUUGUAACUGCUUUUAAACAUUUUUACAUCAAAUGUUUGUAACAUUUCUGAAAAAUGUGAUGAUAUGCAUUAAACGGGCAGAAAGCUUGAUUUAUAUAAAGGAGAAUGAAAAACAUAUUGGUAAUUUGCACAAAGAUUUAAUGUAAUGGUACGUAAACUUGAUUAACUGUGGUCUUAUUCAUAUUUGUAAGGCUAAAGAUGACUAUUAAUACAAAGUACGCACAACUACCAUAUUAACUGUUAGAAUAAUUAAACCAAACUAUUUAGAAGUUUAGUAGUUUUAGAAUUGGAUUUAUUAUUUGGUAAUUAUAUUGGAAUUAGCAUCAAUGUUAGUUUAGAAAAUAGAGUUGAGCCAAGUUUUAUACAAUUAGAAUCGAUUGCAUGAUUAUGUUUCUCUAUUUAAGGACUUGAAGUCCGAUGCUUCUAAUAGAGGAAAAAUGGUGUUAAUAGUAUAAUAGUCUUUAAUUCUUUCAGUACCUUCCUUCUCACUUCUGUGAUUAAUCAACUAAUAGUUUUGCUCUUAUACUCUCCUUCUUGUUUCUUGAUUAUUAGAAUUGCAAUGUUGAAAUAACUUCCGUUAUGUGAUUUUGUGUUACCAAGUGAUAUUAGAUCUCUUGAUUCAAGAGUUUGAUUUGGAGUGUUUAUGGUGCUUGGAGUUUGUGAUAGAGUUAGGACUGUUAAUGGAGUUGAGCCAACCCGAACUCAACUUGUUUAACUCGAGAAAAAGCCCGAUAAGUUCAACCAUUUAAUGAGUCGGUCUGAGUUUGGACCUAAAAAUUAUGCUCGAAUUGAAUAUAAGCCAAGCUCAAGCCUCAUUGGGCUCAAACUCAAUAUAGGCCCAGCCCUUUAAUUAUCUCUUAUAUAUAAUAAUAUAUAUAAUAUUUAUAUUUUGAUAUUAUAUAUAAUUAUAUAUCCAAAAAUAUUAUUACUAAAUACUAAAUAUAUACAAAUUACAAAACACAAAAAUAUAUCUUAAAACAUCUCUACUAACUUUCUUGAGAGCCCAUAUUGGUAAUGCAUAAUUGAAGUUCUAAGUUUUCUUAUUGAUUGAGUAGAUUUUUGUAUUUACAUAAUAUUUAUUGAUUUCUUUUUGGCCUAGAAUUUCUAGCAGAAACAAAAAUUAUCAAGCAUGUUUGAAUUCAAGUUACCAGGCUAUGAAGAAAUUCCACCCUCUGAAGAUGUAUUGACUUAUGACCACAUGUUUUAUUACCAUUGUCCAUGUACUUUAAAUGAAUUAAAUAUAAAUAUUGUUGAAAAAUUCUCGGUUUAUGUACUUUUUAAGAACUAUUACUUGUUCAUAUUUAGUUUUAAUGUUGUAGUCCUGUGAAUGUUAAAUUAGUUUUACAACUUCAUAGUUAUAGUAAUUAUAUUAAGAAAAUUGAGGAAUAAGAAGUGAGAUUGAGCUAAACCCGAAUAAGGUUCAAAAUCUGAAUAUUUUGUGAGUUGAGUAUAAUCUUCAUAUUUAUUAACUCGAAUCUCAUGGCUCGAAACCCAAAAGUGUUACAAAUUAAAUGAGUUAAACCUGAAUUUAUGAAAGUCUAGCUUAUAUGGCCCAAUUGAAAGGCCUAGGUAGAGUACUUGUAUAUUGAAGAAUUAGACCAAGAGAAAUUGGUCUUCGGGUACUCGUUCGUUGAUUAAGGGAAAAAUUGACCCUAAUUGGAUAGAAAUCUUGUGAGGACUCGAAAAUCUAUUAUUUUUAAAUCCCUAAUUUUGGCUUAAUUAAUUAUUUAUUUGGAUUUUUGCCACGAAUAAUAUUUUCUAGCCUUAUUAGACCUAAGUACGUGGUAUUAUAGCUUCGUUAUAUUUUUAAAGUGUCUCGUUUCAAAAAUUAUUUUCUUAGAAGCUUGUUUAGUGAAAAAGUGAAAACGCGUUUGGAAAAUUUAACCAAUUGGGAGUACAAUAAGCUCGGAAAUUUGGAGACAUGUACAAUGGUCCUAAAAUAGGUAAUUUUAGGUUUAAGUACUCAAGUGAUGGUUAGUGGUACGAUCGUUACAAGAAUUUCUUGAAGGUUUCACUUUAGUGCGCCUAAAUUAGAAAUACGCGUUUUCACGCGCGCGCUUAAUUGAGGGACUUUAGACCAUUAUUUUGGGACAAUUAAGAGUGAAUAAUAUUUAUAUGAAUAUAAGUGCAUUAGAGGUUUAGUGCACUAGUGAAAUAAACUCGAAAGGAAUCGAGCCCGAAUCGCGCGCGUACGCGCACUAGUGAGGGUUGACUUUUGCACGAUUAUGGGCCACACAAACGAAGCUUCUCUUGGAAGCCAAAUUAGAUCAACACUCUCUCUCUCCUCUCCAAAGAUAGCCGGCCAGCCUCUCUCUCCCUCAACCUCCAAGUUUCAAAAUUUCUUCUCACAAAAACCUCACCAAUCUUCAUCCAAAUUCUACCAAAUUUCAUACACACUUAGAUCUACUCUUGGACACCACUUUGAAUUGCAAAAAGGAGCUAAAACUCACGGUUUUUCUAGAGCAUAGGGGACUGAAAAUCACUGCCUUGGUCAUCAACUAGAGUAGGUAAUGAUCCGACACUUUAAUCUUGGUUUAUGGAGGUUUAUUAACACCUUUAAGCUCUUGUAUUCAUAUGGGUGGUUGUUAUUAUUGGAAAAUUUGGAAGUUGGGCUCUAUGAACUCCCACCCUUUGUCUUGAUGGCUGAUGUGAUGAUUGAUGAUGAAUUUAAUGUUGGUUUAGUGCUCAAAAUGGUAGAUUAAUGGUGUAUUAGUAGUAUGAACUUCAAGAAAUGCAUGAGAGAAAAAGUUCCAAUUCUGCCCCUGCUUUGAACGUAUCUAUUUCUGCGGAAUUUUGGGGUUCUAAUGACUUAUAUAUGAUGUUUAUAUGUUGUAUAGAUGGUGUAAAAAAUUUCAUUGAAAAAUAUUGAGGUUUGGUGGGUCAAAUGAAUCGAUUUCACAAAGCUAGUAAAUCUGGAACUGUUUCCGUAAUGCUCUGACCAGUUUUCGUGUUUCAGCCAUAACUUUGUGCUCCGACGUCGAAAUCGAGUGCCAUCAGCGGCAUUUGAAACUAGACAUUCCAACUUUCCAAUGGUAUAAAAUGCACGUUCUGGUUCCAUGUAUGUGAGCCGAACCAACCAUUUAAAGUCGGCUGUUCUGUUUCUCUGUUUUACUGGAACGAAAUGCUGAGGCUGCAACUUGUGGCUCGAAUUCGAGCUAGUUGUGUGCCAAAUUUCAAAAUGAUUUCUUCUGUGAAAUUAUAGCUCUAUGAAUUUGUUUUCCAACUCCAUAAACCAUGCCCAAUUCCGAGUUAAUUUGAGUGAUUUGUGAUCAAAAUACGGAACCUGCCCUGCUCUUGAAAACCCUGACUUUUGGACAGAUUUGAUGCAAGACUUGGUAUAGACUUGCUAACUGAAUAUUUUGGUGCUAAACACUUACCAAAUAUACCAUGAAUAUUCCUUAGGCUUUUCCUAUGCUAAUGAGCCAUGUUUGAGGAAUUUUUCCUUGACCAAAUGUUUGAAAUGGAAAACAAAAGGUUCAAGGCAGUUUUGUCUUAGUAUUUUCGAAAUUUUGGUUGUUUGAGUGACUACCUUCCCGAAGGUAUUUUUCCAUGAAAUUUGAUAGGGAGAUACUCUUUAUAUAGGAGUAUUAUACUGCCAAAUUUUGUACCAAUCCAAGUCCAUUUCGAUACCUAACUAAAGUACCAAAGUUGGAAGCUCAAAUCUGGAAAUUUGUUCACCAGUUUUGAAUUUUUCCCUAACUUUGAGCUACCGUAUCUCGGUGCUCGAAACUCCGAUUCUUGAUCAACUUUUUCUGUUAAAAACAUUACUUGCAACUCUAAUUGAGUUGUAGAUUUCAGAGGCUAGCUCACAACGUGUGAAUUUUUCCGAAUUUCCAAAGUUAGCGAAAAACCAACCCCAACACAACCUUAAGUACCCUGAAACAGUAACUUUGAGCCCAUUUUUGAAUGUCUUCCAUUUAGAAUCAUGGAAAAGUGUCUUCUAAGAACUUUUAGUACUUUCAAAGAGGUUUCCAACGGUACCAUGUUUUACAAUUUUUGACAAGUAGAAUGUGAGAUACGAUUUUUCAAAAUAUCGUAUCAAAACCGAAAAUUUUCCGAAUUCCAAAGGAAGGGAGUUUUCAAGCACUCCUUAUUCCUUCGAUAUUACUUGAACAUUUUAUACUUGAUUUCCCGAAAUGAAAACUCGAUCGCUCUUGUACUUUAAGAAACUCUAAUUGAAUCUCGAUUUAUGAGUAAUUGAGGUUCGUUUUCAUGAAAUUUUCCUAGAUUGUACUAACAUACAAUCUUCCUUGAUAAUUGGGGCACGUGAAUGAUAAUACAUUAUAUUUUGCUCAGGUGCACUCGAGGACCUUCAAGAGGAUCCUACAGUGAACACUUGAACUUCCAGAAAAUAUUUCUUCUUGAUUUGCUCGGUGAGUGUCAAGUGUAUGGCUACUUGAACUCUAUGGGUUUGAUUCAUACUUGGCUUACCUGAUUACAUGCUUAGCCUACUUGGUUUUGAAAAAUGGAGUCGAGUGUGUACUUUAUCGCACUCGUUCUCAUUUAAAACAAAUGACUCAUGCUUAACAUGUUUUGCCUGAUUUACAUGACCUGAAAUACAUGCUUAAACCUGUCGAAUGCUUUAUUACAUGACAUGGUAUGCUAUGACUGCAUACGUCGUUGGAGUGAAUCUCCUCGAUACUUACAUGAUACAUGGGGGACGCCCAAACUCAUAGGCCGACCUUGGAACUCGAGCCGGCAUGGGCUUGGUCGGGAACCUUGGUGAGCCAUGAGAAUCACAUGAUAAGCUUGAUCUAUUUGAGAGAUCUUGCUUGGCAUACUCGUGGAGUAUAGCCUUAUAAAUGUCGUGCGGGCCCGAAGUGGUGUAGGGUGGACGGAUGAGAAGUAAGUGGUGAUCUACGGUUUGAAAAUAUCAACCCGGUUGACAGAGAGUCAUCGCGGGAAGAUAUACGAAUGAACUGGCAACGCAAGUGGAACUUAGCUCCUGAGAGCUACCAUAUCUUUGAAUUGCUUCUGUUUACAUUUUGUUGGCAUUAUUAAUUACUUGCAAGUUAUCACUUGAACUGUUACUUGGGCUUGUUACCUGAACUAUGUGCCUGCAUGUGUGUUCUUGGCCUCACGAGCGUUUUUGCUCACCCCGUUAGAUUUGUUUUCCUUAACAGGAUUGAACUCGGAGAUGUAUUGGAGAACCCUCCUGAUGUACUUUUGUUUAGGGUUUCUAUUAUGUUUUGGCUAUGCCUUGGUUUUGGAUUGUACUUUUGGAUUUGAAAUGUAACUUUUGGGGCGUGAUGUAUAUUUGGGAUUUAAGAUGUACUUUGAACACCCGAUAUGCGGGUUGGAUAAUGGAUGACGAUUGUUAUGCUUGAACGCUUCCGCAUUUACUGUAUUUAAGUUAUUUACUUGUGUUGUGUAGACUGGUAAUAAGCUUGAAUGGAAUUGCAUGAGUCCUGGUGAGAGUUGGGCAAGCGUCCCGCGGAUACCCUUUGGUUCGCCUUAGGGAGAAGUGGGGGCGUCACAAAUUUAGACUUUGUCGUGAUGUUGUUGGUAUUGGCAGUGAUAAGAAAAUCAUGUCAAAUAAUUGUAUUGUGCAGAGAUCAGAGAAAAAGACCUACCCAAUUAUUGAUUGUGAUUGUUCCCACAAUGAAGUUUGAUCAAGGCUGAAGUCAGGGAAGCCAAGAAAUUCAAGUUGGGAAGAAAAAAUAUUUGUGAAGGUAUGUAAAUCAUUUUGAGUUGCCAUGCAUAGAGAUUUUCUCAAUGAUGGAAAAUGUAAAAUUUUGCACACAUUGAGUAUGUAUGAAGAAAAUUUUGAAUGGUUAAGAGUAAUGCAAAAAUAUCUUAAAAAGUGUGGUUUGGGUGAAUUUCUUGAAAUAAGUUUAUGCUCUAGUUCUUCAAAAGAAACUAAGAAAAGGAAGGCCAAAUUGUUUUUCAAUAUAAUGUGAAAAUCAAUGGUUGAAGAGUUUUACAAGAGGCUUAUUGUUUACUCUCAAUCACUUCAGUAGUUUUGGUCAGAUUUCUUCUAUAUUUUGAUACAAUAUGAAUAUGAGUCUAAUCAUAAAUCAAAAAUUAGUUUCACUUGGAAAGUUAAUUUGAAAGAAGACGUGUUUAUUGAUGGUGGAGAAAGUACAUGUGAAAAUUUUAAUAUAGUUGAAGAUUUUGAUUUGCAUACAUUAUUUGAAGUGAUUGAUGAAGAGAAUUUGUCAAUGAAAGUUUUGACUUGAAUGAAGAUGUGCAUGAAAACAUCCAUAGAGUGGAUGGAUUUAUUGAAAAAUUUUGUGGUGAAAAUUGUUGGCAAAAAGAAAGACAUAAUUUAUUAGUUGAAAAAUGUGUGAAUUUUGGCUCUAAUCAUGAAUGGGUCAAUAAGGAGGAAUUUUUUUUUAUCAAAGAGAAUUAGUAGCAAAAUUGUAUGCAGAUAGUCCACUUUCAUGCAUAAAUAUGAAGAUGGGUACCAAUUAUAAAUUGAAGUUGCAUGUCAACCAUAUUGUUGCAUACAUUGGAGAUAAUAACAUCAAAAGUUUAGUUUAAGGAAGGCAAUAUUGGGAUAAUUAAGCCAAACUAUUUAAAAGUUUAGUAGUCUUAGAAUGGGAUUUAUUAUUUUGGUAACUAUAUUGGAAUCAGUAUCAAAGUUAAUUUUAGAAAAUAGAGUUGAGUUAUGUUUUGGCAUUGCAGUUAGAAUAGGUUUUGUAGUUUUGCUCCUAUAUUCUCCUUACUUCUUAUUUCUUGAUCAUCAUAAUUGCAAAGUUGAAAUAACCUCCUCGAUAUGAUUUUUUGUGCUAGAAUUAACACAUAUAUGUGUAGUAGUGGCAAUUGAACUUUAGAGCCAUGUUUUUCAAUUCAUUUUUAUUUUAUUUAUUUAUUUAUUAUUAUUAUUAUUAUUAUUAUUAUUAUUAUUAUUUUGCUGUUUGGGUAAGUAUGGUUUGCAAUCUUUUGUAGGGUUAAAGUUCAAUUACAUAAGAACUUGAUGUAUUGAAUUUGUAUUCAGGUAGAUCUUGGGAAUGCUUAUGUUAAACUAACUAGUUAUGGAUGUUUAUAUUUAUGGUUGAAAUUAAUUGCUAUAUUUAAUUGUAUUAGUUGCUUUGAUCUUUAGUACUUUUGUGGUUUUAUGGCUGUAUUAUAAGGCAGAUCAAUGUUAUAUUAUGGUUUCAGAGUUUGACGACAUCCCUCCCACACUCCAAACUACCCUACGAUACUACUUAGGGAUGGCAGUGGGUUAAUUACCUUAAAAAAUACAUCUUACCAAAUCCUAACCCUCUUAUUUAAGACUUUUACCAAACCCUAUCAGGUAACAGUACUAGUUUUCAUUCCUAUUAUCAAACCCUCUUGCUAGCGAGUUCAGAUUACCUAUUAGGUAUUCUUUACCCCCCUAUCUGAAUAGUUUAAGAAAAGAGAAUCAGCUUUUAUCAAACUAAAAUCAAUAUGCAUAUCAUGUUAAAUCAACAUAUUACUUUGAGUCUUAAAUUUGGAUAGAGCCAUAGAACCCGAGUGAGAAAAUCUAACAUUUUAUGAAGGGUUGAAUUAACAUUAUUUUAUUUUUAAUCACAAUUGUCUCUAUUUGAAACACUUGAUUAAAUUAUGUCUCUGGAUUUUAGCAAUUUCAGCAAAUGUCCGCAAAAAAAGAUUCAAACAACUGUUUGUGUGUGUGUGUAUGUGUAUUUAUAUACUCGAUUUAGGUGCAUAAUAUAUAACUCUUUAGCUCUUGCUCCUUCAGGCACAACCAAAGCCAACUAUGGAGUUUAUUAAAAUAUAAUUUUUAUUUUGUCAGCGAGUUUAUUUCCAUGUAAGUGUGUGUGUAUAUGUAUAUGUAUAUAGAGUAUUGGGUUUUUAAAAUUCUCUUAUCUAAUCCUUUCGGAUUUUCCAUCGAUAACCCUUCAGUAAUACCAAAUCCUAACGGAUUUAACCCCACAGUCAUCUAAUCGAAUUAACUAUCAGGUUGGGUAACUAGAAGUUUCGAGUUUUACCCUAACUAUUGGCAUUCGUAACGUUGUCUAUGAUUUUUUGUUUUUUAAUUUCCUUUAUUAUGUAACACUGAUAACAACUUUACUAAUUAUUCUUUUUGAAUUAUUAGACAAAAAUGUACAGUGAAAUCAAGUUUAAAAAUACUUUGAUCUUUUGAAUUUGUUUCUCCAUUUCUGAUUCCAUAUUCAACCUAAACCUAUAGGUAUUACUUGUUCAUAAACAACAUGCAAUGUAGUACAUAAAACAUAAAAAUCAAGUAAAUUAAUGUUCCAAUUUCAUACUUUUAUUACAACCAAUUAAAUUUAUGUCAUGUCAUACAAUAUUUAUAUUUACAUUUAAAUAGGCUAGGAUGAGGGACUAGAUUGAGGCAUUAUCCGCCGUUCUCUUGGCCCUAUCUAAAGUGGCAGAGAAAAACUUCUUUGCUUUCGCCUAAGAAAUCUAUAUCAAUAUGUAUUAGAGGCAGCUUUUUCAUGAGAAGCCUCCACAAGUCUCAAAAAUCUAAAUCUCUUUUUCCUACAAUUUAGAUUUAUUGUAAUUUAGUAAUCCUUAUCCCUUCUCACUUUCCAAUUUACGUGACCCACUCAUCAAUAAAAUCACAACUCUAAAAUUUAACUAUUCAAAUCCCUUUUUCCUGCAAUUUCAAAUUUAUUUUAAUUUAGUAAUCCAACCUUAAGCUAACCAAAACCAACCUUCUGCUAAGCUACAGAAUGUUAAGCUGGCCAUUAAGUGUUGGUCCAAGGAGUCAUUUGCGGACAUCUUAAAGGCUAUUAGGUAUGCUGAGAGGUUGGUUUUGGAGGUUGAAAUUUCAUAUGACAAUGAUCCUACAGAACAGUCUCUGUUGAGCUUGCAGUCAGCCCACUCAAAGCUCCGACAUACAUUCACAUUGGAAGAAGGUUUUUGGAAGUAGAAGGCAAGCGUGAAGUGGUUUAGGGAUGGUGACAGGAAUUCGAAGCACUUCCAUACAGUGGUGGCCUAGAAGAGAUGCAAGGCUAUUAUUCAUCACAUUUGAAAAGUCGAUGGCAAUUGGGCAGAGUCGAAACCACAGAUCUGUAAUGAAGCGGUUUCCUUCUUUGAAGAGUUAUUCACGGCAGAGCCUUGUCUGCUUUCGUGGGACUUGUUGAAUGUUAUUCCAAAACUUGUGACUAAACAAGAUAACUCAAGGUUGACGGAGAUCCUAUCGUUAAAAGAAUUAAAAGUUGUUGUCUUUUCCAUGGAUGAGGAGAGUGCGGCGGGUCUCGAUGGUUUCACAAGAAAAUUUUUUACUUUUGCAUGGGAAGUGGUAGCCGAGGAUGUGCUUCGAGCAAUAUCUAGUUUUUUCUGUGGGACGGAGUUGCCGAAAAGUAUUACCGCGAUGUCAAUUGUCUUGAUCCCAAAAGUGCAAUACCCUCAAGAUUUUACACAAUAUCGCCCUAUUAGCUUGUGCAAUUUCAUUAAUAAAGUCAUCAUUUGGCUAUGAUUCUUCCUCGUAUUAUUUCUCUGCAACAGAGUGGUUUUGUUAAGGGAAGGUAGAUUUCUGAUAAUUUCCUACUGGCCCAGGAGUUGCUAACUAGUAUAAAGAAUGCCAAUCAGCGAGGCAAUGUGGUGGUGGAAUUGGAUAUCAUAAAGGUGUAUGACAGAGUGUCGUGGUGUUUUUUUACUUCCAGUCCUGCAUCGUUUUGGGUUUAAUGAGGUUUGAAUUGAUAUGAUUUAAUGGUUAAUUUCUAAUGUGUGGUUCUCAGUGCUUAUAAAUGGUUCACCGCAAGGGUUUUUUAAAUCCACACGGGGGUUGAGACAAGAGGAUCCAAUUUCACCAACUUAUCUAGAUCUUUGAAUGGGGUGGUCAUGCAGAGGCAUUUUAAUCCCUUUAAAGUACCUGAUGGUUGUCUAGCUAUUACACAUUUAGCCUAUGCAAAUGAUGUGAUCAUCUUUUAUAGUGGCUUGAAGUCGUCUCUACAAAUAGUGAUGAGUGUCUUGAGGGAUUAUUGUGCAGUUUCGGGUCAGAAGGUUAAUCACCAAAAGAGCUGCUAUCUGGUGAGCCCUAGUUCACCCCUUCCACAGAAAAUUUUGAUAUUACAGGUGACUGGGUUUCAACAAAAGUCCUUUCCAAUUAAAUACUUUGGGUGCCCAUUAUAUAUUGGCAGAAUGAAAAAGGUAUACUUUGCAGAAAUUUGCAGUGCCGUGGCCAGUAGGAUUUUAUCGUGGUCGCUCGGGGGUAGAAUUGUUCUAAUUAAAAGCACAUUUUCUUCAAUUUCGAUCCACAUAUUAGUAGCUGCCUCAGCUCCUCUGGGGGUACUACGGGAGCUAGAAAACUUAAUUGUAGCAUUGUUAUGGGGACGUCGGAAUUUGGUGCCAAGUUUUAUUGGAUGAAAUGGCUUGACCUUUGUAGGCCUUGCAAUGAGAGGGGAUUAGGUUUUCAGAGCCUUAAGGAUGUUGUCAAUGCCUUUUUGUUGAAGCUUUGGCGGAUAUUUAGGAGAAAACGCUCUCUUUGGGUAGAGUUCAUGUCUUUAAAAUAUUGUGGAGGGAUGCAUCCUUGCCUAGCAGAGGAGGGCUCGGUAUGUUCUUAUACUUGGCGAAGGAUGCGGUCAGUGCAGAAUCUAGCGGAGGAAUACAUUGGCUGGAUUAUUCACGAGGGUUUGAUUAUUGACUUUUGGCAUGAUAAUUGGAUGGGCUCAGGAGCAUUGUGCCAGCUGGUGGAGAUUUUUCAUGAACAUAGUGUGGCUAAUUUUGUAGAGGAGAGUGAGUGGAAUAGCCGAAUGCUAUGUCAGUUUUUGGAACCAGAGGUUGUUGUGCAAGUAAUUGGCAUUGUGCCACCUGCUAUACAUGGGGACGAUAGGAUGGUGUGGACAUUGAUUCUUAGUGGUGAGUUUUUGGUCUCCUUUGCUUACUCCAUUGUUAGGCAGGCCUUGAAUUCUUCUUGGUUGGCUGCAAGUACGUGGCAUAAGGCCCUCCCGAUCAAGAUAUCCUUUUUCAUGCUUAGAUUACUACUUUGUAAGUUUCCGUUUGCGGAACAGUUGAGAAAUUUUGGAGUUCAGGGACCCUCUAGGUGUGUUUGUUACCAAGAGUCUCAAGAAGAGUAUUUGAAUCAUGUAUCCUGCACAGGUGAAGUUGCACGGCAAGUGUUGAAGGCUUUUGAGGUUCAGGCUAGAGAAUUAUCCUCAAUUAGCACUAUUCGACAUAUGGUGCUAUUUUGGUGGAUUUGACCCUCAAAAAAUUCAUACUUAGCAUUUGUUUAUCGAGUUCUCCCUUUGCUGAUUUGUUGGGAGUUGUGGAGGGCAAGGAAUGGUGUGGUCUUUGAAGGGCGAAGUUUGGGAUGGAAUAGGAUUGCUGGUUGGAUUCUCACCCAUGUGCAAGAGCUUUUUCAGGAGCAUUUUCCAGCAUUGUCGUGCUCUUCUAUCUCUUGGGAGGGCUUUCAUUGUUUUUUGGCUGGUCAGCCAAGGGUUAUCUUGAUAAGACCGGUCAAGUGGAUUGCUUCCAUAGUGGGGUACUAGUUGAAUACCGAUGGCUGCUCUAGAGGGAACCUGGGGAUGAGUGGAGGAGGGGGAUUGGUAUGUGAUUGUAAUGGGCAUUUCAUGUUUGGAUAUUCUUGCUUCUUUGGCUCAUUGACAAGCUUACAUCUAGAACUCAAGGCGAUGGUGUUUAGAGUCCAACAGUGUCUCUCUCAGGGCUUCUUGGAUUUGCAUAUUGAGUCGGAUUCUCUUGUUCUAGUUCAGAUGAUUUAGGGUACUUGCACUUGCCCAUGGUGGCUGCAGAGGGAAUUGCAGGAGCUUCUUCGAUUUUGAAAUCAUUUUCAAGGUAUCUCUCAUUGCUUUAGGGAGGUGAAUAGGCUAGCUGAUAGGUUAGCAAAUCAUGGUGUUGCGUCGCAGUAGGAAUGUUUAUUUCAUAGCUUUGCCGAGCUGCUAGGUUUGGUUCGAGGUGAAGUUCGACUUGAUCUAUUGGGACUCCCAAGCUUUCGGAGGAUAGUUCGCUAGGUUUCUCUUGUUUCUUGAAUUUGAAUGUAUUUGAGAUGGGCCUGAAUAGAUAAAUUGGGGCUGGCAUCCCACCCAUGUGUACGAGGUUUGCCGUUAAAAAAAAUUAAUUCAGUAAUCCUUAUUCCUUCUGACUUUUCAAUAUACAUGACCCAUUAACCUACAAAAUCACAAUCCCAAAAUCACAUCUGACAAUUACCACGACUGAUAAUAACUAACUGAUCAUUUAAGGAACUACUACUAAGCAAAAAUCACAUACCCAAAAUUUUAGAAGUCCAUUUGAAUUACAAUUCCCACAUUUCUACAUAUCUUACUCUCAUAAUCAUUCACAAAGCUGAUGACCCCUAAAUCAUUUUAUUUUCAUUUGUCGUCCACACAAACCAAAUACAGUGACAAAAAAAAUAAGAAUAUGUAUCAUACUCUCACCAUGGACGAAUCCCACCUACAAGCAUUUCAACAGCAUCUCAAUUUCAAACUUGCAAGAUUUCAAAGGUAAAAAUAAUUGAUCAUAAAAUGGAGUCUAUGUGAGGACUCGAAAAUUUUCUUAUUUUUAUAGAAUAUACUGGAAUAUUUAAAUGAUUAUUCACUCAUUUUCUCCGAAUUAUUUAUUUCGACCAUUUUAAAUCCAUUUAUAUGGAACGACGCCUCUUUAUAUGUUUAAAGCGUUUUGUUGAAAAAUUAGCUUUUCGAAAGUUUGUUUAGUCCGGAACGACGGGUGCACGUUUUUCUAGGCUAUACUUGAAUCGGGAGUGUAUUAAUAUUGGAGAAUUAAGAACGAUCAAUAAUAGAUUAAGAAAGGUUAAUUGAAGAAUUAAUACUCAAUUCACGUGAGGACUCGUAAAAUUAUUAUUUUUUAAACCCCUAAUUUUGGCUCAAUUAAUUAUCUAUUUGGAUUUUUGCCCCGAAUAUUAUUUUCUAUCCUUAUUAGACCUAAAUAUAUGGAAUUAUAGCUUCAUUAUAUUUUUAAAGUGACUUGUUUCAAAAAUUAAUUUUUUGGAAACUCGUUUAGUGAAAAUAGUAAAUACGCGACUGGAAUAAAUAAUCGAUUCGAGAAUACAAUUAGCUUGGAAAAAUUGGAGACUUGUGCAUUAAUCUCAAAAUAGGUAUUUUUAUAUUUAAGUGUUCAAAGGUUAGUUAGUUAUAUUGCCGUUAUAGGAAUUUCUUAGAAAUUUCAUUAUCUCGCGCUUAAAUUGGAAAUACGCGUUUUACGCACGCGAGUAAUUGAGGAACCUUAGGCCAUUAUUUUGGGACUAUUAAGAAUGAAUAAUAAUAAUAUGAAUGCAAGUGUAUUAGAGGUUUAGUGCACUAGUGAAAUAAACUCGCGAGGAAUCGAACCGAAACGCACGUGGAUGUGCACUAAGUUAGUGGACAGCUUAAGUGCAAUUGAGCCACACGUAUAAGCUUACCAUUAGAAGCUCAUAUCAUCUGCAUUUCAUUCCUCUCCUACGCACAAACAGCCGAGCAGCCAAGGGAAAGCUAAACCAGAAAAUUCCUCCACCCUCUCUCCUCAAUUCCUUGCUCAAUUUCCUCCAAAUUUCACAUGCAACUCUCAAAUCAUUUGGUGAUCAAGAUCAGCUAGGAAUAGAGCUAACUCACACGGUUUUUCUCCAGCUCAAAGUGACAAAAAAUCUCUGUCUUGGCUCUCUAAGAAAGUAAGUAAUGAUCCACUACUUAAUUCUUGGUUUAUGGAAGCUAAAUUACACUCACGAGCUCUUGAAUUCUCAUGGGCAGCAUUAAAUUGUUAAGAAAUUGGUGAGUGGGCUCUAUGAAAUCCCACAAUGACUUGGAUGAUCUGAUUAGCUAGGAUUGGAUGCUGAUUGUGUUGAUUAAGUGCUAAUUUAGUAGAGUUAAGUGGCAAAAAUGAAAAGGAAAUCAAAUGAGGAGCUGCAUGUGAUGUUGCCGAUUCUGCCCUGCUAAUUUCAUGCAUUUUAGUGUAUUUUAUUGAAUUCCAAUUGACUUGAUUCUGAUGAAAACAUGAAAUAUAGGUUAUGUUUAAAGUUUCCUCAAAAUUUUACGUGAUUUGGGUGAGUGCAUGUUGAGUUUUAGAAUCUGCCAAAACUGGGAAAUGAUUCCCGUCACUACUAGACAGCCAGUUUGUUUCGGCUAUAAUUUAUCGCUCCGAUAUCGGAAUCGAGUGCCGUUUGUGGCACUGGAAACUAGACAUUCCCAGCUUUCAUUUGGUAUAAAAUUCAACCCCUGAUUCCACCCGAGUACCCCGUACCAACCGUUUAAAAAUGACAGUCCUGUUUCUCUGUUUUCCUGGAAUGAAGUUCAGAAGUUACAACUUGAGGCUCGAAUUUGAGCUAGUUAUGUGCUGAAUUUCAGAAUGAUUUCUUCUGUGAAAUUAUAGCUUUAUAAAUGUAUUUUCCAAAGCCACCAACCAUGCUCAAUUCCGAGUUGAAUUGAAUGAUUUAUGAUCAAAAUACGAAACCUGCUCUGUCUUUGAAAACCGUUAAUCUUGGGCAGAAUUAAUGUUAGACUUGGUAUGGACUUGCCAAUUGAGUUUUUGGAGUUAAAACACCUACCAAAUGUACCAUGAAUGUUCCUUAGGCUUUUCCUAUACAAAUGAAUCAUGUUUUGAAGGAUUUUUCCUUGGCCAAAUGGUUGGAAUGGAAAACAAAAAGCUCAAGACAGUUUUGCCUUAGGAUUUUCGAAACUUUGGUUGUUUGGUUGACCACCAUUCCGAAGUUAUUUCUCCAUGAAAUUUAGACAACCCUUAUAUGGUAGUAUUAUACUGCUAAUUAUGGUGUUAUUCCGAGGCCGUUUCAUGGCUCAAAUAAAUUACCAAAGUUCAUGACUUGAGUUUGAAAAACCUAUGUUUCACAAGGAAAUUUUGGUAACUUCGAGUUGCCAUAUCUUAGUACUCAAAACUCCGUUUCUCAUUCCGCUUGUUUUGCUGUAAAUUUGGAUUGCGACUCUAAAAGAGUUCCAAAUUUCAAAAGCUAGUUCCAAUCAAGUGAAUUUUGCCGAAUUUUCAAAGUUGGCCAAAAACCAACCUAAAUCUGCCUUAGGAACCAAAACAGAGACUUUGAGCUUGUUUUUGAAUGUUUUUCAUUUGGAAUCUUAGAAAAGUGUAUUCUAGGAACUUUUAGUACCUUGGAAGAGGUUUCCAACGGUACCAAGUUUUCCAAUUUUUGACUUGUAAAACGUGAGAUACGAUUUUCCUAAUGUAUCAUAUCAAAACUGAAAUUUUCCGAAUUUCAAGGAAAUGGAGUUUUCAAGUACUCCUUAUUCCUUCGAUAUUACCUGAAUGAUUUACACUCGAUUUCCAAGAUGAAACUAAAUUUCUCUUGUAUUUUGAAACCCCACUAGAGAGUCUCGAUUUAGGAUAAUUUAGGCUCGUUUCACUAGACUUUCUAAGAUUGUACUAUGGUACGAUCUUCUUUAAUAGUAGGGGUUUGUGAAUGAUAGUCCAUUAUUAUUUGCUCAGGCGCACACGAGAACCUUCAAGAGGAUCCUACAGUGAACGCCUAAAGCUCCGAGGGAUAUUUCUUCCUCAUUACUUGUAUUGGUGAGUGCCAAGUGCAUGUUCACUUGCACUUCGCUUGAGAUUUGUUGCCUACAUGAACUCUACUUGAACCUAUUGUUACUUGAACUGUACUUGUUGGGAAAAGCGUGUACUUUACAGCACUUUAUCUCCUUUACCUGGAUCAAUACAUGACCUGCUACAUGAAUUACAUGAAAUUGAUGGAUUUUACAUGUACAUGACCUAAAGUCGAGUGCAGAGAAAUCUCAUCGACUAAAACUUGAUUUGUUUCUGAAAACCUGACUUGUGGGGACGCCUAAAACCCAAUGGUUAUACCUCGUAAUCUCGCAGCCAAUCGUGAGGUCUUGAUCGGGAGAACUUGGUAAAUCUUGGGACCUGAAGCUUGAUCUUUUGAGAUCUUGCUAGGCAUACUGGUAUAGUAUCGCCUUUACAUGCCUGUUGGUUACGGAUCCGAGGGGGUGAAAUGAUGGAUGGAGGGAAGUAAGUGGAGAACUACGGAUUGGAAAUACCAACCCGGUUGACGGAGAGUCAUCGCGGGAAGGUAUACGAAUAACCCUGGCAAUGCAAGUGGAACUUAGCUCCUGAGAGCUACCAUAUCCUUGAAUUGUUUCUGUUUACAUUUCAUUUGAUUUGGCAAUUACUUGUACUUUAUUAUUUGACCUGUUAAUUAGGCUUGUUGUUUGGACUAUGUGAUUGCAUGUGUGUUCUUGGCCUCACGAGCGUUUUGCUCACCCCGUAGAUUUGUUUUCCUUAACAGGAUUUGGCAUGGAAUGGUACUUGGAGGAACUCUUUUGAUAUACUUCUGGCUUAGGGUUUUAAUAUAUUUUGGGUUAGACCUCUUAUUGGUUGUACUUCGGAAACCUACUAUAUGGUUUGAAUAUUUGAUGUACCCGGUUGUAGUAUAUUUUGGGUAUUGAUGUACUUUUUGAAAAUUUAAUGUAAUGAUUGGAUAAGCGUUAUGUAUAUUGUUAAGUUUGGAAGUUUUCCGCACUUUCUUACUUAUCUAGUGUUAUUGAAUGAUUUUGCUUUAAGCUCGAAUGGAUACUGCUUGAGUCCUGGCGAGAGCUGGGCAGACGUCCCGCAGAUACCCUCUGGUUCGCCUUAGGGGGAAGUGGGGGCAUCACAGUUGGUAUCAGAGCAUAGGCUCUAGAUCUUGUAGUGUAUCCUAGGCUUAAAGUUUAGGAUGCCUGAUUGUGGGAUUAAUUUGAAUAUUAUGUGAACUAGAGGAUCUAUUGUAUCCUACGGGUUAAAGAAAUUGGUUACUUGAGGGUUUCUUACUUGGGACUUGUAGAAACAAAAAUUGAGGAAUUAGGUGAUGUUAUAUUGAAGGAAAAUACGGGAUGAGAGAUUAGUAGUGAAAGAUUGGACGAAUUUGAAUUAUUAUUAUACUUGUAAGUGUGGAAAGAAGGUGAGGCAAUUAUUAGUGCUGGCUAAAGAGGAUAAGAGACCGAGAUUUGAUGGUCAAACUCUAUGUAUCGUGAUUGUGAACCCAGAUAAAAGAGUUUCAAAGGAAUAAAAUGCAUUUUCUUGCUCAUUUACCUCCUAGAGAAUUUAUGCUUUGAAAUUCUAAAGGAAAAAUGGGGAUGUACUAGUUUUAUUUUCAAACGAUGAUUGGAAAUAAUAUAUAUAUGCUUUAAGUAUGUGUAAUUCUUCGAUUUUGGUAAAUAUGUGAAUUUUACUUGAAUUUCAAUUUAAAAAUUUGUGAAUAACUGAUGAGUUUGUUGAAAUUUUGUAUGUGAUGGGCUGAUACAAGGUUAAAAUUUUCUAAACUAGAUUUUCCCCCUUGAUUGUAUACUGGUGUAUUCUCACACUUGAAUUCGUCUAUGCUUUACAAAAAAAAUAAUAAUAAUAAUAAUAAAAAUAUCUUGAGUUUUCGGAAGAACGGCGAACUUAUGUUUUUAUAAUGAAAAUCUUGAACUUGAUAAGAUUUUUGUUACUUUAAAUACUCUUCUUAUGUUUUAAAAUUCUUGGUUUUCAAGAAGGGUGAGCCUAUCUUUAGGUGUAUGAAUUGAGGGAACUUUGAGAUAUAGAGUAACCGCAUUCAAGAACACGCAGUUAGUGUGAAUUGACUUGGUUUCCAUUUGACACGUAAGUUAGCAAGUUGUACUUAUUUCUUGGGUUUGAACUUGGAGCUUGAGGCUUUAACUAUAAAACCCUAAGACUGGUUAUUCUUGGAGAUGAUGGUGCUCUGGUUGGUGGUUUGCUUAUUAAAGAUUUUGAAUUUCGAAUGGAUAACCUUUGGUUUCCGCUUGUGUUAUGGUUUGAUUGGAUCUAAUUUCGUAAAGGCAUGUGAUCUGAUUGGAAUUAGUGAUAUUCGGACCCUUUGGUUUAAUUAAGGACUUAGGAAGGGUGGUGCACGCCGUGAGACCUUUUGUAUUCCGCUUGCAUAUACUUCUACAUUUUGUGACCCUUAAUUGCCUAUAUACAGUAUUUGAUAUAUUGGGCUUGUUUUGUGACUUCUUAACUCGUACUAUAACCUCCGAUACAUGUAAAGAAUCAUGUCUUGAUUCUAAAUAUUUUUGCAACUUGUAUAUGCAUUAAGUUCUUUUAUGAUUAAUUAUUCCUUUUCUUGCGCUUAUAGACUCCUAUUAAGUAUGGUAGCAGGAAUAGGAAAAAGGGGUCGUGGCCGAGGGCUUAGACAACCUUGUACUCGUGAGAAAAAUUGAUGGAUAGUCUUAUAUAAUUUAAUGAGAUCCUAGUACUGAAUAUGAAUCGAGAAUAAACCAGAAGAUUAGAUCUACCAGUGUAUAAUGGAUUAACCUAGUUAGGAACUUAGUGAGAUUUUCCUGUAUGAAAUUUUAAUAGCUGCUUUAUACGUAUAUUAUGAUUGGUCCUGUGGCCAUGUUUCAACUUUUGUGAAAGUCUGAACUCCAAAAGUAUUUCAUGGGUUUGGUGAGAUGACUUGAACUCAUUACCAAUUUGUUCUACUUGAACAAAAGCGCUUUCAAUUUUACUUGACUAAUACUAUACCCAGAUUCACUUGUUUUACUUUUCACAAAAUUUAUAUAUAUAUGUAUACACAUUUUGAACUCGUUUGAGACUCAAAAUCAGAUAGAGUUCAAGUUCGAAUCUUUUUUAGGAACAUGAAUGCCUAUUUGUUAUGAAUCAGAUAUUAGAAAUGAUCGGGUUUUAUGUACCAGUAGAGUUAACUCUUGGUUGGAUAAAAGGGCGGUAAAGGUAUUGGAUCAUAGGUUAUGCGAAUAUGAACCUACAUGUUUACCUAUCUUUCUUAAAGGUAUUUUCUAAAAUAUACGCCUUACUCGAACAUAGAUUUAACUCGAAACUUUGAGGAAAAGUGUUGGAACACCCUCCAUGUAUAUGUUAUGAUUAUUAUGUAUAUGUUUUAAAAAUCAUGCAUUAAGUUGCAUGAUUAAUAUUCUUAAAUCUAUUUGAGAGAUUUUAAAUAUGUAUUGAUGAUUGUGGUUAAACAUUAUUUGAAAUCUCUUACUAAGAAAAUUUAGUUUUGGGUCGUGAAGAAAAUUUGUAUCUUUAACUCUAAUUUUGAAAAUUUUGAAUCACAUUUUACCACAGAUACAUUCAAAAUACAUCAAAAGUCUUGACCUUAUCUUGUAAGUCAUGAUUGGUUUGAUUUAGACAAAAUUUUGAGGAAAGGGAUUUUGGUCCUGCUAGUGCGUAACAGUUUUUUUUUGUUAGGGUUUGGAACUUGUUUCAUAUGGCGUGUAAUUUAUGGUUUCACUACACACGUGAGUAAGACCUUAGAAUGGAAGUACAUAUCAUUAUAUCAAGAGGUAUUACUUUAGUCGUGUAUGUGAAUUUUCUUAAGUAUCAUUCGAGGAGAGGGAAGAGUAAAUAUACCUGGAUGACUUAGAUGCGUGAGAAUUUACAGGUUGUGGAUAGUUGAGCUUCAAAUUCUGAUUUGCUACUUAUUUAGAUGCUUGAGCUGUUGAUAGGCUAACAGUCAGGAUUAAGAAAAUGGAUGAAUGAAAAGUUUGGAAGAGAUGCGUAUAGAAAUAGAAGUUCUUCACAAGAAGUUGGAAUUCCAAACUAAAUUGGCUGAAUUCUGGGAAGAAAAAAAAAAAAAAGUCGAGAGCUUAGGAUUGAAGAUGGGAUCCAAUGUUUGAUCGCCAAUUUGAGAUAUUAAAAGUUGUGAGAUUUGGGUGAGUGAAAGGAAAUAUUUGAUGGCUUGAAUGAGCCUAACGAUUAAGGACCGGAUGUUAUAUUUGGAAUGGACGCUUGAGGCUAUAUAUACAUAGAUUAUUGAGAUUUGAACGAUGAGACUAUUAAGAACAAAUACUCCAUAGCCUCACAUAAACGAGAAUUAUAAUUAAGGGUCAGGAGCAGCGAAUAAGGGAUUUAAAGUAGAGUUACUACCAACCGGGAAUCCUAGAAACUGAUGUGCUUAAAACCACUUUCAAUUCAAGAUGGGGAUGCUUGAAUUUUCAGUUAUGCCAAUUGGGUUGACUAGUGUAUUAGUAGCAAUUAUUGUAUUAAUGCAUUAAGGUUUUAAAUCGUCAUAGAAUUAAUCUGUGAUGGCAUUUAUUGAUGAUGUAUUGAUAUACCCUAAAGUUUGAGAAGAUCAUGAAAAAAUACCUGAUGGUAGUUUUACAAACCCCGAGAGAACGCUAACUUUUGUUAAGUUCAAUAAAUGUGAAUUCGAUGGGAAGAAAUAGCCUUUCUAAGUUAUAUAAUAUCUAAGGAAGAAAUUGUUGUUAACUCAGUUUAAGUGGAAGCUGUUUAAGAGGAAAUAACUAGAAAAUCCUACCGAAAUUUGGAGUUCUUAGAGGUAGUCGAAUAUUACCUUGGUUUGAUCAGGGACUUCUAAGGAUACGAGACUUGGCAAGUUAUUUGAGAUUCUAAAUGUGAGGAAGAAUUUGAAGGUGAAAAUCGUUUAAUCAGUGCACUUGAGUUGGCUUUACCGAGCGGAUGAGGUGAUUUUGUGAUUUAUACAGAUAGUUCAAAGGAUGGUUUAGAAUGUAUAUUAAUAAUAUAUGAUGAGGUGAUUGUAUAUGCCUUCUGAAAGUUAAAAUCUCCCGGAAGAAAGUAAUCAACUCAUGAUUUGGAGUGAGUUGGAAAACGUAAGUCAAUGAUUGAUCCGAUAGGCUUAACCAUGUAGGGAAUGAUAUUGUUCUAAGCAUGAAUUUCGAGGACGAAAUUCCUUUCAAGGAGGGGAGGAUGUGAGGACUCGAAAAUUUUCUUAUUUUUAUAGAAUAUACUGGAAUAUUUAAAUGAUUAUUCACUCAUUUUCUCCGAAUUAUUUAUUUCGACCAUUUUAAAUCCAUUUAUAUGGAACGACGCCUCUUUAUAUGUUUAAAGCGUUUUGUUGAAAAAUUAGCUUUUCGAAAGUUUGUUUAGUCCGGAACGACGGGUGCACGUUUUUCUAGGCUAUACUUGAAUCGGGAGUGUAUUAAUAUUGGAGAAUUAAGAACGAUCAAUAAUAGAUUAAAAAAGGUUAAUUGAAGAAUUAAUACUCAAUUCACGUGAGGACUCGUAAAAUUAUUAUUUUUUAAACCCCUAAUUUUGGCUCAAUUAAUUAUCUAUUUGGAUUUUUGCCCCGAAUAUUAUUUUCUAUCCUUAUUAGACCUAAAUAUAUGGAAUUAUAGCUUCAUUAUAUUUUUAAAGUGACUUGUUUCAAAAAUUAAUUUUUUGGAAACUCGUUUAGUGAAAAUAGUAAAUACGCGACUGGAAUAAAUAAUCGAUUCGAGAAUACAAUUAGCUUGGAAAAAUUGGAGACUUGUGCAUUAAUCUCAAAAUAGGUAUUUUUAUAUUUAAGUGUUCAAAGGUUAGUUAGUUAUAUUGCCGUUAUAGGAAUUUCUUAGAAAUUUCAUUAUCUCGCGCUUAAAUUGGAAAUACGCGUUUUACGCACGCGAGUAAUUGAGGAACCUUAGGCCAUUAUUUUGGGACUAUUAAGAAUGAAUAAUAAUAAUAUGAAUGCAAGUGUAUUAGAGGUUUAGUGCACUAGUGAAAUAAACUCGCGAGGAAUCGAGCCGAAACGCACGUGGAUGUGCACUAAGUUAGUGGACAGCUUAAGUGCAAUUGAGCCACACGUAUAAGCUUACCAUUAGAAGCUCAUAUCAUCUGCAUUUCAUUCCUCUCCUACGCACAAACAGCCGAGCAGCCAAGGGAAAGCUAAACCAGAAAAUUCCUCCACCCUCUCUCCUCAAUUCCUUGCUCAAUUUCCUCCAAAUUUCACAUGCAACUCUCAAAUCAUUUGGUGAUCAAGAUCAGCUAGGAAUAGAGCUAACUCACACGGUUUUUCUCCAGCUCAAAGUGACAAAAAAUCUCUGUCUUGGCUCUCUAAGAAAGUAAGUAAUGAUCCACUACUUAAUUCUUGGUUUAUGGAAGCUAAAUUACACUCACGAGCUCUUGAAUUCUCAUGGGCAGCAUUAAAUUGUUGAGAAAUUGGUGAGUGGGCUCUAUGAAAUCCCACAAUGACUUGGAUGAUCUGAUUAGCUAGGAUUGGAUGCUGAUUGUGUUGAUUAAGUGCUAAUUUAGUAGAGUUAAGUGGCAAAAAUGAAAAGGAAAUCAAAUGAGGAGCUGCAUGUGAUGUUGCCGAUUCUGCCCUGCUAAUUUCAUGCAUUUUAGUGUAUUUUAUUGAAUUCCAAUUGACUUGAUUCUGAUGAAAACAUGAAAUAUAGGUUAUGUUUAAAGUUUUCUCAAAAUUUUACGUGAUUUGGGUGAGUGCAUGUUGAGUUUUAGAAUCUGCCAAAACUGGGAAAUGAUUCCCGUCACUACUAGACAGCCAGUUUGUUUCGGCUAUAAUUUAUCGCUCCGAUAUCGGAAUCGAGUGCCGUUUGCGGCACUGGAAACUAGACAUUCCCAGCUUUCAUUUGGUAUAAAAUUCAACCCCUGAUUCCACCCGAGUACCCCGUACCAACCGUUUAAAAAUGACAGUCCUGUUUCUCUGUUUUCCUGGAAUGAAGUUCAGAAGUUACAACUUGAGGCUCGAAUUUGAGCUAGUUAUGUGCUGAAUUUCAGAAUGAUUUCUUCUGUGAAAUUAUAGCUUUAUAAAUGUAUUUUCCAAAGCCACCAACCAUGCUCAAUUCCGAGUUGAAUUGAAUGAUUUAUGAUCAAAAUACGAAACCUGCUCUGUCUUUGAAAACCGUUAAUCUUGGGCAGAAUUAAUGUUAGACUUGGUAUGGACUUGCCAAUUGAGUUUUUGGAGUUAAAACACCUACCAAAUGUACCAUGAAUGUUCCUUAGGCUUUUCCUAUACAAAUGAAUCAUGUUUUGAAGGAUUUUUCCUUGGCCAAAUGGUUGGAAUGGAAAACAAAAAGCUCAAGACAGUUUUGCCUUAGGAUUUUCGAAACUUUGGUUGUUUGGUUGACCACCAUUCCGAAGUUAUUUCUCCAUGAAAUUUAGACAACCCUUAUAUGGUAGUAUUAUACUGCUAAUUAUGGUGUUAUUCCGAGGCCGUUUCAUGGCUCAAAUAAAUUACCAAAGUUCAUGACUUGAGUUUGAAAAACCUAUGUUUCACAAGGAAAUUUUGGUAACUUCGAGUUGCCAUAUCUUAGUACUCAAAACUCCGUUUCUCAUUCCGCUUGUUUUGCUGUAAAUUUGGAUUGCGACUCUAAAAGAGUUCCAAAUUUCAAAAGCUAGUUCCAAUCAAGUGAAUUUUGCCGAAUUUUCAAAGUUGGCCAAAAACCAACCUAAAUCUGCCUUAGGAACCAAAACAGAGACUUUGAGCUUGUUUUUGAAUGUUUUUCAUUUGGAAUCUUAGAAAAGUGUAUUCUAGGAACUUUUAGUACCUUGGAAGAGGUUUCCAACGGUACCAAGUUUUCCAAUUUUUGACUUGUAAAACGUGAGAUACGAUUUUCCUAAUGUAUCAUAUCAAAACUGAAAUUUUCCGAAUUUCAAGGAAAUGGAGUUUUCAAGUACUCCUUAUUCCUUCGAUAUUACCUGAAUGAUUUACACUCGAUUUCCAAGAUGAAACUAAAUUUCUCUUGUAUUUUGAAACCCCACUAGAGAGUCUCGAUUUAGGAUAAUUUAGGCUCGUUUCACUAGACUUUCUAAGAUUGUACUAUGGUACGAUCUUCUUUAAUAGUAGGGGUUUGUGAAUGAUAGUCCAUUAUUAUUUGCUCAGGCGCACACGAGAACCUUCAAGAGGAUCCUACAGUGAACGCCUAAAGCUCCGAGGGAUAUUUCUUCCUCAUUGCUUGUAUUGGUGAGUGCCAAGUGCAUGUUCACUUGCACUUCGCUUGAGAUUUGUUGCCUACAUGAACUCUACUUGAACCUAUUGUUACUUGAACUGUACUUGUUGGGAAAAGCGUGUACUUUACAGCACUUUAUCUCCUUUACCUGGAUCAAUACAUGACCUGCUACAUGAAUUACAUGAAAUUGAUGGAUUUUACAUGUACAUGACCUAAAGUCGAGUGCAGAGAAAUCUCAUCGACUAAAACUUGAUUUGUUUCUGAAAACCUGACUUGUGGGGACGCCUAAAACCCAAUGGUUAUACCUCGUAAUCUCGCAGCCAAUCGUGAGGUCUUGAUCGGGAGAACUUGGUAAAUCUUGGGACCUGAAGCUUGAUCUUUUGAGAUCUUGCUAGGCAUACUGGUAUAGUAUCGCCUUUACAUGCCUGUUGGUUACGGAUCCGAGGGGGUGAAAUGAUGGAUGGAGGGAAGUAAGUGGAGAACUACGGAUUGGAAAUACCAACCCGGUUGACGGAGAGUCAUCGCGGGAAGGUAUACGAAUAACCCUGGCAAUGCAAGUGGAACUUAGCUCCUGAGAGCUACCAUAUCCUUGAAUUGUUUCUGUUUACAUUUCAUUUGAUUUGGCAAUUACUUGUACUUUAUUAUUUGACCUGUUAAUUAGGCUUGUUGUUUGGACUAUGUGAUUGCAUGUGUGUUCUUGGCCUCACGAGCGUUUUGCUCACCCCGUAGAUUUGUUUUCCUUAACAGGAUUUGGCAUGGAAUGGUACUUGGAGGAACUCUUUUGAUAUACUUCUGGCUUAGGGUUUUAAUAUAUUUUGGGUUAGACCUCUUAUUGGUUGUACUUCGGAAACCUACUAUAUGGUUUGAAUAUUUGAUGUACCCGGUUGUAGUAUAUUUUGGGUAUUGAUGUACUUUUUGAAAAUUUAAUGUAAUGAUUGGAUAAGCGUUAUGUAUAUUGUUAAGUUUGGAAGUUUUCCGCACUUUCUUACUUAUCUAGUGUUAUUGAAUGAUUUUGCUUUAAGCUCGAAUGGAUACUGCUUGAGUCCUGGCGAGAGUUGGGCAGACGUCCCGCAGAUACCCUCUGGUUCGCCUUUGGGAGAAGUGGGGGCGUCACAGUCUAUACCCCAGUGAUUUCACUAAAGUACUCCAAAAGGUUCAAUAAGUUCACUUCCAAGAAAGACAAAUCUCACAUGAAAGGAAAUAAAUUAAAUCGCAAAUACACCUAUUAAAAUGUCGAAGCCAUCAAAUUACCUGUCAUUUUUUUAUUUGUCAAAUAUGAUUGGCAUCUGUGUGCAAAUAUUUUGUAUUCAAUUUUUGGAGUCCUUUAAUUUAACUUAUUUAUUAUUCAUGAUAUGCAUACAUUUAUUUAUUUAUCAUGGAAUCUUAAAAUAUAGUUUAUUUUUAUUGAAUAAAUAUUUUAUGCAUACAUUUAUUUAUUUAUUUCUCAUGAUGUGUCAAAAUAUGUUUUUUCUUCUCUUGGAUACAUGUUUUUCUUUGACCCUUUUUUGUUUGUUGAACUUGCCUAAUUGGAGUGGACUAUAUAAAAGACUUAAAAAAAAUAGAUUGUUUUAACUCUUAUCACAUUUUACUUAGCGAGUUUAGUUUUUGGCAAAAUGAUCUCAAAAUUUUAAAAAUGUAUAUAUUAUAUUGUAAUUCACAAACAAUUCUAAUAGGUAUUUAAAAAUUUGGUCCUUUUUUGUUUGUUAAACUUGCCUGAUUGGACCAUAAAAAAAAAAAAAGGCUUAUAGUCAAUUUCAAAUGAAGUAGUAAAUAUCAAGUAUGAUGCUAACAAACUAGAUCUCUCUAUUUCUUCAUAACUCACAAAGAUGUUAGCAACAGUCACAUUUUCUUGACUUUUCUUCUUCAAAUUAUGGAAUACUCAAAUUUAUAGGUAUCCAACUAUUACACAUUUUUGGUUGAAUAAUAAUAGUACAAAAUACAUAAAAAAGAAUGUUCCUCUCAAAUACAGAAGUACUAAAAUUAAAUAACUUAAAAGACUUGUUAGAAAUACUCCAAAACAACCAUUUAGGCCGUCGUUAAUAGGUGUUCUAAUUUUGGCUAUAAAAUGAGAAUGAACACUUUUAUUGACAUUUCAUGGCAAAAACUAGGAUAUAACCAUCAUUGCAUUUAUUGACAGAGGAUAAUAAAAUCCUCUAAGUUGAACAAUGCCAUGCCAUGAUGACUUCUGUUUGUUAACUGAAUCAUGCAUAUUUGUUCAUAAAACAAAGCUAAAGCAACAACUACAAAACAAAGAUGUGGUCCUCAAUCCGAUGUGUUUAAUUCUUGUUCCGUCCAAUUAAAGACCAAAAUCAUGGGUAAUUAUAAAUCUCAAUCAUAGAGUUUUGCGCAUCUAUCCAUGUGUAUUUUGGAUUAAACAAACACAAGUACUACUGCUCCUUAAAAUGUUCAAUCCACUGAGGACCCAUCCUUCAACCAAGCUUUUUGUCCCCCAUCGUUCAACUUCUUUUCUAUCAAAUAUCAUAGUUGAUGGUACUCUAUUUAAUUUUAUUUUAUAUUUUGGGUCAAAUUUAAAUGUGCUAUAAAUUCAAACUAUGGUUCAUCUUUUAUCAUUCUAAAGAUGGCAUGAUUCAUCCCCUAGAAAAAUUUUUAUUUUCACUCAUGCUCAAUAAGUGGCAAACUCGUAUACAAGUUUAUAUUGACAAAUAAAAAUGAUAGUAUAUAUAUUGUAAGAAAUGACAGAAGGUAAAAAAAAAAAAAUCUUUCCAAAUUCUAAUACCUAUAUAUUAAUUUCAUUUAAAAAAAGCUGCAUAAAAAAUUAACUUUCUCAAUUUAAAUAUUUCAAAUAAUUGAAAGCAAAAUUUGUUUACCUAAUUGACAUGAUCAAUACGUGGCAAACUCAUAUUAUGUAUCAUGUGACAAUAAUGCAAUAAUACUAACUUUUUCUGUCAGACAUAUUAAAUUAAGAUUCACAAUUCUUAUUACUAAAUUCACAUACUAUGCUUCAUCAUGGAAGUAACUAUAUUUUGUCAAUCUAAAAUACUUUCCUUUACUUUUUAAAUAUUUUCAUACACUUUUGCUUUGUAUGAUAACAUCCAUAGCACCUAAGCAAUAAUUUAUCUCACUUUAAUUAUGAUAAAAAAUUUACAAGUGAAUACAUAUGCAACAAAUUUUUGUUUAUUUGAUUGCUUCAAUUAUGCAAACUUUCUCCCAUUUACACUUUAAUUAAUAUAUGUAGCAAAACAUAUUUUUGUAAAUAUAUUUAUAAAUCUUUGCAUACACUUUUGUUUUGUAUGAUAACAUUCACAGUACCUGAACAAUAAUUUAUCUCACUUUAAUUAUGAUACAAAUUCACAAGUGAAUACGUAUGCAACUAAUUAUUGCUUAUUUUAUUGUUUUAAUUAUGUGAAUUUUCUCCCAUUUAUAUUUUAAUUUGUACAUAUAGUAAAAUAUAAUUAUGUGGGGUUACUUUAUAAGUUAUGAAAACUAACAACAACUAUAUUGUUAUGUAAUAUUCAUUUGAUCACGACACAAUUGUAUAUAUAACUACUAAUGCAAUUUUUCUUUAACUAUUGUACUUCUUUGGUUUACAUCUUUAUAGAAUAUAUUACAUCAUCAUACUUUAAAAAUGAUACAACAAUUAUUACUUCUUAGUUUAAUAUAUUUUUUGAUACAUUUCUGGAUCAAAGUAAUGAAUACACUGCCUCUUCUCAAGUUCAACAGCCAUCAACUUCACCAUUGAUUUUGCAUGAUCAUGGUAAAUGCAAACUUAAUUAUAUUUUCGAGGUUAUCCUGCAAUUAUACUUUUUUGUCACAACAUAUUGUUAAAUCACCUAUUUAUACGACAUCAUGUUAGAUGGUAUACAUAAUAUCUCAACAACUAUUGAAGUUCUUCGUAUACCAGUGUCACCAUCUAAUGGCCAUGAUGAUGGUAAAUUCAAGCCUUCUCUUUUAUUUUUAAGACAUAUUAAUUUUGUAUUUCAAAUUCUUUUAAUAUAGCUUAUAUUCUCAUUCUUUUUUUACUAUUAAAAAUUAUUAGUCUUAUUAAGCUCUUAAAUUCAUGGUCCUUAUGUUCUUGGAAUAUAAACUACAUAAUUUAUUCUUCAAUAUGCGAUGCAAAAACCUGAUAACACAAUAUAAUAUCAAAGUACAAAAUCUCAUAUCAGCGCAAAUUAAAUAUAAUCUUUUUCACGAUGAACUUUUGAAUAGAAAUAUGAAGCAUACUUCAAGUAGAGACACUCUUUAUAGAGUGGUUAUUCUCUAGUACUCUCAAGCACCUCUUCAAAAGGUCCAAUAAUUGCGUAAUAUAUUGUACCUGCAAAAAUUGUUUUGAAAUCCUAUUGUGAUAUUUGGUAACAGUCACAAAUGCUCGAUAUUGCUAUAACGUCUAUUAUCAUGAUUUUUGGAGCAUCACCAACAUUUAUCACCAAAACUCUAUUUAUUGGAAAGACAUGUAUCCAUGGAUAACUUUCUGAUUUUCAAACUCAAAAACCUCUUAUCACAUCUUGAGGAAGGAUGGUGAUAGUUAAUAUGUGGGAGUGAUGGUUUAUGUCAAUAGCAAAUUCAGGUUGGGGGACAUUUUGUAUAAUAAUUUAAAUUGACUCUGUCUGUACCCAUAAGCAUUAAGUGUUUUUUUUAUCAAUCUCUUUCGCAUUCAACCGUUUCAGGAGAAUUUUUAGUAGUUUUUUCGACAAAAACUUUGAAUGAUUUUAUAUAUUUGAACACUUUUUUCUUUCAAAUUGGAAGCCAAAACCCCUGGAUCUUUUCAUCAAAACAUAUAUAAAUGUAAGUUUGUCAUUCCACUCAUGAAUCUUUUCAGUUUCUGAGAGAAAACUUAUUCGAAGAGAAAUAUUUCUUCUUGGGGAGUUGAUUUUGAUAUAUUUCAAUUUCUUAGUUGGUGGCAAUUCAAAAAAUUCACGAGCUGCAUUCCUAAAUUUGAAAGUGCCUCAGUAGAAAUCCCAUGAUUAACAAUUUGGAAUAAUCCCCAUUCUUUAGCUACAUCAAACACCAUGUUCUCAAUAUUAUGAUCAUUCCAAUUUUAUAUAUCAAUCACAUGUAUGUAUUCAUCAAUUUUGUAUUUCGAAAUUUUUUAAUGUAACUUUUAUUCUCAUUCUUUUUUUUACUAUUAAAAAUUGUUAGUAUUAUCAAGUUCUUAAAUUCAUGGUUCUUAUGUUCUUGGAUUAUAAACUACAUGAUUUAUUUUUCAAUAUGCGAUGCAAACACCCGAUAACACAAUAUAACAUCAAAGUACAGAAUCUCAUAUCAGCGUAAAUUGAAUAUUGCCUUUUCCACGAUGAACUUUUGAAUAGAAAUGUAUUGCAUACUUCGAGUAGAGAAGCUCUUUAUAGAGUGGUUCUUCUUCAGUGCUCUCAAGCACUUCUUCAAAAGGUCAAAUAAUUGCACAAGGUAUUUUACUUGCAAAAAAUUGCAUUGAGAUCCUAUUGUGAUUUUUGAUAACAGUCACAAAAUGCUCAAUACUCCUAUAGCGUCCAUUAUCAUGAUUUUUCAGCAUCAUCAACAUUUAUCACCAAAACCCCAUUUAUUGGAAAGACAUGUAUCCAUAUUUUCAAAUCCAAAAACCUCUUAUCACACUUUGAGGAAUGAUGGUGAUAGUUGAUAUGUCGGCGUGAUGGUCUAUGUCAAUAGCAAAUUCAAAUUGGCGACAUUUAGGAUAAUAAUUUAAAUUGACUCUUUCUUCACCCAUAAGCAUUAAGUAUUUUUUUUUUAUCAAUCUCUUUCGUAUUCAAUAGUUUCAGGAGAAUUUUUAAUAGUUUUUUUGACAAGUAAUUUCCAUGAUUUUAUAUAUUUCAACACUUCUUUUCUACAAAUUGGAAGCCAAAAUCCCUGGACUUUUUCAUCAAAAACAUACAUAAACGCAAGUUUGUCAGUCCACUCGUGAAUCUUUUCAAUUUCUGGGAUAAAGCUUGUUCAAAGAGAAAUAUUUCUUUUUGCAGAGUUGAUUUUGGUAUAUUUCAAUUUCUUGGUUGGUGGUAAUUCAAAAAAUUCACGAGCUGCACUCCUAAACUUGAAAGUGCAUUAGUUGAAAUCCCAUGAUUAAUAAUUUGGAUCAAUUUCCAUUCUUUAGCUACAUCAAACACCAUAUUCUUAAUAUUAGGAUCAUUCUAAUUUGAUAUAUUGAUCACAUGUAUGUAUUCAUUAAUUUUGUAUUUUGAAUUCUUUUAAUGUAACUUUUAUUCUCAUUCAUUUUUUUACUAUUAAAAAUUGUUAGUCUUAUUAAGUUCUUAAAUUCAUGGUCCUUAUGUUCUUGGAUUAUAAACUACAUGAUUUAUUUUUCGAUAUGGGAUGCAAAUACCCGAUAACACAAUAUAACAACAAAAUACAGAAUCUUAUAUAAGCGAAAAUUGAAUAUUGUCCUUUUCACGAUGACCUUUUGAAUGAAAAUAUGCAGCAUACUUCGAGUAGAGACACUCUUUAUAAAGUGGUUCUUCUCCAGUGCUCUCAAGCACCUCUUCAAAAGGUCCAAUAAUUGCAUAAUAUAUUGUACAUGCAAAAAAUUGCAUUAAAAUCCUAUUGUGAUCUUUGGUAACAGUCACAAAUUAUCGAUAUUGCUAUAGCGUCUAUUAUCAUAAUUUUUGGAACAUCACCAACAUUUAUCAUCAAGACUCCAUUUAUUGGAAAGACAUGUAUCCAUGGAUCAUUUUCUGAUUUUUAAACCCAAAAACCUCUUAUCACAUCUUGAGGAAGGAUGGUGAUAGUUGAUAUGUCAGAAUAAAGGCCUAUAUCAAUAGCAAAUUCAGGUUGGGGACAUUUUGUAUAAUAAUUUAAAUUGACUCUUUCUGUACCCAUAAGCAUUAAGUGUUUUUUUAUCAAUCUCUUUCGCAUUCAACCACUUUAGGAGAAUUUUUAGUAGUUUUUUCGACAAAAACUUUGCAUGAUUUUAUAUAUUUGAACACUUUUUUCUUUCAAAUUGGAAGUCAAAACCCCUGGACCUUUUCAUAAAAAACAUAAAUAAACAUAAGUUUGUCAUGUCACUCAUGAAUCUUUUUAAUGUUUGAGAGAAAGCUUGUUAUAAGAGAAAUAUUUUUCUUGGAGAGUUGAUUUUAGUAUAUUUCAAAUUCUUAGUUGGUGGCAAUUCAAAAAAUUCACGAGCUAUAUUCCUAAAUUUGAAAGUGUCUCAAUAGAAAUCUCAUGAUUAACAAUUUAAAUCAAUCUCCAUUCUUCAAUAACAUCACACACCAUGUUCUCAAUAUUAGAAUCAUUUCAAUUUGAUAUAUCGAUCACAUAUAUGUAUACUUUUAAAGUUUGUCAACAUUAAACCGUUCUUCAGGUGGUAGAAUGAAUUUCUAUGGCAGAAUUUUAAGGUCCAUUUUAGACAAGUUCUUGACACCAUAAUCUUCGUUUAUUAGUGCUUUGAUACUACUUGAAUUCAAAGAAAUUGUUGUCUUUUUCAAAUCGGCCAUUAAAAUUUAUGAAAUUAGAAUGAUACUUGCCACUAGUCUAUCAAGCCGUCAAUAUCUAUUACCUUUUUUUUUUUCACUUGCAAGAGCCUAUUUGGACCAACGUCAACAAAGUGCAGAUAUUGUUGAAAAGUUAGGUCGGUAGCAGAGAUGGUCCGAUAGAGAGAAACAAAACAAAAGACAUAAAAUAUAGUAGAAGUUGGACUUUUGGCAACAAGACGAAUUCAUCAAUCUAUCUGGAUAUAAAGUUGAUAUUUCAUAAGAAACCCUCUAUCUGGACAGUAUAUCUCUCAAUCUAUAUUCAUAACUACUGUCUAUGAUAUGAUGUUAUUUCAUUUGAUCACGAUACAAUUGUAUAUCUAACUACUAAUGCAAUUUUUCUUUAACUAUUGUGUUUCUUUAAUUUAUAUCUUUAUAGAAUAUGUUACUUCUUCACACUUUAAAAAUGAUAUAAUAAUUAUUGUUUCUUAGUUUAAUAUAUAUUUUAAUGCAUUUCUAGAUCAAAGUAAUGAACACACUGUCUCUUCUCAAAUUCAACAGCUAUCAAUUUCACCAAUAAUUUUGCAUGAUCAUGGUAAAUGCAAAUCUAAUUAUAUGUUUGAGAUUAUCAUACAAUUAUACAUUUUUAUGAUAGCAUAUUGUUAAAUCGCCUAUUUAUAUGACAUAAUGUUAGAUGGUAUACACAAUAACUCAACAACUGUUGAAGUUCUCCUUAUACCAACAUUACCAUCUAAUGGUCAUGAUGAUGGUAAAUUCGAGCCUUCUCUUUUAUGUUUAAUACAUAUCAUUAACUUUGUAUUUCGAAUUCUUUUAAUGUAAGUUUUAUUCUCAUUCUUUUUUUUUACUAUAAAAAAUUGUUAGUUUUAUUAAACUCGUAAAUUAACGGUUCUUAUGUUCUUGAAAUAUAAACUACAUGAUUUAUUAUUUAAUAUGCGAUACAACACCCAAUAACACAAUAUAACGUCAAAGUAAAAAAUCUCAUAUCAGAGCAAAUUGAAUAUCGUCUUUUCCACGAUGACCUUUUGAAUAGAAAUGUGUUGCAUACUUCGAGUAGAGACACUCUUUAUAGAAUGAUUUCUUCUCCAAUGUUCUCAGACAUUUCUUCGAAAGGUCCGAUAAUUGUACAAGAUAUUGUACCUACAAAAAAUUGCAUUGAAAUGUUAUUGUGAUCUUUGGUAGCAGUCACAAAUGCUCGAUAUUCCUAUAGCAUCCAUUAUCAUGAUUUUUGGAGUAUCUCCAACAUUUAUCAUCAAAACUUCAUUUAUUGGAAAAACAUGUAUCCAUGGAUCACUUUCUGAUUUUCAAACCCAAAAAUCUCUUAUCAAUCUUUGAGGAAUGAUGGCGAUAGUUGAUAUGUCGGAGUGAUGGCCUAUAUCAAUAACAAAUUCAGGUUGAGGACAUUUAGGAUAAUAAUUUAAAUUGACUCUUUCAGCACCCAUAAGCAUUAAGUGUUUUUUUUUAUCAAUCUCUUUCGUAUUCAACAAUUUCAGGAGAAUUUUUAGUAGUUUUUUAACAAGUACUUUGCAUGAUUUUAUAUAUUUGAAGACUUCUUUCUUUCAAAUUGAAAACCAAAACCCCCGGGCCUUUUCAUGAAAAAUAUACAUAAACAUAAGUUUAUCAUGUCACUCAUAAAUCUUUUCAAUUUUUGAGAGAAAUCUUGUUCGAAGAGAAAUAUUUUUUCUUGAAAAGUUGAUUUUGGUAUAUUUCAAAUUCUUAGUUGGUGGCAAUUCAAAAAAUUCAAGAGCUGCAUUCCUAAAUUUGAAAGUGCCUCAGUAGAAAUCUCAUGAUUAACAAUUUAAAUUAAUCUCCAUUCUUCAAUAACAUCACACACCAUGUUCUCAAUAUUAGGAUCAUUUCAAUUUGAUAUAUCGAUCACAUGUAUAUAUUUUUUUUAAAUAUUGUCAACAUUAAAUCGUUUUUCAGGUGGCAGAAUGAAUUUCUAUGACAAAAUUUUAAAGUCCGUUUCAGACAAGUUAUUGACACCAUGACCUUCGUUUAUUAGUGCUUUGAUACUAUUUGAAUUCAAGGCAAUUGUUGUCCUUUUGAAAUCGGCCAUUGAAAUUUAUGAAACUAGAAUGAUACUUGCCAUUAGUUUAUCAAACCGUCAAUAUCUAUCACCUUUUUCUUUUUCACUUGCAAGAGCCUAUUUGGACCAGCGUCAACAAAGUGCAGAUAUUGUUGAAAAGUUAGGUCGGUAGUAGAGAUGGUCCAAUGGAGAGAAACGAAACGAAAGACAUAAAACAUAUUAGAAGUUGAACUUUUGGCAACAAGACGAAUUCAUCAAUCUAUCUGGAUAUAAAGUUGAUAUUUCAUAAGAAACCCUCUAUCUGGACAGUAUAUCUCUCAAUCUAUAUUCAUAACUACUGUCUAUGAUAUGAUGUUAUUUCAUUUGAUCACGAUACAAUUGUAUAUCUAACUACUAAUGCAAUUUUUCUUUAACUAUUGUGUUUCUUUAAUUUAUAUCUUUAUAGAAUAUGUUACAUCUUCACACUUUAAAAACGUUAUAAUAAUUAUUGUUUCUUAGUUUAAUAUAUAUUUUAAUGCAUUUCUGGAUCAAAGUAAUGAACACGCUGCCUCUUCUCAAAUUCAACAGCUAUCAAUUUCACCAAUGAUUUUGCAUGAUCAUGGUAAAUGCAAAUCUAAUUAUAUGUUUGAGAUUAUCAUACAAUUAUAUAUUUUACGAUAGCAUAUUGUUAAAUCGCCUAUUUAUAUGACAUAAUGUUAGAUGGUAUACACAAUAAUUCAACAACUGUUGAAGUUCUCCUUAUACCAACGUUAUCAUCUAAUAGUCAUGAUGAUGGUAAAUUCGAGCAUUCUCUUUUAUGUUUAAUACAUAUCAUUAAUUUUGUAUUUCGAAUUCUUUUAAUGUAAGUUUUAUUCUCAUUCUUUUUUUUACUAUAAAAAAUUGUUAGUUUUAUUAAACUCGUAAAUUCACGGUUCUUAUGUUCUUGAAAUAUAAACUAGAUGAUUUAUUCUUCAAUAUGCGAUGCAACACCCAAUAACACAAUAUAACAUCAAAGUAAAAAAAUUUCAUAUCAGCGCAAAUUGAAUAUCGUCUUUUCCACGAUAACCUUUUGAAUAGAAAUGUGUUGCAUACUUCGAGUAAAGAUACUCUUUAUAGAGUGAUUCUUCUCCAAUACUCUCAAGCACUUCUUCAAAAGGUACGAUAGUUGUACAAGAUAUUGUAUCUUUAAAAAAUUGCAUUGAAAUGUUAUUAAGAUCUUUAGUAAUAGUUACAAAUGUUCGCUACUCCUACAGUGUCCAUUAUCAUGAUUUUUGGAGCAUCAACAACAUUUAUCAUCAAGACUUCAUUUAUUGGAAAGACAUGUAUCUAUGUAUCAUUUUCUGAUUUUCAAACCCAAAAACUUCUUAUCACACUUUGAGGAAUGAUGGUGACAGUUGAUAUGUCGGAGUGAUGGCCUAUGUCAAUGGCAAAUUCAGAUUGGGGACAUUUAAGAUAAUAAUUUAAAUUAAUUUUUUCUGCGCCCAUAAGCAUUAAGUAUUUUUUUUAUCAAUCUCUUUCGUAUUCAACAAUUUCAGAAUAAUUUUUAGUAGUUUUUUUGACAAGUUCUUCGCAUGAUUUUAUAUAUUUCAACACUUCUUUCCUACAAAUUGGAAAUCAAAACUUUUGAACCUUUUCAUCAAAAACAUACAUAAACAUAAGUUUGUCAUUCCACUCGUAAAUCUUUUCAAUUUCUGAGAGAAAACUUGUUUGAAGAGAAAUAUUUUUUCUUGGAGAAUUGAUUUUGGUGUAUUUCAAUUUCUUAAUUGGUGGCAAUUCAAAGAAUUCACGAGCUGCAUUCCUAAAUUUGAAAGUGCCUCAAUAGAAAUCCCAUGAUUAACAAUUUGGAUUAAUCCCCAUUCUUUAGCUAUAUCAAACACCAUGUUCUCAAUAUUAUGAUCAUUCCAAUUUGAUAUAUCAAUCACAUGUAUGUAUUCUUUUAAAAUAUUGUCAACAUUAAACCGUUUUUCAGGUGGUAAAAUGAAUUUCUAUGACAAAAUUUUAAAGUCUAUUUCAGACAAGUUAUUGAUACCAUGACCUUCGUUUAUUAGUGCUUUGAUAUUAUUUGAAUUCAAAGCAAUUGUUGUCUUUUUCAAAUCGGCAAUUGAAAUUUACAAAACUAGAAUGGUACUUGUCACUAACUUAUCAAGCCGUUAAUAUCUAUCACCUUUUUCUUUUCCUCUUGUAAGAGUCUAUUUGAACAGCGUCAACAAAGUGCAAAUAUUGUUGAGGAAGUUAGGUCAGUAGUAGAGGUGAUUGAAUGGAGAGAAACGAAAUGAAAGACAUAAAACAGAGCAGAAGUUGGACUUUUGGCAACAAGACGAAUUCACCAAUCUAUAUGGAUAUAAAAUUGAUAUUUCAUAAGAAACCCUCUAUCUGGACAGGAUAUCUCUCAAUCUAUAUUCAUAACUACUAUCUAUGAUAUCAUGUUAAUUUUAUAUUCAUUUGAUCACGAUACAAUUGUAUAUCUAAUUACUAAUGCAAUUUUUUCUUUAACUAUUGUAUUUCUUUGAUUUAUAUCUUUGUAGAAUAUGUUACAUCAUCACACUUUAAAAAUGAUACAAUAAUAUUGCUUUUUAGUUUAAUAUACUCCCUCCGUCCCAGAAUUUGUGUCGCUCUUCGAAACUUGUAAUUUUUAUCAAUAGUGCAAGACUUUUAAAUGAUUUGUGUUUAAGUUCCGGCAAUACCCCUUGACUUUCAAUGUUUCCAUACGUGAUUGAAUGAUAAAGGGGUCAUAAGUUGUGAUAAGACAUGUGGGACCCAAAAGAAUAAAAAGUCUCCACACUACUUUAGAGGAAAGUGUCAUGCACGAUUGUUGUUUGCAUUUCAUGUGAGAAUCACGAUCUAUCAAGUGCAGUGUUGGUACUUGGGAAGUGCAUAAUUGGGCCCACUAAAAGAUAAGAAAAGGCUGUCACAUUGAAGGGUAUGGAGCGGAAAUGUGUGAGAGUUUUCAUUGCCAAUUUUAGUAAGUGACAAUCAUUUUGGGACGGAUAAAAAAGGAAAGUAUGACACUAUCAAUGGGACGGAUGGAGUAUAUUUUAAUGCAUUUCUGGAUCAACGUAAUGAUUACAAUGCCUCUUCUCAUGUUCAACAGCCAUCAAUUUCACCAACGAUUUUGAAUGAUCAUGAUAAAUGCAAAUCUAAUUAUAUUUUCGAGGUUAUCCUACAAUUAAACUUUUUUACGACGGCAGAUUUUUAAAUUACCUAUUUAUAUGAUAUAAUGUUAGAUGGUAUAUAUAAUCACUCAACAACUACUGAAGUUCUUCUUAUACCAACGCCACCAUCUAAUGGUCAUGAUGAUGGUAAAUUCGAGUCUUCUCUUUUAUGUUUAAAACAUAUCAUUAAUUUUGUAUUUUGAAUUCUUUUAAUGUAACUUUUAUUCUCAUUCUUUUUUUUACUAUUAAAAAUUGUUAGUCUUAUUAAACUUAUAAAUUCAUGGUCCUUACGUUCUUGGAAUAUAAACUACAUGAUUUGUUCUUGAGUAUGCGAUGUAAACACUCGAUAAUACAAUAUAACAUCAAAAUACAAAAUCUCAUAUCAGCGCAAAUUGAAUAUCAUCUUUUUCAUGAUGAACUUUUGAAUAAAAAUGUGCUGCAUACUUCAAGUAGAAACACUCUUUAUGGGUAGUUCUUCUCCAGUGCUCUUAAGCACUUUUUCAAAAGGUCCGAUAAUUGCACAAGAUAUUGUAUCUAUAAAAAAUUGCAUUAAAAUGCUAUUGUGACCUUUGGUAACAGUCACCAACUCCUAUAGCGUCCAUUAUCAUGAUUUUUAGAGCAUCACCAACAUUUAUUAUCAAGACUCAAUUUAUUGCAAAGACAUGUAUUCAUGGAUCACUUUCUGAUUUUCAAACCUAAAAACCUCUUAUCAUAUUUUGAGGAAUGAUGAUGAUAAUUGAUAUGUUGGAGUGAUGGCCUAUAUCAAUAGCAAAUUCAGGUUGGAAAUAUUUAGGAUAAUAGUUUAAAUUGACGUAUUUUUUUUAUCAAUCUCUUUUGUAUUUAACAGUCUUAGGAGAAUUUUUAGCAAUUUUUUUGACAAGUACUUUGCAUAAUUUUAUAUAUUUCAACACUUCUUUCCUACAAAUUGGAGACCAAAAUCACUGGAUCUUUUCAUCAAAAACAUAUAUAAAUGUAAGUUUGUCAUUCCACUCGUGAAUAUUUUCAAUUUCUGAGGAAAAGCUUGUUCAAAGAGAAAUAUUUCUUCUUGGAGAGUUGAUUUUGGUAUAUUUCAAUUUCUUAGUAGGUGGCAAUUCAAAAAAUUCACGAGCUGCAUUCCUAAAUUUGAAGUGCCUUAGUAGAAAUCCCACAAUUAAAAUUUUUAUUAAUCCCCAUUCUUUAGCUACAUCAAACACCAUGUUCUCAAUAUUAGGAUCAUUCCAAUUUGAUAUAUCGAUCACAUGAAUGUAUUCAUUAAUUUUGCAUUUCGAAUUCUUUUAAUGUAACUUUUAUUCUCAUUUUUUUUUACUAUUAAGAAUUGUUAGUCUUAUUAAACUCUUAAAUUCAUGGUUCUUAUGUUCUUGAAAUAUAAACUAGAGUUGAGGCAUUAGUAGUUGAGAGAUUAUAGAAUAUGCUCGAUGAGAUCAAUCUAUAUGUACAAGUUUUUUUGGAGUGCGAGAAAUAUACUCCGAAACUAAAGUGUUUCCAAUCUGCAAGUAUACUUAAUUUGUACUUGAACCGAUAGACAGUACAUCCAAUCAACUGCAAAUGAAGUUGCUGCUUUGAUUAUAGAUGAGGACAGUGGUCAUGUUACACAUUGUACUAUUGUACUCAUCACUCGAGAUGAAAAUCAGAAAAAGAAUCAAGGAGACAGCCAUCAUACAUGUAACUACAAUAUCCUUUACUAUUUUCCUAUGGAAUAGAUGAAUGACAUUAUGGAAUAAACUUUUCAACUCUUUUUAAAAGGAAAAGAAAAUUUCUCAUUACGUAAAUUCAAUACUUUUUGCAUUCAUAUUUUCGAUAUAAUGAGGGAUAUAUAUUUUUGAAAUGUGCCAAACUAUUCCAACAAUUUGUCUUUGACUAUUAUGUAACAAUUAAAAAUAGGUUAAAUUUUAUGAAAUUCAUCAAUCCGCGUUGAGUGUUGAUAUAUAUCAAGACAUAGAAGAUACUACUAUUGCCGGAGAUAUAGAUGCAUUAGCAAUUGAAAAAGAAAUUAUUCUACCAUUAUUAUUUUUAGGUAGAUUCUGAGAUAUGGUAUGACAUUUUAAUGAUACAAUGACAAUUUGUGUGACAGUAAAAAAUUCAGAUUUUAUCAUCACAUUUACCUACAAUUUGAAUUGGGUAGAAAGUAAAUCAAAGUUAACACGAAUAUUGAGACAAAAUGUUGAAAAUAGACCUGAUACUAUUAUUCGAGUUUUCAAAAUAAGACGAAAAAAUGAUGGAUGUUUUGAAAAUAAAUCAUCUAUUUGAAAAAGUACUUGUAUGUAAAAAUUCUGCUUAAUUUUAAAUUAUGAUUUUUUUCAAUGUUAUCAUAUUUUUAUAUACUAAAAAUCAUAUUUGUUGUUGAGUUUCAAAUAUGUGAUUUGCUAUAUACUCAUAUCCAUCUUACAUUAAUUUUAGAUGAUCAGUCACUAAUUUCAGAAUAAAAUGAUGAUAUCAUUUGUGUCGAAAUACCAGACAAAAAUAUUGAUCCACUUGUUUAUACAAUUAUCAAGUGUAUGUUACAUGGAUCUUAUGAUGAUACUUAUCCAAGUGUUCCGUGUAUGGUGAAUGAAAAAUGUUUUAAAUUACAUCCAAAAAGAUUUUAUAAUAAAACUGCCAUUAAUGAAAAUGAAUUUUUGUCAUACAGGCAUCAAGAUAAUCCAUCUAAGAGGACCAUUAAUGGUUUCACAUUUGACAACCGAUGAGUUGUUCUUAUAAUCGAGAUUUGGUUAUCAUGUUCAAUGGCUAUAUUGAUACAAUAAAGUUGUACGAUCAGAAAUCACUAAAUAUCUGUACAAGUACAUAAAUAAGGAAAAUGAUAGAAUAGAUGUGCAUAUUGAGAAUAACGUUGUACUCCCAAAUGAAGGUGAACAUAGUCAUUAUAAAAGUGUUGACGGGAUUAAACAAUACCUUGAUUGUCGGUAUUUAUUAUCGAUUGAAUCAUACUGAAAGAUAUUUGAUUUCGAAAUAUAAAGAUAGUAUUCUUUUGUGAUUAGAUUGCAGUAUCAUCUUCUUGAUCAUCAAUUUGAUUUUCAAUAUUGAUGAUCAUCUUUAUGAUAUUCUUGAUCAUGAAAAUAUACAUGAAACAAUGUUAACCAAAUGACUUGAGACCAACAAAAAAAUAUUUUAAUUAGAAAUUUGAUCUUUAUGGAGUUCUCAAAUAGGUGGAUUUGAAAACAAAAUAUGCAACAAUGAGAGUCCAAAUUUGACAGCAAGUGAAUUAGAAAGUUGCUAUAUAUAAAUUCACAUUCUAAUGAACGCUAUUAUUUUUUAAUGUUAUUUUAUAAAGUUAGUGGAAUUUAAAGUUUAUAACAUAUUAGAACUAUUUAUGGGGUUAUAUAUCCGAUUUUUAAGACAAUAUGUACUGCAUUUUAUCUUCUAGAUGACAAUAAUAAGUGAAAUAAAACUUUAACUGAAGCAUCUAUAAAAAAAUUGUGAAGCAUGUAAUGUACUAUACUUAUACACGAUGAGAUAAAUAAUUCCUUUAAUAUCUAUAACGCUACAAGAAAAGUAUAACAAAUGAUUUACAAUACUAGAUCAGAAAGAAUAUAGAAAACCUCAAAAUUCGUGUUAACAAUGAAGAAUUAUAAAAUUUAAAAUUAGUUAAAAUGAAGUUAUCUCAAACAAAAAUGAUUUCUUUCUACGAGAUUUUUCACCAAUGCCCAUAUCGUCUUUUAAAAAUGCUCAAUUUUCUGUGAGUAAAUUUAGAGGAGAAGAAUUUGAUUAUGAAUGUAUAUCAGAACUGUAUUUGUUCGAUAAUUUUUAUGUUAAAUUGAAUGAGAACCUACUGAAAGCAUAUGACAUUAUAAUGCAAUCAUACCAACAAAAUUAUAGAGGGUUUUUUUAGUAUGGAAUUAGUGGCACAGAGAAAUCUUUUCACUUAUAAAUAACAUCGAUUGUUUGAAUUAGAUUUAAAUGAAAAAUUAUUCUUUCGUAUGAUACAAUUAUCAAGUGUAUGUUACAUAGAUCUUAUGAUGAUAUUAAUCCAAAUGUUUCGUGUAUGGUGAAUGAGAAGUAUUCUAAAUCAAAUUUAAAAAGAUUAUAUAAUAAAACUAUCAUUGAUGAAAAUAAAUUUUUAUCAUACAGACGUCAAGAUGAUCCAUCUAAGAGGGUGACUAUCAAUGAUUUCACAUUUGACAACUGAUGAGUUGUUUCUUAUAAUCAAAAUUUGGUUAUCAUGUUCGAUGACCAUAUCAAUAUAACAAAAUUAUACGAUCAGAAAUCACUGAUCAUCUAUACAAGUACAUAAAUAAAGGAGAUGUUAGAGUAGAUGUAUAUAUUGAGAAUAAUAUUGUACUCUUAAACAAAGGUGAACAUAGUCAUUAUAAAAGUGCUGAUAAUAUUAAACAAUAUAUCAAUUGUUGAUUUUUAUUACUAAUUGAAUCAUACUGAAGGAUAUUUGUUUUCAAAAUGUAAAGAUAGUAUCCCUUUGUGAUUAGAUUGCGGUAUCAUCUUCUUGAUCAUUAAUUUGAUUUUCAAUGAUGAUGAUCAUCUUUAUAAUGUUUUUGAUCAUAAAAAUAUACAUAAAAUAAUGUUGACCAAAUGGCUCGAAACCGACAGAAAAGAUCUUUUGAGUAGAAAUUUGACCUUUGUGGAGUUGUUAUAUAAGUAGAUCUGAAAAAAAAUAAUACAACAAUGGGGAUCCACAUUUGACAACAAGUGAAUUAGAAGGCUGUUAUAUACAGAUCCGCAUUAUAGUGAACACUAUUAUUUACGAAAGUUAUUUCAUAAAGUUCGUGGAUUUCACAAUUUUUAACAUAUUAGAACUAUUGAUGAGGUUGUAUAAUCGACUUUCAAAGCAGCAUGUACUGCACUUGAUCUUCUAAACGACAAUAAUGAGUGAAACAAAACUUUAAAUGAAAUAUCUAUAAAAAAAAAAAUUGUGAGGUAUGUACUGUACUGUACUUAUGCACUAUGAGAUAAGUAAUUCCUUUGAUAUAUACAACUCCAUAAGAAAAGUAUGACAAAUGAUUUACAAUACCAGAUCAAAAAGGAUAUAGGAAGUCUCUAAAUUCAUGUUGAUGAUGAUGAAUUAUAAAAUUUGAAAUUAGUUGAAAUUGAACCUAUCUUAAACAAAAAUGAUUUUUCUUUAUGAAAUUUUCCAUCAAUGCCAUUACCAUCUUUUAAAAAUAUUCAAUCCUGUGAGGACCUGAGUUUUCAAAUUUUCUUACUUUAUUUUAUUUUACUGGUUUAUUUAAUUAUUUAUUCACUCGUUUACUAUGAAUAAAUUUAUUUCAUUCAUUUUAAAUCCAUUUACAUGGAACAAUGUCUCAUUUAUGUUUUUAAAACGUUUAGUUAGCGAAUUUAAUUUUCUGCGGCUCGUUUAGCGAGAAAUAGCGAUUGCACGUUUUUUGAGGCAAAUUCGAUCUGAAAGUACAUUAAUCUUGGAGAAUUUAGGAUGAUCAAUUGUAGAUUAAGAAAAUUUAAUGGAGGGUUUAGAGGUGAGUGAGUUAUAUUAAACUCGAUUAGGAGCACUAAUUGCUCACUAAUCGGUUAUUGACUUUUGGAGUAUUCAAACACCUUUAUGUCAUUCACCUUGUCACUCCAUCAAAUCACCCAACUACUACCAAACCUUUCUUCCUCUCCACUCCUCUUGGCCGAUCCUCCUUCACCCAUUUUCUCCCCAAAAAAUUCAGCUAGCUUCUUCCAUUGCUGCUCCAAGAAAACUCUCCACACUUACUUCUUUCAUUGGUUCUUCAUACAAGCUGGGAAGAGGACUUGAACAAGGAAGAAACUUUCGUGAUUUGAGGGCUUAUCUCCUAGUGUUUAGUCUUCAUCUUGGCAGCAAGGUAUUCAUCCAAGAAACCCUCAACUUUUCCUCUCAAAUCUUAGUAGUAAGUUAGUUUAGUUAGUUUAGUUGUUGGGUUGUUGAUGGGUUCACAAAAACCUUGACAUUAGGUAGUGGACUUGAGGUGGCUUGAUAGGUAGAGGCCUUGAGAAUUUUAUGUGUUUAAUUGCUUGUUUGUUACUUGCUUUGAUGAGAUAUAGUGUAGUUCUAGUUGAAAGUUGAAAAAGAAAGCUAGAGGAUGAGAAAUGCUUGCUGGCCGAAAUUUGCUGGUUGUUCCUCUCUUGUUAAUUUCAAAAUUUUGAUGUUAUUUUGCUGCAAUAAUGCUUGAUAUAUGUUGGUGGAUAUGUGUAUGAAAUAUCUCCCAAAAGCUUUGUGAGGACCCGAAAAUUUUCUUAUUUUUAUAGAAUAUUACUGGAAUAUUUAAAUGAUUAUUCACUCAUUUUCUUCGAAUUAUUUAUUUCGACCAUUUUAAAUCCAUUUAUAUGGAAUGACGCCUCUUUAUAUUUUUAAAGCGUUUUGUUGAAAAAUUCGCUUUUCGAAAAUUUGUUUAGUCCGGAACGACGGGUGCACGUUUUUUUUCUAGGCUAUACUUGAAUCGGGAGUGUAUUAAUAUUGGAGAAUUAAGAACGAUCAAUAAUAGAUUAAGAAAGGUUAAUGGAGGAAUUAAUACUCAAUUCACGUGAGGACUCGUAAAAUUAUUAUUUUUAAAAACCCCUAAUUUUGGCUCAAUUAAUUAUCUAUUUGGAUUUUUGCCCCGAAUAUUAUUUUCUAUCCUUAUUAGACCUAAGUACAUGGUUUUAUAGUUUCGUUAUAUUUUUAAAGUAUCUCGUUUCAAAAAUUAUUUUCUUAUAAGUUUGUUUAGUGAAAAAGUGAAAACGUGUCUAAACACUUUAGCCAAUUGGGAGUACACUAAGCUCGAAAAUUUGGGGAUAUGUACAAUGGUCCUAAAAUAGGUAAAUUUAGGUUUAAGUACUCAAGUGAUAGUUAGUGGUACGAUCGUUAUAAGAAUUUUCUCGAAGGUUUCAUUUUAUUGCACCUAAAUUGGAAAUACGUGUUUUCACGUGCGCGCUUAAUUGAGGGACUUUCGACCAUUAUUUUGGGACAAUUAAGAAUGAAUAAUAUUUAUAUGAAUGUAAGUGCCCUAGAGGUUUAGUGCACUAGUGCAACAAACUUAAGAGGAAUCGAGCAUAAAACGCGCGCGUAUACGCACCUUUUGCGGUUGAUUUUUGUGCCCUUAAAAUAUUAGACGUCAAACUUCAUUUGUACGCAAAAGAAUCAGAUCAAAACAUCCCUCUUUUCCUCUCAUUCUGGCCGAGCAACAGCUGAAGCAAAACACCUUCAAAUUUUGAAAAUUUCACCUCCAAAUCUUGCUCAAACCUCCACCAAAUUCAACCAAAAUUUAACUACACUUAGCUCAACACUUGGGAAGUCCAUCUAGCUGCAAAAGAAAGGAGCUAUCCACGGUUUUCUUCAAGCUUCAAAGGGCCGAAACUUCUGUCUUGACCAACCAUCAAAGUAGGUAAUGAUCUAAUACCUUAAACUUGUCCUAUGGAAGUUAAAUUACACUUAUAAGCUUGAAUUUGCAUAUGGGUUGUGGUUGAUGUUGGAGAAAUUGGAAAAGUGGGCUCUAUGAAUUCCCACUCUUGUGUUGUUGCUGAUUUUGUGCUUGAUGAUGUUUAUAAUGUCGGAUUAGUGUUUAAGUUAGUGGUUUGUUGAAGGAAAAUUGCUGGAAACUCACGUUGGGUGCAAAGGCCAAAUCUGACCAUUUUGCCCCUGCUUUGUUCGGCCACUUUAAUGCAGAAAUUUGAGGAUUUAAUGGCUUGAUUGUGUUGUUUAUAUGUUGUAGAAGUUGUGUACAAAUUUUCAUUGAAAAAUGUUGAGUUUUGGUUGAUCAAAAGAAUUUAUUUCCCAAAGCUGGUAAUCUGGAAACGGUUGCCGUCGUAACCAGACCAGUGUUCGUAUUUCGUCCAUAACUCCGUACUCCGACAUCGAAAUCAAGUGUCGUUAGCGACAUUUGAAACUAGACAUACCCAUCUUUCCAACGGUAUAUAAUGCACGUUCUGGUUCCAUGUGUGUGAACCGCACCACUCUUCUGAAUUUAGCUGCCCUGUUUCUCCGUUCUGCCGAAAUGAUUUGAUGAUGCUGCAACUCUAGGCUUAAUUUCGAGCCAGUUUCAUGCUGAAACUUAAAACGUUUUCUUCUGUGAAAUUUUAUCCCUAUGAAUGUAUUUUCUAACAGUAUCAACCAUGCCCAAAUCCAAGUUAAAUUGAGUGAGUUAUGAUCAAAAUACGGUGACUGCCUUGUUCUUGAAAACCUUAGAUUUGGACAGAUUAGAUGUGAGACUCGUUGUGGCCUUACCAAAUGAAUUUCUUGGUGCUAAACACCUACCAAAUGUAUCAUGUAUACUCCUUAGACUUUUCUUGCACAAAUGAAUCAUGCUUGGAGGUUUUCCUUAGCCGAAUGUUUGGAAACGGAGAGAAAGAGAGCUAAAGGCAGUUUGGCCUUAGUAAUUUUAAACUUUGGUUGAUUGGUUAACCACUUUCCCGAAAGUAUUUUUCCAAAAAAUUUGAUAGAGAGAUACCCUUCAUAUAGGACUAUUAUACUGCAAAAUUUGGUAUCAAUCCAAGUCCGUUUCGACACUUAACUAAAGGUCCAAAGUCGGAACCAAAUCUGAAAAUUUGUUAACAGUCUUGAAAUUUACCCAACUUUGAGCUACCAUAUCUUGGUACUCGAAACUCCGAUUCUCGAUCCUCUGGUUCUGCCCUAAACCUUACUUGAACCUCUAAUUGAGCUAUAAAUUUCAAGGGCUGGUUUGCAACGAGUGAAUUCUGCCGAAUUUUCAAAGUUGGCGAAAAACCAACCCCGGCUCAAUCCUGGGUGAUUUGGAACAGCAACUUUAAGCUCAUUUUUCAGCACUUUCCACUUCGAUUCAUGGAAAAGUUUCUUCUAAGAACUUGUAGUACUUUCUAAGAGGUUUCCAAUGGUAUAAAGUUUUCCAAUUCUCGACUUAUACCGAGUGAGUUACGAUUUUUCAAAAAUUCAUAACAAAACUGAAAUUUUCCAACUUUCAAGGAAAUAGAGUUUUUCAAGAACUCUUUAUUCUUUUGAUAUUAUCUAAACGUUUUAUCCCCGAUUUCCUAGAUAAAGACUUAAAUACUUUUGAAUGUUAUCAAACCCCUCUCGAACCUCGAUUUACGAGUAAUUGAGGUUCAUUUUCACGGAAUCCCCUAGAUUAAUACUAGUGAACGAAUUAUUUCUCGAUAUUUGGGAUUUGGAUGAUAAUUCACUAUUAUUUGCUCAGGCGCACACGAGGACCUUCAAGAGGAUCCCACGGUGGACGCUUGAACUUUCCUUGACCUUACUUACACCUAAUACUUGGUGAGUGUCAGGUGUAUGUAAACUUGUUACAUGUGUAAUUGUUAUUAAUGAUUAGAAAUCUUGAAAGUGGAGUCGAGUGUGUACUUUACCACACUCGUUCUCAUUAGAAAUGAAAUAUUAAUGGUUGAAAUGUAUUGAAUGAAUGAAUGGAAUGUAAUGGUAUGCUAUAGUUGCCUACGUCGUUGGAGUGAAUCUCCUCGACACACAAGUGCACAUGGGGACGCCCAAAUCUCAUUGACCGACCUUGGACUCGAGCCGGCAUGGGCUUGGUCGGGAACCUUGGCGAGCCAUGAGAUAUAUAAGCUUGACCUAGUGAGAGGUCUUGCUUGGCAUACUCGAGUAGUAUCGUCACAAAUAAAUGACAGGCGGGUCCGAUACAGGGGUAUGUAAGGUGAAAGGGGACAGGUUAAGUGGAGUUCUACGGACUAAACCUACCCGAUUGACGGAGUGUCAAUUCGUGGAGGUUAUUGAAUGUGCAAGUGGAAUAUAGCUCCUGAGGGCUCCAGUAUCCUUGAAUUGUUUCUGGUUAUAUUUCCAGUAAAUUGUUAAUUACUAAAAUAUGAUUGCUUGACUUGUAAAUUGAGAUUGUUAUUUGAGCAAUGUGCUUGUAUGUGUGUUCUUGGCCUCACGAGCGUUUUUGCUCACCCUGUAGAUUUAUUUUCCUUAACAGGAUUGAACUUGGCGAGGUAUUGAAGAAACCUUCCUGCUACGCUUUUGUUUAGGGUUUCUAUUACUUUUGACUUUGUCUUGGCUUUUGGGCUGUAUUUUGGAAUCCGAAUGUAACUUUUGGAGCAUGAUGUAUAUUUGGGAUAUAUGAUGGUUGUUGAACACCCGAUGUGCGGGUUGGAUAUCGGAUGACUUUUAUUAAACUUGAACGCUUCCGCAUUUAUUUUAUCUAAGUUAUUGACUCGUAUGGUGUGGUCCGGCAAAAAGUUUAAAUGGAAUUGCUUGAGUCCUGGCGAGAGCUAGGCAGGCGUCCCGCGGAUACCCUUUGGUUCGCCUUAGGGAGAAGGGGGGCGUCACAGUUGGUAUCAGAGCAUAGGCUUUAGAUCUUGUAGUGUAUCCUAGGUUUAAAGUUUAGGAUGCCUGACUGUGGGAUUAAUUUGAAUAUUAUGUGAACUAGAGGGUCUAUUGUAUCCUACGGGCUAAAGAAAUUGGUUACUUGAGAGUUUCUUACUUGGGACUUGUAGAAAUAAAAAAAAUUGAGGAAUUAGCUGAUGUUAUAUUGAAGAAAAAUAUGGGAUGAGAGAUUAGUAGUGAAAGAUUGGACGAAUUUGAAUUAUUAUUAUACUUGUAAAUGUGGAAAGAAGUGAGACAAUUAUUAGUGCUGGCUAAAGCGGAUAAGAGACCGAGAUUUGAUGGUCAAACUCCAUGUAUCGUGAUUGUGAACCCAGAUGAAAGAGUUUCAAAGGAAUAAAAUGCAUUUUCCUGCUCAUUUACCUCCUAGAGAAUUUAUGCUUUGAAAUUUUAAAGAAAAAAUGAGGAUGUACUAGUUUUAUUUUCAAACGAUGAUUGGAAAUAAUAUAUAUAUGCUUUAAGUAUGUGUAAUUCUUCGAUUUUGGUAAAUAUGUGAAUUUUACUUGAAUUUCAAUUUAAAAAUUUGUGAAUAACUGAUGAGUUUGUUGAAAUUUUGUAUGUGAUGGGCUGAUACAAGGUUAAAAUUUUCUAAACUAGAUUUUCCCCCUUGAUUGUAUACUGGUGUAUUCUCAUACUUGAAUUCAUCUAUGCUUUACAAAAAAAAAAAAAAAAAAUAAUAAUAAUAUCUUGAAUUUUCGGAAGAACGGCGAACUUAUGUUUUUAUAAUGAAAAUCUUGAACUUGAUAAGAUUUUUGUUACUUUAAAUACUCUUCUUAUCUUUUAAAAUUCUUGGUUUUCAAGAAGGGUGAGCCUAUCUUUAGGUGUACGGAUUGAGGAAACUUUGAAAUAUAGAGUAACCGCAUUCAAGAACACGCAGUUAGUGUGAAUUGACUUGGUUUCCAUUUGGCACGUAAGUUAGCAAGUUGUACUUAUUUCUUGGGUUUGAACUUGGAGCUUGAGGCUUUAACUAUAAAACCCUAAAACUAGUUAUUCUUGGAAAUGAUGGUGCUCUGGUUGGUGGCUUGCUUAUUAAAGAUUUUGAACUUCGAAUGGAUAACCUUUGGUUUCCGCUUGUGUUAUGGUUUGAAUGGAUCUAAUUUCGUAAAGGCAUGUGAUCUGAUUGGAAUUAGUGAUAUUCGGACCCAUUGGUUUAAUUAAGAACUUAGGAAGGGUGGUGCACGCCGUGAGACCUUUUGUAUCCCGCUUGCAUAUACUUUUACAUUUUGUGACCCUUAAUUGACUAUAUACAGUAUUUGACAUAUUGGGCUUGUUUUGUGACUUCUUAACUCGUACUAUAACCUUCGAUACAUGUAAAGAAUCAUGUCUUGAUUCUAAAUAUUUUUUGUAACUUGUAUAUGCAUUAAGUUCUUUUAUGAUUAAUUAUUCCUUUUCUUGUGCUUAUAGACUCCUAUUAAGUAUGGUAGCAGGAAUAGGAAAAAGGGGGCGUGGCCGAGGACUUAGACAACCCUGUACUCGUGAGAAAAAUUGAUGGAUAGUCUUAUAUAAUUUAAUGAGAUCCUAGUACUGAAUAUGAAUCGAGAAUAAACCAGAAGAUUAGAUCUACCCGUGUAUAAUGGAUUAACCUAGUUGGGAACUUAGUGAGAUUUUCCUGUGUGAAAUUUUAAUAGCUGCUUUAUACGUAUAUUAUGAUUGGUCCUGUGGCCAUAUUUCAACUUUUGUGAAAGUUUGAACUCCAAAAGUAUUUCGUGGGUUUGGUGAGAUGAUUUGAACUCAUUACCAAUUUGUUCUACUUGAUCAAAAGCGCUUUCAAUUUUACUUGACUAAUACUAUACCCAGAUUCACUUGUUUUACUUUUCACAAUAUAUAUAUAUAUAUAUGUAUACACAUUUUGAACUCGUUUGAGACUCGAAAUCAGAUAGAGUUCAAGUUCGAAUCUUUCUUAGGAACAUGAAUGCCUAUUUGUUAUGAAUCAAAUAUUAGAAAUGAUCGGGUUUUAUGUACCAGUAAAGUUAACUCUUGGUUGGAUAAAAGGGUGGUAAAGGUAUUGGAUCACAGGUUAUGCGAAUAUGAACCUACAUGUUUACCUAUCUUUCUUAAAGGUAUUUUCUAAAAUAUACGCCUUACUCGAACAUAGAUUUAACUCGAAACUUUGAGGAAAUGUGUUGGAACACCCUCCAUGUAUAUGUUAUGAUUAUUAUGUAUAUGUUUUAAAAAUCAUGCAUUAAGUUGCAUGAUUAAUAUUCUUAAAUCUAUUUGAGAGAUUUUAAAUAUGUAUUGAUGAUUGUGGUUAAACAUUAUUUGAAAUCUCUUACUAAGAAAACUUAGUUUUGGGUCGUGAAGAAAAUUUGUAUCUUUAACUCUAAUUUUGAAAAUUUUGAAUCGCAUUUUGCCACAGAUACAUUCAAAAUACAUCAAAAGUCUUGACCUUAUCUUGUAAGUCAUGAUUGGUUUGAUUUAGACAAAAUUUUGAGGAAAAGGAUUUUGGUCCUGCUAGUGCGUAACAGUUUUUUUGCUAGGAUUAGGAACUUGUUUCAUAUGGCGUGUAAUUUAUGGUUUCACUACACACGGGAGUAAGACCUUAGAAGGGAAGUACAUAUCAUUAUAUCAAGAGGUAUUACUUUAGUUGUGUGUGUGGAUUUUCUUAAGUAUCAUUCGAGGAGAGGGAAGAGUAAAUAUACCUGGAUGACUUAGAUGCGUGAGAAUUUACAGGUUGUGGAUAGUUGAGUUUCAAAUUCUGAUUUGCUACUUAUUUAGAUGCUUGAGCAGUUGAUAGGCUAACAGUCAGGAUUAAGAAAAUGGAUGAAUGAAAAGUUUGGAAGAGAUGCGUAUAGAAAUAGAAGUUCUUCACAAGGAGUUGGAAUUCCAAACUAAAUUGGCUGAAUUCUGGGGAGAAAAAAAAAAAAGGUCGAGAACUUAGAGUUGAAGAUGGGAUCCAAUGUUGAUCGCCAACUUGAGAUAUUAAAAGUUGUGAGAUUUGGGUGAGUGAAAGGAAAUAUUUGAUGGCUUGAAUGAGCCUAACGAUUAAAGACCGGAUGUUAUAUUUGGAAUGGACGCUUGAGACUAUAUAUACAUAGAUUAUUGAGAUUUGAACGAUGAGACUAUUAAGAACAAAUACUCCAUAGCCUCACAUAAACGAGAAUUAUAAUCAAGGGUCAAGAGCAGCGAAUAAGGGAUUUAAAGUAGAGUUACUACCAACCGGGAAUCCUAGAAACUGAUGUGCUUAACCACUUCCAAUUCAAGAUGGGGAUACUUGAAUUUUCAGUUAUGCCAAUUGGGUUGACUAAUGUAUUAGCAGCAAUUAUUGCAUUAAUGCAUCAAGGUUUUAAAUCAUAAUAGGAUUAAUCUGUGAUGGCAUUUAUUGAUGAUGUAUUGAUAUACCCUAAAGUUUGAGAAGAUCAUGAAAAAAAUACCUGAUGGUAGUUUUACAAACCCCGAGAGAACGCUAACUUUUGUUAAGUCCAAUAAAUGUGAGUUCGAUGGGAAGAAAUAGCCUUUCUAAGUUAUAUAAUAUCUAAGGAAGAAAUUGUUGUUAACUCAGCUUAAGUGGAAGCUGUUUAAGAGGAAAUGACUAGAAAAUCCUACAGAAAUUUGGAGUUCUUAGAGGUAGUCGAAUAUUACCUUGGUUUGAUCAGGGACUUCUAAGGAUACGAGACUUGACAAGUUAUUUGAGAUUCUAAAUGUGAGAAAGAAUUUGAAGGUGAAAAUCGUUUAACCAGUGCACUUGUGUUGGCUUUACCGAGCGGAUGAGGUGAUUUUGUGAUUUAUACAGAUGGUUCAAAGGAUGGUUUAGAAUGUAUAUUAAUAAUAUAUGAUGAGGUGAUUGUAUAUGCCUUCUGAAAGUUAAAAUUUUCCGGAAGAAAGUAAUCAACUCAUGAUUUGGAAUGAGUUGGAAAAUGUAAGUCAAUGAUUGAUCUGAUAGGCUUAACCAUGAAGGGAAUGAUAUUGUUCUAAGUAUGAAUUUCGAGGACGAAAUUCCUUUCAAGAAGGGGAGGAUGUGAGGACCCGAAAAUUUUCUAAUUUUUAUAGAAUAUUACUGGAAUAUUUAAAUGAUUAUUCACUCAUUUUCUUCGAAUUAUUUAUUUCGACCAUUUUAAAUCCAUUUAUAUGGAAUGACGCCUCUUUAUAUUUUUAAAGCGUUUUGUUGAAAAAUUCGCUUUUCGAAAAUUUGUUUAGUCCGGAACGACGGGUGCACGUUUUUUUUCUAGGCUAUACUUGAAUCGGGAGUGUAUUAAUAUUGGAGAAUUAAGAACGAUCAAUAAUAGAUUAAGAAAGGUUAAUGGAGGAAUUAAUACUCAAUUCACGUGAGGACUCGUAAAAUUAUUAUUUUUAAAAACCCCUAAUUUUGGCUCAAUUAAUUAUCUAUUUGGAUUUUUGCCCCGAAUAUUAUUUUCUAUCCUUAUUAGACCUAAGUACAUGGUUUUAUAGUUUCGUUAUAUUUUUAAAGUAUCUCGUUUCAAAAAUUAUUUUCUUAUAAGUUUGUUUAGUGAAAAAGUGAAAACGUGUCUAAACACUUUAGCCAAUUGGGAGUACACUAAGCUCGAAAAUUUGGGGAUAUGUACAAUGGUCCUAAAAUAGGUAAAUUUAGGUUUAAGUACUCAAGUGAUAGUUAGUGGUACGAUCGUUAUAAGAAUUUUCUCGAAGGUUUCAUUUUAUUGCACCUAAAUUGGAAAUACGUGUUUUCACGUGCGCGCUUAAUUGAGGGACUUUCGACCAUUAUUUUGGGACAAUUAAGAAUGAAUAAUAUUUAUAUGAAUGUAAGUGCCCUAGAGGUUUAGUGCACUAGUGCAACAAACUUAAGAGGAAUCGAGCAUAAAACGCGCGCGUAUACGCACCUUUUGCGGUUGAUUUUUGUGCCCUUAAAAUAUUAGACGUCAAACUUCAUUUGUACGCAAAAGAAUCAGAUCAAAACAUCCCUCUUUUCCUCUCAUUCUGGCCGAGCAACAGCUGAAGCAAAACACCUUCAAAUUUUGAAAAUUUCACCUCCAAAUCUUGCUCAAACCUCCACCAAAUUCAACCAAAAUUUAACUACACUUAGCUCAACACUUGGGAAGUCCAUCUAGCUGCAAAAGAAAGGAGCUAUCCACGGUUUUCUUCAAGCUUCAAAGGGCCGAAACUUCUGUCUUGACCAACCAUCAAAGUAGGUAAUGAUCUAAUACCUUAAACUUGUCCUAUGGAAGUUAAAUUACACUUAUAAGCUUGAAUUUGCAUAUGGAUUGUGGUUCAUGUUGGAGAAAUUGGAAAAGUGGGCUCUAUGAAUUCCCACUCUUGGGUUGUUGCUGAUUUUGUGCUUGAUGAUGUUUAUAAUGUCGGAUUAGUGUUUAAGUUAGUGGUUUGUUGAAGGAAAAUUGCUGGAAACUCACGUUGGGUGCAAAGGCCAAAUCUGACCAUUUUGCCCCUGCUUUGUUCGGCCACUUUAAUGCAGAAAUUUGAGGAUUUAAUGGCUUGAUUGUGUUGUUUACAUGUUGUAGAAGUUGUGUACAAAUUUUCAUUGAAAAAUGUUGAGUUUUGGUUGAUCAAAAGAAUUUAUUUCCCAAAGCUGGUAAUCUGGAAACGGUUGCCGUCGUAACCAGACCAGUGUUCGUAUUUCGUCUAUAACUCCGUACUCCGACGUCGAAAUCAAGUGUCGUUAGCAGCAUUUGAAACUAGACAUACCCAUCUUUCCAACGGUAUAUAAUGCACGUUCUGGUUCCAUGUGUGUGAACCGCACCACUCUUCUGAAUUCAGCUGCCCUAUUUCUCCAACUCUAGGCUUAAUUUCGAGCCAGUUGCAUGCUGAAACUUAGAACGAUUUCUUCUGUGAAAUUUUAUCCCUAUGAAUGUAUUUUCUAACAGUAUCAACCAUGCCCAAAUCCAAGUUAAAUUGAGUGAGUUAUGAUCAAAAUACGGUGACUGCCUUGUUCUUGAAAACCUUAGAUUUGGACAGAUUAGAUGUGAGACUCGUUGUGGCCUUACCAAAUGAAUUUCUUGGUGCUAAACACCUACCAAAUGUAUCAUGUAUACUCCUUAGACUUUUCUUGCACAAAUGAACCAUGCUUGGAGGUUUUCCUUAGCCGAAUGUUUGGAAACGGAGAGAAAGAGAGCUAAAGGCAGUUUGGCCUUAGUAAUUUUAAACUUUGGUUGAUUGGUUAACCACUUUCCCGAAAGUAUUUUUCCUCGAAAUUUUAUAGAGAGAUACCCUUCAUAUAGGACUAUUAUACUGCAAAAUUUGGUAUUAAUCCAAGUCCGUUUCGACACUUAACUAAAGGUCCAAAGUCGGAACCAAAUCUGGAAAUUUGUUAAUAGUCUUGAAAUUUACCCAACUUUGAGCUACCAUAUCUUGGUUCUCGAAACUCCGAUUCUCGAUCCGCUUGUUCUAUCCUAAACCUUACUUGCACCUCUAAUUGAGCUAUAAAUUUCAAGGGCUGGUUUGCAACGAGUGAAUUCUGCCAAAUUUUCAAAGUUAGCGAAAAACCAACCCCGGCUCAAUCCUGGGUGAUUUGGAACAGUACCUUCAAGCUCAUUUUUGAGCACUUUCCACUUCGAUUCAUGGAAAAGUGUCUUCUAGGAACUUGUAGUACUUUUUAAGAGGUUUCCAACGGUAUAAAUUUUUCCAAUUCUCGACUUAUGCCGAGUGAGUUACGAUUUUUCAAAGAUUCAUAACAAAACUGAAAUUUUCCAACUUUCAAGGAAAUAAGUUUUUCAAGAACUCUUUAUUCUUUUGAUAUUAUCUAAACGUUUUAUCCCCGAUUUCCUAGAUAAAGAUUUAAAUACUUUUGAAAGUUAUCAAACCCCUCUCGAACCUCGAUUUACGAGUAAUUGAGGUUCAUUUUCACGGAAUCCCCUAGAUUAAUACUAGUGAACGAAUUAUUCCUCGAUAUUUGGGAUUUGGAUGAUAUUUCACUAUUAUUUGCUCAGGCGCACACGAGGACCUUCAAGAGGAUCCCACGGUGGACGCUUGAACUUUCCUUGACCUUACUUACACCUAAUACUUGGUGAGUGUCAGGUGUAUGUAAACUUGUUACAUGUUUAAUUGUUAUUAAUGAUUGGAAAUCUUGAAAGUGGAGUCGAGUGUGUACUUUACCACACUCGUUCUCAUUAGAAAUGAAAUAUUAAUGGUUGAAAUGUAUUGAAUGAAUGAUUGAAAUGCAUUGAAUGAAUGAUUGAAAUGUAUUGAAUGAAUGAAUGAAAUGUAAUGGUAUGCUAUAGUUGCCUACGUCGUUGGAGUGAAUCUCCUCGACACACAAUUGCACAUGGGGACGCCCAAAUCUCAUUGACCGACCUUGGACUCGAGCCGGCAUGGGCUUGGUCGGGAACCUUGGCGAGUCAUGAGAUAUAUAAGCUUGACCUAGUGAGAGGUCUUGCUUGGCAUACUCGAGUAGUAUCGCCACAAACAAAUGACAGGCGGGCCCGAUACAGGGGUAUGUAAGGUGAAAGGGGACAGGUUAAGUGGAGUUCUACGGACUAAACCUACCCGAUUGACGGAGUGUCAAUUCGUGGAGGUUAUUGAAUGUGCAAGUGGAAUAUAGCUCCUGAGGGCUCCAGUAUCCUUGAAUUGUUUCUGGUUAUAUUUCCAGUAAAUUGUUAAUUACUAAAAUAUGAUUGCUUGACUUGUAAAUUGAGAUUGUUAUUUGAGCAAUGUGCUUGUAUGUGUGUUCUUGGCCUCACGAGCAUUUUUGCUCACCCUGUAGAUUUGUUUUCCUUAACAGGAUUGAACUUGGCGAGGUAUCGAAGAAACUUUCCUGCUACGCUUUUGUUUAGGGUUUCUGUUACUUUUGACUUUGUCUUGGCUUUUGGGUUGUAUUUUAGAAUCCGAAUGUAACUUUUGGAGCAUGAUGUAUAUUUGGGAUAUAUGAUGGUUGUUGAACACCCGAUGUGCGGGUUGGAUAUCAGAUGACUUUUAUUAAACUUGAACGCUUCCGCAUUUAUUUUAUCUAAGUUAUUGACUUGUAUGGUGUGGUCCGGCAAAAAGUUUAAAUGGAAUUGCUUGAGUCCUGGCGAGAGCUAGGCAGGCGUCCCGCGGAUACCCUUUGGUUCGCCUUAGGGAGAAGUAGGGGCGUCACAAGCUUUCCAUUUGGUUAUGUUAAAGUAGGGUUAAAGUAAGGAUGAAUUCUGGAAAUUUUCUGAGCAGGAAACCCCAACCAGUGUUCACGUUUUAGAUCAUAACUUUCUAUCUGGGAGUUGAAAUUGAGUGUUGUUUGUGACAUCCAAAACUAGAUUCCGAGAGCUUUCCGUCGGUAUAAAAUACAUCUCCUAACUCGUUUCCUAUGAGCCGUAGUGAACCGGCAAAGAUGACUGAAUUUCCUCACUGCUUGCAUCCGAGAAACAGUUCUAAUUGCAGUUUGUAGCUCAAUUUUGCCUAUCGUGCAAACUGAAUUUUAAGACAGUUCCUUCUAUUGAAUUGUAGCAUUUUGAAUCUAGUUUUCAACACCAUAAACUAAAUUUCGAGUUCUGUAGCCCUAGUUAUGAUUGAAUUUUGAAACUCUGUCAAGCCUUCAAAACUGGAAAUUUCGAAAAUAGGUUCCAAAAUUCAGUUUUCUUAAAACCAUUGUAUCUUGGUGUAGAAAGAUCCAAAUUGAGUUCCGUUUAUUGUAUUUGAAACUAGGUUUGGAGUUUUAAUUGUGAUAUAAAUUUCAAGGGCUGAUUCUAUUUCUAAAAAUUUUGCUAAAUUUUCAAACUUCAGUGAAUUUGCAAGCCUGUUUUGCUCUGUCUUGUCUAGAACAGUGACUUUGAGCUAAAAUUUGAAUGACUUCUAAUUGGAGUCUGAGAAAAGUGUCUUCUAGAGUUCUUUGAGUCUAGUUUCUAACGGUAUAAAGUUUUCAAAUUUUGGACUUUCGAAACUCGAGAUACAAUUUUUCAAGUAGGGCCGCGCUAAGCUGGAAAUUUUCUGAUUUCAAACAAAUACAUUUUUUAAGAACAUUCCACCUUCCUUUGCGAUUGUUGGACUGUUUCAAGUGUAAUUUUGUGGUUGAAUACAUGCUUUCUUUGGAACUUUAAAUUUUCAUUUUCAAUCUUGGUUUCUAAAGGUUAAACCUCUCUUGAUGCAUUUUCUUGGUCAUAUAACUCCCUUGAUUUAUAGCACCUCUCUUCAUAUUUGAAUUAGGGGCUUCAACCCCUGGUUUUAUGUCCUCGAUUUUCAUGAGUUUGAACUUUUAAAAAGGGAGCGUUUGACUAUAGUAAAUCUUGGAGAAAUUUCACUAGUUUUAUACUCAAAACUUAGUGCCUUAGUCUUGACAUUUACUAUGAAAUGAGCGGAGUUUUGGAUGGAUUUUGACUCCAUUAGUUUGGAAAAUGUGAACGUUCUUUAUAUUUUAACUUUUGGGACAUGAGAUUUGAAGUUUUGGGAGAUAAGCCAUCUACCCCUUUUUUUUCUUGAUUUUCGUGUGAAAAGUGAAAACAGUACUUUCUUUUAGAAUUGAGAUUUCUUACCAUGACUUGAAUCAAAAACGACCUCUGAGCUCUCUUUGAGCAUUAUUCCAAUGUUUGAGCUAGAAAAACUUCUUUAACUUGACUCGAACUUGUGAUUUUGAGAGUGGGUAGCGAGAAAAUGUCUUUCUUUUUAACCUUGGUCAAGCAUCGAGGUAAUUAUGAUUGUACAUGUCUCAAGUGGUCACGAGGACGCCGGAGAGCUCGUCUGACUUCUCGCUUCACUCUGGUUUUUGCCCUUGACUUAUAGUGAGUGUCAAGUGCAUGUUAAAUACUUAUAUGUUUGAAAUGAUAUGUGUACAAAUACUAUAUAUGAUACGUGAACUUGUCGAAACGAGAGUGUACUUUAUCACUCUCGUUCUCUCUCUCCUGAUUACAUAAUACUUGUUAAAUGAAUAUAUAUGACUUGCAUUUGUGCAUGAACAUGUUUAACUCGUGAGCACUGAGUGGAAGCAUGUACCACACCCUGUUCAGGUGGGAGGUGCCUCUCAUAUCGACUCAGUGCUACAAUCGAUUCUCUGAGCGGAAGUAUGUACCAUACCCUGUUCAGGUGGGAUGUGUCUCUCAUACCGACUCAGAGCCAUAAACAAUUCUAAGUCGCUUGGAGUGAUGUCUCAUCGACUACUUAUAUUUCUGGGGGGCACCCCAACCCAUUAGCUAGCCUUGUAACUCAAGCCGGUAAGGGCUUGGUCGAGAAGUUUGGUGAACCUUAGAGAAUAAUAGCUUGAUCUUUUGAGAUCUCGCUUGGCAUACUCGAAUAGUAUCGCCACCCCUUACAUGUUUGGUUCCGAAUUCGAGUGGAUGUUAUGUUGGAUGGAGGAAGUAAAUGAAGCACUAUGGUCGUGUUACUACUUGGGUUGACGGAGGGUCAACCCUCGAAGGCUCAAUUGAUCGAGACGUGGGAAUAGCUCCUGAGAGCUCCUGUAUCCUUCUUGUGUGCUAAAUUCCUACUUGUGCACUUAAGUGAAACGUCGUGUUUAUAGUUGCUUUUAAGCAUGCUAUUUGAUUGAUUGGUGUUACUUGCUUGCCUAUUUAUUUUCUUGGCCUCACUAAGCGUUCGCUCAUCACUUUAAGUUUGUUUUCCUUAACAGACUUUGGAGGUGGAUUAGAAGACCUAGACUAGUGAUUUGGUGGAAGCUAGUAUCUUUGUAUGAACUUUUGGUGACUCUUAAAAUGUAAUUUUGUUACUUCUAGUUGAUGAAUUAUAAUGAUAACUUUUACCUUAGAAGUUGUGACUUGUAGAUUCCAAGUACUCUUUAUUUAGUUGUUGGAUGUCUCGUGGCUCUAUAUUAAGUUUGAACGAAUGCAUGAGUCCUGACAAGAGUUGGGCAGGCGUCCUGCUGAUACCUUAGGGUUCGUGUAGACACCAAAAUUUGGCUUUAGUUUUUUUUAAAAUUUAAUUUAAUUUAAUUUUCUAAUCUUUAUCGAUAUUUAUUGUUUUUGUUAUUUUUGUUUUACUAAUCUCAUUUUUAGACGUUUUAGCAUAAAAUUGAAAAAAAAAAGAAAAGAAGAAAGAAAAGAAAAGAAAAGAAAGAAAAAAAGAGUCAAGUCAUGCAGCAAAAAGAAAAGUCAAUUAAAAGAUACAUGGAACUAUUUUUGGAGGAUGGGAUCUGAGCCUUUCAUAUCAGGUUUAGUUUUGGGGUGCCCUAAAAGAGAAAAGGGCCGCAAGGGGUGCGAAUUAGAGGGAGAGCUACGGGGGGUUUCUUGAAGGGGCUUACGGCUAGAAAAACAGGGAAAAAGGGAGAGAAGGUUUCGGUUGGGCUUAGGGGUAAAGAAAACAGCACAAGAACAGGGGAAUAGAAAGGCAAUAGAGGCGGCAAAGAAAGCAGAGGGAGAACUAGAGAGGGGCGGCUGGAAAAAGGGGAGAGUUUCGUGAGGCAGGGGAGCUUCAUCUGGGGGGCGGCGCAGCAGGGAGGAGGAAGAAAAGACUAUCGGGCGAGAAAACAAGAAAAGGGAGAGGGCAACAAAAUGAAAGGAAGGAAAACGCAAGGGGAAAACAGAGGUGGGGAGGCUUCGGCUUCAAUGAUUGGCGCGGAGAAAAGUUUCCAACCACAGCAACCAUCUCAACUCCAUCCGCUGCCUGCCCAGACUCCUCCUCAAGCUAUCAGCCCAAGUUGCCAUUGACCCGCAUCCGCCGCCUCUGUCUGUGCCAAGCCCAAAGAACUCAUCCUCGGCAACCUUUUUAAUUCUCGGUGAAGAGGACGAGUACAGCCAUGGUGUCGAGAGUCUCAUUAGCUUCUUCUUCACCUGCUUUUCUUCCGUGGACGACUUGAGCAGCAACAGCAGCGAAGAUUGCCAAUUCAACCGUCGACCACCACCAGCACUGCCACCGUCCAGCUUCGAUUCAACUUCAGAAACCGAGAGCCCUGUAAGUUUCCUCUUAAAAUUUCAGUUCUUUUUCAGCCACUGAAAUGGGUCUACCGUGGCACUAUUUAGUGCAGUUUUCCUGUUAAUUGUCUGAAAUUGUCAAACAUACAUGUUUUAUGUAUCGAUUAGAUUGAAUGUUCUUGGGUUGCUGAUAAAGUUUUGGACUGAUUGUCCUUGGUUUUUGACAAAUUUCUGAGCCGAUUUUGACUUCAAUUAAGCAAAGAAUCAUUGAUUUAUCUUUUGCUCAUUUGCUGCUCGAUGAAAUGCCCAACCGGGGGUUCAACUUCAAAGACAAAUUAAUUUCUGUUUUGUAUACAUUCGGCCAAAUCACUUUCUUCACAUUUGAAAAUUUAUGAUGCAUUUGCUGUAUUUCAUUUCUUUCCGUUUCGUAUGAUCCGGUUGAAUGAACUCGAAUUGAUAUUGUAUGAGAGGAGUUUUUGGGUGAUUUUCUUUUUUGAUUGAGAAUGGCUAGAAUUUUGGUUUUGCUCUGGUUCUAAGAACGACAGAAAUGGCGAAUUGAUGUCUAUGUUUGGGAGAGAAGACCGUUGGUCUUAAACGUCCAUUUCAGUUCCUCUGUUGUCGCUUUGUUUUGCAAUUUGCCUGAGAAUUGCUGAACUUCAUAAUUUUAUCCCCCAAACUGUUAUAAUUCAUUCAAUUGGGUCCCUGCUUUUGUUAUAUUUGAACCCCUCAGGCUGCCCUUUGUUCCGUCUCGGCCCAGAAAAUUAGAUACUUUAAUCAAUUCUGUCCCCUUAAAUGUUUUCUUCCAUGAUAUAAGUUAAUGUGUUUUUUGGAUAGAUUAAUUCUGGGGAUUUAAUGCUUAAUCAAAGUUUUAGUAAUUUCUAGUGGGGAUUUCAUCUUGAUUGGGUUUAAUAACAUUUGUUUGGAUUUCUUGUUGGGCCUAAGAAGCUUGAAAUUCAAAGCUUUUGGUUGGGUUUUAGGAUUGGGUUGUUGACUAAUUUGGUUGAGUUUUAUUUGAUAGAAAUGAUAGGUUGGCCCAUCUCAUUUGUUUUGGAUUUUCGGUUGGGCUAGGAAGGGUUUGGCCCAAACGAACAAAUAAAAUGGCCCACACCCUUUUUGUUCUGAAUUUCCGUUGGGCUGGUAAGCUUUGGCCCAAACAAAUAAAGGAAAUGGCCCAAUGGCUUGAUCCAUUAAGAAACCAGAAAACGAUUUUGCAAAUCAGUCCCUGAGUUUCUCCUUAACUGUACUGUGGCCCUGGACAUUUUCAACUUCUUUCAAUUCGGUCCUCAAUUUAAUUGCAAAUAGGUCCCUGAACUUUAUUUUUCUUUAAUUUUGACCUCCAAAUUUUGUCAAUCUUUGCAAUCAGGUCCUUUCUUCUCUUGACUUCUUAAGUGUGGAUUGUUGACAUGAUUUAAUUGAUUCAAAUUCAUGCUUAUUUUUUAUCCUUUAUGAUUAUUUGCCAAAUAAAUUGGUACCUUGACUUUUUUAUUGUUUUGAAGCUAAUAUCUCAUUUACUCGAUUUCCAUUGCAAGGGAGGUAACUUCUAUAUUCUUGAGUUUAUUUUUCCUAUGUGAUCCAACGUGCUAAGUGUGAAUUGCAUGUCUACAUUGCUUUCCUUGCCUUUCUUUAAUUCCUUUCAUUUAUUUCAUUUACUUUUGCCUUUUAUUUAAGUUAUUCAUUAUGGGGUAUGUGUACACCUCUUGGCUUGUAAUAGAUAGGGCUUGGAGGAGCAUUCGAUGAAGACCUGUUGAAGACAUGUGCCUAGCUAGCAAAUGUAAUAGUUAGGGCUUCAAUUGCUUCAUGUGUCUUGCAUGCUUAGUUGCUAUGUGUUAAUUUGCUUUAUUAGGUUCUUGCAUCUAGUCGAGCAUGCUAAUUGUUAUGUGCUAUGUGUUUAUGGGUGUUUGGCAUGUCUAAUCGCUUUCCAUAGCCAUGAAUGAAUGUGAUGGAUGAAUGUACGUCACCACACUAGUCCAAUGCUAGUUGUGGCUCAUUAUUUCAUUAGGAAUUCAUAGAAAGGGCUAGUCCAACGCUAGACCCAAUAGGCCAUCCCCUUUUGUUAGUGCAUAUUUGCAUGUCCACUACAUGUCAUGCAUUUUUCUUAGUUUUAUCAUUUGGCAUGCUCCUCGAGCCCCUUUUCCCCUCAUUUUAGGAUUUUUGCACCUCAUACUAGGUAUAGGGUACAUUUGCCUGAAGAGUCCCCUUAAAUAUGGGAUAUAGACGAGUGUGGCUUUUUCUAAGCCUUAGCACGCUUAUAUUCCCUCUAUCAAAGGAAAAAUCAAGUCACAAAGUUAAGAGUCCCCGUACCCGUUUUGCUUGCAUUCCCAUAGGAUUCAUGCAUUUCAUUCAUUCACUAUCACUUACUUUAUAUUCCAUUCCUCUUUCUACAUUCUCACUUCACACUACUUUCACACUACUUUCUACAUUCUCACUUCACACAUGCACCUUAUGGCAUUUUUUACCUUAUUAUUCUUUACUUACUUUACCUUGCAAAGACAUUUGCACACCUCCACUUAUAUCUUAUUACUUUUAUCAUUUUUCUCACUUCACACAAACUCACACUUUCACAUGGCAUGCAUUCCACUCAUUUUUACGUCAUUUAGGAUUACGUGUGACCUCUCCAAAGGAUCAUUAUUGGGCUUCACAAUUAAUGUGAUUGGCACCCCUCAACCUUUGAAGAGAAAUUUCCCCCAUGUCCCCCUAGGUCUAGGUUUUUGCAUUCAUAUAGACAUAUCCAACACGCGAUACAUACCUUGGGUAGAAAAAUUAGGAAAAAUUGGUUUAAGUCACGCAACUAGCCUUGGCUAGGUCGAAGGGGUGCAUUGGAUUUUUUAUCCUUGCCUUCCCCUUCGUCAAAUGUGACCCCCGAUCCCUCUUUUGGUUACGUAGACCCAAAAGUUCUCUAAAAGGGUUUAUUUACUUUUUUCAUUCAAAAACAAAAAUCAUUUUUGGGUGACUUGGUACACCCUAACUCUAUACCAAGUGGCGACUCCAUUUUUUAAAAAACCCUUUUUGAACUUUAUAUGGCCAAACCGUCGCUUUAUCAAGUCCCAUGGCCUUUAUUUUCAUUUUGCACACGUUCACACCACACAUUCACCAUUCGAAAAGUGGGGCGCGACAGUUCGCCCUAAGGAGAGGUGGGGGCGUCACAAAUUCUUUGUAAGUAGAUUUACAAGAAAAGAAUCUGAUUAUGAUUGUAUAUCAGAACAGCAAUUGUUCGAUAAUUUUUAUAUUGGAUUGAAUGAGGACUUGCUGAAUGCAUACAAUAUUAUAAUAUAAUCAUAUACAUGAAAUCAUAAAGGGUUUUUUUGCGUAUGAGAGUAAUGGGACAAGGAAAAUUUUUUACUUAUGGAGAACAUCGAUUGUUUGAAUUAGAUUAGAAUGAAAAAUUAUUUUUCUGUAUGAUAUUUAUCAAAAUGCUCUGUGUAUGGUGAAUUAGAAGUGUUUUAGAUCACAUCCAAAAAUAUUUUAUAAUAAAAUUGCCAUUGAUAUAGAUGAAAUUUUGUCAUACAAACGUUGAACUGAUCUAUUUAAGAGGGUGACCAUCAAUGAUUUCACAUUUGACAAUCAAUGAGUUAUUUUUAUAAUCAAAAUUUGGUUAUCAUGUUCGAUGGUCAUAUUGAUAUAACAAAAUUGCACGAUCAGAAAUUGCUAAAUAUCUGUAUAAGUAAAUAAAUAAAGGAGAUGAUGGAGUAGAUGUAUAUAUUGAGAAUAACGUUGUACUCCUAAAUGAAGGUGAAUAGAGUCAUUAUAAAAUUGUUGACGAGAUUAAACAAUACCUUGAUUAUUGGUAUUUAUUACUAAUUGAAUCAUACUGAAAGAUAUUUGAUUUCAAAAUGUAAAAAUAGUAUCCCUUUGUGAUUAGAUUGCGAUAUCAUCUUCUUGAUCAUCAAUUUGAUUUUUAAUGAUAAUGAUUAUCGUUAUGAUGUUCUUGAUCAUGAAAAUAUACAUGAAACAAUAUUAACCAAAUGAAUCAAACCAAUAGGAAAAAUAUUUUGAUUAGAAAUUUGACUUUUGUUGAGUUCUCGAGUAAAUGGAUCUAAAAAUAAAAUAUAUAACAAUGGGAGCCCAAAUUUGCCAGCAAGUGAAUUAGAAGGCUGUUAUAUACAAAUCUGCAUUCUAAUGAACGCUAUUAUUUACGAAUGUUACUUUAUAAAAUUUAUGGAAUUCAAUGUUUUUAACAUAUUAGAACUAUUGAUGGGAUUGUAUAUCCGACUUUCAAUGCAGCAUGUGUUGCACUUGGUCUUCUAAAUGGUAUUGAUGAGUGAAAUAAAACUUUAACUAAAACAUCUACAGAAGAAUUGUGAGGUAUGUACUAUACUAUACUUAUAUAUUAUGAGAUAAGUAACUCCUUUGAUAUAUGCAACACUGCAAGAAAAGUAUGACAAAUGAUUUACAAUAUAAGAUCACAAAAGAUAUAGAAAGCCUCUAAAUUCGUAUUGACGAUGAUGAAUUAUAAAAUUUGAAAUUAGUUGAAAUUAUACUCAUUUCAAACAAAAAUGAUUUCUCUCUACGAGAUUUUUCACCGAUGCCAUUACUGUUUUUUAAAAUUCCUCAAUUUUUCGUGAAUAGAUUUGUAAGAGAAGAAUUUAAUUAUGAUCGUAUAUCAAAACAUUAGUUGUUCAAUAAUUUUUAUGUUGGGUUGAAUGAGAAUCAACUUUAAGCAUAUGAAAGUGGUGGGAUAGGGAAGAUUUUUUAUUUUUGGAGAGCAUCGAUUGUUUGAAUUAGAUUUGAAUGAAAAGUUAUUCUUUCAGUUGAAUCAUAAAUACUGUUGCCGGGCAGAAGAACAUGACAUUUGCUUUUCAAAAUUCUCAUUGAGUGUGUUUGGACUGCAAAUUUAUCUCAAAUAAUAUUUCACUUGCAUUAUAAACACAUUUCUCAAUUCAUCUUUUUAUAUUCCCAACUACUUUUUAUCUCACAUACAUCACAUCACAAAAAAGUGCUACAGUAAUUAUUCCAAAUAAUAGUUCAAAUAAUACUUUAUUCAAACACAUUCAUUAAUUUGGAUGACAUAUCGAGUUGUUCAAUUAAUAAAAAUUCUGAUUUAGCCAAAUUAAUUAGAGAGACAUCUCUAAUAAUUUGGGAUAAAACUCUAAUGGCAUACUGAUAUGAAUUUGAAACUAUGGAUAGCAUAUUAAAGGAUAUCCUAUGACGCAGUGAUGAUCAUUCUAAGAAUCAUAUUUUUGGAGGAAAACUAUUCGUUCUUGGCAGUGAUUUUCAGCAAACAUUAUCCAUUAUUCCUAAUGGUAUGAGAGAAGCAACAAUAUCAAUUAUAAUAAAAGGAUCUCUAUUUGGGAUCAGUAGACAGUGUUGUAUCUCAAAAUAAAUAUGCAAGUAAUGGGUUCAAAUGUUUCUUGAAAUACGCUCCAACGAUUGUCAUAUUUUACAAAUUGGCUAUUGUUCAUUGGUGAAAGAAUGUACAAGCAAUUUCACUUAUAGAAUUUAUGAAAGUAAAUUGGAUACAGUUAUCAUCUCAAUUUAUCAUAAAAAAUAACAUCCAAUCUUUAAUGCGGCUAAUAGAUUCUGCUAUCUGAAUUUGGAAAAUUCAAAUAAAGUUAGUACUUAUCUUAGAGAGCUACAAUUUUGAUUCCAAAAAAUAGUGAUAUUGGUAGACUAAAUGACAAGUUGAUGUCAAUGCUUCCCAAUCAAUUCCAUCCAUACAUGAGUGUCAAUAGUUUUUGUACGACCGAAUGAGACAUUGUUUUUGCAGUCGUUGAAUUUUUUUGGACUUCCAAACCAUUGUUUGUAACUUGAAAAAUAAGCACUCAUAAUUCUUUUGAAGAAUCUAAAUCACUCAAAGGGCCUUUGCAAUAGAAUGUGACUAAUCAGUAUCAGAUUGGGAGAUAAAAUCAUUGAAGCAAAAGUUAUAACAAGAUCCAAUGUUGGAGACUUAGUAUUGAUACCUCGAAUCUCUUUAAUACCUCAGAUUAUAUGCACUUCUUUCCCAAUUAAAAGGAGACAGUUUUCGAUGAAAGUAGCAUUUCCAAUGACUAUCAACAAAAGUUAACAUCAAACAUUAUGCAAUGUUGGUGUUUAUCUUACUAAACUCGUGUCUUUUCAUGGUCAACUUAAUGUUGCUCUUUCUUGUGUAAUUUCAUCAUUUGGAUUGAAAGUACUCAUUGUUAAUAGAGAUAGUGAUCCAUGGGAUAAUACAAAAAAUGUUGUAUAUUGAGAGGUUUUUUACAACCUUUUCAUAAAUCAUAGACAUCACUUUGUAAUAAAAAACUGUAGUACAUUGCCUUUAUAUUUUAUAUACUGUAGAUGAAUGACAUUUUCAUGCUCGUUUGUAACUUUUGCAUUUUAUUUUAUUGUUUGUGGCAAUGAUAGUAAUCAAACAAUUAACUAAACAUAUUCCAUAAAAUGCAAGUAAACAUAAAACACCUAAAAUUUACAAAUUAUGCAUUUAAAUGAAGCACAACUAGCAAUUAAAGAAAAGAAACAAUUGUAAUUGAGAAAUUAAAAAACUAAUAGGGACUAAAUUGCAAAAAUAGAAAGUUUUGGGGUCAAAAUAUUAUUCUUCAAAAGAUUAGAGGUCAAAAUUAAAUAAAAAUAAAGUUUAGGGGCCAAAAUUCAAUUAAGUUGAGUGCUUGAAUAAAAGAAAUCCAAAAUUUUAGGGCAACAAUAAAAUCACUCAAACGAUUAGAGGUCAAACAGUAAAAAUCGUUUCUAAUUUAUGAAAAUUGCAUACAAAAUAAAGUUAGGCCAUGUCUUAAGCAUUUGGGCCGUACCACCUUGGCCCAAAGAAACAAAGUAAGUUAUCCUAUUGAAAAGAACAGACCAGUCCAAUUCAUUUAAACUAAUUUAAACGUAAUAAAGAUAUCAGGUUUAAACUCCAAAACUCAAUCACAAACCCAAGCAAAAGAUAAAACAAUAGUCAAUUUCUUUUAACACAAACAAGAUCCAAUAUCAGCUAUAUAAUUUGGGAAGAUCAAAACAAAAAAGGCAAAACAAGGCAAGGAAAAAUUAAGAGGAAAAACUACCGACUAAACCAAGAAAUGUUCCCAGAAGCUGGAAUUUCAAAGAUUUCUAACUUCAAAUUUUUACAUGAAGAUGAUUUUUACAACAUAGUGAAUGUAUCUAUGUGACGACCCCACUUUCCCUUAAGACAAACCAGAGGGAUCGGCAGGUCGCUUACCCAACUCUCACCAGGACUCACUAAUACCUCAAGACAAGAAGUACGAGUAGAACAUUCAAUGACACCAAUAAAUACUAACUAUUACAAGCCGAAAUGUUCAUUUCCAAAAUGUCUUAAUACAUAAUUCAAGAUUCAGCUUACAGCCCAAAAGUACAAAAUACAAAAUAUACCAAGUGUUGGCACGUUCACGACUCUCAGGGUGCUAACACUUUUACUCCUGUUAAGGAAAACAAACAUACAGUGAGCUUUCGCCCAAUGAGGUUCUAAGAAAAUCAUGCAGUCAAACCAACAAGAACAUUUAAUUCAAGACUAAUUCAAGAAAGAAUAAUUCAAUACUUAAAGCGCAAGUUAAGAAGUAACAAUCCAAUUCAAGGAUACAAGGGCUUCCAAAAGCCAGAUCCAUGUAGCUCGGACAUCUCGCAAGUGGUUGACACUCAGUCAACAUUUAUCAAACCAAUAACUGUAGAACAACACUUUACUUCAAUUCCCGUUCACACCCCCUAUACUGGGCCCGCACGCCACAAUAAACAGUGGUGGUAAUACUCGAGUAUACCCAAUUAAUCGAGAAGAUAUCAUUCCAGUAGACAAAACAAUAAACCCAGGAUUCGUUAUCUAAUCGACCAGAUCUUUGCCGAGUCGACUCGAUUAACUAGCCAACAGGGUUUUGGAAUUCAUGUUGAUGUGACAACAGCCCAACCAACCAAUCAAAUAGUCAUAGAAGAAUAGUUCACAAUAAAGAGUCAAAGGGACAACAACCCAAACGACUAACAGGACAAGUACAAGGAAGAAAGAGUGUGAGGAUCCGAAAAUUUUCUUAUUUUCGUCAUAUAUUACUGGUUUAUUUAAAUAGUUAUUCACUCAUUUUCUCCGAAUUAUUUAAUUCGACUACUUAAAAUCUAUUUAUAUGGAAAAACGUCUCUCUUAUGUUUUAAAGCAUUUUGUUAGAAAUUUUACUUUUCGAAAACUCGUUUAAUUCGGAACAACGAGUACAUGUUUUUCGAGACUACAUUUGAAUCGAGAGUGUAUUAAUUUUGGAGAAGUAAGAAUGAUCAAUAGUAGAUUAAGAAAAGUGUGACAGCCCCACCUCACCCUAAGGCGAACCAAAGGGUUCAGCGGACCGCCUGCCCAGCUCUCGCCAGGACUACGGAGUCGAAUCACACAAAUCCGAUAUUACGCGAGAGAACCCAAAAGAAAUGAGCGAUUGAAGACCGCCAAGCUUAAACAUGGAGAAAACGCUUUCAUAUAUACAUGUCACUAGGUUUACAAUUCAAAUGGAACCAGUGAAACGAAAUACAUUUAGGGUUUGCUCAUUCUCGAGGAGCUAUAAAAAAAACAAAAGAUUUUCUAACUAGCUCAACUCGCUUCUCAAAAUCAUGAUUUCCAAAAGAGGUUCCUGUAAGGAAAACAAAGAUAACGAGGAGGGGGCGAGCUUACGCCCAAUGAGGUACCAAACAUGUAGCAGAAAAAUCAGGUAGUUCACGUUAUACAAACCAGAUACACAUGCUCGCUAUAAAGUAAGACAGGUAAACACAAGAACUCAAAUAGGAAGGAUACAGGUGGCUCUCAGGAGCCAGCUUUCCAGCGCAGUACUUGAUCCAAGCCGGUUGACUCUCCGUCAACGUAUAUAGAACCAACACGUCCGUAGACCCCACUUUACACCAAAUUCCGUCCACCAAACACCCCUUUACCGGGCCCGCUCACCUUAACAGAAACAGAAAUGGUAAUACUCGAGUAUACCCGGAAUCAAGGGUCUCAAUACCCAAAGAUCCCAAAACAGACUACCGUGGUUCGUUAUCUAAUCGUCCAGGCCCUUGCCGGCCCGACUCGAAUAACUUAGCCACAGGAUUUGAGCUCAUAGGUCACAGAAAGGUCGUUGGUUACCAGCUUCCAAACGACGUCCGAACAGAUGCAGACACAGAUAACAGAUUCAAAUUUUGCAUAGUAAAUUGGCAUAUGAACAGACAAGAGAACGAGUGUGAUAAAGUACACCCUCGUCUCAAACAAAUUAAACAGAUUGCAGAGCAGAAAUCAAGUUAAACAGCAAUGGAGGGGAGUGGUACACUCACGGGUUCAAGUACAGAUACCUCAAAAGUUUUCACUUCGGAUUGGCUUUAAUCACCAAGAAACCCUAAAAUAAUCAAAAUAAACCAAUUGAAGGUUUCACAUCCAGAUUCGAGUAAACAAAAUACACAUGUGAGGCUCGACUACUAGUCGUAUGCCUCGCCAAAUAAUUACUAAUGCAAGGGUACAGAACAUGAUUUUUGGGAAUAAAAAGGUAACAUGAAGACCUAGGUUCAACAACCCAAAAGCCCUUCAUUUCUAUCACAAGCCAAUUCAAACUUAAAGGAACCAAUUGGCCUAGAAAAAUUGGACAGCACUUCCCCUAAAUUUCUUACUUUUCCAGCCAUCACGGCUUCAUUAUUUUCCUCAAUCAACUCCCAAAGUCAUACUCAAUAUACAUUCAUCACCACAGCCAUUCAAUAGGCUCAAGGUUAUCCAAGUACAAAAGUUAGCUAGGAAAAUGACCGGAAAUAAAAGUCAAGCCCUAGAAUAUUCCAAUAAGCACAAGAAGACUCGAUUACAAGUCAUAAACCGAUGCCAACACGAUCACAAUAGGGUUCCAUAAGCAUAUAUAAGCAUUAGAGGAAACCAGAAAUUUCGGAAAUGUAACUAGCUUUGGCCCUGAAAAAACAGUUUUUGUCCUCAUUUUGCGGUAAUGGCACAAAUUUCACUACGCCUAUUGGAUGAGGGUACAAGACCCACCAUCUCGAAGCUAAAAGACAGGGCUACAACAUCACAGAAGGUAACUCAACCCAGUUUUGAGUGCAAACAGGUCAAAACUGCAAGAUACUACAUCAACAACGUAAAACAGAUUCACCAAAACGUAUUCUAGCGGAAACAUCAUAACUCAGGCUCUACAAGUCCAAAUCCAGAAAUUCCAAAACCAGAUGAAAUCUAAGAAACAGGGAUAAAUUUCAUCAGAAGGCCUCAACAACCAAUUCGGAAGCAAUUCCAGGUAAAACAACCAAUUACAGGCGCAGUUCUCAAUUUCGGGUAAAACCAGAACAGCAAUAGUAAUUUCGACUUAUAUCAUUCUACACUACUCCGAUUAACCUGAAAUUUUGUAGGAACCUCUAAAAUGUCAUUACCUACAACUUUCAUGUUUUGAACUAAGGCCAAUUCGGCCUCUAUAUAGGACCUAAAAAUUCGGACAGAAUGCUUCCUUAAGAACCCUAGGUUUUUCAAUUUUCUUCCAAAACAGAAAUUGGUUGCAAUUAAUCACUUUUCCCACCUCUUUAAGUCAUUAUAGACCAUUUCCAAUCAUCAUAGAUAGCCACACAAUCAUGCUUAUAUUAAAACAGAAAAAUCCCCAAAAAAUAUAAAAGUUCAUCAAUUCAACCACAACUCAAAAUAUAAUCCAUAAAAUGGCAUCUCAUACUACCACUAAGCAUGAUUUAAGCAUCAAUCAAGGAAGGAAAGUGGUUCUUCACAACUUACCUUAGAAACAAGAGAGAGAGAGUUAUUGGUCCUCUUAGCUUUCCAAAUAACUCCACAAAACAACUCACUAUCACUCCCUUAAGUGUUUCUGUGGAACAAAAACAAGUUUAGAUGGUUGAAUUCUUGGAUUUGAGCAAGAGAGAAUCAAGAAGUUGAAGAGGUUUUCUUUCUUCCUUUGCUAGAGAGAAAUUCGGCCAAGCUUGAAGAAAAAUGGAAGAUAUUUGGUCAAUUUUUGGUUUUAUUUAGUAAUUGGUAAAAGGUUGAAUAGUAAGUCAAAACAAGAUUUAAUCAUAUGGUGACACAUGUCCCUCUCAUUAAUUCAUGCCUAACUUGUUUUUGUCUUUCUCACACCUAUGCACUUGGUACCUCUAAAUAUCUCAUAACACCCGGUAAAUUAAAUCCAGUAUCCAAAACUUAACCUAACUGGCCGAAUUUUUCCGAACUUUUCGCGUUAGCGGGUCCCACGUCCGUUAUACGUUCUAAAUUUUUCAAAAACUAUCCGAUACUAGAAAAAUCACCUAAAAACUCUAUUUACUCAUAAAAAUUAUUUUCACAAUUUUUCAAAUCAAUAAAAUGUAGAAAAACGUGCAAUUAAAAGAAAAAUAAAACUUAGUACUUUAAAAACAAAAAUUACGGGCUCUCACAAAAAGUUAAUUUGAGAUUUGAGAAGUUAAAACUCGACUCAUGUGAGGAAUGGCAAAAUUUAUUAUUUUAAAUUCCAUUUCGAGUUUAUUUAAAUAUUUAAUUGCCCAUUUACUCCGAAUAUUAUUUUCUAACCUAUUUAGACCUAAAUACAUGGAAUUAUAGCUUCAAUAUAUUUUUAAAGUGACUUGUUUCAAAAAUUAAUUUUGGAAGCUCGUUUAGUGAAAAUAGUGAAAACGUGUUUGGAAAUUUUAACCAAUUGAGAGUACAAUAAGUUUGAAAAAUUGGAGACUUACACAAGGGUCCUAAAAUAGGUAAUUUUAUGUUUAAGUACUCAAGUGAUAGUUAUUGGUACUAUCGUUAUAAGAAAUUCUUGGAGGUUUCACUUUAUCGCGCUUAAUUUGGAAAUACGGGUUUUACACGCGCGAUUUAAUUGAGGUACUUUAGACCCUUAUUUUGGGACAAUUAAGAGUGAAUAAUAUUAAUAUGAAUACAAGUGCAUUAGAGGUUUAGUGCACAAGUGAAACAAAUCCAAGAGAAAUCGAACACAAAAUGCGCGCGUAUGCGCGCUAGUGAGAGUUGACUUUUGUGCACAAGGCCACUAACUACCAAGCUUCUCUAGGAAGCCUCUUUUGAUCAGCCUUUUCUCCUUUUUCUUCACUCCAUGGUCGGCUGCAACUCUUAGUAAGGAGAAGAACAAAGCUUCAUUUCAUUUCACUUCCAAUCUUUCAUCCAUUUCACCUCAAAUUUUGCACACAAGCUCACAACAACUUGGAGCAUCACCUAAGCUAGGAAAAGAGCUUGCUUUUCACGGUUUUCUUGGCCAAGGAGAGGACCGAAAAUUUCUGUUUUGCACACCAAGUGAAGUAGGUAACGAUCAAACCUUGAAAACUUGGUUUAUGGAAGUUCUAAUGCUCAUAUAUACUUAUGCAUGUUAGUGGGUAGCAUUAUUUUGAGGAAAAUUUGGUUGUGUGGGCUCUAUGAACUCCCACCUUGGAUAUAUGGACUGAUUUGUGAUGUUUUGAUGGUAAUAAUGUUUAUUUAGUGCUUAAACUAGUGGAUUAAUGUUGGGUUGUUGAUAGAAACUCAAGGAUGGUGCAAUGACCAAAAGUGAUCAUUUUGCCCCUGCUUUGCUCGAGCACUUUGGUGCUAAAUUUUGAGGUUCUAAUGUCUUGCUUAUAUUUUUUACAUGUUAUAUUGAGUGUGUAAAAAGUUUCAUUGAAAAAUAACUUGAUUUGGUCACCCAAAUGUUGAGUUUACAAAAGCUUAGAAAUCUGGAAACUAUUCUCGUAUUCACCCAGGUAGUGUUUUUGUUUCGGCUAUAACUCAUCGCUCCGAUGUCGGAAUCGAGUGCUGUUUGCUGCACUGGAAACUAGACAUUCCCAGAUUUCUGUUGGUAUAAAAUGCAUGUCCUGGUUCCACUUGAGCAAGCCAAACCAUUCAUUUGAAAAUUGCUAUCCUGUUUCAUUGUUUCCUGGAAGGCAGCACAUGAGCUGUAACUUGAUGCUCAUGAACGAGCUAGUUAUGGGCAGAUUUUGAAAAUGGUUUCUUCUGAGAAAUUGUAGAUUAAUGAAAUUUUUUUCCAACGCCACCAACCACUCUCAAUUCCAAGUUGAAUUGAGUGAUUUGUGGCCAAAGUUUAAAACUGACUCAGUGAACUAAAACCCUCUUUUGGCUAGUAAAUGCUUAGAUCAUUGUUGGGACAUGUUGUUUUGAAAUUCUUGGUGUUAAUCACCUACGAAACAUACCUUGGAUGUUUAUUAGACAUUUUCUAUACCAAUGAACCAUGUUUGAGAAAAUUUCCUUGGCCACAUGCUUGAAAACGGAAAAACGGAAGUCCAAGGCAGAUUUGCCUUGGAACUUCUUGGGAUUUUAGUGGUUUCGUUAACCAAUUUCUCGUACAUAUUUUUCUAUGAAAUUUGGCAGAGGAAUAGCUCUUAUAUGGUAGUAUAUUAAUAUCAAAUUUGGUGCCAUGCCGAGUCCGUUUUGAUACCUAACCAAAGUCCCAAAGUUUGAAGUUUAAAUCUGGAAUUUUGCUUAACAAUUUUGAUUUUUCACCAAUUUUGAGCUAUCAUAUUUUGGUGCUCAACACUCCGAUUCUUGUUCCACUUGUUUGAUUUUAAACUUUUAUUGUAACUCUAAUUGAUUUUCAAAUUUGAGAGACUAGUUCCAAUUGUGUGAAUUUUGCUAAAUUUCCAAACUUUGCCGAAAAUCAACCCAAAUCUGUCUUGACUUUCUAAAACAACAACUUUGGGCUAAAUUUCGAAUAUCUUUCAAUUGGAAUCAUGAAAAAGUGUCUUCUAAGAACUUUUAGUACUUUCUAAGAGGUUUCUAACGGUACCAAUUUUUCCAAUUUUAGACUUGUAGAGAAUGAGAUACGAUUUUUCAAAGUAUAGGUGACAAAUCUGAAAUUUUCGAACUUAAAGGAAAUUGAGGGUUACGAACCCUCUAUUUUCCUUCGAUAUUAUUAGACCGUUUUACACUUGAUUUAAAAGAUGAAAAUCAGAUUUCUCUUGUGUUUUAAAACCCCAUUUUUGAGUCUCGAUUUACGAGUAAUUAAGGCUCAUUUUCGUGAAAUUUUCUUAGAUUGUACAAGUGUGCAAUCUUCCUCAAUAAUUAGGGGUUUUAAGCGAUAGUGUGUAAUAGACAAUUACUAUUUGUUCAGGUGCUCAAUGAGACCUUCAAGAGGAUCUCGAGGGGAACACCUAAAGGCUCGUUUACGCACUUACUCCCUUGUUUUGAUUGGUGAGUGUCAAGUGCAUGAACUUGUUGUUAAGUGGUUAUCUGUUUCUUAUCCGUUAUGUGAAUUUGAAAUUUUGAGACGAGGGUGUACUUUAUCGCACUCGUUCUCUUUCAUAUGAAAUUAUAUUCAUAUUUUGCUAUGUGAAUGCAUAUCCGACUUGUACAUGGUAAUGUGGAUGUGAUUCGUAAUUGUGAUUCGUAUUUGUAAUUCCUAUUUGGAAUGUCGAUUUGAGCGUUGCUCAUCGACUUAUAUUCGUAUUCGUAUUCGGGGGACGCCCAAACUCGUUGGCUAACUUUGCGAAUCGAGCCAGCAUAGGCUUGGUCGAUAAGUUUAGCAAACCAUGAGAUAUUCGUAGAGCAUGAUCUAUUGGAGAGAUCUUGCUUGGCAUCACUCGUGCAGUAUUGCCAUGAUAUACUCGAGUAUUAUCAAAAAAUUUGAUGAGCGGGCCCGGUAAGGGGGUGUAAUGGUGAUGGAAUUCAAAGAAAAGUGGUGUAUCUAUGGAUUUGAUACUUAUGUGGUUGACGGAGUGUCAUCAUGAUUUGUGAUCAAGAUUUUGACUCGACUACGUGGAAUUUAGCUCUUGAGAGCUACAGUAUCCUUGAACUGUUUCUGUUUAUUUUUCCUAUUCGAAAUGUGAAUUAUUCGAAUUUGAUAGCUUUACUUACAAUGUAAUUGUUGUUACUACUUGGAUUAUGUGUUUGCAUGUGUGUUUCUUGGCCUCACUGAGUAUUGGCUCAUCCCAUUAGUUUGUUUUCCUUAACAGGAACCCGAUUGGAAGGAGUUAAGCAAAUGCCGACUUGAGGCACGUUUGUAUAAGUGUUUUAAUUGUAAUCGACUAGACACUUUUGGACGUUGUGUAUUUUGGGGAAAGUGAUUGUAAAUUUGAAAUUGUGAUAUAAGACUGGAUAUUUGUGUAUGGAAAUGACUUCGUACCUUUAUUCAGACUUUCAUUGUUAGUAUUAGAUUAGGUUUGAAUUAGAUUUGUCUCGAAUCCUGGCGAGAGUUGGGCAGGCGUCCCGUGGAUACCCUUGGGUUCGCCCUUGGGAGAAGUGGGGGCAUCACAAAGAGGGGUUGAGCAAGAUAAAGUACAUGCUCACCCAAGUCAAAUAUCUAUCAAUUCAAUAACAAGCAAUUUCACAAGGCACAUGCAUGUCAAGCAAGUAUGAAGUGCAACAUGCACUUAGAACGCUCACCAUGUAAAGCAAAGCUCAAACGUCCGCCUCGGGUGCAAAUCUUGUGUUCACUUCCAAGUCCUAGAACCAAGUAAUUAGAGUACAAUGAGAUUCACUAAUCCAAACCACCAUUUAAUCAAAACUACUCCCAAGUCCCAACUGAGAAGUCCCAAGAUGUUUCUCAAGAUUUUCAUAGUUUUACGUCCCUAAAAGUCUUUCAAAACAUAUGUUUUCAAGCUCAAUUCAAAGGAAAAAUCCAUGUACAUGUUAGGUCAAUGGUUCAGGUAUAAUAUGGAGUGAAAAAUGUUAAAUUGAACCAAGAAAAGUGAAGGAAAUGAUGCAAAGAAGAAGAAUCAAAGUGACAGCUUUGACACCUUUCGACAUUUUGAUCAUAACUGGAGGUACACUUAUUGGAUUGAAAUGAAUUUUAUGGUGUUUUGAAGCUAAGACAUAGAUCUACAUUUCUUAUGAGAACAUCAAAUUUCAGUUCAUGCAUUUUCGUGGUAAAAAAUAGAAAUCACAGAGGCACAAGAAAGCUGUCGUGUCAUAUCAGGGCAUUUGAGCAAUCUCGGAAAAACGGCUAUAACUCAGUGUAGAAAAAUCAAAAUCGAAUGCCGUUGGUUGUGUUUCAAACUAGACUCAAAGGGCUUUCCAGCGGUAUAAAAGUUAGACUCUAAUUCUGUAAGAAUCGAAGACAACCUAAGAGGAGGGGUGAAUUAGAUAGUUUUAAAAGCUAGCCAAAUAUAAAUCACUUUUUCUGAACUAGCCCUCUUUUUCUAAAGUACCAGACCAAGGAACAAUUUAUGAUAAGGCGGAAGUAAUUUAGAGCAGAAGAAAUAAACAGUUAAUGUUGCAAAACAGUGAAUAAGAAGAUGGAAUAGCAAACCAAAUCUCAAACUCGACUAGAGUUUGAAUAUCCCUUUAUAUUGUAAGCUUCUUCAAGUUGAUUCAACAAACAACCAAUCUCUUGUGUACACGGGAAGGAUCACUUCCUCCUUGCCUCAAGAUACACUUGAUCAAGCAAGGAAGUUUUACAAUCACUCGAAUAACCCUCACAAAGCUACACUAUUGAAGAAAUUGAAUCACACUUGAAAAGCUAAAUGAAGAUCACACAACUAAGAGUACAAAUCUUCUUUUUUGAGUAUUCUUAUGCUUGAAUCACUCAAGAUCUGAUGUAGACUUAAUGUGUAUCAGUUGCUUGUUGGUGGUUGACUUUUAUCCUAUUUAUAAUAGACCAAAAACGUCUUCAAUUAAAGCCACCAACGGACACAAGGCAGUUGAAGAGUCAACUAGCCGUUAGUAGUGUCGGACGUCCGGUAGGCUGGUUUUGUGCGUCCGAACGCAGGUAGUGAGUUCAAGAAAUUUUCUUGAAAUCUUUAGGACGUCCGGCAGCAUCAGAAUAUGCGUCCAACCAUAUGAUGUAAAACUUGGAAUCCUUCAUUGAUUCUUUCGGAUGUCCGGUGCUUCUAAUGUUUGUCGUCCGAAGUGUUGCAACGAUUUUCGGACGUCCGGUGCUCAGGUAUUGUGAGUCCGAUCGAGGUUAGAGAUCUUAGAAGUGCUGACUUAUCAGUUUUGAACGUCCGAGGAUAGGUUCUUUACGCGUCCGAAGAUACUCAACGGUUAUCGGACGGCCGAUAGGAUGUAUUUGUGCGUCCGACAGAUGUUUUAGCAGAUGCUUGGCCUUUGAACCUGUCUUGCUCCAUUUUCUGACCAAAAACAAACUUGGAAAAUAUUAGUUUAAUCCACUUGUUUUGUAAUCAUCAAAAGGUACGAUCAAAGAUAAACAAUCUCCCCCUUUUUUAUGAUGACAAAACAAUGGAUGAAGUGAGGGAAUUUUGAUAUAGUUUCCCUUUACAACUUUCCCUCAGAAUGAUAUCCACAUCCCUUCAGUGACUCCCCCUCAGAAAAUUUUCCAUACCCCACAGAAAAAUUUGCUUGACUCCCCCUCACAUAUAGAUCAGAUUUAUAUCCUGAUUCCAUCCAUGUUUCUCCCCCUUUUUGUCAUCAUAACAGCAAUAUCCAUAUCAGAACCAAAAUUAAUCAGAACUGAGAUCAGAGCAGCAACAAAUGACAGCAAUUUACAAGAACUGACAUAAACAGACAAGAGAGAUAGCUAACAACGGAUUUAAGACAUCCAUUUAAGAUAAGAGAGACAACAUCCAUUUAAGACAUGAGAGACACAACCAUAAUAUAGAAAUAUCUUCCAACAACGGAUAGCUAAAUAUUUUUACAGACUAGUAGAGGAGUAAACUUCUUAAAAUUAACAAACACACCAGAUAUCUUUUAAGAGCAAAAUAUGCAAAAGAGAAUUAUUGAGAACUACUCAUGAAGUGCAGUGGCCUAGUAGUGCCUAUAUGGUGAUCUUGGAUGAUCCAGGCCUUCUCCUAGUCAGAUGAAAUUGCUCAGGAUCCACAUGAUCUUCCUCUUCAGUAUCUAGAGCAUCAAUUUCAUUCGCCUCUUCAGAGAUGGGAGCUUUUCCUUUAUUCUUGGGCUGAGAACUGGAGGCAUGAGCUUCUGGAGUAUCUUCAGUACCAGGAGUAUGCUCAGUAGACUCAGUUCUGGGCUCUUUUUGAUAAGCAUGUUCAUUGUUCACAGGAGUAGAAGGCACAAGAAGAUUUCAUUUUUCAAUGAAGGAAGCCUGCUGGUCAGGUGUCAUGGUCGACAUUAGACCAUCUUCAAUGAGCAUAACAUGUUGCUUGAGGUCUUCAAGCAAAGUGAUAACCUCGGAGUUGUAUACAAAGGACUUGUUGGCUGAUUUCCUAGGGUGAAUGGUGAAAGGAGAAAUAUAUAUGGAUUGAUCCCGAGAGGUCCUAGAAGUGACUGGAGUUUCGUGAAGGUUUUUUCUUCUGAACUCUGACAGAGGUUCCUUGUGACACCAGUGACCCUCAAAAAAUUUCAAAUUUUUUCGUUCAAAAUAGGCCUUUGAGAAAACAGUUGAGGCACUAUCUCUAGGAGACUUUCCAGUGAAGGGAAUUUCAAGGUGAGCAAAGAUAGGAAUCAGAAAUUUUUCAUAGGAAAGCUUCCUACGACUGUCGGUACUAAUCUUAAGCAGGAAUUUGCACAUCACAAAACUAAAAUCGAUUCUAAUCUUUUCCACAAAACAGUAAAACAGAUUCAAUUCCAUUUUGUUUGCAUCGGUUCUGUAACCAUCAGUGGGUACCAACAGAUUGGAAACAAUGGUGAAGAUAAUCAAGUUCUGAGGACUGAGAUCCUCUAAUCUCGCCUCAACAGGAGUGUUGAAGUGAGUGCGAAAGUAAGUCAUUAACUUGGAGAUGUGAAAAUGAUGGUAAGCAGAGGGGAAUUCUUCAUAUGAAAAGAAAUUUGUAAUUUUUCCUUUGAAACCAUCUUCAAUCUUAGUUUUCAAAACAGAGUUAAUGACAUCAGGAGUUAAAGUGAUAUCAACAGAAUUGACUCUAGAGAUAAGCUCGGUGUGUGAGUUUCCUUUCUUAAGAUUUACAAAAAACUGGUAAAGCAUGUCAGGGUAGAAGGUGUGUGGGAUAGUCAGGAGGUGAGUCCAUUUUUGGAACUCAAAAAGCUUAAGCAUAGGUUCUAAAUCAAUCUUACGAAAUUUAUAUGGGAUGACAGACCUCUGAAUGAUGAAUCCUUUUUGAGAGAUUAACUCAAAUCUAUCUCUAGCCUCGUCAUCAAUGAACUUUGGCAGGGGUGUAGGUUCUUUGAUAGGCAGAGCCUCUGGUUCCUUUGAAGUGCGUUUCCUUUUUACACUUUGUUUGGCAGAUGACCCAGUAGUCUGAGCACCAGACCUUGUCCUAGGUGACUUUCUAGUAGGGGGUUCAAAUGUUUGCUGUUCCUCAGCAAUUUGUUCCUCAGUUUGAUGUUCUUCCACUAGUACAGGAGAUGGAUCAGCAGUUGGAGCAUCCUGUAUCUUCUUUACAGGUUGCUUUGCCUUUCCACCACGAGUCCCUGUCCUCUUUUUGGAUACCCUGGUGGAAGGUUCUACGAUCUCAACAUCUUCAUUCUUGAGUCUAAAUGUGCGUCCGGCACUUGCUGAACCGCCUCUAACUCUCACCAUGAUGUAAUGCAGUUGAUUUUUGAGAUGCAGUAUAGUGCAGAUGCGUGUCAAAUUGAUUACUAGUGCGUUAAGAUCUGCAGAGGAUGUUUGAGAUGAUUACAGGUAGUGGAUUUGGAAAAGUUAGGGUUUCUAGUAUGAAUUGGGAAUUAUGAGGCAGUUGGGAGUUAUAGGGUGUUAUGAGUAAAGUAAAACGGUCAAUGGAGGUGUAAUGAAGUUGGUUGGAUCGAUUUCUUGGAACUUGAAUGUGGGAGAGACUAAUUUGAAUUUUGAAUUUGAAGGAGAACCGAAGGGUUGUGUCCGAGUCUAAGAAGGUAACUGAACUGAAUGAAGUGGAUGGCUUCUUUAUAAGACACAAUAAAUUGAGUGUCGGACGGCCGAACGAAGUGAAGCGUCCGACACAAUCGUCCGAACAAAAAUUUCCUGGGGAACUGAUGAAGAACACUGUCAGACGUCCGUUCUAACACAUCGGACGUCCGAUGGAAGUUUUUAGAGAACUUUUUCACAGAUGCCCAGUUUUGUUCUAAGAUACACAAACUGGUCCAGUGGAAGGGAUUUUGUGAAAAUAUCAGCAAUUUGAUUUUUCAAACACACAUACUGAAUGCAAAUUUCUCUCUUUUGAACAAGAUCACGAAUGAAGUGAUGCUUUAUGUCUAUGUGCUUUGUUCUAGAGUGCUGAAUGUGAUUUUUUGUCAAAUUUAUGGCACUAGUGUUAUCACAAUACAUAGGCACACAUUUAUAUGUUAGUCCGAAAUCAUUCAAUGUAUUUUUCAUCCAUAACAAUUGAGCACAACAAGCACUAGCAGCAAUAUAUUCUGCUUCAGUUGUAGAAAGAGAAAUAGCAUUUUGUUUCUUUCUGAACCAAGAUACUAAGCAGUUUCCAAGAAAGCUACAUAUUCCUGAUGUACUUUUUCUAUCAACUCUACAACCACCGAAAUCAACAUCAGAGAAUCCACUCAAAUGGAGUUCAUUACACUUAGGAUACCAAAGACCAAAAUUCAAGGUUCCUUUUAGAUAUCUAAGAAUUCUUUUUACUGCAUUCAAAUGUGAUUCCUUUGGACAGGACUGAAAACGAGCACACAGGCAUACAACAAACAUGAUAUCUGGUCUACUAACAGUUAAGUAAAGCAGACUACCAAUCAUACCUCUAUAUUUCUUUUCAUCAACUUUUGUACCUUCUUCGUCUUUGUCGAGCUUGGUAGAUGUGCACAUAGGUGUUCCAACCUGCUUUGAGUUCGCCAUUCCAAAUCUUUUGAGCAGCUCUUUGGUGUAUUUUGUUUGAUUCAUAAACGUUCCUUCUCUGGUUUGAACCACUUGGAGUCCAAGGAAGAAAUUUAAUUCUCCCAUCAUGCUCAUUUCAAACUCUUUUUGCAUAAUUUUGGAGAAUUCCUUGCACAAAUUCUCAUUAGUAGCACCAAAAAUAAUAUCAUCCACAUAUAUUUGAACAAUUAGUAGAUCACGUGAACUUUGUUUAGUAAAAAUAGUAGUAUCUACUAUGCCUCUUUUGAACCCAUUUUCAAUCAAAAAAUCACUCAAGCGUUCAUACCAUUCUCUUGGAUCUUGUUUUAAUCCAUAUAAAGCUUUUGAGAGUUUAAAAACAUGAUUUGGAUAAUUCUCAUUUUCAAAACCAGGGGGCUGAUCAACAUAAACUUCUUGAUCUAUAAAAUCAUUUAGGAAAGCACUUUUAACAUCCAUUUGAAAUAAUUUAAAAAUUUUGAAACAUGCAAAAGUUAAAAACAUUCUAAUAGAUUCUAGCCUAGCUACAGGUGCAAAUGAUUCAUCAAAAUCUAUUCCUUCUUCUUGAGUGUAACCCUUAACUACCAAUCUGGCCUUGUUUCUAACUAUCUCACCUUUGUCAUUCAUUUUGUUUCUAAAAACCCAUUUAGUGCCAAUAAUAGGAUGAUCUUAUGGUCUAGCAACUAAUGUCCAAACCUUAUUUUUUUCAAAUUGAUUUACCUCCUCUUCCAUGGCCAAAAUUCAGCUAUCAUCAUUCAAUGCAUCAACAAUAUUUUUGGGCUCAAAAUGUGAGAUCAAUGCAAAGUUAUCUAUUAAUUGUCUAGAGGAGGAACGUGUUCUGACCUUUUCAGAUGGAUCCCCAAUGAUAAGUUCCUUAUGAUGAUUUUGGACGAAUUUUCAGACUCUAGGUAGAUCAUUAGGAAUCGCAGUGUCACUGUCAUUGUCUUCUCUAGCAGGACUGUCUUGAUUUUCAUCUUCCUUUGAAUCAUUUUCUGAUGGAGCUGUGCCUUGAUUGCUGAUUGUUAGCUUUUUUAAUUCUUCUCGAACACCUGCAUCAUCAUCUUCACCACAACUCAUGGAAGUGUCACCAUUAGAUUCAUCAAAGGUGAUAUGUAUAGCUUCUUCUAUAACCAGAGUUCUACGAUCAUAAACUCUAAAACCUCUCUUAUUUUCACAAUAUCCCAAGAAGAUCCCCUCGUCAGAUUUUUUAUCAAACUUACCAAGAUGCUUCUUGAUGUUCAGAAUGAAGCAUUUACAACCAAAUACUUUAAAAUAACCAACUACAGGUUUUUUAUCAAACAACAGCUCAUAUGAAAUUUUGUUCAAAAUUGGUCUUAAUAGAACUCUAUUCAUGGUAUAGCAUGCAGUGUUUAUAGUUUCAGCCCAAAAGUACUUUGGUAAAUUGCACUCACUAAGUAUGGUUCUAGCAGCUUCUUGAAGAGUUCUAUUUUUCCUCUCAACCACUCCAUUUUGCUGAGGUACUCUAGCAAUAGAAAACUCAUGUGUAAUACCAUUGUUGUCACAAAAUUCUGAAAAUCCACAAAAAUUAAAUUCUAUGCCAUUGUCACUUCUUAUUUUUAUGAUUUUCAAACCAAUCAGAUUUUGAACCUUGGCAAACAGGGAAACAAAGUUUCUGAAAGCAUCAUCUUUAUGUGCAAGAAACAUCACCCAAGUGUAUCUAGAAUAGUCAUCAACAACAACGAAACAGAAUCUCUUGCCACCAAGGCUUGUGGUUUGAGUUGGACCAAAAAGAUCAAGGUGUAGGAGUUCUAAAGGCUUUGAGGUAGAAACACAUUUUUUUGGUUUAAAAGAUACUUUGACUUGUUUUCCAAAUUGGCAAGCAUCACAGAUGUGAUCUUUACAAAAAUUGAGUUUUGGGAGCCCUUUAACCAGGUCCUUUUUGGAGAUUUCUUUUAGCAAAUCCAUAUUGAAGUGACAAAACCUUCUGUGCCACAAGCAGGGAUCCUCAUUUGCUAAUUUGAGACAACUAAGGCUGGAAGCAUCAACUUUUUCAAGAAUCACCACAUAAAUGUCAUUAACUCUUUUUCCUUUGAAAACAAUGUUAAAUUUUGAGUCAAGAACAGGGCAUUCAUGUUUCUUAAAUAACACGAGCAGGUUCCUAUCACAUAAUUGACUAACACUCAGCAAAUUGUAACUCAGGUUGUCGACUAAAAGAACAUUAUGAACAAAAGUCUGACCAUUCUUACCAACAUCACCAAUUCCAACAGUUUUGGCUUUAUUGUCGUCUCCAAAAGUAACAUUUCCACUUGUUUUUGGCGUGAGCUUGAUGAACUGUGAUGCAUCAUCAGUCAUAUGCCUUGAGCAUUCACUAUCUAUGAACCAUUUUGAUUCUUUAACAAUGUUCACCAGGUUCACCUACACAGUAGUCCACAAUAUAAUGUUUGGUACCCAUUACUUUUUGGGUCCUUCAUGGUUAGCAUUAUGUCUAACAACCCACAUGCAUCUCAUUCCAUUUCUCAUGUUUUUCUUAACAUAAUAAUUGCUAUUCAUGUGACCAAAUUGACAACAAAAGUUGCAUUCAGUCAUUGGAUCAAUCAAAUGAACAGGUUUAAUGAAUCUGACUUGCCUUCUCUUAUGGACAGUAAAUUCAUUUUUACUAUAAUUCAAUCUUUUCUGAUGAGUGUUAAGGUGAGGUUCAGUGUCAUUCUUUUGAAGGCGGUUCUGUUUCAUAUGUUGUAAUAAUUGACAUAAAUCAUCCAUCCUUUUUUUUAGGCUGCAUUGUUCACUUCUGAGCAUGUCACAGAGAUUUAUCUUUUUGUUAAGUUCAGCAAGCACAUCAGUUUCAAUCCUUUUCAGGUUCUCAUUUUUAUACUUAAGACACUUGUUUUGUCGAAAAAGAUUUGCAUUAUCUUGUAUUAGAAAGCUAAUUUUCUGUUUUAGUUCCUUAUUUCUAACAUAGGAUUCUUUUAAGCUGUUAUGUAUUUUUUCUAGGAAAGAAUUAAUAUCAACAUCAGACUCACUAUCACUAUCAGUUUGAGAGUUACAUUGGAUUACCUCUUCAUCUCCAAUGGCCAUGAAAGCCACUUGAGCGGAUUCCUCUUCUUCCUCUACUUCUCCUUCUGAAUUGCAGUCAUUCCAGGUGAUCUGAAAAUUGUUGAAUUUUGGUUUUCGUUCACUCUUGUUCUCCUUCUUUUUUUUCAUUGGACAUUCAUUUGCAUAAUGACCAGGUUGGCCGCAUUCAAAGCACUUAUCAGUUUACUUUUUGUUGAAUUCCAGUUUUCCUUUAUUUCUGAAGUUGUUGGGCUGAUUUGGAAAGGAAUUGCUAUGUCCUCCUUUUUUGAAUUUUCUCUUAUUGAGUAUUCUUUUGAAGUCUCGUGUGAUGAGUGCAAUGUCACUAUCAUCACCUUCCAUGUCAUCUCCAUCCAGAGAGAUUGUAUCAUCUUCUUCUUGUGAAGUCUUCAGAGCAAUGCUCUUUCUAACUCUUGUGUCUUCUUCUUCCUGCACCUUAGACUUGAAUUUUAGCUCAUAAGAGGUUAGUGAAUUUAUAAGGGAUUCAAUAGAUAAAGUGUUCAGAUCUUUGGCUUUCUCAAUGGCAGUCACUUUGCUCUCCCAAUUCUUUGAUAGAGCAUUCAGAAUUUUUUUGUUUUUCUCAUAUAGAGAUUAGUUUUUCUCAAGAACUUCUAGAUCCUUAAUAAGAUCAUUGAAUCUGCAAUACAUCUUGUCGAUGUUUUCGUGAGGUUCCAUCUUAAAGGAUUCAUACUUCGUGACCAGAAUGGACUUUUUUUGUUCUCUCACAUUUUCACUUCCUUCGUGUAUUUCUCGAAAUUUAUCCCAGAUUUCUUUUGCAGAUUUGCAGCCCUUGACUCUAACAGAUUCAUUUGAGUCUAAAGCACUGUACAGUACAUUCAUCGCCUUGGCAUUCAGAAUGAGAUGAGCUCUAUCUUUAACAGUUAGUUCCCUUCUUGUUUUUGGUCUCGGCCUGUUUGUAUUUGCAUCAAUAGUGGCGGCAUCAAACGGACCUUCAUUAACAAUAAACCAUAGCUCAAUAUCAAUAGAUUGUAAGAAAAUAAUCAUCCUUUCCUUCCAACUCACAUAGUUUGAACCAUUGAACAUAGGAGGUCUAGUUACUGAUUGUCCCUCAAAGAACAUGGCAUUGUUGGUUGUCAUAUUUUCUCCUAAGCCGAUUGAGCUUAAUCUCAAGGAGACCAAGCUCUGAUACCAAUUGUAAGGAUCGAAAAUAACCUAAGAGGGAGGUGAAUUAGGUAGUUUUAAAAGUUAGCCAAAAUAUAAACCACUUUUUCUGAACUAGCCCUCUUUUUCUAAAGUACCAGACCAAGGAACAAUUUAUGAUAAGGCGGAAGUAAUUUAGAGCAGAAGAAAUAAACAGUUAAUGUUGCAAAACAGUGAAUAAGAAGAUGGAAUAGCAAACCAAAUCUCAAACUCGACUAGAGUUUGAAUAUCCCUUUAUAUUGUAAGCUUCUUCAAGUUGAUUCAACAAACAACCAAUCUCUUGUGUACACGGGAAGGAUCACUUCCUCCUUGCCUCAAGAUACACUUGAUCAAGCAAGGAAGUUUUACAAUCACUCGAAUAACCCUCACAAAACUACACUAUUGAAGAAAUUGAAUCACAUUUGAAAAGCUAAAUGAAGAUCACACAACUAAGAGUACAAAUCUUCUUUUUGGAGUAUUCUUAUGCUUGAAUCACUCAAGAUCUGAUGUAGACUUAAUGUGUAUCAGUUGCUUUUAGUGGUUGACUUUUAUCCUAUUUAUAAUAGACCAAAAACGUCUUCAAUUAAAGCCACCAACGGACACAAGGCAGUUGAAGAGUCAACUAGCCGUUAGUAGUGUCGGACGUCCGGUAGGCUGGUUUUGUGCGUCCGAACGCAGGUAGUGAGUUCAAGAAAUUUUCUUGAAAUCUUUAGGACGUCCGGCAGCAUCAGAAUAUGCGUCCGACCAUAUGAUGUAAAACUUGGAAUCCUUCAUUGAUUCUUUCGGAUGUCCGGUGCUUCUAAUGUUUGUCGUCCGAAGUGUUGCAACGAUUUUCGGACGUCCGGUGCUCAGGUAUUGUGCGUCCGAUCGAGGUUAGAGAUCUUAGAAGUGCUGACUUAUCAGCUUCGGAUGUCCGAGGAUAGGUUCUUUGCGCGUCCGAAGAUACUCAACGGUUUUCGGACGGCCGAUAGGAUGUAUUUGUGCGUCCGAUAGAUGUUUUAGCAUAUGCUUGGCCUUUGAACCUGUCUUGCUCCAUUUUCUGACCAAAAACAAACUUGAAAAACAUUAGUUUAAUCCACUUGUUUUGUAAUCAUCAAAAGGUACGAUCAAAGAUAAACAAAUUCAUUUUCAAUUAAUACCAAAAAAUCUGUCAAGUUGACUGAAAAUGCUCUCUGAGUUUCAGUCCAUUUUGCAAACUUUCCAAUAAGAAAACAAGGAAGAAGUUAAUAGUUUUGGUUCAAAUUCAACAUACAAGUAAAGAGUGAUAUGUUAACAAGUUUCUUGAACAAGAACUUGCCCAAAAUUAUUAAGAAAAAGUGGAAAUCAAGGCUGGAAUAUCUUCCCCUGUUUUGGACAGCAAAGGCAGAAUUUUCCCACAAGAAUUUUCCAAACAUUUCUCCAUCAAAUCUUCCCAAUUUUCCCAUAACAAAUCCAUGAACAUAUCAAACAAUAUAUAGCCAAGAUUGUUAGCAAGAAAAAUCAUGAAAAUUUGCACAUAAACAACCCUUAACAAAAGAUCAAACACUUGGUGGACAUAGAGAUUUCUUCCAUUUUCACCAAAAUAUCACUAGAAAUGUAACUCAAAUCCUCAAGGGUUUCAUCAAUCAUUAACCCUUGGAUAUCAAGAAACAACAAUCUACAAAUUCUUGGCCAAAAUUUUCAAGAUUCAAACAUACAAGAGACUAUCAAGCUUCUAGUACCAAAUCUACCAUAAAAAUUUCAAAUCCACCAUGGAUCUUCCAAGAUUUAACCUAAAUCCACUUGAAAUGUAAAGAUUUGAAUAGCUCAUCCACUUACCUCUCUCAAAGCUUCAACCCUAGCAAGAUUGGUCCAAGAAGAAACCAAGAAUCUUCUCCUAGAAGCUCUAACCUUCAAGCUUACUCAAGAAUGUAAAUGGGUGGUGAAGAUCUUGGCUUGGAAGUGAAAAUUUUGACUGAAAAUCAAGCUUUUCUUUCCGCUCUUUUGCUCUCUAACUGCCGGCCCUCUUUCUCUCUAUUUCUCUCUCUUGUGGUUCAAAAUGGAAGAAAGAAAUGAAAGGCAAGAAAGCCUUUUUUUUGUUUAGACAAGAUUGAAGAGUUGACUUCUUGAAUACUAGUGCCACUAAAUAAAAUCUUGUGGUGUUUUGCUCCAAUUAUCUUCUCACCAAAUAAUCUUAAUAAUCUUCUUCCUCAAUCCCUUUUUCACUAAAUGCCCUCAAAUAACUCGCUAAAAAUCGCGUUCGCGCCACUCGCGCACUUCACAUGCAAUAGUUCUAAAAUUUAUGCAGGUGCAAAAAUCAUUCAAAUCAUUAAUUAAUCAAAUAAAAGAGGUGCAACUAGGUUAAAAUGAAGUAAAAUAGCAAGAAUUUUGGGUCCUCACAAUCUAAGACCUAGAGAUAACAUAAAACGUGCAAAAUAGCAUAUAAAGUUCCAAACCAUAACAUUGAUUCCAACCCCAUAUUAUUUCUUAAAACCCAAGCAAAGGUCAAAGAAACUACACGGUUGGGUUACUAAGAUGGUAGGAGCAAAACUUGUCAUUGUUUGGAUCCACAACAUUCAUAUGAGAGGAACCUAGAAACAUGAACUCAAACCCAAUGUUGAAAAGAAAAUCCUUGGUUUAUUGUUCUAGGAGUCAAUUUCCUAAUCUUGGCAUUUUCUUAGUUCAAACAUGAUUCAUCAGACCACUAAAAUAGUCCAUUACCAAGCCAACAUAAUCAUGAAACUGGCGUAAAAAGAAGCAACAUGGAUCAUCAAGCCAAGUCAAAUGACAAGGACGGCAAGAAUGGCAAGUCUAAUGGGCUUGAAUCUUCGUGCAAGUUGGAACCAAAAGAGAAGAGUGAGUAAGAGUUACCUCUGAUGCUUAUGGAAUCAGAUUGGACAUGGAAAAUCUUGGGAAACUCACAAAUUUCGAAGCAGAGCGAAACCCAAAUGAAUGAUAUGGGCACCAAGAGCUGCGAGGAUGGUGAUUUCAAGCUCUGAUUUGAAGGUCUUGAAGCUGUUUUCCUUGAAACCUCUCAACACAAAAAACACUCUACUAUGGUCCUAGAAAGUGUAGAAAAAGAAAUAUCACUCAAAAGACCUAAAACGAGAUAGAAAAAUGGUAAUGAACAUGGCUGGUCGACCAGCCUGUUCUUAGUUUUGCACAAAAAUUUUUUGAGGGUCAAUUCAUGCUUCGAUUUGAAGGGGUUUUAAUGAUUAUCAUCAAAAGGUUUCAACAAAAAAGUUUUUCCUAUAUGUCCCUAGAGAAAACAGAAAAAAGAAUCACCCAAAUGGAUCUAUAACGAAGCAGAAAAAUGAAUUUGAACCGGACUGGUUCACUAGCCUGUUCACCUUUUGUUGCAGAAAAAAAUUUCUUUUUCUUGCUUUUCUCUCUCCCUACCCAAAAUCUUGUGCAGCCAUUUUUCUAACUUGUUUCUUCCCUGUUCUCAACCCUAAAAGUUGCAUUGUUUCUUAUUUAUAUGAAAUAAAAAACCCUAAAACUAGCAAUGAAGGGUUGGGAUGAAAAAAUGGCGAUGUGGCUCCUUCCCUCCCUUUGAUCAAUUGUAGUUAAGUGUUAGAAGAUAAGAUUUGGAGGAUGAUGAGUUAUAUAUGUACUAACCAAGUUUUGGGAAAAAGAAAGAGAAAAGAAAGAAAAAAAAAGGAAAAAGAAAGGAAAAUAAAAUGAAGCCAUGAAGCUUCUUGUAACAGUCUUGCCUCAAAUUUUUUGAGAAGAAACGCGUGCGUGAAGGAUCAGGUUUUUUUUUUUUUUUUUUAUUAAAGAGAAGAAAGGAAUAGGGCCAAACAGGCCUUGCUUCUUCAGGCCUACUUUCCAAGCUUAAUUUUCUUUUUGCAUCGAUUUUUCUUUGGGUUUCAUUUGGGUUUUCGAGGAGUUUUUGGUAGGUUUUAUUGUGGGGUUUGUUUUUUUAUUAUUUAAGGAUUGGGUAUGGAUUUUUUUCCUUGGGUUUGAAACAAAAGAAAAAUCUCUAUUAUUUUCUCUAAUUUUGAACAUCCAUUUUCUUUUCUUUUCCUUUUCUUUCUUUUCUUGAACAAACUUACAAAACAAAAUUAAAAUGAUUAAUUAAACAAUUUAUAGGUAAAAAUAAUAAAAUAGACUUGAAAUUGGGAAAAAUUUGGUGUCUAUACUACUAAUAUUAUUUCAUACUCGUAUCAACAUGUAUUUCAAAAGUUCGUAGGUUUGAAAAUAAUACGUGUGCCCGAAAAUUAGUUACGUGAUUGAGAUCAAGUAAUUUUACAACAUCCCAAGCGUUGUGGAUAGCAAAUUCAAAGAGAAUAUGCAUAUCAAAUACGCAAUCAUGACUGUGGUAAAAUUACUCUGUUUUAAUUACUUAGUGAAUGAAAUUUUCAAUUCAUAAUAGUUAUCAUUGUCUUCUUUCAUUCUUUCUAAGUUAAAUAUUUUUGAAUAUCUUCUUACAUUCAGAGCAUUAACAAAGACAAUAUGUUCUAUGAGUUGUGCAAAAAUUAUGGACAACCAUGUGAAACUCAUUUCGAAAAAGUAGCGUGUACACAUUGAAAUGACGUAAUUGACACUAUUGUCAGGUAAUUAAUUUAAGGGAAAAUCGUUCAAAACGUCCCUCACAUUUUUCAAAAUGACUUUUUUUGUUCCUCACUUUUAAAAGUAUAAUUUUACGUCCCUUACAAAUUCAUAUUGACCAAAUUUGGUCCCUAUUUAGGUUUCCGACUAGUUUUUGGCCAGAAUCCACAACGUGACUUGCAUGUGAUUAUUUUAUAAGGGUAAAAUUGUCAAAUUAAAUUUUUAUAUAAUCCGAUUCAUAGUCCCUCACAUUUCACAAAAUAGAUUUUUCGUCUCUAACAUUUUACAAAAUGAAUUGUAUCGUUUCUUACAUUUCAAAAAAUAAAUUUUUCCAUCUCUCGCAUUUUUCAAAAUAAAUUUUUUCAUCCCUCAUUGAUCAUGUGUAUGAAUAGUUUUUUUCUAUAAACCCACGUAUAUGUCUAUUUGAUUUUACUUAAACAGUACGAAUAGCAUGUAAUAUAUCUCUAUUUGAUUUCACCUAAAUAGGCUAAUCGUAAUUGUACACAUGCUAUUCAAUAGAUAUAUACAGGGGGCUUAAAACUAAUAAUUUUGUUUGAAACCAAUGUAUAUAUUUAUAUGAUUUCACCAUUUGAACCUAUUCAAUAUUUGUGACUGUUCUCUUUUGGUAAUAAUUUAUUUAUUGAAUUGUAUAAAAAGGUUAUCUAAUUAACGGGUCCUAACUCGAAUUCUAUAAUUGUGUUAACAAAUUUUAGUUUAAAUUUGAAAUUUCUACUCGCCACUUUUGAAACCAACAAUUGAAUUACUUGACUUGUGAUUGUCUUAAAAUUUGAAAGUGCCAAUUACUUAUUUCUUUUUGUCAUCUUUUCUUUUGUUUAUUUUUUCUGUCCAAAUUUAAUUCGAUAUAAAUACUCGAUAAUAUUUAGGAUUAAAUGUCUUCUUUAUUUUCAAAUUUCGAGUAAAAUAAAAUGAAUAUGAGUGAAAAAUUAACAAUUUGUUUAAACCCAUGUAUAUAUCUAUUUGAUUUCAUUUGAGCAGUACAAAUAGUAUGUAAUAUAUUCCUAUUUGAUUUCACAUGCUAUUCGUACUGCUCAGGUGAAAUCAAAUAGAUAUAUACAUGGAUUUAAAAAAAAUUAUUCACACACAUGAUCAAUAAAAAAUGAAAAAAAUUCAUUUUGAAAAAUGUGAAGGAUGAAAAAAUUCAUUUUGUGAAAUGUAAGGGACAAAAAAUUCAUUUUGUGAAAUGUGAGGGAUUAUGAAUUGAAUUAUAUGAAAUUUGAUUUGACAAUUUUGCCCUUAAAAUAUGAUCAUGUGCAAGGCACGUGGUGGAUUCCGACUAAAAACUAGUCGAAAACCUAAGUAGGGAUCAAAAUUGACCAAUGUGAAUUUGUAAGGGAUGUAAAAUUACAUUUUUAAAAGUGAGGGACGAAAAAAGUUAUUUGAUAAAAUGUGGGGGACGUUUUGAAUGAUUUUUCCUUUAUUUAAAAUGCCUUUAACUUCAAUAUAUUUUUCUAUAAUGUAUAUCGCAUUUUCUACUCAAACAGAUACAAUAUUAACAUACAAAUCAGAAAUUUCUAUGAUUACCUGGAUUUUAAUCUACAAGACGGACAUGCACAAUUCGUAUUUUGUUAUGAUGUUUCUUAUCUUAGAGAAUUGCAAAGGAAAUUAGAAUUUCUUUAUACAUAUUUAUUUUUAUAUAAUACCAUUUAUAAACUAUGUAAAAAAUACACUAAUUUUGAAUUCUAUAUGCUCUUAAUUUUCAAGAAAAUAGAUAUAGUCUGUUCAACCAACAAAUCAACUCAUGCAAAGAUCGUGCCUUCUCAUUUGUUGUACAAAAUCCAUAAAAUUCAACAAAGUUAAUUAAUCCACAAAUAUUGACUUUCGUAGUAAAAGUUGAUUGAUGUGAAGAAUGUUCGCACCUUUGUAUAAAAUUAUCAAAUCGAAUGCAUAAUAUUUGUAAGUAUAUUAUUUUGAAAUCAAAUAAAACACACUAUUACAUUCAUGUAUAUCCAUGUAUCUUUCAUUUUCUAAUAUACAUUUCUAUUGUUAUUUCAGAAUCCAUCUUCCACAAAAAGAUGGUUCAUGAAUGAUAUACAUAUUUUAUCAUAUUUUGAACUAUUGCUAGACAAAUUUUAGAUUUUAGUUAUUUUGGUACAAUUUUUUUUACUUUUUUUUAAUUCACCCUCCCUUUUAAUAAUGAGUUUUGUGCUAGUUCAAAACAACUAUUUGGCAUACCUUCUACCAAUAGGAUAGUUGCACGUGACUAUAUAAAUAUCCCACUUGCUCAUUCACAUAUUAAGUGGGGUUUCUAUAUAUUCACUUAAAACUCUUUUAUUCAUCUUGGAACAAAAUUGCUGGAUUUGUCAAAUAGUUGUUUCGGACCAAUGUAAAAUUUUUUCUUCCGCCUCGAAUGUUAUCUCUACCUUGUUUCUCCUUACAGGGAAGACAGUCAAGGGCACCCGCUCCAUUGCCAUUCUUUGCUUUCAUCCUCACAACGGAGUCGAGUUACUUUAAAAAAAUAAUAAUAAUAAAUACAUAAAUGGAGAUGAAACUGCAGCACAUGCUACUGCUAGCAUUAUACUACAGACGAAGACUUUGUAGGCAGUUUGCUGGGAGCCGAGGACCAAGAGGAAUUUCCAAGUUUUUCGAAGCCGUGCCGUCUCGGGUGUUGUUGGGCUGUAAGCCUGUGACUCAACAAAGUUGCUUCAUCCGUACUUCAACUCCUCGUAUUCCCAAUUGUUUAUUUAAAAAUACCGUUUCCAAAAAUUAUUGGUUUCUUCAUUCCUCAGAAUUGAGAAUACUACACAUGAAAUAGAAUGUGCUUUGUGUACGAAGUUAAGAUAGAUUGAUAUUAAGGCAUUUAUUUGACCAAGAAAACCUUCCACUUAUUUAUGUGUGUGUGCGUAAGUCUUUCCCAGAACGGAGAAAAAAACUAAGAAUCAGGAAAUUGGAUUGGGAACUGGAUUUUGAAUAUGAUAAGGAGAUAAAGUUAAAAAAAAAUAUGAAGUUAUUCUGCUUUAAGAGAAUAUUGAAAAAAAUAUUGCCAGGGUAUACAAAAACAAAAUGCUUUAAUCUGGUUAUCAAGUGACUUUAUCUUAAUUUUCAACUAGAUUUAAGAACUCUUCUAUUGUCCAACAAUUUUAAUACAAGAGAAAUAAAACCUGAGCUCAUUUUCUUUAUAUUUCCUUCUCAUUUUAUAUCAUUCUUUUUAAUUUUAUUUUGACAAAUAUAUUUGCACUUUUAGGAUUUGAGCGCAACUGUCGACCAUGAUUCGUAGAAUUGUGAAUGAAUGCUUCUUCUGGACUUCUAAUAAAUACACAUUUUAAAAGUACAAAUUUGCCGUAACAAAUAUCCCAACCCCACACACAAAGACACCUUUAAUAAUUGUUGGAUCCAGGAUCUUUGCAAUUGUCAGUCUUAAUUAGGGUGUUCACACUUCGGGAAAAACCAAGUAAUGGACCGAUCCAAUUUAAAUUGGAAAUUGAAUAUCGGUAAAACGAUUAAGAUCCAAUAUUAAAUUUUAGUAAAACAAUUUGGGAAUGGAUAUUAAAAUUCGAUUCCCGAAAUCCCGAUUACCGACAAAAUUACUGAAUUUUGAUAUUUUAAUUAAAUAUUUUAUACAUUUCAUGCUUACUAAUAUAUCAUAUUAUAUAUUAUUGUAUUAGUCAAUAGUAUUAUAAGUUAUCAUUUAUGCUUAUAAACAAAUAUGUGACCAUAAAGUGUACUGAUUAACAUAUUAAUAACUUUUAUAAUGUUAAUUACAUAUUAAAUAUACUUCACUGAUAUAUAUUAAAAAGCUAAUAUAAAAUUCUAAAUAUUUUAUCAAAAUACCGACUAUCUGGCUGAAAUCCAAUUACCAAUAACCAAAAAUCAAAUAAAACUGUAAUUAGAUGUUGGCCUUGUUGAAAAAUGGACCAAUACCAGUUGAUGAACACCUUUAGUCUUAAUUGUAUCAUACACCAUUACAAUGUAUGCACUAACCCAUAUAGACAUAGACACUACACUAACAAAUAUAGAGGUUAACAUAAAGUUUUUUUUUAAUAAAAAAGUAAAUUUUGUUCACAGAUUGCUAGAAAAAUCAUUGCCCUAAUAGCAGGUUAAAAAUAUACUAGAAAUAAAUAUAUGCAAUUUGAUAGACACAAUAGAUAUAAAAAUUAUGAACAAAUUUAAAAUAUAUAAGAUAAAUUAAAUUAUUUUUUAAUAAGAUAAAUCGCUACAAGUCUUCCUCUACAUGUUGCAAUCGUCAAUCUGCUAAUCAACUAUUUUAAACUCUAAUCAUGAUGAUGAGAUCUAUCAAGAUAAACUCAACAUCCAAAAAAAAAAGAAAAGAAAAAUCAGAUCUAUCCAUCAGAUCUAAAAUAAAUUUAGAUAUAACAACAAACAAGAAAAAAAUAAUAAAAAAAUCUUACUAACAACUCUUAGGAGAACAGAAAAUUCUCAUUAUGAACCUCUAGGAGAAACAGAAAAUUUUUAUUAAGAAAUCUUAAGAGAGCCUCUAUAAAAUAAAAUAAAACAAAAUCCCUGGGAUGGAAAUAUCUCCGUCCCAGAGAGGAAAGCAAAGAUAAGUAGGAGAAGUGGUGACGUAGGAAGAGUUCUUUUUUAAUAUGAUAACAUAUAAAAUAUAGCAAAUUUCGUUAAUUAUGAAAAGCUGUAUCUGACAAUGAAUCACAUCUGUGUAGCUUGAAAUCAAUUCAACCUGAACCAUCAAUCCAUUUUUUUCUCUCUCUUUUUUUUUUUAUUAUUUUGGUUAAGUACCAUCAAUUGAAUUGUUAGUCUACCAAUUGCAGAGAGUUUCAUCCCAUAAUGGUAUUGCACUAAUCAUUGACAAUUCUAGGGUCAUAUAGAAAUCUCUCUGCUUCCCAGUGCCAAGAAACUGAGAAAGAAGGCUCCCUAUACCAAGAUUUCAACUACCCAACAUUCAAGAACGUUUUUGAAGCCUUAAAAUUAGGAUUGUGAACCCACUCGUGUGCACAAGACUUUGACUAAGGUAUACUAAGAUAUAAUAACAUAACAUCAGUUAGUGUGUAAAAGUGACUAAGCCACCUCUUUCUUCGGAUUCAUUCUCAUUCUCUUCACAGAUUUUCUGGAUUCUAGAAGUUGUAACAAUUUAUUAUUCUACGGAUUCUAGAGAUCGGGUUCAAGCCAUUUUUCCAUGGAGAUAUAGAAGCAUAGAGAUGUAUCAUAAUUCUUCCACGUAAUGAGUAUAGUCUCCACUUCCAAUUUGUCUACUAGCUAAUUUUUUCGAUUCUGUUUACAUGAGCAGAACUGAUGGAAAACAUUGCAAGUCCAAAAGGUAGUUUAGUCCUUUCCAGUCCUCUGUCAUCUCCAAAUGUCAGUGCUUUGCUGAAGAUCAAAAUUAUGUCAUGGUAAGAUAUAAUCAGUAGAUAAGCUGAUUGUUUUCAUCUAUAAAGAGUCUCAACUGAUUUUUUUGUUUGUCAUCUUAGGAGCCAAGAGACUGGUUUACCUCUUUCUGUUCGUGUUCGUGUUGCUAACAGAACCUUUAACCUGCACAAGGUAAGCAGAAAAAAACUCCGGUUCCAUGAGGAAACAAUCAGUGAACCCCAGAAAAAAUUUCAUUGAAUUCUUAGUAGGAUACUCCAUUUUUUAUUCUCGUGGUGAUUUGAUGACUUUUCUAUCUAGUGUAUAUGUUUACAAUAUGUUUACAAUAUGUAGCCAUCGGAAUUUGGAACUCAUUUCUUGUAUUCCCUUUGGCAUGGCAGCGUCCUCUUUUCUCAAAGAGUGGAUACUUCAAGGGAAGAUUGAAUGAAUCAAAUGAGAUUGAGCUGCCACAAAAUUUUCCCGGUGGAGCAGAUACCUUCGAGAUGAUAGCCCUCUUCAUCUAUGGAUCCUCUACUAUGGUUGACCCUUUCAAUGUGGCAGGCCUGCGUUGUGCAGCUGAGUUUCUUGAAAUGACUGAGGAGUACAGUUCUGGCAACCUUUGUGAGCGUUUUGACAUAUACUUGAACCAGGUUGUCUUGCAAAGCUGGGAUGAUACUUUAAUUGUUCUCCAGAAGUGCCAAAAGUUGUUACCUUGGGCUGAAGAGUUGCUGAUUGUGAGCCGUUGCAUCGAGUCUCUUGCAUUCAUGGCUUGCAUGGAGAUUCUUGACCCUGAGAGGAAGCGAGAGAAACCAAUUGUGACAUUGGAGGCUUUGGCUAGUCAACCAUGGAGCUGUGAAACUGUUAAGGAGAUAGUAAGGCAAGAUUUGUGGAUUAAUGACCUUAUUGCGCUGCCAUUUUCUUUCUUCAAGAGGAUAAUAGGAUCAUUGAGAAGGCAAGGAAUGAAAGAAAAAUAUGUCUGCCCUAUAAUACUUUUCUAUGCUAACAAAUGGAUCCUCUGUGCAAAGAUGAAGAGGCAUGAAAGUCAUGAUGAUGAUGUAGAUGAUGAUUUCAAGAGCAAACUCUCACAUAUCCUACAAGGAAUUGUUGACAUGCUACCAAUCGAAGAGAAGGCUAGUAAAGGAAUUCCUGUUGGAUUUUACUUCUCUUUGCUAUCGCAAGCUCUCCAACUUGAAUUGAGGGAUGACAGUAGGGAAAAACUGCAGCAGCAAAUUGUAUGUAUGUUACACUUUGCUCAGGUGGAGUAUUUUCUCCGACCCAAGAGUAAGACAGAUUCCAUUUCUUGCUCCAAAGAGUUGGCUGUUAUGGAACAGAUAUUUUCAACAUAUGUUUCAUCUUACAUGGGGCCAUGCCAUACUCCUUCAAGCAAUGUCAUUGUUGCAGAAUUAUGGGAUAUGUAUCUGUCACAGGUAGCUACUGAUUUACGACUGGAUUCCAAAAGAUUCAUGGAUCUCAUUGAAACCUUGCCGAUGUACAGCAGGCAAAACCAUGAUCAUCUGUACAGAGCUCUGAAAACCUUCCUCGAGGUGAGCACUAAAUUAUUUAUUCCAAGUCUCGUACUUUGAUGCUAAAGAGACUGCAACCGCAACUAAUAAUUAGAUCACUUGAAUGGUAAACACUAUGAAAUUCUUCAACUAUGAGAUCACAUUUGUCCUAAUUGUGUGUUUGUCUUUGCAGGCACAUCCAGAUUUAUCACAAGAAGAGAGAGGUUUUGUCUGCAAAUACCUGAAUUGCCAGAAACUGUCACAGGAAAUGUGCAUUGAAGCAGUUCAAAAUGAACUGAUGCCACUGCGACUUAUUGUUCAGGCACUAUUUGUUCAGCAACUAAAUACACAGCAAGCUUUUAAAGAAUGUUCAGAUUCAUUCAGGUACACCCAUUGUAAUGAAUUAUCAGGAAGCAUCUCAAGCUCGAGGUAUGCUAAUUCCAAAAGCCAGAACUUAGGAGAAAGCCCAGACAUGGAUGGACGUGAGGGAGGCUGCAAACUGAGCUUCUUAUUGCAGAAAGACAAAGCAAUGCAAAGGCCAGACAUAGAGAAUGAAAUCUCAUGGAAGGAUUAUGAAUCUACAAGCUUCAGAAUCCAAAAUCUUGAGCAAGAACUAAUCUCUUUGAAGAGAGCGCUUAAAGUGCAAAAUAUUUCAAAGAAAAGGGAACCACCUCAAGCGCACACAGAACCACUUUCAGGACGGCUCCGGACUGCAAGACCAUAUGGAUUCGAGGGAAGAUCAAUGAGCAAGAAGAAAAAUGCCGUUGGGCAGGUGACUGCUUGCAUUGGAAAUGUGAAUCUUGCAUCCCAGAGAAAAUAUGCUAGUAAGUUGCUUAAAAUUUUCCACAGGAUUAGUAUGUUUGGAAGGGGAAAAGCAAAACGAAAGCCUAGUACGACUAAAGGCAAAUCUAGUGUAGUUACCAGCACUGUAGUAUGUACUAUCAAUUAAAAAUGUGAAAAAUCAUCCAAAAGGGAUUUCUCAUACAUAAUAGGGUGCGCAUGAUGUCUAUCAAAAUGGAUGUUUUGGACUAAGCAUAUCAAGAACUGAGUCAAGUCAGUAUACAGAUACGGCCAACUACUUCCUGCAGGCAUUUGCACUGAUAAAAUAUUUGAUGCGGCUGAUAGUGUACCUACAAAAUGCAAUAGGAAAUUGAGAAGCCAACAAUUUGAUCAGAGCUUUCAGAGACUUAACUCAAACACAAGGCAAUAGGAAAUUGAAGGGCUAUUAUUGAAAGGCCUUUAAUUACCUGCAGACGCUUGUUGUACUUGUGAUAAUAUCUUGUUUCGAACUUUAUGAAAGAAAAAAAGAAAAAGAACUUGAGACCAUUGAAGAAAGAAGAUAAACUUCCUUACAUUAAAGUGUAGGCUAGAAAUGAUUUACAUGAUUCUUUUUAUGCAUUUGCCUCUAAUUCUGAGUUCUGUCCCUUAUCUUAUUUAUUUAGACCUUUCACAAGCAAAGAUGGUAUGAAGGAAAUAUUGCUCUUUACUUGUCAGAGCUCUCCAAUUUGUUCCCCAGUGAAUCAAGCCUGGAAAGAUGGCAUGAUUGUGUUACUAUCUUGUUAAAUCUUUUACACAGUCAGUAUUAAGGAUAUAUGUCUCUCUUUAGUUGUCAGACCUCUCCAUUUCAUUUCCUAUUGAAUCAAGCCUGAAAGGAUAGCAUGAUAUUACUAUCUUGUUUCUUCUCAAGUUCAGCAUCAGAGCUCCAGAUAAGGGUGUAUUAUCGUAGCAACAACUGGAAAGAAGAGGGGCAAUAAGGCACAAAGAGAUCCCUUCUAAGGUAACACAGAAAAGAAACCAGUCUGGAACAAAUUUUCAAAGAUGUAAUCAUUAGAACUACAAUAAUAUUCAUUCUGCAGCAAUUAAGCAAAUUCAGAUAAGCAUGGAGAUAUUAACAGAUGGUAGCAGACCAGUUUCCAUUCUACAGAGUAAACUGAAAAAGCAUACAUCUGCUUUUGACAUUCUUGUUGGCAUAGAAAAGAGUUACUAGUACUCCUGUUACAAGCAAGCUUGUAUAUACAUAAUUCAAAAGGGCUCCAAAAGUAGGAAGUCUCAAGUGUCAAACUUAGCCAUACAGAAUUGAUUGAAAUAGACAGAAAGCCCAAACAAUCAGUCACAAUAUCAUCCACAGAUGGAACUAAACAACCACAGCUUUAUCAAGGCUCUCAUUGGCUUGAACAUUGUGAGGUUUCAAGACUGAUCUUACAGCUUCCACGUGUAAAUUUACAUAGUGUUGGCGGCAAACAGGCAUAUAAACAUCUGCACCGCCUAUUAGCUCUGUCUUGGUCUCCUCAGUCUUCCUCAAUGUAAAGAAAGCCCUUUUCCUGCAGAGCUCACAUCGUGCAGUCAACUUGGUUAUCGUGUCAGCAAGUGGUACCACUUCAAGAACUGAGCCAAAACUCCUCCUAUGAGAAAGUACAAAUUCCAACAUUACCAAUACAGAAUAUCUUUUUGAAUCAUACAAAACUACUUGAUCAAACAACAGACCAGAUCAAUCACGAACUGAAAAAUACCUCAAAUAGUCUCCAUCCAGGCCAGCAACUACUACAAUUUUCCCAUCAAGAUCAGCAGCCUCACAGCAGAAAUCAUACAGGUCAUCAAAGAAUUGAGCUUCAUCGAUGCCAAUCACAUCCAACUAUCAACAUACGAAACUAAUUAGUAUCAACAAAUAUAUUAAAUUAAACACAGAUAACCAUUACCCUUUUACAUCAUGAUCAAAAACGAAGUGCCUGUUUCUAUGGUUGACAUACAACUCUUAAGAUUUUACAAGAUUAGUCAGCAAAUCAAUCCAAACGCACAAGGGAUUACAAUUGAAAUACCUUUUCGUAGGCAUCAACUCCAAUUUUCUGCUUAAAGGAUGAAAGAUCUGGCAUUGACCAACAGGGGAACUUCACCCCAUCAUGGGUCACCACUGCAUCUGUGGCAUAUCUUGUGUCCUUGCUUGACUUUAUCAUGGCAACACUUCUGCUCACGAAUAUUCCAUUAAUUAAUCAACGAAAUUCAUUUAGUCAGAGCACAAAAAGUGAAACUCGUGGAGUGCAGGGCAUGUAACAGUUGUACAUUUUGAAUCAGAUGUUGUAUCCAAGUAACUUCAAUUUUUUUUCUCAAAAUUCUUGAAGUUCCAGAAAAACCGGGAUUCCAUGUCCAAUCUUUAUGCUCAAAAAUUAAGAAAAAGAAAAGAAUAGAAAAGAAAAGCAUCAUAACAGCUUUUUACUGCACGGCCAUGGAUAUGGCAAUUAAUACUUGUACCUAGUUCAGCGUAUGUUGUACCUGGCUAUGUAAAAUCGUCAUAUUGGAUGAAUUAUUCAUAAAAUUUCGUAGUUUUAAAGAAACUGAGAUGAUAUUUCCAAUCUUACGAGCUAAAAAAUAAAAUAAAUUAAAAAUCAACAACAUCACAAUCAGCCAGAAAUUAUAAAGAAAAAUCAUGGAUGAAAACAUGGAAAAAAAUUUGUUUCUAACAAAUUACCUGCCACUGUCGGAUUCCAAUUUGACACGGCGAAGUAAAGAGGUGGUCUUGCCUGCAAACAUGGGCCCGAUGAUGACGUGGAUCUCCCCGGAGGGCUGAUUAGCGGAUCCCAUCUGAUCGGCGGCAUCAGUAGACAUCGAGCUCAAGUUCAAAGAAACUGAGCUUUUAACAAAGGAAGAAGACAUCAUUUUCAACGGGACAAAAAGAAAAAGGAUAAUAAGAAAACUUUAAAAUGGGAGAGUUGGUGGAUAGAUGGGGUAGAAGGGAAGAGAAACGUCAGAGGAUUUAUACAGAGAAGGAGAAAAGCGUACGAGGGACGUUUGUUUGGGGUUUGAAUUUUUCAGAGUUUGAAUUUAUGGAGGGAAGAGAAGGCAGUUUGUUUGUUUGUUUUUGCCUUUUGGGGAUUUGGCGCUUCGGCAGUUUGGACUUUGGAGGGAAAAGCACAGGCAAAGGGAGGGGUCUCUUUUGGACACAUGGCCACUGUUUGAUUAAUUCCUGUGAUAAUUCUGGUGUUGCCCUGGUUUGCUCCGAAUUUGCAGUUAAGUCCAUAAGCAAGGAAAGACCUGUUUGGGAUUGCAUUUUCUUGGGAUAAUUUGAAAAACCUUCCUUGAGAUUUCUGAUAAUUUCGCUUAACACUCUUGAUAUUUCAAAAUUUACGCCUACCUAUAUUGUCCAUUUAAAACGAUAAUUUUGUUUGGAUAGAAUAUUAUUUGAAAUAAUUACUGUAGCACUUUUUGUGAUAUAAUGUAUGUGAGAUAAAAAGGUGGUUGAAAAUAUAAAAAGGUAGGUUGGAAAAUGUGUUUAUGAUGCAAGCGAAAUAUUAUUUGGAAUAAUUUGCUAUCCAAACAAACCCAUUAAAAGUAACCUAUCCUAAUGAGAUUUGUCAUUGUAAUUGAUUAUCAAACAAGAAGUGGGCAUAAAAAUCUUGACACUCAUUCCUUUGUAAUUGUACAAAAUUACUAUACAAUUGUUUAGAAAAAUAAAUUAAACUUUAUUAGAUGAGGAAAUUUUAGGGUAUUCAUUAAAAUUUUGACCCUAUUUUAAGGUUUGGUUACUAAAAGUGUCAAAUCAAGGAUGGUAAGUGUAAUUUUUAAUAUCUCGAGGGAGCUUAGUGAAAUUGCUUGUUAAAAAUCUUAGGGGAGGUUUCUGAAAUUAUUUUGGAGAGUUUUUGAGGAAAAAUUACUAUAGCAGUUUUUUAAGAUAUGAAAAUCAUAUAGAAGGAAUAUUCAUGAAAAACAUAAAAUUUUUUCUCCAAAAAAUCACAAUCUAAACAAGGAAUUUCUAGCAAAAGCAAAACAAUAAAAUUGAUAACCAAAGGCGUAAAAUUUAACUUGAGUUAAUUUUCCUGAUUUAAAAUUUAAGCUUAAACAUGAACUACCCACUAUAACUAGGCUACAUUUCACAAAAUAUACUUAAUAACAACGGAAGGCUAAAACCAUUAGUUCUACUAGCGGUUUGGCCAGAAUACUUUCUCAUGAAAACAACAUUAACCUCAUAUAAAACUACUGUUUUUUACUCUAUAAACUCCUCAUCCACUAUUACUACUAUUUUGCUAUGCAAAACAUCGAAUUAUCGGCCCUCUAGAACUGUACAACAACAUUAAAAUACAACAAAAAAUUUCCUUGCUAAUCCAAUUAUCGGUAAACUAUCCACAAAAUUGCUUAUAGAAGAGAAUCAUGCAGGGAAAAAAAGAGAAAACAAUGCAUCUAGCAGGUGCAGUGUUACUGGUGUUACUGGUGAUAUAUUUGAGAAAAAAGAUUUUUCGUUAAACAAGUACACGUAAAUAAGCAGAAAAAUAAGACAAAAAAACUUGACAACAAAAGAAGAGGAAUAUGAGAACGUCCAACCAAUGACCUUUUGCAAAUUGAAGAAUAUGGAACCAUGACACUUCAAAAUAGCACAAAGAAGAGAUAAAACAAGUAUAUAUGUGUGUGUACACGCACAUGCAUUUUUUACUGAAAAACAUGGAAUAUAUAUAGGGCUAACAAUAACAAAAUUCUAAUAUGCAUUAAGUACUAAAAAACAAAUUAUAUGAAAUAGCAUUUGUUUCCCAUCACCCGAUGGCUUUCUAUGACCCCCCAAAAAAUUUUUUUUCCUUAUUUUAUAUCUAUUCUAUUUCUUUUCAUGCAUUUUCUUUAUAUUACUUUAUUACCUUAAUUUUCUAGAUAUUUUUAUAAGUGAGUCAAGCUUUUAAAUCAUUUUCUUGAAGUGUAUUAUGGACGUGGGACCCGCUAGUGCGGUAAGUGCGGAAAAUUUUGACGAUUAGAUGGAGUUUUGCAUAAAGGGAUAUUAUUUUACAAGGUGCUAGGGGAUAAUUAGAAGUUAGCUAGAUAAAUUAGCUUUGGAAGACAAGAAGAUGAGGACAAAACCCUAAAGAGCCAAGUGUCGCGAAACCGUUGGAAGUUGGACUUUGACCAAAUCUUUCUUAACUUUACUAAAACCAAACAUUGACCAAAAUUUGCUCAUUUCUUCCCAUUUUUCUUAGUCUUGGCCGAAAUUCUUGAGAGGAAAAACAAGGGAGAGAAACUUCAUCUUCAAUCCCAACUUUCUUGCUCGAAUCUUGAGCUCUAACCAUAGUUUGUGCAAACUACUCCAUAAAAGUGCUAAUUAAGGUAGAUUUCAAGGUGUUGGUGGAGUGAUUUUGGAGGAAGAAGCAUUAAGUUGCCGUCUUUCUUGAGGUUACAAGGUAAGUUUACCAAGAAAUCUCUCUUUGCUUCUAAUACAACCAUACUAGUGGUUUAGGGUUGCUAAAGUGGUAGUUUUAUGGGAAAUUUCAUGAGUUGAAGUGGUGUUAUGAAAAUUUUCAGUUUUUAUUGGUAAAUUUCUGCCUACAUAUGAUGCUUAGGUGUUGGCCAUGGUUUGAUAGUUUUGCUAUGUGAAAUAUUGAGGUUUUAUAGGCUAGUUUAACUUAGCUAAAGAAAUUUCCAGCUUAUGUGCAUAAAUUUCAGUUUAGGGUUUCCAAUUUGGGCUUGAUUGUGGUUGGUUUUGGAGUCAUCAAUUGGCUAAUUAUAGGGUGUUGUGACCCUAAUUAAGUGUGUUUAAUAGAUUAUGAUUUGUAUGUGCAAUUGAGGCUGUUUUGGGUGAACUUUGGUGUUGAUUGUAGGAUGGAAAAGUAAAGAAAUUAAGAGGAGGUGCUGCUGAAAAUUUGUCUGCAGGAACCUUUGGGCAGCCUUAGGAAAUCUGCUAUAUCUUGUUGUAGAAAAGUCAGACUUUAGUUUCGUUUGUUGUGCUUGAAACUAGAGUCAGAGUACUAUCAACUGUGAAAAUUCAGCCUUUUUCUCAAUUCCCAUGAAUAUCUGUGAUUUUUCAAAGUUGACUGAAAUUGCAUACCUGUUCUGUCUUUUACUAGAUGAAGUAGCAACUUGUGACUCGAAUUUGACUGACUUAUGGACUGAAUCAGAUUUUGGACAAAACAUGAAAUUAUAGGGAUUUGAGUUAACUUUAUACCUGCAAAAUUUUAGAUCCGUUGGAUCAUUUUAGCUUAUGAUUUGGCCAGAGCAUUCCUGACUGCACAAAAACUCUAAUUUUCCUGACCUGUUUUUCAUGUGCUUCCGACCGUCCAAUUUUGACCCUGAAAAUGUGAGAACUGGGUGUCGAUGUCUCAUAGGAAAUGUAGGUCUAUGUCUUAGCUUCAAAACACCAUUAAAUUUGCCUCAAUCUGAUACGUAUAGCUUCAGUUGUGAUCAAAACACCAAAGGAUGGCAAAGCUGCCAUCUUCAUUGUUUCUCGUUACCUUUCUCUUGUUUUCUGUUUCCUUGGUCCGACUUAACAUGUACUUCUCAAGUGUUCUAAACCUGAUUUCUAACAUUAUAAACAAAUAUUCCAAACAUGAUGGUUUUUAGUUGCACAUAUUGGCUUUGAACUUAACCGUUUUAGAUCAUUUUCUUUUACAAAUUAUGCGUGCACCUUGCCUAUAUGACUUACUAUAUUUUCAUGCCUUUUUCUUUUGAUAUAAAAAUAUAAGUUAUGCAGCUUGCACUUGUAUAUGAUUGGCUCUUUAUGGACAAUAUUUGACUGCAGAUUUCGAGAGUGGCCAAGGUGCCGGCCCUGAACUGAAUUUUGAUAAAACGUGACUUGUUUAGGGUUAGUGUUCCUUGCAUGUUUGUGCAAUAAGUGACUAUGUGAAUAUCUGUGAGUGAUUAUUUGAAUGUUAAAUGUUUUCCAAUGAUUGCUAAAUAGAUUUUCGAUGGGCGAGCGUGUACUUUAUCGCACUCAACCCAAGCUAAAGUGAAUUUUCAAUGAUUGAAUGCUAUUUGUGCAUGAAUGUAAGCCUUUUGGCUGAACUGGACCCUUGCCCUUCGUUGCCAGUCGACUCGAGCCAGAAAUGGACUCCGUCGGGCGACUAGUGAUCUUAGGACAGUGUUUUGGUAUACUCGAGUAUGACCACGAAAGUUGGUGGAGAACUGGCCAGUGAAUUGGCUAGUGGCGGGAAAUGAAAUGAAUGAAUUGAAAUGUUGAAGUAAAGGGAAGAGAUGAAUGAUUGAAUGAAGGAGAUUGACUGGCGGAAUGAACGAAUGGCUCCACGUGAGCAUGUAUCCUUUUAUUGAAUGUGUUCUCAUUGCUUUUAUAUUGUGAAUGUUUUCUCAAUUGAUUGUUGUUAAAUGACUAAUGUCCUUGUUUCAAUUGCUUGAUUAUGUGUAUGGGAACCUCACUGAGCUUUAGCUCACCCCUCUAUUCCGUUAAAUUUGUUUUCCUUAUAGGGUUUGAGAGCAAGGACGGGUGAUCAGUGGAAAACUAAACUUUUGACUAGAACUUUUGUUGUGUAAUAGUGAUAGUAUUAGUAAUUGGUUGGUCCUAAACUUUUGUACUAAUCUUGAGGAUUGUAUAUCCGUGUUAAUGUUUGUAUAUAUGUUAAGUUUGAUUGGCACAUCUUUACUUGCUCUUGAGAGUUGAUUGAGUGAGUUAGUGAGUCCUGACGAGAGCUGGGCAGGCGAUCUACCGAACCCUUUGAUUCGCCUUAGGGGAAGGUGGGGUCGUCACACUUUCCUUCCAAUGGAAGGGCAAAUUUAGAAUGAGAUUUCUAUCCUUUGGUAGGGUGAGCAACUUUAGAAAUUAUUUUUUACCGAAUUCGAGUUGAAUUUGGUGAUUUGAAAUUAGUAAAUCAGAGUUUUGUUGGUACAAUGAGAUUUCAAAUCAGGGAUGUUAGAAUUGGAGUGAAUAUGGUUUAUGGUUUUAUAUACCAUUUGAAUUAAAUAUAGUAAAGCAGUAAUUUACCAUUUUCACUUUCAAAUUAUUGCCUAUGCAAUACAUAACCAUAUACAAACGUAUACACACAUAUAUACAUGCAUACAAGACUCAGACUCUUCAAUCCAGCCUCCCCUCACUUCAUUUUCUCCUUUUGUUUCAUCAAACAAAUCGCAAGGCUUUAGAUAGUAGAGUUGAAAGCAAGAAUCCAAGAAGACAAGAAUGCAUCUCACUCGCAAUCCAGUCACUCCAAAUAGACAAAGACUCACCAGUCCCUAAUCGACUUGUCACAUUAGUUGUAAACUAAAUGGGUUAAGGUAAUGAAUUUAGCACCAAGGCCCUAAGUCCUGUACGAUUUUAGAUUCAUUGUAUUUUACCAUAAUUGAUAUGAUUUUAUUCAAUUUUAGCCUAUUUAGCUGUAAUUUACUCUUAAAUUGGUAAUUGUUGUCAUAAUCUGAUUUUACUCUAAUUUUUGGUCAUGACUUGUGCCCUAACUUUGAUACAUCUGUAAUUUUCUUCAACUUUCUUCCUAAUUAAUCACGAUUUGGCUGAAAUUUAGUUGUGCAACAAUUGAAUUGCGCCCUAAUGUUAACGUAGGCCCUUAAAUGUAAAUAUAAUUGACUAAUUUAUCGACCUCAGUAAUUUGACUUAUAUGUCUAUUUGAUUGUAGCUCAAUUGGUUGUUCUAAAUUUUGUAAAUUGCACUCUAUGUUGCUGUUUGUGCAUGAGUACAUGAAGCAUGUUGUUGUCUAUGGUUUAUGUUCAAGUUCUACCUUGGUCUUAGUAUAUUAAUUGUAAUUUUAUCUCUUGUAGACUUAUAGCAAGUUGUUGGAAAGAAAAUUUUUCUAUAUGAUUAAUUGGAGAUUUCUAAACAUGAAACUAAGUAUGUUAAUUUUGCUUAAGAACAUUAAGCUGAAAACAGGAAACUUAAUUGAAAAAAUUCAAGAAGUGUGCUGAAAUUGAAAAAAUUGAAUGUAAAAAGUUGUUUGGUUUAGAUGUUUCUAUUUGGUGGAAUUCUACUUAUUUGGUGGAACUCAAGAGAGCUUUUGAGAGGUUUGAAGAGUAGGAUCCUUAUAUGAUUUAAGAGCUAGACUAUUUUCUAAUAAAAUCUAAUUUUGCAAAGAGUGGAUUCUUGGUCAUGAUUUUGGAAAACUUUUUUAAGCUGAUUGUAAAAGGGUUCUUAUACCAAACAUGUGACUUCUAAUAAGUUUGUCAAUAAUAUUAUCACAGUCAUGACGUUUUAAAGGAAAUGGCAACAAGUGAUAAUGAUUAAUUGAGUUCUAUAGCAAGAAUAAUUAAGAAGUAUGGCAAGUACCAAGGAAGGAUUGAAACGAUGGACAAGCAUGCUAUUUUUUCCAUUCUUGAUUCUCAAACUAAACUUGAAUGCCUUGAAUUCAUUCUUUGCCAAAUAUAUGGUGAAUUUGAUGAUGCAAAUCUGUAUAAGCUUGCAAUAGAUGCAACUUUUGGAGUUGCUUAAUGAAAAUGAGAGACUCAACACCCUUGCCUCAUCUUCUGCCUCUCAUGUUUCUUCGUGUUUAGUUCUAGUGCUACUGAAAUAGGUAAAAUUGCAUUUGAUGGAAAUGCCUCUAGAAAGAUCAAUAGUAGGUACAAGUUGAAGUUUAAGAAGAGAAAAAUGGCAUUUGGAGGUAGGGAUACAAAAUCUAAAUUAAACAAAUAUGUAAAUGAGGAUUGUGAAGAUGAUAGUGAGAAAUUUGAAAAUUUUGUUGUUGUAGAAGGCCAACAGACUUGGGUUCCCAAUCCUCUCUAUAGUGGCUCAUGAUGGAUUAGUUGUCCAAUUUCUACUGCAACUUCUAAAUUUGCUUUUAGUAUUGAAGGCUACGUUCUUGAUAAAUAAAAAUUUUUAACUCCUAGAAUUGUGUAAGGUUUAAUAUGUGCUCAAGAUUGACUUCGAUUUUCAAUGACAGAAUUGAAUAUGGAAAAAAAUUUAGAAGAUUUUGAAAUCUUCAAAUCUGGUAAAUUAUCAAAUUUCUUAUUACCAAAUUUGAAGUAUUCUUUUAUUUCUAAUAAUUUAUUUUAAAAUACUUAACAAUUUCUCUUUGUUCUUGUAGAUUUGCUCAAGGGGAGAGCUAAAGCAACUAUUGUUGAUCUUUGAGUUUAAUAAUUGUGAACUAGAAGCCCAAAAAGGGCAGAUGAAGAAUUGAAUAGUGAAGAAUGCAACAUAAUUUUUAAAUUUGAUUUUUGGACUGUUAUUUAGUUUUAGAAACUAUUGCUUAUUAUCUAAUAUUUAAACAAUUUACUUUUAUUCAUGAGUGAUGGUUCAUGUACUAAUUUCAAGAUUAUUUACUUUUUGGGCUAUGGCUAUGUAAUCAGUAAUGAACUACUGCUUGAAUUGGCCUUAUAUUCUAAAUUGCUGAUUAUCUUUUGCUUCUUCUACUUGUUGUAUUGAAUGCUUCAAUGCUUGAUAAUUAGCAUGCUUCGGUAGGGCUACUUGAUGUGAAUCACGUACUUAUUCAACCAGCAGUUGAAGAGGAUUACACGAGAAUCUUCGUUAGAUUUAUCAAUAAAUCACCGAUGUCAAUUUCUAAAUUGACAUUGGACUUCAAGUCUAACCAUGAAUCAUCCAUUGCCCUAUUCGGGUGAAUUUCCCUGAUUUACCUCUUCCUCUUUUCGAUAUGAAAUAUCUAUUAAAAUUGGGAUCGUUGUUGGGUCGUCCCUUGCAGGCUGAUUCUGCAACUUUUGCCUUUAAGUGUCCUUGGGUGGCCUGAGUGUUAAUUGAGAUUAAUGUUGCCAAAGUGCCGGUUAAUCACGUUUAGAUUGGGGAUGAGAGCUUUGGGCACUGGCAAAAGGUGGAGUAUGAGAAUUGGCCUAAGUAUUGCUUGUUUUUGUGAGGGAAUAGGCCAUACGGACACAAAAUGCUUCAAAAAAGACCCAUCACAGAAGGCUGUGAAGCUCGCUUCUCCAAAAGUGCAGUAGGUUUAUGUCGUUAAGGACAAUAAGGGCGAAGAAUAUGGCCAUCUCUCAUAAGCAGGACAUGUCUAUUAGACUGGGUGGAGCAGUAGGGUCAUGCUAUGAUGAGUCACUGGGGAGACAGACAGGUAUGACUUCAGCACCACUUCAGUCAUUGCGUGAAGUGCCUCCAGUAGAGGCGGAAGUUACAAUAGCUAAGGUUGCAGCUCCAGGGCUUGUUUCACAGAAGAGGGAUCCCAGUUAAUACUGGCUGAUAAUCUAGAGUUCAGUCGGGAGGUGCAAUUGGGUAACUAGUUGCAGCAAGCUAGAGAAGUAUUCUAGCAAUGUGAAAUCGAGAAGGAAAAUCUGAGAGAGGAUGUCAGAGGGCCAGAAUCUUCUCCAGGUUUCUCACUUCAAAUCCCUUCGAGAUCCUAAGCUCGUUAGAUGAUAAUCAGCCGUUUUGGAUGUCUCGCUCCUUGUCUCCGCCACGCUCGUGUCAACCUUUUUCAUUAGCUCAUCGUAAGUCUGCUUCUAAUCUACUUCAACAUGUGGUGUCAACAUAGCAGCUAGUGGAGUUUCGAACACAGAUUGAUGCGCACCUACGCAAUAGGGAGUUGUUAUCCCUGGGUUUCCCUUGGGCAGCUGUUGUGGAUGAAAAAGACAUUUGUCUUUUGAAUCAGAUUGCAAAAAAGCUUGGUAGACCUUUAAAUUAUCUGAAGAAAAUGGCGGCCUAUCAUUCUCAAGCUAUGUCCUCUUUGGUUUUUAAUGAUAAAUCCAAUUAACUUGUUAGCUUGGAACAUAAAAGGUAUCUCCCGACGUGAUUCACAACGGUAUCUACAACAUUUAUAUAGAAGCAAUAAUGUUCAUUUAUUAAUUCUUCUUGAGCCUAUGUCUGAUGUUUCUCUAUUAGACAGCAUUAAGUCUUUGUUACGAUUUGAUAAUGCUCAAUCAUUCAUUGAUGGAAAGAUUUGGGUGAUGUGGUUUGAUGAGUUCUCUAUUAAGUCUAUGGAAUUGGCAGAGUAGAUGGUUCACAUGCAUGUAAAAGUGGUGUUUGGGUAUUCUUUUUGGCUCUCAGCAGUCUACGCCAAGUGCACUCGUGUAGGUAGGAGAUCUUUAUGGCAUGCAUUGGAGAAUGUCGGAGUUAGGUCCCAAACUCCAUGGCUAAUUGGUGGAGGUUUUAAUGUGGUAUCGUCGGCAGUAGAAAAAAAGGGGGUGCAGCGGCGAAUGAUAGGAACAUGAAGGAAUUCAACUCAUGCACCUUUAAUUGCAAUAUUUCACCAGUGGAUUUUGAUGGUCAACUAUACACUUGGACGAAUGGGUUGAUGUAGCAGCAGUUGGACAGGAUGCUGGUCAAUGGUGCUUGGGCUGACCUUUUUGACACAACUCGGGUCUCGCACUUGCCUCAAGCAAGGUCUGAUCACUGUCCAUUGCUAGUUAAGUGUAGUUCUAUCAGGGUUCGGAAGCGCGCUUUUAAAUUCUUGAAUGUCUGGCAAAGCAUCCAACUUUUCAUCAAAUAGUGAGAGAAGCUUGGGGAGCUCCCGUAUCCGGGGUAGGGAUGCGGUGCUUUUUUCAAAAAUUGAUUCGAGUAUGACAUUGCAUUAAACAAUGGAAUUCACAGAUUUUGGGAACAUUUUCUCUAGGGUCAAAGAGGCAGAAAAGAGUAUGAAACAAUGUGAGCUUGAGUAUGACUUCAUUCGGGAUAACGUGACAAGGGCAUACCUGGGAGAAGCAAAGGCAGUUUAUACUCAAGAGUUGAUAGUGGAAUAUGAAUUUUGGCCCCAAAAAUCUGUAAUUAAAUGAAUUUAGAUAGGGGAUGCUAACACUAAGUUUUUCCACUCGUGUGUUAGACAGAGAAGAAAUUCCAAUUUCAUUUCUAGAAUUAAAAAUGAAGAUGGAGUUUGAUUGGAUCAACUAAAGAAAGUAAAGGAGUCAACGGUAGAGUUUGAUGAUCUUGAUCCCUGUCUUUUGAUAUUUACAAAAUAAUUGGAUAAUACUAAUAUCUUUUCAAUAAGAAAGCUUUUCAGCUCUGAAGCAAUUUGAUUCAAAGAACAAUUGAAAGAAGAUAAAGGAAGAUGAAAGCUGUCGGAUGCUCACAAAGACAAUACCGAACGUCCGAUAGACAGUGCAAAUCAUAUCGGACGAAGAAUAUCUUCGCCGGACAUCCGAUAGAAUUCAGAUGAUCCUUCAAACUCUCUGUCUGCUAUCGGACGCAAGUUUCGGAAGUACCGGACGUCUGAUAGAAUUGAGAUGAUCCUUCAAGCAACGGUAGUACCAGACGUCCGAUACUCCCAACGGCUAGUUAACUCUUCAGUUACCUUCUAUCCAUUGGAAGCAUUAAUGAAGCACUUUUUUGGUCUCAUAUAAAUAGAGCAUGGUCAGAAAUUUCAAACAACUUUUGCACACUGAGAAUACAAAAGAUCAAGAGUAGUUUUAGUGAGAAAAUACUCUCCAAGGAAAAUUUGUAGUCUUUGUGGUGUAAGGUUCUUUGUAAGCUUUUCAUUUGUUAGUAAAUACUUUAAUAGUGUAACUCUGUGAGGGUUAUCUUGAGGGAUUGUAAAACUUCCUAACUUGACCGAGUAAAACAUGGGGCAAGGAGGAAAUGAGCCUUCCUUUGUACACAAGAUUGGUUGUAUUUCAUCAACUUGAAGAAGCUUGUUUUAUGAGUUGAUCUUUGAGCUUAAGAGGAGUUUGGUAGUCAAUUGAUUUGCAAUUCUUCUCUUUUUAUUUAUCAUUUUGUGAACCUUAAUUGCUUAUCUCUUCUACUCUCAAGUGAUAUUAUCCUUUAUUGAUUGAUUCAUUGUGUGAUCACUUAAAAAAGAGGGUAAAUUUCAUAUUGAGUAAAAAGUGCCCAUAAUUUGAUUAGUUUCUUUAAUCAACCUAAUUCAUCCCCUCUUAGGUUGUCUUCGGGCCUAACAGAGUUCUUUUCCUCACUUUUCUCGUCUGAGAGGGAGGGACGGAUGACUCUCCAGUUGUUCAUUCAAUUGCCGCGGGUGGACCACUCUGAUAAUGAUAUACUGUGUGCACUUCAGUCGAUGGAGGAGAUUAGGUCUGUGGUUCUAUCUAUGAGCCCGGAUAGUGCCCCGAGUCCUGAUGGAUUUAGUGCUGGCUUUUAUCAGAGAUGUUGGGAGAUCAUUAAAAAGGAUCUUCUACAAGCUGUUCAAGAUUUCUUUACGGGCGGGCAGCAACCCCAUGGUUUCACAAGCUCCCUCAUUGUCCUCAUCCCAAAGGUGCAAGGGGCUUCUCAGUGACGGGAGUUUCCGCCUAUUAGCCUAUGCAAUGUCAGCUCCAAGAGUAUCUCAAAAAUUUUGGCGGUGAGGUUGAAUAGGGUGUUGCCUAAAAUUAUUUCUACAUGGCAGAUAGGGUUCAUCCCUGGUAGAGGUAUUAUAGACAAUAUUAGUUGGUUCACGAGUUAGCAUGGGAUUUGGAUAGGCAAUUGUCGGACCCUAAUUUGAUGCUUAAGUUGGAUAUGAAAAAAGCCUAUGAUCGAGUCAAAUGGCCAUUCUUGCUUUUUAUGUUACACAAGUUUGGAUUUCAAGAUAGGGCUAUCGAUUUGUUUUCGAUCCCUAUGCAAUAGUUGGUUCUCAGUUCUAGUCAAUGACGAGCCAGCUGGUUUUUUUAAGUCAUCGAGGGAGGUCCGCCAGGGAGAUCCACUCUCUUCAGCAUUGUUUGUGAUUGUGGCAAAAUUCUUGAGAAGGGGUCUAUUUCAGUUGUUCUAGGAAAAUGAGAGGAGAUUUUACGCAUCGCCAGGGUGUCUAGUACCUUACUUGACAUUUGCAGAUGACAUUCUUAUUUUCACCAAGUGCUCCGAGAGUUGCCUAGGGCCAAUUCAAGGCUUUCUAGAGUCGUAUCAAGCUUAUUCUGGCCAAAAGGUCAAUUCAUCUAAGAGCUCAUUUAUUAUUUCUAAUAGGGUCACUGUUGAGCAAGUUGAUAUGAUUACCUCCAUCCUUGGUUUCUCUCGACAGCAUUUUCGCUUCAAUUAUUUGGGAGCUCCUAUUACGUGAGGUAGAGACCAUUGUCGUCUUUUUGAUGGAAUUUUAGAUAAGAUUCGGCAUAGACUUCAGCAUUGGAGUUCUUGCAUGUUGUGAACCGGUGGAAAAAUUAUUCUUCUUCGUUAUGUUCUUGCUUCUAUCCCUAUGUAUCUUCUAUAGGUCCUCCAACCACCUCAAGUGGUGCUCACUAAACUUGGUAGGAUUUGCAAUAGCUUUUUAUGGGAUCACAACACGGAAUCGUCAAGAGUCCAUUGGGCUUCAUGGGAGAAGCUUUGUUUUCCUGUGGAAGAAAGGAGCUUGGGGUUUCAUAGCUUUGCGGAUGUUUCCAAAGCAUUUGCGUAUUAGCUUUGGCGGCAACUUCAUCUUGGAGAUUUCAAUUGGUCACAAUUUAUGCAUGCCAAAUGUGUUAAAGGCUAUCACCCCUCUAAAGUGCAUGUAUCUCGGCUCACACCAGUUUGACGAUGGUUGGAGGAAGUAUGAGGAUUUACGGAGUCAAAAAUUAGGUGGUGUUUAGGGAGAGGGUUUGUUGAUUUUUGGUUUGACUGUUGGUACUUUGAUCAACCAUUGUCGGUGGUGAUGGGGGUACCUAAUCUGCCACACAUGUUGCCGGUGGAAUUUUAUGAGGAUAUUGGAUGGAGUGUUGACAAGCUACAACAGUGGGUCCCAGAGUCUAUAGUGCAACAAAUCUUGCAAAUUCAGCUUCCUUGAGUUGGAUGAUGUCAUGGUGUGGAUACCAUCUUCCUCUGAUUCUUUCACUGUCUCAUCAGCUUGGAAGUGUCUUCGACCAAGGAGGAACAAGUCAAUGGUUGAUCGUAUUAUUUGGGACAAGGUGUUACCUUUCAAGAUCUCUUUUUUGAAUGGAGGAUGUUACAUGGUUUUCUCCCAUUGGAUGACAAUUUAAAGAGAAGGGGCAUUGUCCUCUCUUCGCAAUGUAUGUGUUGUGAGAAGAAUGAAGAAUUAUUGAAUCAUUUAUUUCUCUAUGGCCCGGUAGCUACUCAGGUUUGGAGGCAUUUUGUUGGGCAAUUUAGUUUCCUAAAUUUGGAUCUCUUGCAGUCUACUGUCUCUGCAAUGUUCACGUCUUGGGUUUUGUUUUCACUGUGAUAGCCCCACCUCUCCUCAGGACAAACCCAAAGGAUUAGCAAACUGCUUGUCCAGCUCGCGUCGGCACUCAGUCUACUAAUGAACUAGCAACCCAAGAAAACUAAUGAAAUAUCUUUGAAGUAAAGGGUACAAGCCAUAAUGAAAAUAUAAUCGUCACGCCACCUUCCCAAACUUAGAAUAUAGAACUAAAAGUUAAACUUAUAACUCCAAACUUAAUUUACAUAGUAUGCGGCAAACUUACAAAUUCAAGCUUAUAAGAGUCAAAGGUAGAAUCUUCUAAAUAAAAGAUUACAAUCCAAAGUAGAAGUUUAAGAUAAGAAUUGAGGCUAUGAAAGUUCUUGACCACAAUUCCAUCCCAAAUCUGUUAAGAAAAAUAAAAAGAGUGGGGUGAGCUAAAACUCAGUGAGGUUCCAAAUAAUCAUGUAACCACAUAAUCAAUUAGAGACAUAAUAUAAAUGAGUGAUCGCAGUACAAUACUAGAACAAGUUAAUCACAAUUCAAUUCAAGGAUACGGGUGGCUUCCAAAAGCCAAAUCCACUUAAGUUUGAUCGUAUCGAAAAUCCGUUGACUCUCCGUCAACGUUUGCAUCCAAGGAUGUAAUGUCCGUAGAAUACCACUUACUCCAAUUUCCGUCCACCAGUCAAUCCCCUUACCAGGCCCAAACACCUCAAACAGUAUAAUUAGGUAACACUCGAGUAUACCAGUUUCCAAAUUUCAGUAAACAGUCCUCAGGGUUCAUCUGCCUUCUCGACCAAGUCCUUGCUGGUUCGAUACAACCGACUCACCUAUGAGGUUGGGCAUCCAAACAGUCACAAUAGUUGAUGGGAUGUUACCCAAACAACUCACAUCUUAUAGUAGCAGUAUACAGAGUCUCAGUGGAAUCGAAGGAGGUCGAGUGUGAUAAAGUACACGCUCGCCUCAAAUUUGUCAAGACAAGGUUUAGAUCAACCAGUCACAGAUUAAGUAUUCAGAUAUUUCACAUAAACAGGUAACAGGCAAUAGAACACUCACCUGUCAAGAAAUGCAGAGUUCAAUCGUCAAGUUCCAUGGUUACCCUCACCUGCGUUUCCCAAUUCUAGGGCAACGAGUGAAAUCGUUAACAAUCUAGGUUCAUUUUUCAACCCAAAUAUAAGUUCAUUAGGUGACCAAGUGGGUUGUUAAUCGACUCAAUUUACCAUGCAAGUUAGGUCCAAAUGUAAGAAAAGGUCAUAAGAAAAGGAGUUUGACAAGUGCAAGAAAGUUGAGCAAAAGAAAAGUCUCAUUCAAGUUCAAAAGUGUCUUCGCGGGUAAAAUAGUCGUGCACGCGCAGUCUCGGGAAAACGGUCAUAGCUCACUGUAGAAAAGUCGGAAUCACAUGACGUUGGUGGCAUUGGAAACUAAACUCGAAGGGUUUUCUAAUGGUACAAAAUGUAAACUUUAGUUCCUCUCCUAUCAAUACCAGUGGUUCGGGGAAGUUGGCUGAUUUUCCUGUUUUGAUCAGCUCAAUACCCUAACAAAGUUACCCUAUUUCUUCUUGCCAACUUCGUUCAUUUUGGCUCAAAUACAUCCAAUUCAAUCUCCUAGAAUUCAUAUACAGGGGGUCAAGUUAUCUAGCACCAUUGAAGCUUAAAAUGCAACACACAAAAUGAUUAAAUGAACCCAAAACAGUCUAGCCAACAAGGAAGAACCAAAACAGUCCACUAACUUGCCUAAAACAACCACUUUACUUGCUUCAUUUUCAUUUCAACUCACUCCUAAGCUUAAACCAAUGUUUAGCCAAGUUUCUUAGGCUUAAUUAAGGUGCAAUACGUCACAAAAAUCAAGGAGAAACCUCCACUUCAAGGCCAGUCAGCAAAGAGAAAAGAAAAUAGUCCACAAGUUCACAUUCAACACCAACCCCUAUCCUUUCAUUAUAGUUAACUUAAACAACAUUCCAAGAGUUAUCCCUAACUUUAAAAGGAUCCAUAACAUGUUAAUACAUCAAAAAAACCAUGAACAAAGCAUAGGCAAAUAUUCAAACACAUGGCAUGCUAAACAUCCAACUCUACUUCCACUUACUUAGCUUAAGAAAUUUCACCACAAACAACCUCAACUCAACCUCUAGUUGUCAUCAAAACCUCAAACACUUGAUAUAACACAAUAAAGCUAAGAUUUAAGGAUCAUUUACCUUUCUUAAGUGAAGUUUGAAUCACCAAAAAGUCCACCAAACAAGAGCUCCAAGCUUGAAUUACACACUAGCCUUGAAGGUAGUUUACUCAACUAACUAAAGUUCUUUCUCUUAUUGCUCAAAGAUCAAGCUAGGGUUUAUAAGCAAGAAAAUGGAGUUUUUUUUAUCUUCUCUUGGAAGCUUAAGAUGGCUGGCCAAGGAGGAGAAAAUGGAGCCAACAAGGUUUAAAUUCUUCUAAUUUUCUUGGUCAAAUAAGUUGAAUGGUUAGGGUCUUGCCACUUGUCUCAAUCUUGGCCAUUCUUCCUUUAAACUUUGCCAAAUAAGGUUGCUACCCUCCAAAUGUAUCAAAUGUCUAAUAUAACACCCUUAAACUAUCACAUGAAGUCUCAAACACAAUUAAAAGGGUAUUUGGUCAUAGUGUAUAUAGUGAAAUAAAAUAAUGCCAAUUUAAGGAGAUGUUUCAAUUCUUGUAAAAUGCAAUGAAAUGCAAUGCAAGGAAAUGUCAUAAUUGAUUUAGUGUUAGGGUAAUGCAAGUGAUUUAGGAGAAUUUAUAUUUUUUAAGUGAGAGUUCUCACAUUUACCCUUGAUUGGAUCAUCUCACAUUAAGUCUUGGUUACCGGUAGUGAUUUGCUAGUUUUUGUGAAAAGUACGUAAUCAAGCGCAUUUUCAAAGGAGUGCCAUUUAUGUGCAGCAUGUGAUCUGGCUGAUAGACUCAUUCCUGCAGCAGCUCAUGCGGGCUAACGUAUUGGAAGCGUCUCAUUUUAGUGGAGACACGAAUUAUUAUUUAUUUUCGCAAGUAGUACAAGCCCCCAAAGUGGUUCGGCACAGUAUGAUUCAUGGGUAAGACCUCCGAUGGGCUUUUUUGAAUUGAAUUCAGAUGCGAGUUUAGUGGAGUGUAUAGCUUUGGGAGGUUGGUUCCUCCAUGAUCGUAACGGCAAAUUGGUCUUAGCAUACUUUAAGAAGUUUGGAGAUGUGGAUGUAUUGGUGGUGGAAGGUCUUUCAUUGUUGCAUGGUCUUCGUCUUUGCAAAGACAAAGGUUAUUCUUUGAUACAUGCCCAGGUGGAUUCACAGGCUCUAGUUGCCUUGGUAAAGUCUGCCCAUACCUCAAAGUGGCCGCUUUGCAAUGUUCUAAGAGAGAUUCAAUUUCUUCUUGAUAUCAUGAAUGCGGAGGUUCAACUUAUAGUUAGAGAAGCUAAUUUAGCAGCGGACAGGUUGGCUGCUUUACGAGUCGGUUCAGACACCCUUUUUACUUCACCUACCUUUUUGCCAGCUUCUAUACGGUUGGUCCUGGCAUUAGACUCUAGGUCAUUUCCCUAUGUUCGCUCUUAGACUGUAAGGGAGUAGUACUCCUAGUUUAACUUAAUCAGUCAGUUCUCGAGGUCAGGCUUGGCUGCCCUUCAGCUUUUGUUUGUUUCCUCUCGCUUGAAUAAAAUCCUGGUUUCAUUAAAAAAAAAGCAAAUUUGAAUUAGGAGUUUUCUAAUUUGAGUGCAAAAAAUAUCAAAAUUUUCCAUAUGCAAAUUAGCGGAAUUACUGAUUUCAAACACCUAAAUUAUCAAAUUGAAAUUUGAUGCUCACCUCCACCCUUUGGCACUAAAAGAGUAAAUUACCAACACAUAAAUUAUCAAAUGGCAUAUGGUCUUUUUGUUGGUUGCACAAAUAAAAAAAGUUAAAGUUGGUGUUUGAUCAUUAACCUUUUAAGGGAUAAUCAAUGUAUUUCAUGAAUAAUAGGGAUGCUUUGCUACUUGCCCCUAAUUACAAGGACCAUUUUGUGUGUAAACCUAAUAAAUACUAUUUUAAAUUGCUAAGAUGGAUACUCAAGUGUUGAUUCAAAUAUGUAAAUUUCAAUUAAUCCAUCAGUUCAUAUGGAUAAAUCAUUCAACAUAUAGUAAACUGAUCAUUAAUUGGAUAAAUUGAAUAGUGAGAUUAUCUACACGUAAAUACAAAAUAAUCUACAAGUGUAAAAUUUGAAUGUUUUUGUAACGAUAAUUCGGUAUAAAUAGAUGAGAUUUUAACUCCAACAGACACCAUAGGCACUCAUCCCUAUUACUAUCUUUUCAUUGAGAAAAAAGAUCACAUAGCCAAUCAACAUCUUUCUUACUUUCAUUCUAGUACAACUGCCCUUAGAGUUUCUAGAAUAUUGGUAAUCAGUCACUAUUGAUUUUUCUCUUUUGAGUUUCAAAAAGAUUUCCCAUAUAUUUUUUAGUAUAAUGAAAACCCAUGAUUUACUUCACUUCAUGUAUGAUAAGUUGUAAUGGCAAAAAGUUACACUCAUGAGAACAUACUAAGGUAUCAUGGAAUUAGAAAAUUUUUUGAGCUUGUGAACGAAACUAGGUUAGAGGAACUUUUUGGACAUUAUCAAUCACUUGAAUCUUUCAUCAAUAAUCUCUUAAAAUAUUAUUUUAAAGUUGUGUUGAUUAAAAAUAAUUAUGUUGUUUGCAAUUUAUUCCUACAAGUUUCACAUAAUAAUGGAAUGUUUUUAUUAUGAUUUUUUCUUUGGGAUUAUUAAAAAUUAAAAAUUAAAUGAGAAUCAAAAUUACAUACUAAGAGUAGAUUUGUUAAAGUAUAGUGAUUGAUUAAUAUAUCAUCAUAAAUUGAAGAAUUUUUUUUAUAGUGUCUAUAAAUAGUGACCUAGUUUUGUGUGCUUGAUAAUGGUCACAUAGCUAUAUGGAUCAUGGAGAUUAUACUCUGCAAGGAUUUUAUCAUGACUUGGAGGUCAUAAACUUAAGGACUUUUAGUGCUACCAAAGUUAGCAACUUAGCCUAACUCAAACUGAUCAUAAGAGUGAAAGCAAAUGCCCUAUCCUACCAUGGAUUGGCAUCAGUAGGGCUCCCACAUUGUAUUGAGAUUUUGAGUUAUUUUAUGCUUAUAAUCAUGUAUUUACUUUGAUAAUGUAUACUAAGUUUGAUUUUAGUAGAAAAUUAAGAUUUCCAAAGUAUAAAUUUUAAGCUUUUAUUUUAGAAUUAUGUGAGAAUUUGACAAGUGGCCAAAUCAUUCCUUAUUUAUGAGGGUCAAGUUGGGUCAUUACAUCAAAAUUGGAACUUUUUCACAAUUAAUACUGUAUCUAACAUGCUCAUAACUGUACUAUAUAUUAUGCCUCAAUUUACCUCAUUUUAACUGAUUAUUAACAUAAUUUAUCUUGUAGUCAUAUGUGUAUAUUUUAGCUUGUAGGUUCUUACUAAAAUUUUGAAGUUUUCAUCUUAAAAUUGUGGAAGUAUUGGCACAUUUGUUGAGCUACUAUUUUUAGACCUAAUAUUGACUUUAUGGAAUCUAUUAAGAUGUUAAUAUAAGAGAUUUUAGUGCUGAAAGAGGUUUAGGGAGUUUGCUUAAAGAAAAAGUUUAGGAUGGGACCAACUUACAAGAGUUGAGUAACUUAUUUAUGUUGUCCUAAAUCUAGCAAUGGCAAUACGCCAAAAAUUUUCUCUUCCUAAACCCUAACGACAUAUUUAAAUUCUUUACCAAAUCCUAUCGGGUAACCCUACAGAUUUUAACUUCCAUAACCAAACCCUCUUAUUCUUAGGUUCGGAUUAUUCGUCGAGUACCUUUACCCGCUAAUUUGAAUAAUUCAGAAAAAGGUAAUUAACUAUUAUCAAACUAAAAUUAAUACAUACAUAAUGUUAAAUCAACACAUUAUGUUAAAUUUUAAACUUUGGUAGAGUCAUACAACCGACAUGAGAGGAAUUUAGCAUUUUAUGAAGGGUAAAAUGCUUGUGUUAUACGUACAUAUAUAUAUAUAUGUGUGUGUGUGUGUGUGUGUAUGUAUAUGUAUAAAUAUGUAUGUGUAUAUAUGUAUGUCAGAUUUCAAAUUUUUAGGAUUCUCUUACCAAACCCUAACGGAUUGCCCAUUGAUCGUCUAAUCGGAUUAACCAUUGAAUUGAGUACCCAUGGGGAUCGGAUUUUACCCUACCUAUUGCCAUCCCUACUUGAAUAGGACAACCUAGAUAAGGGUGAAUUAGUUGAUAUGUGAUUUCAACUAAUUUUAGAUGUUUCUGUACUUGGUAAAAAAAUAUCUAGCAAGUUAUCGUAUUAAAACAGUCUCAAAACUUCAAGUUAUACUUUGUAAAAACAAGCACUUACAAUAUAUCAAGUACAAUACAUAUAUGUGAUUAGACUAAGAAAAAUACAAUUAAUAAUAAUUUAAAUACAAACAAAAAUUGAAAUAAAUAAAAUGCAAGUAAAAGUAAGUAAGAGAGGAAUAAUUUGUAGUGAUUCAGCAUUAAUGGUCUAACAUCAACUACCAAAGGAAUUUUUCUCCUUUGGAUUUUAAAACUGAUAACUAGUGUUUUGAAAGCUGGGUUGAAUUGGCCAAUUUGAUUGAUUAGAUCGUGAAUCAAUCAUGGCUCUGGUUCGGUUCAUCUUUGGAUUCAUUGGACUUAAGAACCAGUGAAAACCAUGUGAAUCGGAAUGAACUAUUGAACCGGCGAUUUUUUUUAUUUUUUUCUAUUAAAUUGGAAAAAAAGAAUAGGUUCUUAAUAACUCUAAAGACUAGUCAUGAAGUGUCACGCCCACUCACUUUCUUCUCAUCUUCCAUCUCUUAUCAAGUUUUCAUCUCUACUUUCUAGUUUCCUGAUUUCAUUUAGGCUCAAAGUUUUUUUUUUUUAAACAACGUUGCAAUCUUUAAUUCCCAAAAACAUGGUUUAAAGUUUAAAUUUACAAUGUCUAAUUUCUAAAGACAUAAAUUUUAUUUAAUUUCAGAAUAUUUUAGUAUUCUUGGGUAGGAUUUAAAAUUAUAUUUUGGUAGAUACAAUUGAGAUGAAAUUUAUUUGUUUGAACUUAUAAUUUAAAACAUUUAUUUGUGAAAGUCCAACUUCUUUGAAAAUAUUAAACUUUUUAUCAGAUAAAAUCUUAAAUUAGUCCAUUAAAUAUCUUAUUAUGUGCAUAUGUAUUUAUAUAAAUUAUUUUAAAAAAAAAUUCAUUGAACUAGGGUUAAACCAAUCCAACUGAUUGAAUCGCAAUCUAAAUACCUCGUCGGUUCAAUUAGCGGUCCGAGUUUCAAAAUAUUACUAAUAACCGGUACAUUGAUAACAUGUUGUUUUGUUUUUAUAGUGGCAAUAAUACAAAACACCAUAGUACAAAGCACAUUUUCUUUAUAGCUGUUCAAGCAAAACUACUUCACCGAGAUAGUCUUUCUUUUCAGUUCUAAUCUCACUCCACUAUGCCUUUGAAAUUAUAAUGGCUCAAACACAACUAGUUUACUUCUUGGAUCUUUUUCUUAGAUGCUCUAGACAAAGGAUUUAUAAGAAUCACACACACAAAAGCCUAGUCUAUUGCAAAGUAAAAUUCGAUUAUGCCCGUCAUAGUUGCUCAUAAAACAAAGCAAUUAUAAUGGCUCAAACACAACUAGUUCACUUGAAAAGACUUUUUAAGAAAAGACAUGGCUAAGAUAUUUAAAGAUUUGAAUAGAAGACACAAGAAGGUAAGUGUACAUAAACCAAGUCAUUCAAUCUUUGAUGUUCCAAUCUGUUUCUUUUCUUUGAGUGAAUAUCUUCAAAGAUACUCCAAUUUUUUUAACAUCCAAAAGCACUGCAAGUUUGGCUUAAAACACAUAUAGCUAAUUUUUGCAAAUGAGGCGGACUACUACCAUAACAUGUCCACCAUUCAUCUAUUAAAAUACGUAAAAAAAAUCAGAAAGUAAAACUAGAAUCUAAUAAUCAAAAAUGAAAUUCUUGUUUGUAAUUUGUAUACCUGGAAGCAUGGCAUUACGAUAUCUUGUUGUAGAAACUCUUCCAAAUCAUCUUCAACUUUACGAAACAGUUUCAUUUCUCUUGUUAAAUGACUCAAUAAAUCAGGAUUUCCAUAAGAGUAUUUCUCAAUCACAUCCAAAAGUCUUGACGUAGCAUGCCUAUGCUUCUUCAGUAGAAUCAUAUUGGAAAGCAGGAUUCAACCAAAAACCAGUAGCAUGGAUAUUUUUCUGAAGUUGGUUAUCCCAUCUUAAGUCAAUUAUCUUCAAAUAAGUUUCAACUCUUUUCUUUCUUUUAGCAACUCUUUUCAAAAGCUCUUCUCUUGCCUUAUGCAUAGCAGCAUACAAAUACCCCAUAGAAGGCCUUUCAUCACUAUCAACAAGCCUUAAAACCCAUACAAGUGGCUCUGUUAAUUGGACUAUUGUAGCACAUUUUUUUUCCAAAACAUAGAAUCCAAUACUAGAUCCACAAACUUUUUCCCUUUACUUUCCUUAGCAUAUGCAGAAAUAGUCCAUUCUUUUGAAGUGAUCAUGGCUCUCACAGCAUCUUUUGGUAGCAAAAUGCUUUGCAAGGCAAUGAAAUUAGUAGCAAAGUGUGGAGGAGCAAGACGAAUUAUUUCUCUCCCUCUAGUGUGUUUUCUCAUCAAAUUCAAUGGAUAACAGUGAUUAUAUAUAUUGUUAUCUUAGAAGCUUGUCUAACCAUCUUACUUACCUCAUCUAGCUUACCAACAUCUUGCAACAUCAAGUUUAGGCAGUGAGCAGCAGCACUUGAAAACCAAUAAAGUGUUGGAAAUUCCCUUUUUAACAAUCCCCCGACAGCAGCAUAAUUUGCAGCAUUAUCAAUGACAAUAUGCACCACUUGUUCCACACCCACAAAUAACACAAAUUUUCUAAAUAAUUUGUACAACAUGUCUACAGUUUUUGAAGCAUCUGAGGCAUCAACAGACUUCAAAAAUAUUGUUCCUCUUGGACAAUAUGCUAAAAAGUUUAUGAGAGUCCUUCUUUUCUGGUCAGUCCAUCCAUUGGCAAUCGUAGUACAUCUUGUUUCCAAGUUGACUGAAAGCUAUCAAUAAAGUUCUUAACCUGGUCAGCAUUUUUUGUUAAUAAGUAACCAUGCAAAUCAUAGGAAUUAGGAGCUUUCUAACCUGCCCCACAAGAACAAGCUGCAUCAAACAUGGACUGAUAAUAUGCUGAAUUAGUUGCAUUAAAUGUGAUUGAAGCAUCAAUCAUCCAUUUUGAAAUAGCCAAAUCAACCUUUUCCUUUGCCUCUUUUAAUGCAAAGUGCACGGCUGAUCAUGGUAGCUCAAAUAGUGUUCAAGUUGUUUCAAGUGGUCCUAUGACUAAAGCUCGUGCCAAAAAACUUAAAGAGUCAAUGCAAGCUCUAGUUCGUGAUGUGCAAGAUCAAGUUGGUCAUGCAAAUGACAUUCCAGGGCUUGAAAAUGAAGAUUAUACUCUUUACAGUCUUAUUCAAGUCUUGGAUGCAAAAGAUGAAGUUUGAAGAUUUUUCUCGGUUCAUGAGUUAGUCAAGUCAUUUGCUGUUGGUUCAUGCUCCAACAAGUAGUUGUCAUUCUUUGAGUUCUAAUCAUUGUGUUGAGCUUGAUUAGUUUAAGUGUCAUUGUCUUGUUAACUAAUUCAGCCAGCUUGGAUUCUCAAAGAGCCGAAUUGGAUUUCCUGAUUUCAUUAGGUUGUUUUAGUUGUUUUAGUUAACAAGAUCGGUCCUAGGUCAUGUUGAGCAAGUCAAGAGGCUGACUCAGGGUUUUAUUAAUCACAUUAAGUGAUUCCAAGUUAGUUUAGGUUUUAAAGUCUUGUAAAGGCUAUAAAUAGCCUUCCUUCUUUAAUGUUUCUCCUUUGUGACAAAAUAAAAUUGGAAUUUCCAGCAAAACCUUGUGUGUGCAACCUCGAAUAUUUAAGAGAUCCUUUCUUGAAUACUUGAGAGAUUACUUGAGUGUUCACUCUACUUAUCAAUCAAGAAUCGCACUUGAUUGUGGCGUCAUCUAUUUACAUUCUUGGUUUGCUAAUUCAUUUAGUUGUGGGUUGAGAUUAAAUUCAAUAGGUUUGCAACUACGCAGAUUAGAAGGGUCAAGGGUAUUCCGCAACCUUCAACUUGAUUCUUCGUCUAGAUCUGAGGCUUUGUGGGAUACGAGUUCAGGCCUUCUAGGUGGGUUCAUAUCAUAUUUGCUUUGCAAAACACUCUUGAUGGUAGGUUGUCCUCUAUGAGUUGUUCUUGGCAUGAACAUGGUCCCAAUUAUCUUUCCUCUUUUAUGAUCUUGAGCAACUCUUUUUCCUUUUACAGCUAUAGAUGUGUUGGUUGAACCUCUUGAACUUCAUCUUCAUCUUGCAUGUACAAUUGCUCCUCAUAUUGUCUCAAAGGCUGGUCGUACAUGUCACUUGCUUUUAAACGAUUUUGCAAGCUUCUUUUCUUAUUAGCCAUAGCUUGUAAGUUAUUUUGCAUUUCAUAUCUUAAUUGUGGUUCCACUUUUGGACACAGAUAGGUCUAUCCUUUUACACCUGCAAGGUGUUGCUUGAAUCGACUGAUACCACCACCCUGUAUCUUUUUCCUGCAGUAACAACAUAUCAAACACUUGACCUUCUUAUUAGAUACUAAGCCUUCUAAACAAUGAGACCAACCUAGAUCCGUUUUUCCCCUUAUUACAGGUUGAGAUUGUGAACUUGAAGUAUUUGGUGUUGCACUUGUAGGCAUUUCUCCAACAGAAUCCAUCUAAAAAAAUGCAAAUGCAAGCAUGUAUUCAUUGGAUAAAAAUGAUGGAUCAUUGAAUACAGAGUGGCUAAAGUAUUGGCAAAGGCAUUGUGAGUGCCAGAGAUACGCCUGAACUCCAAAUUCCUAACUUUAGUGGCCAAACUAAGGAAGUUACAAUGAUAAAACAUAAUUUUCAAUCUCAAGUUACCCACUGCUUGAGCGUCUAGUGCACAACUAAAUUGGAAUCACUGAAUGCUAUCAGGUCCUUAAUCUCCAUGUCCAGUACCAUUUUCAUAAAAAAAUACAAGCUUCAUACUCGGCCAUAUUGUUGGUACAAGGAAACCAUAACUUGGUAGUAGCAGGAUAGUUUUCCCUUUAGUCAACACCAAAACUGCUCUAAUUCUAACCCUAAAAGAAUUUGAAGCACCAUCAAAGAAUAGCCUCUAUCCAAGAUAUUACUCAUUCAUGUCCUCAACUGUUCCAAUGAACAGAAUUUCUUCAUCAGGAAGUAGCUAUGUAGUGGCUGGUAAUCAUCCUCCCUCAGGUUUUCUGCCAAAUGAUCUGCUAUGGCUUGUCCUUUGACUGCUUUUUACAUUGUGAAGACAAUAUCUCACUUGGAAAGGACCAUCUGCCACUUAGCCAUUCGUUCCAUGGGCAUUGGCUUUUCUAACAAGUAUUUUUGAGGAUCAGAACGAGAAAUCAAGUAAGUGGUAUGACCAAGGAAGUAAUGCCUCAACUUCUAACCUGCCAAUGCUAAAGCACAACAACUUCUUUCAAGGAAAGAUUAGUUGGCCUGAUAUGCUGUAAAUUUAUUUCUGAGAUAGUAGAUGACUUAUUCUCUCCUCCCAGAUUCAUCAUGCUACCUCAGAAUGCAUCCAACAACCUCAUUAAGUAUAGACAAAUACACAAUCAAAGGUCUUUCCGAUUGAGGUGGCACUAAGAUCGGAGGGUUUAGCAAGUAAUUCUUGAUCUUAUCAAAAACUUACUGACAAUCUUCAUUCCAAUCCAUUGAUGCAUUCUUUUUUAACAAUUUGAACAAAGGUUCACAGGUGGAAGUCAAUUGUGCAAUGAAUAGACCAAUGAAAUUAAUCUUUCCAAAAGAACUCUUCACAUCCUUCUAAACUUUUGGAAUUGGCACAUCUCGAAUUGUUUUAAUUUUCGUAGAAUCUAUCUCUAUACCCAUUUUACUGACAAUAAAACCUAAUAAUUUGCCAGUUGGGGCUCCAAAAGCAUACUUCACAGGGUUCAACUUCAAAUUAUACUUCCUCAAUCUUUUGAGUAGCUUCUUUAAAUCAACUAAAUGAUCUUCAACUUUCUUAUAGUUAAUUAUGAUGUCAUUCACAUAAACCUCAAUCUCCUUAUAGAUCAUGUCAUGGAAUAUGAUAAUCAUGGUCUUCUGAUAAGUAACUCUAUCAUUUUUCAAUUCAAAAGGCAUCACUCGGUGUCACACACCAUUUUUGAAAAAAAAAGAGAAAGGUGUUAGAAAAAUGAUUUUUUUAUUUUAGAAAAUAAAGAAAAAUGGCCUAAAAUGGGACUUCAAAUAAUGCGAUGGUUUGCACCCAAGAUAUUAGUCUAAAAAGUGUUUUUAGAAAGAGAGUUGUCACUUGAUAUCGACUUUAGGUGUAUGAAGUUACCCAAAAUAUAUUUUAAAUAAAAAAAAUAAAAUAAAAUUCUUUUAGAAGACUCCAGAUCUUUGAAAAUAAGAGAAAAGAAUUCGGAAGUCACGGUUUAAGAAAAGGGAGGCAAAGAUUUUGAUCUAAGGCACCCUUUCAAUCUAACCAAAAUUAGUUGUAAGAUUUAGUAAAAAAUUUUCCUAAUCUAACCUAUAAAUCUUAUCACAUUUGGAUGCUUCUAUAUGGAUGCAAACUUAAACCUAGGGGGUAACGAGAGGGACGAAAUGUCUCUUCGAAAUUUAAUUGGUGCAAAUCACAUUAAUUGUAAAACCCAAGAAUGAUCCCUUGAAAAGAUCACGAAUAUGCAAAAAUGAGAUUCAAAAAGGAAAUUAUGAUAUAUACAUGAUCUAGAAGAGAGAAAAGCAACAUAACGGUUAUGGAAGACUAAAAUUCGUGAUGCAAUUUUCCUUUUUAUAGAGGAGUAAUAGCGUACUAAGGUUAAAAAAUCACGUUUGCCCAUUUCCUAUAUUGGAAGAGUGAUUCUUCUAACCUAAUUAAUCAAAUGAACUAGUUUACUUUUAAUUUUUUAAAAUGAGAUACAAUUCUAAAUGAUAUGGUCCAAAUAUAUAGAGGGUAAGGAAAUAAUAGUAGGAAAAAUAUCAUACAAAUGAAAAUAACCUAAAAAUAGAAAAAAUGCAUAAGAUGCAAUAAAUGUCACACCAAAGCAUGAAUCUAGCGUAUCGAUGAUCUAAAGAGUCUAGUAUUGGACUAACCCAUUUUUACAAGUUCUUACUAACGUUGAACUAGUGAGAAAUCGGGGAGAAAAGCCACAACUAGCGUAGUGAUAUCAUGCACUUAUUAUAAAUAAAUAAAACAUAUAAAGUAUAAUUAAAAUAGAUAAACACAGAGAGUACAUAGAUCAUAUAGCACAUAGACAUGAUAUCUAGAUGCAAAACCCUAGAAAAAAACAAGUAUACAAGCAAGUACAUAAACACACAAACAUGCAAGCAAAUAAGAUCUAACUAUUGCAUUGACAACUCUAACUACAAUCUAAAAGGGGAAUUUUGAAAAUAAUAAACAUAUCUAUUAUGUUUAUCUAACUAAUUAUAUUUUUGGUAAAAAAUAAAAUUUAUCUAUUACAUCCCCUAUCUAAAUACAUUUCUUGGAUAAGAAGAUACAACCUAUCUAUUACAAUUUGGCAUUUAAAUGCUUUCCAAACAAACAUUCAAAUUAAAUAAAAUAAAUAAAGGCUUAAAAUGAAUAAAAUGAGUAAAUAAAAAAAUACAUAAAAUUAUGCAAUCACACAUGAAAAUGCAUAGGAACACAUAAAAGAGUUUAAAGAAUAAUAGAGGGUACCUCCCUUGAAUUAGCGGCUACGUGGGAAGGAUGAAAAGUUGUAACUUUUUCCAAAAAUUAACAAAUAGGUCAAUGCACCAAUUUAAUUGACAAUUUUCAAAGGGAAUAUAAACAUAUACUAAAUUUCCCUUUUAUUGUGAAAAAUUGUAAAUAAACAUGAAGCAACUAAAACUUAACAAUUAAAUGCAUUUAAAUGAAACACAAUUAACAAUUAAAGAAAAGAUGCAAUUGUAAUUGAGAAAUAAUAAAAAUAAGGACCUAAUUGCAAAAAUUAAGAAGUUUUUGGGGUUAAAUUGUAAUUUUUUAAAAGUAUUAGGGGUCAAAAUUAAAUAAAAAAAGUUGAGGGACCAAAAUACAAUUAAAUUAAGGACCUCAAUGAAAACAUUCAAAAUUUAAGAGUUACAAUAAAAUUACUCAAAAGAUUACGGAUCAAAUUGCAAAAUUCGUUUCUGAUUACAUACCAAACCAUGCAGGGCCAUUUUUAAGCAGUUGGGCCACACAAUUCUAACCCAAAAGAAAAACACAAGUUAAUCCAUAAAAAACAAGCAAGCCCAAAGAAAAUUUAGAAAAACUAAAUUAGAAUGGGAACUUUGGUGUUAACUCUAAAAGUCCAGCCACAAACCCAACGAAAGAUAAAUACAAAUCCACCAGAAAUAAUGAAACCAACCCAAUGUUUUUUUCCCUUCUUUUUCCUUUUUUUUUCUUUCUUUCCCUCUUUUCCUUCUUCUUCUUCCCUCUCCAUUUCCUUCUUCUCUGGUAGAUUGAAGUUUUAGCAGUUGGCGGUGCUGCCACCAGCGACCUCUCCAGUCACAAAAUUUCACAAAAAUACACCCCUACUUGAUUUUUUGCCUUGAAUCCGUUUCCGACCUUAGUUUUUACAAAAAAAUGAACGAAAAGUGCUCAAAAGAGCCAUUUACAGCUAGGUUUUAUUUUUUAAAAAUCCCUCAAAUUUUCACUAAAACUCAUGAAAAAUAUAGCAAAACAACCCUUACGAAAUGUACAACGCUACUGCACACUCUAUUUUACAACAAAUAAUAAGGAAAAUGAUAAUCAAAGCAAAACAGUCCCAUCUUUAAACAAACUUUUUUCUUGCUUUCUAGGCUAAAAACUCAAAAAUUUUGAAGAAUAGAAUAUUUUCCAGGCCUUAUUCCAGCUAUAACCAACUAUUUUAGCAAAAUAUGUACAUCAAAUUUAUUCUUUUAAUUUGGUUCUUCAUUUAGACAUUUUCUCAAACAUUUAAGAUGCAUACACAAAACUCAUUUUUCUUUCCUUAAUCUUGUUUUACAAUUUGCCUGAUGUCCCAGCAGCACAACAACAAAAACCAGCAAGAGCAAGAGAAAAAUAAAGCAACAAAACAUGCACUUAAUGUGAUUUAAAAAGAUGGAAAAUACCACAAUGAAAGUUGUAGUCCCUUGGUUAAAAUUUUUGGAGAAAUCCUCAAGCUUUAACCGUCUAUUCACUUGCUAUCUUUGCUUCCUUAUUUCACCUUUCUUUGCUCCAAGGAUGGAUGUGUGUGAGAGCCAAGAGAGAAAAAGAAUUGCGUGAUGUGCGUGUUUGUGUUGGCGUGUUAUGCUGUGUGAGUAAGAAUAGAGGGAGAGUCGAGAGAGUUUUUCUUUUCUCUUGGUGAGUUUUGUGUAGUCUUGAAAAAAUUCAGAGAAGUCAAGAGAGAUUUCAUGGGUUAAGUGUGACGACCCCACCUCCCUCUAAGGCGUACCUAAGGGUUUGGCAGACCGUCUGCCCAACUCUCGCCAGGACUCACUCAUACUGUCACGAAAUUUAUAGAGUAACAACUCCAACAAUAAAGCCAAUAUCAAUUAUAACCCUAGAAUAUACAAUCGUGGGUUUCAAAUGCUCAUACAAUCGCUAAAUAUCGCCACAGAAUCAAACUUACAAAAAUAAAACUAAGCAAGCCCGCUAGCAAUCUAAGGAGUGCUCAUACGAGCAACUAACAAAAUUUAGACAAAAUCGAUGCCUUCUCCAACUUCCACUCUAAUGUUCUCACCCCUGUAAGGAAAACAAAAUUCAAAAAAUGAGCUAAAAGCCCAGUGAGGUUCCAAGUAAACAGAAAGGUAAAUUAGCAAGUAUGAUACCAUUCACAGGAGAUCAAGAAACAAGUCAAACUCAAAUAGAUCAUGACCUAGUGUAUCAUUAAGCAGGUAGCCAGAUAGAUCAUGCAAUAGUGUACGGUAAAGAACACGUUCAUGUCAACGGAUAUAGUCUGCUCUCAGGAGCAGGUUCCACAAUAGCUUGUCUGGGGUCCGUUGACUCUCUGUCAACCAUGGAAUUAUAAGGUCCGUAGAUCCCCGCUAAACGUCAAUUUCCGUCCACCGAUCAUCCCCCUAUUGGGCCUGAACGCCAAUCAAAUACCUAAGGUUCGUCAAUAUUCUCGACCAAACCCUUGCCGACUCGAUUCAACCAACUAGCUAUGGGUUGGGCCUAUAGCCCUAAGUAUUCAAGUAUUCAAGAUCUUGGCUUAAAGCCCCAAGUAUUCAAGUAUUCAAGAGUGGAGUCGUUGGCUGUCAUCCAACGCUCACGCAAGUAAUAAUUGGAGACGUUAGCUAUCACCUAACGCUCCGUAUUCAAGCAUGUCACGAGUUCAAGUCAUGAAUUCAAGUCAUAAGUAAAUAGGUUAGGAACUUCGUCUUUUACCUAAGGUUGCCCAACUUACCGGACUGCUCUAAGGCUGGUCUCAAGCAAGAGGUCCAACGAGGUCUCAGUUCAAUCGUUACCGACCUACAUUCAUGUAUAAGUAUGAGUAACCCAAGUUUCCACUUACUCGACGUCUCGGAUAAGGGUCCAAGGGCCCAGUUCAACCGCUGCAAGAAGAUAUAUAGUCGGUCUACAAUCAUGCACAUAUACAUGCAAGUCCGCACGCAAGAUCAAGUAUUUCAAGUUCAUGGAGGUCGAGCACACAUAGGGACAUACUCGCCUAGCCAUGAUCAAGUCACAAGUAACCUUAGCAUAUCACGUUUUCAAGCAUUUCAAGUAUUUCAAGUCAAAAUACAGGUCACAAGUAAAUCAAAUUGGUUGUACAUGCAUGAACAAGAUAUCAAAAAUUUAGUCGAGUUAGGUCGAGUGCGAUAAAGUAUAUACUCGCCUAAGAAAUGACAAAUCAAGUGCCUAGCAAUUUUAGCAACAAGUAGCAUGGAAGAUGCAAUUGGAACACUCACCACAACAACAAAGCUUAAGUGCUCGCCUCGGGAGGAACUUCGACUUCUCUUCCAAGCCCUAGAAUCAAGUAUAUGGAGUGCAUUAGGAUUUACUACUCCAAGCCACAAGAUUUAAACGAAACUAUACCCAAGUUCCAACUAAGAAAUCUCACCCAAAUCACAUGAUUUCUAAAUCAAUUCAAGGAGAACAUCUGUGUAUACUUUAGGUCAAAGAUUUAAGCAAAUGAUAGUACAAACAUUUUCUCAUUUUCAUCCACCAAAAUGAGUUUAAAAUUACCCAAAUCAAUUUUCUCCUAGACUGGAAAUUUAUUACUUGAAACUUGAAACAUGUAAGAUUGAGGUUUUCACCUUUUAAAACCUUCCAUUUUCCACUCCAAUUCACUACUCAUACUAGGGUUAAUGUCUAAUCAUGGUUUAGGGCAUUAAUGUGACAAGUUCACCACACAAAACGAAGAACAAAGCUAUAUAAGGUCACUUUCUCUUUUGGUCAGCUUUGAACACAUUUUUCAGCCAUGAAAACAAUGAAAGAAAUGGUGUUCUUACCACUUAAAACUCAAGGUUUUAAUUCAAUUCCAACACAUACUUAUAGCCUAAAGUCUUGUAGAGUUUCUUGAGCAAAAUUAAGCUUUAAAUCAUCAUGAAAAUGUAGAAUUCCAAGCUGAAAUUUCAGCCCUUAAGUUCGGCCAUCAAGCAGAAUUUUUCUUCCAAUUUUUCCAACAUUUCUCCAACUAAUUUACCAAAUCCAACCAACCAUACUUAGUAAAUCCAUAAAGUUUCAUCUCCAACAUAACAUUAGAUAUAUGUAAAGCCACAAUCUCAACAAGAAACCACCAUAAUCAUAUAUAUAUAUACAUAUAUAUAUAUACAUAUAUCCAAACCCUAAACUCAAACAUGAAGUACAAGAAUCAUCAACUUAAGAAACUUCCAAAAUUCGCCACAAAUCUUUACUUUAAUCCAACAAUCAACCUUAUUUUCAACAUAAGGCAAAGAAAGAAGGUUAAUCUAGCAUUUUACCUCUUUUGCUUUCCAACCAAGAUGUACUUCAACCCACCAAAUCUUCUCCUUUCCAAGCUUAAGCCAAGAUGGAUGAAAACCCCAAGUUAUCUCCUUCCUUUUCUCUCAAAAUCCAAGCAAGAUUAAAGUUAGAGUAGUUGAAGCUUUUCUCUCUUUUUUCUCCCCAAAAUUUCAGCCCGCUCUCUCUCUCCUUCUCUUGUGGUUUGUUUGUUAUGUUUUAAGGCAAGAAAUGGAAGAAAACAUGGUAAGAAAGCUUGGUCAAAAAAUCUUAAAGGAUUAUAACUUGGUUCCUAUGGUGCCAAGUGUCACAUUCUUGUAAUUUCCUACCCCAAUAUCCCAAUUCUUUCUUAUUGCACUAAACUUCCUCUUCUUUUUUUCCCAAAAGUUCCUUUCAUAUUCCACUAAAAAGGACAAAUCUCAUUUUAUCCCACACACUAACUUCCUCAUGUAAAAUUUAAUAAAAGCAUUAAGACAAAAUUAUUAUCAAAUCAAUAAAUAAACAAAUAGAUAAGUAAAUAAAUAAAAUACCAUGUAGGUAAACUAGGUAAAUUGACAAAAUUUCUAAGUCCUCAAAUUAAGAGUUUAUAGGACAAAAAUUUCUAAAAUCUAGAAUUGAUGGUUAGGAUAAAGUAGGAUUAUGUGUCCCAUUUCCCUUCCUUUGAUCCAUUUUUGGUAAGUGUUAAAGGAUAGAAUUUGGAUGAUGAGUUGUCUUGUACCAACCAAACCUUGGAGAGAAAGAAAGAGUGAAAAAAAUGUACAUGGCGUUUAGUUCACACCUUAGAAUUUGAUUUGGGUUCGGGAUCAUUCAUCCUGGAUUUGGAAUGAGAUCAACCAUUCCAAUAUAUCGUGCUUGGUACAAAAUCCAUUGGAAUGGGACUCAAAAUUAAAUUUUUUUCCUUGAGCCCUUUUUUGGUUUUUCAUUCCCCAAUCACCAAUCAACAACAUAAACUCCCAAAUAGAAGAUUUGGGAAGUUCGUAUUUACCUUUCUCCUCGCCAAUAGUUGGCACUUGGAACACGAGUAGAAAAAUCGAAAAAUUAUCCAAGGAACCAAAUAGCAAUUUCUGUCCUCCAUCAAGAUUCAAUCUCCAGCAGCCUCAAUAUUGUCCACCUAAUGCCACAACUCAUUGUUGCUAAGAGCCAUCACUUUGAUUUCACUAGGAAAAGGAGGAAGUCGACUAGGGUAAGGAUUGGGGAUGGCUUGACAGUAAGUGAGGAGAAGUGGUGUGUUGAAGGAAAGACUGGUCAAUACUAAAGGUGGUUGGAGGAUGAGAAAUCAGAGAGAGAAGGGGCCUACUGGAGUUGAGACGAGAGGGGAAUUUUUGGAGGAGAGAAGGAAUAGGUUUACUAGGGGUGAAGGAGGGGAGUUUUGCCUACCAUGGAAGAGAAAAGUAGGGGAGAAGAGGAAAGGGAGGAGAAAGGAGACAGUCAGAGGUGAGAGAAGGGAAGGUGAUUGAUUGAAAAUAAGGUUUAAUAAAACUUAUUUUGGAAUCAAAUGGAGGAUUUGACAAAACCUUCCAAACUUGCUCAGGAUUGAGAGUUACCAAAUUUUUAGAAAUCAUUCCAAAAUUUCAAACCCCAUACCCAUUAGCCAAACAUAAAAAUUGGACAUGAUUCCAAAUCCUGAUUCUCAUACCCUUAAAUCAAAUGCCACCCUAGUUUGGGUUUUUGUUUGGGUUUUGUAUAGAUUUUUGGGUAGGUUUUGUGGUUGGGUUUGGAUUUUUUUCUAUUGGGUAUGAAACAUAAAAAAAAAUCUACCAAAAAUUUUCAAUUUUAAGCAUCCAUUUUUCUUUUGAUUUUUUUUGCACAAACCUACAAAACAAAAAUUUAAAUAAUUACUCAAGCAAUUUAAGUGAAAAAUAGUACACUUGAAAUUAAGAAAAUUUAGUGUUUACAACUUGUCCCUCUUUAUUUGACUCAGGACAAAAACGUAGACACCAAAUUAUUUACAUGUCGCUUUCGGCUACAAUUGUAUCAAAACAAACAAAAGUGAAUAUUUUAAACAAGAUCGAAAUAUGCAUGAAUUUAUUUACGUCUCGUCGCAUGAAACGUAGUCUAAAUAUGAUGUUGAACGAAAUUCGUGCCGAAAACAAAAUAAAAUAAAGAAAAUCAAAAAGCAAAUAAGUAGAAUAAAUAAUAUGAGGAUACAUGUAUUAAAUUGUGAGUUGAUAUUCAUUGGCGGGAUUAAAUCCAUACUCAAAUAACUAAUAAGGAGACUGAAAUAUGCUUCCAAAUGCCAAUUAUCGGUGAAAUUAAAUCCAAAUCCAAACAACUAGUGGAAGAGUGAAAAGUUAUCUUAAAAACUAAAUCGAUUGGUGGGAUUUAACCCAAAUCCAAACAACUAGUGAAAAUCUGAAAAAUUAUUUAAAACUAGAUUGAUUGGUUGGAUCCGAACCAAAUAUUUUAAAACUAGAUUGAUCGAUGGGAUUCAAUCCAAACCCAAACAACCGGUGGAAGAGUGAAAAUGUACCUCAGGCCUAGAUAGCUAGUGGGAUUAGACUCAAAUCCAAACAACUAACGGAAUAAUUUGAAAAUAUACCUCAGGUCUAAAUUGCUGAUGGGAUUAGAUUCAAACUCAAACAACUAGCUGGAUAAUUUAGAAAUACAUCUCAAGCCUAGAUGGCUAUUGGGAUUAGACCUAAAUCCAGAUAACUAGUGAAAUAAAUAAAAAUACACCUCAGACCUAGAUAGUUGGUGGAAUUAGACCUAAAUCCAAAUAACUAGUAGAUUAGUGGGAUAAAAUUCGAAUCCAAUUAAAUAACGAAUUGGUGGGAUAGAACCCGAACCCAGUGAAAUAACAGAUUGAUGGAAUAAAAUUCAAAUCCAAUUAAAUAACAGAUUGGUGAGAUAAAACUUGAGUCUAAUUAAAUAAUAGAUUGGUAGGAUAAAAUUCGAAUCCAAUUAAAUAACAAAUUGGUGGAAUAAAAUUCGAUUCCAAUUAAAGAACAGAUUGGUGAGAUGAAAUCCGAAUCCAAUUAAAUAAUAGAUUGGUGAGAUAAAAGUUGAACCCAAUAAAAUAAUAGAUUGGUGGGAAAAAAUCCGAUCCUAAUUAAAUAACACAUUGAUGGGAUAAAAUCUGAAUCCAAUUAAAUAACGGAUUGGUGGGAUAAAAGCCGAAUCCAAUUAAAUAACAGAUUAGAUAACAGAUUAGUGGGAUAAAAUCUAAUCCCAAAUGAAUAACAGACUGGUGGGAUAAAAUCUGAAUCCAAAUAAAUAACAGAUUGGUGGGAUAAAAUUCGAACUCAAUUAAAUAACAGAUUGGCGGGAUAAAAUUUGAAUUCAAAUAAAUAACAGAUUAGUGGGAUAAAACACGAGUCCAAUUAAAUAACAAAUUGGUGGGAUAAAAUUCGAACCCAAAUAAAUAACGAGAAAAAUAAAAAUGCAUCCCAAACCUAGAUUGCUGGUGGGAUCAGACCCAAACUCAGAUGUCUAGUGGGGGGAAAUAAAAAUGCAAAUUACUAAUUUUGAGAAAGUAAAAUUGUAACGUCCAUGUCACUAGAGUAGAAAACACAAAAAAGAAUAAAAAAUAGUUCUGAAAGUGUACAAAACGUAGAUUAUUAUAAAGAAAUGAAAUCCAAGGCCCAGAAUGUUGUUUGCAAAAGAUUCUCUUUUUUUGUUUUUUGUUUUUUUAAAAGGCACCCUUUUGGGUUUUCACCUAAUGAACAAUUUUAAUGAAAGCCUCUAUCAAUUCAAAAAUUUAUUUCAAAAUUGAUGACAUCAGUGUGACAAUCCUUCCUUUGCAAAACUAGUGAAGGUGUGUUUAUAUUAUUUGUCAUUUGAUUAAGAAAUUUUUUUUCAAAAUAUUACAAAAGAUGGAGGUCAUAAUAAGAAAAGUUAAUGCUGGAAAGCAGAUUAUAUAAUGGAUUUGAAGUAGUUUUGAAAUCACAUUUUUCAAUAUUUGUCCCAGUGUUGGGCUAAUGAAAACUAAAAAAAUUGCCCCAAUUUAAUUUUAACUGGAUUUCUCUGUUUUUCCCUUUUUUUGAAGUAUGUACUCAUUCUGAAUGGAUAAGCCAAUCCUCCACUUUGCAAUGUAGUAUUAUUGUCCCUUUUUAUUUGUGGUUGACCUUCAAAUUUGUAAGAUUUUAACCUGCGUUUUUUUCUCGAUUUUAACCAUAAAUAUCUGCACAGAGUGGAUGUGCUAAAGGACGAUGUGUACUUGAAUUUUCACAAAAAAAAUUCUUACUUUAUUCUGAAAAAUGAUGCAAUUACUACUCAUAAAAGGAACGGUCUUAUCAAAGUCAAAUUUUGAACAAUAGAUUCGAAGGUAUAUUACUUAAUUUUUAGGUGAAAUCCCUUAAAUGUAUUACAAAAAUUUGCCCCAAUUUGAGCCUUUUAUUUGGAAAAAUUUUUGUUUGGAUGACCUUCUAUUUAUUUGACAAAAACAAGAAAACUGAGCUUCCUAAAAUUUGAAAAAUAAUCACAUGUUAACAUGCAAUGUGCAUUGGUGUACAAUAGAAAUUACAUUCUUCAAAUGAAAAAGAAACUAAGCUAAGAAAAAUGUCAUGCCUAAACUCAUGUAGAAGACUCCAUGAUGAACCUUUCAAAAGAGGAUCUAAUUGCAAUAGAUUCCUUCCUCACUUAGGAUCAGCCACGGAUUUAAGGGGGGGCUGGUGGGGGCUUAAGCCCCCCCCCCAAGCCGCCGGAAAAACCCCUAUAUAUAGGGGAUUCCGGCGGCCAGCCCAGCCAUUCCGCAGAGGGCAAGCUCAGGCUCUUGCUUGAUGAUUUUUUCUUUGUCUGAUGAGGUCAGACAUUCCGCAGAGGGUUGCACGUAUCCAUACCCAAACCCUAUGGCAGAGUUGCAAUAAGUCUCUACGGUACCAUCCCUAGAUUCUAGGUUGAUGUUGUUCAGCACAAUGUGGCUGCAAGGAACCGUGUCGCUGCAUGCAAAUUUCAUGGCGUUUUUGCUUUUGGAAGUCCCGCUAAUGUUCUUGUACAUGAUUUCACUUAUUUCAACUGUAGAACUCUGGAUAUAAAAAGUCGUUGUCAGGAUAUUUUAAGGAUGAGUAGAUAAACAAUUGCCUGCACUUUUUUUUUUUUUGGUCGAAUUUUAGUAUCAUUCAGAGUUUAUUCACCAAAGAGAGCAGAAAAUACAAAGUCCGUCUGGUUCCCAAUUAACCAGCUAUUCUGGAAAACCAUGAAGCUAGAGGGUGAAUCAUACCUGGUUCUGGCAAGGCGUCGGCGAAUCACAGUAGAAUUGGUCAAUGAUAAUGGGAUUUGAAACGUCAUCUACUCUCACAUUCUGAUAUCGUACCCCUCGAACAUACCCAGAUCCUCCCUGCAGAGCUACCAUUUUUAAUCAUUCUCCAUAUAAUUAUAUGUUUUUAUUAUUUUUAUAAUUAUUGAUUCUAAAUUUUACUUAUUAAAUAUAUUUAUUUCGUCACAAAAAAAAAUUUUUAAUACACUUCGGCCCCCCCAAAAAUAAAUUUCUGGCUCCGUCCCUGCUUAGGAUCAAUGUUUAGGGAAAAAGAUCACCGUUUCUCGUUAGCUUAUCUCUCAGGACCAAUCAAGUGGGUAUUAUUCUUGAUUUUCAGGUGGUUAAGAGAAAUGAUAUUUAAAAAUGGUAUGUCAGGAUCUAUCUUACUUUUGUGCCCAGAUUGCAUCUAACCCAUUCAAUAUCGCAUCUUGGUGAAAACAAAUAGUUUCCCACACUUAUUUCUUAUAAAAACUAAGUCAACAUAUAAGGUCGUAAACUUGUAAUAUAUGGGUAGAAGAGAUAGUUAAAUAUAUGAAAAUAGAUUAUAACCUCAUGAUCACGAGUGAUUGGUAGAUACCUUAGAGGCAUGAUCCUUAUUUCAAGUUGUUAUAAAAGAUAAGUCAGCAAUCGACUUUAUGAGAUUGUAUUGUGGCUUGAAAAUGAUAGUUAAAAAAAUAAGAUUUUUAAAAAUGCGGCACUUAAGAUCACAUUCUUUCCAAAAUUGCCCCAAUUUUGGGCUCAAAGACCUUGGACUCCACUUCUACUUUUAUCAUUAAUCACUAGAGGGAUUUUGAUAUUGAAUUUUUCUCUUUUUUUUCUUUUCUACUUUUUUUUUUGCUUUUUGCUUUUUCUCUUUUUUCUCUUUGCUUUUUUCUUUUUUUUUCACCAAUACUAAAGCCUAAAUAUCAAUAAUAGAAUAAAAAAAUCCCCUAACUUUAAGAGAUAGAUGCACUUUUCUUUUUUUUUUUUAAUACUUCAUGUCUCUUCUAAAAAAUUUAACAUCUUUGCUAUUAUUGAAAAUUCUCAGAUCUCCUUCCCCAGUGUGGGGUGCGAUCGUAAGUGCUUUUGAAACGAACCACCAAUUUAAGUUCAAAUCAGAAUGCAAAGGAUAAACAGUGUUUAGAUAGUAGAAAAGAUGGCUAAAGCAUCAUUCUCACGUUACAUGACAUCCAAAAUAAAGUAUAACUCAUUAAGAGAAUCCAUUCCCUUUGGACAUUUGAAAAUUUUUUCAAUUGUAGGUUGUAAUCAUUAAUACUCUUAUUUGAAAUGAAAAUUGUACUUUUAAUAGCACAAAUAGGAGAACAAAUGAUAAAAUUUGUACAGAUAGAGAAAUGAACGCAUAUAGUAUCAUCCCAAAUUCUCAAAAUAAAUAAGAGUAAUGAACAUUUUUGCAUUCAACUAAAUGUAGAUUGAAUUUGGUUAGACAUAUUAGGCCUUUCCAAAGUAAAAAUUGCCUCAUUUUAAAGUGUGUCAAUCAAAGUGACUGAUUCUGGAGGUUUGAUAGAAUUGGACAAAAUAUGAACAACAAAAAUGAAAGAGAAAAAGUGUCGUGGUUGGUCUUUUAAGACAAACUAACAAGUUUGAGUAAUCUCUUUUGAUUUCGAGCAUUCUCAUUGAAUAGUCUGAACCACAAAUUUAGUGCAUGCAAAGAUUUUAGAAAGCUAAACACACACUUAUAAAUUUCUUGCAAGAGAUUGAGAAUCUCAACUUAGUUUUAUUACUUAAAGUCCAUCACGAAAUCUCCUAACGAGCAAAUAAAGAAUGAAAUGUACAUGAAUAUAUACAAAACAAUAAUUUUUUAAAUGAAAAACUUUAUUAUUGCAAAUAUUUGAAAUAAAAUUUUUGCUCAACUAUAAUACGAAUGAGAAAAGAAAAAUCUCUAAAGAACACACUUUCACACAUACACACACACAAACACACUUUCUCUCUCCUUUCUUUUAAGAUAAAAUAUGUUAGAAACAACAAAUGAAGAUUUUUUUUUACGAACAACUAUAUCAUUAAAUCUCUUAGAUGCUUUAGACUAAGGCUUCCAGAUGUAUUCUCCAUAUUUUUAUAUUAUAGGAUCUGCCUAAGAAUCAAGUAAACUUCUAAAAUUUUUUAAAAACUUUAUCAGACUAACAUUGUUGUCAAAUAUGAGAAAAUCAUUUUUGCUGUACUAAAAUAUCUUUUAUGAAUAUAGGGGAGGGGGAGAAAAGAAAAAGAAAAAUACCUAGAGUUAACAAACAAAACUGCAAACUCAGUAUGCAUGUUCUAUGGGGGAGCUCUUUUAUACCAAGAGUUGACAUAGUAUGAAAAAUGCUAUUCUCUAGGGUAGGCAUCAUACAAUAUCUGAUGGAUCUGAUCAUUUUACUGACAUUCAACUGAAAAAUAAUUUGAAAAUGUGACUAAUUGGAAUGACAUGAAACAUCUGACCUAAUAAGAUGAGGACAAAAUUCGAAUGGAUUGAUUACUUUGAUUGAUACAUAAAGAGAUGUCAAAAGACAAUUUAGUAUGAAAGAACUUACUUUUGAAAGGAUUGCGAUAUCUCAACUAGUUUCUUCAAUGAAGCAUGUAUCAAAACCCUAAAAGGACAAACUAGUCAAAUGGAUUGAAUGGAAUUGAUGGUUUAUUCAAAAAUCGACUUGAUUGUCCGUCCAUUUGUAGUUUCAAAUUUCACAAAAUUUGUUGCAAUGCAUUAGUCUAUAAGCCUUCUAAAAUCAAGAUUUUGGUCUCGAUAUAUUUAUUAUCUCAACAAUGAGGAAUCAUUUGUGAAUUUCUUCAACUUAGUGUCCUUUACGCAAGGGAUUUACCAACUUUGACAAAUGGCCAAAAAGUGAAUAUUAGAGAUUUAUAUUCUAAUGUGCAAAAAUUGCUUUAUAAUUUUCAAUGCCAUCAUUAUGAAAGGAUCGAAUCCUAUCUUAUCUUGUACACUACUCCUUUAGAUGGUACAAAAAAUAUAAACAUGCAAGUCUCAUUAGAUUAUAUCCGACACAAAAGGAUAAUUUAUUCCUAACAUAGAAUCCCUUAUGUAGCAUUCCCUCUAUGGUUCAUGCAUGAUGCCAGUUUAUUAAAAUGAGUAAAUAUGCAAUAAUAGAAAUUAAACAUGAUCUAAAAGAACCCCUUUGAUAUGCCGGGCUAGAGCUGAAAAUGAUGUGUAAUCAUUGGAAUACGAAUGCAAUAAACUAUAAUUUAAAUGUAUAAUAACCUAUCUAAUAAGAUAGGCACUUAAAAGAGUACCAUGCCACAUUUAUUGUGAAACCCAAAAAUGAUCCAUUGAAGAGAUCACGAAUAUGCAAAAAUGAGAUUCAAAAAGGAAAUUAUGAUAUAUACAUGAUUUGGAAGAGGGGAAUACAAUAUAACGGGUACGAAAGACUAAGAUUCGUGACGCAAUUUUUCUUCUUAUAGAUGGGUAAUAACGUGAUAAGAUUGAAAAGUCAUACUUAUCUAUUUUUCAUAUUCGAAGAGUGACUCUUCUAACUUAGUUAAACAAAUGAACUAACUUAUUUCUAAUUUCCUAAAAUGAGAUACAAUUCUAAAUGAUAUGGUCCAAACAUAUAGAAGGUAAGAGAAUAAUAGUAGGAAAAAUAUCAUGUAAAUAAAAAUAACUUAAAAAUAGAAAAAAAUACAUGAGAUGCAAUAAAUGUCACACCUCUCUGGCGACCUUUCCGGUCACAAAAUUUUACGAAAAUACUCCUCCACUUGAUUUUUCGCAUAGAAUUCAUUUUUGACCUUAGUUUUUACAAAAAACGAACGAAAAAGUGCUCAAAAGAGCCAUUUACAGCCGAGUUUUAUUUUUUUUUAAAAAUCUAUCGAAUCUUCACUAAAACUCAUAAAAAUAUAGCAAAACAACCCUUAUGAAAGUACAACACUACUACAUGUUCAAUUUAACAACAAAUAGUAAGGAAAAUGAUGAAUCAAAGCAAAACAGUAGCCCCAACUUAAAAAAAAAACUUGUUUCUUGCUUUCUAAGCUAAACACUCAAAAAUUUUGAAGAACAGAAUAUUUUCCAGGCCUUAUUCUAGCUAUAACCGGCUAUUUUAGCAAAAUAUGUACAUCGAAUUUACUCUUUUAAUUCAGUUCUUCAUUUAGACAUUUUUUCCAAAACUUAACAUGCAUACACAAAACUUAUUUUUCUUUUCUUAAUCUUGUUCUAUGAUUUGCCCGAUGUCCCAACAGCACAACAACAACAACAAAAACCAGUAAGAGCAAGAGAAAAAAAAGCAACAAAAUAUGCACUUAAUGUGAUUUAAAAAGCUGAAAAAUACCUUAAUGAAAGUUGCAGUCCCUUGAUUAAAAUUUUGGGAGAAAUCCUCAAGCUUCAACCUUCUAUUCGCUUGCUAUCUUUACUUCCUUCUUUCACCUUUCUUUGCUCUGAGGAUGGGUGUGUGUGACAGCCAAGAGAGAAAGAGAAUUGAGUGAUGUAUGUGUUUGUGUUGGCAUGUUGUGUUGUGUGAGUAAGAAUAGAGGGAGAGCCGAGAGAGUUUUUUUUUUCUCUUGGUGAGUUGUGUGUGUGGUCUUGAAAAAAUUCAAAGAAGUCAAGAGAGGUUUCAGGGGUUAAGAGUUUGUGGGACAAAAAAUUCUAAAACCUUGAAUUGGUGGUUAGGAUAAAGUAGGAUUGUGUGUCCCAUUCCCCUCCCUUUGAUCCAUUUUUAGUAGAUGUUAACGAAUAGAAUUUGGUUGAUGAGUUGUCCUUGUACCAACCAAACCUUGAGGAGAAAGAAAGAAUGAAAAAAAUUUAGCUUAGGCUUUUGGUUGGGUUUUGUUUGGAUUUUGUGUAGAUUUUUGAGUAGGUUUUGUGGUUGGGUUUGGAUUUUCUUCUAUUGGAUUUGAAACACACAAAAAAAACUCUACAAAAAAUUUUAAAUUUUGAGCAUCGAUUUUUCUUUUGAUUUUUUUUUGCACAAACUUACGAAACAAAUAUUAAAAUAAUUAUUCAAGCAAUUUAAGUGAAAAAUAGUACACUUAAAAUUAAAAAAAAUUUAGUGUCUACAAUCGGUAUUGAGUUGUUUCAGAAUCUAAUCCUUUAUCUUGAGGCUCAUUUUUUGUUUGAAUUUACGUGGCUUUUAUUUUACAGGUGAAAAUUUUGGAUCAUUUGGUAAUUUAUAAAUCACUAUAUCAGUGGAGAUUCCUGAUAUAUCAUCACAUGACCAUGCAAACACAUCUUGAAACAAAGUUAAGAACUCAACCAUUUCCUCAUUUUGCUUCUUCUUCAAAUGAAUGUUGAUUUUGAUUUCUUUAACCUCCGUUUUAGUGCCAAUAUUUAUGAUUUCUGUUUCUUCUAAGUUCGAUUUGAAUUUUUCUUCGUAUUAUUCUAAAUUCCUUGUAACCGAUUUAUAUUCUUUCUUAGUAUCGCUCUCAUUUUGAAUUUCUGAUUGCAUGAUUUCAAGUUUGCAAGAGAUAUCAAGGUUGCGGUCAUAAAAUUUCAAAAUGGCAACAUUUAAAGGGUCAAAAGAUUUUAUUUGUGGCCAUCUGAAAAUAAAAUAAAACACACAUAAUAAAUAAAUAAAUAAAUAAAUAUUUAAAAUACAAGAAAAAUCUUUCAUUCCAUUGAGUUCAAGAAUUGAUUGAAACUUAAUAAAACAGCAAAUCUACAGAUAGUAGACACCAAAAUUUUUAUUUUAUUUUAUUUUAUUUUACAAAAAUGAUAGUUAGUUUAUUAUUAUUAUUUAUUUUAUUAAAUUAGAUUCAUCAUUUUUCUUUUUAAAAAAUAUUUUUUUUGCAUUAAAUUUUUGAAAAAAGAAAAUUCUCAAAAAAAUUAAUUUUUUAAUCUUUGCAAAUUCAUUUUUUUAACACUUUAUUUACUUUAACUUUUACCUUGAAGAGUAAAAAGUAAGUAAAAAAAAGUAAAGUAAGUAAAAAAAAAAGUAAAAGUAAAAAAGAUAACUAGGUGGAAUGCAUGCAAAUGAGCCAUGUGAUUUUGACAUUUUGCACACCACAACAUUUAGGGGGAGAUGGCAAGGACAGGUGGAAGAUAGGGGGAAAAAUCUGGAGCAAAAGGGAAAAAAUCUAGAAUAAAAAGAAGGAAAAAAGGCUAGAGGGGCAGCGGACAAGGGGGCAAGAAAAAAAAAAGAAACCGAGAGAAGAGAGGAGAGAUUGAGAGAGAGUGGCGGCUGAAGAACCAAAAAAGGGAGGAACAAGAGAGAGGGGGCGGGGAGAGAUCAAAAAAGGAAAAACAACAAAAGAGGACAAGAAAAGAGAGCUGCCAGGGGAGGAAAAGGGAAAAACCGAAAAGAAAAGAAGAACAGAAAAGUACCAAAAGAAAACCAAGGAAUAGAGGAGAAGCCGGAGCUGCUGUCGCUCGCCGAAAUCAUCCACCAUCACCGCCGUCAGAACUUCAAAAAGCACUGUAAAACCUUGUUCCUUCCUUUCCUACGUUUGAUUUCUGCUAUUCUUUCUUUAAUUGCCUUCUAUUUUUCAUAUUAUUUUUGUUUACUCCAAUGUGUUAUGUGUCAUAUAUCAAUUGAACUAACCUUUGUUUGUUCUAUUGCAUUCAUGAGCCUUAGAAAUAAGAGUUCCGGCAUGAAACUCUUUUAGAACCUACCUUCUUAGAUAGGUUAUUGCACGUUUAAAGUCCGAUGUAUUGCAUUCGUAGGUUAAUAAUUGCAUAUCAUUUUAGGCCUAACCUGGCAUACAAAGGGUCCCUUGAAGUCAUGUUUUCAUUUCAAAUUGCAUAUUUAAUUAUUUUGAUAAAUUGUCAUCAUGCAUAAACUUUAGAGGGAAUGCCAUUUAGGGAAUCCUAUAUUAAGAAUAAGUCAACCCUAUAUUUCCAUGGGUAUUUAACCCUAUUUUGGAAUUUUUCACGUUUAAAUUCCAAUUUAACCGAAAAAGUGGGACCUGUAGGUAAGGUAUUUGACACCAAUUUCUUGUCUCUAGAUGGAACGCCCUUGACAAGUCUAACAAAUAUUAGUUGUACCGAUUGAGGUACAGAGGUGGCUCGCAUUGCUUUCACCUAGUGAAAUUAACCAAGUAGCCUCUCACCUAGGACCAAUAAGGGAUUUUAAAGAUAUCAAAUCAGACGGCUACUUAGUAGAGGCUUUGGUACAUUUGUGGGACCCUAUUUGUUCCGCAUUUAGACUAGGCAAGAAGGAAAUGACCGUGACAAUUGAGAAGGUAUCUGGCCUCCUUAAUUUACCAAUUCAUGGUACCGUUGUAAUAUUUCCGUUUAUGUCUAACAAGGCCGAGUUCUGCCAUUUCACUGGGUUUAAGGAAUCUUUAAUACAAGGGUUUGACCAAAGCAUAGAUGUGAAGUUCUUAUUCGAUCGAUUUGCAUUGAGAGAUGGGUUCGAGAGACACUUAGGAGAUUUUUCAUUUACGUCCAAAGCAAUGUGGGAACGUAAAAGACUGUGGGUGUAUGGAUUGGUUAUGGCUGAAACUUAUCUUUUCCCCAGAAAACACAAAAGAUAGCUUUUAAACUUACCAAAGUCAUGUUUGAUCUGUUUCCAGGGAUAAAAGAUAGGCAAUGCUCUAUUGUUCCGACUAUCUUAGCUGAUAGCUUUGUAGCUUGCACUACCUGCCAAAGGAUUGAAAAAUUCUUUCAUGGAUCAAAUUUAGUUCUGCACAUGUGGGCCAUGGAGCACUUUAUAAGACGAUCACCUAUUCCUGAUAGUUUGCCGAUGUCUGGGUAUAAUUGGAUAAUCACACAUCACAAGAGAAUUAAUGAAAAUGGUUUGCCGAGUAAUGCAUCUGAGUAUGUGGAUUUCUUAAGAAACUUGCCUGAUCAGAAUGUUAUAUGGGUUUUAGAUUGGACUAAUUGUGUUAAACCUGUACUUCGCACUAAAGUAUUAGAGUUCAUUCCAUUGCUAGGCACCCAGGGUAUCAUGGCUUAUACUUCAAAGAGGUUUCUCCGACAAUUGGGCCGUAUUCAAGAAUUGCCGUAUACACUUGAUUUAAUCAAAUUCACCGUUAUUUUUGACAAAGAGAUGUGUCCAAGUGAAAUUCCAAUGAAGAUUCCUAUCAUUAAGGCCUGGGAGACAUUGUCCGAUGACGAGCACGUCAAGUACAUUUCGGAACUCAAGCAAAAGGGUUUAGUAACUCCACAGUAUGAAGAUUGGUUUAAGGGUUUUGAUAUGCAAGAAUCGCAAGGCGAACCAUCUGAGGAGGUCAAGAGAUUGAUGGCCAUUAUUGAAGCCAAAGACAGAGAAAAUUUGCAACUAAAAAAGUCCGUCAAAAUUAGCAAGGAGAUGGCAGAGAAACAUAAGGAGGCAUGUGAAAAGAUGCGAGAGAAACACCAAGAAUUGAAAAGAAAAUGUGGGAAAUUGUACGAUCAAGUGGAACACAUAAGAAAUCCCUAUGCCAGAGAAUCCAAAGAUGUUGUAAUAGAUAGCUUGAAAAGGUUCAAUGACUUUGUACGAGACCGUCUCCGAGGAAUGAUAUAAAUAAUGUUUAUAAAAAUGGAAAUUUGGAAAUUUGAAUGACCUUUUCUUUUGUGCAAAAUGGUGGUCAAAAACAGGUUUGAUAAAUGGGUCCCACUUCGAAGAUGUUGCAUCAUGUUAGACCUACCCUUGGCACAAAAAAGACUCCCUAAUAGGACAUGCAUCCGAAUUACUUUAAUUUUUAAUAACUCUUGUCUUUUUCUUUUUCUUAUUUUUGCCAGCAGUUAAUCAAGAAGGGAAUCUAAAUAGGAUUUUUCCUAAAGUUUCAGGUAAUUGCAAACAUAGCUACAUGAAAAAGCCCCAUCAUUACACGAUCACGUAGCCGAGUUUUGAGAAAUAGUGUAAACAUGAGUACACACCCUGAAUCAUCUGAUAGAUCUGCAACAACGCCAUCAGUCGACCUCGCAAAUCUGGGAGCUCAACUGAGCAAAGUGUUAAACAGAUUGAAUGAGUUAAAGCAUGAAAAUGACCGCACAACGGCUUGUGAUUGAUCAGUUGGUUGCUGGAAGUAGCAGCGAUGUCCAACAUGAUCCCUUGCCUGCUAGCCAACCUGAACCUCAACUGUGAGGACUCGAAAAUUCCUUUAGAAUUUCCUCUCAUUUUUGAAAAAAUUAAUUUAUAUUUCCUUCUAUGUGUCUUUACUUGAUUAUUUAACUAUUUACUAGUUCUAAAUUUCAUGGUGAUUUCAUUAGUUGAGCCAAGAGUUUUACUUUUACUUUUCAAGUUAGAGUAAGUUAGGAUUUUGGUGUAGUUUGGUAGUGUGAUCACUUGGUGAGGUGUGUACUAAAUUUGGUGGAUAAAAUCGAGUAUUAGGUAAGAAAAAGUGUGUGAUUAGAAGUGUUAAUACUAAGUUAGUGAAUCAUAAGUUAAAACACUAGUACGCACGAGUUAAGGAAAUCGGCUUGAACCGACGUGCACCGUUUGCAACCGAUUGAGUGCACCACUUGAGCACUGCUUUAUUACUUUAAUCUCCUUACUUUUAUUUCAGCAAAAUUAGCCCUAAAAUAUCCUCCAUUCAGCUGAAAUUCUUGACCAAAUGAAGAGGGGGAAAAGGAAAAAAAUAAGGAACCAUCUUGUAGCGACACUUGGCGGAAAUCAAACCAACUUUGACCAAGCAAAUUUUCUUUCCUUCUUAUCUCUAAUUUGGCUCAUCUUCCUCCUUUAUUUCUUCAUGUUGGCCGAAAAUAAGAGAGAGAAAAAGAGAGAAAAACAACUUCAACUCCAACUUUGAUUCUUCUUUGUUGAGCUGAAAUCACACAAACCAAACCGAUUAAACUUACCUCUUGGUGAUUGGAAAGCUUGGUGCGGUGAAAUUUUUGGAAGAUAGUGGUUUUUUUUUUAUUUGCAAGAAGCUUUUGGAAGGUUUAAGGCUCGAACUUGCUUUUCUCUUGUUUAAUCUUGCUAAAGUUGGUAUAGAAGUUCUUAAUCUUGGCUUGUUAUAGUUGAUUUCUUAGUUUUGAUGGUGUAGUGGAAUGUUUAGCUAGGGUUUAUAUUUUUUCAGCUUUGAUUAUUAUUGUUUACCUAGUAAGUGAUGUUAUUGAGUUAGGAUAUGGAUUUGGUGAAGGGAUUAAUGGCUUGGUUGUGACUUUUUAGAGUAAAAGUUGAAUUUUCAGCAUUUGGUAGUGAUUCUGCCAUGUUUUUGGAAGCAAACUGACCUGCAUAUUCGUCCAUGAUACAGGCGAAAUCAAUUCUUGCUCAAAACAUGAAAGUUUUAGGGAUUUGAGUUAUCUUUCUACUCAAAACAUUUCAACUCAAUCGGACCACUGUAGCUUAUGAAAUGACUAAAAUACCCUUGACUACCCAAAUGCCCUAUUUAACUGACAGUUUUCUGUUUUCUCUGAGAUUUCAAUUUUUGACCCUGAAAAUGUGAGAACUAGGUGUUGAUGUCUUCACAGAAAAUGUAGAUCUAUGUCUUAGCUUCGAAAUUCCAUAAACUUUACCUCGAUCCGAUAUACCUAGCUAUAGUUAUGACCAAAACACCAAAGGAUGACAAAUCUGCCAUUUAUCAGUUCUUCUUUUAACUAGUUUCCAGCUUUGGUCCAUGGUGAUAAGUUAUUAUUUGGUUUGUUUGGUUGGUUUUAAGGCCUUGAAUAGAUGAAUGUGGUUGGUUAUCACUUGUGGUUGGUUUGGAGGGUUGUUGGCUUGUGAAUUCAAGUUGCACUUGGAUGGACAAAGUAAGAAAAUAGGGGAAAUGCUGCCCAAAUUUCUAUUACUUGCUCUUAUGACUAUUAGUGAGAUGUAAGGUUUGAUUUUAGGGUUAGUUGGAUCUUAAGUUACAUAUGCAUCCUUGAAUGCACUUCAAUAGUAGUAUAUGAGUUGUUUUUUUUAUCAAGAUUUGGUAUCAACUAAGAUGAAAAGUAUUAGUUUUAUCUCAAAAAUUUUGAAUUACAUUUGCUCACUUCAAUUUGGGAUUGGUUAUUCUUAGGGUUUGCCGGUGAUCAAGGGCAUAAUCCGGAAGGAAAUUUUUGACGUUAUUUUGUUUAAACUGGUGAGUGUUCUUUGUAUGUUGUGCUUUCAAUUACUAUGUGAAUUGUUGUGAAUGUUUGCUUGAAUGUUAAAUACUUUUCAAUGAUCAUUUGCGAUAGGCGAGUGUGUACUUUAUUGCACUUGACCUAAGUAAACGUGAAAUUUUUAAUGAUUAAAUGAUUGAAUAUUACUUGUGCAUGAAUGUAAGCCUUUUAGUUGAACUGGGCUCUUGCCCUUCUUUGCUAGCCGACUCGAGCCAGAAGCGGACUCGGUCGGGCGACUGGUGACUCUGGUAUAGUGUUUUGGUAUACUCGAGCAAGAUCACGAAGGUUGGUAGAGAACUGGCCAGUGAAUUGGCUAGUGGCGGGAAAUGAAAUCAAUGAAUGAAUGUCAAGAACCCUGGAGGAGUUUUCACUUGCAAAUAUUUUCUUUUUCUAAUAAAUUGGAGGGAUAAGGAAAAUGGUAGGUGAAUGAAUGAAUAAAUGGCUCCACGUGAGCACGUAUCCUUUUAAUGAGUGUGUUCUCAUUACUUUUAUAUUGUGAAUGUUUUCUCUUCAAUGGAUCAUGUCCUUGUUUAAAUUGCUUGAUUACUUGUUUAGGAAACUUAUUGGGUUUUUAACUCAUUCUUAUAGUUUUGUUUUCCUUACAGGGGAUACGAGCGAGGGCGUAAGACUGGUACAAGCUAGUUUUAAAAUUUUUGCAAUUGUACUCGCGCUAGUGCUCUGUUAGGGUUGAAUGUAUAUGGAAUUUAUAACUUUUGUUAUAUUUGGGAUGUAUGAAUGUUUGAGAUAGAAAUGAAUGUAAGUAUACGUUCCAAAUUUAGGAGUUGUUAUUUCACUUAUUCUUGAGGUUAUACUUAUUUUAUUUGAAGAGAGUGGUCGAGUCCUGGCGAGAGUUAGGCAGGCAGUCCGUCAAAUCCUAGGGAACGUCCUAGGGGGAGGUGGGGUCGUCACAGGUGGUAUCAGAGCUGCUUCGCGUGGUCUCUACGCGGGGUGAGUUUGGGCCAAGUGGUGUUAUGUGAAUGAGUAAAGGCUUAAGUACUCUCCUAGAGCGUAAGCUGUGAAUCAUGCAUCGAAUAGGUAUAAACCCUUUAUCUUGAUAUUUGGAAAAAUUAGAUUUGUAUGUUGGGUAGGAAUCUCAAAUGUUGUGAUUUACUCUUGGGACCGGCCAGCUCGAGUUGUACCCGAGUACUUAAGAGUUGAGGGCAAUGCUAAGGACUUGAGAUCUCCAUUGCGAGGAAUAAGAACGAGCUAAUGUUUUGCGAGAGCAAAUGCAGGAGGUCAACGAACGUCUAGUAGAGAAGUGAGAGAUCGGACGGAGAAUAUUUUAACUGAGUGUGGGACAAUAUCAGCCAGAGAGAAGUAGAAUGUAGUUGAGCUUGAGAGAGAAGUGAAAUCAGCUGGUUCAAUGGUGACCUAAGCUAGAAACGUAAGACCUUGAGGUUGUAGGAAAUAAGUUAGGGUGGCUGGGACGACAUGUCGUGUUUUUCUUCUUGUUUUGCCACUGUAUUGCCACUGCAUGUAUUUUGCUCGUGACAUGUCAAUGCUUACAUGUAUAGUACUUGUUGCACUUGAUUUUGUUUAGCUUGAUAUGUAUCUUUGUGAACUUGGUGUGUUAUAGAUAUGCUAAGCAUGUUUCCUUAUCCUUGAUUUUAUGGUUUAAAAUUAUUUUUAUCUUGCAACUUUAGCCAAUUUAUUUUGUUUACAUACUAUAUCAUUUUUUAAAUAAAAAAAAAAAGAGAAAAGGAUAUGGAGGGGAGACGUAGUCGCGGACGUGGAGCUAAUCGUGGCCGUGGGGUUAGGCAAUCACAAGAACCAAGGAAUGAAAGAGAAACAGCAGCCGAGCAAGAUCGUGAACCCAGAGUUGAAGCAGAGGACCAAGUGGUGACAGCGAUACAGCAAAUGACCAAUAUCUUAGCGCGAUUGGUAGAACAACAAGAGCAAACUCCAGUGAAUCAACCUCGGAACCCUGAGAUAGGAGAGGAUAGGGCCCUGGAGUGGUUUCAAAAGUUUGUUCCUCCUAAAUUCCUUGGAGGGCUUGAUCCAGAGACAGCUAAGCAGUGGUUAGAUGCGAUGAUUAAUAUCUUUGCAACUUUGAACUACACGGAGCAAAAAUAGGUAAACUUUGCUGUAUUUCAAUUCAAAGGACCGGCCCGGGCAUAUGGUGGAAUGUUAUUAGGGUAAAGUGGGAGAGAGAACAGACUGGCUGGACGUGGGUAAACUUUAUAAGAGAGUUUAAUGAGAAAUACCUUCCACCUUUGGUCCAAGAAAAGAAAGAGGAUGAGUUUAUUAGGUUGCGGCAGGGAACCCAAAGUUUGGCCGAAUAUGAAACGCAAUUCACUAAACUGUUUAAAUUUGCUCCUGAAUUAGUGGUUACAGAGCGAAGGAGAGUGAGACAGUUUAUACAAGGAUUGAAUUUGGAGAUCCAGGAAGCUUUGGCGACGGUUCAAGUUAAUACUUUUAUGGAAACUCUUGAGAAAGCUCAAAGAAUUGAGAAUGCGAAGGUCCAGAUAAAAGUUUUCCAAACACGAAAAAAGGGUGCAUCUAGUAGUACAUUAGAGGAACCUAGAGAAAAGAUAAUGCCUUCCAAAGUACAAAAAGUGAACCAUUCACCUUACCCACCAUGAAUACUAAGAAUACUAGAUGAAGGGUCUACAAAAAAAAGUCAAAUAGGAUAAGAGGAAAUUUCUCGAGAAGGCCAAAAAAUGGCUUCUCGCUUAGCCUGUGGAUAUUGUGGGAAGACAAAUUACACUGAGGAUGAUUGUUAGAGGAAGGAGCGAAAGUGUUUGAUUUGUGGGAGUAGCGACCAUCAAAUUAGCCACUGUCCGAAGAAACAACCACGAGGGAAUAGUGUUCAACAAGUGGAUAGGACCAAAUCGAAACAAGCUAAUGAAAGAGGGAACCGACCAAAAGUACCAGCACAGGUAUAUGCCUUAGACAAGCAACAAGCUCCGGAGCCAUUUGAGGCCAUAGAAGGUAAAAAUUUCAAGAACGAAAUUUUCUUAAGGGGGAAAGAGUGUGAGGACUCGAAAAUUCCUUUAGAAUUUCCUCCCAUUUUUGAAAAAAAUAAUUUAUAUUUCCUUCUAUGUGUCUUUACUUGAUUAUUUAACUAUUUACUAGCUCUAAAUUUCAUGGUGAUUUCAUUAGUUGAGCCAAGAGUUUUACUUUUACUUUUCAAGUUAGAGUAAGUUAGGGUUUUGGUGUAGUUUGGUAGUAUAAUCACUUGGUGAGGUGUGUGUACUAAAUUUGGUGGAUAAAAUCGAGUAUUAGGUAAGAGAAAGUGUAUGAUUAGAAGUGUUAAUACUAAAUUAGUGAAUCAUAAGUUAAAACACUAGUACGCACGAGUUAAGGAAAUCGGCUUGAACCUACGUGCACCGUUUGCUACCGAUUGAGUGCACCACUUGAGCACUGCUUUAUUACCUUAAUCUCCUUACUUUUAUUUCAGCAAAAUUAGCCUUAAAAUAUCCUCCAUUCAGCUGAAAUUCUUAACCAAAUGAAGAGGAGGAAAAGGAAAAACAUAAGGAGCCAACUUGUAGCGACACUUGGCAGAAAUCAAACCAACUUUGACCAAGCAGAUUUUCUUUCCUUCUUAUUCCUAAUUUGGCUCAUCUUCCUCCUUUAUUUCUUCAUGUUGGCCGAAAAUAAGAGAGGGAAAAAGAGAGAAAAAUAACUUCAAUUCCAACCUUGAUUCUUUUUUGUUGAACUGAAAUCACACAAACCAAACCGAUUAAACUUACCUCUUGGUGAUUGGAAAGCUUGGUGUGGUGAAAUUUUUGGAAGAUAGUGGUUUGUUUUUCACUUGCAAGAAGCUUUUGGAAGGUAUAAGGUUUGAACUUGCUUUUCUCUUGUUUAAUCUUGCUAAAGUUAGUAUAGAAGUUCUUAAUCUUGACUUGUUAUAAUUGAUUUCGUAGUUUUGAUGGUGUAGUGGAAUGUUUAGCUAGGGUUUGCAUUUUUUCAGCUUUGAUUAUUGUUGUUUACCUAGUAAGUGAUGUUAUUGAUGUAGGAUAUGGAUUUGGUGAAAGGAUUAAUGGUUUGGUUGUGACUUUUUAGAAUAAAAGUUGAAUUUCCAGCAUUUGGUAGCGAUUCUGCCCUGUUUUUGGAACCAACCUAACCUGCAUAUUCGUCCAUGAUGCAGGCCAAAUCAGUUCUUGUUGAAAACAUAAAAGUUGUAGGGAUUUGAGUUAGAUUUCUUACCAGAAAAUUUUAGCUCAAUCGGAGUACUGUAACAUGUGAAAUGACUAAAAUACCCCUAACUGCCCAAAUGCCCUGUUUAACCGACAACUUUCUAUUUUCUCUGAGAUUUCAAUUUUUCACCUUGGAAAUGUGAGAACGGGGUGUUGAUGUCUUCAUAGGAAAUGUAAGUCUGUGUCUUAGUUUCGAAACGCCAUAAAAUUUAUCUCAAUCCGAUAUACCUAGCUACAAUUACGACCAAAACACCGAAGAAUGACAAAACUACCAUUUAUCAGUUCUUCUUUAAACUGGUUUUAGCUUUGGUCCAUGGUGAUUAGUUAUUAUUUGGUUUGUUUGGUUGGUUUUGAGGCCUUGAAUAGAUGAAUAUGGUUGGUUAUCGCCUAUGGUUGGUUUGGAGGGUUGUUGGCUUGUGAAUCCAAGUUGUACUUGGAUGGAAAAAGUAAGAAAAUAGGGGAAAUGCUGCCUAAAUUUCUAUUACUUGCUCUUAUAACUAUUAGAGAGAUGUAAGGUUGGAUUUUAGGGUUAGUUGGAUCUUAAGUUACAUAUGUAUCAUUGAAUGCACUUCAAUAGUAGUAUAUGAGUUGAUGUUAACCAAGAUUUAGUAUCAACUAAGAUGAAAAAUGUUAGUUUUAUCUCAAAAAUUUUGAAUUACAUUUGCUCACUUCAAUUUGGGAUUGGUUAUUCUUAGGGUUUGUUGGUGAUCAAUGGCAUAAUCUGGAAGGAAACUUUUGACGUUAUUUUGCUUAAACUGCUGAGUGUUCUUUAUAUGUUGUGCUUCCAAUGACUAUGUGGAUUGUUGUGAAUAUUUGCUUGAAUGUUAAAUGUUUUUCAAUGAUUAUGAAAUGAAUUUUCGAUAGGCGAGUGUGUACUUUAUCGCACUAGACCUAAGUUAAUGUUAAAUUUUCAAUGAUUAAAUGAUUGAAUGCUACUUGUGCAUGAAUGUAAGCCUUUUGGCUAAAUUGGGCCCUUGCCCUUCGUUGUCAGUCGACUCGGGCCAGAAGCGGACUCGGUCGGUCGAUUGGUGACCCUGGGACAGUGUUUUGGUAUACUCGAGUAUGACCACGAAGGUUGGUAGAGAACUAGCCAGUGAAUUGGCUAGUGGAGGGAAAUGAAAUCAAUGAAUGAAUGUCAAGAACCCUGGAGGAGUUUUCACUUGCAAAUAUUUUUCUAAUAAAUGGGAGGGAUAAGGAAAAUGGUAGGCGAAUGAAUGAACGAAUGAUUCCAUAUGAGCACGUAUCCUUUUAAUGAGUGUGUUCUCAUUGCUUUUAUAUUGUGAAUGUUUUCUCUUCAAUGAAGCAUGUUCUUGUUUAAAUUGCUUAAUUAAUUGUUUGGAAACCUCACUGGAUUUUUAGCUCAUUCCUUUUUUUUUUAUUUUUCUUACAGGGGAUACGAGCAAGGCGUGAGAUUGGUACAAACUAGCAUAGUCUAGUUUUUAAAUUUUUGCGAUUGUACUCGCGCUAGUGCUUUGUUAGGGUUGAAUAUAUCUGAAAUUUACAACUUUUGUUAUAUUUGGGAUGUAUGAAUGUUUGAGAUAGAAAUGAAUGUAAGUAUACCUUCCAAGUUUGGGAACUGUUAUUUCACUUAUUCUUGAGGUUAUACCUUAUUUUAUUUGAAGAGAGUGAACGAGUCCUGGCGAGAGUUGGGCAGGCGGUCUGCCAAACCCUGGGGUACGCCCUAGGGGGGGUGGGGUCGUCACAUCAACCACUACCCCUACCAUAUACUCAAACCUCUUUUACUCCACAUUUCGUAAAUGCACCUGAGGAAGCUUUCACCUAUCCUACUAUUGGCUUUCCACAUACCUAUACAUCCAAUAUUCAAACCAAUCCUCCUCACCCUCAAGUUCCUCCAAAUUAUCUACCUGUUAGUCUGAACAUGCCACUUGAACCUCAAGGACCGUAUUAUUAUUCCACUGCUGAACCAUUCACGCUAGACACCGCCGCACAAGAAAAAGUUGAAUUAGGAGAAUCCUCCGCGCCAAUUGACAAGAAUUUGUUAAAGAGGUUGGACCGGUUUGACGAAUUCAUGAGGAAGAGCCAAGUCUUGAGCAAAUAAGGAGGUUUGGACUAUAACGAAUUGUGCCUAUUUCCUGAUAUGCAACUGUCUGUGAGUUUUAAAGCACCCAAAUUUAGCAAAUAUGACGGAACGGACAAUUCUAAGACACAUCUCCGAAUAUUUGCAAGCGAAUUAGGAAGGCCAGUAGAUGACGAGAAUUUGCCAGUUCGAUUGUUUCCUAAGAGUUUAGAAGGUGAUGCACUGGAUUGGUACUCCAAUUUGAAACCUGAUGAGACGAGGACAUGGUUGGAUUUGUCAACUGCUUUUGUAAGACAAUAUAAGUAUAAUUGUGAGCUUGCUCUAAUGAGGACCACACUUGAGGGGACUAAAAGGAAGCCAUCUGAGGAUUACAAGACAUAUGCAAAGCGAUGGAGGAAAUUGACUACCAAGGUGGAAAUUUUUCAUACGUUUAUCAAAACUCAUGAUUCACCAUAUUUUGAGGAAAUUUUUCGCAUGACUGGAUGCCCAUUUGCAGAAAUUAUUAACAAAUUGGAGGAGUAUGAUGAGUUCAUAAGAGCGAAAAAGAUUAUUAAUUUGUCAGCUUUAAAAUCGCACUUAGAAGCUGUGCAAAGUCAAAACAAGAAGCCUCAGUUCAAAAAGAAAGAGGGGGAAGCUGCAUUUGUCUGGAAUCAAGGCUUUUCUUCCCAACCUAGAUACCAACAAUAUCCUACCUAUCCAUCCCGUUACCCAUACUAUCCACACCCUCGACCUGUUUAUCAUACCACCAUUAAUCAUCGUCGACCCCGACCAAAUUACCCAAACCCACCCACAACACCAUUUCAUAUUUCUCCGCCUAAUUCUCAAACUAGAUCUCGCCAUUCUUAUAAUCCAAGACCUGCUUCACCAGCCGACCAGAACUACAACUAUCAACAAAUCAAUGACACCCAAAACCCAACCCCAUACAAAACUUUCACCAAUCUAGGUUGGUCCAUUGAUCAGUUAUAUGAACAGUUCAAAGCCGCAGGAAAAAUUGGUACGAUACCUCCUAAAGUCUAUCCUAGAGGAUUUCCCCUUAGUUAUGAUCCUCAAUCUUUUUGUGCUUAUCAUUCUAGAGCUCCUGAUCAUUCUACUGUCAAUUGUUGGGCACUUAAGCAUAAAAUUCAAGACAUGAUUGAUGUCAAAAACAUAAUUUAAAAAAGAGAGAUGAACAAGGACCGAGUGUUAGUAAGAACCCUCCUCCUGCGCACAAGGAUACUGUUGGAGUUAUAACCAUUGAUGAGGAGAUCGAGAAACCUACUCAAUACAUUAUAGAUGAAGCUGAGGUUAUAGGUAUUUUUGGAGAACCAUUUAUAUUGGAAGAAGAAACCUCCGAGGUCAAGCAAAAUGCUGAUCCUUUUAUUUUAGAUGUGAUACCUUUUGAAUGUGAGUCUUCAGAGCUUGUGGUACUCGAAUUGCCUGAACAAGCGCCUAUUCUUAAUCUAUAAGAAGUCCCAUGGAAUUAUAGUAAGCCUCUUUUAUUGAUUGGAGGAGAAGAAAUGCCAAAGGAGGUGGCCGCCGUCACUAGAUCUGGAAGAAUCAUAAGUGUACCUGCAGUUAGCGAGCCAUCAAAAGCAAAGGAAAAUGUCGCGCCAACAACACCAGCUGUGAUUGAAGAAGAGGCAUUCAAUUUCCCUAGGAUAUUGAAGAAAAGUGAGUAUAAAGUGAUUGAGCAAUUGGAUAAAAUGCUCGCUCAAAUUUCUAUGUUGAAUCUGCUCUUAACUUCGGAACUUCAUAGAGAAGCUCUACUCAAGGUGUUAACUGAGGCUCAAGUGCCUAAGAAUAUUUCGGUAGACAAAUUCACUCAUGUAGUUGAGCAUAUUUUGGCUUCAAAUCAGAUUUCUUUUUCUGAUGAGGAUUUAACGUCUGAGGGAAUUAGACAUAACAAGGCAUUGUAUAUCUCAGUCCAUUGUAAUGGGAAGUUAUUGUUGAGAGUUUUGAUAGACAACGGAUCUGCUUUGAAUAUUUGUUUAUGGAAUACUUUGAUUAAAUUGGGAUUUCAAGUAACUAAACUUUGGCCGUGUGCAACUGUGGUGAGGGGAUUUGAUGGUGCAAAAAGAGAAUCGAUGGGGGAAGUGGAUUUAGUACUUGAAAUAGGACCUACUCAAUUCCAAAUCAUGUGCCAAGUUAUGAAUUUCUCAAGUGUUUAUAAUAUUCUGUUGGGAAAGCCUUGGAUUCAAGUUUCGGGUGCUAUACCCUCUUCGCUCCAUCAAAUAUUGAGGUUUGUAGUGAAUGAUCAAUUAAUCAUCGUACUUGCAAAGGAUGAUUGUGCUAUGAUCGUAAAUCCCGGACCAAAAGAGGAAAGUGAUAGAAAAGUUAUGGUUUCUCCUCACCAUGUGCCUGAUAUCAUUUCAAUAGGUUGGGUAUGUAAAGACAAGGCAGUGAUGGAAAUGAAUUUACCAGAAGCCAACAUUAUAAUGGCUAAAGAAAUGAUUCGAGGAGGAUACGAGAUAGGCAAGGGUCUCGAGCGUAGCUUGCAGGGAAUUCUAGAACCAAUAGAGUUUCAAGGAAAGAAGAACACCUUUGGACUAGGGUUUCAACCCACUUCCAGGGACAUGAAAGAAAUGCUGAAUCACAAGAGAGUAGAAAAGGAAAGAAAUCAAAUUGUCAGGAGUAUCCUACCAUUGCAUUACACUUUUCCCUAUCCAUCGGAAGUAAUCAACUCUGAAUUGGACUCAAUCGAUAAGGUGGAUGUCAGUUUGUCUAAGCUGUUCAUGGGGGUUACUUAUGAGGGUGAGCCGUUAGAGAAUCCAGAAUUUCCAGAGGUCUCCAGGGAAGUAAUGAAAAAUUGGACCAUUGAUUUUCUUUCCUCCUGAAGAAAAUUUUGGUAAAUCUGAGGGAUUAUCUUUGGUUGAGAGCUAUGAAAGAAAUCAUUCGCAUUGUUCAUCUUUUGCCUUUCAGUUUUGUAAAUAGUUUUGAAUCAAAUAUUUUUUCAAUACAAAUCUUAUGUUAAGUAGCGUAUCUUUUGUUAAGUAGCAUAUUAUGACGUUUUAUCCUUUAUUUGAAAUUUAAUGAAAUGCACAGUGUUCAUUUUCAAAUUGUUUUACUUACGUGUUUUUGUAUCUAUCUCAUUAUUUUUCAGAUGGCCAAAAAUAAAACACAUUGACCCUUUGGAUAUCACUAUUCCGGAAUUUGAUGACUGCAAUCUCAAUAUCUCUCACGAAUUCAAAAUUAUGGAAUCAGAAAUUCAAGAUGAGAGCGAUAGCGAGGAAGAAUCUGAAUCUUUGUUAAAGAAUCUUGAACAAUAUGAAGAAAAAUUCAAACUGAACUUAGAAGAAAUAGAAAUCAUUAAUAUUGGCACUGAGACCGAGGUUAAGGAGAUAAAAAUUAGCAUUCAUUUGAAUAAGAAGCAGAGAAAAAAUAUGAUUGAAUUCUUGACCAUAUUUCAAGAUGUGUUUGCUUGGUUCUAUGAUGACAUGACGGCCAUUUUAACAGAUAUAGUGGUUCACAAAUUGCCAACGGAUCCAAAUUUUUCACCGGUGAAAUAGAAGUCUUACAAAUUUAAACCGGACAUAAGUCUUAAAAUCAAAGAGCAAAUUGAGAAGCAACUCAAUGCCAGAAUUAUCAUGAUUUCUCAUUAUCCUAUUUGACUUUCAAAUCCAGUCCCUGUCCCAAAGAAAAGUGGAGAGGUGAGGAUGUGUGUUGACUACCGAGAUUUGAACAAGGUUAGUCCGAAAGAUAAUUUUUCCUUGCCAAACAUACAUAUCUUUUUGGACAACACCGCUAGGCAUGAGAUAGAGUCUUUUGGUGAUUGCUUCGCCGGAUACCAUCAAAUUCUAAUGGCAGAAGAGAAUAAAGAGAAAACUGCUUUUAUCACUCCGUGGGGAACAUUUUGCUACCGAGUAAUGCUAUUCAGAUUGAAAAAUAGUGGAACUACGUAUCAAAGGACCAUGAUCACCUUGUUCUACGAUAUGAUUUAUAAGGAGAUGGAAGUGUAUGUGGAUGACAUCAUAAUCAAAUCCAAGAAAGUGAAGGAUCGUUUAGUUGAUUUGAAAAAGUUAUUUGAAAGAUUGAGAAGAUAUAAUUUGAAAUCAAAUCCUGCGAAAUGCGCUUUUGAAACUCCUACCGGCAAAUUAUUGGGGUUUAUUAUGAGUAAAAAGGGUAUAGAAAUAGAUCCAACAAAGAUUAAAACAAUUCGUGAGAUGCCAGUGCCAAAAACACAAAGGGAUGUGAAGAGUUUCUUGGAAAAUAUUAAUUUCAUUGGCCGAUUCAUUGCUCAAUUGACUUCUACAUGUGAGCCUUUGUUUAAAUUAUUGAAGAAGAAUGUGCCGUUGUAUUGGAGUGAAGAAUGCCAGCAAGCUUUUGAUAAGAUCAACGAUUACCUGUUGCACCCUCCAGUUUUAGUGCCACCCAAGUCGGGUCGACCUUUGAUUAUGUAUUUGUCCGUGCUCGACGAGGCUGUGGGAUGUGUUUUGGUGCAGCAUGAUGAUUCUGAGAAAAGAGAGCAAGCCAUUUAUUAUCUUAGCAAGAAGUUCACACCUUACGAGACAAAAUACUCAUUUCUUAAAAGGAGUUGCUGUACAUUGGCUUGGGCAGCUCAGAAAUUGAGGCAUUAUUUGCUUAGUCACACCACAUAUCUUAUCUCUCGUUCAGAUCCUUUGAAGUACAUAUUGGAGAAACAAAUGCCGACUGGACGCAUGACUAAAUGGCAGAUGAUCAUUUCUGAAUUUGAUAUCAUCUUCACCACGCAAAAGGCAAUCAAGGGGCAAGCUAUAGCAGAUCAUUUGGCUGAAAAUUCAAGAGAAGAUGAUUAUCAUCCGCUUCACACUUAUUUUUCGGAUGAUGAGGUCCUGUUUGUUGGUACAGCAGAAGAUAUGAAUGAGCAAUGCUCUGAGUGGAGACUAUUCUUUGGCGGUAUUUCAAAUUCUUUCGGAGUUGGUAUCGGAGUUGUUCUAGUAUCGUCUGAAGGAAAACAUUAUCCCGGUUCCGCUAAACUGCGAUUUUUCUACACUAACAAUAUGGCUGAUAUAUGAAGCUUGUAUUUUUGGACUUAAAAUGGCAUUGGAGAUGGAGAUCAAGGGUUUAAUAGUGUUCAGUGAUUUCGAUCUGCUCGUGCAUCAAACGCUCAAAGAAUGGAUAACUCGAGAUUCGAAAUUUUUGCCAUAUCAUUGCAAUUUAUUGGAUUUGGCAAAUAAAUUCAGAAGUUUGGAGUUCAGGCAUAUUCCACAUGCUCGAAAUAUUUUUGCUGAUAUGCUGGCCACUUUAUCUUCAAUGAUUGAACAACCAGAUGAGUUGGUGAUUGAGCCUAUCCAGAUUCAAUUACAAGAAAAGCCUGCACAUUGUCUGAUUAUGAAAAAAUCUUUUGAUGAUCGUCCCUGGUACAGUGAUAUUAAGGAAUUUCUCAAAAUCGAGUCCUAUCCUGCAGGUGCUGGUACGACUGCUAAAAGUUUAUUGCGCAGAUUAUCAUCCAAGUUUUUCUUAAAUAGAGAGGUGGUAUAUAAAAGGACAUCAGACUUGGGCCUUCUAAGAUGCGUUGAUGAAGAUGAAGCAGAUUAUUUGAUGAAAGAAGUACACACUGAUGUAUGUGGAUCACAUAUGAACGGGCAUUUAUUAGCAAAGAAGAUUAUGAGGACAGGAUAUUUUGGUUUACUAUGGAGCAUGAUUGUGUAGUUUUUGUUAGAAAAUGCAUUAAAUGUCAAUUACAUGGAGAUGUUAUGCGCACUCCUCCCACAGAAUUACACAGUAUGACUGCUCCCUGGCCAUGUUCGAUGUGGGGUAUGGAUGUAAUUGGAAUCAUUGACCCUUCUGCUUCAAACGGGCAUCGAUUUAUUUUGGUGGCAAUUGAAUAUUUUACCAAAUGGGUCGAAGUUGAGUCUUACAAGCACGUGACUAAGAAGGUGAUGACAGAUUUUCUAAGGAAGCACAUCAUUUUGUCGUUUUGGUGUGCCAGAGACAUUAAUCACCGACAAUGCAAAGAAUCUCAACAAUGGCAUGGUGGAUGGGUUAUGCGAACAGUUCAAAAUCAGGCAUCGAAAUUCUACUAUUUAUAGACCACAGAUGAAUAGAGUUGUGGAGGCAGCGAACAAGAAUUUGAAAAAGAUAAUUCGUAAAAUGACCGAAAAACAUCGUGAUUGGUACGAAAAACCCUCCUAUGCAUUAAUGGCAUAUAGAACUUCUAUUCGGACUUCUAUUGGAGCAACGCCUUACAACCACAUGUAUGGAAUGGAAGCAGUUUUGUCAGCCGAGGUUGAAAUUCCUUCAUUGCGCAUACUAAUGGAGACCAAACUGGAUGAAACUGAUUGGAUUAAACAACGUCACGAGCAAUUGUCUUUGAUUGAUGAGAAAAGGUUAAAUGCCAUUUGUCAUGGUUAGUACUAUCAAAAGAGAAUGGCCCAUGCUUACAACAAGAAGGUCAAACAGCAACUAUUCGAAGAAGGAGACAGUGUUGAAACGAAUUUUGCCAGUGCAAUAGGAGACCAAAGGCAAGUUUGCACCAAAUUGGCAGGGCCCUUUUAUCGUCAAGAAGGUAUUGCCUGGUGGAGCACUUGUUCUCGCAGAAAUGGAUGGACAAGUUUUUCUUCAACCGAUCAAUUUGGCUGUGUAAGAAAUUUUUCAUCUGAUAAAUGGAAGGAAGGGUUAAUGCAAAGAAUGGAAUGAAAGUCGGGCCUUCUUUCUUUCCAAUUAAACAUUCUAUCCUUAGUUUUCUCUUUUAAACCUUUAUAAUAAAUUAUUUCGUUUGACAACCCCUGAGGAUCGCAAACUUCACACUGGGGCAAGUUUGAGUUGAAAGAAAAGGAAAGAAAAGUCUCAAGAGGUAAAAAAUGAUGGAAAAACAAAAGAAAAAGAAAAUUAAAGAAAAAAAUCUGGGUUGGAAAUAAAUUGGGGCAAUUUUAGUUUAAUCCUAAAUAGGGUUAAUAUGAAGAUGCGAUCUCAAGUGAUUUAAACACUUAUAAAAUCUGCAUUCAACUUUUAAACCUUUCUUAGCACCUCACCUGACCACAUUACAAAAAACUGAAAGUCCUAACUUCCGUUCUUUGCAUCACCUUUUUAAGGAAAUUUUCUAAUUACUUAGCAAAUGAUGUCAAUAUACCUUCACUAAAUGUGCAAGGGAAAGAUUGUCGCAUUGAUGCCAUCAUUUCUUAAAAUAAAUUUUUGAGUUGAUAAAAGCUAUCAGUAAGAUUUGUUCAUUAGGUGAAAAUCUGAAAGGGUGCCUUUUCGAAAAAGAAGAAAAAAGAAGAAAAAAAAGAAAAAAAAGAAAAAAAAAAGAAAAAGAAAAAAACAACAAAAAAAAAAGAAAAUAAAAAAGGUGGGGGUAGCCUUAGUGAAAACCCGAAAGGGCGCUAAGGCAGGAUUUUAUGAAAAAAGUGAGCAUGGAAUUGAAUGGCUUGUGACUCAGCUCAUUUGAGUUUCUCUUCACGGUUGUGGUUCUGUUGCCAGCGUUGAACUCCGGAGGGACGAUAUCCAAAGGGUCAAAUGUAGUAUUUUGUUUGAGAUCAGAGUGCUUUCGUUCGUCAAGCAUAAUCUUUUGUUUACAGGUUCAUUUCUCUAAAAAUCAAUUUUCUUCCAAUAAAGGUAAAUAGUUAUUUUUAUGUUACUGAAAUUUUCACCAUUUUGUGUAAGUAGAAUAUUUUUUCUUGUGUUUCAUAGUCUCAUUUAUCUCUUUGGAUUUAUCAAAUGACAAUCCUUGUGAUUUAUUGAAAGUGUCUGGAUACUAAAUAUCAUAUUUCAUCAACGUUGGAAGUUAUGAAAACUUGAUGCCAUAUCGCAAAGCAAAGUUGAGUUUUCGCUACAUCGGGGAAGAACGUUCAAAUACUCAUAUUUACACAUUUCUCGAAAGUGGGAUUGAUCAGCGAAUGGUGGUGGUAUUAUUUGUCGUUAUGAUUAUUUCUUUUUUGCAGGUCCAAAUGUUCAAAAACAUCACACUGGGGCAAAUAUUUUAGAAGAGUUGUCUUUUUCCAUCAGAAUUUUCGAAGUUUUACAAAAAGCAUUCUGAAAUAAUUUUUCAAAUUUUCGGCAGGCUCGGGUUUUAUCCCACUGAUCAAUUUUCGGCAGGUUCGGGUUUUAUUCCACUGACCAAUUUUAGGCAGGUUCGGCUUUUAUCCCACUGAUCAAUUUUCGGUAGACUCGAGUUUUAUCCCACUGAUCAAUUAUUACGGCAGGUUUUGGUUUCAUUCCCACUGAAGACCUUUAAAUGUUUGCUUGUUUCAGUCCGCAAUAGAAUAACUACAGGUAAGUAUUUUGUGUCUACAUCUUUGUCUCGAAUUUCUUCGAAAUUCAGACAAAGAGAAGCAAGCUGUAGACACCAAAAUUUUAAGUUUAUUUUAUUUUAUUCUAUUUCACAAAAAUGAUAUUCAGUUUUUUAUUAUUAUUUAUUUUAUUAAAUUAGGUUCAUCAUUUUUCUUUUAAAAAACAUAUUUUGCAUUAAAUUUCCAAAAAAAGAAAUUUCUCAAAAAAAUUAAUUUUUUAAUCUUUGCAAAUUCAUUUUUUUAACACUUUAUUUACUUUAAAUUUUACCUUGAAGAGUAAAAAAAAAAAGUAAAAGUACAAAAGAUAGUUAGGUGGAAUGAAUGCAAAUGAGCCAUGUGAUUUUGGCCUUUUGCAUACCCCAAUAUUUAGGGGGAGGUGGCAAGGACAUGUGGAAGAUGGGGGGAAAAAUCUGGAGCAAAAGGGAAAAAAUCUAGAGCAAAAAGAAGGAAAAAAGGCUAGAGGGACAGCGGACAAGGGGCAAGAAAAAAAAGAAAUCGAGAGAAGAGAGGAGAGAUUGAGAGAGGGUGGCGGCUGAAGAACCAAAAAAGGGAGAAACAAGAGAGAGGGGGGCGGGGAGAGAUCAAAAAAGGAAAAACAACAAAAGAGGAACAAGAAAAGAGAGCUGCGGGGGGAGGAAAAGGGAAAAAUCGAAAAGAAAAGAAGAACAGGAAAGUAGCAAAAGAAAACCAAGGAACAGAGGAGAAGCCAGAGCUACCGUCGCCCGCCGAAAUCAUCCACCAUCACCGCCGUCAAAAAAAAGCACCGUAAAACUUUGUUCCUUCCUUUCCUACGUUUGAUUUCUGCUAAUGAAUAUGUGGAACUAUGGGAAUUAUGUGACUUGUUUGUUUCUCUUCCUGUUUUGAUUAAGAUUUUACUGUCUUUAUGAGGUUUCUGUGUUGAUUUUGAUUGUGAUUUCUGUCACUGUAUGAUGGAUUUGGUUGGGUUGGUGCAAAUUUUGGGGUUGGCUAUAAUGGAAUUUUAGUAUGUGUGUUAAACAUUUGUUAAUGCAACUAACCUGUUUGAAGAAGUGCCCAAACGAAAACCUUGAACCAAAGGAAUAAAUCUCAUGAAUUUCUGUAUGCAUGUGACGAGAACUUUGGCCAGUCCAAAGCUAGCCAGAGCCUGUGAGUUCGCCAGUGGGGGGGAGAAGCCAAGAAAUUUUGAAGUUGAUUUUUCCAUUUUGCUGUUUUUUGUAUCUUACAAUGGUUUAGUGUGUAUUUGUGCGUGUGGGGUGAAGAGAGAUAACUCGAGCCAAUCCAAAGCUAGCUUGAGCCUGUGAGUUCGCCAGUGGGAUGGGGAGAAGCCAAGAAAUUUUGGAGUUGAUUUUUCCAUUUUGCUGUUUUUUGUAUCUUACAAUGGUUUAGUGUGUAUUUGUGCGUGUGGGGUGAAGAAAGAUAACUCUAGCCAAUCCAAUGCUGGCCGGAUUGACAAUUUCCAGUUUUCGGUGAAGCCUCGGUAGAGAAGAAAAUAGCAACAACAAUAUUGAAGCUCUAAUCGCUUGAAGAAGAUGACAAGUUUUAUGGGAUUGCAGCAUAACUCCCUUACUUUUCCCUUGUUUUGUAAUAUGACCCUUAAGUUCCAGUGGUUUUCAGAUUGACAUAAAAACUUUAGAUUUCUUUCAAUUAGGUCCCUAAUUUAAUUGCAAAUAGGUCCCUGAACUUUAUUUUUAUUUGAUUUUGAAUCCUGACUUUUGUAAUAAUUAUAAUUGGGCCUCAAAAACUUUCUUAAUUUUUGUAAUUAAGUCAUUGUUUGUUUGAUUUCUCAAAUAGAAGUUGCUUUUAUUUUUUAAUUAUUCAUUAUAUUCCAUUUGAAUGCCUAAAUUGAUAGAUUUCAUAUUUAUUUCCAUUUCCUUAUGGUUAUUUGUUAAUUAAAUUGGUGCCUUGAUCAUUUUUGGUUAAUUUUGGAGUUAAAUAGGGCAAAUCCAAACCCAAUUAGCUACUACUUCAAGGGGAGGUAUUUUCUUUUAUUAUUUAAAAUAUUUUAUGUGCUCCUACGUGUUUUAUGUGUAAUUGCAUGGCUUGAAUAUUUUAUUUAUUUAUUUAUUUACUUGUUUUAUUUUAAGUUUUAUAAAUUUAAUUUUGAUGAUUAUUUGAGAGGCAUUUAAAUACCAAAUUGUAAUAGAUAGGAAUUCAAGAUAUGUAUUUAGAUAGAUUAUGUAAUAGAUAGGUUUAACUCUUACCAAAAGUGUAAUAGUUAGGUUAUUAUUUUAUUCUUUCCCUCCUUUUAGAUUGUAAUUAGGCCCCGAAUGUAAUAGUUAGAUCUCUAUUUACUUUUAUUUGUUUGUGUGUUUGCAUACUUGUGUGCUUAUGUGUUAUUCGCUUUCUUAGGAUCUUUACAUCUAGAUAUUAUGUUUAUGUGUUAUGUGUUCUAUGUGCAUUAUGUGUUUGUUUGUUUUAAUUGUACUUUAUAUGAUCUAUUUAGUUAUAAUAAAAGCAUGACGUCACUGCACUAGUCCAAUACUAGUUGUAGUCUUUCUUCCCCGAUUUCUCACUAGUCCAACGCUAGUGAGAACUUAUAGACAUGAGCUAGUCCAAUGCUAGACCCUUAGGGACCGCCUACGUGCUAGAUCAUGUUUGUGUGACAAUCACUACAUUUCAUACACAUUUUCUACUUUUUAGGAUCUUUACCAUUUUUGCAUGAUAUUUCCUCUAUAUGUACAUCCAUUAUCCCUAUGUGUGCAACAUGACAAGUAGACUUGCAUUCCAUUUAAGAAAAUUAGAACUAGAUUAGAUCAUUUGCUUGAUUAGAUAAGAGAGUCAUCCUUUAAAAUAUGGGAUAUGGACAAGUAUGGCUCCUUAGCCUUAGCACGCUCGUAUCUCCUCUAUAAAAAGGAAAAUCUAGUCAUGAAUCUUAGUUUCCCACACCCAUUAUGUUGCAUUCCUCUUUUUUAGGUCACAUAUACUUAUAUAUUAUAAUUUUUUUUUCUUCAAGUCGCACUCUUUGCAUAUUCGUGACCUCUUCUAAGAGUCAUUUUUGUGGCGACCCCACUUCCCCCUAAGGCGAACCAAAGGGUUGGCGGGCCGUCUGCCCAACUCUCGCCAGGACUCACGCAAGCAUUCUAGCUUAAAAUCCUCCAGGGAUUAACCUAAACUACUACAAAAAUAAUUCUUCCGAAAUAAAUCAAUUUCUAUCACCUCAUUAGCUUCAAAGAUAACGGCAUACAACUUAGCCAAACGACGGCUCUUAACCACUUCACACGUUACUCGCAAGGUUAAAGACAUACUAUACUAAUAAAAACAUACAAACCGAAUAUUAGAAUUUGGGAUUACAUUUUUCCAGCUUCAAGUGGCAACCAAAAUAAAAGGUACAGUACUUAACGUAGAAUUCAUUACAAACCGAAAUCUAAAUUCAAGUUAUUCAAAUACAUUCAUAGGAAAUAUAAGCAGCUCAAAUUCUUUCAACUUCCAGACCUGUAAGGAAAACAAAUAAACGUGGGGUGAGCUAAAGCUCAGUGGUGCCCCAAAACAUGCAUUCACGUAAAUCAAACAGCGAGAAAUAACUUAAACAAAUUGAACAGUUAGGAAAGCGUAUAACAACACAAGGUAGGAUACAGGGGCUCUCAGGAGCCAUUUUCCUCGCUUGAUCGCCGUUCAUCGUAGUUGACCCUCCGUCAACUCUCACUACUUAUAGUCCAUGUAGAUCCACUCAUUUUAAUCCUAACCCGUCACCAUUCAUACCCCGGUCCCGGGCCCGAACGUCGACUAAGGACGCAGUAUACUCGAGAUAUACCCGUAGAUAAUUUGUCGAGGGAUUCACCCAACGACGUUAUUGUAGUUAGAUUCACGUGCCGAGGGAUUCACCCAACGACGUAACUACAUUUGGAUUCAAGGAUUCAUGAGAAAAAUGAUUCACGCAAGUCACCACUCGAACGGCUAGUGCGAUAAAGUACACACUGCUCACUUCGAUGGAUCAAAAACUAGUUUUACAAAUUAUCACAUAUCGAGUCAAGAAAGCACUUUAACCAAGUAAGCAUAGAACAGGCAGAGACACUCACCAAGAGUGGAGUUCAGAUAUCAAGUUGAGAAUCGAAUUCCGCGUCCUCGCAAAAUCCUAAAAACCAAAUUUUGAAACUAUAAGUUUCUAUUCAGUUUUUCAGCUUAUACACGCAGAGGUAUACUUAAUAUAUUACUAGUUUACUACCCUUAGAAAAAUUAGGAAUCUACUUAGGUUGAAAUUUGACAAACUUAGAAGAAAUGUUUCUUAUAGUUUUCCGUAAGAUACUCUUCCUUAUAAAGGGUAACUAGUAUCAUUUUCUUGAAAUAAGUCGGCAAAACUCUUAACAACAAUGUUAGAAAGUUACUUUGAACAUUUCUCUAAAGUUACGGCUUUUGCAAAAAUUAUCCUUAAAAACUAUUUUUCUUAAAAUAGGGUUUCUUGCCGAGCAAGUCUCCCAAGCUUUUCACUAAAAUUAGUAAAGCUCGUAUUUUGGAACUUUUCCUAUAGUUAACUAUCCAAGUGCAAAGCUUAAAGAAAGAAAAAGAAUUAAAAUAAGACUUAGAGUUUUCAAAAGCUAUAGAACUUAUUUACUAUAGCUAUCAAGGCUAGAUUGAGCUAAAGAAAAUUAUCGAGUUGGAAAGUUUUAGGCAAAACACUAGAUAUGGAGUUUUAUAAUAUAAUACUAGCUGGAAAAUAUUUUUGAUUAAUUUUUUAUCGCAGCUACUCGAGUUCGCAAGAUCGAUACAACUUCCACAGCUCCGAUUCCGUUUCGAAAUCAUAUUAUGGAUCAAAAUAUGGCAAAAAUUCACAUAGCAAAUUACUAGGGCUUCGUCAAUCAUUAGCCCUAGAUUUCAACAAGUGCAUCUCUGAAUAAAAUAAAAUGAUCAACCAAGGCUUCAUCAAUCAUUAGCACUUGGUCUCAGCAAGCCCAUCAUGAGCAAAUAAAAAUAAAGGUAAAGCCUCCAAGACAUUCCAGCAAUUAACUUUCAUCACCCUGUAGUACUUAUAAAAUUAUUCAAAUGGCCAAGGGCUUCGUCAAUCAUUAGCCCCUAGCACCCAUCCAGUAAUUCUUGUAGCAACAAGGCUAACAAUUCAAAUGUUUAAAUUUACUAACAGGUAUUUAAAGUCAAGAACCAAAUUUUCAACGACUUCAUACUCAAGAAAUUGUUCCACAGCCACACUUCACUAUCUCCGAUUUAUUCUCCCAAGAUAGCGAGAGUUUCACAUCCAUAUAUCUUAUAAACUUUAAAACAACUUGUUCCAGAUAUUGCAACCAUUAUGAUUUCAAAGAAUAAUUUCACUUUCAAGCUGGAAAUUCUUACUCAAGCUUUGGCAACUACAAGGAAAAUUUCCAGCAUUCGUAUACCCACGUUUUUGGUUAAAUCAUUCGCGAUAUCAAAUGUUUCAUUGCUAAACAACAUGUAUAUCUUAAAAUACACCCUUUUUCUGUGUUUCGAAACCAUUUUAUGCCAAGGAAAAUAUUCAAACAUCAACUAGUGAAAUUCGGAAACAAUUCAAUAUUUUCUGCUCAAACGUUUGGUUAGCUAAAUUUUCCAGCAACCAUUUAUCUUGUAUAAAAUUCUUCCUUGGCUUAUUCAGGGAUUUAAAUACUCAAAUUCAACAUACAACUACUUAACUAACUGACUAACAUUUUUGGUUCAAGAAUUAAAUUCGAACAACAACAAGAGUCUUCAAAUUAAAUUCCAGCUAGCCUCGGUUGAAAUCUGCACAGAAACUGAUUGCAUUUUUCUUUUUGUUUUCUGUUCUAACUCAACCAAUUAACUACAUGCGUAGCUUAAUCAUCUUGUCAUUUACUAGUUAGUCAUGGUUAGAGGCUUAAAACAGCAAGAUUAUUCCACAUGAAACUAUAUUAUUCAAAACAACUCUCGGCAGAAAUUUUCUACAUCAAAACAGAAUUUUUCCUUGUACAUUAAAACCACAUUAAAACCUUGUAUUUUGCCCUUAAUUCUCACAUGCAUAAUUACUAAGUUAAUUAACUAUCAUUCCAGACCAGAAAUCAGUUCGGCAACAGCAAUAUACAUUCAUAACUCCAGAAUUUUGUGCAACUUCUACUCGGUGAGCUUGCAUGUGAAGAAUUCUGUUUCAUAUCUUAUUUUCCAGAGUAAUCCAGGCUAAUUAAUUUCAUGCAUGACUUUAUCAUCUUGUUUUCAGGUGAUUAAACACAAUUCCACCUCUGAUCAUCCCACAAUUUACGAAUUACAGUUACAACAUUCAAGCUCAAGCUCACGGCAGUCCCAUUCUUUUUCCCAACCAAUUUCUGGUAGCUUAUCAUCAAAUUAACACAUAGCUAGAUACAUCAUCCGAGCUUAAAGACCUCACAUGCAAGUCCAAAGCUUGCUUAUACUACCUCUGAUUAACCAUUUUACAGUCCAGAAAUUUACCUCACUGGAUGCUCACUCACUCGACAAGAUGCUGAAGUCUGACCCUCUCUCUCGGCUCUUGUCCUCACGCACAGGUAGGUUGGUUCUGGUUGGGUUGUAGGGGUUGCAGCUGGUGAUGGUGGAAGCUGGUUAGCAACCGGCUGAGUUUGGAGAAUGCAGAGGAAAGUUUGCUCACAGUUUCUCCUCCUCUCCUCCCUCUUCGAUACUUGCGGACAGAACCAGAAAUGGAAAUGCAGCUCUCAGCUUCCUCCCUCACUCUCGGCUAUAUGGUGCAGCUCACCUUCCUUCACUCUCGGUCGAUGAUAACAAUGUGGAGGUGGAGUGUUUGUGAGGUUUAAGUGUGCAGGUGGUAAAGAUGAGCAUUGGCCGGAUGGAGAGGUGCAAGAUCAUUGUGUUCGAGGGAGUGUUUGGCGUUGCGUGGAAUGGUUAUGGCCGUGGGGUGUUUUUGUGAAAUUGCGAGGGUAGUUUAGUCUUUUCACUUCUCCUCCUAUUAUCCACUUAAGUCCUUAGCUCUAACUUAACUCCAAAAAUUAUCCCCAAGUGUGAUUUGAACGCCUAAUGAUUCGCUAAUCUUGCAAGGCUUUGAUUAUCGGAAUUUUUUUUUACGACUUAAGUAUGGUUAGAAUACUUGUAUUGUUUUUAUCUAGAAUUUAUCGGUUGCAAAAUAAUAUUAAGGUUUCUAUCUGCACUUAACCUUAUUCGAAAAUAAAAUUAGCUAUUGAAAAUUAAAGAAUUAUUUUUAAGGAGUAAACUUAAUAUAACUCAAGAAUUAUUAACUUAGUGAAGCAAAGCUAAGUGCUUUAAUAGCUAACACCGUUAUAAUAUUUUGCACAUAAAAGUUAUUUUUAAUUUACUUAUUUAAAACAAAUGAAAUAAUGUUAUAGAUUAGAAUAAGAACUACGGAUGAAAUAUGCACUAGUAUAUAAAAGCGAGUGAAAGUAAUACUAGAAAAGAUUAAGAAAUACGAAUGCUAAAUAAAAGUGAAAUUGAAGUAUGCAUUGAUAUUUAUCUGCAAAAUUCAAGGUUCUCACAUCCUCCCCUCCUUACAAUGAAUUUUGUCCUCAAAAUUCACACAUUCUGGAUAAAUAAAUCGGGGUACUUUUUCUGCAUUUUUUCUUCUAACUCCCACGUUGCUUCCUCGAGUCCAUGAUUCUUCCAUAGAAUCUUCACCAGAGGAAUUUCCUUAUUUCUCAGUUCAUUCAUUUCUCUCUCCAAAAUCCUGACCGGUCCUUCUUCAUACGUUAACGUUUCAUGCACCUCAAUUCCUUCUAGUGGCAACACGUGACUUGGAUCAGGAUAAUAUUUCCUAAGCAUGGAAACAUAAAAUACAUCGUGAAUCUUAGCCAUGCUUGCAGGCAACUUCAAUUGAUACGCUACUAACCCAACUCUCUUCAAAAUUUCGAAAGGUCCGAUAUACCUUGGUUUCAGCUUCUUACCUUUCUUAGACACUACUCCGCCCUUCAAGGGUUUAAUUCUGAGGAAAACCUUGUCUCCUACUUCGAAUUCCAAAUCUUUCCUCCUUGUGUCGGCGUAGCUCUUUUGUCUACUCUGAGCAACUUGAAGCCUUUCUCUAAUUAGUUUUACUUUCUCCUGGGCUUCUUCUAUCCAAGGUAUAGCUGUAGGAUCUACGAUUUUCUUUUCUCCAACUUCAUCCAAAUGAAUCGGAGAUCGACACCUUCUUCCAUACAAAGUCUCAUAAGGUGCCAUUUGAAUCGAAGCCUGAUAGCUGUUAUUAUAUGCAAAUUCCACUAAGGUCAUAUAUUGGCUCCACUUACCUCCAAAAUCCAGUAUACACGACCUCAGUAGAUCCUCCAGAGUUUGAAUUGUCCUUUCCGACUGCCCGUCGGUUUGGGGAUGGUACGCAGUACUAAACUUCAACUUGGUCCCCAAAGAGUCCUGAAAUUUCUGCCAAAAACGCGAGACGAAUCUUGGGUCUCGAUCAGACACAAUACUCACUGGAAUACCAUGUAACCUUAGGAUCUCUUCUGUGUACAACUUGACCAAUUUCUCCAAUGAAAAACUCAUGCUUACAGGUAAGAAGUGUGCAGAUUUAGUGAGUCGAUCGACUAUUACCCAAAUUGCAUCAAAACCUUUUUGACUUUUAGGUAGUCCCGUUACAAAAUCCAUUGUUAUGUGUUCCCAUUUCCAUUCAGGGAUUUCUAACGGUUGCAAUAAACCAGAGGGCUUUUGAUGUUCAGCUUUUACUUGUUGGCAGAUCAAGCAUCUUUGUACAAACGCUGCCACGUCCUUUUUCAAACCUUCCCACCAGUAUAAUCCCUUCACAUCGUGGUACAUCUUGAUCACACCUGGGUGUAUAGUAUACUUCGACCGAUGUGAUUCUUCUAGAAUUCCUUUCCUUAGCUCCUCAUCUGCCGGAAUCACAAUUCGAUCUCGAAACCUCAAUACCCCUUCAGGCCCUAAUUUGAAGUCUAGGGUUUCCCCUUUUUGCACUUUUUCCAGAUUCUUCCGAAUCAUAGGGUCUAUUUUCUGGGCCUCCUUAAUACGCUCUAGUAACGGUGACUUCAAUGAUAAGUUCCCAAAUAAAACCUUCAAUUUCUCCAAGCGAGGGUUCCAACCACUUAAUUCCUCUAACAUAUCCCACUCUUUUACCAUUAACCCUGCUACUUGGGCCUUCCUACUAAGAGCGUCAGCCACCACAUUGGCUUUUCCUGGAUGGUAAUUAAUCGAGCAGUCAUAAUCUUCCAGAAAUUCUACCCAUCGCCUUUGUCUCAAAUUCAGUUCCUUUUGGGAGAACAAGUACUUGAGGCUCUUAUGGUCCGUAUAAACUUCAAAAGUCACGCCGUACAAGUAGUGUCUCCAUUUCUUCAAGGCGAAAAUUACUGCGGCUAGUUCUAGGUCAUGAGUUGGGUAGUUUUGUUCGUGGGGUUUCAAUCUCCUAGAAGCAUAGGCAACUACCUUACCCAUUUGCAUUAAGACACAUCCCAGACCUUCUCUGGAAGCAUCAGAAUAUACAGCAUAACCUUCACCUCCAUCGGGUAAAACCAAAAUGGGAGCGGAUGUUAACCGCUUCUUUAGUUCCUGAAAACUUGACUCGCACUUCGGAGUCCAGACAAAGUUAGCCCCUUUCUUGGUUAGCUCAGUCAUAGGUCCUGCAAUUUUCGAGAAAUCCUGAAUAAAUCGCCUAUAAUAACCUGCUAAACCCAAGAAACUUCUAACUUCAGUUGGAGUUUCUGGUUGUUUCCAAUUCAUAACGGCCUCAACCUUUGCCGGAUCCACGGCAAUUCCACCUUCAGAAACUCUGUGCCCUAGAAAAGAUAUUUCAGUCAACCAAAACUCACACUUACUGAAUUUGGCAUACAGCUUAUGUUCUCUUAGUAUCUGCAAAACCACCUCUAAAUGCUUAGCAUGCUCCUCUCGAGUCUUAGAGUAAAUCAGGAUAUCAUCUAUGAAAACCACUACAAACUGAUCUAGAUACUUCUUAAAAAUUCUCUGCAUCAGGUCCAUGAAAGCAGCUGGUGCGUUGGUUAAUCCAAAAGGCAUGACUGCGAACUCAAAAUGUCCAUAUCUCGUACUAAAAGCAGUCUUAGGUAUAUCUUCCUUCUUGAUCUUCAACUGAUAGUACCCUUGCUUUAAAUCCAGCUUAGAGAAGACCACUGACCCUUGCAGUUGGUCGAAUAAGCUAUCAAUCAACGGUAGAGGGUAUUUAUUCUUAAUUGUAACCUCAUUUAACCCUCGGUAAUCGAUACAUAACCUCAAGCUUCCAUCGUUUUUCUUAACGAAUAGGACGGGUGCUCCCCAAGGUGAAUCACUCUCCUUCACAAAACCCUUCUCCAACAGAUCCUGUAAUUGAAUUUUCAAUUCUUUUAGCUCGGCAGGAGCCAUUCGAUAUGGGGUCUUAGAAAUUGGAGCCGUUCCAGGUAUCAAGUCAAACUUAAAUUCCACUUCCCUUUCCGGGGGUAGAGUCCUUAGCUCUUCGGGAAAAACAUCCGGAAAUUCCCGUACCACUGGUACAUCCUCCAGCUUCACUUGAUCACUGGGAGCGUUUAUCAAGAAAGCUAGGAAACCUUGCGCUCCUUUAGACAACAUUUUCCUUGCUCGGAUUCCUGAGAUCAUAGCAGAUGAUGCUAACCUACCCUUGACAUCUAACCUCAGGGUUACUUCACCAGGUAUACAAAAUUCCACCACUUUCGCUCGGCAGUCAAGUUUAGCAUGGUGAUGGCCUAGAAAAUCCAUUCCUAUUAUAACAUCGUAACCUUUUUAUGUCCAGACUGAUCAAAUCCACUAGCAUUUUACGCUCUCCAAUCCAGAAUUCACAAUUCUUAUAAGCCAGACUAGUGAUUACAUUCUUAUUACCCAUGGGUGCCCUAACUUCAAGAUCGAAGGGUAAUCUAAUAGGUUGCACAUCUAUUCCAGACAUAAAAGAUGGAUUUACGAAUGAAUGGGUUGCACCAGGGUCAAUUAACACUUUAACUAAUCGAUGAAAAAUCGGAAGUGUACCUUCCACCACUUCCGAGGAAUCAGGUACAGGUUGGUCACCUAUAGCAUACACUCUGGCAGGAACUGUCGGCCGGCUCCCUCCAGAAGUGUUUGGUCUAGCGUUCGAAGUAGUCCCUUCCUGCAUUUUUGGACAUCCAGAAAUUUGGUGCUCGCUACUUCCACAUUUCAAGCACUUUCCUUGCCUCUUCCAGCAGUCAUCCAUAGUAUGACCAGGUUUCUUACAAUAUGCACAAGUCAUUUGGGGAAUUAUGGCUCGGCCUCCUUGCGAGGUAUUCCUAGGUUGUGCUCUUCCAAUCGGUCCCCCUCUAGUUCCAUUGUUUCUUCCCCCUGCAUUCCUUGCCCCGGUUCCCCUUGCUAAUGCACCUCGCGGUGCUCCGGGACUAGUCACUCCGCCUGUACGUCGGCCCACUUUAGCCGGUGGAGUAUUUCCAUACGUCGGCUCUCGACUACUGCUGGGGGCAAAUUUUUUCUUAGCUUGAAAAGAUUUCACUUGAGCUCUAGCUACUUCAACUCUCUGAGCUCUUUCGACAGCAUCUGCGAAAGUAUCUAUCCUUACGGCGGCUAAACUUUCCUGUAGUUCCACAUUCAAACCCUGCACAAACCUCCGAACACGCCUUUGCUCGGUGGCUAUCAACUCAGGUGCAAAGCGGGAUAGCUUUGUGAACUGGAUUUCAUAUUCGGCGACACUCAUCGCCCCUUGCUUGCAUCUAAUGAAAUCAUCCUCUCUCUUCUCUUGAAUGAGAGGUGGAAGGAAUUUGGCAUUGAACUCCCUUGUGAAGUUCACCCAAGUCCUUGGUGUAUGAUUAGUCUCCCAAUGAACCCUCAUUAGGUUCCACCAGGAGCGAGCAGCUCCCUCAAACUGGAAGGUGGCAAAAGUCACCUUUCGCUCCUCCGUAUAGUUUAAGGCGGUGAAGAUCUCAGUGAUCCUCUCCCACCAGCCUUCAGCCACUUCCGGCUCGGGUCCUCCGUAGAACUUGGGAGAUCCAAACUUCAGGAACCUCUCCACUGCCCGAUCAUCGGAACCAACUGGGCCCCCUGAUGACGCACUGGUCCAGUGGCUUGGUUUUCAGUCAAGCGCUCUAGAACGUCAGUGAUACGGUUAAUAGCGGUGGCCACUCCAUCUCCGGCCCCGCCCUCUUGCCCUUGGUCUGGAUUGACCUCGGGUUCCCUAUCUCUACCCGCUUCCGGGUGUUGUCUAGUGGGUCUCCCGCGGUCCCUUCCUAUCACUUGGCGAUCCAUAGUCUAAAUUAUGCCUAUUAUGGAAGGAUAAGGCGAUUAGGCGAAGUAUUAUUUAUUUAUAAUUAUUAUUAUUUCCUUAGUAAAUAAAAUCAAUAUGGAAAUGGAGGAAAAAGUAAGUAAAACACUUAACAUGUAUUUCUAAGUGAAAGUCAUACAAAUAAUAAGUUGGGACAUUUCCAAAAGUAAGGCACAUGACUAGCAAAAAUACAUACAAAUAGUCCCUUAAACAAAAAUUAGGGAUAUGGUGCCUCCGAAGCAAGUCAUCCACCUAGACAAAACUUGAUGACCUAGCUAAUGUCCCCCUAUUCUAAACCUACAUAUCCAAUAUGGUCGAAUCGAUCCAAGCCUAACCCUCAGCAGGGCUAUCGGGAGCUAUGUCCUCCUCCGGAUCCUCCUCCGGGUCCUCCUCCGGGUCCUCCUGCUCAACACUCUGAAGGAUACCCGUGGCCUCAUCUAUCAUCAUCACGGCAUCAGCCCUGAUACCGACACUCCUAUCACGUAUCCUCUCGGCCAAUCGAGUCACCCUCGCUCUCUGACGCGCUAUCUCUACGCGAGCAGCCUCCAGCCUAGCAUGCUCCGCUGCUACCCUCUGCUCUAACUCCGCUAUGCGGUCGAACUGAGUGUCCACCAUGAUACUCAGCUCCUCUACGUCCUGAGACAAAGUGAAGUUAGCGUCCCUCAGCUGGCGACGCUCAUCAUCCAGGGAUAGUACUAGCUCAUUGGGGUAGGCAUAAGUGGCCCUACACUGACACCGAGGAUGCCUAUCAGCUGGGGUGUAACGUAUAUGAGCUCCUCCGCCACGUGGCCUAUAAGAGAUGGACCUAAGAGGCUCUAUAUGUCCGUUAGACGCUCCAUUACCAUAAGCAUGCCCAUUACCGUUCUCCAUACCUGCAAAAUAAUUAAAGCUUAGAGGUUAGAACUUAAAUAGCUAAUCGAAUCGGUAUUACUUAAGAUGUAUCUAAUGGUCUCGAUUCUUACUUCUAGAAGGAUCAGGAUUUCUAGCUCGUAUAGUAUAUCUCUCAAAUAACUUUUCUAACCUAGGCUCUGAUACCACCUGUGGCGACCCCACUUCCCCCUAAGGCGAACUAAAGGGUUAGCGGGCCGUCUGCCCAGCUCUCGCCAGGACUCACGCAAGCAUUCUAGCUUAAAAUCCUCCAGGGAUUAACCUAAACUACUACAAAAAUAAUUCUUCCGAAAUAAAUCAAUUUCUAUCACCUCAUUAGCUUCAAAGAUAACGGCAUACAACUUAGCCAAACGACGGCUCUUAACCACUUCACACGUUACUCGCAAGGUUAAAGACAUACUAUACUAAUAAAAACAUACAAACCGAAUAUUAGAAUUUGGGAUUACAUUUUUCCAGCUUCAAGUGGCAACCAAAAUAAAAGGUACAGUACUUAACGUAGAAUUCAUUACAAACCGAAAUCUAAAUUCAAGCUAUUCAAAUACAUUCAUAGGAAAUAUAAGCAGCUCAAAUUCUUUCAACUUCCAGACCUGUAAGGAAAACAAAUAAACGUGGGGUGAGCUAAAGCUCAGUGAUGCCCCAAAACAUGCAUUCACGUAAAUCAAACAGCGAGAAAUAACUUAAACAAAUUGAACAGUUAGGAAAGCGUAUAACAACACAAGGUAGGAUACAGGGGCUCUCAGGAGCCAUUUUCCUCGCUUGAUCGCCGUUCAUCGUAGUUGACCUUCCGUCAACUCUCACUACUUAUAGUCCAUGUAGAUCCACUCAUUUUAAUCCUAACCCGUCACCAUUCAUACCCCGGUCCCGGGCCCGAACGUCGACUAAGGACGCAGUAUACUCGAGAUAUACCCGUAGAUAAUUUGUCGAGGGAUUCACCCAACGACGUUAUUGUAGUUAGAUUCACGUGCCGAGGGAUUCACCCAACGACGUAACUACAUUUGGAUUCAAGGAUUCAUGAGAAAAAUGAUUCACGCAGGUCACCACUCGAACGGCUAGUGCGAUAAAGUACACACUGCUCACUUCGAUGGAUCAAAAACUAGUUUUGCAAAUUAUCACAUAUCGAGUCAAGAAAGCACUUUAACCAAGUAAGCAUAGAACAGGCAGAGACACUCACCAAGAGUGGAGUUCAGAUAUCAAGUUGAGAAUCGAAUUCCGCGUCCUCGCAAAAUCCUAAAAACCAAAUUUUGAAACUAUAAGUUUCUAUUCAGUUUUUAAGCUUAUACACGCAGAGGUAUACUUAAUAUAUUACUAGUUUACUACCCUUAGAAAAAUUAGGAAUCUACUUAGGUUGAAAUUUGACAAACUUAGAAGAAAUGUUUCUUAUAGUUUUCCGUAAGAUACUCUUCCUUAUAAAGGGUAACUAGUAUCAUUUUCUUGAAAUAAGUCGGCAAAACUCUUAACAACAAUGUUAGAAAGUUACUUUGAACAUUUCUCUAAAGUUACGGCUUUUGCAAAAAUUAUCCUUAAAAACUAUUUUUCUUAAAAUAGGGUUUCUUGCCGAGCAAGUCUCCCAAGCUUUUCACUAAAAUUAGUAAAACUCGUAUUUUGGAACUUUUCCUAUAGUUAACUAUCCAAGUGCAAAGCUUAAAGAAAGAAAAAGAAUUAAAAUAAGACUUAGAGUUUUCAAAAGCUAUAGAACUUAUUUACUAUAGCUAUCAAGGCUAGAUUGAGCUAAAGAAAAUUAUCGAGUUGGAAAGUUUUAGGCAAAACACUAGAUAUGGAGUUUUAUAAUAUAAUACUAGCUGGAAAAUAUUUUUGAUUAAUUUUUUAUCGCAGCUACUCGAGUUCGCAAGAUCGAUACAACUUCCACAGCUCCGAUUCCGUUUCGAAAUCAUAUUAUGGAUCAAAAUAUGGCAAAAAUUCACAUAGCAAAUUACUAGGGCUUCGUCAAUCAUUAGCCCUAGAUUUCAACAAGUGCAUCUCUGAAUAAAAUAAAAUGAUCAACCAAGGUUUCAUCAAUCAUUAGCACUUGGUCUCAGCAAGCCCAUCAUGAGCAAAUAAAAAUAAAGGUAAAGCCUCCAAGACAUUCCAGCAAUUAACUUUCAUCACCCUGUAGUACUUAUAAAAUUAUUCAAAUGGCCAAGGGCUUCGUCAAUCAUUAGCCCCUAGCACCCAUCCAGUAAUUCUUGUAGCAACAAGGCUAACAAUUCAAAUGUUUAAAUUUACUAACAGGUAUUUAAAGUCAAGAACCAAAUUUUCAACGACUUCAUACUCAAGAAAUUGUUCCACAGCCACACUUCACUAUCUCCGAUUUAUUCUCCCAAGAUAGCGAGAGUUUCACAUCCAUAUAUCUUAUAAACUUUAAAACAACUUGUUCCAGAUAUUGCAACCAUUAUGAUUUCAAAGAAUAAUUUCACUUUCAAGCUGGAAAUUCUUACUCAAGCUUUGGCAACUACAAGGAAAAUUUCCAGCAUUCGUAUACCCACGUUUUUGGUUAAAUCAUUCGCGAUAUCAAAUGUUUCAUUGCUAAACAACAUGUAUAUCUUAAAAUACACCCUUUUUCUGUGUUUCGAAACCAUUUUAUGCCAAGGAAAAUAUUCAAACAUCAACUAGUGAAAUUCGGAAACAAUUCAAUAUUUUCUGCUCAAACGUUUGGUUAGCUAAAUUUUCCAGCAACCAUUUAUCUUGUAUAAAAUUCUUCCUUGGCUUAUUCAGGGAUUUAAAUACUCAAAUUCAACAUACAACUACUUAACUAACUGACUAACAUUUUUGGUUCAAGAAUUAAAUUCGAACAACAACAAGAGUCUUCAAAUUAAAUUCCAGCUAGCCUCGGUUGAAAUCUGCACAGAAACUGAUUGCAUUUUUCUUUUUGUUUUCUGUUCUAACUCAACCAAUUAACUACAUGCGUAGCUUAAUCAUCUUGUCAUUUACUAGUUAGUCAUGGUUAGAGGCUUAAAACAGCAAGAUUAUUCCACAUGAAACUAUAUUAUUCAAAACAACUCUCGGCAGAAAUUUUCUACAUCAAAACAGAAUUUUUCCUUGUACAUUAAAACCACAUUAAAACCUUGUAUUUUGCCCUUAAUUCUCACAUGCAUAAUUACUAAGUUAAUUAACUAUCAUUCCAGACCAGAAAUCAGUUCGGCAACAGCAAUAUACAUUCAUAACUCCAGAAUUUUGUGCAACUUCUACUCGGUGAGCUUGCAUGUGAAGAAUUCUGUUUCAUAUCUUAUUUUCCAGAGUAAUCCAGGCUAAUUAAUUUCAUGCAUGACUUUAUCAUCUUGUUUUCAGGUGAUUAAACACAAUUCCACCUCUGAUCAUCCCACAAUUUACGAAUUACAGCUACAACAUUCAAGCUCAAGCUCACGGCAGUCCCAUUCUUUUUCCCAACCAAUUUCUGGUAGCUUAUCAUCAAAUUAACACAUAGCUAGAUACAUCAUCCGAGCUUAAAGACCUCACAUGCAAGUCCAAAGCUUGCUUAUACUACCUCUGAUUAACCAUUUUACAGUCCAGAAAUUUACCUCACUGGAUGCUCACUCACUCGACAAGAUGCUGAAGUCUGACCCUCUCUCUCGGCUCUUGUCCUCACGCACAGGUAGGUUGGUUCUGGUUGGGUUGUAGGGGUUGCAGCUGGUGAUGGUGGAAGCUGGUUAGCAACCGGCUGAGCUUGGAGAAUGCAGAGGAAAGUUUGCUCACAGUUUCUCCUCCUCUCCUCCCUCUUCGAUACUUGCGGACAGAACCAGAAAUGGAAAUGCAGCUCUCAGCUUCCUCCCUCACUCUCGGCUAUAUGGUGCAGCUCACCUUCCUUCACUCUCGGUCGAUGAUAACAAUGUGGAGGUGGAGUGUUUGUGAGGUUUAAGUGUGCAGGUGGUAAAGAUGAGCAUUGGCCGGAUGGAGAGGUGCAAGAUCAUUGUGUUCGAGGGAGUGUUUGGCGUUGCGUGGAAUGGUUAUGGCCGUGGGGUGUUUUUGUGAAAUUGCGAGGGUAGUUUAGUCUUUUCACUUCUCCUCCUAUUAUCCACUUAAGUCCUUAGCUCUAACUUAACUCCAAAAAUUAUCCCCAAGUGUGAUUUGAACGCCUAAUGAUUCGCUAAUCUUGCAAGGCUUUGAUUAUCGGAAUUUUUUUUUACGACUUAAGUAUGGUUAGAAUACUUGUAUUGUUUUUAUCUAGAAUUUAUCGGUUGCAAAAUAAUAUUAAGGUUUCUAUCUGCACUUAACCUUAUUCGAAAAUAAAAUUAGCUAUUGAAAAUUAAAGAAUUAUUUUUAAGGAGUAAACUUAAUAUAACUCAAGAAUUAUUAACUUAGUGAAGCAAAGCUAAGUGCUUUAAUAGCUAACACCGUUAUAAUAUUUUGCACAUAAAAGUUAUUUUUAAUUUACUUAUUUAAAACAAAUGAAAUAAUGUUAUAGAUUAGAAUAAGAACUACGGAUGAAAUAUGCACUAGUAUAUAAAAGCGAGUGAAAGUAAUACUAGAAAAGAUUAAGAAAUACGAAUGCUAAAUAAAAGUGAAAUUGAAGUAUGCAUUGAUAUUUAUCUGCAAAAUUCAAGGUUCUCACAUCCUCCCCUCCUUACAAUGAAUUUUGUCCUCAAAAUUCACACAUUCUGGAUAAAUAAAUCGGGGUACUUUUUCUGCAUUUUUUCUUCUAACUCCCACGUUGCUUCCUCGAGUCCAUGAUUCUUCCAUAGAAUCUUCACCAGAGGAAUUUCCUUAUUUCUCAGUUCAUUCAUUUCUCUCUCCAAAAUCCUGACCGGUCCUUCUUCAUACGUUAACGUUUCAUGCACCUCAAUUCCUUCUAGUGGCAACACGUGACUUGGAUCAGGAUAAUAUUUCCUAAGCAUGGAAACAUAAAAUACAUCGUGAAUCUUAGCCAUGCUUGCAGGCAACUUCAAUUGAUACGCUACUAACCCAACUCUCUUCAAAAUUUCGAAAGGUCCGAUAUACCUUGGUUUCAGCUUCUUACCUUUCUUAGACACUACUCCGCCCUUCAAGGGUUUAAUUCUGAGGAAAACCUUGUCUCCUACUUCGAAUUCCAAAUCUUUCCUCCUUGUGUCGGCGUAGCUCUUUUGUCUACUCUGAGCAACUUGAAGCCUUUCUCUAAUUAGUUUUACUUUCUCCUGGGCUUCUUCUAUCCAAGGUAUAGCUGUAGGAUCUACGAUUUUCUUUUCUCCAACUUCAUCCAAAUGAAUCGGAGAUCGACACCUUCUUCCAUACAAAGUCUCAUAAGGUGCCAUUUGAAUCGAAGCCUGAUAGCUGUUAUUAUAUGCAAAUUCCACUAAGGUCAUAUAUUGGCUCCACUUACCUCCAAAAUCCAGUAUACACGACCUCAGUAGAUCCUCCAGAGUUUGAAUUGUCCUUUCCGACUGCCCGUCAGUUUGGGGAUGGUACGCAGUACUAAACUUCAACUUGGUCCCCAAAGAGUCCUGAAAUUUCUGCCAAAAACGCGAGACGAAUCUUGGGUCUCGAUCAGACACAAUACUCACUGGAAUACCAUGUAACCUUAGGAUCUCUUCUGUGUACAACUUGACCAAUUUCUCCAAUGAAAAACUCAUGCUUACAGGUAAGAAGUGUGCAGAUUUAGUGAGUCGAUCGACUAUUACCCAAAUUGCAUCAAAACCUUUUGACUUUUAGGUAGUCCCGUUACAAAAUCCAUUGUUAUGUGUUCCCAUUUCCAUUCAGGGAUUUCUAACGGUUGCAAUAAACCAGAGGGCUUUUGAUGUUCAGCUUUUACUUGUUGGCAGAUCAAGCAUCUUUGUACAAACGCUGCCACGUCCUUUUUCAAACCUUCCCACCAGUAUAAUCCCUUCACAUCGUGGUACAUCUUGGUCACACCUGGGUGUAUAGUAUACUUCGACCGAUGUGAUUCUUCUAGAAUUCCUUUCCUUAGCUCCUCAUCUGCCGGAAUCACAAUUCGAUCUCGAAACCUCAAUACCCCUUCAGGCCCUAAUUUGAAGUCUAGGGUUUCCCCUUUUUGCACUUUUUCCAGAUUCUUCCGAAUCAUAGGGUCUAUUUUCUGGGCCUCCUUAAUACGCUCUAGUAACGGUGACUUCAAUGAUAAGUUCCCAAAUAAAACCUUCAAUUUCUCCAAGCGAGGGUUCCAACCACUUAAUUCCUCUAACAUAUCCCACUCUUUUACCAUUAACCCUGCUACUUGGGCCUUCCUACUAAGAGCGUCAGCCACCACAUUGGCUUUUCCUGGAUGGUAAUUAAUCGAGCAGUCAUAAUCUUCCAGAAACUCUACCCAUCGCCUUUGUCUCAAAUUCAGUUCCUUUUGGGAGAACAAGUACUUGAGGCUCUUAUGGUCCGUAUAAACUUCAAAAGUCACGCCGUACAAGUAGUGUCUCCAUUUCUUCAAGGCGAAAAUUACUGCGGCUAGUUCUAGGUCAUGAGUUGGGUAGUUUUGUUCGUGGGGUUUCAAUCUCCUAGAAGCAUAGGCAACUACCUUACCCAUUUGCAUUAAGACACAUCCCAGACCUUCUCUGGAAGCAUCAGAAUAUACAGCAUAACCUUCACCUCCAUCGGGUAAAACCAAAAUGGGAGCGGAUGUUAACCGCUUCUUUAGUUCCUGAAAACUUGACUCGCACUUCGGAGUCCAGACAAAGUUAGCCCCUUUCUUGGUUAGCUCAGUCAUAGGUCCUGCAAUUUUCGAGAAAUCCUGAAUAAAUCGCCUAUAAUAACCUGCUAAACCCAAGAAACUUCUAACUUCAGUUGGAGUUUCUGGUUGUUUCCAAUUCAUAACGGCCUCAACCUUUGCCGGAUCCACGGCAAUUCCACCUUCAGAAACUCUGUGCCCUAGAAAAGAUAUUUCAGUCAACCAAAACUCACACUUACUGAAUUUGGCAUACAGCUUAUGUUCUCUUAGUAUCUGCAAAACCACCUCUAAAUGCUUAGCAUGCUCCUCUCGAGUCUUAGAGUAAAUCAGGAUAUCAUCUAUGAAAACCACUACAAACUGAUCUAGAUACUUCUUAAAAAUUCUCUGCAUCAGGUCCAUGAAAGCAGCUGGUGCGUUGGUUAAUCCAAAAGGCAUGACUGCGAACUCAAAAUGUCCAUAUCUCGUACUAAAAGCAGUCUUAGGUAUAUCUUCCUUCUUGAUCUUCAACUGAUAGUACCCUUGCUUUAAAUCCAGCUUAGAGAAGACCACUGACCCUUGCAGUUGGUCGAAUAAGCUAUCAAUCAACGGUAGAGGGUAUUUAUUCUUAAUUGUAACCUCAUUUAACCCUCGGUAAUCGAUACAUAACCUCAAGCUUCCAUCGUUUUUCUUAACGAAUAGGACGGGUGCUCCCCAAGGUGAAUCACUCUCCUUCACAAAACCCUUCUCCAACAGAUCCUGUAAUUGAAUUUUCAAUUCUUUUAGCUCGGCAGGAGCCAUUCGAUAUGGGGUCUUAGAAAUUGGAGCCGUUCCAGGUAUCAAGUCAAACUUAAAUUCCACUUCCCUUUCCGGGGGUAGAGUCCUUAGCUCUUCGGGAAAAACAUCCGGAAAUUCCCGUACCACUGGUACAUCCUCCAGCUUCACUUGAUCACUGGGAGCGUUUAUCAAGAAAGCUAGGAAACCUUGCGCUCCUUUAGACAACAUUUUCCUUGCUCGGAUUCCUGAGAUCAUAGCAGAUGAUGCUAACCUACCCUUGACAUCUAACCUCAGGGUUACUUCACCAGGUAUACAAAAUUCCACCACUUUCGCUCGGCAGUCAAGUUUAGCAUGGUGAUGGCCUAGAAAAUCCAUUCCUAUUAUAACAUCGUAACCUUUUUAUGUCCAGACUGAUCAAAUCCACUAGCAUUUUACUCUCUCCAAUCCAGAAUUCACAAUUCUUAUAAGCCAGACUAGUGAUUACAUUCUUAUUACCCAUGGGUGCCCUAACUUCAAGAUCGAAGGGUAAUCUAAUAGGUUGCACAUCUAUUCCAGACAUAAAAGAUGGAUUUACGAAUGAAUGGGUUGCACCAGGGUCAAUUAACACUUUAGCUAAUCGAUGAAAAAUCGGAAGUGUACCUUCCACCACUUCCGAGGAAUCAGGUACAGGUUGGUCACCUAUAGCAUACACUCUGGCAGGAACUGUCGGCCGGCUCCCUCCAGAAGUGUUUGGUCUAGCGUUCGAAGUAGUCCCUUCCUGCAUUUUUGGACAUCCAGAAAUUUGGUGCUCGCUACUUCCACAUUUCAAGCACUUUCCUUGCCUCUUCCAGCAGUCAUCCAUAGUAUGACCAGGUUUCUUACAAUAUGCACAAGUCAUUUGGGGAAUUAUGGCUCGGCCUCCUUGCGAGGUAUUCCUAGGUUGUGCUCUUCCAAUCGGUCCCCCUCUAGUUCCAUUGUUUCUUCCCCCUGCAUUCCUUGCCCCGGUUCCCCUUGCUAAUGCACCUCGCGGUGCUCCGGGACUAGUCACUCCGCCUGUACGUCGGCCCACUUUAGCCGGUGGAGUAUUUCCAUACGUCGGCUCUCGACUACUGCUGGGGGCAAAUUUUUUCUUAGCUUGAAAAGAUUUCACUUGAGCUCUAGCUACUUCAACUCUCUGAGCUCUUUCGACAGCAUCUGCGAAAGUAUCUAUCCUUACGGCGGCUAAACUUUCCUGUAGUUCCACAUUCAAACCCUGCACAAACCUCCGAACACGCCUUUGCUCGGUGGCUAUCAACUCAGGUGCAAAGCGGGAUAGCUUUGUGAACUGGAUUUCAUAUUCGGCGACACUCAUCGCCCCUUGCUUGCAUCUAAUGAAAUCAUCCUCUCUCUUCUCUUGAAUGAGAGGUGGAAGGAAUUUGGCAUUGAACUCCCUUGUGAAGUUCACCCAAGUCCUUGGUGUAUGAUUAGUCUCCCAAUGAACCCUCAUUAGGUUCCACCAGGAGCGAGCAGCUCCCUCAAACUGGAAGGUGGCAAAAGUCACCUUUCGCUCCUCCGUAUAGUUUAAGGCGGUGAAGAUCUCAGUGAUCCUCUCCCACCAGCCUUCAGCCACUUCCGGCUCGGGUCCUCCGUAGAACUUGGGAGAUCCAAACUUCAGGAACCUCUCCACUGCCCGAUCAUCGGAACCAACUGGGCCCCCUGAUGACGCACUGGUCCAGUGGCUUGGUUUUCAGUCAAGCGCUCUAGAACGUCAGUGAUACGGUUAAUAGCGGUGGCCACUCCAUCUCCGGCCCCGCCCUCUUGCCCUUGGUCUGGAUUGACCUCGGGUUCCCUAUCUCUACCCGCUUCCGGGUGUUGUCUAGUGGGUCUCCCGCGGUCCCUUCCUAUCACUUGGCGAUCCAUAGUCUAAAUUAUGCCUAUUAUGGAAGGAUAAGGCGAUUAGGCGAAGUAUUAUUUAUUUAUAAUUAUUAUUAUUUCCUUAGUAAAUAAAAUCAAUAUGGAAAUGGAGGAAAAAGUAAGUAAAACACUUAACAUGUAUUUCUAAGUGAAAGUCAUACAAAUAAUAAGUUGGGACAUUUCCAAAAGUAAGGCACAUGACUAGCAAAAAUACAUACAAAUAGUCCCUUAAACAAAAAUUAGGGAUAUGGUGCCUCCGAAGCAAGUCAUCCACCUAGACAAAACUUGAUGACCUAGCUAAUGUCCCCCUAUUCUAAACCUACAUAUCCAAUAUGGUCGAAUCGAUCCAAGCCUAACCCUCAGCAGGGCUAUCGGGAGCUAUGUCCUCCUCCGGAUCCUCCUCCGGGUCCUCCUCCGGGUCCUCCUGCUCAACACUCUGAAGGAUACCCGUGGCCUCAUCUAUCAUCAUCACGGCAUCAGCCCUGAUACCGACACUCCUAUCACGUAUCCUCUCGGCCAAUCGAGUCACCCUCGCUCUCUGACGCGCUAUCUCUACGCGAGCAGCCUCCAGCCUAGCAUGCUCCGCUGCUACCCUCUGCUCUAACUCCGCUAUGCGGUCGAACUGAGUGUCCACCAUGAUACUCAGCUCCUCUACGUCCUGAGACAAAGUGAAGUUAGCGUCCCUCAGCUGGCGACGCUCAUCAUCCAGGGAUAGUACUAGCUCAUUGGGGUAGGCAUAAGUGGCCCUACACUGACACCGAGGAUGCCUAUCAGCUGGGGUGUAACGUAUAUGAGCUCCUCCGCCACGUGGCCUAUAAGAGAUGGACCUAAGAGGCUCUAUAUGUCCGUUAGACGCUCCAUUACCAUAAGCAUGCCCAUUACCGUUCUCCAUACCUGCAAAAUAAUUAAAGCUUAGAGGUUAGAACUUAAAUAGCUAAUCGAAUCGGUAUUACUUAAGAUGUAUCUAAUGGUCUCGAUUCUUACUUCUAGAAGGAUCAGGAUUUCUAGCUCGUAUAGUAUAUCUCUCAAAUAACUUUUCUAACCUAGGCUCUGAUACCACCUGUGGCGACCCCACUUCCCCCUAAGGCGAACUAAAGGGUUAGCGGGCCGUCUGCCCAGCUCUUGCCAGGACUCACGCAAGCAUUCUAGCUUAAAAUCCUCCAGGGAUUAACCUAAACUACUACAAAAAUAAUUCUUCCGAAAUAAAUCAAUUUCUAUCACCUCAUUAGCUUCAAAGAUAACGGCAUACAACUUAGCCAAACGACGGCUCUUAACCACUUCACACGUUACUCGCAAGGUUAAAGACAUACUAUACUAAUAAAAACAUACAAACCGAAUAUUAGAAUUUGGGAUUACAUUUUUCCAGCUUCAAGUGGCAACCAAAAUAAAAGGUACAGUACUUAACGUAGAAUUCAUUACAAACCGAAAUCUAAAUUCAAGCUAUUCAAAUACAUUCAUAGGAAAUAUAAGCAGCUCAAAUUCUUUCAACUUCCAGACCUGUAAGGAAAACAAAUAAAUGUGGGGUGAGCUAAAGCUCAGUGAUGCCCCAAAACAUGCAUUCACGUAAAUCAAACAGCGAGAAAUAACUUAAACAAAUUGAACAGUUAGGAAAGCGUAUAACAACACAAGGUAGGAUACAGGGGCUCUCAGGAGCCAUUUUCCUCGCUUGAUCGCCGUUCAUCGUAGUUGACCUUCCGUCAACUCUCACUACUUAUAGUCCAUGUAGAUCCACUCAUUUUAAUCCUAACCCGUCACCAUUCAUACCCCGGUCCCGGGCCCGAACGUCGACUAAGGACGCAGUAUACUCGAGAUAUACCCGUAGAUAAUUUGUCGAGGGAUUCACCCAACGACGUUAUUGUAGUUAGAUUCACGUGCCGAGGGAUUCACCCAACGACGUAACUACAUUUGGAUUCAAGGAUUCAUGAGAAAAAUGAUUCACGCAGGUCACCACUCGAACGGCUAGUGCGAUAAAGUACACACUGCUCACUUCGAUGGAUCAAAAACUAGUUUUGCAAAUUAUCACAUAUCGAGUCAAGAAAGCACUUUAACCAAGUAAGCAUAGAACAGGCAGAGACACUCACCAAGAGUGGAGUUCAGAUAUCAAGUUGAGAAUCGAAUUCCGCGUCCUCGCAAAAUCCUAAAAACCAAAUUUUGAAACUAUAAGUUUCUAUUCAGUUUUUAAGCUUAUACACGCAGAGGUAUACUUAAUAUAUUACUAGUUUACUACCCUUAGAAAAAUUAGGAAUCUACUUAGGUUGAAAUUUGACAAACUUAGAAGAAAUGUUUCUUAUAGUUUUCCGUAAGAUACUCUUCCUUAUAAAGGGUAACUAGUAUCAUUUUCUUGAAAUAAGUCGGCAAAACUCUUAACAACAAUGUUAGAAAGUUACUUUGAACAUUUCUCUAAAGUUACGGCUUUUGCAAAAAUUAUCCUUAAAAACUAUUUUUCUUAAAAUAGGGUUUCUUGCCGAGCAAGUCUCCCAAGCUUUUCACUAAAAUUAGUAAAACUCGUAUUUUGGAACUUUUCCUAUAGUUAACUAUCCAAGUGCAAAGCUUAAAGAAAGAAAAAGAAUUAAAAUAAGACUUAGAGUUUUCAAAAGCUAUAGAACUUAUUUACUAUAGCUAUCAAGGCUAGAUUGAGCUAAAGAAAAUUAUCGAGUUGGAAAGUUUUAGGCAAAACACUAGAUAUGGAGUUUUAUAAUAUAAUACUAGCUGGAAAAUAUUUUUGAUUAAUUUUUUAUCGCAGCUACUCGAGUUCGCAAGAUCGAUACAACUUCCACAGCUCCGAUUCCGUUUCGAAAUCAUAUUAUGGAUCAAAAUAUGGCAAAAAUUCACAUAGCAAAUUACUAGGGCUUCGUCAAUCAUUAGCCCUAGAUUUCAACAAGUGCAUCUCUGAAUAAAAUAAAAUGAUCAACCAAGGUUUCAUCAAUCAUUAGCACUUGGUCUCAGCAAGCCCAUCAUGAGCAAAUAAAAAUAAAGGUAAAGCCUCCAAGACAUUCCAGCAAUUAACUUUCAUCACCCUGUAGUACUUAUAAAAUUAUUCAAAUGGCCAAGGGCUUCGUCAAUCAUUAGCCCCUAGCACCCAUCCAGUAAUUCUUGUAGCAACAAGGCUAACAAUUCAAAUGUUUAAAUUUACUAACAGGUAUUUAAAGUCAAGAACCAAAUUUUCAACGACUUCAUACUCAAGAAAUUGUUCCACAGCCACACUUCACUAUCUCCGAUUUAUUCUCCCAAGAUAGCGAGAGUUUCACAUCCAUAUAUCUUAUAAACUUUAAAACAACUUGUUCCAGAUAUUGCAACCAUUAUGAUUUCAAAGAAUAAUUUCACUUUCAAGCUGGAAAUUCUUACUCAAGCUUUGGCAACUACAAGGAAAAUUUCCAGCAUUCGUAUACCCACGUUUUUGGUUAAAUCAUUCGCGAUAUCAAAUGUUUCAUUGCUAAACAACAUGUAUAUCUUAAAAUACACCCUUUUUCUGUGUUUCGAAACCAUUUUAUGCCAAGGAAAAUAUUCAAACAUCAACUAGUGAAAUUCGGAAACAAUUCAAUAUUUUCUGCUCAAACGUUUGGUUAGCUAAAUUUUCCAGCAACCAUUUAUCUUGUAUAAAAUUCUUCCUUGGCUUAUUCAGGGAUUUAAAUACUCAAAUUCAACAUACAACUACUUAACUAACUGACUAACAUUUUUGGUUCAAGAAUUAAAUUCGAACAACAACAAGAGUCUUCAAAUUAAAUUCCAGCUAGCCUCGGUUGAAAUCUGCACAGAAACUGAUUGCAUUUUUCUUUUUGUUUUCUGUUCUAACUCAACCAAUUAACUACAUGCGUAGCUUAAUCAUCUUGUCAUUUACUAGUUAGUCAUGGUUAGAGGCUUAAAACAGCAAGAUUAUUCCACAUGAAACUAUAUUAUUCAAAACAACUCUCGGCAGAAAUUUUCUACAUCAAAACAGAAUUUUUCCUUGUACAUUAAAACCACAUUAAAACCUUGUAUUUUGCCCUUAAUUCUCACAUGCAUAAUUACUAAGUUAAUUAACUAUCAUUCCAGACCAGAAAUCAGUUCGGCAACAGCAAUAUACAUUCAUAACUCCAGAAUUUUGUGCAACUUCUACUCGGUGAGCUUGCAUGUGAAGAAUUCUGUUUCAUAUCUUAUUUUCCAGAGUAAUCCAGGCUAAUUAAUUUCAUGCAUGACUUUAUCAUCUUGUUUUCAGGUGAUUAAACACAAUUCCACCUCUGAUCAUCCCACAAUUUACGAAUUACAGCUACAACAUUCAAGCUCAAGCUCACGGCAGUCCCAUUCUUUUUCCCAACCAAUUUCUGGUAGCUUAUCAUCAAAUUAACACAUAGCUAGAUACAUCAUCCGAGCUUAAAGACCUCACAUGCAAGUCCAAAGCUUGCUUAUACUACCUCUGAUUAACCAUUUUACAGUCCAGAAAUUUACCUCACUGGAUGCUCACUCACUCGACAAGAUGCUGAAGUCUGACCCUCUCUCUCGGCUCUUGUCCUCACGCACAGGUAGGUUGGUUCUGGUUGGGUUGUAGGGGUUGCAGCUGGUGAUGGUGGAAGCUGGUUAGCAACCGGCUGAGCUUGGAGAAUGCAGAGGAAAGUUUGCUCACAGUUUCUCCUCCUCUCCUCCCUCUUCGAUACUUGCGGACAGAACCAGAAAUGGAAAUGCAGCUCUCAGCUUCCUCCCUCACUCUCGGCUAUAUGGUGCAGCUCACCUUCCUUCACUCUCGGUCGAUGAUAACAAUGUGGAGGUGGAGUGUUUGUGAGGUUUAAGUGUGCAGGUGGUAAAGAUGAGCAUUGGCCGGAUGGAGAGGUGCAAGAUCAUUGUGUUCGAGGGAGUGUUUGGCGUUGCGUGGAAUGGUUAUGGCCGUGGGGUGUUUUUGUGAAAUUGCGAGGGUAGUUUAGUCUUUUCACUUCUCCUCCUAUUAUCCACUUAAGUCCUUAGCUCUAACUUAACUCCAAAAAUUAUCCCCAAGUGUGAUUUGAACGCCUAAUGAUUCGCUAAUCUUGCAAGGCUUUGAUUAUCGGAAUUUUUUUUUACGACUUAAGUAUGGUUAGAAUACUUGUAUUGUUUUUAUCUAGAAUUUAUCGGUUGCAAAAUAAUAUUAAGGUUUCUAUCUGCACUUAACCUUAUUCGAAAAUAAAAUUAGCUAUUGAAAAUUAAAGAAUUAUUUUUAAGGAGUAAACUUAAUAUAACUCAAGAAUUAUUAACUUAGUGAAGCAAAGCUAAGUGCUUUAAUAGCUAACACCGUUAUAAUAUUUUGCACAUAAAAGUUAUUUUUAAUUUACUUAUUUAAAACAAAUGAAAUAAUGUUAUAGAUUAGAAUAAGAACUACGGAUGAAAUAUGCACUAGUAUAUAAAAGCGAGUGAAAGUAAUACUAGAAAAGAUUAAGAAAUACGAAUGCUAAAUAAAAGUGAAAUUGAAGUAUGCAUUGAUAUUUAUCUGCAAAAUUCAAGGUUCUCACAUCCUCCCCUCCUUACAAUGAAUUUUGUCCUCAAAAUUCACACAUUCUGGAUAAAUAAAUCGGGGUACUUUUUCUGCAUUUUUUCUUCUAACUCCCACGUUGCUUCCUCGAGUCCAUGAUUCUUCCAUAGAAUCUUCACCAGAGGAAUUUCCUUAUUUCUCAGUUCAUUCAUUUCUCUCUCCAAAAUCCUGACCGGUCCUUCUUCAUACGUUAACGUUUCAUGCACCUCAAUUCCUUCUAGUGGCAACACGUGACUUGGAUCAGGAUAAUAUUUCCUAAGCAUGGAAACAUAAAAUACAUCGUGAAUCUUAGCCAUGCUUGCAGGCAACUUCAAUUGAUACGCUACUAACCCAACUCUCUUCAAAAUUUCGAAAGGUCCGAUAUACCUUGGUUUCAGCUUCUUACCUUUCUUAGACACUACUCCGCCCUUCAAGGGUUUAAUUCUGAGGAAAACCUUGUCUCCUACUUCGAAUUCCAAAUCUUUCCUCCUUGUGUCGGCGUAGCUCUUUUGUCUACUCUGAGCAACUUGAAGCCUUUCUCUAAUUAGUUUUACUUUCUCCUGGGCUUCUUCUAUCCAAGGUAUAGCUGUAGGAUCUACGAUUUUCUUUUCUCCAACUUCAUCCAAAUGAAUCGGAGAUCGACACCUUCUUCCAUACAAAGUCUCAUAAGGUGCCAUUUGAAUCGAAGCCUGAUAGCUGUUAUUAUAUGCAAAUUCCACUAAGGUCAUAUAUUGGCUCCACUUACCUCCAAAAUCCAGUAUACACGACCUCAGUAGAUCCUCCAGAGUUUGAAUUGUCCUUUCCGACUGCCCGUCAGUUUGGGGAUGGUACGCAGUACUAAACUUCAACUUGGUCCCCAAAGAGUCCUGAAAUUUCUGCCAAAAACGCGAGACGAAUCUUGGGUCUCGAUCAGACACAAUACUCACUGGAAUACCAUGUAACCUUAGGAUCUCUUCUGUGUACAACUUGACCAAUUUCUCCAAUGAAAAACUCAUGCUUACAGGUAAGAAGUGUGCAGAUUUAGUGAGUCGAUCGACUAUUACCCAAAUUGCAUCAAAACCUUUUGACUUUUAGGUAGUCCCGUUACAAAAUCCAUUGUUAUGUGUUCCCAUUUCCAUUCAGGGAUUUCUAACGGUUGCAAUAAACCAGAGGGCUUUUGAUGUUCAGCUUUUACUUGUUGGCAGAUCAAGCAUCUUUGUACAAACGCUGCCACGUCCUUUUUCAAACCUUCCCACCAGUAUAAUCCCUUCACAUCGUGGUACAUCUUGAUCACACCUGGGUGUAUAGUAUACUUCGACCGAUGUGAUUCUUCUAGAAUUCCUUUCCUUAGCUCCUCAUCUGCCGGAAUCACAAUUCGAUCUCGAAACCUCAAUACCCCUUCAGGCCCUAAUUUGAAGUCUAGGGUUUCCCCUUUUUGCACUUUUUCCAGAUUCUUCCGAAUCAUAGGGUCCAUUUUCUGGGCCUCCUUAAUACGCUCUAGUAACGGUGACUUCAAUGAUAAGUUCCCAAAUAAAACCUUCAAUUUCUCCAAGCGAGGGUUCCAACCACUUAAUUCCUCUAACAUAUCCCACUCUUUUACCAUUAACCCUGCUACUUGGGCCUUCCUACUAAGAGCGUCAGCCACCACAUUGGCUUUUCCUGGAUGGUAAUUAAUCGAGCAGUCAUAAUCUUCCAGAAACUCUACCCAUCGCCUUUGUCUCAAAUUCAGUUCCUUUUGGGAGAACAAGUACUUGAGGCUCUUAUGGUCCGUAUAAACUUCAAAAGUCACGCCGUACAAGUAGUGUCUCCAUUUCUUCAAGGCGAAAAUUACUGCGGCUAGUUCUAGGUCAUGAGUUGGGUAGUUUUGUUCGUGGGGUUUCAAUCUCCUAGAAGCAUAGGCAACUACCUUACCCAUUUGCAUUAAGACACAUCCCAGACCUUCUCUGGAAGCAUCAGAAUAUACAGCAUAACCUUCACCUCCAUCGGGUAAAACCAAAAUGGGAGCGGAUGUUAACCGCUUCUUUAGUUCCUGAAAACUUGACUCGCACUUCGGAGUCCAGACAAAGUUAGCCCCUUUCUUGGUUAGCUCAGUCAUAGGUCCUGCAAUUUUCGAGAAAUCCUGAAUAAAUCGCCUAUAAUAACCUGCUAAACCCAAGAAACUUCUAACUUCAGUUGGAGUUUCUGGUUGUUUCCAAUUCAUAACGGCCUCAACCUUUGCCGGAUCCACGGCAAUUCCACCUUCAGAAACUCUGUGCCCUAGAAAAGAUAUUUCAGUCAACCAAAACUCACACUUACUGAAUUUGGCAUACAGCUUAUGUUCUCUUAGUAUCUGCAAAACCACCUCUAAAUGCUUAGCAUGCUCCUCUCGAGUCUUAGAGUAAAUCAGGAUAUCAUCUAUGAAAACCACUACAAACUGAUCUAGAUACUUCUUAAAAAUUCUCUGCAUCAGGUCCAUGAAAGCAGCUGGUGCGUUGGUUAAUCCAAAAGGCAUGACUGCGAACUCAAAAUGUCCAUAUCUCGUACUAAAAGCAGUCUUAGGUAUAUCUUCCUUCUUGAUCUUCAACUGAUAGUACCCUUGCCUUAAAUCCAGCUUAGAGAAGACCACUGACCCUUGCAGUUGGUCGAAUAAGCUAUCAAUCAACGGUAGAGGGUAUUUAUUCUUAAUUGUAACCUCAUUUAACCCUCGGUAAUCGAUACAUAACCUCAAGCUUCCAUCGUUUUUCUUAACGAAUAGGACGGGUGCUCCCCAAGGUGAAUCACUCUCCUUCACAAAACCCUUCUCCAACAGAUCCUGUAAUUGAAUUUUCAAUUCUUUUAGCUCGGCAGGAGCCAUUCGAUAUGGGGUCUUAGAAAUUGGAGCCGUUCCAGGUAUCAAGUCAAACUUAAAUUCCACUUCCCUUUCCGGGGGUAGAGUCCUUAGCUCUUCGGGAAAAACAUCCGGAAAUUCCCGUACCACUGGUACAUCCUCCAGCUUCACUUGAUCACUGGGAGCGUUUAUCAAGAAAGCUAGGAAACCUUGCGCUCCUUUAGACAACAUUUUCCUUGCUCGGAUUCCUGAGAUCAUAGCAGAUGAUGCUAACCUACCCUUGACAUCUAACCUCAGGGUUACUUCACCAGGUAUACAAAAUUCCACCACUUUCGCUCGGCAGUCAAGUUUAGCAUGGUGAUGGCCUAGAAAAUCCAUUCCUAUUAUAACAUCGUAACCUUUUUAUGUCCAGACUGAUCAAAUCCACUAGCAUUUUACUCUCUCCAAUCCAGAAUUCACAAUUCUUAUAAGCCAGACUAGUGAUUACAUUCUUAUUACCCAUGGGUGCCCUAACUUCAAGAUCGAAGGGUAAUCUAAUAGGUUGCACAUCUAUUCCAGACAUAAAAGAUGGAUUUACGAAUGAAUGGGUUGCACCAGGGUCAAUUAACACUUUAGCUAAUCGAUGAAAAAUCGGAAGUGUACCUUCCACCACUUCCGAGGAAUCAGGUACAGGUUGGUCACCUAUAGCAUACACUCUGGCAGGAACUGUCGGCCGGCUCCCUCCAGAAGUGUUUGGUCUAGCGUUCGAAGUAGUCCCUUCCUGCAUUUUUGGACAUCCAGAAAUUUGGUGCUCGCUACUUCCACAUUUCAAGCACUUUCCUUGCCUCUUCCAGCAGUCAUCCAUAGUAUGACCAGGUUUCUUACAAUAUGCACAAGUCAUUUGGGGAAUUAUGGCUCGGCCUCCUUGCGAGGUAUUCCUAGGUUGUGCUCUUCCAAUCGGUCCCCCUCUAGUUCCAUUGUUUCUUCCCCCUGCAUUCCUUGCCCCGGUUCCCCUUGCUAAUGCACCUCGCGGUGCUCCGGGACUAGUCACUCCGCCUGUACGUCGGCCCACUUUAGCCGGUGGAGUAUUUCCAUACGUCGGCUCUCGACUACUGCUGGGGGCAAAUUUUUUCUUAGCUUGAAAAGAUUUCACUUGAGCUCUAGCUACUUCAACUCUCUGAGCUCUUUCGACAGCAUCUGCGAAAGUAUCUAUCCUUACGGCGGCUAAACUUUCCUGUAGUUCCACAUUCAAACCCUGCACAAACCUCCGAACACGCCUUUGCUCGGUGGCUAUCAACUCAGGUGCAAAGCGGGAUAGCUUUGUGAACUGGAUUUCAUAUUCGGCGACACUCAUCGCCCCUUGCUUGCAUCUAAUGAAAUCAUCCUCUCUCUUCUCUUGAAUGAGAGGUGGAAGGAAUUUGGCAUUGAACUCCCUUGUGAAGUUCACCCAAGUCCUUGGUGUAUGAUUAGUCUCCCAAUGAACCCUCAUUAGGUUCCACCAGGAGCGAGCAGCUCCCUCAAACUGGAAGGUGGCAAAAGUCACCUUUCGCUCCUCCGUAUAGUUUAAGGCGGUGAAGAUCUCAGUGAUCCUCUCCCACCAGCCUUCAGCCACUUCCGGCUCGGGUCCUCCGUAGAACUUGGGAGAUCCAAACUUCAGGAACCUCUCCACUGCCCGAUCAUCGGAACCAACUGGGCCCCCUGAUGACGCACUGGUCCAGUGGCUUGGUUUUCAGUCAAGCGCUCUAGAACGUCAGUGAUACGGUUAAUAGCGGUGGCCACUCCAUCUCCGGCCCCGCCCUCUUGCCCUUGGUCUGGAUUGACCUCGGGUUCCCUAUCUCUACCCGCUUCCGGGUGUUGUCUAGUGGGUCUCCCGCGGUCCCUUCCUAUCACUUGGCGAUCCAUAGUCUAAAUUAUGCCUAUUAUGGAAGGAUAAGGCGAUUAGGCGAAGUAUUAUUUAUUUAUAAUUAUUAUUAUUUCCUUAGUAAAUAAAAUCAAUAUGGAAAUGGAGGAAAAAGUAAGUAAAACACUUAACAUGUAUUUCUAAGUGAAAGUCAUACAAAUAAUAAGUUGGGACAUUUCCAAAAGUAAGGCACAUGACUAGCAAAAAUACAUACAAAUAGUCCCUUAAACAAAAAUUAGGGAUAUGGUGCCUCCGAAGCAAGUCAUCCACCUAGACAAAACUUGAUGACCUAGCUAAUGUCCCCCUAUUCUAAACCUACAUAUCCAAUAUGGUCGAAUCGAUCCAAGCCUAACCCUCAGCAGGGCUAUCGGGAGCUAUGUCCUCCUCCGGAUCCUCCUCCGGGUCCUCCUGCUCAACACUCUGAAGGAUACCCGUGGCCUCAUCUAUCAUCAUCACGGCAUCAGCCCUGAUACCGACACUCCUAUCACGUAUCCUCUCGGCCAAUCGAGUCACCCUCGCUCUCUGACGCGCUAUCUCUACGCGAGCAGCCUCCAGCCUAGCAUGCUCCGCUGCUACCCUCUGCUCUAACUCCGCUAUGCGGUCGAACUGAGUGUCCACCAUGAUACUCAGCUCCUCUACGUCCUGAGACAAAGUGAAGUUAGCGUCCCUCAGCUGGCGACGCUCAUCAUCCAGGGAUAGUACUAGCUCAUUGGGGUAGGCAUAAGUGGCCCUACACUGACACCGAGGAUGCCUAUCAGCUGGGGUGUAACGUAUAUGAGCUCCUCCGCCACGUGGCCUAUAAGAGAUGGACCUAAGAGGCUCUAUAUGUCCGUUAGACGCUCCAUUACCAUAAGCAUGCCCAUUACCGUUCUCCAUACCUGCAAAAUAAUUAAAGCUUAGAGGUUAGAACUUAAAUAGCUAAUCGAAUCGGUAUUACUUAAGAUGUAUCUAAUGGUCUCGAUUCUUACUUCUAGAAGGAUCAGGAUUUCUAGCUCGUAUAGUAUAUCUCUCAAAUAACUUUUCUAACCUAGGCUCUGAUACCACCUGUGGCGACCCCACUUCCCCCUAAGGCGAACUAAAGGGUUAGCGGGCCGUCUGCCCAGCUCUUGCCAGGACUCACGCAAGCAUUCUAGCUUAAAAUCCUCCAGGGAUUAACCUAAACUACUACAAAAAUAAUUCUUCCGAAAUAAAUCAAUUUCUAUCACCUCAUUAGCUUCAAAGAUAACGGCAUACAACUUAGCCAAACGACGGCUCUUAACCACUUCACACGUUACUCGCAAGGUUAAAGACAUACUAUACUAAUAAAAACAUACAAACCGAAUAUUAGAAUUUGGGAUUACAUUUUUCCAGCUUCAAGUGGCAACCAAAAUAAAAGGUACAGUACUUAACGUAGAAUUCAUUACAAACCGAAAUCUAAAUUCAAGCUAUUCAAAUACAUUCAUAGGAAAUAUAAGCAGCUCAAAUUCUUUCAACUUCCAGACCUGUAAGGAAAACAAAUAAACGUGGGGUGAGCUAAAGCUCAGUGAUGCCCCAAAACAUGCAUUCACGUAAAUCAAACAGCGAGAAAUAACUUAAACAAAUUGAACAGUUAGGAAAGCGUAUAACAACACAAGGUAGGAUACAGGGGCUCUCAGGAGCCAUUUUCCUCGCUUGAUCGCCGUUCAUCGUAGUUGACCUUCCGUCAACUCUCACUACUUAUAGUCCAUGUAGAUCCACUCAUUUUAAUCCUAACCCGUCACCAUUCAUACCCCGGUCCCGGGCCCGAACGUCGACUAAGGACGCAGUAUACUCGAGAUAUACCCGUAGAUAAUUUGUCGAGGGAUUCACCCAACGACGUUAUUGUAGUUAGAUUCACGUGCCGAGGGAUUCACCCAACGACGUAACUACAUUUGGAUUCAAGGAUUCAUGAGAAAAAUGAUUCACGCAGGUCACCACUCGAACGGCUAGUGCGAUAAAGUACACACUGCUCACUUCGAUGGAUCAAAAACUAGUUUUGCAAAUUAUCACAUAUCGAGUCAAGAAAGCACUUUAACCAAGUAAGCAUAGAACAGGCAGAGACACUCACCAAGAGUGGAGUUCAGAUAUCAAGUUGAGAAUCGAAUUCCGCGUCCUCGCAAAAUCCUAAAAACCAAAUUUUGAAACUAUAAGUUUCUAUUCAGUUUUUAAGCUUAUACACGCAGAGGUAUACUUAAUAUAUUACUAGUUUACUACCCUUAGAAAAAUUAGGAAUCUACUUAGGUUGAAAUUUGACAAACUUAGAAGAAAUGUUUCUUAUAGUUUUCCGUAAGAUACUCUUCCUUAUAAAGGGUAACUAGUAUCAUUUUCUUGAAAUAAGUCGGCAAAACUCUUAACAACAAUGUUAGAAAGUUACUUUGAACAUUUCUCUAAAGUUACGGCUUUUGCAAAAAUUAUCCUUAAAAACUAUUUUUCUUAAAAUAGGGUUUCUUGCCGAGCAAGUCUCCCAAGCUUUUCACUAAAAUUAGUAAAGCUCGUAUUUUGGAACUUUUCCUAUAGUUAACUAUCCAAGUGCAAAGCUUAAAGAAAGAAAAAGAAUUAAAAUAAGACUUAGAGUUUUCAAAAGCUAUAGAACUUAUUUACUAUAGCUAUCAAGGCUAGAUUGAGCUAAAGAAAAUUAUCGAGUUGGAAAGUUUUAGGCAAAACACUAGAUAUGGAGUUUUAUAAUAUAAUACUAGCUGGAAAAUAUUUUUGAUUAAUUUUUUAUCGCAGCUACUCGAGUUCGCAAGAUCGAUACAACUUCCACAGCUCCGAUUCCGUUUCGAAAUCAUAUUAUGGAUCAAAAUAUGGCAAAAAUUCACAUAGCAAAUUACUAGGGCUUCGUCAAUCAUUAGCCCUAGAUUUCAACAAGUGCAUCUCUGAAUAAAAUAAAAUGAUCAACCAAGGUUUCAUCAAUCAUUAGCACUUGGUCUCAGCAAGCCCAUCAUGAGCAAAUAAAAAUAAAGGUAAAGCCUCCAAGACAUUCCAGCAAUUAACUUUCAUCACCCUGUAGUACUUAUAAAAUUAUUCAAAUGGCCAAGGGCUUCGUCAAUCAUUAGCCCCUAGCACCCAUCCAGUAAUUCUUGUAGCAACAAGGCUAACAAUUCAAAUGUUUAAAUUUACUAACAGGUAUUUAAAGUCAAGAACCAAAUUUUCAACGACUUCAUACUCAAGAAAUUGUUCCACAGCCACACUUCACUAUCUCCGAUUUAUUCUCCCAAGAUAGCGAGAGUUUCACAUCCAUAUAUCUUAUAAACUUUAAAACAACUUGUUCCAGAUAUUGCAACCAUUAUGAUUUCAAAGAAUAAUUUCACUUUCAAGCUGGAAAUUCUUACUCAAGCUUUGGCAACUACAAGGAAAAUUUCCAGCAUUCGUAUACCCACGUUUUUGGUUAAAUCAUUCGCGAUAUCAAAUGUUUCAUUGCUAAACAACAUGUAUAUCUUAAAAUACACCCUUUUUCUGUGUUUCGAAACCAUUUUAUGCCAAGGAAAAUAUUCAAACAUCAACUAGUGAAAUUCGGAAACAAUUCAAUAUUUUCUGCUCAAACGUUUGGUUAGCUAAAUUUUCCAGCAACCAUUUAUCUUGUAUAAAAUUCUUCCUUGGCUUAUUCAGGGAUUUAAAUACUCAAAUUCAACAUACAACUACUUAACUAACUGACUAACAUUUUUGGUUCAAGAAUUAAAUUCGAACAACAACAAGAGUCUUCAAAUUAAAUUCCAGCUAGCCUCGGUUGAAAUCUGCACAGAAACUGAUUGCAUUUUUCUUUUUGUUUUCUGUUCUAACUCAACCAAUUAACUACAUGCGUAGCUUAAUCAUCUUGUCAUUUACUAGUUAGUCAUGGUUAGAGGCUUAAAACAGCAAGAUUAUUCCACAUGAAACUAUAUUAUUCAAAACAACUCUCGGCAGAAAUUUUCUACAUCAAAACAGAAUUUUUCCUUGUACAUUAAAACCACAUUAAAACCUUGUAUUUUGCCCUUAAUUCUCACAUGCAUAAUUACUAAGUUAAUUAACUAUCAUUCCAGACCAGAAAUCAGUUCGGCAACAGCAAUAUACAUUCAUAACUCCAGAAUUUUGUGCAACUUCUACUCGGUGAGCUUGCAUGUGAAGAAUUCUGUUUCAUAUCUUAUUUUCCAGAGUAAUCCAGGCUAAUUAAUUUCAUGCAUGACUUUAUCAUCUUGUUUUCAGGUGAUUAAACACAAUUCCACCUCUGAUCAUCCCACAAUUUACGAAUUACAGCUACAACAUUCAAGCUCAAGCUCACGGCAGUCCCAUUCUUUUUCCCAACCAAUUUCUGGUAGCUUAUCAUCAAAUUAACACAUAGCUAGAUACAUCAUCCGAGCUUAAAGACCUCACAUGCAAGUCCAAAGCUUGCUUAUACUACCUCUGAUUAACCAUUUUACAGUCCAGAAAUUUACCUCACUGGAUGCUCACUCACUCGACAAGAUGCUGAAGUCUGACCCUCUCUCUCGGCUCUUGUCCUCACGCACAGGUAGGUUGGUUCUGGUUGGGUUGUAGGGGUUGCAGCUGGUGAUGGUGGAAGCUGGUUAGCAACCGGCUGAGCUUGGAGAAUGCAGAGGAAAGUUUGCUCACAGUUUCUCCUCCUCUCCUCCCUCUUCGAUACUUGCGGACAGAACCAGAAAUGGAAAUGCAGCUCUCAGCUUCCUCCCUCACUCUCGGCUAUAUGGUGCAGCUCACCUUCCUUCACUCUCGGUCGAUGAUAACAAUGUGGAGGUGGAGUGUUUGUGAGGUUUAAGUGUGCAGGUGGUAAAGAUGAGCAUUGGCCGGAUGGAGAGGUGCAAGAUCAUUGUGUUCGAGGGAGUGUUUGGCGUUGCGUGGAAUGGUUAUGGCCGUGGGGUGUUUUUGUGAAAUUGCGAGGGUAGUUUAGUCUUUUCACUUCUCCUCCUAUUAUCCACUUAAGUCCUUAGCUCUAACUUAACUCCAAAAAUUAUCCCCAAGUGUGAUUUGAACGCCUAAUGAUUCGCUAAUCUUGCAAGGCUUUGAUUAUCGGAAUUUUUUUUUACGACUUAAGUAUGGUUAGAAUACUUGUAUUGUUUUUAUCUAGAAUUUAUCGGUUGCAAAAUAAUAUUAAGGUUUCUAUCUGCACUUAACCUUAUUCGAAAAUAAAAUUAGCUAUUGAAAAUUAAAGAAUUAUUUUUAAGGAGUAAACUUAAUAUAACUCAAGAAUUAUUAACUUAGUGAAGCAAAGCUAAGUGCUUUAAUAGCUAACACCGUUAUAAUAUUUUGCACAUAAAAGUUAUUUUUAAUUUACUUAUUUAAAACAAAUGAAAUAAUGUUAUAGAUUAGAAUAAGAACUACGGAUGAAAUAUGCACUAGUAUAUAAAAGCGAGUGAAAGUAAUACUAGAAAAGAUUAAGAAAUACGAAUGCUAAAUAAAAGUGAAAUUGAAGUAUGCAUUGAUAUUUAUCUGCAAAAUUCAAGGUUCUCACAAUUUUGGGUAUCACAAUUAAUGUGAUUCGCACCAAUUAAACUUUGAAGAGAUAUUUCGACCCUCCUGAUAUCCAUUUGGUCUAGAUUUGCAUCCAUAUAGUAACAUCCAAAUGUGAUAAGUUUUAUAGGUUAAAUUAAGAAAAUUUUUGACUAAAUCAUGCAACUAGCCUUGCCUAGGUUGAAAGGGUGUCUUGGAUUUUAUCCUUACUUUCCCUUUCUUCAACCGUGACUCCCAAACUCCUUUCUCUUGUUUUUCGAAAACUUGGAGUCGUUUAAAAAGGGUUUUCCCUACUUUUUAUUUAAAAUUCAUUUUGGGUGACUUGGUACACCUUAACUCAAUACCAAGUGGCGACUCCUAUUUUUUUCUUAAAAACCUUUUUUAAACUAUUAUUUUGGGUUAAAAUCGUCGCACUUUUAAAUCCCAUUUUAGGCCCUUUUUCUUUAUUCUCUAAAAUAAAAAACUCAUUUUUUAAUCAAAAUUAAUCAAAAAUUCAUUUUUUAUAAACCUGUAAUCUUAUUUUUCAAAAAUGGGGCGUGACAUAGAUAUGAGCACUACUUAAAGACACACCUAUUCCAUACCUUUAUUUUCAUUUCAGCAGUUUCCUUUAGUGGGACACACUAUGUUAACUGAAAUGAAAAUAAAUGCCAAAUAGUAUAAGUAGUUUCUUUUAACAAAAAAUUCAGACUAUAACUCUAUCUGGAUAUGGAUAUAAACUAAAGGACAAUCUUUUAAAUUUAUCAAAAUUUCCUUCAAGUGGAAAGAUGAUCAGCAGUCUAAUUUUGCAUAAUCCCUUCAAAAAUUAGUUAAAAUUUUGAAACCUCUGAUAGCUCCUCUUCACAAGUAAUCCCGAUAAACAAUUGGGAUAACCCCACUUCAAUCUCUUUAGUAGGAUCUUCCUUCUCUGAUUUUAAUAUGAUCACCUCUGAUGGAUGAGAAAAAAGUGUAAUAUAGCGAUGGGACCUAUAAGACAAUUUGCUUACCCUCCUUUUCAGUUUGCUUUCGAACUUGCAUUUCUUUCCUAUCUUUAGCAAUUGGAUGACAUCCUAGUCCAAAUGUAUUUUUUUGCAUUGGAAUCUCUAUUGGUUCCAAAAUUUCUUGCAGUUCUCGACCAAGACCUUUUUCUAUUUUAUAUUCGGUUCGAAUCAUCUCCUUAGUCAUCAUGACACUAGUCUCUGGUAAAUCUGACUUAGUAAGUGACUUACUCUCGGAUACCUAUCCCACAGAAAUAAUAUCAACAAUAUGAUGAGAAAAUUGUAGUCCUUUACUGCCUUCACCUUUGGACUUUACAUUAACGAUCAUAGCACAGUCAUCCUCAACAAACACAGUAAUGAAUUGAUCAUUCACGAUAAUCUCAACAUUUGAUGCAGAGAAGAUGGUAUCGAAUUAGAAGUAUGUAUCCAAAGUCUUCCAAGAAAUAUUAUAAAUGUUGGAGAAGUCUAAAACUUGGCAAGUAACUUGGAACUGAGUAGGUCCUAUUUCCAAUACCAGGUUGGCUUCACCAAUAGAUUCUCUCUUUGAACCAUCGAAUCCUCUAACCACGGUUGCAAACAGACCAACUUUGAUUUCAAGAAAUCCAAAUUUGGUCAAAGUGUUUCAUGAAUAGAUAUUUAACAUUGAUCCAUUGUUCACUAAGGCUCUUGAUAACAACUUUUCAUUACAAUGCACUAAUAUAUAUAUGGCUUUGUUGUGACCAAUUCCUUCUGGAGUUGGAUCGUCAUCGGAGAAGAUGAUAUGAUUGGCAGCAAAUACGUUUCCCAUAAUGUUAGAAAAUUUGUCCACAGGGAUAUCUUUAGGCACUUAGACCUCAUUCAAGAUUUUGAGCAAUAAUACUCUAUACAACUCUGAAGUUAGAAGCAAGUUCAGAAGAGAGAUUUGAGCUGGCAUUCUAUCAAAUUGCUCUACUAUCUUGUAUUCACUCUUUUUUAAUAUCUUUAGAAAACUCACAGCUUCUCUUUCAAACACAGGAGUUUUGGGUGAUAGGAAACACUUCUUGAUUCUCGAUUGGACUUGGGUUUCAGGAUUUUUCAUGAUUCUUCGAGAUUUGGUGAUAGUAGACACCUCUUUCUGCUCAAUAGAAUGGGUUCCUCAUAAUUCCAUGGCACCUCUUGCAAAUUAUUAAUAGCCAUUUGCUCUAGAAAUUCAAGAACAACAGAUUUUGAUAUAUCCCAUUUGAAAAAUGAUAAAUCUAAAAUAAAAGGGACUUUAGAACUAAUAGCUUGAGAAGAUCCUUCUUCUAAAACAAAUGACUCAUCUUUUUUGAAGUCGAAUGGCACUAACUUUCCCUCAAAGAUAUCAUUUAUAUUCUUGACAAUGAACUCUUUGACAUAUAACAUCUUUCUCGUUCUCGCAUGAUUAGCCUCCAUUAUGCCAAAUACCUCAAUUUCAUCUAUAAUGUAUUGAGCAAGAUCAACUAAUUCUUCAUUAGUGGUGACUGCUCCCAUAGUGCCUUCAUGUUGAGGUAAGGAUUUUUACUAAUAUUUGGUCCUUGUUCUCCCUUUCUUCUAAGAACAAUGUCUUUAUCGUCAAUCAUGUCCUAAAUCUUGUAUUUUAGAACCCAAUAAUUGGUAGUAGUAUGACUUGAACUUCCAGAAUGACAAGCACAAACUGCUUGUGGAUUAUAACCGAUAAGAGGAACUCUGGAAUAGAGUUUGGGAGGAACAAUACGAAUCUUUCCGAUUGUUUUUAAUUGCUCAUACAAUUGAUCAAUGGGUCGACCCAAAUUAGUGAAGGUUCAAAAUUACUUAUGAGUUUGAACUCCACUAGCUUGAAAAAUAUUUUGAGUGGAAUUGUUGUUUUGUGGGACUAGCCUAGAAUGAUAGAUAGGAUGAGGGUGGUUCUGAAAGGUAAGUUAUGAGGUUGAGAGUAAUGGUAGGGCAGUCAAAUGAUUGGGUCGGGAGUAAAGAGUUUGGGUAAUGGUAUGGUAAACUGGUUGAGGGUUAGGAUGGUAUGGGUAAGGGAUAGAAUAGGUAGAAUGAUUUUGAAUUGUUGGUCUGAAGGACGGGCCUUGAUCCCAUACAAAAGUCGUUUCUCUUUCUUUCUUCUUGAAUGGGGGUUUCUUUCCAUUGUUAUUCUGAUUCUGUAGAGCCUCCAACUGUAAUUUCAAUACAUAUAUAUUAACAAUAUUUUCUAUCUUAAUAAAUUCAUCAUAUUCUCCAACUUAUUAAUGAUAGCAGCAAAUAAACUCUCAAUCAUGCAAAAAAUCUCUUCAAAGUAUUGCGGGUCGUGAGCCUUAAUGAAAGAACGAAUAAUUUUCUCCUUAGUCAUAGGGGGCUCCUCCUUGGUGGCUAAUUUCCUCCAACACUUUGCAUAGGUUUUGUGAUUCUCCGAAGGUUUCUUCUUAGUUCCUUCUAACGUGGUUCAUGUCGGUGCUAACUGGCAAUUAAACUCAUAUUGCUUAACAAACGUAGUUAACAAAUUCAACCAAGUUUUGAUCUCUCCCGGUUUCAAGUCCAAGUACUAAUCUAAGGCAUCACCCCUCUAGACUUUCUGGGACGAGACACAUGGGUAAGUUCUCAUAAUCUACUAGUUUAUCCAAUUUGUUGGCAAACAUUUUGAGAUACAUUUUAGGAUUCCUAGUUCUAUCAUAUUUACUGAAUUUGGGAGUCUUGAAACCCAAUGAUAGUUGAAUGUCUGGAAAAAGACAAAGCUCAUUAUAGUCUUACCUACCAUGCUUGCUUAAUCUUUGGUUCUUCUUCAUAAACUCAUCAAAUCGAUCUAACCUUCUCAACAGAUCCUUGUCAAUAGGUGCAGAUUGUUCAUCCAUCGCCGGUUUCCCUUGAAAAGCAGUAUCCAAAACAAAAGACUCCAUAAUGUGGUGGUGAGGUCCCUGAGGGUUGAAUGGAAUGUUCAGAUUAGUUCGUGGGUGGGUUUGAGGGAUUUGACUGUUGGUUGGAUUUAUCAAGACAUAUUUCGAAUGUAUAUACAAAAAGUCUGGAUUCAGUUGGGUAAAGGCAAUUUCAAGGGGACUAGUAAAGGAUGGAAGAAAAGUUGUUUGGAUAUUGGAUAUGUGGAGCGGUUGAUUGUCUUGUACAAGCGGGUGAUUAUUAACAGAUUCUUGGUCAUUUGGGACACUACCACCACUGCUAUUUGUAACCAAUUAAUCAAUGACACGCUUUUGUGCAGUCAUCUUAGUACUCAACUCAUUAAACUUGUCUAGUACUAUACAGUCAAAUCUGGUGACAUAACUAUUGUAUAUCUCUUUGAAACUUCUGACACUGAACUCAUGUUUACAGGUUGUCUCAAGACUCUACUUCGAGACUUGGUGAUGAUGGGGUUUCUUUGUAAAACUAUGUUUAAGACCACCUGAGAGUUUAGAAAAGAAAUUGAUUUAGAAAUUCGCUCCGGGAUAUGAUUGCCAUGUUUUAUUCAAAAGAAAAAGAGAAGAAAAAAGAAAAAAAAGGAGUCAGUAAAUGCUUAAAUAAUUUGGAUUCAUGUAUUAUAGGCGAGCUCCCUUUUUUUUUUGCUAAGGGUUGGUCUAGUAUGAUGUAUCAUCUUUGAAGUGAGAUCUGUUCACCAAACUUGUGUUUCAGAAAUAACUUUGCAAAAGAUAAAGAUCACUUCAUUGAUAAAUUUUGAAAUCUCAAAUACAUUAUCUACAUCAUUUCUUGAAGGUGAUUUCAUACAAGAUUGUUGAAUUUCCUCAAUCUAUCACAGCAUCUUUUGCCUCUUUGGAAUAGGAGUUCUUCAUAUGUUCAACUUGAUCAUACAAUUUGCCACACUUACUUUUUAACUCCUGAUAUUUUUUCUGCAUUUCUUCAUAGAAUCUUUUGUUCUUCUCUGCCAAACCCUUGUUCAUUUCCAUGGAUUGUCUCAAUUGCAUAUUUUCUCUGUUUUUUCUCCUCAAUUAUAGCCAUCAAUCUCCUGACUUCCUCAGACUGUUCCAUUGAUGAUUGCUAAGCAUUAAAGUCUCUGAGUCACUCCUUAUAUUGAGGGGUAACUAAAGCCAUCUGCUUAAAUUGUGGGACAUAAAUGAUAUUCUUAUCUCUAAACUUCAAUGAUUUGUAUCUUCAUUGGAAUUUCAUUCGAACAGAUUCUUUUGUCAAAAUUGAUGGUGAAAUUGGUCAAAUCAGGUGUGAGUGGGGAUCUUUGAAUACGUUCUAACUGUCUGAAAAAUCUUUUUAAAAUGUAGGUCAUGAUGUCUUGAGUUUUCAAUAGUGGUAUAAAAUCUAAUGAUUUAAUGCGAAGAACAGGUUCGAAACAGUCAGUCUAGUCUAAUACCAUCUAAUCUUCUAUCUAGUAAUACUUUCAGAAAGUCCAACCAUUCUGAUGCAUUCCUUGGCAAAUUACUUUUGUCAAUUCUUUUAUGAUGAGUAACUAUCUAAUUAUACCCAAUCAGCAAUAGACCAUCAAGAGCAGGUAAUUGCCUCUUAAAAUGUUUGAUCUUAUGUUCGAUCACACAUGUAGAAUUUAGUUUGAUCUAUGGAAGAAUUUUGACCCUUUUUGAUAAUUGGUAUAUGUGAUAAAAAUGUUAGCCAACACUGUCGAUACUAUAGAGUUUUAUCGAUUUUUAAUUCCAAAAAAUAGAUCGAACAUAAGAUUUGUAAUUUUGAAACUUAUUUUUUUAUCUCUUCUUGGGAAUAAAUAAAUCCUUGUCAUGACAAGUCCAUAUACUAAUGGUCUCUUAUGCUCCCAUGUUGCCUUAGAUGUAAAUGAGGAAUCCUCCAAAUGCUUGUCAAAUCCAUCUUUUACUGCGAAUCUAUCAAAUAAAAAUUUUACAUCUAUGCUCUAAUCUGAUCCUUGCAUUACAGAUUCUUUUAAUCCGGUGAAAUGAUAAAAUUUGAUCUUGCUAGAAGCGAUUGAAAAUAUCACGGCUGUACCCUCCACUAACAAAUUAUGAAGACCGACUACCUCUUUAAUCAACAGAGUUAUCUUCUUGUUUCCUAUUCUAAUUGUUGAACAGUUAGAAUUCCACAGUUGAAUGAAAGUCUCUACCAAGUAAUCAACUGAUUCAAUAGCUUUAAAGUCCUCAAUCGGUUCGAGAUAGGAGGCUACUUGAUUGAUUUCACUAGAUGAGCGAAAUCCUAGCCAUUUUUGAACCUCCACUGGAACAACCAAUAGUUGCUUGACUCGUUGAGAUCUGUCCAUCUGAAGCAUGUAAUUUGGAUCAAAUACCUUACCUACAGGUCUCACUUCUCCAGUUUUAUAAAAUUUAAACAUAAACAUCCCAUAAAGGAUUAGAUACCUAGGGAAAGACAAAGUUGGCAUAUUCCUAAAGGGGAUUCCCUAUGUGGAAUUCCUUCUAGAGUUGAUGCAUGAUGCCAAUUUAUUAAAUCAAAUAAAUAUGCAACACAUUAAUUGAAAUAUGACCUAAAUGUUCCGUAUUUAGAUACUGGGAUAAGCCUAAAUGUGACAUGCAAUAUAUACAUAGUAUUAAUAUGCUAAACUAAAAUUUAAAAGUGUAACAAUCUUGUUAUAAAAGGCGGUCUACCCAAAAUGAGUACCAUACUAGAACUCUUAUUUCUAAAACUUAUGAAUGAGAGAAAAGAAAAAAAAUAAAGUUUAUUCAAUUAAUAAAUAAAACAUAACACAUUGGAACAACAAAAUGAUACAGAAAUAUAAGGUAAAGAGGGGUGAAAUCCUUCCCCUCGUGUCUAGUACUCCUAAUAGGGUAAGGUAGAAUCUAUCCUAAGUGAUUUCUAAAUAGAUGUAUCAGGUUGGGAUUUACUAAUGCAUAUAAACUCUAUAAGGUUUCAGGCCCCCAAAUUUUUAGACAAAAAAUUAAAGGGUCAUCAAUUUCAAGACCUCCAGUCGAUGGUUCAAGUGAUCUUCCAGGCACUGCUAUGUGCACGUCGUGCAACGACCACAUGUCUAGGUGGAUCAAUUCUAGUCCUAAUGGGAAAGAGUGAUUUGACAACUACUAAAAGAGAAAAAAAAUGAAGGGUUUAAAAGGAGUAGUGUAUGCACGUAUGAAGUGCUCCUUUGAGAGAAGAAACUAAAUACCCUUAAAAAUGCAUGAAAGUUCAAGGGUAACAUCGCUCCCCACUUCCAAAUGCAAUGCACGAUACGAGUAAGUAAAUAUAAAUAAAUAAAUGAAAAUAAACAAAUCAUUCAUCACAUAUACAAAGAAUGAGGAACGAAUACGAGUGUGAAAUGCAAAAGAUUCGAAAGAGGAAAAUGCAAUCUAAAAUAUCUAAAUAUAAUAUGCGAAAAGGUUAGAAAAAGAAAAGACGACUAAACCAAAUUUCGGACUCACUAGUAAUUCCCAAUGGAGUCACCAAACUAUCCCACCUCAUUUUUUGCAAUGAAAAGAUAUUUACAAAAAUGUGUUUUUCAUUUAAAAAGAAUGAAUGAAAAAAGGCCUAAAAUAGGACUAAAAAAUGCGACUAAAAAAAUGCAAAAAUUUGGACCCAAAAUUUAGUCUAAAGGGUUCUUGAAAAAAGAAAUCACCACUUGAUAUCGAGUUUAGGUGUACCAAAUCAUCCCAAAAUAUUUUUGAUAAAAAUUAAAAUAAAACAAAAGUAAAAAUAAAAUAAAUUUCUUUUCGACAACUCCAAAUCUUUGAAAACGAGAGAUGAUGAAUUUGGAAAUCACAGUUGAAAAAAGGGAAGGCAAAGGUUCAAUUGAGUCAAAUUUAAGACACCCUUUCAACCUAAUCUAAAAUCGUUUCGAUAUUUAGUCAAAAUUUUCCUAAUCCAAACCUUAAAUUUAUUACAUUUGAAUGUUUCUAUAUGGAUGCAAAUCUAAAUCUAAAGGGAAUAUCGAGAUGGACAAAAUGUCUAUUCAAGAUCUAAUUGAUAUCAAUCGCAUUAAUUUCAAAGGCCAAAAUGAUUUUUUGAACGGGUCACGAAUAUGCAAAGGUAAUAUUGGAAAAAAAGAAAAUUAAACUUUAUAUAUAGGCAUAAGUGGCCAAAGAAAAGGGAAUAUAACAUAAUGGGUAUGAGAAACAAAAACUUAUGACAUAAUUUUCUUUCUUAUAAAGAGGUUAAUGGGAUAUUUAAACUAAAGAACUAUAAUCAUCCAUUUCUCAUAUUCGAAAAGUGACUCUUCUAAUAUAAACGGCAAAUGAACUAACUUAUUUUUCUAAUUUUCUAAAUGAAAUGCAAAUAUAAAUGCUAUGACUUGUGUUUAUAGGGAUAAAGGAAUAAUAUAAGAGAAAUAUCAUGUAAAUGAGAAAAGUUGCCUAAAAUAGGAAAAAUAUAUGAAAAUGCAAUUCCACGACUGGCGCGCGGGGAAUUUCAUUUAGAUAGAGCAGGUUUACCUUUGGUCAGGAGGAGGAGAGUAGGAUAGCCUAGGAAGGCGGUCUAGCAUCUAUCCGCCAGAUUAGAUACAUGCUGUGAGGGAGUUGUUCUCCUAGUCUAUAGCUUUUGUAACCUUUUCCCUUAUCUAAUAAGACCUCUUAUUUAAAAAAAAAAAAAAGAAUGACACACAAAAGAUGAAUCUAAUGCAUAGGUUGUGAGGAUCUAAAUUUUUACUUACUUUAAUUCUAUUUCACUGUCUUAUUUUAAUAUUUAUUCACCCAUUUUCUCCGAAAAAUUUAUUUCAACCAUUUUAAAUCCAUUUACACGAAACAAUGUCUCAUUUAUAUUUUUAAAAUGUCCUGUUAGCAAAUUUAAUUUUUCUACGGCUCGUUUAGCGAGAAAUAGCGAAUACACAUUUUUCGAGAUAAUAUUCGAUUCGAGAGUGCAAUGGUCUUGGAGAUUUGAGAACUCAUGUUUUAUUCUUAAAAUAGUUAUUUUUAUAAUUAUUUACCCUAGAGUUAGUUAAUUAUAUUAUCGUUACAAGAAUUUCUUUUAAGUUUCGCUUUAUCGCACGCGAAUUGGAGGUUCGCGUAAAUCGAGCCGGAGCGGCUAAAUGGAGAUUUAAGAAAUUAAUAUUAGACUACUAAGAGUGAAUAAUUAUAGUGUUAAAGGAAUUACAAUGGAGGUUUAGUGCGCAAGUGUAAUAAACCCGAGAGAAAACGGAUACGAAACACGCGCACGCGAACACUAUUUAUGGUUGACUUUUGUACAAAUUGUAACCACAAAACCCUUAAGCUUCCAAAGGAAGCUUCAUUCAUCAGCCACACUCUCUCUCUCCUCUCAUCUUGGCUGGCCAAAACCCUCAAGGAAAGAAGAAGAGAAAACUCUUCAUCAUUCUUGCUCCAUUCUUGCACCAAUCUUCCUCCAUUUCAUCUCAAACUUUGCAUCCAACUCACAAACCACUUGGGAAUUCAUUUAAACUAGAAGAAAGACUUCAUCUUGGCAGUUUUCUUGGAGCUUUUGGUGCCAAAAAUUUCUGGUUUCUCUCAAAGCUAGGAGGUAACCAUCCAACACCAUCCAAUCUUUCAUUCUUGGCUUUAAUGGGUUUUAUCCUUGACUUUGAAGCUUGUAGCUUCAUUAUUGUUAUUAUUACUUGGAUUGGAUUGGUUGAAGUGGGCUCUAUGAAUUCCCACCUUGGUUAUAUGGGCUGAUAUGAUGAUAUAAUGCUUGGUUGAGUUGUUUAAGUGUUGUUUAAGAUGAUUAUGGAUAGAGAAUCGAAGGAAAGAUUGAAGGAAAUUGCGCAGGAAUGCCGGCCGAAAUCUGUUCUGUUUUGCCUUGUUUAUAUUUCAAAUUUGUGGCACUCAAAUGACUGUGAAACUGAUGUAUAUAUGUUGCAUAUGGUGUGUAGAAAGUUUCUACCAAAAAUCAAAUUGGUUGAGCAAAACAUGAAAUUUCGAAAUUUAAUCAAAUCUGGAAACUGUGUUCGGACAGCUUGAACAGUGUCCCUUUGAUCGAACAUAUCUUUUUGUACAGACGUCAAAAUCGAGUGCCGUUUAUGGCAUUUGAAACUAGACAUUUGUAGAUUUCCAACGGUAUAAAAUGCACUAUCUAGUUCGAAUUGAGUGAUCCGUAGUGAUUCACCAAAGUUUCCUAUUCUGUUCUGCUCUUCUAUUCGAAUGACAGUGGUAAGCUGCAUCUUGUCGCUUGAAUUCGAACCACCUAUGAACUGAUUUUCAAAAUAACUUGUUCUGAUGAAAUGUAGCCUUAUGAUUCUAGUUUUUAACGCCACAGACCAUUCUCAAUUCCAAGUUGUAUUGAGUGAGAUAUGGUACAAUUUGUAAACUGCAGCAGAGCUGGAAAACCCUACUUUUUGCUGGCCAACUGAUUUGGUUGUUUGUUAGAUGCUUUGCUUUGAAAAUUUUGAUGUCAACCAACUAUAAAUUGUUUUUGAAAUAUUUUUCGGACUUUGGUUUCACAAAUGAACCAAAAUGGGACUGAUUUCAUGGUGCAAAGUGUUUGAAAAGGAAAAGAAAGCAAGAAGACAGAUUUGUCUUGGAAAUUUCUUGAAUUUUGGUAGUUUUGUUAAAUUUCUUCCCGUAUAAAUUUUUACGUGAAAUUUGAUAAAGGAGCAGUCCUCAUAUGGAAGAUGGUGUGUACUAAAUUUGGUGUCAUUCUAAGACCAUUUCAAUACCCAAUUGAAAUCCCAAAGUUUACUUUCAAAUCUGGAAAAUUCGCUGUUUAGUAGUGAAAAUUUAUCAACUUUGAGCUUCUAUAUCUUGACGCUCAAAACCCCGAAUUUAGUUCCACUUAUUAUGUUUGAAACUUUGUUUAGAACUCUUAUUGUAUUACGAAUUUUAGAGGAUAGUUCGCUUUCUGUGAAUUUUGCCGAAUUUCCAAAAUUUGCCGAAAAACAUGAUCGAAACUGUCUUGUAUGCUUAUAUCAGCCACUUUGAACUGAAAUUUGAAUGUAUUUCGUUUAGAAUUUUGGAAAAGUAUCUUCUAAAAACUUUUAGUUCUUUGAACGAAGUUUCCAACGGUACUAAGUUUUUCAAUUUUGGACCUACUGAGUGCAAGAUCUGAUUUUUUUAAAUUUGACGCGCAAAGCUUAAAUUUGCCGAUUUCUUAGAAAAUGAAAAUUUGGGAACUUGAUUUCUUAUCUUGAUAUUGGUAUAUUGUUUUGAACCCGAUUUCAUGGGGAAUACAAGUUUUUUCAGUAACUUUAAAAUUCUCACUUUUGAAUCUUGAUUUUCGAUAAAGUGAAGCUCUUAUAAGGACAUUGAAUUGAAUUUUAAAGAUUUUGUGUAUUCUUCCUUAUUUAACAAGGAAUUUGUGAAAAUGUGUGAGGGUGAUUGUUGGUCAUUUUCUUCAGGUGAUCAAGAAGGUCUCGAAGAGAAUCCCGAAGCGGAUCAUUAAAGAUCUUUUGCACUUACUCCCUUAUUGUGAUUUGGUGAGUGUCAAGUGCAUGAAUUGUUGAUAAAUGCUUUAAAUUGUUAAUUGAGUAUUAUGAAAUUGUUGAGACAAGUGUGUACUUUAUCGCACUCGUUCUCCCUUGAGUGAUGCUACAAUUGAAUUGUGCUAUGUGAAUUGAUAUUCGAAUUGUGUCAAGUGAAUUACUAUGUGAAUUAAGUGAAGUGUUGCCAUUGCAAAUUACAUUUGUGUUGACUCGACGUCAAUCAAAGUAAAUCUUAUCGACAAAUCAUAUUUUACUCGUGGGGACGCCCUUGUCCUCUCACUCUUUGAACUACGUGGUACUUAAGACCUGAAUACAUAUGAUUGGUAAUUGUACAUGAACACUUAUAACUCGUGAGCUCUGAGCGGAAGCAUGUACCACACCGAUUCGGGUGGAAGGUGCCUCUCACACCGUUUCAGUGCUAAAAUCGGUUCCCUGAGCGAUAGCAUGUACCACACCGAUUCGGGUGGGAGGUACCUCUCAUGUCGACUCAGAACCAUAAACAAUGAUUGGUAAUUGUACAUGAAUAUGUUUGACUCGUGAGCUCUGAGCGGAUAGCAUGUACCACACCAAUUUGGGUGGGAGGUACCUCUCAUACCGUCUCAGUAUUAUAAUUGGUUCUCGAAGUGAUAGCAUGUACCACACCGAUUCAGGUGGGAGGUAUCUCUCAUGUCGACUCAAAAUUCUAAACAAAUAAUCGGUUCUCUGAGCUAUAACAAGUACCACACCGAUUCGGGUGGGAGUUACCUCUUAUAUCGACUCAGGAUGAUAAACAAAGUAUAAGUCGAUUGGAGCGAUGUCUUAUCGACCACUGAGCGAUAGUAUGUACCACACCGAUUCGGGUGGGAGGUACCUCUCAUGUCGACUCAGAACCAUAAACGUCUAAUCGAUUCCCUGAGCGAUAGCAUGUACCACACUGAUUCGGGUGGGAGGUACCUCUCAUAUCAACUCAGAACCAUAAAUAGAGUAAGUGAAGUUCUACGGACUUAAUUAGCUACCCGAGUGACGGAGUGUCUUCAUGAGGUAUUGGAUUGUACUUUGGCAAAGCCAGUGGAAAUUAGCUCUUGAGAGCUCCUGUAUCCUCAUUGAAUGUGUUGAAUUCAAAAAUUGUGAAUUACUUGAAUGUUACAGUUUUUUUUCUCGCUUAAAUGAUAUUGUUAUUUGAACUACGUGUUUUGCAUGUUUUCUUGGUUUCACGACAUUCGCUCACCCCGUUAGAUUUAUUUUCCUUAACAGGAGUUGAGAUGGAAGGAAUUAUGAGAAAGCCUACUUGAUGGCUCUUUUGCUUAGAAUUUUGGUUGUACUGAUUAGACGACUUUUGGAAGUUGUACAUUUUGGAAAAAUUGAUGUAUUUUGAAAACUUGUGAUGUAAGAUUGAACACUUGUGUAUGGAAGCAACUUUGUUUUUCAGUUCGAUUUUUUUAUUAUUUGGUUAUUUACCUUAAGUUUGGAUUGGAAUGGUAUCGAAUCCUGGCGAGAGUUGGGCAGGCGUCCCGCCGAUACCCUUGGGUUCGCCUUUGGGAGAAGUGGGAGCGUCACAUAGAUGACCUAAGAAUUAAGCGUUGGACUAACCCAUUUCUAGAAAUCCUCACUAGCGUUGGACUAACAAGGAAGUGAGUAAGGGGCACAACUAGUGUUGGAUUAGCAAGGAAGUGAGCAAGGACCACAACUAGCAUUGGACUGAUGUGGUGAUGUUAUGCAUUCAUUUAUAAUACAUAAUAAAAUAAAUAAAACAUGAAUUAAAACAAAUAAACAUAGAAUAGCACAUAGAAUACAUAACACAUAAGUAUAAUAUUUAAAUACAAAAUACUAAGAAAGUAGGUAAACCACAUAAGCACGUAAGACACAAAAAUAUAAUCUAUCUAUUACAAUGGGAGACCUAAUUACAAUAUAAAAUGGAAAAAUAAAAUAAAAUAAAUCUAUCUAUCCUAUUUAUUACAUUUAGCGACCUAACUACAAUCUAAAAUGGAGAAAUAUAAUAAAUCUAUCUAUCCUAUUUGAUUACAUUGGUCUAUCUAUUACAAUUUUUGCAAAAAUGUUUCCUCUUUAUUAAAUCUUGAGAUAUUUAACUACUUUCCAAAUAAUUACAAAAUUUAGAUUAAACAUACAUAAAAAUUGAAUGGAAAUUUAAAAUAAAUAAAUAAAUAAACAUAUAAAUACAUAUAAGCACAUAGGAGCACAUAAGAUCUCGUAAUUAAAGUCCAAAGGAUAAUAGGGGUAUCUCCCUUUUGAAGUGGUGACUAAAUGAGGUAAGGUUGCCCUAGGUAUAUUCAAAAUAGACAAAAGGAUCACGAUACCAAUUUAAUUGAAAAAAUAAAAAGAAAAUGGUCAGAACAUACAAACUUUGUUACUCAGCAUAUCUCAGGUCCACCCAUUCGUCCAAGUGACGCAGGACGACGGGGAGUUGUUGCAAUCGGGAUUAUUGUUUAACAUGACACGGAGGAGGCGGAAGCUCCCACGCUGGGUCACAUGGAUCAUGCCACCAAGUGGGUAUGUAAAGUUAAAUAUUGAUGGCUCAUCCUUAGGAAAUCCCAGACACUCAGGAGCUGGAGGGGUGCUUCGCAACUCAGAUGGUAACAUCCUAAGUGGUUUUUCAUUGUUUUUGGGGUCAAUGACAAAUAUGGAAGCGGAGGCCUUGGCGUUACUGGAGGGUAUGCAAAUUUCAGCUGGUUUCCACUAUUUGCACGUUGAAAUGAAUUCUCAAGUAUUGCUGAACAUGGUGAUUGGCAACGGAAGAGUGUCUUGGAAGCUAUGGAAGACUGUCUCGCACAUCAAAACUUUAGUACUUGGUUGCCAGGUUACCUUUACUCACACCUAUAGAGAAGCAAACACAGUUGCAGAUGCCCUUGCAAAUCUAGCAAGCUCCACGCAGGUUUGCAAAAGAUUUUCUACUUCUCAAUUUCCAGAGCAUAUAAAGGGGUUAGCCCACCUAGAUAGGAUACAGAUGCCUUAUGUACGCUUGACUUAGGUUUGCGUAGAGGUCAUUAUGUUACUGGCGGAAUGUUAGCCUCAUCCGACGUACGCUGAUGGAAUUUUGAAUAAAAUUUGGAGUGGCACCCAUCCCCGUAUACGGGGUUAGCCAUAAAAAAAUGUUAAAAAAUAUAAAUAAACUCAAAAUACUAAAAAAUUACAAUUUAAAUACGUGCAAGAAAAGCAUAAUUAACAAUUAAAGGAAGGGAAUAAUUACAAUUGAGAAAUCAAAACACUAUUAGGGACUAAAUUGUAGAAAUUAGAAAAUUUUUUAGGCCAAAAAUAUAUUUUUUAAAAAUUAAGGGUCAAAAUUGAAUAAAGAUAAAGCUCAAGGGCUAAAAUGAACUUAAAUUAAGGGUUGAAAUGAAAGAAAUAUAAAGAUUUUGGGCCACAAUAAAAUUACUCAAAAGAGUAGGAGCUAAAUUACAACUGAUUUGAGAAAAAUACAAACAAAAUGAAUUUGGGAUAUUUUAAACAUUUGGGCCGCACCACUUUGGUCCAAAGAAAAGGAGUAGAUUAUCUUAUUGAAAAUGCACAGACAAGCCCAAUUAAUUAAACAAAUUCAAAUUUAAUAAAGAUAUUGGGUUUUCUCUCAAAAAAAAUGAAGAUAUUGGGUUUAAAUUCUAAAACCCAAUCACGAGCCCAAGCAAAAAUAAAUUCCAACCCAAUUUCUUAUUUUUCUUUCCUUUUUCUUUCUUUCUUUUUUUUCUUCCUUCUUCUUCCUCCUCACCUCUAGCUGGCUAAAGCUUCUCCUCGUCGGCGACCAUGACAAAUGCCGACAGCGAUUUUUGCAGAUGCUGGUUGCACCAAAAUACAACUUCCUACUCGAUUUUUUGCGUAGAAUCUAUUUCCAGACAUAGUUUUUGCAAAAAAAUGAAAGAAAUGUGAUCAAAUAUAUGAUUUACAGCCGGGUAUCAUUUUUACAACCUAUCCAAAAAAAUAUUAACAAAAUCCAUAAAAUCAUACCCAAAAGAACGGUUCUUGAUUCCACAAUCCAACCAUAAUUCAUGUUUGCAAAAGAAAGUGCAAAUACAAAAGCUUUAAAUCCAAACAGUAGCAAAACUCACACUUACUUUUGUUUCGGGCAUUUUAUCAAACAAGAACAAGGCAUAAUGAAACCAAGUUUUAGUCCAUCAAGUUUGCUUAUUCUUGACCCAAAAUUUUCAUCAAUAACCACAAGCAUCAGUACAAGAAAUAAAUCAAACAUGAUAGGAAGCUUAAACAGGCAAUGAAUCUUGAAAACAUCCAAAAAAACAUGAUUUUAAGAUGAGCAAACAAAAAGACAAAAAACAAAAAAAAUAGAAAUGAACCAGCAAUCAUAUAUUCCACAGAGUAUUAGCUACAAAUAUGUAAAAUCAAGACCAAGAAUAAAAGAAGAAACUUUACCAUGCUUUCUUGAUGUUGUGGAACUUGAUGGUGGCAGUGGUGAUUGCUAGCAGUAGCAGCUUCCUUGUUACUUUGCCCCCUCAUUUUUUUUUGAAAAAGGAAGAGACUUGAGAAAGAGAGUUGUGUGUGUGUGAUUAUUGUGUAUUAUUACGAAAUUGAGAGGAGGGAUUGAGAGAGAGUCGAGAGAGGGGAGUUGGGGAUGUUGUUGUGUAUUAGUGUAUAAGAGUGAAAUUGAGGAAUCGGGAGGGAGAGGGAGUGAUUUUUUUUUUUUUGUAUUUUUAAUCCUUGUGAAUUUUAGAAAAAGAGAGAGCGAUAUAGGGGAGCCAAGAGUUGGACAAAAAAUUGGUGAGGUGGGUGUAUGUGAUGAUGAAUUUUGUACAAGAAAAAGAAAAAGAAGGAUAUAAGGCAUAGUGUUGUUUGGGUUAAUAGUGUAUUGGUUGAAAAAGAAAUGAUUAGGGUGUGUCAGUUUUGUUUGGAUUUUUCUUUUCUUUCUUUUUCAAAUUUCUCAAAAAUAAAAAAAAAAAAAAAGAAAACUCACAUUAGCAUAUAUGAAAAUGAAUAAUAAAUAAGCAAAUAAAUAUCUUAGGAAAAAAUUAAGGAGCAACAACAAAAUUAAAAAUUUGGUGUCUACACUAUAUUUUUGGAGCAAUGGAAUGCAUGCUCUUCUUAUUUCUGGUGCAACUAAUUGGUUCACUUUAUAUUGUUUCUUCACUUAUAAUCAUGCCAUUGUCAUCUUCAUCAUAUUUCCAUACAAGCCUGAUCCUAGUCAACUUUUUACAACACAUUUAAGUAAAACUUUUAUUCCAUAUUAUAUUGUAAGUUCAUAUUCAAGAAAAAAAUCACAAUACCAGAGAGGACUUAUGGAUGACAAGUGCAUUCCAAAUUCCAUUCUCAUAUUGUACAAUCAAUAGGGCCACUAAUCGUAACCCAACCUAAAUACAGCAAUAAGGGGCACCCAGUUCAUCACCGCACCAACAAAUAGCAGUUACAACUCAAUCUUUCCAUAACAAUUUCUACAUUAUGAAUGCAAAGGCCACAAACAGCAACAAUUUCAUCAUUUUCUUCAUGCGGCAUGUUUCUUCCACCUUUGCCUCCAACUCUCUUAUUCUCUUCGUCAAUCUUCUUGUGUGCCUGACUAAUUUAUCCCACCUCUCACAAUUGCUUGUAUCAUACCACUUGAAAUAGCCACAGUUGUUGCCACAAUUAUGCUGUUGAAGCUCAACCAUUACCUCUUCAAAUUUCACAUUUUCUAAAAUAAAAAAAGAAUAGAAUUCAGGUAGACACUUACUGUAGACAUAGAACCUGUUUCUUUGGUUUUCAACUGUCCAUGACGUCUUCACUCUCACUAGUACACUGCAUUUACAAGUUGGUGGUUAUGCCAUGAAAAUGAAGGUUAGAGUUAGGGUUUGCGUGAGAUGAAGGAGAGAAGGAGAAUUUUAGGGGAUCGUUUGUCCCUUAUAUUUGGUCAAUAGAUAAGUGAUUUGCUUUUUUUACCUUUAAAUGUUGGGCAAUAUAUUGUGAUGUGCGCAUGACAUAUUCCAGCUAAAAAUCGCUCAGAAAAGUGCAAAGGGACUUAAAUUGAUCCUUUUUUGUUUGUUAAGGACUAAAAGUGAUCAUUUUCAUUCUAAGGGAUGAAAUUUUCACAUUUGCAAUAUGUGAGGGAAUAUUUGUGCAGCUCUCUCUUGUAAAUAUUUAUAGUUACAUACUUGUAUGCCUAUUUUGUAGCUAUUUUGUUUUUUGAUUUGUUCUUAUAUGAUAUACAACUGUGUCUCUCCAAGUGGUAUGUUCACAAAUGAUCACAUCUAAUGGUGAUUCUACUACUAGUCCCAUAGAUACCAACAUUAGAGAGUGAAGGCAAUGGAGGUGAAUUCUAUUGGAAGUGAAGAAAGUAUAAGUGAAGGCAAUGGAGGUAAAGAUGACCAUUUAGAAGGCAAUAGGGAAAGAACUAAUCAAACUACAGAUAAAUAAUGGUUUAGAAGCUUUUAGAAAAAAGAAGAGAACUAGAAAAUCAAAAGCACGGGAUGAUUUCAAGGAGGGAGAAGUCAGGUCUAAAAAAACUCGUAUGGCAGAGUGUAUACAUUGCCAUACUCAAUUCAAGAGGGGCAAAAGUGGUACAAGUUCAAGUAUGUUGAGACAUAUUAAAUCUUGUGUACGUCAAAUGUUGGCACAGAAGAAGUUGUAUCAAAAGAAAAUUAACUUCACAGUAGUUGAUUCUAGCAUUCCUGGUCACUCAUUUCUUCAUGAUGGGAAGUUUGAUGUGGAAAAGAUGAGAGAUGUUGCAGCUAAUUAGAUACUUAUGCAUGAGCAUCUGUUUUCAAUUGUUGAAGAAGAAGGAUUCAACAUCGUGUAAAAACUAGGGAUGCUCGAAUGGCAAAAAAUAAGCCAAACUACAAACAAUAAUGAUUGCAUAGUUCUGUAUGAAAGGGAGAAGUGCAAAUUGAAAAAUCUGAGUACAAAUUUAUGGAAGGCACAAAAUUAAAAGAUUGAGUAUAUGGAGAUUACUAGGAAUUGGAUUGAUAAGCAUUGGAAGUUGUAGAAAUGGUGUUGAACUUUAAGCACAUUCCUCCUCCACGAUGCGGCAUCCAAAUUACAAAUUGUAUUUUCAAAUGUUUGAAGGAAUGGGGCAUUGAAAGUUUACAAAAUUUACAAUGUUUGAAGGAAUGUGGCGCCCACAAUCCAAAGUUUACAUAGUCUCCGUGGAUAAUGCCUUAAAUAAUGAUUCAGCAAUAAGAUGUUUGAAGGAUAUAUUUUUGAGAAACAAAUGUCUGCUAGCAAAAGGAAAAUUGUUUUGUGUGAGAUGUUGUGCUCACAUAUUGAAUUUGUUGGUUCAAGAUGGACUCAAUAAAAUCAAGGAUAUAAUUUAGAGUGUAAGAGGUAGUUUGGAUUACAUAAAUAGAUUAGAAGCAGGAGCUUUACAAUUUGCUGAAAUUGUGCACCAGUUGCAAUUGCUUGGAAGAAUUUUAAUCUAUGAUUGCAAAACUAGGUGGAACUCCACUUACGAGAUGCUAGAUUGUGAUCUCAAAUUUUGAGAGGUUUUUCCAAGGUUUAGAGAUAGAAACCAACACUAUGGUUGCUGUCCAACCACAAAAAAUUGGAUGUUUCUAUGCCUUGAAUUUUGCUUGUGGCCCGUGGUUGAACUAAAAGUUGUUUUAUGGUUGGGCAUCUAAGAUAGUUUGGUCAUUUUCAUUAUGGUUGUAUAAUUAUCAUUUGAAUGACAACUUUGUUUGAUGCUUUAAAUUCGAAGACCAAAAAUGAGCUCGAUUUUGAGGUGAACUCGAGCUGGUUUAUCGAGCUCACACAAAUUGAGCUUUAGUGAGUUGAGCUCAAGUAUGAAAUUUCUUUACCGAGUCAGGCUCGAGCCUUAUUUUUCUUGGCUCAUCGAGUUUUGAACUCGAGCUAACACAAAAACAUGUCAAACUUAGCUCGAUUAACAGAAUGUUCGACUCGACUCAGAUUGUUUGCACCCUAAUUGGACCUAAUGUAAUAUCACAAGGAUGGAAUUCAUGUAAUUGAACAAUAGAGGGGGCAAAGUGAGAAAAAGAUAUUUUUGAGGGAAUUUUUUGAAAUUAAUCCUUUAAAUAAUCAAGAGCCAAAUUUGGUCUAAAAUCUGAAAUUUUAAAAUUGUACACUAUGAUAAUAGAUUGCACAUCAAUGUACGUUAAUGAGUUCAAUCUUACAAAACACUACAUAAAAAAAAUCUUACAAAAACACAAUUAGACCCUGCAUGCUUUUCAUGAGCCUACCCAGCCCAGACUUAUGGUCUUAGUACGUAGUGCUGUUAAACGAAACAAGUAGCUCGAAAAUUGAAUGGAUUCGACUAAAAAAUGCUCGAACUCGACUUUUCAAUUUCAGUAAACGAGUCGAGUUCGAACUAGAAAUAUACUCGUUUAAUUAACGAGUCGAGUAAGCUCAGUUCAUUUGUUAUUUGAGUAGCUCAUUUGGGCUCGAUAAGGAAGGGUAUAUACAUCAUUUCAUAAUUUAGAGGAAUAGAAACACGAAUUAGGGUUAUGUUUCAUUGUUCUUCUACUUCAAUAUUUCACUCCGUCUUUGCAUCUCUGCCACAACACAUAGCCACCAACAAUCCACACCACUACUAAACCAUUGGCCACAGCCACCUCUAGCCAUCACCGCAAGCUUGGAUGUCCAGCUAUCUUUCCUCUCCACCAAAAAAAACUGCAAAGAACCAAGGAUUCGAGCCAUUUGUCACGGUCAACCACCACUACCAAGCUGCUCCAUUUUUCAUGGCCAAGACUAGUCACUACAACCUUGGACCUCCAGCCACCUCUGCUUUCUAGUCUUCAUCAAAAACCACCACAAGGAACAAGAAAGUUUUCCAUUUCUCAUAGUCAAGUGCCACCAUUAGCAGCUCCUCCAUUUUUCAUAGCCAAGACUAGUGGACCAGCUAUCGUUCCACCCAUUGUAGCAACCAUUGACUAGUGACCAGUCCAAUUUGGUUGGUUUUGCAAAACCAUAGUGAUUUCUAGUAAAUAGAAAUUUUCUUACUUAUGCAAGAUUUCUGAUAAUUACAAUUUUUGGUUACAAUGGUGCUUUGAGUGUUAUGUUUAAAGCCUGUAAUUUUGGGCCACUUGUGUCAAACGGUUUAUCAAUGCUAAUAUCUAGCUAUUGGAGUCAGUCUAGCCUUCAAAUAUUUCAGGCAUUUUGGAUUUAGAAUGUGCUCCAAUAUAAAUAUGUAAUAUCCUUAGGGUGUCUAUUUCUUGUAUACUUGUUUGGUUGUUUGUUUUGGACACCUGAAGCGUAAGUUUAAGACAACAAUUGAUCAGCACUCUGACCAUGAACCAAGAAGUUGAGCUCAUUUGUAUUUUGUAUAGGAUUUUGCUAUUCAUAUACUCUUUCCACUCAUUUUGUGGAAUUUCAUAAAUGUUCCUCUGUUUUGAAGAUGCUAGCUAUGCAAACUUUUUUAGGCUAUUCAUUUUGUGCCCAUUUACUUUACAGCUGUUUUGUCUACUAUAGAAAGUCUAAUUCAGUUAUGCAAUACAUAGAAAGUCCAAUUUAGAGAUUUAUAGGUUUAAGAUUUGACUAUUUUAACUCUUAAUACUAACUAUUAUCAUAGUCCAAUGUUAUGAUUUUAUUCUAAUAUUGGAAUAGAACUUUUACUGCUUGAUAAUACACAGCUACUUUCCUUUCUUUUUGGGAUCAUGCUAAUAGCAAAUUGAUUGAUUUUUUUCUUUAAAAAAUAAGUAUGUAUAGUCCUCCAUUUCAUUCACGCCAAGGAUCAUCAUCAAGUCCUGUUAUGGAGGUUGGAAAUGAAGUUGUAGAUCAAGGACUUGAGGUGGAGGAAAAUGCUAAUGAGAUGAGUGAAGAAAAGUUGGAUUUAGAUAUCUUAGAAGGGCCGAAUGAAGAAACAGAAAUGGGCCAAAAAGGUCCUGAUGAAGGAGCAAGACUAAUUGAAAAAAAAAAAAAGCAAAGGAAAAAGAAGUCAACAAUAUGGGAGGAUAUGACACUGGUAAAGCAAGCUGAUGGAACAUUGAAAGUGCAGUGCAAUCACUCUAAGGAGCUGUUUGCCAAAAGUGCAUCUAGAGCCACUUCUCAGCACAAGCGUCACUUGAAAAAUUGUCUACAAAAGAAGCUGGCUCUUGGGGAGAAAAACCGAAAGAGGCAAGAGGUCUUAUCUUUCAUCGAAAUAUAUGUGCAUUAGGAGUAAUGUCCCACCUUCUCUCAUAGGAAUAAUUAUUACCGAUGCUUUAAGUAAGUGGUUUCUUGAGUGGGGGAUUAAGAAUAAGGUUUCUAUUAUAAAUGUAGACAAUGCUUCUUAUAAUGAUGUAUGCAUUAGGAGACUUAAAAAGGAUUUUUCUCUAAGAAAAAUGUUAAGCAUUGGAGGAAAAUUUUUUCAUGUUAGGUGUUGUGCACAUAUACUUAAUUUGCUUGUUCCAGAUGGGCUUAAUCAAAUUGUUGAUGUGAUUGAUGUUGUUCGAGAGGGGAUCAACUAUUUGAAAAAUUCAGAGUCUCGCCUCAAUGACUUUGCCAAAAUUUUUUUAAAAAAAAAAAACAGCUUCAAUUGCCUUCUAAAAAGCUCAUUUUGGACUACUCAACUAGGUGGAAUAGCAUCUAUUUGAUGUUGGCUUCAGCUCUAGAGUUUAGGGGUGUAUUUCAAAGAUAUGGGGACAUUGAUCCUGGGUUUCACUAUGUCCCAUGUGAGUAUGAGUGGAUGACAAUUGAAGAAGUACGUAAAUUUCUGGGUAUUUUUUUAUGAGAUCACCAAUAUCAUUUUUGGAUCCGAUUACCAACUGCUAACCUUUUCCUGUAGCGCUGUAUAGGAUUAAGGAGUUGUUAAAUGAAAAGCUCUCAGCUUUUUUGAUCAUAUUACGUCUAUGGCUGAAAGUAUGGCACAAAAAUAUGACAAGUAUUGGGAGGAAAGCAACACCUUGAUGUCUUUGCGUGCCAUUCUUGAUCCGACAUAUAAAAUGGUUCUUGUUAAUCAUAUUUUUCCAGUUAUUUAUGGCAACGAUGCAGCUCCUAAGUAUAUUGAUGAGAUUAGAUGCAUUCUUUAUGAACUCUAUAAUGAAUAGGUGGAUGCAUCUCAUCUCAUGGUGAGUAACCAGAAAGGGAAUUUAUGAAACAAAAACAUGCAGAAAUUACAAGUCUACCCAAGGGGCUGCCAAAAAGCAUGGAGUUAAUGUUCUAAUUGGGAAAGAAAAAUUUCAAAUGAUUGUUAGUGAAAUUGACAAGGCUCCCCCUGAAAAAUCAGAUUUAGAUGUCUAUUUGGAAGAGGGGCAAGUAUGUUUGCAAUGAAAAUGCAAAUCUUAAUGUCUUGGGUUGGUGGAAAGGGGAAAGGUGGAGGUUUCCUAUAUUGUCAAGGAUGUCAAGUGAUGUACUCGCUAUUCUAGUUACAAUUGUGGCCUCCGAAUCUACUUUCAAUGCCGAUGGUAGAAUAAUCGCUGAUCGGCAUGUUUCUAUGUCGGUUGAAACGGUGCAAAUGUUACUUUGUAGCAAUGAUUGGAUAUGCAAUCAUCAUGGGUUAAAAACAAGUCUCGUGUAAGUAAAAUAUAUCUUCUGCUAUUAGUUUAUUUUGGUACCUCAUUUUACCAUAUUAGGAGUUGUAACUUUCUUGUUUUCCUUUUGUAGGAACCACUCAAUGUUGUUGAACCAUCUACAAUUGAAGAAAUUGAUCUUCCUAACAUUUGAAGGCUAUGAAGCUGGACCUUUCUUGUAAUUUGGGAAGUUGGACUUGGUCAAAUUUUAGUUAUCUAGCAUUGUUUUAUAUAGUCAUUUGGCUGGAGUUUGUGUAUUUGUUGAAUUGAAAAGAAUUUGAUCAAAUCCUAUUUGGUUGGAGUUUGUGUAUUUGUUGACUUGAAAAGAAUUUUAUCAAAUCCUAUUAUGGCUGGCUGGCUUGUUCCUUCUCAAUUCAUUCCUAACAAAUUAAUUUGUGAUUGUGAAUGGCAACUUGGCAAGUUUUGUUGACUUUUGGACAAGGUGUGGAGUUUGUUUCCUAAAACUUGUAUGAUUGAAUCGUGGCUUUUGUAUGAAUAUCACCAAAAUGGACAUUAAAACUGUUUGACAGAUAUUUCAAACUCAAGUUCGUGCGAGCUCGGCUCGUAUGUGCUAAAGGAAGCAAGCACGAGCUCGAGUUAGAGUCACAAGUCUCAUUUGGUGAGCUAAUUUUGAGCAUACUUCAAGAUUCGCCCACUUUGUCGCAUGAGCUCGAGCCUGGCUCGAUAGAAGCACGAGUCAAGUUCGACAAUUAAAUACUCGACUCGACUCGACCGGCUCGAUUAACAGCAUUAACUGCGGCAUUAUUUUUUCCUAUCCAUGCCUAAACCCGAACUCCGCCUGGACCUAACAAACCCUCACACAUACGAACACAGAUGAUCAAUUAAUAGAUCUAGUGUAACUACAUCUUAAUUUUGUUUCCUAAAAUAAAUAUUUUUUUCUAAAGUAGUUCAAAAUUACAAACAUUUUUAAAAUUUUCAUAAAUGACUUUCAAUACUUAAAUUUCAUUAGGAAUAUUUAAAUACAUAAUGAUAUUUACCUACUUUUAUAGUAAAAUGAGAAAAAAUAGAAGAGAUUCAAACACAUACAAGUUUGGAUGUUGGGUGUAGUGUGGAUAAUUUUUCUGAAGGAAUUAGAAUUGGAUGACAUAACUUUAUGCUUUCGAUUCUUAAUUCUUACAAGCAUAAUUUUCAAUCUUAAAUUUAUUAUUUGAAAAUUGUAUCUGUAUUAGAUUUACAUAAUUUUUUCAAUUCCAUUCUUUCUUCUUUUUCAAUUCCCCUCCUUUCGUGAUAGGAGAGUUGAUAAAUGACAAAUUUCUAAAUGUUUAGCUGAGCCACACCUCCAGCACCUGCAGAAUUCCCUGCAUGCAUUUGUGGAUUCGCUUUCGCCAACAAAAAGAAUUGGCAUAAUUUCAUAUGGACGAACAGUCUCAUUAUACGACACCGUUUUUUCUGUUGAUUCCACGGUCAACAUCGAUGGCUUCAGGGGAGUGAACUGUGCGUCUAGGUACUCCGCACUUGUUGACAACUUGACAUUGCACGCACCUCUUGAAUGAAGUCAUUUAUUCAAACAAGGUGGCAUUUGGAGGUUUCGAAAUAGUAGAGAUUCUGCUCAUGCCCAUGAAUGAAGCUCUUUUUUUUUUUUAUUAAGUUUUUAAAAAGCUCAGAACCUUGAGGAAAGUUUAAUUCUUAGUUCAAGUCAAAACAUGCAGAAGGAUGCACUUUCCAAAUCCAAUGCUGCUUAUAAACUACCUCCAAUCCACUUGAAUCAUGAUGACGUUAAGGACUAAAUACAUCAAACUUGUGAAGUUAGCAAGUUGUUUAAAAGCAGCAGGGAUGAGGAUAUCUUGUGGCAAUGCAAUGAACAAAUUGAUGUUUUAGCAAAGUUUGCCAGUUUGAGUUUCAGCAGCCUAUGAAGCUGAAUUUUGUGCUUCUUAGCAACAACAGUAGAAAAAUUUUACAUUGAAUAUUUGGUGGCACUUCCACAUUUGACAAGUGAUCACAUGAAAAAGCACAUAUCUAUGACUUGUGGAACGAACACAAUAUUGCAGAUAUAAUACAGAGAGCAACAUAAUACUUGCACAAGUAUACAAGUAGAAAGAAUAAUAUGUUAAUAACAGGCCUUUCAAUUGAUAAUCUGAAACUGAGAUUUUUUUUUUUUUGUUGCAGAGUCAGAACUCAACAUAUCUGAGCAACUUCUGUACUACUAUAACUGGUUAUCUGAGCAGCAUCAAAAAAUCAUUAUUUCACAAGAAUCAGGCAUUUCAAUUGAUCAUCUGACCUGUGAAGCUUAUCUCCACAUAGUUAUAAGUUAUAACUAACAUCGCAGAACAACAUUCAUUCCAGUACAGGUUAUUAAAGCAGCAUCAAAUCAUUGUCAUUUCACAGGGAAGGUGAUUGUCUUACAUUAAGUUAGAACAAAGAGAGCUGAAGAGGACUGUUAAUUUUUCAAGGACUAGCUGCAGUUUUCAUACAAGGCAAACUAAAAGAUACAAAUAUCUUUUCAAUCUAGCCUGUUACCAUAACCAGGAAGGAAGAGUGAAAAAAAGCAUCAGAGGUAGCUAAAAUCAGGGUGAGGAGCUUAAGUAUAGGACAUCUCUUCAGGUGAAAUAGCCAUCAAACCAUGUAUCAAAAGAAGGCUCUGCUACCAUAAAAUACUUUUGGACUUGGUUCACUACUUUUUGAUGCAUUUGCCUUCUCACUAGAGCCAGAGGUCCCCGAAGUACUACUAUCCACAUUAUCAGCGCCUGAACUAUCACCAAUGUCCAUGGGAAGCUUCAUCUUUGCAAGAGCCUCUGUAAACUGCUGCAUGCUUUUCAUGUAUAUCUCAACUAUCUCUUGUUGAACCACCUUUUGUUCAGGUUCUAUAGUCACAUUCACAACAGACUGG